rnacentral:lncRNA from 1 species
CACCACCUGAGAAAAUACAUUAAUUCACAUACCGUAAACAGCUUUAACAUAAGUUCAUACAUGAUUUGAAAACUAACCCCAAGAUAUUGCUUAGCUCUUUUUUAUACAGUGACUGCAGUUGGUUGAAGUCUAACUUUGCAAGCUUCAGUAAAGCUUUACUAUGUGACGCUUCAUCCUCGUAGAUAGACAUGAAAGGCCUUGCCUCUAGCCUCUCCAAGCCUUUCCUCAAGGGCCUGUAUAGGGCAUGAGUUACUUGUGCUGCAAGAGGGUAUUCUAAAUGUUCUACCAUAGACUUGAGGUGAGUGGUGGUGAAAGCAAGUGCUUCAUCUAGUAUGUCUUCUUCCCCCACCCUGAGAUGUGCAGCUUCAUACAAGCCUAGUAGGCCACAUGCAUCAUUGAUCAAAGACUCCUUGAACCUUCCCUUUUCAUCUGUGUACCUGUUGAAUAUAUCUGUAGUCAUCACCAAAACAUAGAAUGUUAUAUGUGAGCUUUGCUAGAUGAUAUUCAAGCACCUUAUAAUACAUGAUAUUCAUGAGGCUUACCACAUGAAAUAUUGAAGCCUUGCUGUCUUAGUAGUCGAAAUCGAAGCGCAACAUCAUAGAGAUCAUCAUUUAUGUCAUCAAUACAAUGAUAGUUAUCAUAGGUAUUUUGUAAUGCUUCUUCUAUCUCCUUUUCAAAGUGGUAUGCCACCCCAAGCCGUUGAACUGCAUCGAUAAACUUCAGCUGUUUUGAAGGGUUACUAGCUGCAGCCAUCAGCUCUCUUCUAACUUCCUCCUUUAGAUCUUCCAACUGCUGCUCUUUAUGGGCCAGAGUUAUCUGUAUCAAUAAAUUGCAAGAACAAAACGUGAGAAAAUCUUUAGGUCUUGUUAUGCAAACUACAUACAUGAUCAGAAAAUCACCUCAUCCUCAGGAGUGUGGCUCACGAUGAAGGUAUUGCCCCAAAUGCUAGGCUGAUAAUUUGCAGUUCGGCGAUUAGUCUCUGGAUUAGCAACUGGGGCUGGAGAAGACCCGUUGCUGGUAGCGAGAAUUAAGGCCAUGUGUAAACUCACUCGAGCACUCAACAUCUGAAUCAGAUGACUUGCAAUGCUCGGUAUUUAUAGGAUGGGAAAUGGUAUGUGGGAUUUGGUUUAGUUUUGGGGCCCACGGUGUGAAACAGUCGUGCUCAGAAUAGACUAUAAAAUACUGGUGUGAAAAUGGACUAAGUUUGUUCAACGAAUGCGGUAGAUUUCCUUGCUAAAAAGGUGUGUUAAGUUCGAAUUUCUUCCACAAUUCUUUUUAAAUUUUGAACUUAAUUUGAAUUUCUUCCACAGUUCUUUUGAAAAUUAGAAAUUAAGUUGAAUUUCUUCCACAAAGAGAAACCCCUUGCCUAAAUUCACGCAAAAGCCCAAACCAUUAUGGGCGGCUAAGGUAUGAAUUUGACCUUUUUUCUUUUCUUUUUUCCCUUUUUUUUUAAUGGACCCAAUUUUGAGUCUCUUGUCCUUUUUUUAUGUACUAUUUACUAAAAUUAGAAAGUUUCCCACAGGGUGAUUUUUGGGUUUAGGAAUUUGGGCUAGAGAAAGAAUUGGUCAGUACCAUCCAGCGGUUGUAUUCAAUUGAAUGGUAUGUGGGAUUUGGUUUAGUUUUGGGGCCCACGGUGUGAAAUUCACUCAGGAUAUCCAAACCAAUAUCAAUCCGUAGGUAUUUAAUUCAAACAACGUGCUAAGUUGAUUGGGAAAAUGGACUAAGUUUGUUCAACGAAUGCGGUAGAUUUCCUUGCCAAAAAGGUGUGUUAAGUUCGAAUUUCUUCCACAAUUCUUUUUAAAUUUUGAACUUAAUUUGAAUUUCUUCCACAGUUCUUUUGAAAAUUAGAAAUUAAGUUGCAUUUCUUCCACAAAGAGAUUAGCAACUGGGGCUGGAGAAGACCCGUUGCUGGUAGCGAGAAUUAAGGCCAUGUGUAACUCACUCGAGCACUCAAUAUAUGAAUCAGAUGACUUGCAAUGCUCGGUAUUUAUAGGAUGGGAAAUGGUUCAUUACAAUUAAUUCAAGAUCACCUAUCAUAUUUAAACCACGUUUAUUAAAAAUUAAAUAUUUAAAAUAUGUUUUUUGUUCUCUUAGAAAUACGAAAAGUGUAUCUUAUUCCCUUAAUAAUUCUCAACAUUCAACCAGCCGCCAAACAGUGAUUAAGACUUUUUCACGUGAAGAUAAAACUUAUGAUUGAUCUUAUUUUUAUAAAAACACUAAAAAACGAUUUUUUUGAUCUUUAACUUAAAAAUGGUUUUUAAAAAUAAUUUUUAGAAAACAUGAUCAAGCAGACUCUUAGGGUUUCAUUUGAGAAAUAAAUGAAGAAGAUCACAAAAAAAAAUUGAAAAUAAAUAAAGAAGAUGAUAUUUUAAUCUUUAUUUAAUAUCUUAUUUUUAUUAUCUAAAAUUAUUUAAUUAUUCUAAUUAAUGAUAUUUUGAGUUUAAUUAUGAUUAAAAUAUAUAAUUAAAUUAACUAUAUAUAAAAGUUUUAAAUUGAGAUAAGUUGCUUAAUGAUUGAUUGUGGAUUGAAAUUUUACUCCCAAAAUAUGCAUGUGGCUUUCGCUUGAAAAGGCAUAUGUUGGGAAGCAGUUAUGCUUGGUUAUGAGUUCUAUAAGCUUACGAUUUUAGAUUUGCAUGAUUAUCUUAAUUUGGAUUAGACAGCUACGGAGAAGGGGCCUUUAUUCAAACUGUUUGUCUUAUUCUCAACAAAGGAAGCAUUUUAUUUAAGACAGAACACUCUAAAACUAUGAAAAACUAACAGCCAAAUUAAAACAAUAUUGAAUAAAAAAAUAUUGAAUAGAAACAGAAGAAUUUUUUACAGGGCUAUCUGCAUGUAUAGCGAAAUUGCAUACACAAACUAUUGCUUAGAAAAACAUUGGAUGGUUAAGAUGUGUUAUGUGUGUAUAUAUAUGUCAAAAAUUACCUCAUCAGCUAACGAACCUCUCACCCCAUAUGCUAGGGGCAAAAUCUGCCUUUGGACGAUUAACCACUCGUUUAGCAUUUUGAUCAGAAGAACAUGCUGAUAUUUUAAUGGCCAUGUUGGUUGAAACAAGAAUGGGACAACAGGUGAUGAACCGCUGACCCCAAUUUCUAGAGUGGGAGUUCUCCUAGGUUUCUUACCUAUUAUAGUUGGAUAGGCUUGUCUUUUGCUGAAAGGCAAAAGAUAUUUGAAAAAAUAAGGCUUAGAUUAUAAUAGUGAUGCAAUUCUUCAAUUUGGUUUAAGAUAAUAGUUCCGAAGUCUGUAGUCAAUUUCAAGUAAAUAGGUAACUAUACAAUUAUUGUAUCCACAUAUGCCUAUAAUUAUGUGUUAUUAACAUUUGAUAUAUAAAGAAGUUUGAGGAAUGUAAACAACCCUAAGUUCAUUCUAAAUGACUUUGCCAAUUAUUUUAUAUAAUCAUAAUUUUGUGAUUUUUUUUCACUAGGUAAAAAAAUUCAAAUUAAAUUCAGGGAAAAUUUUCCAUUUCCUAUUUUCUAUUUCAUUCAGGCUUGAUAUAUGCAAAAUUACCCACAUCCAAUGAUUUAUUUUAUUUUUAUUUUAUUUUUAUAUAUUUGAACUUUAGAAGGGAACUUGGUACUUGAUUUCCAGGUGGGAUAUUAACAACAUAUAUCAGCUUCCGGAAUACAUGAAGCCAUGCUAUCAAGCAGUCUUGGAUGCCUACAAAGAAAUUGAGCAGAUGGAGAACAAAAGAAGAUCCUGUUGUGUUCACUACGCAAAAGAGGCAGUAAGGGUCUCUGAGUUCUAUCUGUGCCCCUAUAACAUGUAAUGUACACUAGAAUAAUUAUUUGUUGGCAAUGGUAUAACAUAUUUCAGAUGAAAAGGUCUGUUCGAGCUUACUUCAAUGAAGCCAAAUGGCUACAUGAAGAAUAUGCACCUACGAUAGAAGAGUAUUUGAGUGUUGCACAAGUCACCUCUGAGGUCACCUUGUUCACUGUCAUCUGCUUUGUUGGAAUGGGAAGGAUGGCACCAAAGAGGUCUUUAAAUGGGUGUGGAAUGACCCAAAGAUCGUCGGAGCUUCCUCCAAAAUUAUGAGGCUCAUGGAUGAUAUGGCUUCACACAAGGUACUAUGUUAUAUUACAUAUCUCAAAGACAACGAGGUCUUCAUAAGAAUUUAAUUACCCUUUUGGUAAACAUUUCCUGUUGGCUUUUGUGUAGUUUGAGCAAGAGAGAGGACAUAGUGCAUCAAGUGUUGAAUGUUACAUGAAGCAACAUGGUGUCUCAGAGCAACAUGCAUACCAAGAGCUUAACAAGCAAGUCGAGAAUACAUGGAAAGAUGUAAUCCAGGGCUGCCUUAAACCUCCUGCUAUUCCAAUCCCUCUCCUUAAACGGGUUCUUAAUUUCGCACGCACCGGGGAUUUCAUGUACAAAGGCCGUGAUUAUAGGUUCACGAAUGUUGGAGAUGUGAUGAAAUAUAGUAUUGCAUCACUAUUCAUGGACCCUAUGCCAAUAUGAGCCUGGAGAUUUGCAAUGCUAAUAAGCUUUCUGGCUUCUGUUUUAUAAUUAGCCCUUCUAGUUUGGGGUCUAUGUUGGAGAGUAUGAUAUAUAUAUAUAUAUAUAUACAAAAUUCUCAACCAUAUUAAGGCAAUGACAAAGUCACAGUGGGAAAUGGUAAGAAUCUGUUAAUCACACAUGUUGGAUCCAAGACACUACAUUCUCAUCACCAAGCUUUUCAUCUGAAAACCAUCUAUAACGUUCCUUAGCUUACCACAAACCUUAUCAGUGUAUGAAAGUUUUGUUCAGAUAAUCACAUAUUCAUUGAAUUCGAUCCUACUUUCUUUUGUGUCAAGGACCAAGCCACCAAGAAGAUUCUGAUCCCAGGCACUAUUGAACAUGGGCUCUACAAAUUUCCUAGCUCUUCUCUUCCACCAUCAUCUUCCUCAAUGGCUCUUACUGCUCAGUCUACUGCUGACAUCUCCCUAUGGCACCAAAGGUGUGGUCACCCGACAGCUCCAACAUUAAGACAUAUCCUAACCUCUUGUAAUGUUCCUUAUUCUACAAACAAGUUCAAUCAAAUUUGUUGUGCUUGUCAGCUUGCUAAAAGUCACAAGCUACCCUUCCCGCUUUUUUCUUCUCGUGCUUCCCAAUCUCUUGCACUCAUUCAUGCAAACUUAUGGGGACCAGCCCAUACUCUUGCAACAAACGGUGCCAAAUAUUUUUUAGUGUUUGUUGAUGAUUUCUCUAGAUUUUCAUGGAUCUAUAUGCUGCAUUCCAAAGAUCAAGUGUCCUCUUAUUUUGUUCAAUUUCAAUCAUUUGUUGAAAAACAAUUUGAACUUCCUAUCGAGUGCCUUUAGUCUGAUACUGGAGGAGAGUUCAAGGCUCUCACUCAAUUUCUGGUUAAACAGGGUAUUCUUUAUCAAACUUCUUGCCCCUAUACACCUGAACAGCAUGGGAGAGCUGAGCGUAAGAUUUGACACAUAACCGAAACUGGACUUGCUCUUCUCACUACUGCUUCUUUGCCUCUCACCUUCUGGUCCUACACCUUCCAAACUGCAGUGGCUCUCAUCAACUGCGUGCCCACUCCUCUACAUUCCUAUGCUUCUCCCUAUCAGGUUCUUUAUAAAAAAUCUCCAGCUCAUCAUCUAUUUUGAGGUUUUGGAUGUCUCUGCUACCUAUAUCUCAGACCUUAUAACCCUCACAAGUUUGUCCCUCGUUCAACCCAAUGUAUAUUUCUCGGCUAUAAUUCCACUAACAAAGGAUAUCUGUGUUUGCAUCCUUCUUCGAGGCAUGUUUAUGGCACAAGACAUGUUGCCUUUGAUGAGAUUACCUUCCCCUUUCACCAAUUGUCCUCCGUCGCCUCUCACUCUUCUCCUGUUGUGGAAAAACUCCUGCCUUUCCUGCACCUCCUCAUUCUUCCCUACCACCUCUAUCUCCUAGUUCCAAUUCCCUACCACCUGCCACUACAUCAUCUAUCCAGUUUCUACCUCCUCUAAUUCAGGAUCCCUCUACUGCCUCCCCCACCUCUGCUCCACCCUUACCUUCCUUCCUCAAUACUCAUCCCAUGGUAACCCGUUCAAGGCAGGCAUCACAAAACCCAAGGCUCUUCUUGCAUCUACUCCCACUAAACCCAACACUUUUCGACAUGAUAUUAAGGAUCCUCAAUGAGAACUGGCAAUGGUUGUUGAAUAUCAAGCUUUACUCCGUAAUAACACUUGGUCCCUUGUUCAUCUCCCUUCUCAUGGGAAUAUUAUUGGAUGCAAAUGGGUAUUUCAAUAUUGAUCAUCACAAGGCAUAUCUUGUGGCCAAGGGUUUCACCGAAACUCAGGGAAUUGACUAUUUUGAUACCUUCAACCCUAUAGUGAAGCCGACCACCAUUCUUAUUGUUCUCACUCUUGCACUUUCAUCCCAAUGGCCCAUUUGACAACUGAACAUUCAAAAUGCAUUUCUAAAUGGUGACCUUCACAACCAGGUCUUCAUGCAACAACCCCUUGGCUUUGUUCAUCCUCAACACCCAUCUUACGUCUGCCAUCUUCACAAAGCCCUUUGUGGGCUUAAACAAGCUCCAAGAGCUUGGUUCCACAAACUCAGUACCUCUCUUACCACUUGGGGAUUUGAAUCUUCUUGCGCACACACCUCUUUAUUCUUCAAACAUGCAACAUCUGAUGUUCUCCUCAUUCUUGUCUACGUUGAUGACAUCCUCGUCACUAGUAGUUGUGCCUCUCAGGUUACCUUUUUUUAUCUCUCAGCUCAGCUCCACCUUUGCUCUUCGUGACCUUGGUUCCCUUUACUAUUUCUUUGGCAUUGGGGUUACUCACAGUACUGAUUCUCUUCAUCUCUGCCAACAAAAAUAUGUGCAUGACCUGCUCACUCGUACUGCCAUAACUAAUGCUAAACUUGUUCUUACACUGGGUUCCUUGGCCAAGCCUCUCUCUCUCACUGAUGGUGAUCUACUUCAUAUCGCAACAUUGUUGGCGCAUUACAGUAUGUUACUGUUACACGUCCAAACCUUUCUUUCGCCGUUAACAAGGUAUGCCAGUUUAUGGCUUCCCAACGACCACCCGCUAGCUGGCUGUCAAGAAUAUAAAAAGUAGUUAAAAAUAAAAUGAAAGUAUAGAUUUAAAAUAAAAAAUAAAUUAAAAAUGAAUAAUUAAAAAUUUUAAAAAUGAUAAAUAUUAUUUUUUUUUAAAAAGUUUUCAAAAAAAUCUCGGAUAUUUUCAGAUAAAUUGACGAUGUAUCCGAUAUAUUCGUUGAUAUAUCUGAUACAUCGUUGAUAUAUCUCCAAUAUUUUGAUAGACUUCCUCUAUUGCUUCGCGUGUCGCUUCACACUCGAUUUUUUCAUCGAUUUAUUGAUUUCAAAUUAACCGAAAUAUCGACAUAUUUCGGGGAUUUUUGUGAUGUGUCCGAUAUAUUUGUUGAUAUAUCCGAUAUAUUCGUCGAUAUAUCUGAUAUAUAGUCGAUAUAUCUCCAAUAUUUUGAUAGACUUCCUCUAUUGCUUCGUGCGUCGCUUCACACUCGAUUUUUUCAUCGAUUUAUUGAUUUCAAAUUAACCGAAAUAUCGACAUAUUUCGGGGAUUUUUCUGAUAUUCCUCCCAUUCGAUAAUGUUGCUUAAUAUCCUUUCAGGGUCGUUCGAUAUCCGAUAUAUCGGCGAAAUAUCACCGAUAAAAACCGAUUUUUCAAUCCAUGCUUAAUAGUGGGUUUCCCUUUUGUUUGGCCUCUUGUAGACCCCCAUUUUGGGGCCCGGUUUUUUUUUAUCUCUAUUUUCUUUGCAGGUGUCACCACCCCAAAGAGCCACGUGUUGCCUCUUUGGUGGUUGAUAGGGAAUCAACAUUGCUUUUCGGGGACCUAUGGUAGGUUGACACGUGGAAGAAUAUUCUGGAGAGCUGAUUUCUGUUAUGGGGGAGCGUAUGAGAGUGUUAUGGGGGAGCGUAUGAGAGAGGAUAUUCUGUAGGCACUUUGAUUCUCACAUGUGCAUGAUCACCUUGAGUAUUCAUUGAUUUCCGCAUCAAUUGUCACAUCAGCUUCAUUUUAUUAGUAGAGACCCGACUUUAGGGACUUAGAGGGGUGUUACGGUCUUUACCGUACCUUCCCGAUAAGUAACCUGACCCCCGAGCUCGAUCCGGUUUUUCACGGACCACCUUUUCCAAAUAAGGAGUCACACUUAGGGUUUUCUUUCUUAUUUUGUUUACCCUUUAAAAAUAAAACAAAAUUAAGUGGCGACUCCAAGUCAUUUUUUUUAAUCAGUAAAAUCAUUUUCAAAAUAAAAAUCGAGUUCGCCAUCGAUUGGAAAACGCAUGAGCUGAAAUGCGGGGUCCACACCUCUGUUUUUUUUUUAAAAAAAAAAAAAAAAAAUCCUUUCCGAUUCUAUGGCCUUGAGUGAGCAUUAUGUAUUUCAACUAUUUUGACAUGUUCAAAAUAAAUUACUAAGAAUUUAAAGGGAAUUUGUUCGACAAGUACUUUUUUUUUCACAUAUUUAUUUAUACAUUAUUUAGUUUAGGUUGCAUUAUUCUAUGUAAAUAAUUUAUUGGGUAUGGGAAUUAUUUUUAUAAAUGGCUGAGUAGAUUCAAUUUUAGAUAUUUAUUUAUUGAGCAUGAAAAUUAUUUAUUAAAACAUGGUUUAACAACCAUGCGAUGGAAUCAACCUGUUAAACAAAAUAAACUAAUACUAUAUUAUUUUAACUUAAAUUAUUUCUUGAUGGUAGCAAUGUUGAAAAAACAAAUAUCAAUAAAGACUAACCUUAACAAGAAAAUAGUAAUUAACAUAAUUUUAUAUUGACUUGUAAAAUUGGGUCAACAUAUAAAUAUAUUAAUUGUAACAAGAAGACCUACAUUGAUAAUGAAACGUCAAUAUUAGUCUAUAUUGCCAACUGUAAAAUAUUAAUAUAUGUAUAUAGCGGAUGUUGUCAUUAUGUCUUAUUUAUAUAUAUAUAUAUAUAUAUAUAUAUAUAUAUAUAUAUAUAUAUAUUGAGAUCUCAAUUAAUGAUGCUAACCCUCAAAUCCUUCUUUCUUGGGGUGAAUGUUAGUUCUCAUGUAUGAAGGUAGGUAUGGUUGGUCCAAUCAUCUUAAAGUCCGUGUUAUAUUUGUAACAAAACUUUCGCAUAAAUAAUCGUUUUCAUGAUUAGGAAUUAGAGAAAAUUUUGUAGAAGAUUUUUCCAAAUUUGAAAAUAACCAUGGAAGGAAUUCAACUUAAACACGUUUCUUUGUGGAAGAGUUGCAUUGGCAAGGAAAGAUACACACAUUCAUUGAACAGUCUUAGGCCCAUUUUUCCAAGCAGCCUAGCACGUUGUUUGAAUUAAACCCCUAUGGAUUGAUAUUAAUUGGAUCCAUUACCAGUCAUGCAUUCAAUCCCAAAGCGUUGAUUAUUCUAACUUAGGGAUACUUGGUAAAACUUAAUACUUAUUAUUUAAUAAUUUGAGUUGAUUUUAAAUUAAAUUAUACUUAAAUUGUUGACUUAAAACUUAUUAUUUUAAGUAUUAAGAUAUAAUAUUAACUUAAAAUUUAUUUAAAAUCAUUAAAUUGACAUAUUUAUUUUUAUAAAUUAUAAUUAGAUAAGAAAAGGUUGAGUAAUAAUAGAAGUUAUAGCGUUGCAAAAGAAAUCAUGACGGUAAUUAAGACAAAUAAAGAUAAAAAGAUAAAAUAAAAAUAUAGACUUAAAAAUAAAUUAAUUAUUUUUAUUUAUUACAUAAAAUUAUUUUUUACUUUAAAUCAUAUUAUUAAGUUAUUUUACUAAACAUACUUAAUUUACUUAAUGACUUAAAUUAAGUUAUUAAAUCAUUUUAAGUUAUUAAAUUGAUGUAUCAAAUACCUACUUAUUGAAUGUAAACAUAAAAGGAAAUUAGGAAAGCAAAGUAGAUGGUUUAUUAGGUGAAAGCAUAUCAAAUCCACAUAUCAAUAUAUCACACUUUUACCAAAAACCCACCUCAUGCCAAGCCUAUAAGUUGUCAAGUCCUUGCGAUCCAACAUCCUUCUUAUGGUUCCCAUAUGGAUUUCUAUUAUUAUCAAAACAAAAAGUCUAUAAUAAUUUAUUUAUUUAUUAUUAUAACAAUUAAAUAAAAAGAUAAACUCAUUUGUGGAAUAUAAUUAAUAAAAAAAAAGAGAAGUGUUGGAGUUUUAAAUUAUUAUUAUUUUAUAUUUUUUAUAUUUUAAAUAAAAUAAUAAAUAAUAUAAUUAAAAUAAUGGAUAAAAAAAAAGUGCACUUUCAAGUUUUAUACCUUCAACCUAUACGAGUUGUAAUAUUUUCAAGUUGGUAUUCUUUAACAUAAGUCAAAUUCUAACUUAUUCAACUUUGACAAUUUUAACCUAACCCUCGUAUUGGUACAAAUUAGACUAUUCUACCCUGCUUAAGGUACCGUCCUAAAAAAUUCAUGAGAAUUAUGGACCCAUCUUAUUACGAAUGUUGUAUAUUAAAUUUCCAAAAGUCAUAUUUAAAAAUUAAUAUUUAUGUUUAUAUUUCACAGUACAUAUUUAUCUUUACUUUAAUAUAUAUAUAUAUAGUUGAUAGGCAGAAUUGUCCUUAAUGGCCUUUGUACAUAGAGUACGUACCUGGUCAUAAGAAUACGUGUCAAAUAUAAACAUGCUUUUUAAAUUUAAUCAUUUAUAUUAUAAGUUUAUUAUUAUUAUUAUUAUUAUUAUUAUUAAAAUUUUAUUGUAUACCUUGUAAAAAUAAAAGUUAUGAUCUUACAUAAGGUUGAAAUUUGAAGUUCAAGUUCAUUAAACUGUGCAGAGUUUAGCUUUCUAUUACUCUAUAUACAUAUAUAUAUAUAUAUAUAUAUAUAUAUAUAUAUAUAUAUAAUCAAUUCCAUCAAUUCAUUAUUUUUUAAGAUAUUGAAAAUUACGUAAAUAUUGAUGGUUAUAUUUUACGGAAACAUUGAAACAAAACAAUAAUAAAUUAUUAAAGUUGUUUUACUAAAUAAAAUAAUAUAAUCAUCGUUUUAUAUAUAUAUAAAAGAUCAGUUCAUUAUUUUUUAAGACAUUGAAAAUUAUAAAAAUAUUGAUGAUUAUAUUUUAUGAAAACAUUGAAACAGAAAAAAAAAAAACAUUAUAUAUAUAUUCUUAUACUUUGUUUAUUAAUAAUUUUGUUCUUUUUCAUUUUGACUUAAGAAUCUUUUUAAAUAGUGAUUUACUCUUCAUCGAAGAUUCAAAGUUAUUUUUCAAUUAAUCGAUCAUAGGUAAGUGUGAAAAUGAUUGAGUAAAGACAAGUUAAUCAUCACAAAUAAGUGUGAGAAGGACCGAGUAAAAACAAAGGGUUGAAUUGGAAGUUUUAAUUUACAUAAAAUAUUUUAAUUAAUUUGAAAAGAAUUUUAAAUUGAGAAUUUGAAAAAAAAAAAGAAAUUUCCAAAUAAUAAAAAUAAUUUAGAAAUGAAUUUUAAAUUAAGGAUUUAAAUUUUAAAAUUUGAAAAAGGAAAAUUUUUAUAAAUCUUUUCUAAUUUUAAAUAUGAAAUAUUUCCAAAUCUUUUUAAAACUCUUAAGUUUCUAAAUUGUUUUUAAUAAAAUAUAAUCUUUAAAUUAAUUCCAACUAUAUUAAGUUUUCUCCUAUAUACAUUCUACCUAAAUAUAUAUUUGAUGACAGUAUGACUUGUCUUAUCAUUCCUGAUCUCUAAAGAAAGAAUUCAUUAGAAUGACCUACAUCCCUUCAGAAGCUUAGAGGAGCUGGAACAUUGGAGGUAAUGCGUUGUGGAUGUGGAUUAAGGUGUAAGUGCUAGAGAGUAAAUCAUUAAGGCAAAGCGGUUAGGUAAAUAUGCGUGCUUUGAGUUUAAAUAGUGGAUUGUAAAUUAGAGGUCUUAGACCUUGUGAUUUUUUAUGCCCACAAUUAGUGUUGAUAUUUUCAACUUAAAAUUUCUUGUGUCCCUUAUUUGAUUAUUUUUCUUAUUUUGAUCUUUAAUUAUUUUGAUUAUCCCUAUUAUCUCCUAGUUUAAAUUGAGUUAAUAUUAUUUAACUCUUAUAUUAUUAUCUUUAAAAAUCACCCCACUCUCAAUGUCAUCCUCCUGGACAAAAGCACAUAUAUAAUUCACAAAUCAUGAAAAUAUAUUUAAUAUUAAAAUAUCAUUCCAUGUAAUUUGGAUGUAUUCAAAGAUGUAAAAGAAAUGAUAAUAUAUGUAUAAUUAUUUUUUAUUUAAAAAUGUUAAUAAUUACAUUUGCAACUUUAUUUUGUCCUCUUUAUUUAAUUAAUAUACAAAAAAAUAUGAAAAUAGACUUAUCAAAAGAAUUGUCAUAAUAAAGCUUUAUAUUAUUAAUAAUAAGUUAAAUUAAGGUGAUGUUUAUUUUUUUACUUAAAUCUAAAUGAAAAUUAAUUUAAGUUAAUUGUAAAUAUAACUUAAUAGAAUUAAUUAUUAUAUUGUUUGUUUUUAAUUAUUUUAUUUUUGUUAAGCAUUAAAUAUUAAUUAGGCGAGAGUCCUACUAAGGUUGUGCUUUGAUUGAUUCAAAAAAUUAUUUUGAGUAUUGAGAAAAAAGUUAAAUAUUUUACUUUUAUCUAUUCAUAAAAAAACAACUUAAAAAUUAAUUUUUUGUUAGAAAAUAUGAGAAUUUAUCGAAUUAUGGGAACUUGUGGAUGAUCAUCCAUAUUGAUGUAUAUCUCUUUGUAACUCCCUAUAAAAGGGAGAUACCUCUAAUGAAAAUCUAUUCUAUUCUCUUUCUACAUUUUAAUUUCUCUUUCUUGUUUUCUUCUCCUUUCACUUUAUAAUUUUACAACACGUUAUCAGCAAAAAUAGUCUCUACAAAAUAAAUAAAAAGAUUUUUCUCUAUUCAGAUAAAUAGAAAUACGUUCUUCCCUUCAGAGAAAUAGAAAGACUCUUCCCUAUUCUUUCUCACAAAAAGGUAUGUGAUAAACUUAUAUUAUGAUUUUCUAUUUUAUUACCCUUUGAUCUCUAUUUUCAUUUAUUUUAUUUGAAUACAUAAAUAUGUAUAAUCCCCAUAACCAGAAGUUAUGGGGUAAAUUAUAAAUUGUGGGGUAAAUUCAUAACUAGAAGUUAUGAAAAAUAUGUGCAAUUCCUAUAACCAGAAGUUAUGGGGUAAAUUAUAAAUUGUGGGGUAAAUUCAUAACUAGAAGUUAUGAAAAAUAUGUGCAAUUCCUAUAACUAGAAGUUAUGGGGAAAAAUUACAGAAUUAUAGAUACAUGACCAGAAGUUAUGUAUAUGAUACCUAAUUAUUUAUUUUUAAUUAUACGGUAUAACUGGAUGUUAUACCAAACAAUAUUAUAUAGCAAGAAGGUAUAAAAUAAAUAAAUAAAUAAAUGUUCAUAGCUUGAAGCUAUGUACAAAUUUACAUAAUAAAAGUUCAACCCAAAGUUAUACACAAAUUUACAUAAAAUAAUUCAUAACUUGAAGUUAUAUAUUACGUUGCACAUUUUUAUUAUGAUAAAAUAAUCAUAGCCUGAAGCUAUGAAAAAGAAACAUAUAUAUAUAUAUAUAUAUAUAUAUAUAUAUAUUAAAUUCAUAUUUAUACAUUUUUACCAUAUUUAUAAUUGAUAAAUUUUAGGUCAUUAUAUUUUUAGAUAUUGUUUACUUGAAAUAUUGUUAAAGCAUUUUAUUAAUAGUUUAUUAUAAUAAUUGAAAUAUUUCUCUGAUUAAUAUUAUAUAUAGCUUUCAGAUAAUGUCAAACCUUGCAAAGCUUGAAUUUGUUGUCCUCGAUAUUUUGGACAAGAACUACUUAUCUUGGGUUCUAGAUGUUGAAAUUCAUCUAGAUGUGAAGAAUCUUGGAAAUACCAUUAAAGAAGGAAAUGAUGCAUCCCUGUAGGAUCGCGCCAGAGCUUUGAUAUUCCUUCGCCAUCACAUUGAUGAAGAAUUAAAAGGUGAACACCUUACGUUAAAGAUCCUUUCAUCAUUUGGAAUAAUCUAAGGGAACGAUAUGACCACCAAAAGACCGUAAUCCUUCCAAAGGCACGCUAUGAUUGGAUGCACUUGAGAUUACAAUAUUUCAAGUCUGUUAGUGAAUACAACUCUACCCUAUUCAAAGUUAGCUCACAAUUAAAAUUGUGUGGAGAAAAGGUCACUGAAGAAGAUAUGCUCGAAAAAAAAUUCACGAAUUUUCAUGCCUCGAAUGUGCUCUUACAACAGCAAUAUCGAGAGCGCCGAUUCACUAAAUAUUCAGAAUUGAUCUCAUGUAUUCUUGUGGUUAAACAAAAUAAUGAGCUAUUAUUGAAAAACCAUUAAUCUCGUCCUACCGGGUUUAUGUCAUUGCCUGAAGCCAAUGCCACAUCUGUUCAAACCCUUGGACAUGGACAAAGACAUGGAUAUGGACGAGGUCGAGGACGUAGUCGCGGUCGAGGUUGUGGUAAACACAAUUCUUCUCAUCGUAGUGGUUCUCAAAGUAAAAAAGAACAACUCAAACGACCUGAAAUGAAAUAAUUCAGAGGCACAACCUGAAAAGGGGAUAGAACCACAAAGUAAACAUGCUCGUGAGAAUAAGUGUCAUAGAUGUGGCAUGAAAGAACAUUGGUCACAUACUUGUUGUACUCCAAAACAUUUUGUUGACCAUUAUCAAGCCUCAAUAAAAGCAAAAGGAAAAGAAGUUGAAAUGAACUUCAUUGAUAGUGAUGGCCUAGUAGAUCUAACCCAUUUAGAUGUUUCAGAUUUCUUUGAGAAUCCUAAUGGGAAAAUUGAUCAUCUAAUUGGUGAUAGAAAUGUUUGUUAUGAUUAAAUGUUAUAUUCUUAUUUAGUUCUUUACAAAUAGGUUUAUUUUGUUAUCAUCUUUAAACACAUUUUUAUUAUUCAUCUUUUAUAGUUUAGUUCACAUUUUAUUAUUUCUUAUUUAAAUUCUUCUCUUUAUUUAUACUUGAAGAUACAUGGAUCUUUCUCAUACCGUGGUACAUCAUACGACAUCCAAUGUAGAUGCAUAUCUUGCAGAUUAUGCCACAACACACACAAUCCUUAGUGAUAAAAAAUAUUUUUCCAACAUAUCGUUGGUUAAGUCUAAUGUUAAUACAAUAUUAGGUCCUAUAGACUUGAUUCAAAGCUCCAAAAGAGCAUCUAUUAUUUUACCUAAAGGAACUAAAAUCCACAUUAAUAAUGCCCUUUAUUAUGCUAAAUCCAAAUGAAAUCUUCUUAGUUUCAAGGAUAUUCGUCGAAAUGGAUAUCACAUUGAAACUAUGAAUGAUGAUAGUAAUGAAUACCUUCUCAUUACUUCAAUUAUUUUUGGGGAAAAACACAUCUUGGAAAAGCUUCCUUCUUAUUCUUGUGGGUUAUAUCGAACAAUCAUUAGAUCCACUGAGUCAUAUGUUGUCAUGAACCAAAAGUUUUGUGACUUAAAAACUUUUAUGAUAUGACAUGAACAUCUUGGUCAUCCAGGAUUAUCCAUGAUGUGUCUUAUCAUCAACAAUUCUUUAGGUCAUCCCUUGAAGAACCAGAAGAUUCUGAUGCCCAAUAAUUACAAUUGUGUUGCUUGCUCACAAGACAAAUUAAUUAUUAAACCAUCAUUUACCAAGGUUGAAUAUGAAUCACCAACCUUUCUAAAACGUAUUCAAGGUGAUAUUUGUGGACCUAUCCAUCCACCUAGUGGACCUUUUCGUUAUUUUAUGGUUUUAAUUGAUGCAUCAACUCGUUGGUCUCAUGUUUGUCUUCUUUCAACUAAAAAUAUUGUCUUUGCCAGGUUACUUGCUCAAAUAAUUCGACUCAAGGCACAAUUCCUUGAUCAUCCUAUUAAGACAAUUCGUCUUGAUAAUGCUGGUGAAUUCUCCUCUCAAACAUCUCUUGAUUAUUGUAUGUCGGUUGGUAUUGAUGUUGAAUAUCCUGUUGCUCAUACCCAUACUUAGAAUGGAUUAGCUGAAUCUCUAAUUAAGCGUUUGCAACUAAUUACAAAACCAUUACUCUUGAGAACAAAAUUGCCCUUGUUUGCUUGGGGGCUUGCUGAUUCGUGCCCAAUUGGUGUCUCAGCUGAUUUGUGUUCAGCUGGUGCUCCUUGAUUGAGGGAGUAAUCAACAAAAUUUAUUACCUAUAACACCAUACACUAGGGUAGCAAAGAAAAAGCUACUAUAGUAUAGUGGCUCUAGGGUCGUUCACUGGGAAUGAUUAACAAGCAAUCAAUGAUACCAAUUCCAAGUGAAUUGGUCUUGUUUCAUUUCAAGGUUAGAUUAAGAAGUAAAACACAAACUUUGAUUGGUAAAGGUUUAGACUUAAAAUAACUAACAUAACAGAAGUUUGGAAUAAUUUAGGAAGAAAACAUUCCUUGGAGAGUUAGGUUCACUAGGGUGGUACCUCAUGCAAAAGACACGGCUCUGGUCAGAUGGUUCAUUUCCUUGUGUUAGAGAUUCAACAUAUAGUCAAUUCUCUAACCGGUGUUGUACAGAGACUCCUUCAAUUAGAUUUCACUUUAAUUCUCUCAUUGAUGCAACUUGCAAUGGUUUAAGCCUCUCACUAAGCCUUAACCAUUCAAGGUGAUCUUUAACCUUGGAUUACCCGUCAAAAGCUCGCAAGAGAUAACUAAUGGAUGUCUCCUAGGAGUCCAAAAGCUUAUCAAGUGUUGGCUAUUCUAGAAAAUCCUACCUUGAAAUCACCUACCAGAGGCUCGCAAGGGGUAAACUAGUGCAUUUCCAUGGUUGGAAAUCACUUGCCUUACCAAGUGUUAGCCCAGGUGACUCUAAGGUGUUUUAAGUUAACUAAAAACAUAGAAAUCACUAAAGGAUUUCACUUGCUCUUCAUUAAUAGCUAAAACCACAGAGCUUUGCAUUCUUGCACUUGGAACCUUCCCCGGCAACCUUAGCUCCAAGGAAUUAGAGAUUUAGUUACUCAUUCUCUGGGGAAAACUCCUCAGAGAAUUCAUAACUUAGUAAGAAAUUGAAAAUACAAAGUGAGAAGGUAAGACAGUAGAAAGAAAAUAGACUUUACUUGCUUACCCAAACGUUUACAGAAGGCACUCCUCUCUGAGAACAGGCUCCCGAGAGGUAUAUAUAUGAACAUAAUAUAAAACUAAUUAUUACAUAGAUAUUUAGUCUUUUUACUAACUUAAAAACUAAGGAAUCAUGUAAUUGGUGGUUUACAAGGAGUAUUUUGGGAUUUAGACAACAAAAAUCUAAUAGAAAAUAUCUCCCAAUGUUGGUAGCAAAUAUCGGGAGGCUUCAGGAACCAUUUCGCAGGAGAAAAAUGGUGUCUGCGAAAUUUCGCAGACACUCAAGAGGGCUGCGAAAUUAUUUCGCAACACCAAGCUAUCUUCACAGGGCUGCGAAAUUGGCUUCCACCUUGAGGUUCCCAGCUCCCUUCUCGCGGCAUGGUUCGCGCAUCGUCAGAAGGAGAAACACCUUACUGUACAAAAAUGCUGCGAAAUCACUUCGCAACAAAAGGGUGAUUUCGCAACACUUUGCAAAAUGCUUCCUUCAGCUCGGAGUGAUUGGCUUGUAAUGGCUACAACUUCUUCGUUUCAACUCCGAAUUGCACACCGUUUGAAGCAUUGGAUUGUUGACUUCCUGAGCUUUGAAAUGGUAUAUAGAAUACAUCAUUUGGACUUCAGAAAGUGCUCCAAAAGUGGCUGCUACGACUGUCAUCAAGAAUAGGCUUCAUGGCAGAUUCUCUUUGCUUUUUCUCCUUGCAAUCCGGAUUCACUCUUGGCAAAUGACUUCUAAGCUUUGCCCAAGAUUCCUCAUAGCUCUCCUCAGUCUUGACUUGCUUUGGUGAUCAAAAUACUAACAAAAACACCAAAACUUGCACAAAGUGAUCAAAAUUGCUUUAAAGGAUCCUUAACAUGCCAAUUGAGUUAAAAGGCCUAAACUACUACUCAAAAGUGUUUAAAAGGAUUAAUUAUAGGCUAUCAAAUAGCACUUUUUGAGUAGUAAUCACUCCCCCCAACAGACAUAUUGCUAGUCCCUUAGCAAUAUAGGAGAGAAAAAAAAAAUGAAUAGCUAAUUAUACUAAAAUUUACAACAUCAUGCUGAUAGAAAAUAAUUCUCAAAUGGCAUGAUGAUCUAAUUCUCACAUGAAGCAUUAAAGAAAUACAAACCCAAAUCUCAACAAGAGUCAUAACACCUAUGCUAAACACUGUCAAUCAAGAGAGUGCAUUAUGCAAACUGAAGUUUUAAAACCAUUUCCACUUUCUAAGAACCAAACUUUAAUCUUCCACAAAAAUCUAUGUGUAUUGGUUCCUUAGCUUCCGAGAAUAAUAUGCUAAACUAGUCUCACCCCCCAACCUAUCUCUUUUCAACACUUUAGCAAACUGACCAAAAUCAAUAAGAAAAGAAAACACCUUUUUUUUUUUUUUUCAAGGUAGCUUUAUGGGGUACUCUUUCUGACUUGUCCAUGUAAUGGGGGUCCAUCGAUGACUCCCAACCAAUUAAGGUUUAGGGCACCAAGCUUUAAGGAUCUUUCAACCACUAACUCCUCGGAUUUUUCCCCGGACUUUUAAGAAUGAAUUUCUAAUACCCAAGCAUCUACCAUAUGCUAACUCUACCUAUUCACCCUUGUAACGAGCAUUGAGGUCGGUGACUCCCAACCAAUUAAGGCUUAGGGCACCAGGCUUUAAAGAUUUUCACCAUAUACCCCUCAGACCUUGCUCGGGUUUCAAGGCAAGCAAACAACUUUCUUUAUUUUAAAGGCUCAUUGGCCUUUUGCAGGGUGUUUCAAUUUUUAUCAAGUGAGGUCAAAUAUACCAAGUCCCAAAAUUAUCCUAAGUCAAGAGGGAAAUAGCUUUUCAUCUUAUAAUCGGAAUCUAAUGUGCACAGUGUGUGAAUAGCUUAAAGUGGAAGAACUAAAUUCAAUUUCAAUAGAAGUUUCAACAAUUGAACCACUUUAGUAAGCAUAAUCCAUACUCUAAGUCAAGUGAAAAACAACAGUUCAAUUUCUCUUGGUUUAAUUUGAAAAUUUUUCCUCAAAAUUCAUGGAGAAUAGAGUAACACUAGUAAAAAGUAAAAUCUACAACUAAUUAACCAAUAUAAUUGCAAUACCAAAAAGAUUUAGAAAACUUCCUUCCUCAUACCCCCCAACCGAACUGAGCAUUGUCCUCAAUGUGAUUUGAAUGAUUGUAAUAAAAGGGAGGAAGUGGUACCUCCUUGCUGAUAUCAAAUUCGAAUAUUGAUUGGGGAAAACCACAUGUUUCAAAAAGAAUAGAAUAUGUGAGAAAAAGAAAUAAGAAUAACUUAAUGCUAACUUUUAACAAGAAAUAUUCAACUUGUAUUACUUUGAGUUCAUUUGAUUACAAUGCUAAAGACAAGUAACACAAGGAAUCCCAUAUAUAGUACCAAAAUACUGGGACUUCAUUUCAACUAAAAAAAACAAAAAUGCAUAAAAACAUAAACAAAAAAUAUAUAUAAUGUCUGAUUAGUGGGGUGGUGGUGCUAGACAGAAGGAUCUGCCUCUUCAGUAGGUGGAUCAGCUGGGGCUUCGGGCUCUGGAGGAUGAGACUCUGAAGGCUGAGAGUGUGGCUCUGGUGGAGUAGAAAUGGAGGGCUCUACAGCUUGUGGCAGAUCGAAAUGGACUUGAAGCUGCCUUAAGAUGGCAGCUUGUUGAGCCUGAGAGGCUAACAUCUGCUCUUGGCAUGCUUUGAUGGCUGCCAUCUCCUGAGCAAGAUUGCUCUGAGAAGCUGUAAGAGUCUCCAAUGCACGACACAACUCUCAAUAUUCAGAUAUAGGAAUGACCAUCCUCGGCUCAGCUGAUGUGGAUGGCUGAGAUGAAGCAGGUGCAGCUGGUGGAGCUCUAGGAAUGGCAGGAGCAGCAACUGUUAUACCCUCAGGUAUAUGUCUUGGGGAGGCUCUCCUUGCAGCUGGCUGAGGCUGCCCAGGCUGAUCAACUUUGUAGGCCGUCAUAUUGUUCCAUUUAUCAAGAGUGAAUGGCUCACGGCAUAUUCGCUUUCUCUCCAGCUGAGGCUCUGAGGGGUAUCCCAGAUGCUCCAAAAUUUGGCAUAGCAGCCUUGGGAAGAGGAGGGGAAUACAAUCUGCUCUCUGAAGCUUCUUCUUGUGAACCUUCUCUUCAAAAUAGAGAAGGGCUGCCAUGAUCAGAUGAUGAGGCCCAAAGAAAAAUCCUUCUGACAUCUUGUAAAGAGCUUCCAGGAGAACUCCCCUUCUUUGGGUCCAAUGCUGCAAUGGAUAUAUAUUAUGGCGCAAAAAGGCAUCAAUCAAAAACAUAACUGGAGGAAGCUCCCCCCUCAGCAGAUGUGAUCGAUUUGCAGCUCCUCUGGAAAGGGUGCGAACCAUCUCUAGCUCAGUAGGAUUUGCCCACAAUGAAUCAUGAAGCCUAAUAGACCAAUCUUUUCUGUUGGAAUUCACCACUUUCAUCAAGAUGUUCUUUAUUUCCCUAUUAGCUAGCUCAACUUGCCCGGAAGUCUGAGGAUGAUAAGGUGUGGCCACCUUAUGCUUCACUCCAUACUUGGAUAACAGAGCUUCAAAAGGUUUGUUGCAAAAAUGAGCACCUUCAUCACUGAUUAUGGCUUUGGGCACCCCAAAUCUUGAGAAAAUGUUCUCUUUAAGAAACUUGAGAACCACCCUGUGAUCAUUUUGCUUACAGGGGAUUGCCUCAACCCAUUUAGAAACAUAAUCUACCCCCACCAAGAUGUAAGAAUUACCAAAAGACAUUGGGAAAGGUCCCAUGAAGUCAAUGCCCCAUACAUCAAAUAACUCAACUAUCAGAAUGUGGUUCAUAGGCAUUUGAUUUCUUUUUGUUAGCUUUCCAAGCCUUUGGCAUCUAUUACAAUUCCUACACAUGAUGUGGGCAUCUUUGAAAAGAGAUGGCCAAGUAAACCCUGAUUGCAAUACCUUCAUGGCUGUUUUCUGAGAGGCAAAGUGGCCUCCACAUGCAUUCUCAUGACAAUGAGAUAGAAUCCCUUGCUGCUCAUCUUCAGGGACACACUUCCUAAUAAUCUGAUCUGCACAAUACUUAAAGAGAAAGGGCUCUUCCCAAUAAUAAGCAUGAAUUUUGGCAAAGAAGUGCUUCCUGUCCUGUGCAUUCCACUCACUUGGAAUUUCACCAGUUACUAAAUAAUUAGCAAUAUGAGCAUACCAAGGAGUUUUCACUAGGAACAUGAGUGAUUCUUCAGGAAAAUCAUCAUUGAUAGGCAAGGGAUGGGAAUUAUGUGCUAUAACUAACCUUGACAAGUGGUCAACUACUACAUUCUCCACUCCUUUCUUAUCUUUGAUUUGAAGAUCGAAUUCUUGUAACAAAAGGAUCCAUCUAAUCAACCUUGCUUUUGCAUCUUGCUUUGUCAAUAAAUACUUCAAGGCUGAAUGGUCAGUAAAGACAAUAAUGAAAGACCCCACUAAAUAAGCUCGAAAUUUGUCCAAAGCAAAUACCACAACUAAUAAUUCUUUCUCUGUAGUUGUGUAGUUCCUCUGAGCUUCAUUUAGUGUUUUACUUGCAUAGUAAAUCACAUAGGGCUUCCCAUCUUCUCUUUGGCCAAGCACAGCUCCUAUAGCAAAGUCACUGGCAUCACACAUCAGUUCAAAAGGUAAUUGCCAGUUAGGGGCUCUCACUAUUGGAGUUGUUGUUAAAAAUUUCUUCAGUUGAUCAAAGCUAUUCUGACACCUUUCAUCCCAUAUAAACUUAGCAUCCUUAGCUAACAGCUCACAAAGAGGUUUUGAAAGACUUGAAAAACCUUUUAUAAACCUCCUAUAGAACCCUACAUGGCCAAGGAACUGCCUUACUCCUUUCACAAUUGUUGGAGAUGGUAAUUUGACAAUAAGCUCCACCUUUGCUUUAUCAACUUCAGUGCCUUUUUCAGAGAUGAUAUGGCCAAGGACAAUUCCUUGACGUACCAUAAAAUGGCAUUUCUCCCAGUUCAGCACCAGAUCUUUUUCAAUGCAUCUAUGAAGAACUGCUUCCAAAUUAACCAAGCAUUCCUCAAAUGUACCUCCAUACACGGUGAUGUCAUCCAUGAAAACCUCCAUAAUUCUAUCCACCAUAUCACUGAAAAUACUCAACAUACAUCUUUGAAAUGUAGCAGGUGCAUUGCAUAAACCAAAAGGCAUUCUUCUAUAAGCAUAUGUUCCAAAUGGACAUGUAAAAGUGGUCUUUUCUUGAUCUGCCAAGUCAAUUUCGAUCUGAAAAUACCCUGAAUACCCAUCCAAGAAACAAUAGAAUGGAUGUCCAGAGACUCUCUCCAGCACUUGAUCAAUAAAUGGCAAUGGAAAAUGAUCUUUCCUGGUGACAGCAUUCAGCUUUCUAUAAUCAAUACACACCCUCCAUCCUGAAGUGAGGCGUGUAGUAAUUUCUUCCCCUUUUUCAUUUUUAACCACUGUGAUCCCUGACUUCUUUGGUACCACUUGAGUAGGACUCACCCAAGGGCUAUCAGAAAUAGGGUAGAUGAUUCCUGCUUGAAGUAGCUUCAGCACCUCAGCUCGCACCACCUCUUGUAGAUGAGGAUUCAACAUUCUUUGAAAUUGACGAAUUGGCUUUGCUUCCUCCUCCAUAUAUAUAUGAUGAGUACAAACUAAAGGACUAAUGCCUUUCAAGUCAGAUAUUUGCCAUCCUAUUGCCUUCUUACACCUCCUAAGAACUUCCAUUAAACAAUUCUCUUGAUGACUGGUCAGAGAUGAAGAUAUUACAACAGGACAUUGAUUAUUUUCUUCAAGGUAUGUGUAUUUCAGCUCCACAGGUAAAGGCUUCAGAUUGAGUUUUGGAAUUUCUUUUUCAACAGCUGCCUCCUCUUCCUUAUUGAACAAAGGUAGAAUUCCUUCUAUCUUUCUCCAACUUUGUAAAGUAGCAAGCCCAAUAGGAGAUUCAGAAAAACCUUCCUCAAUAUCCUCAAGACUUUCAUUCGACUUGUCUUGCAUAUGUUGAUUGCAGUGCUCCUCCACCAAAGUAUCGAUUAUACAUAGCUCUUCUGGACCUUCUUCUUCCUCCGGAGUGAUUUGCUUUUUAGAAAUGUAGAAAAUAUUGAGAUCCAGUGUCAUGUUACCAAAAGUGAGUUGCAUAAGCCCAUUUCUACAGUUGAUGAUUGCAUUUGAAGUUGCAAGAAAUGGCCUUCCAAGGAUGAUAGGAACUAAAUUAGCUUCCUUUACAGUAGGAUCUGUAUCAAGAACAAUAAAAUCUACUGGAUAGUAGAAAUUAUCCACUUGAACCAAUACAUCCUCAAUUACCCCUCUUGGAAUUUUCACUGAUCUAUCUGCCAGAGAUAGAGUGAUUGUUGUUGGCUUCAACUCUCCAAGGCCCAAUUGCUUGUAGACAGAGUAUGGAAGCAAAUUCACACUUGCUCCCAAAUCUAGCAAGGCUUUCUCCACUACCUUUCCUCCAAUCAUGACUGAAAUGGUAGGACUUCCAGGGUCUUUGUACUUCAAAGGAGACUUACAUUGUAAGAUUGCACUUACUUGCUCAGUCAAGAAGGCUUUCUUGUUUACAGUCAACCCUCUCUUGAUAGUACAUAAGUCCUUUAGGAAUUUUGCAUACGUUGGAACUUGUUUGAUCAUAUCCAGCAGUGGAAUAUUAACUUUCACUUGUCUCAAUACUUCAAGGAUUUCAGCUGCAUAUCUAAUCCNNNNNNNNNNNNNNNNNNNNNNNNNNNNNNNNNNNNNNNNNNNNNNNNNNNNNNNNNNNNNNNNNNNNNNNNNNNNNNNNNNNNNNNNNNNNNNNNNNNNUCUCCUCCACACAUUGUCUCGAGGAGUUGCUUCAUUGAGGAUGACAUACCAUCAUAAAAAUAGCUCACCAAUAGCUAAGUAUCAAAGCCAUGGUGAGGACAAGCAUUUAUAGCUUCCAUGUAUCUUUCCCAACACUCAUAGAAUUUCUCAUUCUCUUUAGCUGAGAAGUUUGAAAUUUGCCUUUUCAAGCCAUUUGUUCUAUGAGUAGGAAAAAAUUUCUUGAGGAAUUCAGCUUGUAAAUCAGUCCAAGAGCGGAUACUCCUUGGCCUUAAAGAAUUAAGCCAAAUUUUGGCCUUAUCCUUUAAAGUAAAAGGAAAUAAUUUAAGCUUCAUCAAAUCAAUUGAAGCUCCUCCCUCUUGGAAUGUAUUACAAACAUCUUCAAAUUCCUUGAUGUGUGCAUACAGAUUCUCACUUUCCAUCCCAUGGAAAGUUGGUAGAAGUGGAACAAGAUACGGUCUGAUCACUAUCUGCUCUGUAGGGGGCACUAUACAUGAUGGUGCACUCAUACGAGGUGGAUGCAUACGGUCCCUCAUUGAUCUGAAUUCAUUGAGAUUAUCUUGACGACCUUGGUGACUAUGCUGAUCUUCAGGUGUAGCUUCCAUGAUAUUCAAGAUUACUUCAAAUUCUCCCCUCUGAGGUGUAUCACACUUAACAAGCCUUCCUCCACUGUCUCGUAUCCACUUUGGCAUACACAACUAGUAUCUAUCUGCAACUUAAAUAAAAAUAAAGGACAACAAAAGAAACAGGGCUCCUACAACAAAAUUAAACUAAACUAAAUUUUAAAAGAUAAACUUAGAUUAUGAAUAAACAAAGAAAGAAUGAAAAUUAGUAAAGUGAAAGAAACUUUACCAACUUGUGAUGAAAAUCACAAGUGCUCAACAAUGGUAUCACUAUAAACUUGACACUGAUCAUUCCCUAGCAAUGGCGCCAUUUGAUUCGUGCCCAAUUGGUGUCUCAGCUGAUUUGUGUUCAGCUGGUGCUCCUUGAUUGAGGGAGUAAUCAACAAAAUUUAUUACCUAUAACACCAUACACUAGGGUAGCAAAGAAAAAGCUACUAUAGUAUAGUGGCUCUAGGGUCGUUCACUGGGAAUGAUUAACAAGCAAUCAAUGAUACCAAUUCCAAGUGAAUUGGUCUUGUUUCAUUUCAAGGUUAGAUUAAGAAGUAAAACACAAACUUUGAUUGGUAAAGGUUUAGACUUAAACUAACUAACAUAACAGAAGUUUGGAAUAAUUUAGGAAGAAAACAUUCCUUGGAGAGUUAGGUUCACUAGGGUGGUACCUCAUGCAAAAGACACGGCUCUGGUCAGAUGGUUCAUUUCCUUGUGUUAGAGAUUCAACAUAUAGUCAAUUCUCUAACCGGUGUUGUACAGAGACUCCUUCAAUUAGAUUUCACUUUAAUUCUCUCACUGAUGCAACUUGCAAUGGUUUAAGCCUCUCACUAAGCCUUAACCAUUCAAGGUGAUCUUUAACCUUGGAUUACCCGUCAAAAGCUCGCAAGAGAUAACUAAUGGAUGUCUCCUAGGAGUCCAAAAGCUUAUCAAGUGUUGGCUAUUCUAGAAAAUCCUACCUUGAAAUCACCUACCAGAGGCUCGCAAGGGGUAAACUAGUGCAUUUCCAGGGUUGGAAAUCACUUGCCUUACCAAGUGUUGGCCCAGGUGACUCUAAGGUGUUUUAAGUUAACUAAAAACAUAGAAAUCACUAAAGGAUUUCACUUGCUCUUCAUUAAUAGCUAAAACCACAGAGCUUUGCAUUCUUGCACUUGGAACCUUCCCCGGCAACCUUAGCUCCAAGGAAUUAGAGAUUUAGUUACUCAUUCUCUGGGGAAAACUCCUCAGAGAAUUCAUAACUUAGUAAGAAAUUGAAAAUACAAAGUGAGAAGGUAAGACAGUAGAAAGAAAAUAGACUUUACUUGCUUACCCAAACGUUUACAGAAGGCACUCCUCUCUGAGAACAGGCUCCCGAGAGGUAUAUAUAUGAACAUAAUAUAAAACUAAUUAUUACAUAGAUAUUUAGUCUUUUUACUAACUUAAAAACUAAGGAAUCAUGUAAUUGGUGGUUUACAAGGAGUAUUUUGGGAUUUAGACAACAAAAAUCUAAUAGAAAAUAUCUCCCAAUGUUGGUAGCAAAUAUCGGGAGGCUUCAGGAACCAUUUCGCAGGAGAAAAAUGGUGUCUGCGAAAUUUCGCAGACACUCAAGAGGGCUGCGAAAUUAUUUCGCAACACCAAGCUAUCUUCACAGGGCUGCGAAGUUGGCUUCCACCUUGAGGUUCCCAGCUCCCUUCUCGCGGCAUGGUUCGUGCAUCGUCAGAAGGAGAAACACCUUACUGUACAAAAAUGCUGCGAAAUCACUUCGCAACAAAAGGGUGAUUUCGCAACACUUUGCAAAAUGCUUCCUUCAGCUCAGAGUGAUUGGCUUGUAAUGAUUGCAACUUCUUCGUUUCAACUCCGAAUUGCACACCAUUUGAAGCAUUGGAUUGUUGACUUCCUGAGCUUUGAAAUGGUAUAUAGCAUGCAUCAUUUGGACUUCAGAAAGUGCUCCAAAAGUGGCUGCUACGACUGUCAUCAAGAAUAGGCUUCAUGGCAGAUUCUCUUUGCUUUUUCUCCUUGCAAUCCGAAUUCACUCUUGGCAAAUGACUUCUAAGCUUUGCCCAAGAUUCCUCAUAGCUCUCCUUAGUCUUGACUUGCUUUGGUGAUCAAAAUACUAACAAAAACACCAAAACUUGCACAAAGUGAUCAAAAUUGCUUUAAAGGAUCCUUAACAUGCCAAUUGAGUUAAAAGGCCUAAACUACUACUCAAAAGUGUUUAAAAGGAUUAAUUAUAGGCUAUCAAAUAGCACUUUUUGAGUAGUAAUCACUUGCUAUUCUUCAUGCUGCCACUUUAAUUCGAAUUUGCCCUACAACUAAUCUUGAUUGCUCACCUUUACAACUUGCUUUAGGCUCCCAACCAAACGUUUCACAUUUUCAUAUUUUUGGUUGUGUUGUCUAUUUCCCAUAGCUCUACCUCAACGUUCCAAGUUAGGACCUCAACAUCGACUUGGUAUAUAUGUUGAUUUUAAUUCUCCCUUUAUUAUCCGUUAUCUUCUCUUUUCACUUUAUAAUUUUACAACAUUUUUUGUUUUAAUCAAAAUAGUGAAUGGAGUUUGAGCCGAAUUUUAAUUAUUUGGUAAAAUAAUAAAAUUAAUUUUUAUUUAAAAGAAAAAAUAAAGUUAAGUCAAAGAUAUAAAGAUAAUUAUUUUAUUUUAAAUAUAAAAAAAAAAAGAUAAAUGAGCUACAAAUUUUAGGAUUAAUUGAUUAAAAGGGAUGAAAAGAUCCCAAAUUUGUAAACUAACCUCUUCCAUUUUUUAACUUGAAGAGUAACACAUGUUUGACAUAAAUACCCUUCAACAUUUUCAUUAUUUAUAUGUGCCUUUUAAAAGAAAAUGUUACUUUUGUAAGAAAAAAGUGAGAGUAUUCUUAUCCAAAAUGGGUAUUUUUUGGAUGAAAAAAAAUGGUUUGCAAUUUGAUAUUUCUUUCGCCCUUUUUAAUCGGUUAUCCCCAAAUUUUAUUACGGCAAAUACAAAUUCUAAAAAUAUUUGGUUUUAUUGCUAUUUUUAAAUUUAAAUAUAUUUUUACCUUAAUUUUAUUUUUAUUUCAAAAUAAUUGAUGAUGAUUUAGUUGGAUUCUAAUAUUUAAUGGAGUUUUAGUUGAAUUCUAACACUAUAAUAUAAAGUGACUCGAUAAAAUUAUAAAAUCAUUUUUAUUUAAAAAUAAAAUAAAUAAAGUUGAGUUAAAAAUAGUAUUAAAUAAAUUAAAUUUUAAAAAUAAAAAUUAAUAGUUUUAUCUUAAAUAAAAAAUAUUAAAAGAAAAAAAAUUAGAUAGAUAGGCUUUAAAUUUUAUUAAGAGAAACAUAAAUUUUUUUUAAAAAAAUUGUUUUUAUUUAUUUUCAAUUUUAAAAUUUUAUUUCUAUUUUUUAUUUAAAUCUAUUUUCAAAUUUUAUUUUAAUUUUAUCUAAAAAUAGUUAAUAGAGUUUUGGUUGAAUUUUAAGACUAAAAUAAGCGAAUAGAUAAAUUAUAAAAUGAAAUUUUUUUAUUAAAAUGAAAAGAAAGUUAAGUUAAAGAUACUAUAAAUUAUGAUUAGAAGAAUGAAAAUCAAUAAAUAAAAAAAUAGUGGUUUUAUCUUAAAUUAGAAAUAUUUAAAAAAAGAAGAUAAAUGAAUAAUAUAUUGAAAAAUAUGACUUUGUGGUAGAAGAGCAAUGACUAUGCUCUUUGGAAUACCAUAGUUUAUGUUCAUUUUUUUAAAUUUAAAAAGAAUAAACAUCUUUUAGAUAUUAACAAAAAUAAAUUUAAAAUCUUAAAAACAUUUGUUGUUGGCCAAAUAAUCCAACUAUGAGCCCUUUUAUGACAAGUGAACCUUCCAAAUCUUCUGAAGAAUUUUUUAUCUUAGUAUUAAAAUCUAAAAGCAGAAUAUAUAUACUAUGAGUUACCUUUUUAACAACUUAUUUAUUUUAUUUAAUGUAAUAAUAUACAUUAAUAUAAAUUAUAGUUGACUUGAGUUUUUUUUUUUUAAUUUGGCAUAUGCUUGUAUUACUUUGUUAGCUUGGAGGACAAAAAACCUAUACAAAUAAUUAGACGUGAAUUGUAUGUAUCAAUGAAAUUGUAAUUUUUAGAUUGCAAAAAUGAGUACAUACGUUAAUAUAUAUGAAAAUAUAUAGUGAUUAUGACAUUUGAUAACCUAUUUAUUUUGAAUGAUGGGAAUUAAACUUCGUAAAAUUUUAAGAUAGAUUGGAAGUAAAUUUUUUUGUUACUUAAAAUGUGUACAAAUUCUUCCUUGUAGUUAUGUUAUGUGUAAUAGAACUUCCAUGCACAAUCGUUUUCAUGAUUAGGAAUUGAAUUAGAGAAAUUAAAUUUUGUUGAAGAUUUUUUCAACUUUGAAAAAAUUGCAUGUGGAGGAGUUGCAUUGGCAAGGAAAUCUACACACUCAUUGAAGAGUCUAUGCCCACUUUUCCAAUCAGCCUAGCACGUUUUUUUGAAUUGAAUAACCACGGAUUGAUAUUGAUUGGAUCCAUUAUCAGUCAUUCAAUCCCAAAGCAUUCAUUUGUCAAACUCCAUGAAAUAUAGGUUUGGCCGAGUGGACAUUUCAAUACUAAACUUGUCCAAAUACAUUAAAUUGAUAUUUUUAGUAAAUAUGAUGCGUUGUCUUUUAGAUCCAAAAUGGAUAAUAUUUACAUGUUAGAGAGUCAGUCGUUGCCUUUUAUCUCUAAUCCACCCUCUUAAAUCCCUAACCCAAUCUUGGAGUACCACAGAAAGUUUAAAGAUUAUUAGUGAUUUUAUAAAGGAUAUUGACAAAAAAGAAGAUCAUUAACCACGUACUAAUCAUGUUAUUUAGUGAAUAUUCGAUCUAUUGAAUCAAAUCAUAUCUUUUAUAACAAUAGCUUAACCCUUUUCACUCUUGUACAUAACUUCGACUCAAAUGAUUUUGAAAUUAAACGUAACAUGCUAUUAAGUGAAUAUGGUCACUCAACUCAUAAAAUUUCACAAAAAGAUUAUUUAAAUUCACAUUUUCUUACAUUUUCUUAAUAACAUUUUUUUUUCUUUUCGAUGUAAAGAAAUUGCAUAAAGUUUUUUCACUUGGAGCUACUAGACAUAUUGCAUUCUCAUGGUAAUAAUUUGGGGUUAUUUAAACAUCAUCUUCAUUUAUUAAACAGAAUCAAGAGUUUCUUUAGAAUAAUCUACAAAAUUAAUUGGUAUUGAUAGAUGGGGUUUUAACUUUUAAGAAUUAGACAAAAUUUUGUAGAAAAGUUUUCCAAAUUUUAAAAGAUUUGUAUGUGGAAGUACGAUUUGAUAUGUCUCUUCCUACACGUACGUGAAUUGCAUUGUCCUUCUAGCUAGAUAUUGAUUAAUGACCACAUAAAAAACUUAUCGGCAGGCCAAACUGAUACUCACCAUGUGCCCCAAACUGAUCCAAAUUGGUUUUCAACAAUGUACAACCACUGCAUGACUUUAUGCAUGGUAGAGAAACUUUUUAAAAUGUUCUAUCAAGAAUAAUUCUACCAUAAAUUAGGAUUUCAUGUCCAACUUUUUAUUUAUUUAUUGAAAAGAUAAAAAUUUUAAAUGAAUUCAUUUUUGAGAAGACAAUUACAAAUAAUAAAUUUCUUUUAUUAAAAAAUAAGUUUAAUGUAAAAAAUAAAUUGGCCUUUCGAAUAGACAAUUUAAUUUAAAAAUAAGAUAAUAGACAUAAAUAUGGUAUUAUUAUAUUUAUUUUUCAAAUAACUAUUUUUUAAUAAUAUUUUUUGAAAAUAAUAAAGAAAAUUCCUCCAAUGACACUGGAAGUUCCGCCCUAUAAAUACUAAGGAGCUUGCCAAGCUAUUCCGCUCAUACUUGCCAAUUCAUCAUUUAGGGUGUUCUAUCAUUGUUCCAAGGAAGUAGCAUGUCUAUUCAAGUCUCAACAUGUCCUCUUGUCCAAAUUCCUAAACCCGAACACCGCCCAAGGGCAGAGUUUCACCCUAGCAUUUGGGGUGACCAAUUCAUUGCCUACACUCCCGAAGAUGAGGUAAUUCAAUGAAAAUAUGUGUCAAGAUUAAUGGUUUAUCAAUGUGUUAAUUGGUAAAAUUUGUUGGUACAGGAUACACGUGCUUGCAAAGAGAAGCAAGUUGAAGAUCUGAAAGAGGAAGUCAGAAGGGAGUUAAUGGCUGCUGCCCGUAACCCUUCCCAAUUGUUGAACUUCAUUGAUGCAGUGCAACGGCUUGGGUUGGCAUACCACUUUGAAAGAGAGAUAGAAGAAUCAUACAACAUAUUUAUGAUAGGUUUCAUGAUGCCGAUGAUACAGAUGAUAAUCUCUAUAAUAUUGCUCUUCAAUUUCGACUACUGAGACAACAAGGGUACAAUAUUUCAUGUGGUAAGAGACCCAGGAAUAAAUUAUCAUUUCAUAGGUGAAAAAUGCAACCAUCUUAUCGUACAAAGGGUGGUAUUCAUGCAGGUAUAUUCAACAAGUUCAAGGAUGAAAAAGGUAGCUUCAAGGAGGAUUUGAUCAGCAACAUACAAGGCAUGCUGGGCUUGUAUGAAGCUGCACAUCUCAGGGUUCAUGGAGAGGACAUACUUGAAGAAGCACUUGCUUUCACCACCACUCACCUCAAGGCCACGGUAGAAAGUUUAGGAUAUCCUCUUGCAGAACAAGUUGCUCAUGCCCUGAAGCAUCCCAUUAGGAAAGGUUUGGAGAGGCUAGAGGCAAGAUGGUAUAUAUCUCUCUAUCAAGAUGAAGCUUCCCAUGAUAAAACUUUACUAAAGCUGGCAAAGUUAGAUUUCAAUCUAGUGCAGUCCCUGCACAAAGAAGAGCUAAGCAAUCUUGCACGGUUGGUUUUUAAAUCACCCUUCAUGCACUCGGUCAUUCUUACAGUUGAGUGUGCUAAUUAUAUAUAUUGAUGUAUUUUAGGUGGUGGAAAGAAUUAGACUUUGCUACAAAGCUACCUUUCGCACGGGAUAGAUUUGUGGAAGGCUAUUUUUGGAUACUUGGGGUGUACUUUGAGCCCCAAUAUUCACGCGCUAGAAGAAUUUUAACCAAAUUAUUUGCCAUGGCUUCCAUUAUAGAUGAUAUCUAUGAUGCAUAUGGCACACUUGAAGAACUCCAGCCCUUUACAGAAGCCAUUGAGAGGUUUGAUACACGGAGAUUACCCAACUUGAUUGAGUAUUAUAUGUAAAUAUACUUCUAAUCAGGGUUGGGUAUUUUAUGUUCAGGUGGGAUAUUAGCAGCAUCGAUCACCUUCCGGAGUACAUGAAACUCUUCUAUGUGACACUCUUAGAUCUGUACAAAGAAAUCGACCAAGAGUUGGAGAAAGAUGGAAACCAAUAUCGGGUUUACUAUGCAAAAGAAGUAGUAAGACACCUUUAACUCUAAAUCUCCACAUUUUGCAUUAUGAUAUUUUAAUGAGUCUCAUACACAUAUAGAUAUAGCUAAAACUUGGAUGAAUGUUCUUCAGUUGAAGAGUCAAGUUCGAUCUUACUUUGCUGAGGCGAAAUGGUCCCAUGAAGGAUACAUACCUACAAUAGAAGAGUAUAUGCUUGUUGCACUCGUGACCGCAGGUUCCUGCAUACUUGCAACCUGGUCUUUCAUUGGAAUGGGAGAAAUCAUGACAAAGGAGGCCUUUGAUUGGGUGAUCAGUGAUCCUAAGAUUAUCACAGCUUCAACUGUAAUUUUCAGACUCAUGGAUGACAUCACAACACAUAAGGUAUGGUGAAUGUACAGGAAUUGCUUCCAAAGACAGGAAAUGAGUUAGUAGGGCUGUUGGAUCAAGUUGUCAGCUUGAUAUGUUAACUUAGUGAACUUCAACCCAAUCACCUAAUAACAAAAUUUUUAGGUCAAAUUUUUAUCUUUAGAGUGAGAAAAUAAUAUACUCAUGAUUUUCCUAAACUUUUUUGUUAAUAUUAUGCAUGCAGUUUGAGCAAAAAAGAGGGCAGGUGGCCUCAGGCAUUGAAUGUUACAUGAAGCAAUAUGGUGUCUCUGAGGAACAAGUGUACAGUGAGUUCCACAAGCAAGUUGAGAAUGCAUGGCUGGAUAUUAACCAGGAAUGCCUCAAACCUACUGCCGUUCCAAUGCCUCUCCUCACUCGUGUUGUCAAUCUUUCACGAGUCAUGGAUGUCAUUUACAAGGAGGGAGACGGGUACACACAUGUUGGGAAAGUGAUGAAGGAUAAUAUUGGAUCUGUGCUCAUUGACCCCAUAGUAUGACCAAAUGGAGUUAUUUAUAAUAAAUCAUUAUAAUAAGGUGUGUUAGAGAAAUCCGUAGAAUAAAAGAUCUACGGAUUAUUACAAAUGGUGUCUUAAAUACAGUUUUAGUGGUCAAGAUCUAGGACUGAGUUUUUUCUUGUUCUGUUUUCAACAACUUAAUAACAACCUGUAACAGCAAGCUAGUACUGAGAUCCUCAACUCUGAGUUUGUGUCUUAAGGCUGGAAAAUUGGAAGUAGAGAUGGCCUUUAUGAGAACAUCAGCUAUUUGAUCUUGAGAUUGCACAUGAUGAACUUCUAGCUCCUUUUGCAUCACUUUCUCUCUAGCAAAGUAGAGAUCCAAUUCAAUAUGCUUUAUUCUGGCAUGUAGUACUCGAGUGUAAGCUAACAUGAUAGUACUCAGGUUAUCAUUAGGAACCUGUAAUUCAAACAACAAUGAUUGUAACCAAGAUAAUUUUGUUGUUAAGUUGGCCAAACUGCUACACCCAUCUUGGCUUUGGACAAAAGAUCUGCUAUAUACUUAGUUUGGGAAAGAUGCAAACCUUCUGAAGUUUGCUUGACUUGUAUUCCCAAAACAUAAUCAACUAAGCCAAGAUCUUUUAGAGUAAAAUGAUCAUGGAGCUUAUCAUUCAACUUUUGUACUUUUAUGUCAUUGCUUCCUGUUACAGACUAGAUAAAGUGGAAUGUUGUGGAGUGAUGCUACAAGAGAGACUGAUCUGACUUUGCNNNNNNNNNNNNNNNNNNNNNNNNNNNNNNNNNNNNNNNNNNNNNNNNNNNNNNNNNNNNNNNNNNNNNNNNNNNNNNNNNNNNNNNNNNNNNNNNNNNNCACCAUAGGAUAAACAUUUCAUUAAAGUCAAAGCUUGCAACUUGAUAAAAGCCAAUUUUCGUUUUGUAUUGCUUCAUCAACAAAUUCAAGUUGUACAGCAGAAUAUAGACUUUAGGCUUGUAAAUGACAACCUUGGAUCUUGUAAUCAUGUUGUGUGAAUUGGUGAUAUGCAACCUGUCCUUGUUAGGUAAGACCGAAUCAAACAAGUCAGUAGCAUCAACACAAAUGGCUGAAUUAGGAAUACCAGUACAUAUAGUAGAGUCUGGAGAUUCAACUCGAUGACCAAGAGUUUCUUGAAAUUGGUUGAAAACUAGAAGAUGAAGAAGUAGAGUUGGAUGGUUUUAUAGAAGAAGAUGUCAAAAUUAGAAGUUUGGCUAGUGUGCAAUGUGAGUGAAAGUAGAGGCAGCACAGGGUUCUAUUAUAAACAACAUUUUCUCGACUUUCAUAUUAAUUUUUUUUUAAAUAUUGUAAACUCUUUGAACAAAAUUAAACAAUGAAAUAUAGAAACUCUAAUGAAACUGUGGACCCCACAUUUCGUACGAUACAUUCCCACUCGAUGUCGAGCUCAAUUUUUUUAUUUGAAAAUGAUUUUAUUUACUAAAAUAAUGAUUUGGAGUCGCCACUUAUUUUUGUUUUAUUUUUAAAAGGGCAAACAAAAUAAGAAAGAAAACCUUAAGUGUGACUCCUUAUUUUGGAAAAUGUGAUCUGUGAAAAAUCGGAUCAGGCUCGAGGGUCAGGUUACUUAUCGAGAAGGUACGGUAAAGACCGUAGCACCCCUCUAAGUCCCUAAAGUAGAGUCUCUACUAAUAAAAUGAAGCUGACGUGACAAUCAAUAGGAAAAUCAAUGGAUACUUAGGGUGAUCAUGCACAUGGGAGAAUCAAAACACUCAAUAAAGGACGACAGAAGUGAGAACGAGGCAUACCUUGGCAUCAAUCAAUCAAUGCGCUAUAAAAAAAGAGGGUUAGUAUACAAUUAAAAGAAUAAUCUCAUGCAUGUCAUAGAGCAGAAUGAAUCAAUCAUGUGUGAUAAUCAAAUCAAUCAAUCAAUCAAUCAUAAAAUCACUUAUGUAAGGCCCCCACCGAAGCCCGUUUAUUUUGCAUGAAUUAAUGUCACAGAUUCCAUUAUUCUGGAAUUAUGAAAAAUUCAUUCAUGCUUAUUAAAAUCAAGAGGAGCGGAAGAUUGUUUGAAAACCAGAGUGGAAUUAAAACUAUUUGAGAGAAAAUUGGAUUUUUGAAAUUUAUUCGAAAAAUUUGAGUCUCGAAGAUUACUUGAAAAUUGGAGUUUUAGAGUUUAUUUGAAGAUCGGACUUUUGGAAAUUAAAUGUGAGAAUGAGAAUUUUAGAAAUUACAUUUUGAAAGAGAUUGAAAUUUUGAAAAUGAUUUGAGAGUUCGGGAUUUUUUUAAAAAAAAUUAAAUUACGAAAAUUGGGACCUUGGAAAUUAAAAUUUGAAAGAAAUCAGAAUUGAAAGUUAUUUGAGAAGCAUAAAUUAUGGAAAUUUAAUUAUAAAAAUUGGAAAUCUUGGAAAUCGCUCGAAGGUAGAAUUUUUAGAAAUGAAUGAAAAUAAUAAUAAUAAUAAUAAUAAUAAUAAGUAACGAAAUAAAUGCGAGAAUUGGAACGUUGGAAACUGGAAAUUAAGUUUGGAGAUGGGAAAAUUGGAAUUUCAAAUAACUAAAUUUAGAAAUCGGAAUUUUGAAGAAUUAGAUUUUAAUAAUUGAGAUUUUUAAGAGAAAUAAAUAGGUAAAUAUGGAAUAAUGUUACUAAUUAAUCAAAACGAUAUUUGAAUGGAUGAAAGUGAAUAGUGAGAUUUUUGAGGUUGGAAAUUAAAUUUGGGUGAUUAAGAUAUUUUAAAAGAAACAAACAGAUAAAUAUAGAAUGAUGUUACUAAUUAAUCAAAAACAAUAUUUGGAUGGAUGAAAGUGAAUAGUGAGAUUUUUAGUUGAAAAUUAGAUUUGGAAGUUAGAUUUUUGAUGAACUUUAAUGAUUGGAAUUUUUUUAAAAGAAAUGACUAAAUAAAUAAAUGGAAUCGUAAUAAUAAUGACCAAAAUAAUAUUUAAACGAACGAAAGUGAAUAAUAGAAUUUUUGAGAUUGAAAAUUAAAUUUGGAAGUCAUAUUUUUUUAAGAAUUGAGCUUUAAUGAUUGGAAUUUUUAAAGGAAAUAAAUAAAUGGAAUAAUGCUAAUAAUAACGAAAAUAAUAUUAAUUAAAUAAAUAAGUGUGAAAAGUUGGAAUUGGAAAUUGAAAAUCGGAAUUUUGAAAAAUUGUUUAAAGAUGGGAUUUUUAAAAAUAAAUAAAUAAAUAGAACGAAAAAUUAUUUAAGGGUGAAAUUUUAAAGUGAAUAAAUAAAUAGAAUAAUAAUAACGAAAAUAAAUAAUUAAAUAAAUGAACGUAAAUAUUAGAAUUUUGAAAUAGGAAAUUGAAUUCAGAGGUCGGAAUUUUGAAAAAUUGUUUAAAGAUGAAAUUUUAAAAUAAAUAAGUGAAUGAAUAAAUAGAAUAAUAAUAACAAAAUAAGUAAUUAAAGAAAAGAACGUGAAUAUUAAAAUUUUUGAAACAGGGAAUUAAAUUCGGAAGUCGGGAUUUUGAAAAAUUGUUUAAAGAUGAAAUUUUAAAAUAAAUAAGUGAAUGAAUAAAUAUGAAAAAUUUUUUAAAGAUGGAAUUUUAUUUUUAUUUUUAUUUUAUUUUAAUAAAAGAAAAUUAAAUUUGAAAAUAAUUAAAUUUUAGGAAGUCAAAGUUUUGAAAACUAAAUAUUUUUUGUAAAAAAAAAAAAAAGGAGUUUUUGAAAAAUUAAAUUAAAAUUGGAGCUUUGAGAAAUUAAAUUAAUAUUGGAGUCUUGAAAAAUUACCUUGAAAUUAAAAUUUUGGAAAUGAAAUCUUUGACAUAAGAAAUCGGAGAAAACUAAGGAAGUAAUAACAAUAAUAAUAAAAAGGAAAUGGCCACACCAAACGUGUACAGCAAGUCCAUAAGGAAUAAACAAAUGAAAAGAAAAAAAACAAGCCCAUUCUCCAAUGCACCUCUCUGCCAUACCCACAAUAGCCAUUCACUUAAUGCCCUGAGGAUACUCCAUUUCUUUCCUCUGUUUUCCUCUGUUUUCUCUCAGUUUCUCUCCGAAUCACAGUCAUUCAAGUAUAAAAUAAGACGCCGAUCAAUAAGAUCAUUCUUAAAGUUGACUUGACAGAGCAAGAUUUCCUUAUCAGCUCCCACGAGGAAUUAUUGCUUGGAGAAGAAUCAAGGACAGCUUUGUAUGCAGGAUUUGACAUGGCUGUAGCAGCUAAAACACCAACAAGCUCACCAGCAGGGAAGAAACGCUGGGGGUUAAUUCUAGUCUUCACUCCAUACUCAAAUUGGAUAAUUGAAUUGCUACAAACAUUCCUCACUGUACCAUCAUAACAGAUAACAACAUCUCGAAGAAUAGCCAUUAAGUUUUUAGACAAGGUUCUUGGUUCAGACAAGCCCCUUGAUGAUCGUACAAUUAUUUCUCUUGUGGAAAUUGAAUGGACCAUUUCCUCAUAAGGAUAAAAAUACAUGGGCAUGAUCUCCAAAAAAAAAAACAAUUGCAGUGAUGAAUCUACACUCAGAACAUUCCAAAACGAAAAAUAAAAAUGCACAAGUAGUCUUCAAGUGUCAAAGGAAUCCACAAAUGACAAGAAACAGAGGAGAACAGUUCAAAAUGGGAAAAGUAAAAAAAAAAAAAGGCAGAAACCAUACCUAGACUAAAAGAAUAAGGUCGAAUGGAUCUUCUGAUUCUCCUCAACUUCCUCUCCUCUCUGUCUCGUUCCCCCCUGCACCUUCAAGCUCCCUCUUGACUUUUUCUUUUCACCAAAAAAAAACUCUGUUUUUUUCUUCCUUGGCAAGCCACUACUUGCUUUCCUAUUCAUCCCUCAGCAAGCAUGGCAUUUUUAACCACCAGCAUGGCCGCCAUCUCCCUCUUGCUGCUACCUGUCCAAUGCAGCUGCCUUCCAUGCAUAGGGAGGUCCCCCCCUACUUAAACAAUGGAUGGAAAAUUUCUCCCCCGGGUGGUGCAAAACAAAUGAAAUACAAAACCUUGGUCUUUGAAGGGGUCUACAGAAACCUAAAAAAUAACUUUUGACUUCUCCAAAAUUAAUUCAAAUAGGAGCUACAAGUAUAUUUAAUAAUAACUUUUGGAAAGUUUAAAGUUGUAACUUAUUAUUCGAACUAUUUUCCUUUCUAAAAAAAGGGAAAAAAGAAUAAAGAAAAACAAAGAAGAGGUUGUUUUUGAAGAAAUUUAAAAAUCAGAGAGUUACUUGGAGUGACUUUUUAAAAUGCCACCAAAAUAUUAUUUUGAUUUAUAUCUAAAUACUAACUCACAAUCCACAAAACUCAAAAAGUAUCCCUAAUAGAAGAUAUUAUCAAUAAAAGGGUUGAUGAUAAACACUCAUAUUUAUCAUUUGGAUUUGCAUAUCUAUAGGAUAAACACUCAUAUUUUUCUUCUCUAUUUUAUUUUUAUUAUUAUUUAUUUUCUUUCUUUCCUUUCUCUUUAUCUUCUUAUAGUUUUUAUUUAUUUUAAAAAGCUAUUAUUUUUGUAAAUUUAUAAAAAUUUUAAAAUAAUAUUAUUGUAAUCAUUACCUUUAAAAAAUAUUAAUUAUUAUAUUUCUUAAUUAACUUCUUUGAAAAAAAAAUAGAACAUAAGAAUGAAAGAUAUGUGAUUUUUAAAAGUAUUUUUUGAGGAUUAUAUCUUUUCCCAAGUUUUUAUCAAAUAAAUAAAUAAAAUAUGAAAACAUAUCAUAAUUAUUUUUUAAAAAUCUCUAUAAAAUUAUUUUUAAGAAAAAUUUUAUGAAACUUUAUGUUUUCAAGAAAAAUAAUUUAUUGUUAAGAAUAACUUAAAGAUAUAAUUAUUAUUACAAUAUAAAAAAAAAAAGUAUUGCAGGAUAUCGGGGAAAGUUCUUACUUCUUAGAUGCAUAUAAAUAUUCUUAAUUUUAAAAUUUAUAUUUUAGGGCAGGGGGGGAAAUUACGUGUCUGAAUGAAUUUCUGUGAUUUUCGUUUUACCCAAACAGGUUAGUGUUACCAUUUACCAUUUAGGGAUUUUCUUUCUUACCAAACAGGACAGGGAAAAGGACUGUUAAUUUCCGAGGGUUUGUGGGUUAGAAAAGCACUGUAGGGAUUCGGCAACCACAUCACCGCCAAUCAUCGCCGCCACAGUCAUUCACCAAGGCAACGCACCAUGUCGAGGUAAUUUGUGUGUCUUCUCCUUUCUUCUUCUUCUUUCUAUAAAUGGAUUGAGUGGGGAUGUCUGGGAGAGCCAGAGAAAAGGGAUUUGGAUCUGGACCCAUGGCCAUUUUGGAGGUCCAAGGGCCAAACCGACUUUCCCACCCUGUUUGGUUUGAUCUCAGUUUUACCGUUUGAUUUAAUAACGGUAGCCUUCUGAUCUGAUGAAUUUGAAGCUCAGUAAAGUUAUGCGUAAUUUUUCAGAAAUUUAGUGGUUUAGCAAUGAUAUAAUUACACCCCUUUUCGUUAUAGUGAAAAUCAUUUGGUAGAUAUGUGAUUUCUUUACUCUGAAAACUGUGGUUUAUGUGAUAGGGUUUUUUAAGAUUUAAUGAAAAAUCGAAACUCCAAUAAAUGAUGAGUGAUUUUGAAGAAAUGUGGUCGUUUAACAUGUGAUUUGAUGAUAACCCUUUGAUUAUAUUAUAAACCAUGGAUGGGUUUUGUUGAUAAAGGAUAUGAUUGCAAUGAAAACAGUGAUUUAAUGUGAGUUGAGUGUGAGCUUUGAUUUAAUAUCCAUGCACACAAUAACAUGAUUUAACAUCCAUGCACACAAUAACAUGAUUUAAUAAACUUAUAAACCCAAUCAAAGGCCUCUUUUAUUAUCAUUUCUCCUCUUCCAAAUGAAAGAGAGGGUUGUGGCUAAGCUUACUCGUACAACUUGCAUAUAUUCCUCUAUGGUAGGUACAUGUCCUUCAUGGAACCAUUAUGCUUCGUCAAAGUAAGAGUCAACCUGAAUUUUCAUCUCACAAACAUUCCUCAAUGUUACGUACUUGUGCAUAUGCUUUAAUUUUUUGCUUGAUUCACCUACAUAACUCAAACUUAACACAUUUUUUCACGAGAUCAGAUUGAAUAUAAGUGUAUUUAAGUUAAAUUUAUAUUAACCUACGUAAUCUAUUGACUAAAUAAGUUGUUUUAUACUAACCUGUAUAACACAAAUUUAAUCCGAAUUGAUCUAAUUAUAAGUUCAAUCUAUUUAAUCUGAUUAUUUAAAAUUUGAUUUUGAUAAAUAAAUCAAAUGAGUUAAACAAGUUAUAUGGUGUAUUAUAUGUCGAAUAAUUAGGUUAUGCUUGGGUUUAUGUUUUGAACCCAAUUAUUAUCUGUAUUAUAUUUAAGUUGAUCUGUUUAGUCGAAUGUCUGGCCACUACGGAACACCAUCAAGUAAAAAUGGCACUUACCGCUUCUUUUGCAUAGUGGAAGCAAUUUGCUUUUCCUUCUUUGUCCAUCUCUUCCUCAAUUUCUUUGUAGACAUCUAAGAGUACCUGAUAGAUCACUUCCAUGUAUUCUGGCGGUUGACUGUUGCUUUCAUCCCACCUGAGGAUAAAUGAACAUCCAGGUCUUGAUUAGGUUUAAAUCAACGCAAGUACAUAUUUCAAAAUUGUGGACAAAAUCAAGGUGGAUUAUUUGCAGAGAAGAAACCUCUCAAUCACUUCUGCAAAAAGCUUAUGUUCUUCGAGUGUACCAUAUGCAUCAUACAUGUCAUCUAUAGUGGAUAUUAUGGAAAGUACUUCGGUCUUGAAUAUUGGGGCUCAGAAAACAUAGCAAGCACAAAGAAGUAGCUUUCCACCAGUCUAUCUCGAGCAAAUGGUAUCUUCAUGCCAAGGUGUAACGACCCGCACCCAACCAUGUAGAUAUUGUUCGCUUUAGGCCCAAGGGGGCCCUCACGGCUUUAAAACGCGUCUACUUGGUUAAGAGGAGCCUCUACAUAUAUAGCGCCAGGAACUUGCUCCCCUAUCCGAUGUGGGACAUNNNNNNNNNNNNNNNNNNNNNNNNNNNNNNNNNNNNNNNNNNNNNNNNNNNNNNNNNNNNNNNNNNNNNNNNNNNNNNNNNNNNNNNNNNNNNNNNNNNNGAGCCUCUACAUAUAUAGCGCCAGGAACUUGCUCCCCUAUCCGAUGUGGGACAUUACAAAUACCUCCCCAUGCAGACACAACGUCCUCGUUGUGUCCCAUGGGAUUGCGGGGCCAAACAGACAGACACCCCUUACGGAGCCAAACAAACCCCCACACCGGGGUCGGGGAUCGGCUCUGAUACCAUUUGUAACAACCCGCACCCAACCAUGUAGAUAUUGUCCGUGAAGGCCCAAAUUGUAAUGUCCCACAUCGGAUAGGGGAGAAUGUUCCUAACGCUAUAUAUGGAGAGACUCCUCUUAACCAAGUAGACGCGUUUUAAAGCCGUGAGGGCCCCCUUGGGCCUAAAGCGGACAAUAUCUACAUGGUUGGGUGCGGGUCGUUUCACAAGGUCUAGUUCUUUAUGCCACCUAAAAUAAAUUAACAUGGUUAGCAAUAAGAGAAAGAUUGCUCAGCUCUUCCUAGUGCAGUGACUGCACCAGGUUGAAGUCUAACUUCGCCAGCUUCAGCAAAGCUUUAUCAUGCGAAGCUUCAUGUUGGUAGAUGGAUAUAAACAACCUCGCCUCUAGUCUGUUCAAACCUUUCCUAACGGGCUGCUUCAGGGAAUGAGUAACUUGUUCUGCAAGAGGAUAUUCUAAAUGUUCUACGACCGACUCAAGGUGAGUGGUGGUAAAGACGAAUGCUUCAUCAAGUAUUCCUUCUUCAUGCACUCGGAGAUGUGUGGCUUCAUACAACCCUAGUAUGCCUCUCACAUCAUUGAUCAAAGAUUCCUGGAAGCCCCCUUUUUCAUCCUUGAACUUGUUGAAUAUAUCUACAUUUAUUCACAGAAAUAUGAUAUAAAAGCGUUCCAGAAUAAGAUUGUGAUGAUGUUAUUAAGAUUUCAUUUUACCUAAUAGAUGAUAGUUCAUCCCUUACCACAUGACAUAUUGAAUCCUUGUUGUCUUAGCAGUCAAAAUUAAAGAGAAACAUUGAAUCAAUCAUCAUCUUUAUGAUCAACAUUAUAAUAGAUAUCAUAGAUAUGUUGCAAUGCUUCUUCUAUCUCUCUUUCAAAGUGGUAUGCCACCCCAAGCGGUUGAAUUCGAUUAAAAUAGUUCAAAUGUUGUGUGCGGGUUACCAGCAGCAGCCAUUAGCCCUCUUCUCACUUCCUCUUUCAAAUCUUCAGCCUGCUGCUCUUUAUGGCCACGGGCUAUCUGCAUGUACAGCGAAAUUGCAUACACAAACUAUUGUUUAGAAAAACAUUGGAUGGUUAAGAUGUGUUAUAUGUGUAUAUAUAUAUGUCAGAAAUUACGUCAUCAGCUAGAGUGUAGCUAACGAACCUCUCACCCCAUAUGCUAGGGCCAAAAUCUGCCUUUGAAACCCGUAACCCCAAUUUCUAGAGUGGGAGUUCUCCUAGGUUUCUUACCUAUUAUAGUUGGAUAAGGCUUGUCUUUUGCUGAAAGGCAAAAGAUAUCUGAAAAAAUAAGGCUUACAUUAUAAUAGUGAUGCAAUUCUUCAAUUUGGUUUAAGAUAAUAGUUCCAAAGUCUGUAGUCAAUUUCAAGUAAAUUGGUAACUAUACGAUUAUUGUAUCCACAUAUGCCUAUAAUAAUGUGUUAUUAACAUUUGAUAUAUAAAAAAUAGUAACAACAACGAUAUAUAUAAAGAAGUUUGAGGAAUACAUUAUAUAUGCAAGAGAAUGAAAUAGUAGAAGGCUUUGAGGAAUUAUCAUUGUUGUAGCUAGGAAAUAUACAUACAAGGGUGAGAAGGAAAUAAAUUGCUUUAGCUCAAUUUUAAUUAUGGUGAGUUUGAUAGUUAUUUUAGAAAGUGUUUUUAAUAUUACUAACACUUAAAAUUUUUUAUAUUUCAAAUAUUAGAAAGGUUAUAAAUGCUAUCUAAAAUUACUGUCAAACACACUCUUAAUCAAUUGAAUUAUGCUGAUAUAAAUGAAGAGAAAUAAACGGUGUUUCUAUUUUAUAGACCAAACAGUGGCUAAAUGGUUAUGUGAACAUAUACUAAUAGUUAAUAUUGGUCCCUUGAAUGUAUAAUUUGGUGGAAGGAAGACCAAUUGCAAUAGCUAGUCUUGCAUUGUCAUAUUGGUCUCAAAUGGCGAGCGGGUGAUUUAGUUGGUUAUGGAAAUAGUUGUGUAUGUGAUAUUUUAUAUCGGGUAGAGGAAAAAGUUCUCAAUACUAUAUAAGUAUCAAUUUCUCUUAACUCUAUAGAUGCGUUUUAAAGUUAUGAAAGUUUCUUUAGACUUAAAGUGGAUAAUAACUACAUUGUUGGGUGUGAAUAAUUACAAAUGGUAUUAAAACUGAUCUUCUACUCUAGUGUGAGGGUUUGUUUGAUUCAAUUGGAGGUGUUUGUCUAGUUGACCCUAUAAUUUUAUGGGACAUAAUAAGGACAUCGUGUCCCAAAGUGGACAAUAUUUAUACGACUGGGUGUUGAUCUAUCAGUGCUCCUCAAGAUGGUGAAGAUCAUGCAAUGCAUUGCUAGCUUGAAGCAAAAUUCCGUGAGAACCUUUAUUUCUUGGUGAGGGCUUGGUAAGAAUAUCCUAUACAUUUGAUACUUGAUUCAACGAACAUAUCAUUUUCCAUGUUGUAGUUGAUUAUACAUUUUGAUAAUUGGUUCAAUGAACUUCAUCAUUUUCCAUGUUUUUGUCUAUAUAUUAUACAUUUCAUUAUUGAUUCAAUGUUGUACAACUUUGAUAAUAUAAGAAGACUAGUACCACUUUGCAGUGCCUCGUAGCAUGCUAUAUGUGAGCGGAUGUGAAGUUUGGGAAAAGUCCAAGGGAAAGGAAUCAAAAGUCAAAACGGGAAGAAAAGUAAGCGAAAAGAAAGUGGGAAGGAAAAUGAAAUUAAAUUCAGGGAAUAUGGAAUUAGGAUUGGAAAAUUUUCCAUUUUAAUUAAAAUCAAAAUCCAUUCUUUGAGGAUUUGAUUCUUUUCUUUCAUGUUGUGAUUUAUGUAUUCCAAUUUUCAUUUCGUUUUAUACCAUCAGUAGCUGCUCAAUAAUUUUAUUUAUUUUUUCUAUCGGGGUUCUUUCAUUUUUCAAAAGAAUGAAAAAAGGUGUAAAUAUGAUGUAUUUUUCUUUUAUUUUCUCUCCACUACUUAAAACCGAUACAAGAAAAAAAAAACAUCUUUAAAUAUAAUUUUUUUUUAAAUUGUAUUUAUUUUUAUGAAUUUUUUGAACUUUUUAAAAGUUUUUAAUUAAGCAAAUAGAUUUCAAAUAAAAUAAUGCUUAAUAUAAAAUUUUAUUAAUUUUUAAAAAUAAUUUCAAAAAAAAAAAAUCAAUUCAAUUAGUAUUAAAAUAUCAUAUAACUCAAAACGGAUAAAAUUAACACUAGAAAAUCACAACCCUAAGUUCAUUCUAAAUCCCUUUGCCAAUUAUUUUAUAUAAUCAUAAUUUUGUGAUUUUUUUCACUAGUUAAAAAAUUUCAAAUUAAACAAAAUGUAAGACAAUAAAUUCACUAACCAGUUUAAUAAUUUUUAAAAAUAAUUUAAAAUUCAAAUAAUGAUUCAAUAAAUACCAUAAAUAUAUUAACAAAAAUUGAUAUAAAAUAACUUUAUUUUUUUGUUUUACAUAAAACUAAAUUUUUGUGACUUUGUACACUUAAAAAAUAAACUUCAAAUCAAGCAAAUCUCUAUAUUAAAUUUAAUGAUAAGUUUAAUGAUUAUAUAUAAAAAUACCAUUAAAUGUUUCACUACAAAAGAUUCAUUACAUGUAUGAAUACAAUUUUACUAUUUUUCUUGUACACAAAACAAUAUUUAAAGUAAGAUAUAAUUAAUGUUUUAAAUUCUUUACUGAGUUCUUUUGAUUUUUAAAAAUAAUUUGGAAUUCAAAAAACUGGUUAUAAAGAUUAAAAAAAAUAAAUUAUAGAAUACUUAAUUGAGUAUUAAAUAUGUGCAUAUAAUAAAAAAAAAACUUAGUUCAUGUAUAGGUUCAAAAAUUAAACUUUAUUUGUUUUUAAAAUUUAUUUAAGAUAAAAUAAUAUUAAUAAAUAUGAAUUAAAUUAUUAUUAUUAAAUAUUAUUUAUUUGUACUUACAAAAUAUUUUUUUUUAAUAAGAUUUGAAUUAAAUUCAAUUUACAUUACAUAAGUUGACUUGAUAUGUUUUUUAUAAAAUAAAAUAAAAACAUUUUUAAAAAUAAUUUACCCAAAUGAGUAUUUUAUUUUUUAGAAAGUGUAUAUAAAAUCAACUUACAAAAGGAAUCAAAAUACUUCUUAUAAAAGAUUAAUUGAAAUCUCAUCACUUGAUAGUGAUAUUUCAUUUCUAUAGGAAUAAUUUUUUAUUUGAGUGAAAACAUGAGGGUGAAGGAGAAAAGGAAUAUGAUGUUGAUUUGUGUAAGCCAAACAUUGCCUAAUUGUAAUCAACCAUUUCCCAUCUUAUUCAUUGCAUAAUUGUACGCCAAACAUUACCGAAGAUUGCAAGCUAUCUUAUUCAUAUAUUGAGUGCUUGUGUACUGAGUUACAGUUCUCGUUACCAGCAACAUGUCUACUGAUUACUCAGCCUGUUCUCCAGCCCCAGAUGCUAAUCCAGAGACUAAUCGCCGGGCUGCAAAUUUUAACCCUAGCACGUGGGGCAAUAGUUUCAUCAUGACCAACUCUCCUGAUGAUGAGGUAAUUUUGUGAUAUAUGAAGUUUGCACAACCAUCUAAAGAUUUUCUUAAUUUUUGUUCUUGAAAUUUAUUGAUGCAGAUAACUCUUGCCCAUAAAGAGCAACAGUUGGAAGAUCUGAAGGAGGAAGUGAGAAGAGAGCUAAAGGCUGCAGCUGGUGACCCUUCAAAACAGCUGAAGUUUAUCGAUGCAGUUCAACGGCUUGGGGUGGCAUACCACUUUGAAAAGGAGAUUGAAGAAGCAUUACAAAAUACCUAUGAUAACUAUCAUUGCAUUGAUGACAUAAAAUGAUGAUCUCUAUGAUGUUGCACUUCGAUUUCGACUACUAAGACAACAAGGCUUCAAUAUUUCAUGUGGUAAGCCUCAUGAAUAUCAUGUAUUAUAAGGUGCUUGAAUAUCAUCUAGCAAAGCUCACAUAUAACAUUCUAUGUUUUGGUGAUGAUUACAGAUAUAUUCAACAGGUACACAGAUGAAAAGGGAAGGUUCAAGGAGUCUUUGAUCAAUGAUGCAUGUGGCCUACUAGGCUUGUAUGAAGCUGCACAUCUCAGGGUGUGGGAAGAAGAUAUACUAGAUGAAGCACUUGCUUUCACCACCACUCACCUCAAGUCUAUGGUGGAACUUUUAGAAUACCCUCUUGCAGCACAAGUCACUCAUGCUUUAUACCGGCCCAUUAGGAAAGGCUUAGAGAGGCUAGAGGCAAGGCCUUACAUGUCUAUUUACCAAGAUGAAGCUUCACAUAGUAAAGCUUUACUGAAGCUUGCAAAGUUAGAUUUCAACCUACUUCAGUCACUGUACAAGAAACAGCUAAGCAAUAUCUCGAGGUUAGUUUUCAAAUCGUGUAUGAACUCAAGUUCAAACAGUUUACUAGGUCCUUUAUGUGAGUUAAUGUAUUUUCUCAGGUGGUGGAAAGACCUAGAUUUUUCUUCGAAACUACCUUUUGGAAGAGAUAGAGUGGUGGAAUGCUACUUUUGGAUAGCAACAGCUUGUUUUGAGCCCCAGUAUUCAUAUGCUAGAAGAAUACAGACCAAAAUACUCGCUCUGAUAACAAUUAUUGACGAUAUGUUUGAUGCAUAUGGGACACUGGAAGAACUGGAGCUCUUUACAGAGGCAAUUGGGAGGUUUGAUAUAUGCAAAAUUUACCCACAUCCAAUGAUUUAUUUUAUUUUAUUUUAAUUUUUAUAUGUUUGAACUUUAAAAGGGAACUUGGUACUUGAUUUUCAGGUGGGAUGUUAACAGCAUAUAUCAGCUUCCGGAAUACAUGAAGCCAUGCUAUCAGGCAGUCUUGGAUGCCUACAAAGAAAUUGAGCGGAUGGAGAACAAAGAAGAUCAUAUUGUGUUCACUAUGCAAAAGAGGCAGUAAGGGUCUGAGUUCUAUCUGUGCCCCUAUAACAUGUACUGCACACUAGAGUAAUUAUUUGUUGGCAAUGGUUGAACAUAUUUCAGAUGAAAAGGUCUGUUCGAGCUUACUUCAAUGAAGCCAAAUGGCUACAUGAAGACUAUGUACCUACGAUAGAAGAGUACUUGAGUGUUGCACAAGUUACCUCUGAGGUCACCUUGUUCACUGUCAUCUGCUUUGUUGGAAUGGGAAGGAUGGCAACCAAAGAGGUCUUUGAAUGGGUGUGGAAUGACCCAAAGAUCGUCGGAGCUUCCUCCAAAAUUAUGAGGCUCAUGGAUGAUAUGGCUUCACACAAGGUACUAUGUUAUAUUACAUAUCGCAAAGACAACGGGAUCUUUAUAAGAAUUUAAUUACCUUUUUGGUAAACAUUUCCUGUUGGUUUUUGUGUAGUUUGAGCAAGAGAGAGGACAUAGCGCAUCAAGUGUUGAAUGUUACAUGAAGCAACAUGGUGUCUCAGAGCAGCAUGCAUACCAAGAGCUUAACAAGCAAGUCGAGAAUGCAUGGAAAGAUGUAAACCAGGGCUGCCUUAGACCUCCUGCUAUUCCAAUGCCUCUCCUUACACGGGUUCUUAAUUUCGCACGCACCGGGGAUUUCAUGUACAAAGGCCGUGAUGAUAGGUUCACGAAUGUUGGAGAUGUGAUGAAAGAUAGUAUUGCAUCACUGUUCAUAGACCCUGUGCCAAUAUGAGCCUGGAGAUUUGCAAUAGGCUUUCUGGCUUCUGUUUUAUAAUUAGCCCUUCUAGUUUGGGGUCUAUGUUGGAGAGUAUGAUAUACAUAUAUAUAUUAUGAUAUCAAUGCUAUACAAAAUUCUCAACCAUAUUAAGGCAAUGACAAAGUCACAGUGGGAAAUGGUAAGAAUCUGUUAAUCACACAUGUUGGAUCCAAGACACUACAUUCUCAUCACCAAGCUUUUCAUCUAAAAACCAUCUAUCACGUUCCUCAGCUUACCACAAACCUCAUCAGUGUAUGAAAGUUUUGUUCAGAUAAUCACAUAUUCAUUGAAUUCCAUCCUACUUUCUUUUGUGUCAAGGACCAAGCCACCAAGAAGAUUCUGAUCCAAGGCACUAUUGAACAUGUGCUCUACAAAUUUCCUAGCUCUUCUCUUCCACCAUCAUCUUCCUCCAUGGCUCUCACUGCUUAGUCUACUGCUGACAUCUCCCUAUGGCACCAAAGGUGUUUUCCUAGCUCUUCUCUUCCACCAUCAUCUUCCUCCAUGGCUCUCACUGCUUAGUCUACUGCUGACAUCUCCCUAUGGCACCAAAGGUGUGGUCACCCGACAGCUCCAAUAUUAAGACAUAUCCUAACCUCAUGUAAUGUUCCUUAUUCUACAAACAAGUUCAAUCAAAUUUGUUGUGCUUGUCAGCUUGCUAAAAGUCACAAGCUACUGUUGUGGAAACUCCUGCCUUUCCUGCACCUCUUCAAUAUUCUUCCCUACCACCUCUAUCUCCUAGUUCCAAUUCCCUACCACCUGCCACUACAUCAUCUAUCCAGUUUCUACCUCCUCUAAUUCAGGAUCCCUCUACUGCCUCCCCCACCUCUGCUCCACCCUUACCUUCCUUCCUCAAUACUCAUCCCAUGGUAACCCGUUCAAGGCAGGCAUCACAAAACCCAAGGCUCUUCUUGCAUCUACUCCCACUAAACCCUACACUUUUCGACAGGAUAUUAAGGAUCCUCAAUGGCAACUGGCAAUGGAUGUUGAAUAUCAAGCUUUACUCCGUAAUAACACUUGGUCUGUGGUUCAUCUCCCUUAUCAUGGGAAUAUUAUUGGAUGCAAAUGGGUGUUUCAAUAUUGAUCGUCACAAGGCUUAUCUUGUGGCCAAGGGUUUCACCCAAACUCAGGGAAUUGACUAUUUUGAUACCUUCGAUCAGCCCUAUAGUGAAGUCGACCACCAUUCUUAUUGUUCUCACCCUUGCACUUUCAUCCCAAUGGUCCAUUUGACAACUGAACAUUCAAAACGCAUUUCUAAGUGGUGACCUUCAGAACCAGGUCUUCAUGCAACAACCCCUUGGCUUUGUUCAUCCUCAACACCCAUCUUACGUCUGCUAUCUUCACAAAACCCUUUGUGGUCUUAAAAAAGCUCCAAGAGCUUGGUUCCACAAACUCAAUACCUCUCUUACCACUUGGGGAUUUGAAUCUUCUUGCGCAGACACCUCUUUAUUCUUCAAACAUGCCACAUCUGAUGUUCUCAUUCUUGUCUACGUUGAUGACAUCCUCGUCACUGGUAGUUGUGCCUCUCAGGUUACCUUUUUUAUCUGUCAGCUCNNNNNNNNNNNNNNNNNNNNNNNNNNNNNNNNNNNNNNNNNNNNNNNNNNNNNNNNNNNNNNNNNNNNNNNNNNNNNNNNNNNNNNNNNNNNNNNNNNNNGUAGUUGUGCCUCUCAGGUUACCUUUUUUAUCUCUCAGCUCAGCUCCACCUUUGCUCUUCGUGACCUUGGUUCCCUUUACUAUUUCUUUGGCAUUGGGGUUACUCACAGUACUGAUUCUCUUCAUCUCUGCCAACAAAAGUAUGUGCAUGACCUACUCACUGAUAACCAAACAGACUCUACCCAAACUGCUACCCGAACUGCCCCUCAUUCUGUUGUAACUAAGCAACUGUGUAACCCAACUAAACAACUGUGUAACCUCUCCAAACCCACCCUAACUGAUCACUGUACUGAGCCUAUAAAUACCGGUGUCAAUGUAAUCUUGAAAUAACGAGAAAUAAUUCUCUUUUCUCUCUUCUGCAUAUUUUCUUCUCAGCUACACAAGCUUAGCUGUCAUGGUAUCAGAGCAAGCCCUGUCUUCCACUUGCACAGGCUCCCUUUUCUCAUGCCAUGCUUGCUGCCGCACCAGAUCAUCAAGAUUCUUGGUUCUUUGACACUGGUGCAACUCACCACCUUAGUCAUUCUGCUCAAACUCUCUCUUGUGUUCAGCCAUAUUCAGGUACUGAUCAAGUCACAAUUGGUGAUGGCAAUUCGUUACCCAUUCUUAACACAGGUACCAAGUCAUUCUUCUUCCCUUCCAAGACCUUUUCCUUAAAUCAAGUUCUUCAUGUACCUCAUCUUUCCACCAAUCUCAUCAGUGUCUCCAAAUUCUGCACAGAUAAUGCUGUUUUCUUUGAGUUUCAUUCCUCCUGUUUCUUUGUCAAGGAUCAGGUCACCAAGAAGAUUCUUCUCAAGGGCUGGCUUAGGGACGGUCUGUAUGAGUUCUCCUCCUCAUCUCCUCCUCAUGCGUUUGUGACCACAGGCUCAUUUUCUGAUGGUGCAAUUUGGCAUUCCCGUCUUGGACACCCAGCAGUUCCUAUUCUUUCUAAGGCUUUAGCCUCUUGUAAUCCUUCUGUUACAUUACAGAUUAAUAAAAUUGCUCCAUGUAUCAUUUGUCCAUUGGCUAAGUCUCAUUCCUUACCUUAUUCUUUGUCAUCUUCUCAUGCCUCUCACCCCUUAGCCCUCAUUCACACUGACUUGUGGGGACCUGCUCCUUCUACCUCUAUAACAGGAGCCCGUUACUUUCUUAUUUUUAUUGAUGACUAUUCCAGGCAUACCUGGAUUUAUUUCCUUUCCACCAAGGACCAGGCUCUCCAAUCUUUUAUUACCUUCCGCAAGAUGGUAGAAAACCAGUUACAAACCACCAUCAAAUGCAUUCAGUCUGAAAAUGGUGGAGAAUUCUUGGCCUUCAAACCUUACCUUGAAGCUCAUGGUAUUCUUCAUCAGUUUUCAUGUCCUCAUACACCUCAGCAAAAUGGAAGAGCAGAGAGGAAAAUUAGACAUCUUGUUGAAACCGGUCUUGCUCUUAUGGCUCAAAGUUUCUUACCCUCCAAAUAUUGGACAUAUGCUUUUCAAACAGCAGUAUAUCUUAUUAAUCUUCUACCAGCCAAACUUCUCCAUUUUCAGUCACCCACUCAAACCCUUUUUCAUAAACUUCCCAACUAUCAUCAUCUCCGAGUCUUCGGUUGCCUGUGUUUCCCAUCCUUACGUCCUUAUACACAACAUAAACUCUGCUAUCGCUCCACUGCUUGUGUCUUUCUUGGAUAUGCACCAGCUCAUAAAGGUUACUUAUGUCUUGAUGUCUCCACUAAUCGUAUCUACAUUUCCAGAAAUGUGAUCUUCCAUGAAUCCUCUUUUACAUUUCAGUCUUCAUCUCCUCCAUCUUCACCCUCUCCAGACCUCCCGUCUUCUACACAUGCCUUAAUCAAUUCACCCAGCUUGUCUGCCCCUUCAUCACCAGCUGUGUCCUCCCCUAUCAUCACUUCUGAUUCUAUCCCUCCACUAAUUCCGGUCCCCUUUGCCACCUCCUCUCCAGCUGCUCCUUCACCACCUCCUUUACCUCUCAACACUCAUCCCAUGGUGACCUGAGCAAAAUCUGGCAUUCAUAAGAAACGAAGCUUUAUUGUGCAGCACACAACAGAACCUCGCACUUACAGUCAAGCCUCUAAAAAUGACUCUUGGGUUCAGGCCAUGAACAGUGAAUAUCAAGCUCUUCUUCGCAACAACACCUAGAGUUUGGUUCCUCCACCUUCAUCUGCUCACAUUGUUGGCUGCCGUUGGAUCUACAAGCUCAAAUAUCGCCCUGAUGGAUCCAUUGACAGACACAAAGCUCGUUUAGUUGCCCAGGGAUUCACCCAAACUCCGGGGAUAGACUACUUUGACACAUUCAGUCCAGUUGUGAAGCCUUGCACCAUUCGACUUAUCCUUGCUUUGGCAGUCUCCUUUCAAUGGUCAGUUCGGCAAUUGGAUGUGGAGAAUGCUUUCCUUAAUGGAGAUCUGGAAGAAGAGGUUUUUAUGACUCAGCCUCAGGGUUUUGUCAAUCCCACCUAUCCUACAUAUGUUUGCAAAUUACACAAAGCAUUGUAUGGCCUCAAACAAGCUCCUAGAGCUUGGUUUCAAAAGCUUCGGAUUGCCUUGCUUGACUAUGGUUUCCAAUCUUCUCGUGCAGACACUUCUCUCUUCAUCUUUCACACUGCAACUGAUAUUCUCAUUCUACUGGUAUACGUAGAUGAUAUCCUGGUCACUGGUAGUAAUCCCACGUUGGUUUCUCACUUCAUCUCCUACCUCAGGACUAAGUUUGCACUUCGGGAUCUUGGACCUUUGUCAUAUUUUUUGGGUAUUCAAGCUCAACAACUUGGCUCUGUCUUGCAUCUUAAUCAGCAUAAAUAUAUUGCUGAUCUUCUCAACCGCACUCAGAUGGAGACUUCGAAACCAGCUCCCACUCCAGGACGUCUCGGUCGUACCCUCUCUCAAUCUGAUGGUGUGUCUCUGUCGGAUCCAUCAGAAUAUCGUCGUACCGUAGGAGCCUUACAAUAUGUCACUCUCACCAGGCCCGACAUUGCGUUCGCCGUGAACAAAGCUUGCCAAUUCAUGGCAAAGCCUUCUGAUGUUCAUUGGAUGGCUGUUAAAAGAAUUCUACGGUAUUUAAAAGGCACCAUCCAUCUUGGUCUUCACUUCCAACCUGCUGCUUCAAUGGAGCUUCAAGGAUACAGUGAUGCUGACUGGGCAUCUUGUCCAGAUGAUCGUCGAAGCACCAGCGGCUACUGUGUAUUCCUAGGCUCGAAUCUCAUCUCAUGGUCCUCUUCUAAACAACGACUUGUCUCCAAAAGCAGUGCUGAAUCCGAAUAUAGAGGGUUGGUAUCCCUCACGGCGGAGUUGGUGUGGAUUCAAUCCUUACUUCAAGAGCUCUGCUUGCCUACCUCUCCACCUAUACUAUGGUGUGACAACCAAAGUGCAGCUCAUCUUGCUGCUAAUCCGGUCUUUCACUCCCGUUCCAAACAUAUCGAAUUAGAUUUACACUUCAUCAGAGAAAAGGUGUUACGCCAAGAACUUCAAAUCUGCUAUGUUCCCUCCGGUGAUCAGCUUGCAGAUAUUUUCACAAAGCACCUUCCUAUUACACAAUUUUGUAACCUCCGUAGCAAGCUCACAGUCACCUACCCGCCUCUGAGCUUGAGGGGGGAUGAUAACCAAACAGACUCUACCCAAACUGCUACCCGAACUGCCCCUCAUUCUGUUGUAACUAAGCAACUGUGUAACCCAACUAAACAACUGUGUAACCUCUCCAAACCCACCCUAACUGAUCACUGUACUGAGCCUAUAAAUACCGGUGUCAAUGUAAUCUUGAAAUAACGAGAAAUAAUUCUCUUUUCUCUCUUCUGCAUAUUUUCUUCUCAGCUACACAAGCUUAGCUGUCACUCACUCGUACUGCCAUAACUGAUACUAAACUUGUUCUUACACUGGGUUCCUUGGCUUGGCCAAGCCUCUCUCUCUCACUGAUGGUGAUCUACUUCAUAUCGCAACAUUGUUGGCGCAUUACAGUAUGUUACUGUUACACGUCCAAACCUUUCUUUUGCUGUUAACAAGGUAUGCCAGUUUAUGGCUUCCCAACGACCACCCACUAGCUGGUUGUCAAUAAUAUAAAAAGUAAUUCAAAAUAAAAUGAAAAUAUAGAUUUAAAAUAAAAAUAAAUAAAUUAAACAUUAAUAAUUAAAAUUUUAAAAAAAGAUAAAUAUUUUUUUUUAAAAAAAGUUUUCAAAAAAAUCUCAGAUAUUUUCAGAUAUAUCAGCGAUAUAUCCGAUAUAUUCGUCGAUAUAUUUCCAAUAUUUUAAUAGGCUUCUUCUACUGUUUCGCGCGUCACUUCACGUUUAAUUUUUUUUGUCAAUUUAUCGGUUCUAAACCGAAAUAUCGACGAUAUUUCGAUGAUCUUUUCGAUAUUUUUUCGAUGUUCCUCCCAUUCGAUAAUCGAUGUUCAAUAUCCUUUCGGGGUUGUCCGAUACCCGAUAUAUCGAUGAAAUAUCAUUGAUAAAAACCGAUUUUUCAAUCCAUGCUUAAUAGUGGGUUUCCCUUUUGGCCUCUAUUCUUUUUCUUUUUUAAAAAAGAAUCCUUUCCGAUUCUGUGGCCUUGAGUGAGCACUAUGUAUUUCAACUAUUUUGACAUGUUCAAAAUAAAUUACUAAGAAUUUAAAGGGAAUUUGUUCGACAAGUACUUUUUUUUUAAACAUAUUUAUUUAUACCUUGUUUAGUUUAGAUUGCAUUAUUUUAUGUAAAUAAUUUAUUGGGUUUAUGUAAAUAAUUUAUUGGGUAUGGUAAUUAUUUUUAUAAAUGGCUAAGUAGAUUUAAUUUUAAAUAUUAAUUUAUUGAGCAGGAAAAUUAUUUAUUAAAACAUGGUUUAACAACUAUGCGAUGGACCUAACUUAUUAAACAAAAUAAACCAAUACUAUAUUAUUAUAGCUUAAAUUAUUUUUUAAUGGUAGCAAUGUUGAAAAACCUAACCUAAUGAGAAAAUAGUAAUUAAUUAACAUAAUUUUAUAUUGACUUGUAAAAUUGGGCCAACAUAUAAAUAUAUUGAUGGUAACAAGAAGACCUACGUUGAUAAUGAAUCAUCAAUAUUAGUCUAUGUUGUCAACUUUGGAAUAUUAAUAUAUGUAUAUGAUUUUAACAGGAUGUUGUCAUUAUAUCUUUUAGAUAUAUAUAUAUAUAUAUAUAUAUAUAUAUAUAUAUAUAUAUAUGACAUCUCAAUUAAUUACGCUAACCCUCAUUAUCAAUAUAAGUCAACGUAACCAAAUCCUUCUUCCUUGUAGUGAAUGUUAGUUCUCAUAUAUGGAGGUAGGUAUGGAUGGUCCAAUUAUCUUAAAUUUCGUGUAUCUUUAUUUUAUGAUUUGUUUUAUAUUUUUAUUAUUUUGUCAAUAUAAUCGUUUUCAUGAUUAGGAAUUAGAGAAAAGUUUGUAGAAGAUUUUUCCAAAUUUGAAAAUAACUAUGUAAGAAAUUCAACUUAAACACGUUUCUUUGUGGAAGAGUUGCAUUGGCAAGGAAAUUAGAUACUUGUCUUUGCAUUGGCAAGGAAAUGCUACACACAUUCAUUGAACAAUCUUAGGCCCAUUUUUCCAAGCAGCCUAGCACGUUGAUUGAAUUAAACCCCUAUGGAUUGAUAUUGAUUGGAUCCAUUACCCGUCAUGCAUUCAAUCCCAAAGCGUUGAUUAUUCAAACUCUAUGAAAUAUAGGUUUCGCUGAGUGGAGGAGUUCAAAUACAUUAAAUUGAUAUUUUAAGUAAAUAUAAUGCGGAAAAUGAAACCUACUAGAUCGAUAAUGACCACUAGCUGGCUGUCAAGAAUAUAAAAAGUAGUUAAAAAUAAAAUGAAAAUAUAGAUUCAAAAUAAAAAAUAAAUUAAAAAUAAAUAAUUAAAAAUUUAAAAAAGAAUAAAUAUUUUUUAAAAAAAAAUUUCAAAAAAAUUGCUGAUAUUUUAAGAUAUAUAGGCAAUAUAUCCGAUAUAUUUGUCUAUAUAUCCGAUAUAUUCGUCGAUAUAUCGUUGAUAUAUUUUCGAUAUUUUGACAGACUUUCUCUAUUGCUCCGCGCGUCGCUUCACACAAUUUUUUCUUUGAACUAUUGGUUCCAAAUCAAAAUAUUAAUGAUAUUUCAACGAUUUUCUUAAUAUUUUCCAAUAUUCCUCCCGUUCGAUAAUCGAUGCUCAAUAUCCUUUCGGGACCGUCCUAUAUCCAAUAUAUCGAUAAAAUAUCACCAAUAAAAACCAAAAUUUCAAUCCAUGCUUAAUAGUGAGUUUCCUUUUGUUUGGCCUUCGUUUUUUUUUUUUUUAAAAAAAAAAAAAAUCCUUUUCGGUUCCAUGGCCUUGAGUGAGUACUAUGUAUUUCAACUAUUUUGACACGUUCAAAAUAAAUUACUAAGAAUUUAAAGGGAAUUUGUUCGACAAGUACUUUUUUUUUUAAACAUAUUUAUUUAUACAUUGUUUAGAUUAGGUUGCAUUUUUUUAUGUAAAUAAUUUAUUGGGUAUUUGGGAAUUAUUUUUAUAAAUGGCUAAGUAGAUUCAAUUUUAAAUAUUAAUUUAUUGAGCAUGAAAAUUAUUUAUUAAAAUAUGGUUUAACAACAAUGCGAUGGAAUCGACUUGUUAAACAAAAUAAACUAAUACUAUAUUAUUUUAGCUUAAAUUAUUUCUUAAUGGUAAUAAUGUUGAAAAACAAAUAUCAAUAAAAACUAACCUUAAUGAGAAAAUAGUAAUUAACAUAAUUUAUAUUGACUUGUAAAAUUGGGUCAACAUAUAAACAUAAUUUUAUAUGCAUAAAGUUAUAAUUAAACUUCGUAAAAUUUCAAGGUAGAUUGGAAGUAAAUUUUUUUGUUACUUGAAAUGUUUACAACUUCUUCCUUGUAGUGAUGUUAUUUGUAAUAGAACUUCCCUGCACAAUCGUUUCCAUGACUGGGAUUGAAUUAGAGAAAAUUUUGUGGAAGAUUUUUCCAAAUUUGGAAAAAUCGCAUGUAGAAGAGUUGCAUUGGCAAGGAAAUCUACACACUCAUUGAACAGUCUAUGCCCACUUUUCCAAUCAGCCUAGCACGUUUUUUUUAAUUGAAUAACCACGGAUUGAUAUUGAUUGGAUCCAUUAUCAGUCAUUCAAUCCUAAAGCAUUCAUUUGUCAAACUCCAUGAAAUAUAGGUUUGGCCGAGUGGACAUUUCAAUACUAAACUUGUCCAAAUACAUUAAUUAAAUUGAUAUUUUUAGUAAAUAUGAUGCGCAAAAUGAAACCCACCAGGUCGAUAACGACCACAUUACAAACUGAUCUGCAGGGUAGUUAGGGCAAUCCCUCAAAAUUCAUAAAAAAAGAAAAAAAAAAAGUGAAGCAAAUAGAAUCAAAUAGUAGUUCUUAUGUUAUUUUUUCAAAAAAUAGUUAUCGAGUCUGGAAAUGGGUAUUUUUCAUUUACUUGAAGCAGAUUGAGGAUCUGAAAAAUGAAUUGAAAAUGGAAUUAUACGUAGUGUUGACUAUAAGAAUUUCAGUGGAUUCAAAAAGCCCCAAUUUAUACCUUAGCCGCCCCUAAUAGUUUCGGCUCUUGCUUCAUAAAUUUAGCCAAGGGACUCGUGAAAAAACUUUUUCUUUCACGUCAUCAAUCCCUUUCAUACACUACUUUCAACGUUAUUAUUUUACAUUAUCUUCAACAAUAGAACAUUUAGAAUAUCCUCUUGCGGAACAAGUUGCUCAUGCACUAAAGCAGCCCAUUAGAAAAGGUUUAGAGAGGCUAGAGGCAAGGUGGUAUAUGUCUAUCUACCAGGAUGAAACUUCGCAUGACACAACUUUACUAAAGCUGGCCAAGUUAGAUUUCAAUCUAGUGCAGUCCCUACACAAGGAGGAGCUAAGCAAUAUUGCUAGGUUUGCUUUCAAAUCACUAGCAGAUAUACCUAGUCACCUUCUCAUUUUACCAUGAGCUAAUUGUUUUAAUGAAUUUUAGGUGGUGGAAAGAAUUAGACUUUGCUACAAAGCUACCUUUUGCGAGAGAUAGAUUGGUGGAAGGCUACUUUUGGAUACUUGGGGUGUACUUUGAGCCUCAAUAUGUCCGGGCUAGACGAAUUCUAACCAAAACAAUUUCCAUGACAUCCAUUAUAGAUGAUAUAUAUGACGCAUAUGGCACAUUUGAAGAACUCGAGCUCUUCACCGAGGCCAUUGAGAGGUUUGAUUGAUGCAAAUUACCAACCUUCAUCAUUUAUACUGUAUGUGAUACUUAAAUCAAGCCUGGUUUUAUUUUCAGGUGGGAUAUUAAUAGCAUAGAUCACCUUCCAGAAUACAUGAAACACUGCUAUGUGGCACUCUUAGAUGUGUACAAAGAAAUUGAGGAAGAGAUGGAGAAAAAAGGAAACCAAUAUCGGGUUCAAUAUGCGAUAGAAGCGGUAGGACAUUCUGCAUCGACUUUGUUUUGUAUAGUAACAUAUCGUAAGGAUAUAGAUGUAACCUGAUUGAAUGUUUGACAGAUGAAAAACCUAGUUAGAGCUUAUUUUCAUGAGGCUAAAUGGUUCCAUGAAGGACGCAUACCAACAAUGGAAGAGUAUAUGAGGAUAGCACUGGUAACCUCAGGUUACUACAUGCUUACAACCAUUCUUUCAUUGGUAUGGGAGAAAUUGUAACAAAGGAGGCCUUUGAUUGGGUGAUCAGUGACCCUAAGAUUAUCACAGCAUCAGCUGUAAUUUGUAGGCUCAUGGAUGACAUCAGUUCACAUAAGGUAUUGUGAAUAUAGUAUUACUUGUUAAGCUAUAAUUUGACCUUGACCUUAAAGCUCAAUCAAUUAAACAUAUUUACUGUACUCUUCUUCUUAAACUAUAUAUGCAGUUUGAGCAAAAGAGAGGGCAUGUUGCCUCAGGCAUUGAAUGUUACAUGAAGCAAUAUGGUGCCUCUGAGGAAGAGGUAUACGAUGAGUGUGGACCCGCAUUUUUCACGUGCGUCCCCACUCGAUCAGCGAGACUCGCUUUUUAUUUAUGAAAAAUUAAUUUUAAAAAAAAGUUGGAGUCGCCACUUAUUUUAUUUUUAUUUUAAAGGGAAAAUAAAACAAGAAAGAAAAACCCUAAAAAAGUGACUCCAUAAUUUUUGGAAAAAGCAUGUCUUUGAAAAACCCGAGUCUAAGUCCGGGGAUCAGGUUACCUAUUGGGAAGGUACCUUUAAAAGGUAGCACCCCUCUAAGCCCUCUAAAGGUCUCUACUAACAAAGUUAAGGGAAGUGUGGCCAUUAAUCAGUUAAUUAUGGAUACCUAAGUAGGCUAGGUGAUUUCAAAUAUUGCAUGCCUAAAGAGAAAACAAACCAUAAGAGAGAGUCGAAGUGCGUACCUAAAUGGCUUCUCAAGCGCUAUCAUGAAACAUAAGAGAUUAGUUUGGAAAUAUGACACAACAUUUGUUUUAUCUAAGCAAAUCAAGCAUAUAUCAAAACACCCAAAAAUCACAUCAUGUAUGGAUAUAGUCAUCAAUAACGCAUGUGUCCAUGGAAUUCUCAAAAAUAGGUGUGAAGGAGCGUACCUGGAUGGCGAGCUAAAACGCUACUAUGGGAAACAAGAUUGCUUAAUAAUAGGUGCAUAAUAAUCUCACGUAUCUCAAAGAGAAAGCACAAUUAAUCAAAUGUCAAACAAACACUAUUGAAGAGGAUAUCAUGAAUGUCGGGCCCCCACCAAAGCCCUAAUUAAUUUCGCACGAGUUGAUUCCAUAAAUUCCAUGACUUGGAAUUAUGGAGUUUGUUCGUGCUUGAGAAAAUCGGAAAAAUCAAGAAAAUGGUUGAAAAUAAAAAUAAAUAAUAAAAUAAAAAAAAUAGUGAAAACUUGUGCCAGAAGGAAAAUGGCAGCAAAAGGGUGUUGAAAUCUGGAUUUUAUUGCCUAGAGAAGGUCUAAAGAUGAUUCUCUAAAAUCAGGAUUAUUUGGAUGAAAACGAUUUUGAAAACACAAUUCAAAACACGUAAAAUCAUGAGGAAAACAAGAGGGGUGAGAAGGGAAGAGAGUAGUGUGCACCGAACUGGUCAUGGCGAGUGGGGUUUGGGGGUUUGGCUGUGACUGCGUUGCUGGUGGUUAUAGGCGCUGCUGUCAUUUUCUCUGAAUUUUUCCCUCUACUCUCUCGUAUGCAUUUAAGUGCUUUACAUCACUGUGUUCUUGAGCUUUUCCCCAUUUCUUCUUAUACCUUGACCUGCCACCUCUGCUGGUGUGUUCUGUUGAACUAAGUAAACUUGCUGGCGCGUUCUGUUGAACUGAGUGACACUAUGUCUGCUCUCAAAUUUAAAUCCUUUAACCUUAUCCAUCAAUAGGGAUGCCUGAAUUUCAGGAGCCCGCAACUCAUUCGGCAAUGCUGAGGGAAAUGGCGUUGUAAAUGUUGCUUGAGGAGAAGGCUGCUGUGGAGGAUGUUUUAUUAUAUCCUUGCUGACAUAUUGACAUGGCGUGAGAUGAUACACCAGCAAUUUGAGUAGUUUGUGGUCAGCCCAAUUGAGGUUGCUUUCAAACUUUCGCUACAAAAAAAGAAGAUCGAAGAUGACGAAACCCAUGUGAAUCGCUCUACGGUUCUGGCAGCGAAUGAGGAUUGGACAUGCAGAUUCUGGAGACAGUGACUUGAAGCUUCUUGCGAAUCUGUAGCAAGUUUAAUCAGACCACUCUUGAGGGCAACUUCUUUCUUCAAACAAAGUCAUGCAUUCCAGAGUACGCAGCUUUCCUCUUUCUGAAGUACAGAGCAUGCCUAAGAUCUAUGUUUGGGGGCAAAAUGUUUUCGUAAUCUGCAUGGGAUUGCGCUUUAUUGCUUACAAAAACAUCAUUGAAUCUCACCGUUCCAGAAUGGCACAUAAACAGUAGCGGACUUUGAUGUUAUCUUCAUUCAGCUGUUAAGUGACCAUCAUUAGUCUUGUUUCUAUCUUUUAGAACAUAUACAGGGAUGUGCCUUAGGAAGUCCUGCAUUGCUUGCAUCUCGCUUGACCUUUUGCUCAAUAAUUCAACCUGAGUACGGGGUUGAGACAUCUGGGUUGCAAAGGUGACUAUGGACUGUACAUUCGCUUGUUUCUCUUCCCACUAUUUUCUGAAUCAAAUUACCUGCUGCUGUAUCUAUUGAAGCUGUAGCCUCAUCUAACAAUCUCUCAAAAGGCAUAAAUAUCAGAUUCUUCAACUAUGCUAUUCUCAGAUCACCUCAGCAGUAUAAGGGGUUCUAUGCAUUUAGGAACCAUCAGCAAUGCUUGGAUUUUUGGGAUAUUAUACAGAACAAAGCAAAGUUGUGCGACAUUUCCCUUUGAUUAUGAAGAUGAAGUCGAAGAUGGCAAAAUUUUGUAAAGACUUUCAAGGGGAUUCCCUCCACGUUUGUCAUCAAAGAUGCUUUUUGACGAAUUUCCCAUAGUCAACUUGAUUAAGGCAACAAGAACAACUUUUUGCUUACUCUAUGAUGCAGUAUUAAGCAUGUCAAACAAUGAGUGAGCCACCUGCUUAGCUGACUUAAAAUCUCUGAUAUUCUCAACAUCGAGAGGCUCAAGUGAAGCUCUACUGAAUAUAACAUUUCUUGACUCCAAAUGUAACACAGUUAUCAGUUGAUUCACGGAAUUGAUUGAUGCUUCGCAAUGAAGAAAAUCAGGACUGCUAAAUAGUAUUUUCAACAAUUCAGACACUAUGGCCUUAGAAGGGUCUUGAGGGCUUAAAGACAAGUACUUGGUUAGAGCACCCAAUGCUCCAGCUUCAGCCAUGAUCAGUUUGUUCGCAUCAGACAUUAGUUCAAGGGGUUUGGCACCUUCCCUCACAUGCAUCUCAGAAUGAGCUUUCAUACACUCCCAGUAGAAAUAGUUUCAGAAUCUGCAUUUAUUAUAGUGGCUUUAGUUUCGAUGUCGUCUUUUGAGAGAGUCAUUUUCUACCAAAAUCACAAUCUAAGCAAUCGUCAAGCAUUAGGUUGGAAUUUCCGUCACAAAUGAAUUUCUUGUUAGCAUCAUUAGUAAUCUUCAGCAAUCAAGCUCACUGAAUCGUCUCCUGAGUACCCAUGACAGAAGAAAGCUGAUCAUUCAUGGCACCCAAGACUGAGCCAUGGUGAUAACUAUUUAAAGUAGUGUUUGAAUUAGCUGAUCCGUCAAGACUUUGAUGGGAUGAUACAUUCCUGAUGGGUUAAGUGUCAUCAGUUGACAUGGUACUAUUGCUUACAAAAAAUUAUGAGCCCAGGUUCUUCUUCCUGCUAUUGUCCAAUUCUGUAGGAGUAAUCUGGUCUUUUCCAGUUUAUUAAGCUCCAUCAUGCCUGCCUCAAGAAGGGCCUUUGGCGUAUAUGUCAGUAAGUUCAAGUCUGGACAGUGUCCUAGUAAACAGAUGCCUUCCCUGAUCUCUAUCAGUAUGCAUCCUCUGAUUAGGAUUGAUUUCUGGACUGAUCUGAUCAAAGAUCCUCGAACUGUUUAAAGUCCCAUGAUUCUUUUGGCUUUGAGAGUCUUCUCUGGUUUUCCGUGCUCAAGUAAUCAAGCAAAUUGUCCCACAUGAAUAGAAGAUGCCACAAGUUUAGCAGUGCAUUUUUCAUCAGUAUUCAAAUCAAACAUUGGAAUUUUCUGUAGGUUGGCGGAAUUGUUGGCAAUUUCGACAUCAUAUAUUGCAGCAAGGCCGAAAUUCUGACUUACACUUCUAAGUGUUCCAGAGAACUUAGUCAUGUCUGCCUCCUAUGUCAUCUCUUGAUAAAUCUGGUUCUCUUCAAAUGCUUCCGAAGGUUGAAAUUAGUACCCUUGUUCGUCUCAAGGAAACAAACCGAGAGGUUUGGACAGUAGGAUCUGCACUUUCUCCACAGAACUGGAGCACCUUUUCAGAAGUCCCUUCUUUGGUCUCAGCAAAAGACUUUAGAGCUUCAACAAGAAAAGUAANNNNNNNNNNNNNNNNNNNNNNNNNNNNNNNNNNNNNNNNNNNNNNNNNNNNNNNNNNNNNNNNNNNNNNNNNNNNNNNNNNNNNNNNNNNNNNNNNNNNNNNNNNNNNNNNNNNNNNNNNNNNNNNNNNNNNNNNNNNNNNNNNNNNNNNNNNNNNNNNNNNNNNNNNNNNNNNNNNNNNNNNNNNNNNNNNNNNNNNNNNNNNNNNNNNNNNNNNNNNNNNNNNNNNNNNNNNNNNNNNNNNNNNNNNNNNNNNNNNNNNNNNNNNNNNNNNNNNNNNNNNNNNNNNNNNNNNNNNNNNNNNNNNNNNNNNNNNNNNNNNNNNNNNNNNNNNNNNNNNNNNNNNNNNNNNNNNNNNNNNNNNNNNNNNNNNNNNNNNNNNNNNNNNNNNNNNNNNNNNNNNNNNNNNNNNNNNNNNNNNNNNNNNNNNNNNNNNNNNNNNNNNNNNNNNNNNNNNNNNNNNNNNNNNNNNNNNNNNNNNNNNNNNNNNNNNNNNNNNNNNNNNNNNNNNNNNNNNNNNNNNNNNNNNNNNNNNNNNNNNNNNNNNNNNNNNNNNNNNNNNNNNNNNNNNNNNNNNNNNNNNNNNNNNNNNNNNNNNNNNNNNNNNNNNNNNNNNNNNNNNNNNNNNNNNNNNNNNNNNNNNNNNNNNNNNNNNNNNNNNNNNNNNNNNNNNNNNNNNNNNNNNNNNNNNNNNNNNNNNNNNNNNNNNNNNNNNNNNNNNNNNNNNNNNNNNNNNNNNNNNNNNNNNNNNNNNNNNNNNNNNNNNNNNNNNNNNNNNNNNNNNNNNNNNNNNNNNNNNNNNNNNNNNNNNNNNNNNNNNNNNNNNNNNNNNNNNNNNNNNNNNNNNNNNNNNNNNNNNNNNNNNNNNNNNNNNNNNNNNNNNNNNNNNNNNNNNNNNNNNNNNNNNNNNNNNNNNNNNNNNNNNNNNNNNNNNNNNNNNNNNNNNNNNNNNNNNNNNNNNNNNNNNNNNNNNNNNNNNNNNNNNNNNNNNNNNNNNNNNNNNNNNNNNNNNNNNNNNNNNNNNNNNNNNNNNNNNNNNNNNNNNNNNNNNNNNNNNNNNNNNNNNNNNNNNNNNNNNNNNNNNNNNNNNNNNNNNNNNNNNNNNNACAGAUCAUCAGCCAUAGGAAUACCAUCGGUGGUUGACGUGGAGAGCUUCUCUGCAAUACCCUGAACCUUACCAUGAAUUUUAAGCCUUUUAGUCAUGACUUUCCACAAUUGAUCCCAACUCAUCAGCACAAAUUUGAAAACCUGCAGCUGUUACUUCCUCAGGUGCAAUGUAGUCACUGGACAAACCAUGAAUAAACUGAAGUGCGGCCUGUGAAACUAGAACUGCUACUCUAAACUUCUCCUCAUUGGAACGUCGAAUAGUUUGAGCUUCGAAUCACUUGCUGAGAUUAGCAGUGAAACGGGACCUUCGCUUAGGUUUUUAACAACCCAGCGAAGCUUUCUCCGUGUGAGCUUUAGGUGGACUUGAAGCCUGAGCUUCCAGAAUUGCUUGGUUAGCUGUCUCAUAAUAACCAGCUGAGCAGCAGAGCUUUGCAUAUUGAAGCCAGCAAUCACCAACUUGAGCACCAAGACCGCUUGCACCAAGAACCAAUCUUUGUAAAGCCAGAAGUGACUCUCUUGCCCAAAGGGAUGGCUGUGUAAAUCUGAGCUGAUCUCCCCAAUUUUCCAUCAUUUUUGUGAAUCUCAGAUCAGCCAAAUCGAUUGAUUUCAGCAACAGCUAGAAGAGCAAUCAGAGCUCGUUUGGACAGAGCAAUUUUCUCAGCAACUGAGAAUUGGUCUUUCUUUAUCAGGGCCUGAGGAAUUUUCACAACAUCCAUGUCAAAGGAAGCAUUAUUCUCAGAGCUGCUGCAAAGUAAACCUUCCUUGUCAGUCCCAUCAAGGUACUCAUCCAUCAAUUCCCACUUGCUAAGCCUCCAUGCUGCCUAAACACCUUGUAUGCACCAAGUUUUCUUGUAUUUAUGAAUUUUAGCUAUUAAACCAUCCACGUGAAUAACCAUAGUCUGAAAGUGGCACAUGUCAGUAAACAAUUAAGAACAUCUGAAUGCCUCUGUACUGAGGUAGGCUCCAUCUGCAAAGCCUGCUCUGAAGAAGUUAAAACUUCUGCCCAGUUUCCUGCUUUCUUGUUGAUUAGAAAGCUGGUCUUGCAAACUUAAUGACGUGUGCAAACANNNNNNNNNNNNNNNNNNNNNNNNNNNNNNNNNNNNNNNNNNNNNNNNNNNNNNNNNNNNNNNNNNNNNNNNNNNNNNNNNNNNNNNNNNNNNNNNNNNNNNNNNNNNNNNNNNNNNNNNNNNNNNNNNNNNNNNNNNNNNNNNNNNNNNNNNNNNNNNNNNNNNNNNNNNNNNNNNNNNNNNNNNNNNNNNNNNNNNNNNNNNNNNNNNNNNNNNNNNNNNNNNNNNNNNNNNNNNNNNNNNNNNNNNNNNNNNNNNNNNNNNNNNNNNNNNNNNNNNNNNNNNNNNNNNNNNNNNNNNNNNNNNNNNNNNNNNNNNNNNNNNNNNNNNNNNNNNNNNNNNNNNNNNNNNNNNNNNNNNNNNNNNNNNNNNNNNNNNNNNNNNNNNNNNNNNNNNNNNNNNNNNNNNNNNNNNNNNNNNNNNNNNNNNNNNNNNNNNNNNNNNNNNNNNNNNNNNNNNNNNNNNNNNNNNNNNNNNNNNNNNNNNNNNNNNNNNNNNNNNNNNNNNNNNNNNNNNNNNNNNNNNNNNNNNNNNNNNNNNNNNNNNNNNNNNNNNNNNNNNNNNNNNNNNNNNNNNNNNNNNNNNNNNNNNNNNNNNNNNNNNNNNNNNNNNNNNNNNNNNNNNNNNNNNNNNNNNNNNNNNNNNNNNNNNNNNNNNNNNNNNNNNNNNNNNNNNNNNNNNNNNNNNNNNNNNNNNNNNNNNNNNNNNNNNNNNNNNNNNNNNNNNNNNNNNNNNNNNNNNNNNNNNNNNNNNNNNNNNNNNNNNNNNNNNNNNNNNNNNNNNNNNNNNNNNNNNNNNNNNNNNNNNNNNNNNNNNNNNNNNNNNNNNNNNNNNNNNNNNNNNNNNNNNNNNNNNNNNNNNNNNNNNNNNNNNNNNNNNNNNNNNNNNNNNNNNNNNNNNNNNNNNNNNNNNNNNNNNNNNNNNNNNNNNNNNNNNNNNNNNNNNNNNNNNNNNNNNNNNNNNNNNNNNNNNNNNNNNNNNNNNNNNNNNNNNNNNNNNNNNNNNNNNNNNNNNNNNNNNNNNNNNNNNNNNNNNNNNNNNNNNNNNNNNNNNNNNNNNNNNNNNNNNNNNNNNNNNNNNNNNNNNNNNNNNNNNNNNNNNNNNNNNNNNNNNNNNNNNNNNNNNNNNNNNNNNNNNNNNNNNNNNNNNNNNNNNNNNNNNNNNNNNNNNNNNNNNNNNNNNNNNNNNNNNNNNNNNNNNNNNNNNNNNNNNNNNNNNNNNNNNNNNNNNNNNNNNNNNNNNNNNNNNNNNNNNNNNNNNNNNNNNNNNNNNNNNNNNNNNNNNNNNNNNNNNNNNNNNNNNNNNNNNNNNNNNNNNNNNNNNNNNNNNNNNNNNNNNNNNNNNNNNNNNNNNNNNNNNNNNNNNNNNNNNNNNNNNNNNNNNNNNNNNNNNNNNNNNNNNNNNNNNNNNNNNNNNNNNNNNNNNNNNNNNNNNNNNNNNNNNNNNNNNNNNNNNNNNNNNNNNNNNNNNNNNNNNNNNNNNNNNNNNNNNNNNNNNNNNNNNNNNNNNNNNNNNNNNNNNNNNNNNNNNNNNNNNNNNNNNNNNNNNNNNNNNNNNNNNNNNNNNNNNNNNNNNNNNNNNNNNNNNNNNNNNNNNNNNNNNNNNNNNNNNNNNNNNNNNNNNNNNNNNNNNNNNNNNNNNNNNNNNNNNNNNNNNNNNNNNNNNNNNNNNNNNNNNNNNNNAAAGACCAAAUAACCAGCAGAAAGAUCCUCUAUUUCCAGAACCAUGCUUCUCAAUCUGUCCUUAAUCUGCAUAUCCUUAACAAGCGAAUAAACAGCCGACAAGCUAGAAUUUUGAAACGUUUGUUCUCUUUGCUGAAUCUCAUGACUGCAUGCCCAAGCUUUGGAAUCACCCCCAUAUAAAGAAUUGAUGGCCAUAGGACGGAUAGGAAGAAAAGCAAAAACAAGUAUGGUAGAGAAUAGCGGAAACGAUGGGAAAACGGACAUGGGAGAUUAAAAGAAAAUAAAGCCACAUCUCAUAAUUUUUCAAUAGGCUCUGGUUAGUGGGAAUAGGCACAGAGAUAUAUGCUUCCGAAGGCAUUAAUGACAUCCAAAAUCAAAACAAGGCAAACAGGCAAGUAACCAAUCUCAACAAAGCAAAUUGUGGCCCUUUUCAUCCACACAAAAAUCAACAAAACAAUUAUAUAUUCAGGAAUCGAACUCACGGAAAAAAAUCAAAUAUAGGUAAGAAUUCCGAAAGCAACGAGGUGCAUACCUGGACAGCUUUGGUUGCAAUGGCUCGGCUUCUGGCUAUCUUUUCUCUUCCUUCUGAGGACAAUUCCCAGAUAAAAAUCCUCUUUUUUGCUUGUUCUUUCUUCCUCCUCCUCCCUCUCUAGACUCCAAUACGUGCUCUGCCCCCAAGAAAAAUCCUCCCUUAAUAAAAAAAAGCUCCCCUUUUUCUCCUUCCUCUCUCACGUAUAUAUACGCCUUUCCCUAAAACUAAAUCUCCCUAAAAAAAGGCCAAAUCCCCUAUUUUCUCUCUUCUUUUCUCCUUAUCCUUUUUUAAAUCUUCCAAUUCAAAAGCAAUCUUCCCAACUUCAAAUUCUCCUCCAAAACCUUCCAAGGAGAGUCCCACUUUCCUUAAACUCCAAUGGUAAGUUUCCUUGCAAAAACAUGAAAUUUUAGAAGUUAAAUAAUUGCAUGAAUAGAUAAAUAAGUAAAUAAAUUAGAAAAUGGUAAAAAUAAUAAAUAAAUAAAUAAGUUGAGGAAAAUAAUAUAAAGAGGAAAACGAAAUAAAAUAAAAUAAAAUUAAACAAAUUAACAAAAAAAAUGGACCCUACAAGCCAUGCAAACACGCAAGUCAAAUAAGUCACGCUAAAAAUGUCCAAAUGGGUCAAGUGUGCCUAAACGGGCCUAUGAUGAGACUAAGCGGGCCUAGGGUGGUGCCUAAUGGGCCAAGUGUAUCUAAAGGCUAUCCUAAAAAAACAAGAAAAGCCUAAGUCUAAAUUAGGGCUGCCAAGGGUCACGAUAAGGGAUCAAAUAAUCCUUUAACCAAAGUCUCCAAGGUGACUCAGAAAAAGGUAAGUCGUACGAGUAGUAAUGGGCCACCAAGGAACUACCGUGGAGCACUGGAAGUGGAUUUAAAGACAUGUGCUAAAAGGGCAAAAUUGAGGGUCUACAAUGAGUUUCAGAAGCAAGUUGUGGAUGCAUGGAGGGAUAUUAACGAGGAGUUCCUACGACCUACAGUUGUUCCGAUGCCUCUCCUAAUGUGUGUGCUUAAUCUUUCUCGAGUGAUGGAUGUGAUCUACACGGGGGGAGAUGGGUACACUCAUGUUGGAAAAGUGAUGAAGAAUAAUGUUGCAUCACUGCUCAUUCACUCUAUUGUAUGACCAAAUGGAUCAAGUUGAUCACCAUCUACAUAUUCUGCCUUACCUAGGGAGUAGGAUGAAUAAAAAUUAUUGUAAUAGUAUGGGAGAGACCUAUAAUGUUUGCUACUCUAUCUCGGUUUGGUGGUGUUUUACAUCAUACUAUCAUUUGGGCCAAAGGUAUUAAUGUUAUUGCGUUCUAAAAACUCCAUCCUAAGAUGCAAACAUAAGCAGGUUUUUUUUUAUUGAUUUUCGUUUUCUAUUUCUUGCAUCCAUUUUAAUAUAUGUUUAAAACACAUGGAUCAAGUUUGAAACUUUUUUGUUAUUCAAAAAUCGUGUCAUGGAGAAAAUUCUCCAUGGCAAAUCACUUGAUGGAGAAAAUUCAAAAUACAUCAUCAUCAUGAUGUAGAAAAUCACUUGACCGAGAAAAUUCAAGUAUAAAAAUCACAUGGUGUAGAAAAUUCUCCAUAGAAAAUCACAAGAAAAUUCAAAAUACAUCAGCAUCAUGAUGUAGAAAAUUACUUGACGGAGAAAAUUCAAGUAUAAAAAUCACAUGGUGUAGAAAAUUCUCCAUAGAAAAUCACGAGAAAAUUCAAAAAACAUCGUCAUCGUUGUCAUCAUCCUCCUCCUCCUCCUCCUCCUCCUCCUCCUCAUCAUCAUCAUCAUCAUCACUAGACAUGCUAAAAGUUUUGUUUCAUCAUCAUCAUCACCAGACAUGCUAAAAUGCUAAAAGUUUUGUUAUAUACCAUGUAAAAAAUAUAAGUUAUGAUCUUAUAUAAGGUACCAUGCAAAGUUUAAAUUUUUGCAAAACGAAAAGAGAAAAAAAAGGAAGUUAUGAAGAAUCAAAUCAAUCAACUCAUCAUUUUCCAAGCAAGGAUUAAGAUAUUAAAAAUUACAUAAAGAUGAUGAUUAUAUUUUUAAAAACAUUAGAAAAAAAAAAUAAUAAAUAUAUUGAAGUUGUUUUUUUACAUAAAACAAUAUAUGUAUAAUAACAUAAAUACAUUUAAUUAUAAAAUAUAUAUGAUUCCAUGUAAUUUGAAAAUAUUCAAGGAUGUAAAAGAAAUAAUAAAUAUUUUUUUUACAAACAAAUAUUUAUAAUUUCAUUUACAACUUUAUUUCUUCCUUUUAUUUAAUUAAUAUAGACAAGGAAUAACAAAAGACUUACUAAAAGAACUAUCAUGAGCACGUUUUAUAUUUUUAACAAUAAGUUCAAAUAAAUUUUAAAAAUAAGACAAUUAAAUUAAUAUAUUUUUUAACAUUUUAUUUAAUAUUUAAUUUUGUGCAUAGAUAUGUCAUAAAAUUAGGUUAAAUAUAGUACAUGUAAUUAUAAACAAUAAGGGCAAGCAGCUCAGGUGGCAAAGUAGCCACCUCCCUUCCAACAUGCACCUUCAAGUUUUUUUAGCAUACUGAUGUAGCGAAUUACGGGAGAAAGUCACCAUAUAUUGCCAAAAUUAGUGAUUAAUCGAAAAAAUAAGAAAAGAACAUGAUUAAUCGAGGUAGAUUAUGAAAAUUUGAUAAAAAUUCAUUAAGUGAAAUUCCUCCAUAAUUUUCUAUAUCGGUGAUAUUUCAUGAACACUAAUCAUGAUUUCCAAGUUCAUGAGUUUACCGUAUCUACAAAUUGGUAUGUCAAAGAAGUUCAAGAAUAAUUUUUAGAUGAUUAUAAGUGUUUUUUAAUAAUUAAAUUCAUUUUACAAAUAACUACAUGUUUAAUUAAGAUUAUAUCCUAAUGGUGCUGAAAACAAAUUAAGACAGACGUCAAAUCACAUUUACUUUGCAUUGAAACAAAUUAUGCUUAAUAGACAUAUUUAUGUUUUUGAAGAUGAUGGAUGUUAAUUUCAGAUUUUGCUCUCAAAUUAAGCCACCUAACACAGUUGUCUUUUAAACACUUAAGCGAACACAACUUCAAAUCACCAAUAAUUCACGGUAGCACAACUUCAAAUUAAGCCAAAAACCCAUCAACCCUCACCACCGUCGAUAGCAUCGCCGGCAAGCCGUUACCGGUUGGCAACCCCCUCCUCCCCUCUCAUUCUCCCCUUCCACCCACCUCUCCUCUCACUACUUUCUCUCUCUUUCCUUUUCAUUUCUUUCUCCUCAACUCCAUUGCCACCCUUCAACAACCCUUCAUCCAUGGUCUCAAAAAAAAAUAAUAAAAAAUAUCCCCAUGUCGAUAGCCCUAGUUUAAACUUUCCAAGUGAAUCACUAAAAUACAACACAAUUAGCUAUCACAAAACAAAAUAAAUUCAAUUAGGCCUAAAUUUAAUAUCUUAUAAUCCAAACUUAAUUUAAUACACAAAUUCAAAUUCACAAUCAAAAUCAAGUCCAAUUUAAUAUAUAAAGCUCAAAUGUAACAAAAUUAUACUAUAAUAUUAAUUCAUGUCCAAAUUAAACUAUUCAAAUGGGCAAAAUUCAUUCACCAACGACAAAUAGGCCCAAAUUUCAUAUUAAUUAACAUCCCCAAAACAAAAUUUAUUGGACCAAUUUGAAGUUUGGAUUUGAGUUUGAAUAAUUAUUUUGGACUUUACAUAUUUUUGGAUAUUUACCUUUGGGCUAUUUUUGUUUUUUCAUGAGCCCAUUUUACAAUUCUGUUGACUGAGCACAAAUUUGUGAUGCGUAGAGGGUUAAAUUUCAUGAAAAAAAAUGUGGCUCAUGAAGGCUGUAAAUUGAGCAUUAAGCUUGCUAUAGCCUUGUUUGGAUAUAUUUUAUUUCCCCACUUUUAUUUAGUUCUAUUUUUAUUGUCCUGUAAAUAUUCUUUCUUAUAUAUUUCUUGGGUGUAUACAAAGUUGAACAAUUGAUAACUCAUGAACUUUGUUUUAAUAAAAUAAAUAGUUCAGUAAUCUUUUUUUUUUUUAAUAAAAACAAUUGCUUAGAAAUUAUUUUUUUUUAAUAAAAAAAGGUUUUUUUUAUAAAAAUUCAAAAAAAUGUUUUUAAGAAAAUCCGAAAAAUCAUUUAAAUAAGAAUAUGUAUCACUUAAAUCACCUGAAUAUAUUAUUUAUUAUAUUAUAUUCUUUAAUACAUAUGUAUUAUUGUCAUUCAACUUGAGGAGUAUUGAUACUGAGUCUUAAAAUACAUAUGUAUGUAGAAUACAUGCCUACAACAAAUCUGGAUCUCCUUGUUAAUAUGUAAUGGUGUUUUGGAGUACUACAAUACUCACCAAAUAACUUCUUUACACUUUAUAAUGGACACUGACUGGUGAGUUUAUAGUUAAUUAAAUAUUUAACUCUAUAGCAAAUUAUUAUUAUUAUAAUUAUUGUUGCUAGCGUUAUUAUUAUUUAAUUCAUUAUUAUGAAAAUUAUUAGUAUUAUUACUAUUUAAUUAUUAUUAUUAGCUAUUAAUUUUAGUUUUUUCUUUUUCAUCUUUUCUUUUUUGUUGUUUCUUAUAUACUUCAUAAAAUUAUAAGUUAUGAUCUUUUAUUAGGUUGAAAUUGGAAGUUCAAGUUCACUAAAGUAUGACACAGUUAACUUAGGUUCACUAAUUUUGUAAAAAAUUCAAUGCAUUUAUAGGAUAAUUAAAUAAUUCAACGAACUUAUCAUUUUAUUAAUUAAGGUUUUUUUUUUUUUUAACCUUUUUUACAUGUAAGAAUACAAAAAUUUAUGGUUCAAUGUGAAACUUUGGAAUUGCAUGAAUAAGAAAGUGAAAUUUGUUGGUGUCGUUCCCAACGAGAGUUAGGUUCAUCCAACUUCAUUGGAGUCAGGUGGGUUGCUUCCCUUGUUCGUGCUUCUUAAGAAGUCCGUCCAGUUGUAUUGGAAUUAGAUAGACUUCUUCCCUGCACAAAAGAAUGUCCAGACAGGUGGUUCGAACAUGCCCCUCCCAAACUUAAGUUAGUUAAGGAUAACUCUAACUUAUUUUUAUGGUAGAAAAUGAGCGUAUGUGCAUGCCUACCUUGUUUGUGCCUUUUGAGGGGUUUAUAUAGAGCUUAUGACACUGUCACUAUAGUGCUGACUAUACACUCUAGUCUUUCUUGUGAUGAUGAUUACCCUUACGGCGGUUGGGCAAUCAUAUCAGAUAAGGGAGGUUGAUUGGUGCCAUCUACUGACAUGCCAAAUCUCGGACCAUGCAACUGAUUGUCCAUUUAGCUUGCCAAUGUCUGGGAUUGUGUGUAACAAUUAAUUGACAUUGACUUUUGGGUGUAAAUGGAGUCCCGUCCACCGCUUAGAUGUCAGACGUCUAAUCCAUAGCUCAAAUGUCAUGUGUCUAGGCCAACGCUCAAACAUCAAGCAUGGUUGAUCAUGCAUGCCAGAAAUCCUGAGGACUUGAUUUGACUAAUUUUUUCGUCGGAGAGUCUAGCGAUCCCAGCUUGUCGAUUCUGUCUGACCUUGUGGAAGAAGAGAAACCUCUCACUUUUGGUGUCAGAUAGAACUUAUCUUGGUCUAGAUGGAUUGAUCCUAGACGGGUUACAAGUUUGUCCUGGUCGGCCAAGGGGUCUUGAGCUUGAAAAUGACAAGUGAAGGGAAAUCCCCCACAAUGCCCCCUUAAUCUGUCUACCUCUAUCCAGAUGAAGAGGAGAUGUUUUUGGAGCGUCCAGUUAGUCUCCUAUCUAAACAAGAAUUCCGGGAUCGUUUCCAUAUUCCGGAUAAUAUCCCUAUCCUUCUAAUAGACGACGAGGCGUUAUCUUCCGUUGACCUGCCCAACAACAUGAUGUAUUUUACUAAGGAACAAUUCGUUGCGGGGCUCCGUCUACCUAUCCCCUCUCUCUUCAAGCAGUUCUUUCAUUUUAUGUAAAUCCCUUCAACUUUUCUUCAUCCGAACGUUGUCCGGUUAUUGAUGGGAUGUAGUGUUCUGGACAUGCUCUUUCAGUUGGAUCUCUCCUUACUGGAAGUCUUAUUUGUUUACACUAUCAAAAUGAGCUGGAAGGAAAGGUUAAGAUUUUCUUCCCAUAUUCCUUCCUUACAGCCGGUGACUGGCCUUCCAGAUUCAUGCAAAUGCUAGGUGAAGGGGCAUGUCCUAGUCUCCAGUCCUUGGAGUGGUUCAUCUAAGAAACUAGACGAGGUCUUUUCUCCACAACAUUUGUUGGGGAUUCCGAGUAAGAUACGCUUUCGUCACUUUCUCUACAUUUUUCAAUUAUUUCUUCCUCGUUGUGAAUUUACUGCUGAUCCUUUUGUUUAUGUGAUACAAGCAAGGAGAGGCGGGGACGCCUUGUAGAGUGGGUAGACAAGGCUUCUUUCACCCGACUCAACAAGUUGUUCGAAAUAGACGCGUUCGAAUGGGCCCCCAAAGUUUUUCUGCCAAACAAUAACUUACUAGCACUGAUCGAUAAUCCAAAGUCGUUCAUCAUCCCCGUAUUUUCUCGUCUGGCUCCCCCAUCUUUGGUGCUUGGUGAACAUUUCGUGCUAAAGGAUUUGUAUUUCUAUGAGGUUGCCUGUCUAGCAGAUUCUAAGGCACGCUAGGCCCGUUUAGAGGAGCGUGAGGAAAAACAUCAGGAAGGGACAUUGAGGCAAGCUUCGACUGUUGGUGGUCUAUCCUUUAGAUCCGUUGUUUGUCUUCUCACUAAAAAGAGGAAGAAACCUACUACUCUGCCUAUCCAGAGAUAAGGACUCCGCCUCCUUUAUUUUUUUUCUUCUCCAUCAGCUUCAUCAUCUUCAUCAUCUCCAUCUUCUUCAUCUUCCAAUGGCGAGCCAGAAGCAUGGGUUGACCAGGUAGUGUCCCCUAUUAUUUGCGAUGAGUAAAAAGAAGAGGAUAUGGCUUCAAACUUGAGGGCCGAAUUUCGUGAGAGACAGUGCAAGCACCUGUCCAAAUCCAUUGCUGUCAAUCCUACUCCCUCCAAGAAAGCUUGUUCAAAACCUGCUUUUGCUCCUACACUCAUGUCGGUUCCUCCUACUAUUGCUACAGUCUUGACCCCUGAGCUAGAUAAGAAAUUUCCUUCUACUAAUGAACAUACUUAUCAUGAGAUGAGGAGAUCCUUCAUCAACUCGGACAACUUCAGCAAAGAAUCGUUCAAAUACAUGACUUCUUUUUCUCCUCAUUCGAAGUCAACCUAUGUCCACAAUCGGGAGGAGGUAUCUGAGCUUUUGAAGCGAAUCCCUUUCUUCACCGAGGAGAGUCCUCGGUACAAAACAUGGGAGUACUCUUUCCACCUACUCAGCAAAUCCCAAUUGAGAUAGACAAUGAUCCCAGUCGAUCUUUCAUGGCAUGGCUUUUGUACGGCACUCCGAACACCGCCAUUUCUCACAUUAUUCCCAUGCAAGACUAUAAGGCUUUUGAAACGACAAAAAUGGUAAGCCACCUAUCCUUUUCUGCUCAUUUUGCCUUAGCCUCUUGUUUCACAACGAUUUCUCUAUUGCCUCUUCAGAUGAUAGUCGGAGUCUAAAACCUCAUGUGGCAGCACGCUCCCCUUUUCUACCGAUUGGAAACAGUCGAGACCAUGAGGGCAUACUUUGCCCAUAAUAUGAACAAGAAUGAGGAUCUUUUUGCCAACUUGGAGACAACGUAGAGUGAAGCCGUUGCUGCCCAAAAGCUUGUUGAAGAAGAAGCCAAUCUAUUGAGGAAAGCCGAGGAAGAAAAGGAGACAGUUCAAAUUGAAGCUCGUCGGCUGGCUGAAAAGAAGAAAACCAUGGCGGUCGACAAAAAUAAGCCUGAAAAAAAGGCUGCCUGAUUCGUGCCCAAUUGGUGUCUCAGCUGAUUCGUGUCCAGCUGGUGCUCCUUGAUUGAGGGAGUAAUCAACAAAAUUUAUAACCUAUUACACCAUAUACUAGGGUAGCAAAGACAAAGCUACUAUAGCAUAGUGGCUCUAGGAUCGUCCAUUGGGAUGGGUUUUCACUUCACAAUUGAUAUUAAUUCAAAGAUGAAUUGGUGCCUUUUCAUUUCAAGGUUAGCUUUAAAAGAAAACAUAAACUUGUUUGAAAGAAAAAGGUUUGGUUUUAAACUAACCACAAAUAGUAACUAAUUUUACUUACAAAGAAAAGAUGUUUCUUGGAGUUCAGAUCACUAGGCUCAGAUUCCUCAUACAAAAAGGGAGUUCCGGUCACUUGUUUCUUUUCCUCGUAUUAGAGAAUUAACAUAUAGUUAAUUCUCCAACCGGUGUUGUACAGAUGCUCCCCAUUAAUGGGUUCAAACACUAAAUCCCUCUCACUGAUGCAUCUUGCAAUGACUCAUACCUCUCACCUAGCACUUGCCAUUCAAGGUGAUCUUUAACCUUGGAUUACCCGUCAAAAGCUCGCAAGAGAUAACUAAUGGAUGUCUCCUUGGAGUCCAAAAGCUUACCAAGUGUUGGCUAUUCUAGAAAAUCCUACCUUCAAGUCACCUCCCAAAGGCUCGCAAGGGGUAAACUAGUGCAUUUCCAUGGUUGGAAAUCACUUGUCUUACCAAGUGUUGGCCCAGGUGACCCUAAGGUGUUUUAAGUUAACUAAAAACAUAGAAAUCACUAACGGGUUACACUUUCUCUUCAUUAAAAACUAAAACAACAAAACUUCCAAAUUAUGCAUGUGGAAACUUACCCGGCUUUCCUCACUCCAAGAGACAAAAAGCUUAGCCUCUCAUCCUCUGUGGAAAAAUCCUCAGAGUUUGGUUGGCUAGAAAAUGAAAAUGAAAGAGAAGACAAGAAUAUAUAUCAAAAACAGAGCAAGUGCUCUGUUCGUUGAUUCUAUAUAUUGGAUUACAUGAUAUCACAUACUUCCCCCCAGCGUCUCCUGAGAGUGUUUACAAGAGAGUUUAUAUAAGAAGGUAAUUUACCCUUCCUUGGAUACUUCCUAGCUAAGGAAUUACAUGAGUGGUUGAAUACAAGGAGAAAAUGGAAAUUUAGACACAAAAAUCUGAAGAAAAAUAUCUAAAAGAGUCGGUGCAAAAAUAUCGGGAUGCUUCGGGAACCAUUUCGCAAGAGAAAAUGGUGUCUGCGAGAUUUCGCAGACACUCAAGAGGGGCUGCGAAAUCACUUCGCAACAUCAAGCUAUUCUCACAGGGCUACGAAAUUGGCUUCCUCCUUGAGGUUCUCAGCGUUCCAGCUUGCGUCAUGUAUCGGGUAGCUUCAGGAGGAAUUUCAUAGCACUGUACAAAAAGGCUGCGGAAUUCUCGCAACAAAAGGCUGAUUUCGCAACACUUUGGAGUGAUCUGCUUUCAAUGGCUGUAACUCCUUCGUUUCAACUCCGAAUCGCGCACCGUUUGAAGCAUUGGAUUCUUGACUUCCUGAGCUUUGAAAUGGUAUAUAGAAUGUAGAAAAUGGACUUCGGAAAGUGCUCCAAAAGUGCAAAAGAAUACUGCAGCUAGCUUUCCUCUGUUUUCUUCACUCUGUUUUUCCUCUCUCCUUGCUUCUCUCCUUGCAUACUUUGAACGACUUUGGCAAAGGGAUAUGGGGCUCCAAAGCUUGGUUUCUUCAUGAAUUUGAGCUCUUCAUUGCUUUGCCAUGAAUUCCAAAUAACUCUCCUCAAUCUUGGAUUGUUUUGGUGAUCAAAUUACUAACAAAAACACCAAAACUUACACAAUUUGAUUAGAAUUGAUUGCAAGGGUCCUUAACAUGUUAAUUGGGUUAAAAGACAAUAACUACUACUCAAAAGUGUUUAAAAGGAUUAAUUACAAGCUACAAAAUAGCACUUUUUGAGUAGUAAUCACUGCCCAGCUGAGGCAUGAGCUACAAGAUCUCCGAGUGGGGUUUGCCGCUUGAAAAGAAGACUUGGAGGUUGACUACCAAAAGCAAGUGGAUGAUAUAUUCCUGUACGAAUAUCGUUGUUAUAUAAAGAAGCAUGGCAUCAUCCAUGAUGCUCCCACCUUUCCUUCGGAUGACGAGAAUGAGUUUUUAGGCGACCCUUCCCAAAAAGGAGGAGAUGUUUUCGAAGGCGGUCCCUUUGGCGAGUAGGCUUGAUAUUUUGUUUGUAUUUAUUUAUUAUGGUUGGAUGUGGCUUGGACUGCUACAUCUAUAAAGACAAUGGAUGCUUUAUUUAUUUGAAUAUAUUUACUUUAGUCAUUUGUCUCUCAUACAUUGUUUUCAUAAGCAAACUUUAUUGAAAUUACUACUUUAAAUUGGAUACAUUCAAAGAGUAGAGCAGGGGUACGACGUCCAAUAUUUGAAGAUGGUAUGUCCCUGAGUCUCUAGCCUUAGUUACAAUAUAUGACCCUUCUCAGUUAGCUUGUAGAACUAUAAUACUUUGGUUUAUACAUUUAAGGUUAUAUAAAGUGUUAAUUCAAAUUAGUGAUGUUAUGUUGUUCACCCGUUUCCUUGAUAAUUUAAACAAAUAAAACUCAAAUGCAUCCUAAAGUCUAAAUGAAAGAAAUUCUAACUAAACAAAUUAUUACAACCAUUACCUAUUUUUCUUUCAUAUAAUUAAAAAAUUAUACAUUUUAACCAAGACAUAAGUUCAAAUCACACUUAAUAAGAAAUAACCUAAAAUCAUAAUCAUUGGCAUUAAUUUUCAUAUGAAAAUAUAAAUUUUUAAAAUAAUAUAAACAAUUUCUUUAGUUAUUUUAAAAUUUUAAAAUACUAUAAAUAAAUAAUUUUCUUUAGUUCAUAUGUGAAAAUAUUCAUAAAACAAAUAAAUAUUUUAUUUAUCAUAAAUAUAUAAAUUUUUAUGGGAAUGCAUGUAGACCAAAUUAUUUUCUCAAAAUUUUAAGGAAAAUAUGAAAAAAUAAAGAUAAAAUAUAUAUAUUUGUAAUAGAACUUUCGCAUGCACAUUGUUUUCACGAUUAGGAAUUAGAGAUAGAAGAUUUUUAUAGAUUUGAAAAGAAUCAUGGAAGAAACUCAACUUAAUUUCCAAUUUUGAAAAGAAUUGUGGAAGAAAUUAAACUUAAUUUCUAAUUUUAAAAAAGAAUUGUGAAAUAAAAUCAAUUUAAUUUCCAAAAUUAAAAAGAAUUGUGGAAGAAAUUCAAAUUAAUUUCUAAUUUUAAAAAAGAAUUGUGAAAUAAAAUCAAAUUAAUUUCAAAUUUUAAAAUGAAUUGUGGAAGAAAUUCGAACAAUUAACACACCUUUGUGGCAAGGGAAUCUACCGCAUUCGUUGAACAGACUUAGUCCCAUUUUCCCAAUCAACUUAGCACGUUGUUUGAAUUAAAUACCUACGGAUUGAUAUUGUUUGAAACUCAAGCAAACCAAUAUUUUAUAGUCUAUUCUGAGCACGACUAUUUCACACCUUGGGCCCCAAAACUAAACCAAAUCCCACAUACCAUUCAACUUAACACAACCUUAGCCGCCCCUAACGGUUUGGGCUUUUGCGUGAAUUUAGGCAAGGGGUUUCUCUUUCAUGUCAUCAAUCUCUUUCAUACAUUAUAUUCAACAACAUACAGCUUCUGGAGGCCAUUGCUGCCCUAUAAAUGCAAUGGAGCUUCCCAAGCUUUUGCACUCAUACUUUCCAAGUCAGUUUUCAAAGAAGUGUUCUACUACCAUUCCAAAAAAUUAACAUGUCGGGUCAAGUCUUAGCAAGCCCUCUAGGCCAAUUUCCGGAACUGGAAAAUCGUCCGGUGGUCCAGUAUCACCCUAGCAUUUGGGGUGACCAGUUCUUAUCCUACACUCCCGAGGACGAGGUAAUCGAAUGAAAAUCUGUGUUAAAUACCUGUAUAUUCGAAAGUUGUUUUUCUUGAUGUGUUGUUUAGUAAAAUUACUUGGUUGCCAUAGGUAACACGUGCCUGCAAAGAGAAGCAGCUUGAAGAUCUGAAAGAGGAAAUUCGAAGGAAGCUAAUGAAUACAGCUGGUAACACUUCCCAACAACUAAAAUUUAUCGAUGCUGUGCAACGUCUUGGGGUGGCAUACCACUUUGAAAGAGAGAUAGAAGAAGUGUUACAACAUAUUUAUGAUAGCUAUCCUAAUGGCGAUGAUAUGGAAGGUGAUAUCUAUAAUGUUGCUCUUCAAUUUCGGUUACUAAGACAAGCUGGGUUCAAUAUUUCAUGUGGUAAGAGCCCAAAGAAUUAUCAUGUAUAAGCUAAAAUGUAUCCUUCUCAUAAGUCCAAUCUUAUGUAUGUUUAAAUUACGGUAUUUAUGUAGGCUUGUUCAAUGAGUUCAAGGAUGAAAAGGGUAACUUCAAGAAAGCUUUAGUCAGUGAUGUAAGAGGCAUGCUAGGCUUGUAUGAGGCUGCACAUCUCAGAGUUCAUGGAGAGGACAUACUUGCAAAAGCACUUGCUUUCACCACCACUCACCUCAAGGCCAUGGUAGAAAGUUUAGGAUAUCAUCUUGCAGAACAAGUUGCUCAUGCCCUGAACCGGCCCAUUAGAAAAGGUUUGGAGAGGCUAGAGGCAAGAUGGUAUAUAUCUGUCUACCAAGAUGAAGCUUUCCAUGAUAAAACUUUACUAGAGCUAGCAAAAUUAGAUUUCAAUCUAGUGCAGUCACUGCACAAGGAAGAGCUAAGCAAUCUUGCAAGGUUGGUUUUAGAUCACCCCACAUGUACUUGGCCAUUGUUAUCACUUUCCUGUAUGCUGAUCAUAUUAAUGUCUUUUAGGUGGUGGAAAGAACUAGACUUUGCUACAAAGUUACCUUUUGCACGAGACAGAUUGGUUGAAUGCUACUUUUGGAUGCUUGGGGUGUAUUUUGAGCCUCAAUACUUACGGGCUAGACGAAUUCUAACCAAAGUAAUUGCCAUGAUAUCCAUUCUAGAUGAUAUCCAUGAUGCAUAUGGCACACCUGAAGAACUCAAGCUCUUCAUAGAAGCCAUUGAGAGGUUUGCUCCUUGCACAUUACCAACCUUGAUUGUGUAUAAUAGAUGUAUUUAUAUAUACUUAAAUCAAGGAUCAUUAUUUUAUUUUCAGGUGGGAUAUUAACAGCAUAGAUCAGCUUCCAGAAUACAUGAAACUCUGCUAUGCGGCACUCUUAGAUGUGUACAAAGAAAUCGAGGAAGAGAUGGAGAAAGAAGGAAACCAAUAUCGGGUUCACUAUGCCAAAGAAGUAGUAGGACAUCUUUAACUCUGGAUCCCCACCUUUUUCAUUGAUGAUAUUUUAUAUGGUCUCAUAUAUACAUAGAUAUAACUUGGAUGAAUGUUCUUUAGAUGAAGAAUCAAGUUCGAGCUUACUUUGCUGAGGCCAAAUGGUUACAUGAAGAACACGUACCAACAUUUGAAGAGUACAUGCGUGUUGCACUAGUAAGCUCUGGAUACUGCAUACUUGCAACCACGUCCUUUGUGGGAAUGGGAGAAAUAGCAACAAAGGAGGCCUUUGAUUGGGUGACCAGCAAUCCUAAGAUUAUGUCAUCUUCAAAUUUCAUUGCGAGGCUCAUGGAUGACAUCAAAUCACAUAAGGUAUGAAGAAUAUAUGAUUCAAAUGGGGAGAAUAUAACACACUGGUUUUUUCUCAACUUUUGUAUUAUACAUGCAGUUUGAGCAAAAGAGAGGGCAUGUGGCCUCAGCUGUUGAAUGUUACAUGAAGCAAUAUGGUGUCUCUGAGGAACAAGUAUACAAAGAAUUUCAAAAGCAAAUUGAGAAUGCAUGGCUGGAUAUUAACCAGGAAUGCCUCAAACCUACUGCUGUUUCAAUGCCUCUCCUUGCUCGUAUUCUCAAUCUUACACGAGCCGCGGAUGUCGUUUACAAAGAGCAAGAUUCGUACACACAUGUUGGGAAAGUGAUGAGGGAUAACAUUGCGUCUGUCUUGAUCAACGCUGUAAUAUAACCAAAUGGAGUAGUUGAUUGCCUUGUGGAAGCCGUAAUAUCUAAUAAAUCACUAUAAAAGGAAAAAAGAAAAGAAAAAAGGUCCAAUUCAUACCUUAGCCGCCCCUAAUGGUUUGGGCUUUUGCGUGAAUAAAAACUAUUGUAAUAAUAUGGGAGAGACAUAUAAUGUUUCCUACUAGUUUCUCUCUCGGUUUGGUAGUGCUUUACAUCAUACUAUCACUUGGCUAAAUGUAUUAAUGUUGCUGCGUUGUAAAAACUCCAUCCUAAGAUGCAAACAUAACCAGGUUUGAUAUUGAUUUUCCUUUUCUAUUUCUUGCAUCCAUUUUAAUAUAUGUUUAAAACACUUUGAUCAAGUUUGACACUUUUCUAUUAUUCAAAGAUCACGUGAUGGAGAAAAUUCUCCAUAGAAAAUCACUUCUUGUAGAAAUGGUCUAGAACAUACAAAAGAGAUAAAAAAAUCUUAAGAAUUCAUCCUAACGGGUAAAAUAUUAUUAUUAUUAUUAUUAUUAGACAUGCUAAAAGUUUUAUUAUAUACCUGUUAAAAAUAAAAGUUAUGAUAUUAUAUGAGGUUGGAAUUUGAAGUUCAUUUGCAACUUUUUUUCUUCCUCGUUAUUUUUUUAAUAUACGUAAAGUAUUUUUUUUUAAAAAAAAGACUUACUAAAAGAAUUGUCAUGAGAAGGUUUUAUUUUUAUUUUUUAAUAAUAAGUUAAAAUAAAUUUGAAAAAAAAAAUAAAUUAAUAUUUUUUAACAUUUUAUUUUAAUAUUUAAUUUUGUGCAUGGAUAUGUCAUAAGAUUAGGUUACGUACAUAUAGUACAUGUAAUUAUAAACACUAAGGGAAAGUAGCUCAGGUGCAAAGUUGUCACCUCCCUUCCUACAUGCACUUUCAAGUUUUUUUCAGCAAGCUGAUGUAGCCACUUACGAGAUAAGAUUACCAUAAAUUGCAAAAAAUUAGUGAUGAAUAAAAAAAAAAUAACAAAAUGUCAUGAUUAAUCAAGAUAGAUUAUCAAAAUUUCAACAAAAAAUCAUUGAGUGAAAUUCUUUCAUAAUUUCCUAUACCAGUAAUAUUUCGAAUAUAUUAAUCACGAUUUCCAAGUUUACAAGUUUACCAUAUCUACAAAUUAACAUGUUGAAGAAGUUCGAGAAUAAUUUUUAGAGGAUUAUAAAUGUCUUUUAUUAUUAAAUUUACUUUACAAAUAGCCACAUGUUUAAUUAAGAGUAUAUUCUAAUGGUGCUGAAAACAAAUUAAGACAGGCUUCAAAUCAAAUGUACUUUGCAAUAAAGACUUUAGUGAAUGCAACUUCAAAUGACCAAUAAUGCACGGUAGCAGUACAUUAAUUUUGACUUCAAGGCAUUAAUUCGUAUUUUAUCCAUUACACAACAGAAUAUAUAUAAAUAUCCUUAUAAAAAAUAUAUAUGAUAUUUAUAGGUAACAGCUUUCUUCUUAAGCAAAGCAGCCAAGUAAGACUACAAAAUCUAUACCAAACAGAAUAUCUACUAGGACAAAUUUGGAUAAUUAUUUCCAACACUUAAAUUGAUUGGGCUUAGGUUAAAGUAUUCUUCAACUCCUAGUCAGUUUUAGUUGGGCUCUUACCAAGGUUGUGACAUCUCGAAUCUAACCAAAAGUUUAUAUAAUAUUUAUAUAAUAAUUAUAAUUUAUAUUAUUAUGGACUCAUGCACAUUUUUCACAUGUGCCUACUCAAUGAGGAUACUCAUUUAUUAUGAAAAAUGAUUAUUUGAAAACCCUUUUUAGGUUUUUUAGAGUGAACAUUUAUUUAAAAAAAAAAAAAAAACACAAUAAGAAAAAAAGAAGAGAAAAACCUUAUAUAACUCCUUAUUUGAAAAAAAGAAAAAGAAAAAAGACAAGUUCAUAAACCAAGAUUGAGUUAAAAGUCAAAUUACCUACUGAGAAAAUACGACGAUAAGUCAUACAAAACAACCCUCUAAGCUUAUAUACCUAUAAUCUUUACUAAGCAAAUGAACUGAAUUAUGACGAUUAAAUAAUUGAUUAUGGAUACUCAAGAAAAGAAAAACACAAUUAUAAAACAAGUCAUGGUGUUUGUUAUGUUACAAAAAUGUAAAAAAACAAAUGAUAAGAGAAUUUGCAUAAGUUGAUUUACGAAACUAAUUAAAAACAUGGGUUUAAUUAUUUCUAAAUUCAAAGGAUUAAAAAAGUUAUUUCAAUUUGAUGAUUUCAAUCGAUUUUAAGUACAAAAGAAAGUUUUGAUUUCAUUUUUUUUUUAAAGAAAAAAAUGCUUCAAAUUAUUCUAUUUAUAAAGAAAUGAUUUUUAUUUACUUUUUCUUAAAAAAAAAAAAUAUAAUUUACACAAAUUUUAUUUACCUUAACAUUCCUUUUUGAUUUUUAUGCAAAAGAGAAUACUUUUAUAAUUUUUGCUACAACAUGAUUUUUACAAUUUUAUUUUAAAAGAAAGUAUCCAAAUCUAAUCUUAUGUGCAAGAGAAUCUUUUUACAAAUUAUUUAGGAAAAGGAUUUUUAAAAAUUUAUUUACAAUUUUAUUUAAAAAAAUAUUUACAAAUUACUUUAAAAAAGAUUUGUACAAAUUUAUUAACAAAAAAUAAAUAUUCAGAUCCAAUUUUAUUUACAGAAAAAAAAAGAUUUUUUUUUAUAGUUUUUAUUGAAAAUAAGACUUUUACAAUUUUAUUUAAUUAGUAUGAAAAUCCAAUGUCAUUUUAUUAAUACUAGAAAAAAUUUAUUAUUAUUUUUAUUAAGACAUGAUUUUUAAAAUGUCAUUUACAAAAAAAAAAAAAAAAAAAAAAAGUUUACAAUUUUAUUUUAAAAAAUAUUUUGCAAUUUUUUUAAAAAAAAUGGUUUCAAUGUUUUAUUUAAAACAAAUUGCUUUUUAGAUUUUAUUUUAAAAAAUGAUUUUCACAAGUUAAAAAAAAAUUAUAGUUUUAUUUUUUUACAAAAAAUAAUGAAUUUCCAAAUGUAUUUAAAAUUUAUUUAAAAAUGGAUUUUAUAGUUUUAUUUAGAAAAACACUUUAUUGUUUUAUUUCAAUCUUAUUGUUUAUUUUUUUCUUUAAAAAAAAAAGUUCAAAUUUCUCUCUCUUUCUCCCUCUCUCUGUCCAUACGCUCAUUAAUUUUGAUGUUAAGGUAUCAGCCCAAUUGACAUGAUUUAUACUGACUUAGUCUUUUGGUCUAAUAGGUAACUUAAUGUAAUAUAGGAGGUCAUGAAGGUGAACUGUGAACCUUACUGAUAUUACGCAAACCCUACCAUUUAUUUAUAAUAUUGUUGUCAUAAUAUUGAAAUAUGGGAAAUUUUAAUAGACCAGACAGACACCAAUAGACCAAAGCCACCAAGCAAGAAUUGAAGAAACCAGAAAGCGUUUGUUCCAAACAUAGUAUACUGUAGAACAUGAAACAGAAGCUAGAGUAUACUAUCUUUAUUUGUGUCACAUAUAUCUCCACUCUCAUAUUGGCACAAGGUCUAUGAGCAGCAUUGAAAUAUUAUUUUUUGUCACUUCUCCAGGAUGUGUGAAUAUAUCAUUGUGGCUCUUGUACAUCACAUCUCCUGAUCGAGCAAAAUUGAGAAGACGACUAAGGAGAAGCAUUGGAACUGCAGUAGGUCUGAGGCACUCUUCAUUUAUAUCCUUCCAUGCAUUCUCGAUUUGUUUGUGAAACUCAUCAUAUGCUUGCUGCUCCGACACACCAUGUUGCUUCAUGUAACAUUCGAUGCUUGAUGCAAUAUGCUCUCCCUCUUGCUCAAAUUGCAGAAAUAGAUAGUAAUAGAAGGUGUUAAAAAGAAAUUGAUAUACAUUAGAUUUUCUUUAUCUUUAAGGGAUUGAUAUCCAAGUAUCAGUAGAAAGUGUUGUUUCAUUGUACCUUGUGGGAAGCCAUGUCAUCCAUGAGCCUAAUGAUUAUGUAGGUAGCUCUAACAAUCUUAGGGUUUUGUAGCAGCCAAUCAAAGACUUCCUUGGUUGCAGUCUCUCUCAUGCCAAUAAAAGACAUGAUUGUUAAUCUUCAAAUUGAUAAAUGGUAGUUUUUUCAUUCAUUCUUUCAUUCAUUCAUGUACAGAAUAUAUAUAGAGGGUAAUCACCAUUCUAAGAAUGUGAAAGAAUGAUACAAGGAAAUAAUGAUAUAAGGAAAUAACAACUAAUAUCCUAAUAUCUCAACAUUCUUAAUAUCUCUACUUUCCUAAUAUCUAAACAUUCCUAAUAUCUCAACACUGAAUGAUAUAAGAAAAGAAUGAUAUAAGGAAAACAUUCAUAAUAUCUCAACACUCCCCCUCAAGUUGGUGCAUAGAUGUCACACAUGCCCAACUUGUCUAAAAAAUUUGAGAACACUUGAUUUGAGACAGCUUUGGUGAGGACAUCGGCCAAUUGAUCUUUUGAUCAAAUCUUACGCAAUUCCACAAUCUUAUCAUCCAACUUUUCCUUAAUGAAAAAUCUAUCCACAUCGACAUGCUUUAUACGAUCAUGUUGUACUGGAUUAUGAGCAAUGUCACAUGCGACUUUAUUGUCACAAAACAAUCGGAUUGGUUGCCUAGAUAGGUAACCUAAAUCUUGUAAGAGGAGUCUUAGCCAUAAUGCCUCACAAAGUCCUAGAGCCAUACCUUUAAAUUCCGUUUCUACACUUAAACAAGCGACGACAUUCUGUUUCUUACUUUUCCAUGUCACAAGAUUACCACCUACAAAGGUAAAGUAACCAGAUAUAGAUCGCCUAUCAUCCACUGCACCGGCCCAAUCAGCAUUAAUAUAUACUUCUAUACUCUGAUGAUCAACAUUUUUAGCGAACAAAAUUCCCCUCCUAGGAGCAUUCUUCAAAUACCUCAAAAUACGCAUGACUGCAUUCAUAUGUUGCUCUCCAGGAUUAUGCAUGUAUUGACUCACUACACUCAAUGCAUAAGCAAGAUCUAGUAUUGUAUGAGCUAAGUACAUUAAUCUCCCCACAAGUCUCUGGUAUCUUCCCUUAUCGGUUGAUACUUGAUUAGGCUCAACACAUAAUUUCAGACCUUCUUCUAUUGGUGUAUUAAUAAGUUGACAUCCCGACAUUCUAGUCUCCUGUAAAAGAUCUAAAACAUACUUUCUUUGAGACAGAAAAAUUCCUUCACUUAAUCGAGAAACUUCAAUCCCAAGAAAGUAUUUCAGAGAACCUAAAUCUUUCAUUUCGAAUUCUAUAGAUAGAUAAUUUUGCAGAGCUUUUCUUUCUUUAGGAUCAUUUCCUUUAACUACCAUGUCAUCCACAUAUACAAUGAGUGUCAUAAUCUUACCAUGUUGCUUUUUCAGGAACAAAGUGUGAUUUGAAUUACUUUGACGAUAGCUAAAAGCUCUCAUUAACUUUGUGAACCUUCCAAACCAUGCUCUCGGGGAUUGCUUCAACCCAUACAAUAACUUCUUCAAUUUGCACACCUUCUGACAUUGCUUUUCUGACACCAUGCAUCCUGGUGGAAGAUCCAUAUAUACUUCUUCAGAUCACUCGCCAUACAGAAAGGCAUUUUUGAUAUCGAACUGUUGUAAUGGCCAAUCUAGGUUUGCAGCUAAAGACAGUAAUACUCGAACUGUGUUGAUCUUAGCUACAGGUGCAAAUGCCUCUGUGUAGUCAAUUCCAUAAAUUUGAGUGUACCCUUUUGCUACUAAUCUUGCUUUAUCGUUCAAUACUACCAUCUGCCUUGUACUUCACAGUAUAGAUCCAACGACACCUAACUGGUUUCUUUCCUGGUGGACAUUCUACAAGGUCCCUUGUUUCAUUCUUCUGCAAUGAUUUCAUCUCUUCAUUCAUGACUGCUUUCCACCUUGGAUUAGCUAAGGCUUCCUGCACACUGUUAGGAAUAGCUACAGUAGAUAAUUGAUUUACAAAUGACUUAUUUGAUUCAGACAAAUGAUGGUUAGACACAUAGUUGCUCAUGGGAUAUUUGACUUUGGUAGACAAUUUAGGUUCAUAUGUGGGUUUAGGAAUACCUCUAUUAUGACGGUAUGGUAACCGUUUCAUGAAUAGAUCAGGUUCCAAAUUAAGAACACCCUCAACAGACGAUGAUUGGUUUGGUAUUUCAGUGAAGACAUCUUCGGACCCAAAUUGUUGACCACUCAUAUCCAACUCACCCGCUUCCUGGUUCACUAGUUCAGAUUGUCCAGAUUCAUCCUCCUCAGAGAUAUGAUAAUCAUAAUUGAGAGUUUGAAUUUCCUUAUGGUACUCCCCCUGAAGUUCAGACUCAGAUGAAAAAUGCAUCAAAUCUUCAUGAAACACCGCAUCCAUUGUAAUAUACAUUCAUUGAGUUGGAGGAUGAUAACAUCAAUAUCCCUUUUUGUGUAAUGCAUAUCCAACAAACACACAUUGCAAUGCAUGGGAAGUUAACUUGGUGCAUUGGUGUUUGUGUAGAUGCACAAAUGCCACGCAACCAAAAACACGAGGAGGUAGAUUUGGGGUAGUUGGGACAACUACGACAUUAGUAAGAGCUUGGAGAGGUGUUUGGAAGUUAAUUGAGCUGGAAGGAAGUCGAUUGAUCAACUAUGCAGCAGAUGUGAUUGCUUCUCCCCAAUAAGAUAUCGAUGUUUUUGCUGCUAUCAAGUAAGCACAGACAACCUCUAACAAGUGCCGAUUUUUUCGUUCAGCACAACCUAAGCCUUACUCUUUCAAGGGAAUGUUCCUAAGUCCUAUUGGGGAGAAGUUGUUCUUACUACCACAUACAUGAUAAAUAGAAUUCCGUCACGAGUUUUAGACAACAAAAGCCUCGUAGAGAUACUUAAGAGUUUCUAUCCACACUUCAGAACCUCAAAUGGGCUCACUCCUAGGGUAUUUGGGUGCACUGCAUUUGUUCAUGUCCACAGCCAACAUAGAGACAAGCUAGACCCCCGAGUCAUAAAAAUUGUCUUUCUUGGUUACUCAUCCACUCAAAAAGGAUACAAGUGUUACAAUCCCACAACAAAAAUUUUUUACAUCUCUGCAGAUGUCACCUUCACAGAAAAUAAACCUUUUUUCCCAAAGUCCUAUUUUUAGGGGGAGAUUUCAAUGAUAGAAGAUAGUCCUGAGUCCUUUGAACCUCUUGACCUUCCUCAUGUCUCAACCCAUGGUGAUGAAAUACCUAAGUCAUCCGAGUCAAUCACACUUGAGUCACCCAAUUUUACCACUAAACCCGUGUCAUCUAAUGUUCCAGCCAGUGUCACUCACAAUUUUCCAUAGUUUCCUAAGGUGUAUUCAAGGGAAAAGGCCAUUCCAGAACAAAAGUAUGUCCAAAAAUCCAACUUAGACCCUGGGAAUGAAAUCACGCUAAGAUCAGACCCACCUUUACAUACACAACCUGGUGAAACUUCUACUAACUCAACCUAGACCUAGACCUUCCCAUUGCUAUCAGAAAAGGCACCAGAGAAUGCACUAAUUGACCACUCUAUCCACUAUCACACUAUGUGUCUCUUAAGCACCUAUCACUAGCCCACAAAAAUUUAAUUGUGAGUCUAAACACCACUAUCAUCCCUAACACUGUUUCUAAGGCAUUGACAAAAAGGGAAUGAAAUGAUGCUAUGAGAGAGGAGAUGAGUGCCUUAGAAAAGAAUAAAACAUGGGAGAUUGUUGAAAGACCGAAAGGGAAAAACAUUGUUGAUUGCAAGUGGAUUUUCACACUGAAAUAUAAGACUGAUGGAUCUCUUGAGAGACAUAAAGCAAGAUUAGUAGCCAAAGGGUACACUCAAACUUAUGGAGUAGAUUAUCAGGAGACUUUUGCUCCAGUUGCAAAAAUAAAUGCUAUAAGAAUCCUACUGUCAUUGGCUGCCCACUACAAUUUGGAACUCCUAUAGUAUGAUGUUAAGAAUGCAUUUCUUCAUGAUGAUUUAGAUGAAGAGAUUUACAUGAACAUCCCCCCGAGAUUUGAGGGAAACACGGGUAAUAAGGUGUGCAAGCUAAAAAAGGCCCUUUAUGGGCUAAAACAAUCUCCUAGGGCUUGGUUUGGGAGAUUUGCAAAAGUCAUGAAAGAGUCUGGGUACAAACAAAGCCAAGGUGACCACACUCUCUUCAUUAAGCACUCGGUUGCAGGGGGAGUAACUGCUCUUCUAGUCUAUGUUGAUGACAUCAUAGUGACUGGAAAUGAUGAGAGAGAAAAACAUGAAGUGAAGCAGAGAUUAGCAAUAAAGUUUGAAAUAAAGGAACUAGGGAAACUAAAGUACUUCCUUGGUAUUGAGGUGGCAUAUUCCACACAAGGGAUCUUCAUCUCUCAACAAAAAGUAUGUGAAUGAUUUAUUGGCAGAAACAGGGAAGAUUGGGUGUAAACCAGUGUCUACCCCAAUGGAUCCAAACCACAAGUUGGGAGAAGCUAAAGAAGAACUAGUGGUGGAUAAAGAAUGUACCAGAGGCUGGUUGGUAGGCUCAUAUACCUUGUUCACACUUGGCCAGACAUCGCCUACUCGGUGAGCAUGAUCAGUCAAUUCAUGCAUGCUACAAGAGAACCUCAUCUUCAAGCUGCUUAUAGGGUGCUGCAUUACUUGAAAGGCAACCUCGGGAAAGGAAUUUUGUUCAAGAAGAACAAUACUCUUGCUCUAGAGUAUACACUGACGCUGACUAUGCAAGUUCCUUAGUGGAUCGAAGAUCAACUACAGGGUAUUGUACUUUUCUUGGAGGUAAUUAGGUAACAUGGAGAAGUAAAAAGUAGAAUGUGGUAGCAAAAUCGUCUGUAGAAUCAAAGUUUAGGGUCAUUGCUCAAGGGUUGUGUGAACUACUUUGGCUGAAGAUUAUUCUAGAUGAUUUGAGAAUCAAGUGGGAUGGUCCUAUGAAACUCUAUUGUGAUAACAAGUCAACUAUCAAUAUUGCUCAUAACCCUAUACUACACGAUAGGACAAAACAAAAUAAGAUCGAUAGGCAUUUCAUCAAAGAAAAAUUGGAGAAAGGAGUAGUGUGUAUGUCCUAUGUUGCAUCAGAACAUCAAUUAGUUGAUAUCCUAACAAAAGGGCUGAACAGUUCAAUGUUUCACAGUCUUGUAUUCAAGCUGGGAAUGGAAGACAUCUAUUCCUCAGCUUGAGGGGGAGUGUUGAGCUAUAAAUAGAUAGGAGAAUUAUUUUCCUAUUAUGUUAGUUUCCUAUUUAUGUAAAUAGAUAGUUUUAUUAGUUUCCUAAUUCUGUAAAUAGAUAGUUUUAUUAGUUUUCUAUUUCUAUAAAUAGAUAGUUUUAUGAUUUAGGAAUAAAUUAGUUUUCUAUUAUGUCUCUUGUUUUCUAUUUCUUCUCUUGUAAUCUUCUAUAUAAACUGUGUGUAUGGUCAAUCUAAGAGACAAAAAUUAUUAUUUUCCAUCCCAUAUUUCGUAUCAAGAUGCAUGCCAUAAAAAUGGUAAGAUGAACAACAACAAGCCAAGCAACAAAAAAAAAAAAAAAAUGGAGUUUUUCCACCUUGUCCUCAUUGCAAGAAGACAAAUCAUUCUCCACAAAAAUGUUGGUGGAGACCAGAUGUGAAAUGCAACAAGUGUGGUAAACAAGGACAUGUGAAGAGGAUUUGCAAAAAUCAACAACAAAAAGAAACUAGUGCAACAAUUGACUAUUGUCAAGAGGAGCAAUUAUUUGCAGCAACGUGUUUUGCUAAUAAAAGCACCUCUGAAAGCUAGCUUGUGGAUAGUAGUUGUACAAACCACAUGACAAAUAAUCAAGAUCUCUUUAGAGAACUUGAUAGAACAACUAUUUCCAAAGUCAGAAUUGGAAAUGGUGAGUAUAUUCCAGUUAAGGGCAAAUGAACGGUUGCUAUCAAAAGCCAAAUAGGUUUGAAACUCAUUUAUGAUGUUUUGUUUAUGCUUGACGUUGACCAAAACUUACUCAGUGUUGGACAGCUCGUUGAGAAAUGAUUUAAAGUUUAUUUUGAAGAUAGGAAUUGCAUUAUCAAGGAUGUUGAAGGCAAAGAGGUGUUUAACAUAAAAAUGAAGGGCACGAGUUUUGCCUUGAAUUUACUAUAAGAUGAGCAUGCUGCUAUUUUACAACAAUAUAGCACAACAAUGCUUUGGCACAGAAGGCUUGGGCACUUUCAUCAUGAUGUUGUGCUCUACAUGAAGAAAAAUAAAAUAGCUGAAAGACUUCCCGACUUAGAAAAAGAUCUUCCUAUAACUGCUACUUGUCAAUAUGGGAAGCAAACUAAACUUUCCUUUCCAAAGAAAACAUCCUAGAGAGCAACCCAAAAAUUGCAACUAGUGCAUACUGAUAUUGGUGGACCUCAAAAGACGUCAUCCUUGAAAGGGAAUGUAGGCAUUGUUCACCAGCUCACUGCACCAUAUAAUCCACAACAAAAUGGAGUCGUAAAGAGAAAAAAUAGAACGAUUUUGGAGAUAACAAAAUGCCUUCUGCAUGAAAAAGAUCUACCUAAAGUUUUUUGGGCUGAAGCUACAAGUACAGUAGUAUAUUUGCUUAACAAAUUGCCAACAAAAACGUUAAAGAAGCAGACCCCUUUUGAAGUUUGGUUUGAGUUUCUACGUGGAAGACUUGGAGUUUGCAUCUACUAAGUCAAGAAGGAGUGUUGAAUUUUGACCUAGUAUCUACUAGAAUUUGAAUUUUGAAGUUAAAUAUUGCAGUUGGAGUCUUGCACAAAAUCUAUAACAUCCAAAUAUUUUCUUGUUUUUAUUUGGUCAAGAUUUGGUUUCUAUUUUAUAGGAAGUAGUUGUUCAUCAUCUAGUAGCUUGAUUUUAUGCUAUUCUAAUGUCAUUUCAGUUACAAGCUCAUGUAUAAAUUCAACACUCUUCAUCAAUAAAAUGUGUGUUCCAGCAACCCAAAAUAUAUAUUCUGCAUAAGUGUUUAAAUCUUAGACCAACACAUCCUCGUCACUAGUAGUUGUGCCUCUCAGGUUACCUUUUUUAUCUCUCAGCUCAGCUCCACCUUUGCUCUUCAUGAUCUUGGUUCCCUUUACUAUUUCUUUGGCAUUGGGGUUUCUCAUAGUACUGAUUCUCUUCAUCUCUGCCAACAAAAAUAUGUGAAUGACCUGCUCACUCGUACUGCCAUAACUGAUGCUAAACUUGUUCUUACAUUGGGUUCCUUGGCCAAACCUCUCUCUCUCACUGACGGUGAUCUACUUCAUAUCAUAACAUUGUUGGCGCAUUACAGUAUGUUACUGUUACAUGUCCAAACCUUUCUUUUGCAGUUAACAAGGUAUGCCAGUUUAUGGCUUCCCAACGACUACCCACUAGCUAGCUUUCAAGAAUAUAAAAAGUAGUUAAAAAUAAAAUAAAAAUAUAGACUUAAAAUAAAAAAUAAAUUAAAAAUGAAUAAUUAAAAAUUUUAAAAAUGAUAAAUAUUUUUUUUUUUUUUAAAGUUUUCAAAAAAAUCUCAGAUAUUUUCAGAUAUAUCGGCAAUGUAUCCGAUAUAUCUCUAAUAUUUUGAUAGACUUCCUCUAUUGCUUUGUGCGUCACUUCACACUCGAUUUUUUCGCCGAUUUAUCGAUUUCAAAUUAACCGAAAUAUCAACAUAUUUCGGGGAUUUUUCUGAUAUUCCUCCGUUCAAUAAUGUUGCUUAAUAUCCUUUUAGGGUAGUCCGAUAUCCGAUAUAUUGGCGAAAUAUCACCGAUAAAAACCGAUUUUUCAAUCCAUGCUUAAUAGUGGGUUUCCCUUUUGUUUGGCCUCUUGUAGACCCCCAUUUUGGGGCUCGGUUUUUUUUAUCUCUAUUUUCUUUGUAGGUGUCACCACCCCAGGGAGCCAUGCGUCGCCUCUUUGGUGGUUGAUAGGGAAUCAACAUUGCUUUUCGGGGACCUAUGGUAGGUUGACACGUGGAAGAAUAUUCUGGAGAGCUAAUUUCCGUUAUGGGGGAGCAUAUGAGAGAGGAUAUUCUGCAGGCAUUUUGAUUCUCACAUGUGCAUGAUCACUUUGAGUAUUCAUUGAUUUCCGCAUCAAUUGUCACAUCAGCUUCAUUUUAUUUGUAGAGACCCGACUUUAGGGACUUAGAGGGGUGCUACGGUCUUUACCGUACCUUCCCGAUAAGUAAUCUGACCCCCGAGCUCAAUCCAGUUUUUCACGGACCACCUUUUCCAAAUAAGGAGUCACACUUAGGGUUUUCUUUCUUAUUUUAUUUACCCUUUAAAAAUAAAACAAAAUUAAGUGGCGACUCCAAGUCAUUUUUCUUAAUCAGUAAAAUCAUUUUCAAAAUAAAAAUUGAGCUCGCCAUCGAGUGAAAAACGCAUUAGCUGAAAUGCGGGGUCCACACCUCUGUUUUUUUUAUAAAAAAAAAAAAAAAUCCUUUCCCAUUCUAUGGCCUUGAGUGAGCAUUACGUAUUUCAACUAUUUUGACAUGUUCAAAAUAAAAUACUAAGAAUUUAAAGGGAAUUUGUUCGACAAGUACUUUUUUUUUAACAUAUUUAUUUAUACAUUAUUUAGUUUAGGUUGCAUUAUUCUAUGUAAAUAAUUUAUUGGGUAUGGGAAUUAUUUUUAUAAAUGGCUGAGUAGAUUCAAUUUUAGAUAUUUAUUUAUUGAUCAUGAAAAAUAUUUAUUAAAACAUGGUUUAACAACCAUGCGAUGGAAUCAACCUAUUAAAAAAAAUAAACUAAUACUAUAUUAUUUUAACUUAAAUUAUUUCUUGAUGGUAGCAAUGUUGAAAAAACAAAUAUCAAUAAAGACUAAUCUUAACGAGAAAAUAGUAAUUAACAUAAUUUUAUAUUAACUUGUAAAAUUGGGUCAACAUAUAAAUAUAUUAAUUGUAACAAGAAGACCUACAUUGAUAAUGAAACGUCAAUAUUAGUCUAUAUUGCCAACUUUGAAAUAUUAAUAUAUGUAUAUAGCAUAUGUUUUCAUGAUUAGGAAUUAGAGAAAAUUUUGUAGAAGAUUUUUCCAAAUUUGAAAAUAACUAUGGAAGAAAUUCAACUUAAACACGUUUCUUUGUGGAAGAGUUGCAUGUCUACUCAAGUCUCAGCAUGUUCCCUAGCCCAAAUUUCUAAACCCAAAAAUCACCCUGUGGCAAGCUUGAAGGUAAUUCAAUGAAAAUAUGCUUAAAGCUCAACGGCUAAUUUACUUAUUUGGAAGUCAUUUUUCUCUAUGUGUUGGAUGAUAAAAUUUGUUGGUCUAGGUUACACGUUCCUGCAAAGAAGAGCAGACGGAGGAUCUGAAAAAUGAAUUGAAACUGGAAUUAAUACGUAGUGUUAUUAUAUAUCGAUGGAAAUUAGUUUAAAGUUGGAUAUAUUAAUACUUAGGAUGUUUGGUAAAACUUAAUACUUAUUAUUUAAUUAUUUGAGUUGACUUUAAAUUAAAUUAUACUUAAAUUACUUACUUAAAACUUAUUACUUUAAGUAUUAAGAUAUAAAAUUAACUUAAAGUUUAUUUAAAAUCAUUAAGUUGACAUAUUUAUUCUUAUAAAUUAUAAUUAGAAUAGAAAAAGUUGAGUUUAUAGAGUUGUAAAAGAGAUCAUGAAGGUAAUUAAGACAAAUAAAGAUAAAAAGAUAAAAUGAAAAUAUAAAAUUAAAAAUAAAUUAAUUAUUUUUACUUAUUAUUUAAAGUUAUUUUUUUUACUUUAAAUCAUAUUAUCAAGUUAUUUUAUUAAAUAUGCUUAAUUUACUUAAUGACUUAAAUUAAGUUAUUAAAUUAUUUUAAGUUAUUAAGUUGAUUUAUCAAAUUUCUACUUAUUGAAUACAAAUAUAGAAGGAAAUUAGGAAAGCAAAGUAGAUGGGUUAUUAGGUGAAAGCUUAUCAAAUCCGCCUAUCAACAUAUCACACUUUUACCAAAAACCCACCUCAUGCCAAGCCUAUAAGUUGUCAAGUCCUUAUGAUCCAACAACUUUCUUAUGGUUCCCACACGGAUUUCUAUUGUUAUCAAAACAAAAAGUUUAUAAUAAAAUAUAUAUAUAUAUAUAUAUAUAUAUAUAUAUAUAUAUAUAUAUUAUAAUUCAUAAAUAAUCUGACAAUUAAAUAAAAAGAUAAACUCAUUUGUGGAAUAUAAUUAAUAAAAAAAAAAGAGAAGUGUUAAGAGUUUUAAAUUAUUAUUAUUUUAUAUUUUUUAUAUUUUAAAUAAAUAUAAUUAAAAUAAUGGAUAAAAAAUGUGCACUUUGUACCUUCAACCUAUAAGAGUUGUAAUAUUUUCAAGUUGGUAUUCUUUAACAUAAGUCAAAUUCUAACUUAUUCAACUUUGACAAUUUUAACCUAAUCCUCAUAUUGGUACAAAUUAGACUAUUCUACCUUAUUUAAGUUUUAGUCCUAAAAAAAUCAUGAGAAUUAUGGACCGAAUGAUGUAUAUUAAAUUUCUAAGAUUCAUAUUUUAAAAUUAAUAAAAUUGAAGUAUUUUCCUUCUGGAGAUUAUUUAUUAUGAUUUAUCUUUACUUUAAUUAAUUAAUUAAUAUAUAUAUAUAUAUAUAUAUAUAUAUUUCAUUGGUAGAAUUGUCCUUAAUGGCCUUUGUACAUAGAGUACAUUCCUGGUCAUAAGAAUACGUGUCAAAUAUAAAUAUGCUUUUCAAAUUUAAUCAUUCUUAUUAUAAGUUUAUUAUUAUUAUUAUUAUUUUAUUAUAUACCUUGUAAAAAUAAAAGUUAUGAUCUUACGUAAGGUCGCAAUUUGAAGUUCAAGUUCAUUAAACUGUGCAGAGUUUAGCUUUCUAUAUAUAUAUAUAAAGAAUCAAUUCCAUCAAUUCAUUAUUUUUUAAGAAUUGAAAAUUACAUAAAUAUUGAUGGUUAUAUUUUACAAAAACAUUGAAACAAAACAAUAAUAUAUUAUUAAAGUUGUUUUACUAAAUAAAAUAAUAUAAUCAUCGUUAUAUAUAUUCUUGUACUUUGUUUAUUAACAAUUUUAUUAUAUUUUCAUUUUAACUUAAGAUAAAGACAAAGGGUUGAAUUGAAAAUUUUAAUUUGCAUAAUUUAAUUAAUUUGAAAAGAAUUUUAAAUUGAGAAUUUGAAAAACAAAUUCCAAAUAAUAAAAAUAAUUUGGAAAUGAAUUUUAAAUUAAGGAUUUAAAAUUUAAAAUUUGCAAAAGGAAAUUUUUUAUAAAUCUUUUCUAAUUUUAAAUAUGAAAUAUUUCCAAAUCUUUUUAAAACUCUUAAGUUUCUAAAUUGUUUUUCAUAAAAUAUAAUCUUUAAAUUAAUUGCAACUAUAUAAAGUUUUCUCCUAUAUAUAUCCUACCUAAAUGUAUAUUUGAUGACGGUCUGACUUGUUUUUCUAUUCUUAAUCUCUAAAGAAAGAAUUCAUUACAAGUACCUACAUCCCCUCAGAAGCUUAGAGGAGUUAGAGCAUUUGGAGGUACUACAUUGUGGAUGUGGAUUAAGGUGUAGGUUCUAGCUAGUGAAUCAUUAAGGUAAAACGGUUAUUAAAUAUGUGUACUUUAAUUUCAAAUAGUGGAUUAUAAAUUAGAGGUUUUAAAUCUUGUGAUUUUUUAUGCCCACAAUUAGCAUUGAUAUUUUCAAAUUAAAAUUUCUUGUGUCCCUUAUUUGAUUAUUUUUAUUAUUUUGAUUAUCCCUAUUAUCUCUUAGUUUAAAUUGAGUUAAUAUUAUUUAACUCUUAUAUUAUUUUCUUUAAAAAUCACCCCACUCUCAAUGUCAUCCUCUUGGACAAAAGCGUGUAUAUAUAUAUAUAUAAUUCACAAAUCUUGAAAAUAUAUUUAAUAUUAAAAUAUCAUUCCAUGUAAUUUGGAAGUAUUCAAAGAUGUAAAAGAUAUGAUAAUAUAUGUAUAAUUAUUUUUUAUUUAAAAAUAUUAAUAAUUACAUUUGCAACUUUAUUUUGUCCUCAUUAUUUAAUUAAUAUACAAAAAGAUAUGGGAAUAGAAUUAUCAAAAGAAUUGUCAUAAUAAAGCUUUAUAUUCUUCAUAAUAAGUUAAAUUAAGGUGAUAUUUAUUUAUUUUACUUAAAUCUAAAUAAAAAUUAAUUUAACUUAAUUGUAAAUAUAACUUAAUAGAAUUAAUUAUUAUAUUUUUUUGUUUUUUAUAAUUUUAUUUUUGUUAAGCGUUAAAUAUUAAUUGGGUGAGAGUCCUACUAAGGUUGUGCUUUGACUUAUUCAAAAAAUUAUUUUUAGUAAUGAGCAAAAAGUUAAAUAUUUUACUUUUAUCUAUUCAUUAAAAAAAUCUUAAAAAUUAAUUUUUUUUUUGUUUUAUUUAAAAUAGUGAAUGGAGUUUGAGUCGAAUUUUAAUUAUUUGGUAAAAUAAUAAAAUUAGUUUUUUAUUUAAAAGAAAAAAUAAAGGUAAGUCAAAGAUAUAAAGAUAAUUAUUUUAUUUUAAAUAAGAAAGAUUCAAAUAAAUAAAAAAAGAAAAAGUUAAUGAGCUACAAAUUUUAGGAUUAAUUGAUUAAAAUGGGUGAAAAUAUCUCAAAUUUGUAAAACUAAUCUCUUCCAUUUUUUAACUUAAAGAGUAACACUUGUUUGACAUAAAUACCCUUCAACAUUUUCAUUAUUUACAUAUGUAUUUUAAAAGAAAAUGUAAUUUUUGUAAGAAAAAAGUGAGAGUAUUCUUAUGUAUUUUUUGGAUGAAAAAAAAUGGUUUGCAAUUUGAUAUUUCUUUUGUCCUUUUUAAUCGGUUAUCCCCAAAUUUUUUUUACGGAAAAUACAAAUUCUAAAAAUAUUUGGUUUUAUUGCUAUUUUUAAAUUUAAAUAUAUUUUUACCUUAAUUAUAUUUUUAUUUCAAAAUAAUUGAUGAUGAUUUAGUUGAAUUCUAACAUUUAAUGGAGUUUUAGUUGAAUUCUAACACUAUAAUAUAAAGUGACCCGAUAAAAUUAUAAAAUCAAUUUUAUUUAAAAAUAAAUAAAGUUGAGUUAAAAAUAGUAUUAAAUAAAUUAAAUUUUAAAAAUAAAAUUUAAUAGUUUUACCUUAAAUAAAAAAUAUUAAAAGAAAAAAUAAUUAGAUAGAUAGGCUUUAAAUUUUAUUAAGAGAAACAUAAAUUUUUUUUUUUAAAAUUGUUUUUAUUUAUUUUCAAUUUUAAAAUUUUAUUUCUAUUUUUUAUUUAAAUGUAUUUUCAAAUUUUAUCUAAAAAUAGUUAAUAGAGUUUUGGUUGAAUUUUAAGACUAUAAGAUAAGCGAAUAGUUGAAAUUAUAAAAUGAAAUUUUUUAUUAAAAUGAAAAGAAAGUUAAGUUAAAGAUACUAUAAAUUAUGAUUAGAAGAAUGAAAAUCAAUAUAAAAAAAAAAAUGGUUUUAUCUUAAAUUAGAAAUAUUUAAAAAAAAAAAGAAUAAUGUAUUGAAAAAUAUAACUUUGUGGUAGAAGAGCAAUGACUAUGCUCUUUUGAAUACCCUAGUUUAUGUUCAUUUUUUAAAAUUUAAAAAGAAUAAACAUCUUUUAGAUAUUAACAAAAAUAAAUUUAAAUAGAUUCUUUAACAUAAAACCUAAAAAACAUUUGUUGUUGGCCAAAAAAUCCAACUAUGAGCCCUUUUAUGACAAGUGAAACUUCCAAAUCUUCUGAAGAGUUUUUUAUCUUAGUAUUAAAAUCUAAAAGCAGAAUAUUUAUACUAUGAGUUGUCUUUUUAACAACUAAUUUAUUUUAUUAAAUGUAAUAAUAUACAUUAAUAUGUUGUAAAUGAAAAGUAAUGAAUGACCACAUUGAUGGCCAUUAUGAACUCCAUUUACUCAUCUUUAAGAUGAGUAAUGGGAGUUCAUAUUAUGAAGCCUAUAAAAGGCUUCUUACCCCCCCAUGUAAAAGGAUCCCGAGAAAAGAAAGAAAGUUCUUCCUCUCAUUCUCUCUCUCUCUCUUUCUUUCACUUUCUCGAUUCUCUUAUUUGAUUCCUUCUUCCAUAUUAUAUAUCAAAGUAAGAUAUAUUUUAUCUCUACUACUUUGAUUUGCAUUAUAUUUGUCCUUGUUUUACAACACGUUAUCAGCACGAAUUGCUCUGAAGGUAAUUCUCGUAUCUUAAACUUGAAGUUAUUUAUAUAAAAUAAAAUUUUACAUAUUUAUAUUAUUGUUGAUUUGUUUUGUUACAUAUUGUUAAAAGUUAUAAACAAAUUAUUUGAUUUUGUUUAUAAUCAAAGUUAUACCAAUGCUAUCAAGUUAUUAUAACUGAUUUUAAUAAUAUUGUUUUGUCAUAUAUAUGAAGUUAUUUGACAAUGUCGAAUAUUACAAAACUCGAAUUUGUGGCACUUGACAUUUCGGGAAAGAACUAUCUAUCUUGGAUCCUUGAUGCUGAAUUACAUCUUGAUGCAAUGAACCUUGGAGCUACGAUCAAACAAGGAAAUCAAGCAUCCCUGCAGGAUCGCGCAAAAGCAUUGAUUUUCCUUCAUCAUCACCUCCAUGAAGGUUUAAAAAAUGAGUAUCUUACGGUAAAGGACCCUUUUACUCUAUGGAGUAAUUUGAAAGAAAGAUAUGACCACUAGAAAACUGUGAUUCUCCCAAAAGCUCGAUAUGAUUGGAUGCACCUAAGGUUGCAAGAUUUUAAAACUGUUAGUGAAUACAACUCUGCACUUUUCAAAAUCAGCUCUCAAUUAAAGCUGUGUGGAGAAAAAAUCACAGAGGAAGACAUGUUAGAGAAAACUUUUACUACGUUUCAUGCCUCGAAUGUGCUCCUGCAGCAGUAAUAUCGAGAGCGUAGAUUUACAAAAUAUUCUGAAUUAAUAUCAUGUCUUCUUGUUGCUGAACAAAAUAAUGAGCUUUUGAUGAGAAAUCACCAGUCUCGUCCAACUGGAUCUGAACCAUUCCCUGAAGUGAAUGCAAUAUCGUCCCAAACUCGUGGACGUGGACGAGGACGAGGACGUGGUCGUGGUCAUGGAAGAAAUCCUCGAUACCAUGGUUCUUAUAGUAAUAAUUCUCAUAAAAUGAAAGCCUCAUUGCACCACCAGAAGUGGAACAAUACUGAGACAAUACAAGAAAAUGGGAAGCGUUUACAAGAUAAACCUCCUAAGAACCAUGAGAAUAAUUGUUAUAUAUGUGGUAUGAAGGGGCAUUGGUCGCGUACCUGUCGUACGCCCAAACAUUUGGUCGACCUUUACCAAGCAUCAAUAAAAGCUAAAGGAAAAGAGAUAGAGAUGAACUUUACCGAUGGUGAUGGAUUGGACCUAACCUACUAUGACAUUGAUUUCUUUGGAGGUCCCAAUGAAAAACCAGACCAUUUGAUAAAUGAUGAAAAAAUUAACAUUGAUUGAUGUUACUCUAUAUAUACAAUAAUAUAUUAUUAUGUCUUAUAUUUACAUCUGAUUUACUUUGUUAUUUACAUUAUGCCUUUUUUUUUGUUAUAUCUGAAAUCCAUGUGUUAUUUGGUCUCAAGAUGAAUGAGGAUGAUGUAUGUCUCGCAGACUGUGCGACCACGCACACAAUUCUUCAAGAUAAAAGAUAUUUCCUUGAAUUGACAUUAAUAAAAGCUAAUGUAAGUACCAUAUCUGGUACUACAAACUUAGUUGAAGGCUCUGGAAGAGCAAACAUAACAUUGCCAAAUGGAACUAGAUUCCAUAUAAAUGACGCGUUAUAUUCUAGCAAAUCCAGAAGAAAUUUGCUCAGUUUUAAAGAUAUCCGCAGAAAUGGAUAUCAUAUUGAAACUAUGAAUGAAGAUAAUGUAGAAUAUCUUUACAUUACUUCCAUUAUAUCUGGCCAGAAGCUUAUAAUGGAAAAAUUGCCGGCUUUUUCCUCUGGGUUGUAUCAUACAACUAUAAAGCCUAUUGAAUCAUAUGUUGUCGUGAACCAGAAGUUCAACGACCCAAAAGUUUUUGUCCUUUGNNNNNNNNNNNNNNNNNNNNNNNUGGUCACAUGUUUGUCUCCUUUCUACACGUAACGUAGCCUUUGCUAGACUCCUUGCACAAAUAAUCAGAUUACGAGCACAAUUUCCAGAUUAUCCAAUUAAGACAAUACGUCUUGAUAAUGCUGGCGAAUUUACUUCUCAAACAUUCAUUAACUAUUGCAUGUCAGUAGGGAUAAAUAUUGAGCAUCCUGUUGCUCAUACUCAUACCCAGAAUGGUUUAGCAGAAUCCUUCAUCAAACGUCUCCAAUUAAUAGCUCGACCAUUACUAAUGAAAACCAAAUUACCUACUUCCGCCUAGGGACAUGCUAUUAUGCAUGCUGCAGCUUUAGUCCGUAUUCGACCUUCAACUUACCAUGAAUACUCCCCUUCACAACUUGUGCUUGGAAAACAACCAAAUAUCUCUCACUUACGAAUCUUUGGUUGUGCAGUAUAUGUACCAAUUGCACCUACACAACGCACUAAAAUGGGUCCCCAACGAAGACUUGGGGUUUAUGUAGGUUUUGAUUCUCCAUCUAUCAUAAGAUAUCUUGAACCUUUGACUGGAGAUGUUUUUACAGCCCGCUUUGCAGAUUGUCAUUUUAAUGAGAGUGUUUUCCCAUCAUUAGGGAGAGAAAAGUCGAUUCUUGAAGAACGACGAGAAAUUAGUUGGAAGACAUCUACUAUGACCCAUCUUGAUUCUCGUACAAAUCAAUGUGAACUAGAAGUUCAAAGGAUCAUUCAUUUGCAAAAUCUUGCAAAUCAAUUACCAGAUGCAUUCAUUGAUACAAAGAAAGUGACAAAGUCACAUAUCCCGGCUGCAAAUACUCCAGCACAGAUUGAUGUCCCUGUAGGACAGUUAACAAAUGAAUCUAAGAUACGCCUGAAGCGUGGUAGACCUGUCGGCUCAAAGGAUGUAACUCCCCGGAAGAGGAGAACCCAAGAAAAACUUGGCACUCUAGAAGAUGCCAUCAAAAUGACUGAUCAGUUUAAAAUUGAUAAAUCUAUAGCCCUAGAAGAGGCACAAAUAAUGCAGAAAGCCCCUGAAGAGGUAAAUAUUGAACAAGAAGCCCCCGAAGAGGCACAUAUUGAACAAGAAACCCCUGAAGAUCCACAUAUUGAACGAGAAGCCCCUGAAGAGGCACAGGUACCUGAAAAUUGUGAGAUCUCAGUAAGUUAUGUACAAACGGGAGAAAAAUGGGAUUGAAAUAAUAUUGUUAUUAACAAUAUUUUUGCUUUCCAAGUGACCUUUGAUAUCAUAAGAAAUGAUGAAGAUCCCGAACCACGAAAUGUGGAAGAAUGUCGACAUAGAAAUGAUUGGCCAAAAUGGAAAGAAGCUAUACAGGCAGAAUUAAACUCAUUAACAAAACGAGAAGUUUUUGGACCUGUAGUCCAAACACCUGAAGAUGUAAAGCCUGUUGGGUACAAAUGGGUAUUUGUACGAAAGCGCAAUGAGAAUAAUGAGAUCAUAAGAUAUAAAGCGCGAUUAGUGGCACAAGGUUUCUCGCAGAGACCUGGUAUUGACUACGAGGAAACAUAUUCUCCCGUCAUGGACGUAAUCACAUUUCGUUUCUUAAUUAGUUUGGCAGUCUCAAAAGGACUGGAUAUGCGUCUCAUGGAUGUUAUUACAUCAUAUUUAUACGGAUCCAUGGAUAAUGAUAUAUACAUGAAAAUCCCCAAAGGAUUUAAAUUGCCUGAUGCAAAUAAUACAAAGCCUCGUAGCAUGUACUCAAUCAAGUUACAACGAUCCUUGUAUGGAUUAAAGCAAUCUGGACGCAUGUGGUACAAUCGCCUUAGUGAAUACUUGCUAAAAGAAGGGUAUGUGAAUAACCCUAUAUGCCCAUGCAUCUUCAUUAAGAAAUCAGAAACCGGAUUUGCAAUUAUUGCAGUGUAUGUGGAUAACUUAAAUCUUGUUGGAACUCCUGAAGAGCUCACAAGAACAACAAAUUACUUGAAAAAGGAAUUUGAGAUGAAAGAUCUUGGAAAAACAAAAUUUUGUCUCGGCCUGCAGAUCGAGCAUUUUCCAAAUGGAAUUUUAGUACAUCAAUCAACAUACAUUAAGAAAGUUUUGAAGCGUUUUUAUAUGGAUAAAGCGCAUCCUUUAAGUUCUCCAAUGGUUGUCUGAUCACUUGAUGUGAAAAAAGACCCAUUUCGUCCUUGCGAAAAGGAUGAAGAGUUGCUUGGUCCUGAAGUACCAUAUCUUAGUGCUAUUGGUGCACUUAUGUAUCUUGCCAAUUGUACACGUCCAGACAUUGCUUUUUCUGUCAAUUUAUUAGCAAGAUACAGUUCCGCUCCAACUCGAAGACAUUGGAAUGGUAUCAAACAUAUAUUACGUUAUCUUCGCGGAACUACUGAUAUGGGUUUAUUUUACUCAAGGGAAUCAAAGCAACAAUUGCUUGGAUAUGCAGAUGCAGGAUAUCUUUCAGAUCCACAUAAAGGCAGGUCACAAACAGGGUAUGUGUUUAAUUGUAAUGGUACUGCUAUUUCAUGGAGAUCUGUCAAACAAACAAUGGUAGCCACAUCAUCAAAUCAUUCAGAAAUACUGGCAAUUCAUGAAGCAAGUCGUGAAUGUAUAUGGCUAAGAUCUAUGAUCCAACAUAUUCGGGAAUCAUGUGGACUCUCCUCUAUCAAAGGUGACCCGACAACAUUAUUUGAAGAUAAUGUUGCAUGCAUUGCACAAAUAACAGGGGGUUAUAUUAAAGGAGAUAGAACAAAACACAUUUCACCAAAAUUCUUUUAUACACAUGAACUCCAGAAGAGUGGUGAAAUUGAUGUGCAACAAAUACGCUCAAGUGAUAAUCUAGCAGAUUUAUUCACAAAAUCAUUGCCAACUUCAACAUUCAAGAAGUUAAUACACAGGAUUGGAAUGCGUCAACUCAAGGAUAUCGACAUGAGGGGGAGUAUGCUUGUAAAAGGGUGUUAGUGUACUAUACUCUUUUUUUCCUUCGUCCAGGUUUUGUCCUACUGAGUUUUACUGGCAAGGUUUUUAACGAGGCAGUCCUAAUAUGCCAAGAAAAGAAUAUUGUACUCUUUUUCCUUCGCUAGGUUUUUCCUAUAGGGUUUUUUACUAGCAAGGUUUUAAUGAGGCAUAUUCUUUUAAUAUGGUGGUCAUCCAAGGGGGAGUGUUGUAAAUGAAAAGUAAUGAAUGACCACAUUGAUGGCCAUUAUGAACUCCAUUUACUCAUCUUUAAGAUGAGUAAUGGGAGUUCAUAUUAUGAAGCCUAUAAAAGGCUUCUUACCCCCCAUGUAAAAGGAUCCCGAGAAAAGAAAGAAAACUCUUCCUCUCAUUCUCUCUCUCUCUCUUUCUUUCACUUUCUCAAUUCUCUUAUUUGAUUCCUUCUUCCAUAUUAUAUAUCAAAGUAAGAUAUAUUUUAUCUCUACUACUUUGAUUUGCAUUAUAUUUGUCCUUGUUUUACAACAAUAAAUUAUAGUUGAGUUUUUUUUUAAAAAAAAAUUGGCAUAUGCUUGUAUUACUUUGUUAGCUUGGAGGACGAAAAGCCUAUACAAAUAAUGAGUUGAAUGAAAUAAGAAGCGAGUAAAUUACAUGUAUCAAUGAAAUUGUAAUUUUUAGAUUACAGAAAUGAGUACAUGCAUUAAUAUAUAUGAAAAUAUAUAGUGAUUAUGAGAUUUGAGAAUCUAUUUAUUUUGAAUGAUGGGAAUUAAACUUCGUAAAAUUUCAAUGUAGAUCGGAAGUAAAUUUUUUUGUUACUUGAAAUAUUCACAACUUCUUUCCUGUAGUGAUGUUAUUUUGUAAUAGAACUUCCCUGGACAAUCGUUUUCAUGACUGGGAAUUGAAUUAGAGAAAAUUUUGUAGAAGAUUUUUUCAAAUUUGGAAAAAUCGCAUGUAGAAGAGUUGAAUUGGCAAGGAAAUCUACACACUCGUUGAACAGUCUAGGCCCACUUUUCCAAUCAGCCUAGCACGUUUUUUUGAAUUGAAUAACCACGGAUUGAUAUUGAUUGGAUCCAUUAUCAGUCAUUCAAUCCUAAAGCAUUCAUUUGUCAAACUCCAAGGAAUAUAGGUUUGGCCGAGUGAACAUUUCAAUACUAAACUUGUCCAAAUACAUUAAUUUGAUAUUUUUAGUAAAUAUGAUGCGCAAAAUGAAACCUACUUGGUCGAUAAUGACCUAGUGGUUAGGGCAAUCCCUCAAAAUUCAUAAAAAAAGAAGAUGCAAAUAGAAUCAAAUAGUAGUUCUUAUGUUAUUUUUUCAAAAAAUAGUUAUCGAGUCUGGAAAUGGGUAUUUUUCAUUUACGAAGCUUAAUCCUAUGGGAUUUAAUUUUCAUCGACUAGGAGAAUAAUUUGAUCCUAGCCACACCUAAUGUUAACGACUUGUUUAGGUAUUUUGAGUGAAGAGGACAACGGUUCCACACCGUGGGCCCCAAAACUGAACCAAAUCCCUCAUACUAUUCAACUACAUACUACCACUGCAUGCCAAGCCGUCUCUCUCAUACUUACCAAUUCUUUCUCUAGUCCAGAUUCUUAAACCCCAACAUUUGGGGUGACCAAUUUAUUACCUACACUCCCGAAGAAAGUUAAUUCAAUGAAAUUAUGUUUAUAUACUUAUUUGGAAGUUAUUUUUCUUAGGAUGAUAAAAUUUGCUGGUCUAGGUUACAAGUGCCUACAAAGAGGAGCAGAUUGAGGAUCUGAAAAAUGAAUUGAAAAUGGAAUUAUACAUGGUGUUGACUAUAAGAAUUUCAGUGGAUUCAAAAAGCCCCAAUUUAUACCUUAGCCGCCCCUAAUAGUUUCGGCUCUUGCUUCAUAAAUUUAGCCAAGGGACUCAUGAAAAAACUUUUUCUUUCACGUCAUCAAUCCCUUUCAUACACUACUUUCAACGUUUUUAUUUUACAUUAUCUUCAACAAUAGAACAUUUAGAAUAUCCUCUUGCGGAACAAGUUGCUCAUGCACUAAAGCAGCCCAUUAGAAAAGGUUUAGAGAGGCUAGAGGCAAGGUGGUAUAUGUCUAUCUACCAGGAUGAAACUUCGCAUGACACAACUUUACUAAAGCUGGCCAAGUUAGAUUUCAAUCUAGUGCAGUCCCUACACAAGGAGGAGCUAAGCAAUAUUGCUAGGUUUGCUUUCAAAUCACUAGCAGAUAUACCUAGUCACCUUCUCAUUUUACCAUGAGCUAAUUGUUUUAAUGAAUUUUAGGUGGUGGAAAGAAUUAGACUUUGCUACAAAGCUACCUUUUGCGAGAGAUAGAUUGGUGGAAGGCUACUUUUGGAUACUUGGGGUGUACUUUGAGCCUCAAUAUGUCCGGGCUAGACGAAUUCUAACCAAAACAAUUUCCAUGACAUCCAUUAUAGAUGAUAUAUAUGACGCAUAUGGCACAUUUGAAGAACUCGAGCUCUUCACCGAGGCCAUUGAGAGGUUUGAUUGAUGCAAAUUACCAACCUUCAUCAUUUAUACUGUAUGUGAUACUUAAAUCAAGCCUGGUUUUAUUUUCAGGUGGGAUAUUAAUAGCAUAGAUCACCUUCCAGAAUACAUGAAACACUGCUAUGUGGCACUCUUAGAUGUGUACAAAGAAAUUGAGGAAGAGAUGGAGAAAAAAGGAAACCAAUAUCGGGUUCAAUAUGCGAUAGAAGCGGUAGGACAUUCUGCAUCGACUUUGUUUUGUAUAGUAACAUAUCGUAAGGAUAUAGAUGUAACCUGAUUGAAUGUUUGACAGAUGAAAAACCUAGUUAGAGCUUAAUUUCAUGAGGCUAAAUGGUUCCAUGAAGGACGCAUACCAACAAUGGAAGAGUAUAUGAUAAUAAUAGGUUUAUCUUAGGGAAUCAAUAAUUAUUUUUGUAUGUUAUAAAGAUUACAUUUAUACUUGAAUUAUUUUUAAUUUAUUAUAUCAUAUAAAUUUUUUAUCUUAUAAUAUUGUAAAUUUUAAUUAUAUUAGGAAAUCAAUGAAUGCUUUUAUAACUAUUUAAAUGAUGUUAGUUAUGAGAUAAUUUUAUUUUAUUAUUGUUUUUUUACCUUAUUUACUUGUACCUAUUUUUUAAUAAUUUACAUAAUAUUUUUAUAAUUUUUAAAAUUUUCUAAUUAUCAUAUUUUUUUGUAUAUGACACUUAAAUCAAGCCUGGUUUUAUUUUCUGGUGGGAUGUUAACAGCAUAGAUCACCUUCCAGAAUACAUGAAACACUGCUAUGUGGCACUCUUAGAUGUGUACAAAGAAAUUGAGGAAGAGAUGGAGAAAGAAGGAAACCAAUAUCGGGUUCAAAAUGCGAUAGAAGCAGUAGGACAUUCUGCAUUGACUUUGUUUUGUAUAGUAACAUAUCGUAAGGAGAUAGAUGUAACUUGAUUGAAUGUUUGACAGAUGAAAAACCUAGUUAGAGCUUAUUUUCAUGAGGCUAAAUGGUUCCAUGAAGGAAGCAUACCAACAAUGGAAGAGUAUAUGGGGAUAGCACUGGUAACCUCAGGUUACUACAUGCUUACAACCAUGUCUUUCAUUGGUAUGGGAGAAAUUGUAACAAAGGAGGCCUUUGAUUGGGUGAUUAGUGACCCUAAGAUUAUCACAGCAUCAGCUGUAAUUUGCAGGCUCACGGAUGACAUCAGUUCAUAUAAGGUAUUGUGAAUAUAGUAUUUCUUGUUAAGCUAUAAUUUGACCUUGACCUUAAAGCUCAAUCAAUUAAACAUAUUUAUUGUACUCAUUUGUGCGAUUCUUUUUCUUGGUAUCCAUGAUUAAUUAACAAAGGUAUUGUUUUUUUUUUUUUGGAAAAAAAAAAAGAGAAGUUCAAAUUUAUUUUUUUCCUCUCUCUCUCUCUCUCUCCCUCCACACGCUCAUUAAUUUUAAUGUUAAGAUAUCAGCCCAAUUGACUUGAUUUAUAUUAACUUAAAACUUUUGUUCUAAUAGGUACCUUCAUAUAACGGUAAAGCCUUGAUUUUUAUAGGAGGUCAUGGAGGUGAACUGUGAACCUUACUGAUGUGUACCCAAACCAUACCAUUUAUUUAUAAUAUUGUCAUCAUAAUAUUUAAAUAUGGGACAUUUUAUGCAUUCAUUAUGUAGAUAUCCCUUUGUAAUAUACAUUCGUUGAGUUGGAGGAUGGUAACAUCGAUAUCCCUUUUUGUGUAAUGCAUAUCCAACAAACACACAUUGCAAUGCAUGGGAAGUUAACUUGGUGCGUUGGUGUUUAUGUAGAUGCACAAAUGCCACGCAACCAAAAACACGAGGAGGUAGAUUUGGGACAGUUGGGACAACUACGGCAUUAGUAAGAGUUUGGAGAGGUGUUUGGAAGUUAAUUGAGCUGGAAGGUACCCGAUUGAUCAAGUAUGCGGCAUGACUCGUGCCCAAUUGGUGUCUCAGCUGAUUUGUGUUCAGCUGGUGCUCCUUGAUUGAGGAAGUGAUCAACAAAAUUUAUACCUAUAACACCAUACACUAGGGUAGCAAAUACAAAGCUACUAUAGUAUAGUGGCUCUAAGGAUCGUUCACUGGGAAUGAUGAACAAGCAAUCAAGGAUACCAAUUCCAAGUGAAUUGGUUUUGUUUCAUUUCACGGUUAGCUUAAGGAAUAAAACACAAACUUUGAUUGGUAAAGGUUUAGACUUAAACUAACUAACUUAACAGAAGUUUGGAAUAAUUUAGGAAGAAAAGCAUUCCUUGGAGAAUUAGGUUCACUGGGGUGGUUCCUCAUGCAAAAGACAUAGCUCCGGUCAGAUGGUUCAUUUCCUCGCAUUAGAGAUUCAACUUAGAGUCAAUUCUCUAACCGGUGAUGUACAGAGACUCCUUCAAUUAGAUUUCACUUUAAUUCUCUCACUGAUACAACUUGCAAUGGUUCAUGCCUCUCACGAGCACUUACCAUUCAAGGUGAUCUUUAACCUUGGAUUCCCCUUCACAAACUCGCAAGAGAUAACUAAUGGAUGUCUCCUAGGAGUCCAAAAGCUUACCAAGUGUUGGUAAUUCCAGAAAAUCCUACCUUGAAGUCACCUACCAAAGGCUCGCAAGGGGUAAACUAGUGCAUUUCCACGGUUAGAAAUCACUUGCCUUACCAAGUGUUGGCCCAGGUGACUCCAAAGUGUUUUAAGUUAACUAAAAACAUUGAAAUCACUAAAGGAUUUCACUUCCUCUUCAUUACUAGCUAAAACCACAAAGCUUUGCAUUCUUGCACUUGGAACCUUCCCCGGCAACCUUAGCUCCAAGGAAUUGGAGGUUUAGUUACUCAUUCUCUGGGGAAAACUCCUCAGAGAAUUCAUAACUUAGAAAUAAAAUGAAAAUAUAAAGUGAGAAGGUAAGGCAGUAGAAAGAAAAGACUUUUACUUGCUUACCAAAAAACGAUUACAGAAGGAACUCCUCUCUGAGAACAUGCUCUCGAGAGGUAUUUAUAUUAAAGCAAUAUAAAACUAAUUCUUACACUGAUAUUUGGUCUUUUUACUAACUUAAAAACUAAGGAAUCAUGUAAUUGGUGGUUUACAAGGAGUAUUUUGGAAUUUAGACAACAAAAAUCUAAUGGAAAAUAUCUCCCAAUGUCGGUAGCAAGCUUCGGGAGGCUUCAGGAGCCAUUUCGCAGGAGAAAAGUGGUGCCUGCGAAAUUUCGCAGACACCCAAGAGGGCUGCGAAAUUAUUUCGCAAGACCAAGCUAUCUUCACCAGGCUGCAAAGUUGGCUUCCAUCUUGAAGUUUCCAGCUCCCUUCUCGCGGCAUGGUUCGUGCAUCGUCAGAAGGAGAAACACCUUACUGUACAAAAGCGUUGCGAAAAUCUCGCAACAAAAGGCUGAUUCCGCAGCACUUUAGAGUGACUGGCUUGUAAUGGCUGCAACUUCUUCGUUUCAACUCCAAAUCGCGCACCGUUUGAAGCAUUGGAUUGUUGACUUCCUGAGCUUUGAAAUGGUAUAUAGCUUGCAUCAUUUGGACUUCAGAAAGUGCUCCAAAAGUGGCUGCUACGACUGUCAUCAAGAAUAGGCUUCAUGACUGAUCCUCUUUGCUUUUUCUCCUUGCAAUCCGGAUUCACUCUUGGCAAUUGAAUUCUAAGCUUUUCCCAUGAUUCCUCAUAGCUCUCCUCAUUCUUGACUUGCUUUGGUGAUCAAAAUACUAACAAAAACACCAAAACUUGCACAAAGUGAUCAAAAUUGCUUUAAAGGAUCCUUAACAUGCCAAUUGAGUUAAAAGGCCUAAACUACUACUCAAAAGUGUUAAAAAGGAUUAAUUAAAGGCUAUCAAAUAGCACUUUUUGAGUAGUAAUCACGGCAGAUGUGAUUGCUUCUCCCCAAUAAGAUAUCGAUGUUUUUGCUGCUAUCAAGUAAGCACGAACAACCUCUAACAAGUGCCGAUUUUUUCGUUCAGCACAACCCGAGCCUUACUCUUUCAAGGGAAUGUUCCUAAGUCCUAUUGAGGAGAAGUUGUUCUUACUGCCACAUACAUGAUAAAUAGAAUUCCGUCACGAGUUUUAGAAAACAAAAGCCUCAUAGAGAUACUUAAGAGUUUCUAUCCACACUUCAGAACCUCAAAUGGGCUCACUCCUAGGGUAUUUGGGUGCACAACAUUUGUUCAUGUCCACAACCAACAUAGAGACAGCUAGACCCCCGAGUCAUAAAAUUUGUCUUUCUUGGUUACUUCAUCCACUAAAAAGGAAACAAAUGUACAUCCCNNNNNNNNNNNNNNNNNNNNNNNNNNNNNNNNNNNNNNNNNNNNNNNNNNNNNNNNNNNNNNNNNNNNNNNNNNNNNNNNNNNNNNNNNNNNNNNNNNNNUGUUACAAUCCCAUAACAAAAAUUUUUUACAUCUUUGCAGAUGUCACCUUCACAGAAAAUAAACCUUUUUUCCCAAAGUCCUCUUUUUAGGGGGAGAUUUCAAUGAUAGAAGAUAGUCCUGAGUCCUUUGAACCUCUUGACCUUCCUCAUGUCUCAACCCAUGGUGAUGAAAUACCUGAGUCAUCCGAGUCAAUCACACCUGAGUCACCCAAUUUUGCCACUAAACCCGUGUCAUCCCAUGUUCCAAGCAGUGUCACUCGCAAUUUUCCAUAGUUUCCUAAGGUGUAUUCAAGGGAAAAGGCCAUUCCAGAACAAAAGUAUGUCCAAGAAUCCAACUCAGACCCUGGGAAUGAAAUCACGCUAAGAUCAGACCCACCUUUACAUACACAACCUGGUGAAACUUCUACUAACUCAACAGACAACCUAGACCUAGACCUUCCCAUUGCUAUCAGAAGAGGCACCAAAGAAUGCACUAAUUGACCACUCUAUCCACUAUCACACUAUGUGUCUCUUAAGCACCUAUCACUAGCCCACAAAAAUUUCAUUGUGAGUCUAAACACCACUAUCAUCCCUAACACUGUUUCUAAGGCAUUGACAAAAAGGGAAUGAAAUGAUGCUAUGAGAGAGGAGAUGAGUGCAUUAGAAAAGAAUAAAACAUGGGAGAUUGUUGAAAGACCGAAAGGGAAAAACAUUGUUGAUUGCAAGUGGAUUUUCACACUGAAAUAUAAGACUGAUGGAUCUCUUGAGAGACAUAAAGCAAGAUUGGUAGCCAAAUGGUACACUCAAACUUAUGGAGUAGAUUAUCAGGAGACUUUUGCUCCAGUUGCAAAAAUAAAUACUAUGAGAAUCCUAGUCAUUGGCUGCCCACUACAAUUGGAAACUCCUAUAAUAUGAUGUUAAGAAUGCAUUUCUUCAUGAUGAUUUAGAUGAAGAGAUUUACAUGAACAUCCCCCCGGGAUUUGAGGGAAACACUGGUAAUAAGGUGUGCAAACUGAAAAAGGCCCUUUAUGGGCUAAAACAAUCUCUUAGGGCUUGGUUUGAGAGAUUUGCAAAAGUCAUGAAAGAGUCUGGGUACAAACAAAGCCAAGGUGACCACACUCUCUUCAUUAAGCACUCGGUUGCAGGGGGAGUAACUGCUCUUCUAGUCUAUGUUGAUGACAUCAUAGUGACUGGAAAUGAUGAGAGAGAAAAACAUGAAGUGAAGCAGAGAUUAGCAAUAAAGUUUGAGAUAAAGGAACUAGGGAAACUAAAGUACUUCCUUGGUAUUGAGGUGGCAUAUUCCACACAAGGGAUCUUCAUUUCUCAACAAAAGUAUGUGACUGAUUUAUUGGCAGAAACAGGGAAGAUUGGGUGUAAACCAGUCUCUACCCCCAAUGGAUCCAAACCACAAGUUGGGAAAAGCUAAAGAAAAACUAGUGUUGGAUAAAAGAAUGUACCAGAGGCUGGUUGGUAGGCUCAUAUACCUUGUUCACACUCGGCCAGACAUCGCCUACUCGGUGAGCAUGAUCAGUCAAUUCAUGCAUGAUACAAGAGAACCUCAUCUUCAAGCUGCUUAUAGGGUGCUACAUUACUUGAAAGGCAACCCCGGGAAAGGAAUUUUGUUCAGGAAGAACAAUACUCUUGCUCUAGAGCAUACACUAACACUGACUAUGCAAGUUCCUUAGUGGAUCGAAGAUCAACUACAGGGUAUUGUACUUUUCUUGGAGGUAAUCUGGUAACAUGGAGAAGUAAAAAGUAGAAUUUGGUAGCAAGAUCGUCUGUAGAAUCAAAGUUUAGGGUCAUUGCUCAAGGGUUGUGUGAACUACUUUGGCUGAAGAUUAUUCUAGAUGAUUUGAGAAUCAAGUGGGAUGGUCCUAUGAAACUCUAUUGUGAUAAUAAGUCAACUAUCAAUAUUGCUCAUAACCCUAUACUACACGAUAGGACAAAACAUAAUAAGAUCGAUAGGCAUUUCAUCAAAGAAAAAUUGGAGAAAGGAGUAGUGUGUAUGUCCUAUGUUGCAUCAGAACAUCAAUUAGUUGAUAUCCUAACAAAAGGGCUGAACAGUUCAAUGUUUCACAGUCUUGUAUUCAAGCUGGGAAUGGAAAACAUCUAUUCCUCAGCUUGAGGAGGAGUGUUGAGCUAUAAAUAGAUAGUAGAAUUAUUUUCCUAUUAUGUUAGUUUCCUAUUUAUGUAAAUAGAUAGUUUUAUUAGUUUCCUAAUUCUGUAAAUAGAUAGUUUUAUUACUUUCCUAUUUCUAUAAAUAGAUAGUUUUAUGAUUUAGGAAUAAAUUAGUUUUCUAUUAUGUCUCUUGUUUCCUAUUUCUUCUCUUGUAAUCUCCUAUAUAAACUGUGUAUGGUCAAUAUAAGAAACAAAAAUUAUUAUUUUCCAUCCCAUAUUUCGUAUCAAGAUGCAUGCCAUAAAAAUGGUAAGAUGAACAACAACAAGCCAAGCAACAAAAAAAAAAAAAAUGGAGUUUUUCCACCUUGUCCUCAUUGCAAGAAGACAAAUCAUUCUCCACAAAAAUGUUGGUGGAGACCAGAUGUGAAAUGCAACAAGUGUGGUAAACAAGGACAUGUGGAAAGGAUUUGCAAAAAUCAACAACAAAAAGAAACUAGUGCAGCAGUUGACUAUUGUCAGGAGGAGCAAUUAUUUGCAGCAACGUGUUUUGCUAAUAAAAGCACCUCUGAAAGCUAGCUUGUGGAUAGUAGUUGUACAAACCACAUGACAAAUAAUCAAGAUCUCUUUAGAGAACUUGAUAGAACAGCUAUUUCCUAAGUCAGAAUUGGAAAUGGUGAGUAUAUUCCAAUGAAGGGCAAAUGAACGGUUGCUAUCGAAAGCCAAAUAGGUUUGAAACUCAUUUAUGAUGUUUUGUUUGUGCCUGACGUUGACCAAAACUUACUCAGUGUUGGACAGCUCGUUGAGAAAUGAUUUAAAGUUUAUUUUGAAGAUAGGAAUUGCAUUAUCAAGGAAGCUGAAGGCAAAGAGGUGUUUAACAUAAAAAUGAAGGGCAAGAGUUUUGCCUUGAAUUUACUAGAAGAUGAGCAUGCUGUUGUUUUACAAUAAGAUAGAACAACAAUGCUUUGGCAUAGAAGGUUUGGGCACUUUCAUCAUGAUGUUGUGCUCUACAUGAAGAAAAAUCAAAUAGCUGAAAGACUUCCCGACUUAGAAAAAGAUCUUCCUAUAACUGCUACUUGUUAAUAUGGGAAGCAAACUAAACUUUCCUUUCCAAAGAAAACAUCCUAGAGAGCAACCCAAAAAUUGCAACUAGUGCAUACUGAUAUUGGUGGACCUCAAAAGACGUCAUCCUUGAAAGAGAAUGUAGGCAUUGUUCACCAACUCACUGCACCAUAUAAUCCACAACAAAAUAGAGUCGUGGAGAGGAAAAAUAGAACGAUUUUGGAGAUGACAAAAUGCCUUCUACAUGAAAAAGAUCUACCUAAAGUUUUUUGGGCUGAAGCUACAAGUACAGUAGUAUAUUUGCUGAACAAAUUGCCAACAAAAACGUUAAAGAAGCAGACCCCUUUCGAAGUUUGGUUUGAGUUUCUACGUGGAAGACUUGGAGUUUGCAUCUACUAAGUCAAGAAGGAGUGUUGAAUUUUGACCUAGUAUCUGCUAGAAUUUGAAUUUUGAAGUUAAAUAUUGCAGCUGGAGUCUUGCACAAAAUCUAUAACAUCCAAAUAUUUUUCUUGUUGUUAUUUGGUCAAGAUUUGGUUUCUAUUUUAUAGGAAGUAGUUGUUCAUCAUCUAGUAGCUUGAUUUUCUGCUAUUCUAAUGUCAUUUCAGUUACAAGCUCAUGUAUAAAUUCAACACUCUUCAUCAAUAAAAUGUGUGUUUCAGCAACCCAAAAUAUAUAUUCUGCAUAAGUGUUUAAAUCUUAGACCAACACAUCCUCGUCACUAGUAGUUGUGCCUCUCAGGUUACCUUUUUUAUCUCUCAGCUCAGCUCCACCUUUGCUCUUCGUGACCUUGGUUCCCUUUACUAUUUCUUUGGCAUUGGGGUUACUCAUAGUACUGAUUCUCUUCAUCUCUGCCAACAAAAAUAUGUGCAUGACUUGCUCACUCGUACUGCCAUAACUGAUGCUAAACUUGUUCUUACAUUGGGUUCCUUGGCCAAACCUCUCUCUCUCAUUGAUGGUGAUCUACUUAUAUCGCAACAUUGUUGGCGCAUUACAGUAUGUUACUGUUACAUGUCCAAACCUUUCUUUUGCCGUUAACAAGGUAUGCCAGUUUAUGGCUUCCCAACGACUACCCACUAACUAGAUGUCAAGAAUAUAAAAAGUAGUUAAAAAUAAAAUAAAAAUAUAGAUUUAAAAUAAAAAAUAAAAUAAAUAUGAAUAAUUAAAAAUUUUAAAAAUGAUAAAUAUUUUUUUUUAAAAAAAGUUUUCAAAAAAAUCUCAGAUAUUUUCAGAUAUAUCGGCAAUGUAUCCAAUAUAUCCGAUAUAUCGUCGAUAUAUCUCCAAUAUUUUGAUAGACUUCCUCUAUUGCUUCGCGCGUCGCUUCACACUCGAUUUUUUCGCUGAUUUAUCGAUUUCAAAUUAACCGAAAUGUCAACAUAUUUCGGGGAUUUUUUUGAUAUUCCUCUCGUUCGAUAAUGUUGCUUAAUAUCCUUUCAGGGUUGUCCGAUAUCCGAUAUAUUGGUGAAAUAUCAUCGAUAAAAACCGAUUUUUCAAUCCAUGCUUAAUAGUGGGUUUCCCUUUUGUUUGGCCUCUUGUAGACCCCCAUUUUGGGGCUCGGUUUUUUUUAUCUCUAUUUUCUUUGUAGGUGUCACCAUCCCAGAGAGCCAUGUGUCGCCUCUUUGGUGGUUGAUAGGGAAUCAACAUUGCUUUUCGGGGACUUAUGGUAGGUUGACACGUGGAAGAAUAUUCUGGAGAGCUGAUUUCCAUUAUGGGGGAGCAUAUGAGAGAGGAUAUUCUACAGGCAUUUUGAUUCUCACAUGUGCAUGAUCACCUUGAGUAUUCAUUGAUUUUGGCAUCAAUUGUCACAUAAACUUCAUUUUAUUAGUAGAGACCCGACUUUAAGGACUUAGAGGGGUGCUACGGUCUUUACCGUACCUUCCCGAUAAAUAAUUUGACCCCCGAACUCGAUCCGGUUUUUCACGGACCACCUUUUCCAAAUAAGGAGUCACACUUAGGAUUUUCUUUCUUAUUUUAUUUACCCUUUAAAAAUAAAACAAAAUUAAGUGGCGACUCCAAGUCAUUUUUUUUAAUCAGUAAAAUCAUUUUCAAAAUAAAAAUCGAGCUCACUAUCGAGUGAAAAACGCAUUAGCCGAAAUACGGGGUCCACACCUCUAUUUAUUUAAAAAAAAAAAAAAAAAUCCUUUCCCAUUCUAUGGCCUUGAGUGAGCAUUAUGUAUUUCAACUAUUUUGACAUGUUCAAAAUAAAUUACUAAGAAUUUAAAGGGAAUUUGUUCGACAAGUACUUUUUUUUUAACAUAUUUAUUUAUACAUUAUUUAGUUUAGGUUGCAUUAUUCUAUGUAAAUAAUUUAUUGGGUAUGGGAAUUACUUUUAUAAAUGGCUGAGUAGAUUCAAUUUUAGAUAUUUAUUUAUUGAGCAUGAAAAUUAUUUAUUAAAACAUGGUUUAACGACCAUGCGAUGGAAUCAACCUGUUAAAAAAAAUAAACUAAUACUAUAUUAUUUUAACUUAAAUUAUUUCUUGAUUGUAGCAAUGUUGAAAAAACAAAUAUCAAUAAAAGACUAACCUUAACGGGAAAAUAGUAAUUAACAUAAUUUUAUAUUGACUUGUAAAAUUGGGUCAACAUAUAAAUAUAUUAAUUGUAACAAGAAGACCUACAUUGAUAAUGAAACGUCAAUAUUAGUCUAUAUUGCCAACUUUGAAAUAUUAAUAUAUGUAUAUAGCAGAUGUUUUCAUGAUUAGGAAUUAGAGAAAAUUUUGUAGAAGAUUUUUCCAAAUUUGAAAAUAACUAUGGAAGAAAUUCAACUUAAACACGUUUCUUUGUGGAAGAGUUGCAUUGGCAAGGAAAGCUACACACAUUCAUUGAACAGUCUUAGGCCCAUUUUUCCAAGCAGCCUAGCAAGUUGUCUGAAUUAAACCCCUAUGGAUUGAAAUUGAUUGGAUCCAUUACCCGUCAUGCAUUCAAUCCCAAAGCGUUGAUUAUUCAAACUCUAUGAAAUAUAGGUUUCGCUGAGUAGAGGAGUUCAAAUACAUUAAAUCGAUAUUUUAAGUAAAUAUAAUGUGGAAAAUGAAACCUACUAGAUCGAUAAUGACCACAUUACAAACCGAUCUCCAGGCUAGUUAGGGCAAUCCCCUCAAAAUUCAAAAAAUAAUUAAGUAAAUAAAAUGUAAUUAUUAAUAUUUUUAAAAAGUAGUUAUGGACUCGAAAUGGGUAUUUUUUAUAUAUGAAGUUUAAUCAAGUAGUAGUUCUUAUCCUAGCCACACCUAAUAUUAACAACUUGUUAGGAUAUUCUGAUUGAAUUUAGCCAAAGAGACUCUAGAAGGCCAAUAUUUUUCUUAUCAUCACUCUCUUCCGAGCACAACUCUUCCACACCAUGGGCCCCAAAACUAAACCAAAUUCCACAUACUUUUUAACUACAUACAGCCACUGCAUUCCAGGCUGUCUCUCAUACUCACCAAUUCAUCACUGAAGGUAUAGGACUGUUCUAUCAUUGUUCCAAGUAAUUGGCAUCUCUACUCAAGUCUCAGCAUGUUCCCUAGCCCAAAUUUCUAAACCCAAAAAUCACCCUGUGGCAAGCUUGAAGGUAAUUCAAUGAAAAUAUGCUUAAAGCUCAACGGCUAAUUUACUUAUUUGGAAGUCAUUUUUCUUUAUGUGUUGGAUGAUAAAAUUUGUUGGUCUAGGUUACACGUUCCUGCAAAGAAGAGCAGACGGAGGAUCUGAAAAAUGAAUUGAAACUGGAAUUAAUACAUAGUGUUGAUUAUAUAUUGAUGGAAAUUAGUUUAAAGUUGGAUAUAUUAAUUACUUAGGGAUGUUUGGUAAAACUUAAUACUUAUUAUUUAAUUAUUUGAGUUGACUUUAAAUUAAAUUAUACUUAAAUUACUGACUUAAAACUUAUUAUUUUAAGUAUUAAGAUAUAAAAUUAACUUAAAGUUUAUUUAAAAUCAUUAAGUUGACAUAUUUAUUCUUAUAAAUUAUAAUUAGAAUAGAAAAGGUUGAGUAACAAUAGAACUUAUAGAAUUGUAAAAGAGAUCAUGAAGGUAAUUAAGACAAAUAAAGAUAAAAAGAUAAAAUAAAAAUAUAGAAUUAAAAAUAAAUUAAUUAUUUUUACUUAUUAUUUAAAGUUAUUUUUUACUUUAAAUCAUAUUAUUAAGUUAUUUUAUUAAAUAUACUUAAUUUACUUAAUGACUUAAAUUAAGUUAUUAAAUCAUUUUAAGUUAUUAAAUUGAUUAAUCAAAUUCCUACUUAUUGAAUACAAAUAUAGAAGGAAAUUAGGAAAGCAAAGUAGAUGGGUUAUUAGGUGAAAGCUUAUCAAAUCCGCCUAUCAACAUAUCACACUUUUACCAAAAACCCACCUCAUGCCAAGCCUAUAAGUUGUCAAGUCCUUAUGAUCCAACAACUUUCUUAUGGUUCCCACACGGGUUUCUAUUGUUAUCAAAACAAAAAGUUAUAAUAAAAUAUAUAUAUAUAUAUAUAUAUAUAUAUAUAUAUAUAUAUAUAUAUAUAUAUAUAUAUAUUAUAAUUCAUAGAUAAUCUGACAAUUAAAUAAAAAGAUAAACUCAUUUGUGGAAUAUAAUUAAUAAAAAAAAAAAGAGAAGUGUUAAGAGUUUUAAAUUAUUAUUAUUUUAUUAACAAUUUUAUUAUAUUUUCAUUUUAACUUAAGAAUCUAUUGAAAUAGUGACUUACUCUCUAUUAAAGAUUCAAAGUUAUUUUUCAAUCAAUCGAACUAUCAGGUAAGUAUGAAAAUGAUCGAGUAAAGACAAGUUAAUUGUCACAAAUAAGUGUGAAAAGGAUCGAGUAAAGACAAAGGGUUGAAUUGAAAAUUUUAAUUUGCAUAAAAUGUUUUAAUUAAUUUGAAAAGAAUUUUAAAUUGAGAAUUUGAAAAAAAAAAUUCCAAAUAAUAAAAAUAAUUUGGAAAUGAAUUUUAAAUUAAGGAUUGAAAAUUUAAAAUUUGUAAAAGGAAAAUUUUUAUAAAUCUUUUCUAAUUUUAAAUAUGAAAUAUUUCCAAAUCUUUUUAAAACUCUUAAGUUUCUAAAUUGUUUUCCAUAAAAUAUAAUCUUUAAAUUAAUUGCAACUAUAUAAAGUUUUCUCCUAUAUAUAUCCUACCUAAAUGUAUAUUUGAUGAGGGUCUGACUUGUUUUUCCAUUCUUAAUCUCUAAAGAAAGAAUUCAUUACAAGUACCUACAUCCCUUCAUAAGCUUAGAGGAGUUAGAGCAUUUGGAGGUACUACAUUGUGGAUGUGGAUUAAGGUGUAGGUGCUAGCUAGUUAAUCAUUAAGGUAAAACGGUUAUUAAAUAUGUGUACUUUAAUUUCAAAUAGUGGAUUAUAAAGGGAGAAUUAUGUUUUGGGGGUAGAUGGGCCCCCAAAUUAACAAAAGGUCCAUGUAACUCUUUAAAUUGAGCCCAAGACCCAAUAAAAGUAUGAAAAUUGAGUUGAAGGAUAUCAUCCUUCAGUAUUUCCAAAAAUGUCAUUUGUUGAUUUUGAGAAAAAAAAAUUAAUAUUUUUGAAAAAUACUUUUAUAUAAUUUAAUAUUUUUUAUUUAAUUUAAUAUUUUUAAAAAAAUACUUUUAUGUAAUUUAAUAUUUUUUUAAAUACUUUUAUUUAAUUAAAUAUUUUUUAAAAAUAAAUUUAUUUAAUUUAAUAUUUUAAAAAAAUAUUUAAUUUAAUAUUUUUUAAAAUACUUUAAUUUAAUUUAAUAUUUUUGAAAAAAAAUUAUUUAAUUUAAUAUUUUUGAAAACUACUUUUAUUUAAUUUAGUAUUUUUGAAAAAAAAUUAUUGAAAAAAAAAUAUUUAACUUAAUUUUAUAAAAUAUUUUAUAUGUGUUCUUAAAGGGUAUACUUGUCCGUUACUAUUUCAUAUCCUUCAACUCAAUUUGAAGAGUUAUAUGGACCUUUUGUUAAUUUGGGGACCCAUCUACCCCCAAAACAUAAUUCUCCCGAUUAUAAAUUAGAGGUUUUAAAUCUUGUGAUUUUUUAUGCCCACAAUUAGCAUUGAUAUUUUCAAAUUAAAAUUUCUUGUGUCCCUUAUUUGAUUAUUUUUAUUAUUUUGAUCUUUAAUUAUUUUGAUUAUCCCUAUUAUCUCUUAGUUUAAAUUGAGUUAAUAUUAUUUAACUCUUAUAUUAUUAUCUUUAAAAAUCACCCCACUCUCAAUGUCAUCCUCUUGGACAAAAGCGUAUAUAUAUAUAUAUAUAUAUAUAUAUAUAUAUAUAUAUAUAUAUAUAUAUAUAUAUAUAUAUAUAUAUAUAUAUAAUUCACAAAUCUUGAAAAUAUAUUUAAUAUUAAAAUAUCAUUCCAUGUAAUUUGGAAGUAUUCAAAGAUGUAAAAGAUAUGAUAAUAUAUGUAUAAUUAUUUUUUAUUUAAAAAUCUUAAUAAUUACAUUUGCAACUUUAUUUUGUCCUCAUUAUUUAAUUAAUAUACAAAAAGAUAUGGGAAUAGAAUUAUCAAAAGAAUUGUCAUAAUAAAGCUUUAUAUUCUUAAUAAUAAGUUAAAUUAAGGUGGCAUUUAUUUAUUUUUACUUAAAUCUAAAUGAAAAUUAAUUUAACUUAAUUGUAAAUAUAACUUAAUAGAAUUAAUUAUUAUAUUUUUUUGUUUUUUAUAAUUUUAUUUUUGUUAAGCGUUAAAUAUUAAUUGGGUGAGAGUCCUACUAAGGUUGUGCUUUGACUGAUUCAAAAAAUUAUUUUUAGUAAUGAGCAAAAAGUUAAAUAUUUUACUUUUAUCUAUUCAUUAAAAAAAUCUUAAAAAUUAAAUUUUUUUUUUGUUUUAUUCAAAAUAGUGAAUGGAGUUUGAGUCGAAUUUUAAUUAUUUGGUAAAAUAAUAAAAUUAGUUUUUUAUUUAAAAGAAAAAAUAAAGGUAAGUCAAAGAUAUAAAGAUAAUUAUUUUAUUUUAAAUAAGAAAGAUUCAAAAAAAAAAAAAAAGAUAAAUGAGCUACAAAUUUUAGGAUUAAUUGAUUAAAAUGGAUGAAAAGAUUUCAAAUUUGUAAAACUAAUCUCUUCCAUUUUUUAACUUGAAAGUAACACUUGUUUGACAUAAAUACCCUUUAACAUUUUCAUUAUUUACAUAUGUAUUUUAAAAGAAAAUGUUAUUUUUGUAAGAAAAAAGUGAGAGUAUUCUUAUGUAUUUUUUGGAUGAAAAAAAAUGGUUUGCAAUUUGAUAUUUCUUUCGUCCUUUUUAAUCGGUUAUCCCCAAAUUUUUUUUACGGAAAAUACAAAUUCUAAAAAUAUUUGGUUUUAUUGCUAUUUUUAAAUUUAAAUAUAUUUUUACCUUAAUUAUAUUUUUAUUUCAAAAUAAUUGAUGAUGAUUUAGUUGAAUUCUAACAUUUAAUGGAGUUUUAGUUGAAUUCUAACACUAUAAUAUAAAGUGACCCGAUAAAAUUAUAAAAUCAAUUUUAUUUAAAAAUAAAUAAAGUUGAGUUAAAAAUAGUAUUAAAUGAAUUAAAAUUUAAAAAUAAAAAUGAAUAGUUUUACCUUAAAUAAAAAAUAUUAAAAGAAAAAAUAAUUAGAUAGAUAGGCUUUAAAUUUUAUUAAGAGAAACAUAAUUUUUUUUAAAAAAAUUGUUUUUAUUUAUUUUCAAUUUUAAAAUUUUAUUUCUAUUUUUUAUUUAAAUGUAUUGUCAAAUUUUAUCUAAAAAUAGUUAAUAGAGUUUUGGUUGAAUUUUAAGACUAUAAGAUAAGCGAAUAGUUGAAAUUAUAAAAUGAAAUUUUUUAUUAAAAUGAAAAGAAAGUUAAGUUAAAGAUACUAUAAAUUAUGAUUAGAAGAAUGAAAAUCAAUAUAAAAAAAAAGUGGUUUUAUCUUAAAUUAGAAAUACUAAAAAAAAAAAAAAGGAAUAAUGUAUUGAAAAAUAUAACUGUGGUAGAAGAGCAAUGACUAUGCUCUUUUGAAUACCCUAGUUUAUGUUCAUUUUUUAAAAUUUAAAAAGAAUAAACAUCUUUUAGAUAUUAACAAAAAUAAAUUUAAAUAGAUUCUUAACAUAAAACCUAAAAAACAUUUGUUGUUGGCCAAAAAAUCCAACUAUGAGCCCUUUUAUGACAAGUGAAACUUCCAAAUCUUCUGAAGAGUUUUUUAUCUUAGUAUUAAAAUCUAAAAGCAGAAUAUUUAUACUAUGAGUUGCCUUUUUAACAACUAAUUUAUUUUAUUUAAUGUAAUAAUAUACAUUAAUAUAAAUUAUAGUUGAGUUUUUUUAUAAAAAAAAAUUGGCAUAUGCUUGUAUUACUUUGUUAGCUUGGAGGACGAAAAGCCUAUACAAAUAAUGAGUUGAAUGAAAUAAGAAGCGAGUAAAUUACAUGUAUCAAUGAAAUUGUAAUUUUUAGAUUACAGAAAUGAGUACAUGCAUUAAUAUAUAUGAAAAUAUAUAGUGAUUAUGAGAUUUGAGAAUCUAUUUAUUUUGAAUGAUGGGAAUUAAACUUCGUAAAAUUUCAAUGUAGAUCGGAAGUAAAUUUUUUUGUUACUUGAAAUAUUUACAACUUCUUUCCAGUAGUGAUGUUAUUUUGUAAUAGAACUUCCCUGGACAAUCGUUUUCAUGACUGGGAAUUGAAAUAGAGAAAAUUUUGUAGAAGAUUUUUUCAAAUUUGGAAAAAUCGCAUGUAGAAGAGUUGAAUUGGCAAGGAAAUCUACACUCAUUGAACAGUCUAUGCCCACUUUUCCAAUCAGCCUAGCACGUUUUUUUGAAUUGAAUAACCACGGAUUGAUAUUGAUUGGAUCCAUUAUCAGUCAUUCAAUCCUAAAACAUUCAUUUGUCAAACUCCAUGGAAUAUAGGUUUGGCCGAGUGGACAUUUCAAUACUAAACUUGUCCAAAUACAUUAAAUUGAUAUUUUUAGUAAAUAUGAUGCGCAAAAUGAAACCCACUAGGUCGAUAAUGACCUAGUGGUUAGGGCAAUCCCUCAAAAUUCAUAAAAAAAGAAGAAGCAAAUAGAAUCAAAUAGUAGUUCUUAUGUUAUUUUUUCAAAAAAUAGUUAUCGAGUCUGGAAAUGGGUAUUUUUCAUUUACGAAGCUUAAUCCUAUGGGAUUUAAUUUUCAUCGACUAGGAGAAUAAUUUGAUCCUAGCCACACCUAAUGUUAACGACUUGUUUAGGUAUUCUGAGUGAAGAGGACAACGGUUCCACACCGUGGGCCCCAAAACUAAACCAAAUCCCUCAUACUAUUCAACUACAUACUACCACUGCAUGCCAAGCCGUCUCUCUCAUACUUACCAAUUCUUUCUCUAGUCCAGAUUCUUAAACCCCAACAUUUGGGGUGACCAAUUUAUUACCUACACUCCCGAAGAAAGUUAAUUCAAUGAAAUUAUGUUUAUAUACUUAUUUGGAAGUUAUUUUUCUUAGGAUGAUAAAAUUUGCUGGUCUAGGUUACAAGUGCCUACAAAGAGGAGCAGAUUGAGGAUCUGAAAAAUGAAUUGAAAAUGGAAUUAUACAUUUUCAUGGACAAGGGAAAGGAACAAGGGAAAGUUGUGUUUUCAUGGACCAAUAUGGUAAUAAUAUUGUUUUUGGAACCCAGGUUUGUGAAAGUAGAAAAACAUCUGUUAAUGUGAAACUUAUAUCAGAUUCAUGCACUUUGAGCCGGUUAUAUUUUUUCUACAUAAAAAAUAAAAAUAAAUAAAAUACAAAAUAAAUCUAUUAGAAGGCGUCUGUCUAUUCUCUGCACCCUCACCGCCAAAGAGUAGAUGAGUUGGCGAGUGUGUUCGCUCCGGAGUCUUUACGCGCCGAAGAUGCCUCUUCUCCGAUCACCUCUGUUCUUCUUUGUUUGAAGCCGCCGACUGUUCGGUACCACGUGCUCCGUUUCGGGCACUAAGAAGAAGAACAAGGAGAAGGUGAUAGUGAUAUCCGGUCCCACCGGCGUCGGAAAGAGUAGGCUUGCAUUGGAGCUGGCGAAGCGCGUCAAUGGAGAAAUUAUCAGUGCGGACUCGGUCCAGGUAAGGCACCGAGUUCUUUUACCGUUUUCCUCUUGGAUUGCCCUCUGUUUGGUUGCCGAGAAAGAAAGGGAAGGACAAUGGGAAGGGAAUUAUGUCUUGUGUUGUUGAUUUGGGUGUUUAGGUUUUGUUUUUUGUUUUCUUGUUUGUUUUUUUUUUUUUCUCUUUCAUUUGUUUGGUUGCUGAGAAAAUAGAGGAUUCAGUCUUCUUUAGAAUGUUCUAUGCUUCUGUUUUUCAAUAGGAAGCUAAUGUUUAUGAAAAUUGUGACGAGGGGCUCAUGGAGAUAUGAUAAUGUUGGAGAAAAGUAGAUAAUCUAUAUAGAAAGUUCAAAACUUCAAGCAAAGUUACUCAAGGGACUAAACCUUUAGCAACAAUUUCUCCCAAGUAUUUUGUUGGUUAGUUACUCAAAAAGGUAAUUUUUUUAAGGGGGAAGAAAAUGACAAUUUGCAUUUUAUUUUUUGGUGAUAGGCAAAUGAGAAAAUAUUUAAAAGCUCCUAAAAGGAGCUGCAACAACUUACAGAUGAUGUAUACAGUAGUCACAUAGUUUAGUCAAGAAGAAGAUAAACAAAAGAAAAAUCCUCUCCUUACUCAAAACUUAUCCAAUCUACAAAGUCUAUCAUAGAUAUUGAGUGGUCCACCUUGUACAUUCUAACCCAAUUUACAAAGUAUAUAUAAAGUCGGAUUUGAUUGCUUGGUUUGACUGCUUAGCUUCAUUCAAAGCUCUCCCUUUUUUUUUUCUUCCAAAGAGUAGAAAAAAAGCAUAAGGGUAUAGUCCUCCAGCAUUUUUUUCAUUGCUUCCCCAUGGAAGAGCCAUGCAAACCCAAAAGGAUCCUUCUACUGAAAAACACAUCCCCAAAACCACUCCAAAGAGAAAAGGAUCAACUACCAAACAUAAUUGCUUUGGCACAGUAGAGAAGCAAGUAAUCUGUCAUUUCUUCCUCGCAUUUGCACAAAUAAACUUAUUAAGCAGAGUCCAUACCAUCUUUUUGGUGCCCAUGUGCUCCACACUACACCUGUUGGGAAAGCUCUCUAUCUCCCUUGGCCAAGGAAGAUUAAAGGGAUCUAAUUGAAAAAUUGCUGCUCUUGGACUCAUUUCAUCUCAAUUCGCCCUCCUUUUCCUUUUUAAUUGACAAUGAUUGCAAAUUCAAUUGGAAAAUCUCCACUUCAUCAAGCUCUCAAUCAUUAAACUGUCUUGAAAAGUGGUGGCUCCAUCCACCCUCUUUCCCAACUUGGUCCCACUCCUCCGCUACCCAUCCAUCUCUGUUGGAUGCAAUAGAGAAUAAGUUAGAGAAGACUUGCUUUUUAUUCCCUUCCACUCAUUUUUUAUGGUUUUCCACACCUCCACUCCAUACCCUUCUCUCAUCCUUCUUGAAGACCACCUGCUUCCUCUUCUCCGAACUUUCCUAUUAUGAUUUGUUUUGAUAAGGACUCCUUGUUAGUAACAAAUCUUCAAUCCUACUUACCAAGCAAGGCCUUGUUAAAGGUUGAAAGAUUGUGAAUACCAAGAUCCCCUUCCUUCCUUGCCAAGUAGACUGUAGUCUAAUCAAUAAAAUGAGGUCUUUUCUCUAGUGCACCUCCUCCUCAUAAAAUGUUUCUUUGGAUCUUCCUGAGUCUUGAAUUGACCUUUCUUGAAAUGACAAAAAGGAUAUAUAAAUUGGAAGGCUUAAUAAUGUGCUUUUAUCAAGGUAAGUCUCCCUUCGAAAUGUAUGGGUGGUAUGGAGUUAUCAUUAAGGUAUGCCUAGCAAUUUUUUUUUUUAAACCAUGUACAGACUCCAGCUACUGCUGCAACUAGUGCUCAAUGAACGCAACAGUGUCAGAGAUACAAUUCUGGCCGCAUGCCAUUUGUGACUUCAUAGUUCAUGAUAAGUUUCUUCCUAUCUGCUGCUACAUACCAAAAUGACCAAGGGUUGAUUCUAGUUUGUCCAAAAUUUAUUAAUUCAUAUCAUGUUGUGUGCUGAUGUGAUUUGUUCCAAUUGUAAAACCAUUAUUUAUGUUCUAUAUGUGAUGUAUCUGAUGAAGUAUUCCACUUCCCAUUGUAACAGUGGCAGUUGGGUUAUGCUGAAUAUGAGGACUUUAUGUACAAGAAUGACCAACAUGUAAGGGAAAGGAAGAGUACCUGGUGAUGCUGCUGCUGGAGCAUAUGGGACGCAGUAACAACAGUGUAAUAGGGCUGUUCAUUUUUCCUUCAAUAUUGUAAAGGAAGGGAGUAGGAACAUGGACAACACUCAGUAUUUGUUCUUUUAUUAUAGUUAAGGGUGCUGGUUAGUGUUGUAUUGGCGAUUGAUUGGACAACAACUAUGAUUGUAAGAUGUGAUCCAAAGUGAUAGGUUUAUUAUGGGGUAUGGUACUAAUUUCAUAAGAGAACAACAAACAUAGACUGUAACUUAUUUGUUUGUACACUGAUGCAGUUUCAGUUUAUCCUUCUAUACUCACAUUAGUAAAUUGUUUGACGGCUUUCCUUUCAUAUUUAGUUAUUGUGUAAGCUUUUACAUAGCAUCUUCUAUUAAUGUUAUUGGUAAGUUGGGAGGUUUGUUUGGUUUGAUUUACUACAUUAGAAACAGUUUGCUGGUAUACCAAUAGUUUGCAAUGGCGCCCUUCAAAUCCUGAUCUACCGGGGUUCAGGACUAUUGCUCAUCCUCAUUGGCAAGGGCUACUCAGGGUUCCUAAAUGAUUGUGCAUUUUGCUAAUUUUGUGUUUCAAACCAUGUACAGGUUGUUAUAGAAAAAAUAAAUGUGGUAGAAAACCAAUAAAUAUUUGCUUCGCAUGAUCACCUUCCAUAUCCAACCAAAACCAUCAUAACUUGACAUAACCAGAAAAAUGAGAAAACAACAGUAUGAUUAAAUAAAUACUGAGGGUGAAAAAUUGUCGGGAGAGCAAAAUUUAUCGAAUAUGGUUUAAGAUAGUGUCAUGCUGCAAUAAGUAAUGAAAUUAACUAAUAAAAAUCUGAAGCCACAGAAUGGCUACAUUUCUCGCAGGUGCGUUAAGGUAAUACUUGAGGUACAUUAAGGUAGUACCUGAAGACCAUUAAGGUAGUACCUUAUGUGCAUUAACGCAGUACCUGACAUUUCUUAUGAUUACAUAAGGUAUAGUUGGAGUAACCUAUAAGAACAUAACAAUGUCAUGCUGUAAUAGGUAAUGAAAUUAACUAAUAAAAAUCUGAAGCCACAGAAUGGCUACAUUUCUCGCAGGUGCGUUAAGGUAGUACCUGAGGUACAUUAAGGUAGUACUUGAAGACCAUUAAGGUAGUACCUUAUGUGCAUUAAGGUAGUACCUGAAAUUUCUUAUGAUUACAUCAGGUCGAUGGAGUCACCUAUGACAACAUAACAACGUCAUGCUACAAUAGGUAAUGAAAUGAACUAAUAAAAAUCUGAAGUCACAUAAUAGCUACAUUUCUCGCAGGUGCGUUAAGGUAGUACUUGAGGUACAUUAAGGUAGUACUUGAAGACCAUUACGGUAGUACCUUAAGUGCAUUAAGGUAGUACCUGAAAUUUCUUAUGAUUACAUAAGCUACCGAUGGAGUCGCCUAUGACAACAUAACAACGUCAUGCUACAAUAGGUAAUGAAAUGAACUAAUUGUGUUUGAAGUCAUAGAAGAGCUACAUUUCUCGCAGGUGCAUUAAGGUAGUACCAGAUGUACAUUAAUGUAGUACCUCAGGACCAUUAAGGUAGUACCUGAGGUGCAUUAAGGUAGUACAUGAAAUUUGUUAUGAUUACAUACGCCACCGAUGGAGUAACCUAUGAGAACAUAACAAUGUCAUGCUGCAAUGUGUAAUGAAAUGAACUAAUUGUGUCUUAAGUCACACAACAACAACAUUUCUCAAAUAUGCACUAAGAUAGUACCUGAUGUACAUUAAUAUAGUACCUCAAGACCAUUAAGGUGGUACAUGUUUUGCAUUAAGGUAGUACCUGAUGCGAUGAAACAAUUAUGUCUUCGUUGACAAAAGAUGUACACUACAAAUUCCAACAAACAUUACAAAUUCACAAACACUAACAACAAUUUCUACUAACCAACACAUAAUUUAUGCAUUUUAAUUUUUAUUAUUAUUAUAAUUUUUAUUUUUAUUCUCAAUAUAUAUGAUUGAAUUAUCAAGUUUUUCGUCAAUAUAUGAUAUUGCCUAAUUAUAUUCAUCAAUCUGAAUAAAUACAUAAGUUUUCCACCCAAUUUCUAAAUAUGUCCACAACAUUUUUCCAUUUCAUGAGUCUCCAAUACACAAAAAUAUUGAGAUCGAACAACCGCUCAUGCUAUCCAAAAUCGACAUUUGCCUCAACCUAUGCCCUCACCAAUGGAGGAAAAAUUGCAAAUACAACAACCACUCGAAAAUCACUCUUCUGCUCCAUUUUAAACAAAAAAAUUAUUAAAAAAACAACCCUAAAUACAAAUUAAUUACCUUCACAUUUGAUGUGAAGGUUACAGAAAAAUGUGAUCCAAUGAGAAGAACACGAGAUUUCUUCUUCAUGAACCCAAUAUAUCAGAGUUGUCGUUUCCAUUCUGAUUCGCUAUCCUAAACCAGAUUUUCAGUCAACACGUACCCGCCUCAAGCCGUCUUCUUAACUCGACCUUGUUUCAAUGAAGUGCUCCAUUUGGUUCUUCACAAUUACCACAGGCAACAAAAAUUUUGAUUCAGGUUUUCAAGUAAAGGUUUAUACUUUCAAAUGUGUGAAAUUUUGCAAAUUUUCACACCCUCUUCGAUCCGGAGGGGUGACGAAAUUGGGAUGAUCGGGUCCAAAUGGUUAGGACUUUGAGAGGAGAAGGGGCUGAAGAUAGAAAACUAGAUUGGAGUUUGGGAUUAAAGGCUUCAGAAAUUAAAUGAGAGAAAUUGUUGAAAUAUACAAGAUUCUCUGCUUUGCCUCGGUGACGGAGUGAAGACAGAUGAGAGGAAUGGCUGACAAAAUGAGAGAGAGGGAAGAAAGAACGGCUGAACGCUAGGGUUUUCUUGUGGGAACCUCUGCUUCGCCUCCAUGACAGAGUGUAGAAAGAUGAGAGGAAUGGGUACCAAAUGAGACAGAGGGAGGAACAACGGUCAGUCGCCUAGGGUGUUUUUUGGUGAGAUGGGCUGCUGACGUGGAUACCUGGAGGGGCAAGCUCGGUAGAAAAAACACAGCCGACUCAGAGUGCAUGAAUCUGAUAUAAGUUUCCACAUUAACAUAUGUUUUUCAUCUUUCACAAACCUGGGUUCCAAAAACAAUAUUAUUACCAUAUUGGCCCAUGAAAACACAACUUUCCCUUUUUUAUAUUAGUAUUAAAAUCUAAAAGCAAAAUAUAUAUAUAUAUAUAUAUAUAUAUAUAUAUAUCAUGAGUUACCUUUUUAAUAACUUAUUUAUUUUAUUUAAUGUAAUAAUAUACAUUAAUAUAAAUUAUAGUUGACUUGAGUUUUUUUUUUCUUUUUCUUUUUUAAUUUGGCAUAUGCGUGUAUUACUUUGUUAGCUUAGAGGACGAAAAACCUAUACAAAUAAUUAGUUGAAUGAAAUAAGAAGAAUGAAAUUGUAAUUUUUAGAUUACAAAAAUGAGUACAUACAUUAAUAUAUAUGAAAAUAUAUAGUGAUUAUGACAUUUGAGAACCUAUUUAUUGGAUCCAUUAUCAGUCAUUCAAUCCUAAGGCAUUCAUUUGUCGAACUCCAUGAAAUAUAGGUUUGGCCGAGUGGACAUUUCAAUACUAAACUUGUCCAAAUACAUUAAAUUGAUAUUUUUAGUAAAUGUGAUGCGCAAAAUGAAACCCACUAGGUCGAUAAUUGCCACAUUACAAACUGAUCUGCAGGCUAGUUAGGGCAAUCCCUCAAAAUUCAAAAAAAAAAAAAAAAAAAAAAAAAGAAAUAAAAAAGUGAAGCAAAUGUUAUUUUUUCAAAAAAUAAUUAUCGAGUCUGGAAAUGGUUAUUUUUCAUUUACGAAGUUUAAUCCUAUGGAAUUUAAUUUUCAUCGACUAGGAGAAUUAUUUGAUCGUAGCCACACCUAAUCUUAACGACUGUUCCACACUGUGGGCCCCAAAACUAAACCAAAUCCCUCCUGCUAUUCAACUACAUACAACCACUGCAUGCCAAGCUGUGUCUCUCAUACUUACCAAUUCUUUCUCUAGUCCAAAUUCCUAAACCCCAACAUUUGGGAUGACCAAUUUAUUACCUACACUCCUGAAGACAAGGUAAUUCAAUGAAAAUAUUUGGAAGUUAUUUUUCUUAAUUUGUUGGAUGAUAAAAUUUGUUGGUCUAGGUUACAAGUGCCUACAAAGAGGAGCAGAUUGAGAUCUGAAAAAUGAAUUGAAAAUGGAAUUAUACAUAGUGUUGACUAUAAGAAUUAGGUAUGCACAAAAUGACAAGGGACUCAAAAUUGGAUACAUUAAAUAAAAGGAAAAAGAAAGAAAAAACCCCAAUUUAUACCUUUUCCUUUCACGUCAUCAAUCCCUUUCCCUUUCACGUCAUCAAUCCCUUUCAUACAUUACUUUCAACAUUAUUGUUUUACAUUAUUUUCAACAAUAUACAAUUUCUGAAGGCCAUUGCUACCCUAUUAAUGCAAUGGAGCUUCCCAAGCUUUUGCACUCAUACUUACCAAGUCAGCUUUCAAAGUAGUGUUCUACUACCGUUCCAAAAAAUUAUCAUGGCGAGUCAAGUCUUAUCAAGCCCUCUAGGCCAAUUUUCUAAACUGGAAAAUCGUCCAGUGGCCAAUUAUCACCCUACCAUUUGGGGUGACCAGUUCAUAUCCUACACUCCUGAAGACGAGGUAAUUGAAUUAAAAUAUGUGUUAAAUCUUAUAUGGCUUAUAAAUGCCUAUAUAUUCGAAAGUUGCUUUUCUUAAUGUGUUGUUUAGUAAAAUUACUUGGUUGCCACAGGCAACACGUGCCUGCAAAGAGAAGCAGGUUGAAGAUCUGAAAGAGGAAAUUUGAAGGAAGCUAAUGAAUGCAGCUGGUAACACUUUCCAACAGCUGAAAUUUAUCGAUGCUGUGCAACGUCUUGGGGUGGCAUACCACUUUGAAAGAGAGAUAGAAGAAGUGUUACAACAUAUUUAUGAUAGCUAUCCUGAUGGUGAUGAUAUGGAAGGUGAUAUCUAUAAUGUUGCUCUUCAAUUUCGGUAACUAAGGCAAGCUGGGUUCAAUAUUUCAUGUGGUAAGAGCCCAAAGAAUGAUCAUGUGUGAGCUAAAAUCCAUCCUUCUCAUAAUUCCAAUCUUAUGUUUAAAUUAUGGUAUUUAUGUAGGCAUGUUCAAUGAGUUCAAGGAUGAAAAGGGUAACUUCAAGAAAGCUUUGGUCAGCGACGUAAGAGGCAUGCUGGGCUUGUAUGAGGCUGUGCAUCUCAGAGUUAAUGGAGAAGACAUACUGGAUGAAGCACUUGCUUUCACCACCACCCAUCUAAGGUCCAUGGUAGAACAUUUAGAAUAUCCUCUUGCGGAAGAAGUUGCUCAUGCACUAAAGCAGCCCAUUAGAAAAGGUUUAGAGAGGCUAGAGGCAAGGUGGUUUAUGUCUAUCUACUAGGAUGCACAACUCUACUAAAGCUGGCCAAGCUAGAUUUCAAUCUAGUGCAGUCCCUACACAAGGAGGAGCUAAGCAAUAUUGCUAGGUUUGCUUUCAAAUCACUAGCAGAUAUACCUAGUCACCUUCUCAUUUUACCAUGAGCUAAUUGUUUUAAUGAAUUUUAGGUGGUGGAAAGAAUUAGACUUUGCUACAAAGCUACCUUUUGCGCGAGAUAGAUUCGUGGAAGGCUACUUUUGGAUAUUUGGGGUGUACCAGGGUUCAAAGUAUUAGCCGAGUCCCAUACGACUCGACCGAGUCGUAUCUGCCUCGACACUUACCACGAUGAGUCCGAUACCAGGUACAAUCCUAUGCACUAACUCAACAUUAAAUCAGUAGGACUCAAUUGGCUUGGCUCAAAUUCCGAGUUAACUUGGUUGAAUCGGUUAAAUUACAAAAUUUUUUCUGAUUCAAAUCAGUGAUUUUUUUUCCCUUUCAAAUUAGAACAUAAAGAUCAUAAAAUUUUCCAAAAAAAUCAAAGGAAGAAGAAACAUUGAAAUUUAAUCGAGCCGUGACUUCUUUUUAAGUCUAGAAGAGGAGAGAUCAGGCAGAUGAGGGCUCACUUACCUCACCACAAUCGACGGAGCAUGAGAGUUUUGGGACCGAUGGAUCACUCCUCAGCGUCGAUUUCAGUGAACUAAGCAUUGGAUACCUUUUCCGGUGACGACGACCAUUCGGGGAGAGCUUUUAUCGCAAGUUUGCAAACUUGUAGUCAAAACAAUAUUUGGGAAAGUAAAUUAAAACUAGAAUGUUAUGAUUUAUAUGCACUAUGAGAUUUAAUGAGAAUAACUUGGAUGGCAUUUUAAUAUUUUUAAUUUAUUAUAUAAUCUAAAUUUUUUGUCUUAUAACAUUCCAAAUUAAAGUAGAAAAUCAAUAAUUAUUUAAAAAAUAUAUUUUUAAAAGAAUCAUAAUUAUAAAAACAACAUUUUAAUAAUAGGUUUAUAUUAGGGAAUCAAUAAUUAUUUUUGUAUGUUAUAAAGAUUACAUUUAUACUUGAAUUAUUUUUAAUUUUUUAUAUCAUAUAAAUUUUUUAUCUUAUAAUAUUGUAAAUUUUAAUUAUAUUAGGAAAUCAAUGAAUGAUUUUAUAACUAUUUAAAUGAUGUUAGUUAUGAGAUAAUUUUUUUUUAUAUUAUUUUUUACCUUAUUUACUUACUUGUACCUAUUUUUUUAAAAUAAUUUACAUAAUAUUUUUAAAAUUUUUAAAAUUUUCUAAUUAUCAUAUUUUGCGUAUCUUCCGAUACCAAACCGAUACACUGAGAUCGAUGUGCCUCAAGAUCGUCCGAGUCAAUGAUCGAUACUGCGACUUUGAAUCAUGAGGUGUACUUUGAGCCUCAAUAUGUCCGGGCUAGAUGAAUUCUAACCAAAACAAUUUCCAUGACAUCCAUUAUAGAUGAUAUAUAUGACACAUAUGGCACAUUUGAAAAACUCGAGCUCUUCACCGAGGCCAUUGAGAGGUUUGAUUGAUGCAAAUUACCAACCUUCAUCAUUUAUAUUGUAUGUGAUACUUAAAUCAAGCCUGGUUUUAUUUUCAGGUGGGAUAUUAACAGCAUAGAUCACCUUCCAGAAUACAUGAAACACUGCUAUGUGGCACUCUUAGAUGUGUACAAGAGAUGGAGAAAAAAGGAAACCAAUAUCGGGUUCAAAAUGCGAUAGAAGCAGUAGGACAUUCUGCAUUGACUUUGUUUUGUAUAGUAACAUAUCGUAAGGAUAUGGAUGUAACUUGAUUGAAUGUUUGACAGAUGAAAAACCUAGUUAGAGCUUAUUUUCAUGAGGCUAAUUGGUUCCAUGAAGGAAGCAUACCAACAAUGGAAGAGUAUAUGAGGAUAGCACUGGUAACCUCAGGUUACUACAUGCUUACAACCAUGUCUUUCAUUGGUAUGGGAGAAAUUGUAACAAAGGAGGCCUUUGAUUGGGUGAUCAGUGACCCUAAGAUUAUCACAGCAUCAGCUGUAAUUUGUAGGCUCAUGGAUGACAUCAGUUCACAUAAGGUAUUGUGAAUAUAGUAUUUCUUGUUAAGCUAUAAUUUGACCUUGACCUUAAAGCUCAAUCAAUUAAACAUAUUUACUGUACUCUUCUUCUAAACUAUAUAUGCAGUUUGAGCAAAAGAGAGGGCAUGUUGCCUCAGGCAUUGAAUGUUACAUGAAGCAAUAUGGUGCCUCUGAGGAAGAGGCAUACGAUGAGUUUCAGAAGCAAGUUGUGGAUGCAUGGAGGGAUAUUAACGAGGAGUUCCUACGACCUACAGUUGUUCCGAUGCCUCUCCUAAUGCGUGUGCUUAAUCUUUCUCGAGUGAUGGAUGUGAUCUACACGGGGGGAGAUGGGUACACUCAUGUUGGAAAAGUGAUGAAGAACAAUGUUGCAUCACUGCUCAUUCACCCUAUUGUAUGACCAAAUGGAUCAAGUUGAUCACCAUCUACAUAUUCUGCCUUACCUAGGGAGUAGGAUGAAUAAAAAUUAUUGUAAUAGUAUGGGAGAGACCUAUAAUGCUGUGACCCUAAGAUUAUCACAGCAUCAGCUGUAAUUUGUAGGCUCAUGGAUGACAUCAGUUCAUAUAAGGUAUUGUGAACAUAGUAUUUCUUGUUAAGCUAUAAUUUGACCUUGACCUUAAAGCUCAAUCAAUUAAACAUAUUUACUGCACUCAUUUGUGCGAUUCUUUUUCUUGGUAUCCAUGAUUAAUUAAUUAAUUGUCAUAAUUCUCUUAAUUCGUUUUGUAGAGAUCAUAUGUAUACGGACUUCAAAGGGUGCUACGGCUCACCAUUGUACAUUCCCAAGUAACCUGAUAAUCGGAUCUAGAUUCGAUUUUUGUAAACAUGUAUUUUUCAAAUAAGAAGUCACACAUGAUUUUCUUUUUAUUUUGUUUUUCCUUAAAAAAAAACUAAAAUAAAUAGCGACUAACUUUUCAAAAAUCAAUUUUUCACAAUGAAAAAGCGAGUCUCGCCAUUUUAAGUGGGGACACACAUGAAAAAUGCGGGUCCAUAAUGAGUUUAAUUAUUUCUAAAUUCAAAGGAUUAUAAAAAUUUAUUUAUAUAAAAAAAGGAUAUUCCAUUUUGAUGAUUCCAAUCUAUUUUAAGUACCAAAGAAAGUUUUGAUUUUUUUUCUUAUUUACAAAAAAAUGCUUCAAAGUUCUUAAUUUUCACAAAUUUUAUUUACCAACAUUCCAAUUUGAUUUUCAUACAGAAAGAAACUAUUUUUAUAAUUUUUAUUAAAAUAUGAUUUUUUUUUCAAUUUUUUUAAAAAAGUAUCUAAAUCUAAUCUUAUGUCCAUGAGAAUACUUUUACAAAUUCUUUAAGAAACGGAUUUUAAAAAUUUAUUUUUAAAAAAAAUUACAAUUUUAUUUAGAAAAUAAUAAAUAUUCGGAUCCAAUUUUAAUUACAUAAAAAAAUUAUUUUUUUAGUUUUUAUUGAAAAUAAGAUUUUUACAAUUUUAUUUACAUAAGUAUGAAAAUCCAAUUCCAUAUUAUUUACUAAAAUGCAUUUUUUUUUUUACUAUUUUUAAUAAGACAUGAUUUUUACAAUUUUUUUUUAAAGUUUACGAUUUUUAUUAAAAAAAAAAAAGUCUUUGCAAUUUUUUUUAACAAAUUUUUUAAUGUUUUAUUAAAACAAAAUGAUUUCUAGAUUUUAUUUUUUUUUAAAAUGAUUUUCAAAAGUUUAAAAAAAAAAAAAAACCUUUACAGUUUUAUUUAAAAAAAAAAAAACGAUUUUCCAACUGUAUUUACAAUUUAUUUAAAAACGGAUUUUACAGUUUAAAAAAAAAUACAUUUUAUUGUUUUAUUUCAAUCUUACUGUUGUUUUUAUUUUUUUGGAAAAAAAAAAAAAAAAAGAGAAGCUCAAAUUUAUUUUUCUCCUCUCUCUCUCUCUCCCUCCACACGCUCAUUAACUUUAAUGUCAAGGUAUCAGCCCAAUUGACUUGAUUUAUAUUAACUUAAAACUUUUGUUCUAAUAGGUACCUUCAUAUAACGGCAAAGCCUUUGAUUUAUAUAGGAAGUCAUGGAGGUGAACUGUGAACCUUAGUGAUGCGUACCCAAACCCUACCAUUUAUUUGUAAUAUAGUCAUCAUAAUAUUUAAAUUAAACAUUUAAAAUAUGUUUUUUGUUCUCUUAGAAAUACGAAAAGUGUAUCUUAUUCCCUUAAUAAUUCUCAACAUUCAACCAGCCGCCAAACAGUGAUUAAGACUUUUUCACGUGAAGAUAAAACUUAUGAUUGAUCUUAUUUUUAUAAAAACACUAAAAAACGAUUUUUUUUAUCUUUAACUUAAAAAUGGUUUUUAAAAAUAAUUUUUAGAAAACAUAAAUUAAACAGACUCUUAGGGUUUCAUUUGAGAAAUAAAUGAAGAAGAUUACAAAAAAAUUGAAAAUAAAUAAAGAAGAUGAUAUUUUAAUUUUUAUUUAAUAUCUUAAUUUUUAUUAUCUAAAAUUAUUUAAUUAUUCUAAUUAAUGAUAUUUUGAGUUUAAUUAUGAUUAAAAUAUAUAAAAGUCUUAAAUUGAGAUAAGUUGCUUAAAUGAUUGAUUGUGGAUUGAAAUUUUACUCACAAAAUAUGCAUGUGGCUUUCGCUUGAAAAGGCAUAUGUUGGGAAGCAGUUAUGCUUGGUUACGAGUUCUAUAAGCUUACGAUUUUAGAUUUGCAUGAUUAUCUUAAUUUGGAUUAGACAGCUACGGAGAAGGGGCCUUUAUUCAAACUGUUUGUCUUAUUCUCAACAAAGGAAGCAUUUUAUUUAAAACAGAACACUCUAAGAAAAACUAACAGCCAAAUUAAAACAAUUAGGCCAUGUUUGGUACGAAGCCAAAGCAAUUAGGUCAUGUUUAGCAUGAAGCCAAAUCACGACCAUGUUUGGUAUAUAGAAAUGAAGAGUAAGAAUAGAUAUGUUAUUUAUUUUCUCAUUCAUUUUCAUAUUUGGAUGAUUUAAGUAUAGUAAAAAUAAAAUAAAAAAUAAUUUCAAAGAAAUGAAACAAGUUAUUCUUAAAAACACUUUUUAAAAGUUAAAAAUCAAAAACUUUUUUAGAUAAGUCCGUUUUAAAAAUAAUUUUUUAUUUUGAUUUUGUAAAAAAGAAAUUAUAAAUUCAAUUUAUAUAAUAUAAAAUUAAUUUAAUUCAAGUCUUAUAAAAAAUAAAAAUAACUUUGUAAUUAUAAAUACAUUUUUAAAUUAAAUAUUUUUUAAUAAAAUAUGAAUAGGAUUAUCAUAAUAUAAUCAUAAAUUAUAUUUUUAAUAAAUAUUAUAAAAAAUAUGGAUAUUAACCUCUUAUAAAAGCAUAAUUGAUUUAUUUUGUUAAAAAUAAAUAAUAAUGAUUUAAAAUUAAUAAUUACUAAUACUAUUUUUUAAAAUUAUUAUACUUACUACUUUGUUUUAAAAAAUUAUUUCUCAAGAACAAUAAUCGAUAGUGGUAUUAAUUUUUAAAAACAAUUUUAUUUUUAAAUGAAAAGCCUAAACAGGUUUUUAUUAUUUAGCAAAAAAAAAAAAAAAAAACACUGUCAAACAUUUUUUUAAAAUGAAAAUAAAAAAAUUAUUUAAAAUGAUGUAUUGUGUAAGAGAUUUUUUUUAAAAUAAAAAUAAAAGAUUAAAGAUACUAUAAAUUAUGAUUAAAAUAAUGAAAAUUAAUAAAAUGAUAUUGGCUUUUUUUUUUAAAUACAUUCGAAAUAUUAAUCUAAAAAAAGAAGAUAAAUGAAUAAUAUAUUGAAAAAUAUAACUUUGUCUUUUUUCUUACAAUAAUUUUCAUAGCUUUAAAAAUAGUGAUCUUUAAUUUUCUUGCUAUUAUUUAUUAUUAGCUGAGUUGUAUAAAUUACAUUGUUAUAGUUUCCUUUAAAACCAAAAUAAAAAUCAAUCCAUGUGGUUCAAUGACAAUAUUGGCUGAAAAAAAAAAAUCACUUAAUUUUCAUCUACUAGAUCCUAGCCGCCACCUAAUAUUUAUGACUUGUUUGGAUAUUUUGAGUGAAUUUAACCAAAGAGACACUAGAAGGCCAAUAGUUUUCUUGCCAUCAGUCUCUUCCAUGCACUACCCUUUCAAAUCAUGGGCCCCAAAACCAAACCAAAUUCCACAUACUUUUCAACUACAUACAACCAAUGAAUGCCAAUGCUGCCCUAUAAAUAUGGAGCUUGCCAAGCUAUUUCUCUCAUACUUACUGUAACGCCGAAGUAUUUUUUUAAGGGUAAUUUAGGAAAUUACUAAUAAUAAUUCAAUUAGUUAAUUAAUUAAUUUAAUAAAGUGGAAGAUGGGUAAAAGUGUAAUUUUAUGAAUAAAUACCCUAGGUAUAAAUUAGAAAUUCUAUUUCUUCCUGUUCUUUUCUGAAUAGAAUUCCUGUUCGCAGAAUUUCAGAGAACGUAGAUUGAAGUUAGAUUUCAGGGUUGAAGAACAGAUCUCUAUAGGUAAGAUUCAGUUUAAUAUUUUAGAUUCAUUGAUUAAUUUCAAACACAUUAGAUAUCUUUUGGAAAACCCAAAUCUAGAUUAGGGUUAGUUUAUUUUAUUUUUUUUAAUUCGUUUUCAUAUCAAUAGUAAAAAAAUAAAAAAAAUAAAAAAAUAAAAAUAAAAAUUUAAGAUUUUGAUUUAUUGUUGGUAUUUAGGAGAUCUUAAGUUUUAUUAGAUGAAAAACAAAAAAAAGGUUCCUUGGAAGGUUUCGAUUUUAUAUUAGGGUUAAUUUUAUUAAAAAAAGAAAAAGGGCGUGCGCCAAAUGAAAGGAAGCCUUAUAUAUAUAUAUAAUGAAUCAUGAUGAUGGCAAUGGAAAAAAAAAAACUUGCUUUUUGGUUUGGUGUACCCGAGACAACUAGGUAAUGGUUGAGUGACUUUUGAAUUGGUUAAUUAAAAUAAUAAUAUUUAGUUUAAGAUUCAUAAUUAAGAUAAUAGUAAUAAUAGUCUUCUUUUUUUUGUAAUAAAUAGAAUGAGAGAUUUAGCAAAAUAUAUAUAUAUAUAUAUAUAUAUAUAUAUAGAAUUUUAUAAUGAAAUAAAAUUGUAAUUUAAUUAAAUUAGUAAUGUGUUAUUAGAAACAAAUUGAGAAUUUAUUAAUUUUAUUUAAAUAAGGAAUAGAUUAGUUAAAUUAUAGAUAAAUAGUAAUAAUUAUUUAUCUUAUGUUAUAUUAGGAGAAGAGUAGAUUUUUCCAGAAUUAUUUUUCUCCCAAGCUUUCAAGGUCUUUGCAUAAUUUGAGGUAAGGGAAGUUAAUGCAAUAUUUAUAAAAUUUAAAUUAUUUUAUAUGUUAUUUUGAAUUGUGGAAAAGAAAAUGAUAUUUUGUUACCAUGCAUGGAUCAAAUUGUUUUGCACUAAAUAUUAUGUUGGAAUAUUUUGUUUUAUUUAUGACACAAAAUAUGGAGAUAUUAUGUUGUGUAAAUUUGAAUACUUGAACAAAAACAUCACUCUGGUUUAUUUGACCCUUGUCAACGAGAUAUAAUAGUUGACUAUUCGGCCCUGUCAACAGGAUAUAAUAGUUGACCUUUACAUUUCAUGGUAAGAAUGUAAUUGAUUUGGACCCCAGCCUCUAGGGGUUUGGUUAGAGGUUACUAGUAGUAGUAGUGUUUGGUUCCGUCCACCAGGAACAACUUGAGGCUAGCCACCCAUUUGAAAAGUCCCACCUAACUGGGCAUUUGAUAUUUGAUAACCAGAGUAAUGAAAAUUGAAUGGAUUUGAUUGAAUCUUAUGUGAAAGUGUUUGAAUUUGAUAUGAAAAUGGUUGGUUGAAUUUUGAAUAUAUUGGUAUUUUUGAAACUCUGAUAUUUGAUGAGAAAAAAAAAUGAUAUCUCCUAUUUGAAAUGAAAAUAUUUUUCCAUGAACUGCAUUAAUAUUCCUUACUGGGCUGUGAGCUCAUUCCCAAUUGUUGAAAACUUUUCAGGUACUCUUAGUUCGGGUGAGGAGUGAUGGCUAGGAUGAGGAAUGGUCAUCAUUAGGAUUUGACUUAGGAUUUUAUGUUGGAUUUUGUUUAACUGUUAGUUAUGUUCAUUUGGACCCUUUGGUAUUUGGAAGUUAUUUGGAUAUUGAUCCUUCAAAUUUUAUGUUAGAUCAAAGUUGAGUUUUGGAGAUUUUGAAAUUUGUUCUAGUACUUGAAUUGUUUAAGUUUGCAAAUAUUUGGAUAAUGGAUUUUGGAUAGUGGAUGUUUUAGUUUUGAAAUUGAAUUUUGAGGAUUUUAGAUUUUGUUCCGCUACUCUGAAUAGGUAUUUGGUAAUUAGUAACUUCCGAUUACAAGAUAAUUGUUUGGGUCGGGUUACACUGUAAGCCUUCGGGUUUGAAGUGUGAAAUGACCGUCACGCUCUUGGAGUGGGUCUUGGGGCGUGACAGAGUGGUAUCAGAGCACUAGGUUUUGAUCUUGAUGGGAAUUUGAAUUGGUUUAGAUUGGGGAUAGAUGAGUGACGCAUUUGUUUAAGUUUUAGUUUCAUUUAGUAUAAAUUCCAAUUCUUUCUUUAUUUGUAAAUUUUCUAAUUGGUUCUUUAGUGACUAAAUUAGUUAUGCCUUAUUAUUUUAGGACAUCAUGCCACCAAGAAGAGCAACUUCUUCACAAAAUAGUCAGAUUAAUGAUGAUGUACCUCCAGUUGAGGGUUUGCCUCCCGUGAGUGCAAAAGGGAUCUAUAGGUAUCUUGGGACACUAGCUGGUUUAGUUGAACGCCAAGCUCGAGCUGUUGGGACUAAUGUUCAGGGACAGACUUCAUCUUCUAGGGGUAACUCUUUUGAUGACUUCAAGAAAUUGGGUCCUCCUUACUUUUCUGGUGCUACAGAUCCCACAGAGGCAGAGGCUUGGAUCCUUAAGGUGGAGAAAUUCUUUGGUGUCAUAGAUUGCUCUGAGGAGCAAAAAGCCUCUUAUGCAGCUUUUAUGUUAGAUAAAGAGGCAGAUCAUUGGUGGCGUAUGACUAGGAGACUUUUGGAGGAUCAGGGACCCAUAACAUGGAGACAAUUUAAGGAGGCUUUCUACAAGAAGUAUUUCCCUGACAGUGUUAGGCGGCAGAAGGUGGGAGAGUUUAUUCAUUUGGAACGGGGAGAUAUGACUGUGGCUCAAUAUGAGGCCAAAUUUACAGAGUUAUCAUGUUUUUCCCCACAGUUGAUUGCUACAGAGGAGGAAAAGGCAUUAAAGUUUCAGGAUGGAUUGAAGCCUUAUUUGAAGAACAAGAUAUCUAUUCUGAAGCUUGGUGUCUAUUCAGAGGUUGUUGACAGAGCCCUUAUAGCAGAGAAAGAUAAUGAGGAGCUUCAUCAGUAUAGGGAACAACAAAGGAAGUGAAAUAGGAGUGAUAGUGCUCAUGGUAAUCAAGCACAGCGAAGGUCUACAUCAGGAAGAAAUCAGAAUAAAGGGAAUGCAACGCAUUAUUUAGAUGGGGCUUGUCCUACUUGUGGUAAGAAGCAUGGGGGUAGGCCAUGCUAUAGAGAGACUGGAGCUUGCUUUGGUUGUGGGAAGCAAGGACAUUUGAUCAGAGAUUGUCUAGAGAAUAGGAAGUUCAUCAAUGGGAAGCCUAAAGAGGAAAAUAAGGAGGAUAAACAGAAACCCAAAGCCCAAGAACGGGUGUUUUCUUUGACUCAUCGAGAUGCUCAGGCCACUUCUGAUGUGGUAACAGGUACUCUCCGAAUCCACACCUUAUUUGCUAGAGUCUUGAUUGAUCCUGGAUCAACACACUCUUUUGUUUCAGUAUCUUUUGCCAGUUUGUUGGGUUUGCCUGUUGCUAGCAUGGACUUUGAUUUGAUUGUUACUACUCUUGUGGGAGAUUCUGUUGUGGUCAGUAGAAUGCUUAGAAAUUGUAUUGUGAUGAUUGGUUAUAGGGAAAUGCCAGUUGACUUAGUACUCCUUGAUCUUUAGGAUUUUGAUGUGAUUUUGGGGAUGGAUUGGUUAGCUUCCUACCAUGCCUCUGUUGACUAUUUUGAGAAAAUGGUGACGUUUAGUAUUCCUGGUCAGCCUAAGUUUAGCUUUGAAGGGAAGCAUGUGGACAGACCACUGCGUAUGAUCUCAGCCUUGCGAGCUAGUAGCUUGCUCAAGAAGGGUUGCCAAGGAUUUUUGGCUAGUGUGAUGAGUAAUGAAAGUGAUUUGAAGUUGGAAAACAUACCCAUAGUAAGGGAGUAUGUUGAUGUCUUUCCAGAGGAUUUGCCUGGCUUGCCACCAGAGAGAGAGGUGGAGUUUACCAUCGAUUUGGUACCAGGAACAGGUCCUAUGUCUAAGGCCCCAUACAAGAUAGCACCUGUGGAGCUUAAGGAGUUGAAAGUUCAGCUUCAAGAGUUAUUAGACAAGGGUUUUAUCAGGCCUAGUGUUUCACCUUGGGGAGCUCCUGUUCUAUUUGUAAAAAAGAAGGAUGGCUCAAGGAGACUUUGCAUUGACUAUAGGGAGUUGAAUAAGGUGACAGUGAAGAACAAGUAUCCCCUUCCUCGGAUUGAUGAUUUGUUUGAUCAGCUAUAAGGUGCUUGUGUGUUCUCUAAGAUAGAUCUUCAAUCGGGUUAUCACCAGUUGAGGGUUAGAGGGGAAGAUGUACCCAAGACUGCUUUUCGAACUAGGUAUGGGCACUAUGAGUUUCUUGUUAUGCCUUUUGGUUUGACUAAUGCACCUGCUACUUUUAUGGACUUGAUGAAUAGGGUAUUCAAACCCUAUUUAGAUCAGUUUGUGGUGGUUUUUGUAGAUGACAUCUUGGUAUACUCAAGAAGUAGAGAGGAGCAUGAGGGCCAUUUGAGUAUUGUAUUACAGACCCUCAGAGAUAAGCAGUUGUAUGCUAAACUGAAGAAGUGUGAGUUUUGGUUAGACCGAAUUNNNNNNNNNNNNNNNNNNNNNNNNNNNNNNNNNNNNNNNNNNNNNNNNNNNNNNNNNNNNNNNNNNNNNNNNNNNNNNNNNNNNNNNNNNNNNNNNNNNNAACGAAGAAGUUGCAGCCAUUACAAGCCAGUCACUCUAAAGUGUUGCGGAAUCAGCCUUUUGUUGCGAGAAUUUCGCAGCACUUUUGUACAGUAAGGUGUUUCUCCUUCUGACGAUGCACGAACCAUGCCGCGAGAAGGGAGCUGGAAACUUCAAGAUGGAAGCCAACUUUGCAGCCUAGUGAAGAUAGCUCGGUCUUGCAAGAUAAUUUCGCAGCCCUCUUGGGUGUCUGCGAAAUUUCGCAGGCCCCACUUUUCACCUGCGAAAUGGCUCCUGAAGCCUCCCGAAGCUUGCUACCGACAUUGGGAGAUAUUUUCCAUUAGAUUUUUGUUGUCUAAAUCCCAAAAUACUCCUUGUAAACCACCAAUUACAUGAUUCCUUAGUUUUUAGGUUAGUAAAAAGACCAAAUAUCUUUGUAAGAAUUAGUUUUAUAUUAGUUUGAUAUAAAUACCUCUCGGGAGCCUGUUCUCGGGGAGGAGUUCCUUCUGUAAACAUUUGGUAAGGAAGUAAAGGUCUUUUCUUUCUACUGCCUUACCUUCUCACUUUGUAUUUUCAUUAUAUUUCUAAGUUAUGAAUUCUCUGAGGAGUUUUCCCCAGAGAAUGAGUAACUAAACCUCCAAUUCCUUGGAGCUAAGGUUGCCGGGGAAGGUUCCAAGUGCAAAAAUGCAAAGCUCUGUGGUUUUAGCUAGUAAUGAAGAGGAAGUGAAAUCCUUUAGUGAUUUCAAUGUUUUUAGUUAACUUAAAACACCUUGGAGUCACCUGGGCCAACACUUGGUAAGGCAAGUGAUUUCCAACCGUGGAAAUGCACUAGUUUACCCCUUGCGAGCCUCUGGUAGGUGACUUCAAGGUAGGAUUUUCCGGAAUUACCAACACUUGGUAAGCUUUUGGACUCCUAGGAGACAUCCAUUAGUUAUCUCUUGCGAGUUUGUGAAGGGAAGUCCAAGGUUAAAGAUCACCUUGAAUGGUAAGUGCUCGUGAGAGGCAUGAACCAUUGCAAGGUGCAUCAGUGAGAGAAUUAAAGUGAAAUCUAAUUGAAGGAGUCUCUGUACAUCACCGGUUAGAGACUUGACUCUAAGUUGAAUCUCUAAUGCGAGGAAAUGAACCAUCUGACCAGAGCUAUGUCUUUUGCAUGAGGAACCACCCCAGUGAACCUAAAUCUCCNNNNNNNNNNNNNNNNNNNNNNNNNNNNNNNNNNNNNNNNNNNNNNNNNNNNNNNNNNNNNNNNNNNNNNNNNNNNNNNNNNNNNNNNNNNNNNNNNNNNAAAUCAAAGUUUGUGUUUUAUUUCUUAAACUAACCGUGAAAUGAAACAAAACCAAUUCACUUGGAAUUGGUAUCCUUGAUUGCUUGCAAAUCAUUCCUAGUGAACGAUCCUUAGAGCCACUAUACUAUAGUAGCUUUGUAUUUGCUACCCUAGUGUAUGGUGUUAUAGGUAUAAAUUUUGUUGAUCACUUCCUCAAUCAAGGAGCACCAGCUGAACACAAAUCAGCUGAGACACCAAUUGGGCAUGAGUCAGAGAUCUUGAGAUUUGGGACUAGACUUUGUGUCCCAAAUGAUGAAGACUUAAGAAGGGAGCUUUUAGAGGAAGCUCAUUGUUCCAAGUUUGCAAUCCACCCAAGAGGGACAAAGAUGUACAAGGAUUUGAGGCAAAACUAUUGGUGGUCAGGUAUGAAGCAUGAUAUUGCACAAUUUGUGGCUCAGUGUUUAGUGUGUCAACAGGUGAAGGCUGAGCAUCAGCGACCAGCAGGGUCUUUGCAGCCACUUGCUAUUCCUGAGUGGAAGUGGGAGCAUAUUACCAUGGAUUUUGUGAUAGGAUUGCCAAGAACCUUAGGGAGUAAUAAUGCUAUUUGAGUGGUUGUUGAUCGGUUGACAAAGUCUGCUCACUUUUUGCCUAUGAAAGUCAACUUUUCUUUAGAUCGUUUAGCUUUUCUUUAUGUGAAGGAGAUUGUGAGAAUGCAUGGAGUACUAGUUUCUAUAGUGUCUGAUAGAGAUCCUCGUUUCACUUCUAGAUUCUGGCAUAGUCUAUAAAAAGCUUUGGGCACUAAGUUGAGUUUUAGUACUGCUUUCCAUCCUCAAACUGAUGGUCAAUCAGAAAGGGUAAUUCAGGUUUUAGAAGACUUGUUGAGAGCUUGUAUUUUGGACUUGCAAGGUAAUUGGGAUGAUCAUUUACCUUUAGUAGAGUUUGCCUAUAACAAUAGUUUUCAAGCUAGCAUUGGGAUGUUACCUUUUGAGGCAUUGUAUGGUAGGAAAUGUCGAUCUCCUAUCUGUUGGAAUGAUGUUGGAGAAAGGAAACUUUUGGGGCCUGAACUUGUGCAGUUGAUUGUUGAAAAAGUUGCUUUGAUUAAAGAAAGAUUAAAAGCAGCUCAAAGUAGACAUAAGAGUUAUGCUAAUCAUCGUAGGCGAGAUUUGGAGUUUGAGGUGGGUGAUAUGUGUUCUUGAAAGUUUCACCUAUGAAGUCUGUGAUGAGAUUUGGGAGAAAAGAAAAACUUAGUCCUCGUUUUGUGGGUUCGUUUGAAAUAUUAGAAAGAGUAGGCACUUUGGCAUAUAAAGUAGCCUUGCCCCCAAGUCUAUCUAAGAUUCAUAAUGUUUUCCAUGUUUCAACCUUGAGGAAGUAUAUUUAUAAUCCAUCUCAUGUUGUGGAGUUGGAGCCUAUUCAAAUUUCGGAGGACUUGACCUAUGAAGAGGUACCCGUUCAAAUUGUGGAUGUGAUGGAUAAGGUACUGCGACAUGUUGUUGUCAAGUUGGUAAAGGUCCAGUGGAGCAAUCAUAGUAUCCGAGAGGCCACUUGGGAGUUAGAAGAAGAGAUGAGAGAAAAACAUCCUCAAUUAUUUCAAGACUCAAGUAUGUCAAGUUUAGAAGACUAAACUUUUGUUAAGAAGGGGAGGAUGUAACGCCCAAGUAUUUUUUUAAGGGUAAUUUAGGAAAUUACUAAUAAUAAUUCAAUUAGUUAAUUAAUUAAUUUAAUAAAGUGGAAGAGGGGUAAAAGUGUAAUUUACAAAUAAAUACCCUAGGUAUAAAUUAGAAAUUCUAUUUCUUCUUGUUCUUUUCUGAAUAGAGUUCCUGUUCGCAUGAAUUUCAGAGAACAUAGGUUGGAGUCAGAUUUCAAGGUUGAAGAACAGAUCUCUAUACGUAAGAUUUUAACCCCUAGUUUAAUAUUUUAGAUUCAUUGAUUAAUUUCAAACACAUUAGAUAUCUUUUGGAAAACCCAAAUCUAGAUUAGGGUUAGUUUUUAUUUUUUUUUUAUUUUUUUUUUUUAAUUCGUUCUAAUAUCAAUAGUAAAAAUAAUAAUAAUAAUAAUAAAAAUUUAAAAAAAAUUUAAGAUUUUGAUUUAUUGUUGGUAUUUGGGAGAUCUUAAGUUUUAUUAGAUGAAAAAAAAAAAAGGUUCCUUGGAAGGUUUCAAUUUUAUAUUAGGGUUAAUUUUAUUAAAAAAAGAAAAGGGGCGUGUGCCAAAUGGAAGGAAGCCUUAUAUAUAUAUAUAUAUAUAUAUAUAAUGAAUCAUGAUGAUGGCAAUGGAAAAAAAAAAAAAAACUUGCUUUUUGGUUUGGUGUACCCAAGACAACUAGGUAAUGGUUGAGUGGCUUUUGAAUUGGUUAAUUAAAAUAAUAAUAUUUAGUUUUAGAUUAAUAAUUAAGAUAAUAGUAAUAAUAGUCUUUUUUUUUUUUGUAAUAAAUAGAAUGAGAGAUUUAGCAAUAUAUAUAUAGAAUUUUAUAAUGAAAUAAAAUUGUAAUUUAAUUAAAUUAGUACUGUGUUAUUAGAAACAAAUUGAGAAUUUAUUAAUUUUAUUUAAAUAAGGAAUAGAUUAGUUAAAUUAUAGAUAAAUAGUAAUAAUUAUUUCUCUUAUGUUAUAUUAGGAGAAGAAUAGAUUUUUCCUGAAUUAUUUUUCUCCCAAGCUUUCAAGGUCUUUGCAUAAUUUGAGGUAAGGGAAGUUAAUGCAAUAUUUAUAAAAUUUAAAUUAUUUUAUAUGUUAUUUUGAAUUGUGGAAAAGAAAAUGAUAUUUUGUUACCAUGCAUGGAUCAAAUUGUUUUGCACUAAAUAUUAUGUUGGAAUAUUUUGUUUUAUUUAUGACACAAAAUAUGAAGAUAUUAUGUUGUGUAAAUUUGAAUACUUGAACAAAAACAUCACUCUGGUUUAUUUGACCCUUGUCAACGAGAUAUAAUAGUUGACUAUUCGGCCCUGUCAACGGGAUAUAAUAGUUGACCUUUACAUUUCAUGGUAAGAAUGUAAUUGAUUUGGACCCCAACCUCUAGGGGUUUGGUUAGAGGUUACUAGUAGUAAUAGUAUUUGGUUCCGUCCACCAAGAACAAUUUGAGGCUAGCCACCCAUUUGAAAAGUCCCACCUAACUGGGCAUUUGAUAUUUGAUAACUAGAGUAAUGAAAAUUGAAUGGAUUUGAUUGAAUCUUAUGUGAAAGUGUUUGAAUUUGAUAUGAAAAUGGUUGGUUGAAUUUUGAAUAUAUUGGUAUUUUUGAAACUCUGAUAUUUGAUGAGAAAAAAAAAAUGAUAUCUCCUAUUUGAAAUGAAAAUAUUUGAUCCAUGAACUGCAUUAAUAUUCCUUAUUGGGUUGUGAGCUCAUUCCCAAUUGUUGAAAAAUUUUCAGGUACUCUUAGUUCGGGUGAGGAAUGAUGGCUAAGCUGAGGAAUGGUCAUCAUUAGGAUUUGACUUAGGAUUUUAUGUUGGAUUUUGUUUAACUGUUUGUUAUGUUCAUUUGGACCCUUUGGUAUUUGGAAGUUAUUUGGAUAUUGAUCCUUCAAAUUUUAUGUUAGACCAAAGGUGAGAUUUGGAGAUUUUGAAAUUUGUUCUAGUACUUGAAUUGUUUAAGUUUGCAAAUAUUUGGACAAUGGAUUUUGGAUAGUGGAUGUUUUAGUUUUGAAAUUGAAUUUUGAGGAUUUUAGAUUUUGUUCCGCUACUCUGAACAGGUAUUUGGUAAUUGGUAACUUCCGAUUACAAGAUAAUUGUUUGGGUCAGGUUACACUGUAAGCCUUCGGGUUUGAAGUGUGAAAUGACCGUCAUGCCCUUGGAGUGGGUCUUGAGGCGUGACACUUACCGAUUCAUCAUUCAAGGUAUAGAACUGUUCUAUCAUUGAUCCAAGGAAUUAACAUGUCUACUCAAGUCUCAGCAUCUUCUCUAGCCCAGAUUCCCAAACCCAAAAAUCGUCCUGGCAAACUUUCACCCCAACAUUUGGGGUGACCAAUUUAUCACCUGCACUCCUGAAGACUAUGCAUCAAUUAUAAAUUUGACAGUUAUUUUUCUUAAUAUGUUGGAUGAUAAAAUUUGUUGGUCAAGGUUACACGUGCUUGCAAAGAGGAGCAGAUUGAGGAUCUGAAAAAGGAAGUGAAAAGGGAAUUAACGGUUGUUGUUGUUGCUAACCCUUCCCAAUUGCUGAACUUCAUUGAUGCAUACCACUUUGAGCAAGAGAUAGAAGAAGCAUUACAACAAAUUUGUAAUAGUUUUCAUGAUUGCAAUGAUAUGGAUGGUGAUCUCUACAAUAUUGCUCUUGGAUUUCGACUACUAAGGCAACAAGGGUACAGUAUUUCAUGUUGUAAGAGACUAAGAAAAAAUUGUUAUGUUAAACCUUCUUAUCAUUCAAAAUCUUAUGUUCAAGUGGUGAUGUUUAUGUAGGUAUAUUGAACAAGUUUACGGAUGAAUGAGGUAGAUUCAAGGAAGCUUUGAUCAACGAUGUAAGAGGCAUGCUAGGCUUGUAUGAAGCUGCACAUCUGAGGGUUCAUGGUGAGGACAUACUUGCAGAAGCACUUACUUUCACCACCACUCACCUCGAGGCCAUGGUAGAAAGUUUAGGAUAUCCUCUUGCAGAACAAGUUGCCCAUGCCCUGAACCGACCAUUAGAAAAGGUUUGGAGAGGUUAGAGGCAAGAUGGUAUUUAUCUGUCUACCAAGUGUUGGUUUAAGGGUAUGGAAACAAAGGACUAACUCAAAAGACACAAACAAAAAACAUAAUGAAUAGUAAGAAAAACUUAUUAGUUGAGGCGUGACAAACACUGUUCUUGAAAUAGAUCCACCCUCUUCGAAAACGAACUGAAUGCACUAAGGUGCCAGUGGUCUACCUCCAGGAUUCAAUAGCCAGAUCUUGCCUUGGGUGCACUCUAUAAGUGAGACAUGUACAACUUGGUUUUGAAAAAAUUCCUCCAAAAAGAUGUAUGAAAGACUCUCUGAAAAAUUGGUAUUCAAAGAGUAAAAGGUGACCUGCUUUUAUAGGUCACCAACACAGUCCUAAUGGGACUCUACUUGUAAUCAGAGGACUCAAAGUGGAAUGAGAUUCUACUUAUAAGUGAAACAGGACUCUAUUAGCACAAUCCCAAUGGGAUUCUUCCCAAAGGUAAAAGACUAAGUCAAAUGGAAUAAAAAUUAAAUAAAAAAAAUUGAAUUUUGUAAAAAUUAGUCAAAUUCGCUAAAACACUUUUUCACAUUUACACUCUUCCUACACCAAGAUGAAGCUUUCCAUGAUAAAACUUUACCAGAGCUAGCCAAAUUAGAUUUCAAUCUAGUGCAGUCACUGCACAAGGAAGAGCUAAGCAAUCUUGUAAGGUUGGUUUUUAAAUCACCCCACAUGUACUUGGCCAUUCUUAUCACUUUCUUGUAUACUGAUCAUAUUAAUGUCUUUUAGGUGGUGGAAAGAAUUAGACUUUGUUACAAAGUUAUCUUUUGCAUGAGACAGAUUGGUUGAAUGCUACUUUUGUAUACAUGGGGUAUAUUUUGAGCCUCAAUACUUACGAGCUAAACGAAUUCUAACCAAAGUAAUUGCUAUGACAUCCAUUCUAGAUGAUAUCUAUGAUGCAUAUGGCACACCUGGUGAACUCAAGCUCUUCACAGAAGCCAUUGAGAGGUUUGCUACUUGCACAUUACCAACCUUGAUUGUGUAUAAUAUAUGUAUUUAUAUAUACCUAAAUCAAGGGUCAUUAUUUUAUUUUCAGGUGGGAUAUUAACAGCAUAGAUCAACUUCCAGAAUACAUGAAACCCUGCUAUGUGGCACUCUUUGAUGUGUACAAAGAAAUCGAGGAAGAGAUGGAGAAAGAAGGAAACCAAUAUAGGGUGCACUAUGCCAAAGAAGUAGUAGGACAUCUUUAACUCUGGAUUCCCACCUUUUGCAUUGAUGAUAUUUUAUAUGGUCUCAUAUAUACAUAGAUAUAACUUGGGUGAAUGUCCAUUAGAUGAAGAAUCAAGUUCGAGGUUACAUGAAGAACACGUACCAACACUUGAAGAGUACAUGUGUGUUGCACUAGUAAGCUUUGGAUACUACAUGCUUGCAACCACAUCCUUGGUGGGAAUGGGAGAAAUAGUAACAAAGGAGGCCUUUGAUUGGGUGACCAGCGAUCCUAAGAUUAUGCCAUCUUCAAAUUUCAUUGCGAGGCUCAUGGAUGACAUCACAUCACAUAAGGUAUGCAGAAUAUGUUAUUCAAGUGGGGAGAAUAUAACACACCGGUUUUUUUUUUUCUCAACUUUUGCAUUAUACAUGCAGUUUGAGCAAAAGAGAAGGCAUGUGGCCUCAGCCAUUGAAUGUUACAUGAAGUAAUAUGGUGUCUCUGAGGAACAAGUAUACAGCGAGCUUCAAAAUCAAAUUGAGAAUGCAUGGUUGGAUGUCAACCAGGAAUGCCUCAAACCUACUACUAUUCCAAUGCCUCUCCUUGCUCCUAUUCUAAAUCUUACACGAGUCUCGGAUGUCAUUUACAAAGAGCAAGAUGCGUACACACAUGUUGGGAAAGUGAUGAAGAAUAACAUUGCGUACACACAUGUAGUUGAUUAUCGUCCCCUAUGUAUUGCCUUGUGGAAGAAGUAAUAUCUAAUAAAUCAUUAUAAUAAGGUGAGGGAACAAUACGUAAUAAAUCAUUGUAAUAUGGAAAGGGGGACACAUCAUAUGUAGCACCUAGUUUCUCUGGGUUCAUAGUGUUUUACUUUUGAAUAUUCCCUGAAUAUUUAAAUAAGAAUAUGUAUUACUUAAAUCACCUGAAUAUAUUAUUUAUUAUAUUAUAUUCUUUAAUACAUAUGUAUUAUUGUGAUUCAACUUGAGGAGUAUUGAUACUGAGUCUUAAAAUACAUAUGUAUGUAGAAUAUAUGUCUACAAAAAAUCCGGAUCUCCUUGUUAAUGUGUAAUGGUGUUUUGGAGUACUACAAUACUCACCAAAUAACUUCUUUACACUUUAUAAUGGACACUGACUGGUGAGUUUAUAGUUAAUUAAAGAUUUCACUCGAUAGCAAAUUAUUAUUAUUAUUAUUAUUAUUGUUAUUGUUGUUGCUAGCGUUAUUAUUAUUUAAUUCAUUAUUAUGAAAAUUAUUAUUAUUAUUACUAUUUAAUUAUUAUUAUUAUUAGCUAUUAAUUUUAGUUUUUUCUUUUUCAUCUUUUCUUUUUUGUUGUUUGUUAUAUACUUCAUAAAAUUAUAAGUUAUGGUCUUUUAUUAGGUUGAAAUUGGAAGUUCAAGUUCAUUAAAGUAUGACACAGUUAACUUAGGUUCACUAAUUUUGUAAAAAAUUUGAUGCAUUUAUAGGAUAAUUAAAUAAUUCAACAAACUUAUCAUUUUACUAAUUAAGGUUUUUUAUUUUAUUUUAUUUUUUAAAAAACUUUUUUACAUGUAAGAAUACAGAAAUUAUGGUUCAAUGUGAAACUUUGGAAUUGCAUGAAUAUGAAAGUGAAAUUUGUUGGUGUCGUUCCCAACUAGAGUUAGGUUCAUCCAACUUCACUGGAGUCAGGUGGACUGCUUCCUUUCUCCAACUCGUGAACUUAGCCGAUACUAAGUUAUGUGAUAACACCCAAUUUUUCCGUUCGUGCUUCUUGAGAAGUCCGUCCAGUUGUAUUGGAAUCAGACAGACUUCUUCCAUGCACAAAAGGAUGUCCAGACAGGUGAUUCGAGCACGUCCCUCCUAAACUUAAGUCAGUUAAGGAUAGUUCUAACUUAUUUUUGUGGCAGAAAAUGAGUUUAUGUGCAUGCCUACCUUGUUCAUGCUUUUUGAGGGGUUUAUAUAGAGUUGAUGAUACUGUCCCUAUAGUGCUGACUAUACACUCUAGUCUUUCUUGUAAUGAUGAUUGCCCUUAGGGCGGUUGAUUGGUGCCAUCUAUUGACGUGCCAAAAUCUCGGACCAGCAACCGAUUGUCCAUUUAGCUUGCCAAUGUCUGGGAUUGUGUGUAACAAUUAAUUGACAUUGACUUUUGGGUGUAAAUGGAGUCCUGUCCACUGCUUAGAUGUCAGGCGUCUAAUCCACUGCUCAAAUGUCCUGUGUCUGGGCCAACGCUCAGACAUCAAGCAUAGUUGAUCAUGCAUGCCAGAAAUCCUGAGGACUUGAUUAGACUGAUUUUUUCGUCUGAGAGUCCAACGAGCCUAGCCUAUCGAUUCCGUUCAACCUUGUGGAAGAAGAGAAACCUCUCACUUCUUGUGUCAGACAUAACUUAUCUUGGUCCAAACGAAUUGAUCCCAGACGGGUUAUAAGUUUGUUCUGGUCGGCCAAGGGGUCUUAAGCUUGAAAAUGACACGUGAAGGGAAACCCCCCACAAUGCCCUUUUAAUCUGUCUACUUCUAUUCAGAUGAAGAGGAGAUGUUUUUGGAGCGUCCAGUUAGUUUCCUAUCUGAACAGGAAUUCUGGGAUCGUUUCCAUAUUCCAGAGAAUAUCCCUAUUCUUCUAAUAGACGACGAGGCGUUAUCCUCCGUUGACCUGCCCAACAACAUGAUGUAUUUUACUAAGGAACAAUUCGUUGCAGGGCUCCGUCUACCUAUCCCCUCUCUCUUCAAGCAGUUUCUUCAUUUUAUGUAAAUCCCUUCAGCUUUUCUUCAUCCGAAUUUUGUCCGGGUAUUGAUGGGAUGUAGUGUUCUAGACAUGCUCUUUCAGUUGAAUCUCUCAUUGUUGGAAGUUUUGCUUGUUUACAUUGUCAAAAUGAGCUGGAAAGAAAGGUUUAGCUUUUCUUCCCAUAUUCCUUACUUGCAGCCAGUGACUGGUCUUUUAGAUUCAUGCAAAGGCUAGGUAAAGGGGCAUGUCCUAGUCUCUGGUCCUUGGAGUGGUUCGUCUGAGGAACCAGAUGGAGUCUUUUAUCCACAACAUUCAUUGGAGAUUCCGAGUAGGAUACGCUUCCAUCACUUUCUCUAUAUUUUGCAAUUAUUUCUUCCUCGCUGUCAAUUUAUUGUUGAUCUUUUUGUUUGUGUGAUAUAGGCAAGGAGAGGUGGGGACGCCUUGUAGAGUGGGUAGACAAGGCUUCUUUCACCUAUUUAACAAGUUGUUCGAAAUAGACGCGUUCAAAUGGGCCCCUAAAGUUCUUUUGUAAGAUAAUAAGUUGCUAACGCUAAUUGAUAAUCCAAAGUCGUUCAUCAUCCCCGUAUUUCCUCGUCUGGCUCCCCCGUCUUUGGUGCCUGGUGAACAUUUCGUGCUAAAGGAUUUGCCAUUCUAUGAGGUUGCUCGUCUGGCAUAUUAUAAGGCAUGUUAGGCCCGUUUAGAGGAGUGAGAGAAAAAACAUCAGGAAGGGACAUUGAGGCAAGCUCUAACUGCUAGUCUUCUAUCCUCCAGUUUUGUUGUCCAUCCUCUCACUAAAAAGAGGACGAAACCUACUGCUUCGCCUAUCUGGAAGGUAAGGACUCUGCCUCCUUCAUCUUUAUCUUCUCCAUCAACUUCAUCAUCUUCGUCAUCUCCAUCUUCUAGUGGCAAGCCAAAAUCAUGGGUUGUCCAGGUAGUGUCCCUUAUUAUUUGCGAGGAGGAAAAAGAAGAGGAUAUGGCUUCAAACUUGAGGGUCGGAUUUCGUGAGAGACAGCGCAAGUGCUUGUCCAAAUCCAUUGUUGUCAAUCCUACCCCCUCUAAGAAAGCUUGUUCAAAACCUACUUCAGCUCUUGCGCUCGUGUCGGUUCCUCUAACUACUGCUACAGUCUUCACCCUUAAGCUAGAUGAGAAACUUCCUUCUGUUGAUGAACAUGUUUAUCAUGAGACGAGGAUACCCUUCAUCAGCACGAACAACUUCAACAAAGAAUCGUUCGAAUACAUGACUUUUUUUUCUCUUUGUUCGAAGUCAACCUAUGUCCCCAAUCGGGAGGAGGUAUCUGAGCUUUUGAAGUGAAUCCCUGUCUUCACCGAAAGAGAGUCCCUGGUACAAAACAUAGGGUACUCUUUCCAGCUACUUAGCAAAUCCCAAUCGAGAUAGACAACGAUCCUAGUCGAUCUUUCAUGACCUGGCUUUUGUAUGACACUCCGAAUAUCGCCAUUUCUCGCAUUAUUCCCAUGCAAGACUAUAAGGCUUUUGAAAUGACAAAUAUGGUAAGUCACCUACCCUUUUCUUCUCAUUUUUCCUUAGCCUCUUGUUUCACAACGAUUUCUUUAUUGCAUCUUCAGGUGAUAGUCGAAGUUUGAAACCUCAUGCGGCAACACACUCCUUUUUUCUACCGAUUGGAAACAAUCGAGACCAUGAGGCCAUACUUUGCCCAUAAUAUGGAUGGGAAUGAGGAUCUUCUUGCCAGCUUGGAGACAAUAAAGAGUGAAGCUGCUGUUGCCCAAAAGCUUGUUAAAGAAGAAAUCGGUCUAUUGAGGAAGGCCGAGGAAGAGAAGGAGACAGUUCAAACUGAAGCUUGCCAACUAGUUGAAAAGAAGGAAACCAUGGUGGUUGACAAAAAAAAAGGCUGAAGAAGAGGCUGCCUAGCUGAGGCAGGAGCUACAGGAUCUCCGAGCAGGGUUUGCCUCUCAGAAAGAAGACUUGGAGGUUCACUACCAAAAGCAAGUGGAUGACAUGUUCUUGUACGACUAUCGUUGUUGUAUGAAGAAGCAUGGCAUCAUCCAUGAUGCUCUGAGUUUUCCUUUGGAUGACGAUGAUGAGUUUUUAGGCGACCCUGCCCAGGGAGGAGGAGAUGUUUUCGGAGACGAUCCUUAUGGCGAGUAGGCUUGAUCUCUUUGUUUGUAUUUAUUUAUUAUGGUUGGACGUGGCCUAGACUGCUAUAUCUAUAAAGACAAUGGAUGCUUUAUUUUUUCAAAUAUAUUUACUUUAUCCGUUUGUCUCUCAUACAUUGUUUUCAUAAGCAAACUUUAUUGAAAGUAAUACUUUAAAUUGGAUACAUUCUAAGAGCAGAGCAGGGGUACGUUGUCUAGUGUUUGAAAAUGGUAUACCCCUAAGUCUCUAGCCUUAGUUACAACAUAUGGCCCUUCCCAGUUAGCUUGAAGCUUUUCGGCUCCUAUUUCAGCUGUGUUCUCAAAUAUUCUUCUGAGGACUAAAGUUCCUAGCCAGAAAAACCAUGGUCGUGUUUUUUUGUUGUAAUGGGUGAUCGUCUUUUGAUGGUAAGAAACCAUUCAGAUAGUUAUGUCUCCUAGCAUUUCAUCUGCCCAAUCCAACUGUCUUAUGAGUUCUUCAUCAUUGUUCCUCUGAUCUUAUACAACUGUUUUAGUGGUAGGCAUGUCAAUUUCAGUUGGAAUAAUGACCUUCAUCCCAUAAGCAAGGGCAAAAGGAGUAGUUCCUAUUGGCCGUUUGGAUGUCGUUUUGUAAGCCCAUAAGAUUCCGAGCAGUUCAUCCACCCAUUUUCCUUUAGCUCCUUCCAGCAUUUUUUUAAUGCAUUCAGUAGGGUUUUGUUUGUCGCCUCAGCUUGCCCGUUACUCUACGGAUAGCAAAGUGUUGAAUACAAAUUCUUGAUGUUUAACUUCAAAUAGAAAGUUCGGAAGACGGUAUUGUAUGAUUGCUCGCAAAACUCCAAAUCGACAUACGAUGUUUUUCUAGACGAACUUGAAGACAUCCUUAUCUUUGAUGCUAGCAUAGUGUCACGGACUUAGUCGUUCACUAAGCUCGUGCGGCACUUAGACAAGCCAAGACGCUUGAUCUUGCUAAGUCAGCCUUGCUCCCAAUACUUAGCUCACCCGGCUAAGACACUCGCGACUCAAAAGCUUAAGAAGCUUGGUAGGCAACUCCUUAAAGAAUGGAAGCUUUCUAUUACUCAAAGAAGCCUUUACAAGUGCUUGGAUGCUCACUUGCUUGGUUAGGAAGUGAUUUUGGGUGGUGCCUUGGCCAAAUGAGGCCCUCACCUAUUUAUAGGCACCAAGGGAACUCUCUAGAACCUUGGAGGGUUCCCUUACAAAUCAAGAAUAUUCUAGAACAUCCUACCCUAUUCUAUGUACAACCCUAUGUACAAGAAUAUACAAGAGAUUCCUAGAAGUCUCUAGAAAGCCUUGGACUCCUCCCAUGCCUUCCACCAUAGUGUAGAGAUGUGUGGACAUCUCUAGGCAUUUCUAGAACCUUCCACACUCUUCCCACCAAUGACUUNNNNNNNNNNNNNNNNNNNNNNNNNNNNNNNNNNNNNNNNNNNNNNNNNNNNNNNNNNNNNNNNNNNNNNNNNNNNNNNNNNNNNNNNNNNNNNNNNNNNNNNNNNNNNNNNNNNNNNNNNNNNNNNNNNNNNNNNNNNNNNNNNNNNNNNNNNNNNNNNNNNNNNNNNNNNNNNNNNNNNNNNNNNNNNNNNNNNNNNNNNNNNNNNNNNNNNNNNNNNNNNNNNNNNNNNNNNNNNNNNNNNNNNNNNNNNNNNNNNNNNNNNNNNNNNNNNNNNNNNNNNNNNNNNNNNNNNNNNNNNNNNNNNNNNNNNNNNNNNNNNNNNNNNNNNNNNNNNNNNNNNNNNNNNNNNNNNNNNNNNNNNNNNNNNNNNNNNNNNNNNNNNNNNNNNNNNNNNNNNNNNNNNNNNNNNNNNNNNNNNNNNNNNNNNNNNNNNNNNNNNNNNNNNNNNNNNNNNNNNNNNNNNNNNNNNNNNNNNNNNNNNNNNNNNNNNNNNNNNNNNNNNNNNNNNNNNNNNNNNNNNNNNNNNNNNNNNNNNNNNNNNNNNNNNNNNNNNNNNNNNNNNNNNNNNNNNNNNNNNNNNNNNNNNNNNNNNNNNNNNNNNNNNNNNNNNNNNNNNNNNNNNNNNNNNNNNNNNNNNNNNNNNNNNNNNNNNNNNNNNNNNNNNNNNNNNNNNNNNNNNNNNNNNNNNNNNNNNNNNNNNNNNNNNNNNNNNNNNNNNNNNNNNNNNNNNNNNNNNNNNNNNNNNNNNNNNNNNNNNNNNNNNNNNNNNNNNNNNNNNNNNNNNNNNNNNNNNNNNNNNNNNNNNNNNNNNNNNNNNNNNNNNNNNNNNNNNNNNNNNNNNNNNNNNNNNNNNNNNNNNNNNNNNNNNNNNNNNNNNNNNNNNNNNNNNNNNNNNNNNNNNNNNNNNNNNNNNNNNNNNNNNNNNNNNNNNNNNNNNNNNNNNNNNNNNNNNNNNNNNNNNNNNNNNNNNNNNNNNNNNNNNNNNNNNNNNNNNNNNNNNNNNNNNNNNNNNNNNNNNNNNNNNNNNNNNNNNNNAGCCGCCUCAUCCGUCAAUGCGAUAGCCUCAAAGUAUCGCUCCAUAUGCCAUAAGAAGUUAUCCAACUCCUUGGCAUCCCGAUUGCCACUAAACCUAUGUGGCUUCGGCACCUCCACCCUAGAUGCCUCUUGUGUGGCCAUGACCCGUGCCGACACAGCAGCCUUGUAGAUGGCCAACUCCUGCCUAACUUCCUGGUCUCGGGACUCCAUUCGAGUGGCCAAGGCCUCUAUCCUUGACUCCAUGCUAGCAAGCAUGCUCAAGACCUUUCCUUGGAAGGACACAAACUCCUCGUGCGACACUGGUUGAACCUGUGAGAUUAGCACCCCCUCGCGAAGGUCUUGGAUCUGCUCCCUUAGAUCCUCUAAGCCCUUCUCCAUGCCUUGCUCGAUCAAGUCCAACCCUUCCCGAGUGUCCGCCAUGGCUAGCUCCACCUUCGCUAACCUUGCCUCCAUGUUGGCAACGGCAUCACGAGAUUUAUCCUUCCUGCCCCUGCCCCGUGCAGUAGGCUCGGUCUCUCUCCCACGGGUUUGCUCACUAGUCUCCUCCACGUUAGAGCCCGACAUGCUUCCUUUGCUAUGCCCACCUCGUAACCGCGCUCUGAUACCACUUGUCACGGACUUAGUCGUUCACUAAGCUCGUGCGGCACUUAGACAAGCCAAGACGCUUGAUCUUGCUAAGUCAGCCUUGCUCCCAAUACUUAGCUCACCCGGCUAAGACACUCGCGACUCAAAAGCUUAAGAAGCUUGGUAGGCAACUCCUUAAAGAAUGGAAGCUUUCUAUUACUCAAAGAAGCCUUUACAAGUGCUUGGAUGCUCACUUGCUUGGUUAGGAAGUGAUUUUGGGUGGUGCCUUGGCCAAAUGAGGCCCUCACCUAUUUAUAGGCACCAAGGGAACUCUCUAGAACCUUGGAGGGUUCCCUUACAAAUCAAGAAUAUUCUAGAACAUCCUACCCUAUUCUAUGUACAACCCUAUGUACAAGAAUAUACAAGAGAUUCCUAGAAGUCUCUAGAAAGCCUUGGACUCCUCCCAUGCCUUCCACCAUAGUGUAGAGAUGUGUGGACAUCUCUAGGCAUUUCUAGAACCUUCCACACUCUUCCCACCAAUGACUUAGUGUAGAUGGCUCCAGGAGUCUCCAGAAGCUUCCCUCCUUCUAUAUAAGCCCAUGGGGAGGGUCAUUUGAAGCAUCCUGUGACAAUAGGCUUCUGUUUCCACCCACUUGCUAAAAUAGUCAGUUGCAACGAGUAAAACUUUUUUUGAGCUAUUGCAACAAGUAAGGGACAAAUUAUGUCGAUCCCCCACUGCGCAAACAACCAAGGGCUUGUGACCAGACUGAGAGCUUCAGAAUGUACACGGGAAAUGGGAGCAUGUCUUUGACACCAGUCACAUCUCUUAAAAUAGUUUUCAGUGUUUUGUUUCAUGGUGGGCCAAUAGUACCCUUGCAUGUAAGCACGAUGUGCCAAGGUUCGUUCGCCUGUAUGAUUUCUAUAUACGCUUUCAUAGAGUUCGGCCAGGACAUACUUGGCUUCUGGCUUGCUCAAACACCUUAGGUAUGGUUCUCUAAAUGAUCAUCUAUAAAGCAGGUCAUUGAUUAAAGUGAAGCGAGAUGUUUGCACGCAGAGUCUGUGCAAUUGCUUCCAAUCUUCUAGUAAUUCUCUCGUCUAAAGGUAUUUUACAAUGUCAUGCAUCCAGCCAAGGUUUGCUUCAUUGGUACUGCACACUAGUUCGGGUGUGGCCUGAAGGUAGAUAGACAACAUCAUUGCCUCUUUUAUAAGGAGAGUGGCAACUAUUCCGGCCAAUGCAUCCGCCUUCAUGUUCUCCUUUCGGGGUACCAGUCUAACAAUCCACUCAUCUAGAUUUUUCAAGUGAUCUUCCACCAUGGCGAGGUAGCGAGCCAUGCGUUCGUCCAUUACUUCAUACUCUCGUUGAAUUUUCCCAACAAUUAGUUAAAAGUCGCUUCUGAUUUUCAAGUUUGUUGCAGCCAGUGUUAAGGCAAGAUCUAGCCUAACUAGGACAAAUUCAUAUCCUACUUUCGUACAAUCUCUCACAAAAUUCAUACACUCUCUCACAAAGUUCCUACCAUCUCUCACAAAGUUCGUACCCUCUCUCACAAAGUUCAUACCACAUCUCACAAAAUUCGUACACUUUCUCACAAAGUUCAUACUAUUUCUCACAAAGUUGGUACCUCUUCUCACAAAGUUCAUACCCUCUAUCACAAAGUUCAUACACUCUCUCACAAAGUUCGUACCAUGUCUCACAAAGUUCGUACAAUCUCUCACAAAGUUCAUACCUCAUCUCACAAAGUCCGUACCACAUCUCACAAUGUUCGUACCCCCUCUCAUAAAGUCCAUACCCCUUCUCACAAGUUCAUACCCCUUCUCACAAAGUUCGUACCCCCUCUUACAAAGUUCGUACCCCCUCUUACAAAGUUAGUACCACCUCUCAUAAAGUUCAUACCCCCCUCUUACAAAGUUUGUACCCCAUCUCACAAAGUUCUUACCACCUCUCAAAAAGUUCGUACCAUCUCUCACAAAGUACGUACCAUCUCUCACAAAGUAAGUACCAUUUCUCACAAAGUUCGUACACUCUCUCACAAAGUUCAUACCCUCUCUCACAAAGUUCGUACCAUCUCUCACAAAGUUUGUACCCCCUCUGAAAAAGUUCGUACCCUCUCUCACAAAGUUCGUACUAUUCCUCACAAAGUUCAUAUCAUCUCUCACAAAGUUCGUACCAUCUCUCACAAAGUUCGUACCCCCUCUAACAAAGUUUGUACCCCCUCUCACAGAAUUUGUACUCUCUCUCACAAAGGUCAUACCCUCUCUCACAAUGUUUGUACCCCUUCUCACAUUGUUUGUAUCAUCUAUCACAAUUUUCGUACCCCCUCUCACAUUGUUCGUACCCCUUCUCACAGUGUUUUCCUUCAAGAUAUAUAAAACUUCAUCUUCAAAUUUAAUCUACAAAUAAACAAAAUAAUAAUAUAAAAAUAUUAAUGACAAUUUAAUAAUAAAUGACUAAAUUGUCUCAAUUUGAUUAAUAAUAACUCAUAAAAAAAAAUUCAAAAAUCUAAAUGUUAUAAAGCAUUACAUAUUGUUCAUACCCUUUCUCACAAUGUUUGUACCCCCUCUCACAUUGUUCGUACCCCUUCUCACAUUGUUUUCCUUCUUCAAGAUAUAUAAAACUUCAUCUUCAAAUUUAAUCUAUAAAUAAACAAAAUAAUAAUGUAAAAAUAUUAAUGACAAUUUCAUAACAAAUGACUAAAUUGUUUCAAUUUGAUUAAUAAUAACUCAUAAAAAAAAUUCAAAAAUCUAAAUGUUGUAAAGCAUUACAUAUUUAAAUGUCAUUUAACAUGACAUUUCUACCUACAAAAUUUAUAUUUAAAUAAAAAAUAUCAAAUAUUACCUUUGACACUUGUAAUCACUUGAAAUCUUUCAUCUUUUUCAUAUAAUAGAAAUUUUAAAUUUUCUCCCUCAAAAAGUUUCAAACUUGAUCUUCAAAUUUGAUUUAUCAAAACACAUCUCACAUAUUUUAUAAUAUGGUAGUUGAAACUAUUUAAUUUUUAUAUUAAAUUAGUAUCCCUUUUUGUAAAUAUGAAUAAUGAGAGUAUAAGGAUAGUUGUUAGAAUUUUCUUUUUUUAGAUAGAAUUAGGUAACAUUAAAUAAUAAAUUAUAUUUGAUAUUUAAUAAUAAAUUAUAAAAAAAUUGUAAUAUUUAGAUAUGUAUGAAUUGCAUGUAAUUAUUUCUCACAAGCAAGCCAUCUUUAUCGGUUUAAUAAGUUUUUAAUUUUUUUUUUUAAGUGGGUAGGUACCCAAAAUAAAGAGUGGGUACCAAAGAACGAUAUAUAUUUUGUCUAUAUUCUGUAAGUGACUGAAUGAUAGAUGCCUGUUGGUGAAAGAGAUGCCUGUACGUCGGCUUAAGAGAUGUUCUUUAUAUCAAACAAUAUAUAUUUAUCUAUAUUCUGUAAGGGGCUGAAUGAUAAGAUGCCUGUUGGUCAAAGAGAUGCCUGUACGUUUGUCUCAAAGAUGCUUGUUUAUAUCUAAGAAACAAAAGAUUCACAUAAAAAAAAAAAAUGAUGCUUAGAUUAUAAUAUUGAUCCUUGUUCUAUUUGGUUUAAGAGAAUAGUUUGACAUACAUGCAUAAGGUAAUUAAUAAAUUCCUGGUCAAGUGUCACGUUCAAACAAAUUCCUGGUCAAGUGUCACGUUCAAACAAGAAGAUUAAUUAAUAAAAAAGGUCAUUUCAAGGAGUAAAAAAAUUAUGAAAAAUAUAUCAGUUUUAACCACUAAUAUUAAUUAUUAGCAAAAGUCACUUUGAACCAUAAAAAAAUAAAAAAUAAAAAAAAUUAAUAACAAAAUAUCACGUUGAACCACAAAUAUUAACUCACAGCAAAAGGUCACCCUACGCCAUACCUACUAACAGAAACAUGUUCAUUAGUUAACAUGUACACCAAACCACCAAGAGAGACAACACCUCAUAAAACAGUUUUUAAGACCAAAUUUUAAGAACAGUUUUUUAUGUUUUUAGAAACAUAAUUGUGUUUGGGAAUUGAAUUUUGAAAAAUACUUUUUAUUUUCAAAAACAAAAAAAAAACAUGUUUAGUUGAGUUAAUAAAAAAAGUUUUUAGAACAAGUAAAACAAAAAAAUAUAUUUGAAAGUUGCUUUUUUUUUUAAUUGAGAAUUUUCUUUAAUUAACUUGAUAUUGUAAUUAUAUACAUAAUUUUUAGAUUUACAUUUCAUUUAAAUUAAAAACUAUUAUAUUAUGAUAUUUAUUUGCAUGAGUUAUAAUUUUUUCAACAAAGGAUUACUUUACCUAAUUGAUGAAGGGUAAUAAAGGGACUCAUAAAUCUGCUCAUCUACAUCAUUUAUUUCAUCUAAUGAAAAGGUAUCAACAACCAUUGAUAUAAUCUACUAGCUAAAACAAAAAUGUAACAACAGCAACAAUUCAAGUAUUGGUACAUUUCAGAUCACUACAAAUUAAAAGACCUUUUGGGUACUUACAGGCGAAGAAUAAAGUGCAAACCAGCAGGAGAUAGACUCAAUAAACGAAUACAACUCAAUGGUGUAUUUAAUACUUAGAUCAGGCCUCCUUCCCCUGGAAGUUGUAAACAUGGAAUGAGCACCUGCAAAUCAAAGCAAGGGAACAGACAAAAACCAUUUUUUGUUACACUACAAGAACUAGACCAAGAGUAGAACCUGUAAAAUCAUAGUAAUCAAACACCAAAGGUCCAAAACCAGUGAUCCAUUUGCUAGAAAAGAGAAAUCAAAUUAAUGAAACACAUAUCACAAUCAUUUUAAAUAGAGCAGAGGUCAUUCAAAACCUAUGAAACUCUAGACGAUGUGUUAAUGAACCAGGAAAUAUUUUAAGAAAUCACACAAAGUGAUCUAUCUUAACCUAGUGUUAAUAUAAAAGAUUCAUAAUCCCAAGAUAGGGAAAAAAACAAAUACGCAGCCGAGAAUCAAACCAAUUAGGUAGAAGACAAAAAAAAAAAAAAACAUUUCAAAUUAAAUAUAUACUCCAAUCCGAAUCUCAAAACCAUAAAUUAUUUUCAUGGAGAAGACAAAGAAAGGAAGAAAAAGACAAUACCUAAAACACUGAGUCUCCUUCUCAUUGAAUCCCCUUGAUGCAAAAGAUGCAAAGGUUAUUCUUAGCUCUUCAUUAGGCAAAGAGAUCCAUAUGUUGCGACAUCUGCAAAAGCCUAACUGUUAUCUCUCUUGCCAAUAUCCAGAGGGUAGAAUAGGCCACCAGCCUAAAAUUCAAAGCUUCAUAACACCAUCAAAUAGCGUACAUACAAGCACAUGAACACAUAGAGAGAGACUUUUUACACGAACAGCACCUUCUCUGGCGGCUAAUACAAGAAUAUCAGCACGUGAGGGUAGGUUGCUUCCAGCUCUUCCUUGAUGGAUUCAAUUAUAUCAAAGCCUUUUAGAGUUUCAUUAGAAAGCGAAUCUUUCUCUGAAUGGAUUCCAAUAUUUUUCUUGCCGUCAGUCUCUUCCGUGCACAACCCUUUCAAAUCAUGGGCCCCAAAAACAAACCAAAUUCCACAUACUUUUCAACUAAAUACAACCAUGAAUGCCAGUGCUGCCCUAUAAAUAAUAUGGAGCUUGCCAAGCUAUUUCUCUCAUACCUACCAAUUCAUCAUUCAAGGUAUAGUACUGUUCUAUCAUUGUUCCAAGGAAUUAACAUGUCUACUCAAGUCUCAGCAUCUUCUCUAGCCCAGAUUCCCAAACCUAAAAAUCGUCCUGUGGCAAACUAUCACCCCAACAUUUGGGGUGACCAGUUUAUCUCCUACAUUCCUGAAGACAAGGUAAUUGAAUGAAAAUAUGCAUCAAGUUUAAUGGCUUACAUACUUAUUUGGCAGUUAUUUUUCUUAAUGUGUUGGAUGAAAAAAAAUUUUGGUCCAGGUUACACGUGCCUGCAAAGAGGAGCAGUUUGUGGAUCUGAAAAAGGAAGUGAAAAGGAAAUUAACGGCUGCUGCUGUUGCUAACCCUUCCCAAUUGCUGAACUUCAUUGAUGCAGUGCAACGUCUUGGGGUGGCAUACCACUUUGAGCAAGAGAUAGAAGAAGCAUUGCAACAUAUUUGUAACAGUUUUCAUGACUGCAAUGAUAUGGAUGGUGAUCUCUACAAUAUUGCUCUUGGAUUUCGACUACUAAGGCAACAAGGGUACAGUAUUUCAUGUGGUAAGAGACUAAGAAAAAAAUGUUAUGUUCAACCUUCUUAUCAUUUAAAUCUUAUGUUCAAGUGGUGAUGUUUGUGUAGGCAUAUUCAACAAGUUUAUGGAUGAACGAGGUAGAUUCAAGGAAGCUUUGAUCAGCGAUGUAAGAGGCAUGCUAUGCUUGUAUGAAGCUGCACAUCUGAGGGUUCAUGGAGAGGACAUAAUUGCAAAAGCACUUGCUUUCACCACCACUCACCUCAAGGCCAUGGUAGAAAGUUUAGGAUACCAUCUUGCAGAACAAGUUGCUCAUGCCCUGAACCGGCCCAUUAGAAAAGGUUUGGAGAGGCUAGAGGCAAGAUGGUAUAUAUCUGUCUACCAAGAUGAAGCUUUCCAUGAUAAAACUUUACUAGAGCUAGCAAAAUUAGAUUUCAAUCUAGUGCAGUCACUGCACAAGGAAGAGCUAAGCAAAUCUUGCAAGGUUGGUUUUUAGAUCACCCCACAUGUACUUGGCCAUUCUUAUCACUUUCCUGUAUGCUGAUCAUAUUAAUGUCUUUUAGGUGGUGGAAAGAAUUAGACUUUGCUACAAAGUUACCUUUUGCACGAGACAGAUUGGUUGAAUGCUACUUUUGGAUACUUGGGGUGUAUUUUGAGCCUCAAUACUUACGGGGUAGACGAAUUCUAACCAAAGUAAUUGCCAUGACAUCCAUUCUAGAUGAUAUCCAUGAUGCAUAUGGCACACCUGAAGAACUCAAGCUCUUCAAGGAAGCCAUUGAGAGGUUUGCUCCUUGCACAUUACCAACCUUGAUUGUGUAUAAUAGAUGUAUUCAUAUAUACCUAAAUCAAGGGUCGUUAUUUUAUUUUCAGGUGGGAUAUUAACAGCAUAGAUCAGCUUCCAGAAUACAUGAAACUCUGCUAUGCGUCACUCUUAGAUGUGUACAAAGAAAUCGAGGAAGAGAUGGAGAAAGAAGGAAACCAAUAUCGGGUUCACUAUGCCAAAGAAGUAGUAGGACAUCUUUAACUCUGGAUCCCCACCUUUUGUAUUGAUGAUAUUUUAUAUGGUCUCAUAUAUACAUAGAUAUAACUUGGAUGAAUGUUCUUUAGAUGAAGAAUCAAGUUCGAGCUUACUUUGCUGAGGCCAAAUGGUUACAUGAAGAACACGUACCAACAAUUGAAGACUACAUGCGUGUUGCACUAGUAAGCUCUGGAUACUGCAUGCUUGUAACCACGUCCUUGGUGGGAAUGGGAGAAAUAGCAACAAAGGAGGCCUUUGAUUGGAUGACCAGCGAUCCUAAGAUUAUGUCAUCUUCAAAUUUCAUUGCGAGGCUCAUGGAUGACAUCAAAUCACAUAAGGUAUGCAGAAUAUGUGAUUCAAAUGGGGAGACUAAAACACUAUGGUUUUUCCUCAACUUUUGUAUUAUACAUGCAGUUUGAGCAAAAGAGACGACAUGUGGCCUCAGCUGUUGAAUGUUACAUGAAGCAAUAUGGUGUCUCUGAGGAACAAGUAUACAGUGAAUUUCAAAAGCAAAUUGAGAAUGCAUGGCUGGAUAUUAACCAGGAAUGCCUCAAACCUACUGCUGUUUCAAUGCCUCUCCUUGCUCGUAUUCUCAAUCUUACACGAACCGCGGAUGUCUUUUACAAAGAGCAAGAUUCGUUCACACAUGUUGGGAAAGUGAUGAGGGAUAACAUUGCGUCUGUCUUCAUUAACGCUGUAAUAUAACCAAAUAGAGUAGUUGAUUACCGUCCCCUAUGUAUUGCCUUGUGGAAGCAGUAAUAUCUAAUAAAUCACUAUAAUAAGGUGAACGAGUGAUAUGUAAUAAAUCAUUGUAAUACGGUAAGGGGACACAUUAUAUGUAGCACCUAGUUUCUCUGGAUUCAUAGUGUUUUACUUUGGAAUAUUACCUGAAUAUUUAAAUAAGAAGAUGUAUUACUUAAAUCACCUAAUAUAUAUAUAUAUAUAAUAAACUUUAUUAUAUUAUAUUCUUUAAUACAUAUGUAUUAUUGUCAUUCAAUAUGAGGAGUAUUGAUACUGAGUCUUAAAAUACAUAUGUAUGUAGAAUAUAUGCCUACAACAAAUCUGGAUCUCCUUGUUAAUGUGUAAUGGUGUUUUGGAGUACUACAAUACUCACCAAAUAUUUUCUUUUCACUUUAUAAUGGACACUAACUUGUGAGUUUAAAGUUAAUUAAAUAUUUAACUCUAUAGAGAAUUAUUAUUGUUGUUGUUGUUGCUAGCGUUAUUAUUAUUUAUUAAUUCAUUAUUAUGAAAAUUAUUAUUAUUAUUAUUAUUACUAUUUAAUUAUUAUUAUUAUUAUUAUUAUUAUUAGCUAUUAAUUUUAGUUUUUUCCUUUACAUCUUUUCUUUCUUGUUAUUUAUUAUAUACUUCAUAAAAUUACAAGUUAUGAUCUUUUAUUAGGUUGAAAUUGGAAGUUCAAGUUCAUUUAAGUAUGGCACAGUUUACUUAGCGGUUCACUAAUUUUGUAAAAACUUCGAUGCAUUUAUAGGAUAAUUAAAUAAUUCAACUAACUUAUCAUUUUACUAAUUAAGGUUUUUUUUAACCCUUUUACGUGUAAGAAUAUAUAAAUUUCUAGUUCAAUGUCGAAACUUUGGAAUUGCAUGAAUAUGAAAGUGAAAUUGAUAACAUUUUUUUUUUCUGAAGAAUUGUGCUUUGAAGUGAGAUGGGCCUGAAAAUUGAUAUAACAUCCUCUUAUCAUCCACAUUUAAGUUCAAGAUUCAAAUAAAGUGUAAAAAUUGAGUUAAAAGAUAUUAUCAUUCAUUAAUCCUUAAAAUGCCCUUAACCCUUGCAUAAACACACAAUGAAUGUAAAUUUCAAUUUCUUUGUAUUUUUUUUCCCAGUCUAUUCCCUAUUACCUAUUACCCAUUACCCAUUUCUACCUUUUUGUUUUCUUUUUCAUUUUUUCUUUUCUUCCCAUCUAUAGUUCUAUUUUAUGCCCAAUGUUAAUCUCUCAUAAUUAUAUUCCCAUUUUCAUUCGAUCCAUUAUUAUAUCAUUAACAACCAUAUUAAUUGCUAUUAAUUUUAUAUUUACCUUACAAUUCAUCCAAAUAUUUUUCAUUUGUAUUUAUCUUUUAGUUGAACUUUCAUUUUUUAUUUUAAAUUUACAUUACCUUUUUAUUUAUAUUUUUCCCUUAUUUUUAAUUAUUUUCUAUAGUUUCCACAUUAACCAUAUUUUUUAAAAUUUUAAAAUUGACUAUCACUUCACUCUUAAUUUUUUUUAUAUAGCUUUUUAAGUUUUAAUGUUUUUAUUUUAAAUUUAAAAAAAAAUUAUUGAGAAAAUAACUAAUAUAUAAAGUUCUAAUAUUAUAUUAAUAAUUUUUCUUAUCUAAAUAAACUAAUGAAAAGUAUUUUUACUAACAACAAGAAAAUUGUGAACACAAUUUUUUAGUGAAACUUUAGAAAUUAAAUUUCAAAUAAAGUAUGUUAUAUCAAAUUUUAUCUAAAAUAUGUUGAAAGUGGUAUUUAAUUUUUUUUAUUGACUUUCAAACUUAUUAAAUUUUUUACUUGAAAGAUAAUAGAACAUGUUUAAAGAAAAUUAGUUUUUCAUUUUUUUAAAUAAAUGAGUAUAAAUAUUUUUAAAAAAUUUAAGAUAAUCUUAGUAAAAAAUUUGAUAAAUGUGAUUACAAUUUUAAAUUAGAUUUUUAAAUAUAGAUUCAUUUGGAUAAAAUUUCACAAAAAAAAAAUGGUGGAAAAAAAGGAACAUUGCUAAAACUACAAAAACAAAAUAUGCAAUUACAAAAUUUUGAUAAUGAAAUUUAAAAAUAAGAGUCGAAACAAUUCUUAGGUGAGAUAAUUUGAUUGGGGAGAUUAUGCAAUUCUUGAGUGAAAAGAAAAAAGCGGGAGAGUUUUUGAGAAUAACUUAAAAUCCUUGACAAAAAAUAGUAUUGUACACUCUUGUAUAAUUAGUAAAUUUGUCUUGUACAAUUAGUGUAAUCAAUAAUUCAGAUUCCAUAUAUUUCCUUGUGAAUAUAUGUUAAUAGGUUAAUUAACCAUGUUUGCAUUGGUUUGGUUUAAGAGAACAGGAAAAGUUGUUGUACAAUUUUGUUCCAUGAUUAUCAUUAAUAGGGUAUAUAUUCAAAUGAUCAUAUACAAGUUAGAUAAAGUGCAUGAGAUGAGUAUAUGAUUAAUCGAUGUGUAUGAGGAAUGUCAUCCAUCCUUGACUGGCAGAAUCACUUAAAUUCUUCACAAAUGACAACCUUGUGCACCUUUGUACAGUUAGCAUAUUUGUCUUGUAUACUUAAUGUAAAUAUAUUGUAUAGUGAACCAAAUUUCAUAUACCCUUUACUCAAUGUGUGUCCAUAGAUAGGUAGGUUAAACAUGUUUCCACUAGUUUAAUUCACAAAAUAGUGGAAGACGUAAAAACAAAAUUUUUCCUCAAACAUCAUUAGUGAGAUAAGUAUUCGAAUUGUCAUGUACAAGUUAAAUAAAGUGCAUGACUUGGGUGUGUGAUAGAAGAAUGUGUGAUAUGAGAGUGUGCAAUCCUUAAAUGGCAAGACAAAAAAAAAAUUGCAAGAACAAAAAGUGAGAAAAUCUUUAGGUAAUUAAUCAUGUUUUUUGAGUGACUCUAAUUAAUAAAUUAGCUCUAAGUGACUCUAAUUAAUUAAUAGCACAUUCCAGAAAGUCAAUUUAUAAUAUCUAGUACAAGCUUGCAUUUUUACCAAGACGCUUUUAUGUAGACUUAUGAAUUACAAAUACCCAAAAUACUCUCAAAGCAUUCCAUCAUGAAAUAGGAGCUCAAGUAGAGACCAUUGAGACCUAUAGGAAAACACUAACUCCUUCAAAAUCUAAUGUUGAAUUUGACUUUACACUCUACUAAAGAGAGUCAACUACACCCUAAUAUCUUAUGAAAUUACAAUGAGCGAAGAUCAAGUCUAUGACCUACUAUUCAUUGCAUGUAAACUCUUCAUAAAUCGAUGUCUGUAAUUUAACAAGAUAGUGUUAUUACCUAUCAAACUUAUCUCUUUAAUCCUUAAAUUAUAGAUCUCACUUCUUAUGUGAUCAACUGACAUACUUUGCCUUAGAGAAGUAUUAUCUUUCGAUGUGAAAAUUUAGUGGGUGUUAAUUGACUUUUUGGUAGUUCUUAAAGAAUAAUUUCCUCAAAUAACAAAAGAAGCACAUAAAAAAAAUGCAAUAAAAAAUAAUUGUGGUGGUCUCAAAGUGACUUGGCCAAAAGUUAAAUAAUUGGAGGAUGACAACACGGAACAAGGACUUUUCAAACAGUUAUAUACAAACUUAAUAUAAUAAGGGUUUUUUUAAUGAUUAUUUUGGGAAAAAAAUUUUAAAUAGGGGAGGAUAUAAUUAUAUAAAAAUAUGUGUAUGCAUAUCAAUACAUGUGUAUAUUUAUACGUAUUUUUACAUAUUAAUUUAAUAAAGUAAAAUAAAAAUCAAUUGGUAUGACAAACAAAAUUAAAGUAAUAACAAUCCUAUAAGAAAAUAAAUAAAUAAAUAAAUGAACAAAAGUAAGUUUGUGUCAAAAAAAUAUAGUAAAAAAAUAAAAAUCCUUGUGGAAAAACUAAUUGCUAAUAUUUUUUAUUUUAAAAACAUUUCUAAUAUUAACCUAUAUCGAAACUAUUUAAUUUUAUUACAUUUCAUGGAAAUAAACUUCCUGUAAUAAAAAUAUUUUCUUUUAGGUAUCUAUAGACGAGAAAAAAAUAUUUGAUAUAUGAUUAGAAAAAUGUUAGUGUCCGAAAAUCGAAAAAUGUCCUUGGAAGAUUGUAUUUAUUUCCCCUGAAUUUUCGGUUUAUCCGGUACGCUCCAUGCCAAACACUGCCCGUGUUUUACGCGGUUUGCAACCCAUACUCCAUGCUCCAUGUCGUAAACCAAUGAGAUUAAAGAUUAGUCUGACAGCUUCAUUGGAAAAAUUCAAAACUAAUGGAAAGAAUGAAUAAAAAAAUGAAAGAAAAUGAAUUGGUCCACAUGUGAAAAGGAGAGAGCUGGUCGUUGAAUGGGAAAUGGAGGAAAAUAGAAGAAAAAUGACAAAGGAAGGAGCCAAGAAAAGGAAGGAGGAAAAUAUAGUAUUUCUUGUUAAGCUAUAAUUUGACCUUGACCAUAAAGCUCAAUCAAACAUAUUUACUGCACUGUUCUUCUAAACCAUAUAUGCAGUUUGAGCAAAAGAGAGGACAUGUUGCCUCAGGCGUUGAAUGUUACAUGAAGCAAUACGGUGCCUCUGAGGAAGAGGUAUACGAUAAGUUUCAGAAGCAAGUUGAGGAUGCAUGCAAGGAUAUUAAUGAGGAGUUCCUACGACCUACGGCUGUUCCGAUGCCUCUCCUUAUGCGUGUGCUUAAUCUUUCUCGAGUGAUGUAUGUGAUCUACACGGGGGGAGAUGGGUACACUCAUGUUGGAAAAGUGAUGAAGAAUAAUGUUGCAUCACUGCUCAUUCACCCUAUCGCAUGACCAAAUGGAUCAAGUUGAUGAGCAUCUACAUAUUCUGCCAUACCUAAUGCAUCACUGCUCAUUUGAAUAUAUGUUUAAAACACAUGGAUCAAGUUUGAUACUUUUCUGUCAUUUAAAGUUCACGUGAGGGAGAAAAUUCUCCAUAGAAAAUCACUUGGCGGAGAAGAUUCAAACAACACGUGUAUUCACUAUGGAAGUUACCAGGAAAAGGGUUUAGAACAUACAAAGACAUAAAACACUAAAAAAUUCAUCCUAACGGGUAAAAUAUGAUUAUGAUUAUUAUUAUUAUUAUAAUAUUAGACAUGCUAAAAGUUUUAUUAUAUACCAUGUAAAAAAUAAAUGUUAUGAUAUUACAUUAAACUAUGCAGAGUUUAAAUUUUUGCCAAAAAAAAAAAAAAAAGAAAAAAAAAAUUGGAGAAUCAAAUUCAAUCAACUCAUCAUUUUCCAAGCAAGGAUUACGAUAUUGAAAAUUAUAGAUAGAUCGAUGAUUAUAUUUUUAAAAAACAUUGGAAUGAAAUAAUAAUACAUGUAUAGAAGUUUUUUAAAUAAUAUAUAUAUAUAUAUAUAUAUAUAUAUAUAUAUAUAUAUAUAUAAUAACAUUUGUGUGAUAUUGAAUAAUAAUCCAUAGAGCUUGAAAAUGCAUUUAAUUAUAAAAUAUAUAUGAUUGCAUGUAAUUUGAAAAUAAGUAUUUAUAAUUUCAUUUACGACUUUAUUUCUUCCUCAUUAUUUAAUUAAUAUAGACAAGGUAUAUAUAAAAAAAAGACUUUAGUGAAUGCAACUUCAAAUGACGAAUAAUGCACGGUAGCAGUAAGCGAAGACUCAUUAUUUUGACUUCAAGGCAUUAAUUCAUAUUUUAUCCAUUACACAACAAAAUAUAUAUAAAUAUCCUUAUAAAAAAUAUAUACAAUAUUUAUAGGUAACAACUUUCUUCUUAAGCAAAGCAGCCAAGUAAGACUACAAAAUCUAUACCAAACAAAAUAUCUACUAGGAAUAAAAUUGAUUGGCUCGAACUCAAACUACCUAUGGACAAAUUUGGAUAAUUAUUUCCAACAUUUAAAUUGAUUGGGCUUAGGUUAAAGUAUUCUUCAACUCUUAAGUCAAUUUUAGUUGGGCUCUUACCAAGGUUGUGACAUCUCGAAUCUAACCAAAAGUUGAUAUAAUAUUUAUAUAAUAAUUAUAAUUUAUAUUAUUAUGGACUCAUGCACAUUUUUCAUUUAUUAUGAAAAAUGAUUAUUUGAAAACCCUUUUUAGGUUUUUUAGAGUGAUCAUUUAUUUUAUUUAUUUUUCAAAAAGGAAAACAAAAUAAGAAAAAAAAAAAAAAAAAGACAAGUUCAUAAACCAAGAUUGAGUAAGAAGUCAAAUUACCUAUUGGAAAAAUACAAAGAUAAGUCAUACAAAACAACCCUCUAAGCUUAUAUACUUACAAUCUUUAUUAAGCAAAUGAAAUGAAUUAUGACAAUUAAAUAAUUGAUUAUGGAUACUCAAGAAAAGAAAAACACAAAUAUAAAACAAGUCAUGGUGUUUAUCAUGUUAAAAUAAUGUAAAAAAAAAAAACAAAUGAUAAAAGAAUUUGCAUAAAUUGAUUUAUGAAACUAAUUAAAAACAUGGGUUUAAUUAUUUCUAAAUUCAAAGGAUUAAAAAAGUUAUUCCAAUUUGAUGAUUUCAAUUGAUUUUAAGUACAAAAGAAAGUUUUGAUUUCAAAUUUUUUUUUGAAGAAAAAAAUGCUUCAAAUCAUAGAGAUCAUCAUUUAUAUCAGCAAUGCCAUGAUAGUUAUCAUAGGUGCUUUGUAAUGCUUGUUCUAUCUCGUUUUCAAAGUGGUAUGCCACCCCAAGCCGUUGAAUUGCAUCGAUAAACUUCAGCUGUUUCGAAGGGUUACUAGCUGCAGCAAUCAGCUCUCUUCUAACUUCCUCCUUUAGAUCUUCCAACUGCUGCUCUUUAUGGGCCAGAGUUAUCUGUAUCAAUAAAUUGCAAGAACAAAAAGUGUGAAAAUCUUUAGAUAUUGUUAUGUAAACUGCAUAUAUGAUCAGAAAAUUACCUCAUCAUCAGGAAUGUUGCUCACGAUGAAACUAUUGGCCCAAAUGCUAGGCUGAUAAUUUGCAGUCCGGCGAUUAGUCUCUGGAUUAGCAACUGGGGCUGGAGAAGACAUGUUACUGGUAGCGAGAAUUAAGGGCAUGUGUAACUCACUGGAGCACUCCAUAUAUGAAUAAGAUAGCUUGCAAUCUUCGGUAUUUAUAGGAUGGGAAAUCGUUCAUUACAAUUAUUGAAUAUCAAUCCCAGAUCCCCAGUAGCAUGGAUUCAAUUAAUUCAAGGUCAUCUAUCAUAUUUAAACCACGUUUAUUAAAAAUUAAAUAUUUAAAAUAUGUUUUUAUUUCUCUUAGAAAUACGAAAAUUGUAGCUUAUUCCCUUAAUAAUUCUCAGUAUCCAAUCAGCCACCAAACAGUGACUAAGACUUUCACGUGAAGAUCGUUGGGAAGGUUAAUUUAAAAAUAUUUUAAAAUACACGUAAGUUUUCAAAAAUCAAAUAAUUAUUUCUUGAAAUAAAAUUAUAUAAAAAAUAAUAAUUUAUCACUUUAAGUUAAUAAAAGCAUCUUACAAAUAAGUAUAUUAAAAAAAUAUAUAAUAUAAUAUGGGAUACAAAUCAUUGUGAAAAAUGUUCUAUGAUAAAUAAAAUUCCUUCUAAUCUUGUAAUUAAUAAUAAUUUUAUAUUAUAUAUUAUAUAAAUCAUUUCAUCUUCCUAUCUUUUUUAAUAAAUUGAAUAAAAUUUUUGUUGGUUGGCAUCAAUAAUAAAAUAAAAUAAAAAUUAGAACUUAAAAGUUAAAAAUAUAACAAAUAAAAUAUUGACUUUUAUUUCACUCAUAACAUGUCUGUUAAAAAUAUAGAUAUCAAGAAAGAAAAAUAUAAUAUGGGUCAAUAUUUUAUUUAAUUUUUUUUAUUUUAAUUGUAUUUAAUUUUUAAGUAUUUUGGUUUUAAUUGUAUUUUUAAUUUUUAAAAUUUCUUAUUUUAUAGUUGUUCAAUAUUCUUAAGAAUGUUUGUUUAUAAAGAGAAAAAAAAAAGUCAUAAAUUCGUCUCACAACACCAUGACUAAAAGGGAGAUUGGUUCUUUACAAUUAAACAUCUACACGUUUAUUUGUUUAUUGAUAUUAUUGAUGUAAGAGAUAAAAUGAUCAUUUUAGGAAAUAAUUAUUUAACUUAUGAGAAAUGUAUGUGUUUUAAAAUAUAUUUAAAUGGAUGAAAAUAAAACUAAUUUAUAAAAUUUUGAAUUUCUUUUUCAAAUUAGUGAGUCAUAACCUAGUUUUCCCUUAAUAUUUCAUUGUACAAUAAAAUUAAUAUCAUGGUAAUAAAAGAAUUUGGAUAUAACUAGGGAACUAAGUUCUUUUAUAUACAACACAAAAAUUAGUGUCUAGAUGAAAAGAAAAUUGCAAAUAAUUUGUUUUUCAAUCACACCUAUUGUAAGAAUCAUAUUAUUAAUUAUUUUGAUUCUUAAUUAACAAUAAUUAAGAAUAAUAUAAAUAUAUAUUUUUUUUAAUUAAAAUGUGAUUUGAGUUAGGAUAACUCUUAAAUUUUUGGCAAAUUUUCAAUGCCAAUAUUUCAUUUAUAUAAAACCACAUAAUAUUUCCUUGAUAUAAAAAUUAGGUCUAAAUGAUGCUUGAUAUGUCAAAUGUCCUUUCAAACAUUGAAAAAGUUAAAAAAAAAAAAAAAAAACAUUGAAAGUUAUGUGAUUCAAUUAAACCACAAAUUCCUUAGAGGAGAUGUAUAUAACCAGCCAAUCACUUUAUCAUAUGAAAAUCAUUCCUCCACCUUAUCAUAAUAAUUGAUUCUUCACCUAUCAAUAAUUUUAAAUUCCCCUAAUAUGGCAAUUUACAUCUCCUCUUUCUAUCAAUUUCUAGACCCAACCUUAUAUUAAUUUCUAAAAAUUUCAUCCCUUAAAUCGGAGUGGCAUGACAUUAUUUAGUAAAUUCCAAUAAAACUAUAAGAGUUCUAAACAAUCAAUGAAUCCAAAAUAAUCAUUUAAGUUUUAUUAAAUCAUUAUAUUUAUUUAUUAAACAUCUUUUAAGUCAAACUUAUUAUAUAAUAAGGCUUAAUUAUUUUAUAAUUUAUUUAUUUUAAUAGUUAAGAAAAUUGGAGGAUGCAUUGAAUUGAGCAAAACUAAAUCUCAAUCAUAAAUGAGCAAGCCUAUUUUAUAAAGAGACAAUAAAGUUUGGAAGGACCAUCUAUGGUCGAAUUCAUACACCAAAAUCUCUAGAAAAUCCGAGUGGGCACCAUCACCAUUGAAUAACGGCCCUACUUGGUAUGUGGGGUGAUGUUGUGGGUUUUGGAUGUUAAUAUGAAAAAAAGAGUCGAGUGUUUUGCAAAUGGCCGGCCGCCCUACUUGGUAUUACUGAGUGUGGAUAUGUUGGAGUUGUUUUGGGGCUUAAAGUUUUAGUUUGACUUGUUUAAAUUUCCUUUUUUUCAUGUACAUUGUAUUGACUCUUCUCAUCAUUGUUGUCGCAUUCCUCGGUCCUUAUUUUAAUAAUUUAUUAUAUUUUUUAUAUGAAAUGCAAAAUAUUUGAGUACUUUUUGAGUGGUUGCUUAUAAUAUGCAGUGAAAUUUGUUCCUACUAUUAUUUGUUAAAAGGGUAAAUAUUUUAGUGGUUGCUAUUUCUAAAGAAAUUAAGAUUUGGUUCACUUUUUCAAAAAUUAAUUUUUGCUUCCAAUAACAAAUAUAUAUAUAUAUAUGAAAAAAAUAUGAAAAUGAAAACAUGUCUAUGUGUUAAUUGUUCCAAAAAUAGAUUUUUGAAAAUAGGGUAUUUUUUAGGAAAAGUUUUAAUUGUUUUUAGUUGUUUUUUUUUUUUUUGUGAAUGUUUAAAAAAUAAUAUAUAAAUAAAAAAAUGAUUAAAAAUAAGGUAGUAUAUAUAAAAGUUUUUUUUAUUGUAGAGAAAUUUGAAAAACACGCUUUUAAUGUUAGAAAAUGAUUUUUAUACAAUAAAAAAACUAUUACAAAACAGAGUAGUCAAAUAAGCAAUUCUAUGACACUUUCCUUUCAUCUUUAGAUUUUGUCAUGGUAAUCAAAUUACCAAUUAUGAUUAGAAUUCCUUUUCUAUUAAUUAAGUCUAUAAAUUCAUUGUUUUAGCUAUGAGUUUAGUAAAUUUUUAACUAAAAAUUUGAAAAAAAUAAAAAUAAAAUUACUAUUCAUAUAUAUUUUCUUUUUUUGCUUUUUUUUUUUUUUUUUUUUGAGAAUUUUGUUAACUCAUCCCUCUUGGUGUUCCUCAAUUGGAAUCAACAAGAAGGGUUUUUUUUUUUAAUACUACUUUUUUGUCUUUUGAGAAUUUGGUUCAAUAAAGGGUUUGAUUUUAAAUUUUUUUUAGAUACGUAUACUAAUUAUUAAUUAGGAUAUUUGAUUGAGACAUGAAUGAUCUUGGCUGAUUUGUAAACUCUAUUUGAAAGUAGUAAAAGAUUUGUGUAAUCAUUAUUUCGUUAUAAAAUUAUCUAAAGAAAAAUUAUUAGUGCUUUAGUGCAUUAGUCUAGUUAAAUUAAAUUUGUAAUUUUUUAGGACGUCAUAUAUAUAUAUAUAUAUAUAUAUAUAUAUAUAUAUAUAUAUAUAUAUNNNNNNNNNNNNNNNNNNNNNNNNNNNNNNNNNNNNNNNNNNNNNNNNNNNNNNNNNNNNNNNNNNNNNNNNNNNNNNNNNNNNNNNNNNNNNNNNNNNNUAUAUAUAUAUAUAUAUUAAUGAUUUAUACUCCCUUUAAAAAUUCAAGGUUGCUGCAUAAUUAAUUUGAAAUUAAACAGAUAAGUAUAACUAAAUUGAUUUAGAAUAAUGAGCAAAAGGGAUAAGUAUUUAUAUGGAAAUUGAAAAUAAAAAUUUGAAAAUGAAUUUAAAUUUAGAAUUUAAAAUAGAAAAACUUUCAAAUAUCUUUUAGUUUAAAAAAUAUUUUUAAAGUUUAAAAAAAUCUUUCCUUCCUAACUCUUUUUUUUUUUUUUUUGGUAAAAUAUCAUUUGAGAGUUUUCAAAGAUCACCCCCUAAGCUUAAAGUCAUUAUUCUUUGUGUUUAAUAAAAAAAGGUUUCAAAACAUUUUAAAUUUGUUUGUUGAGUUUGAGAUAGAAGAUCACAUCCUCUCAAGGUGUCGAGGAGUCCAGUAAGGAGAAUGAUACGUUUGCAUCGUGGACAUGAAAUUAGGUACAAUCAUUAGAUAACUUUAUGUACUUAUCCUUCAAAUUUAGUGGAUUUUAAAUUUAUGGUAUUUGACCUUGUGGUUCUUAUAUCAAAGUCUUUGGGAGGCUUUGUGAGUGAUUUCUAUGUAAUUGCUUGUAUUUUUAAGUGAUUUUUUAUUUUUAUUUAUUCUUUAUAUCCUAAUAAAAGAAAAUAUAGAAACUAAAGAUUGGCAUACAUUGAGCUAAAUUCAAGAAGACUAUCUAUUUACUCCCUUUGAGGUGAAUAGAUAAAAAAGAAAGAAGAGAAAUGGGAGAUUUGUCUUUCUUUAAAUCCAAACAAGAUGAUAAGUCCCAGUCAAAGAAUCAUGUACUACAACAAUUGAUUACAAGUAUUCUCUUUGGGUGAGAACAGACCACACAAAGAAAUUGGGUGAAAAAAAUUGUCAUAUCCUUUAUUGAUGUCCAUGAGCGAUUUUUAACAUAUGUCGCUAAAACUAAAGGUCUUUAACACCAUAAUAAAAUAACUUCAAAUAAUAAAAAAAAUAACAAUAGUGAAAGCAAAAAAUCAAUGCAAUAGCUUUUGUUCUUCUACCACUACUUAUGACUUGUUCCAGCACAUGGUUGUUAAUCCCUUCUAAUUCCUUGGCCAGAAGAGAAUAGCAGCUUGACUAUGAAAUGAUCCCACAACCACUUGAAUGCGUACGUGUCUUCACGCAUGAUAUUUUGGAUUUCUUUUGAUGGCACAUUGCAAACGUUGUAGCCCAUUCAAAGUCUUGUCAUUACUCCCCCCUCCAAGUGGAUGCUUGUCCUCAGGGUCCUAAUUUGGAAACCUCUGCAGAAGCUCUUCGGUACUCUCCCACGUAGCAUCCUCCACAGCCAGCAUACACCACUUGACUAAACUUUCUUCACGAAACUUAGCCCCGUGUUUCACCCAGCGAGUGUCUAGUAUGGCUUUGGGCUCAAUCACAAGUGUACCAUCAUCUGAAAGUGGCAGAAGUUCUGAACUGUUCACGGAACCAUCUUGAUUACUACUCAAAAAGUGCUAUUUCAUAGCUUGUAAUUAACUCUUUUAAACACUUUUGAGUAGUAGUUAUUACCUUUUAACCCAAUUAACAUAUUAAGGACCUUUGCAAUAAAUUCUAAUCAAAUACUGUUAAGUUUUGGUGUUUUGAUAGCUUUUUGAUCACCAAAGCAAUCCAAGAUUGAGGAGAGUUCUUUGGAAUCCAUGGAAAAGCAAUGGAAAGCUCAGAAACAUGAAGAACCGAAGCUUUGAAGUCCUUUGCCAUAAGCAAAUCUGGAAUGCAAGGAGGGGAAGCAAAGAGAAAUCUGCCAUGAAGCAUUCUAGAUGACAGUCAUGUAAGCCACUUUUGGAGUACUUCCUGGAGUCCAAUUUAUGUAUGCUAUAUGUCGUUUCGAAGCUUAAGAAGUCAACAAUCCAAUGCUUUAAACAGUACGCGAUUCGGAGUUGAAAUGAAGGAGUUACAACCAUUGGAAGCUGAUCACUCCAAGCUAAAGGAAAAUUUUGCACGGCUGCAAAAUCCCCCUUUUGCUGCGAAAAUGUUGUCCUUUUGUUGCGAAAAUUUCGCAGCCAUUUUGCACAAUGCAACAGAAUUUCUCCUGAAGCUUCCUGAUAUUUGCGACAUACAUUUUGAGAUUUUUUGCUUUAGAUAUUUGAUGUCUAAAUCCCCAAACUCUCCUUGUAACCCACCUAUCAUAGGAUUCCUUAAUCUUUAAGUAAGAACAAAGGGUGAAUAACCUCUUAUAUAUAGUUUGUAAUUUUCUUUAUACAAUGAUCAAUCUCUCGAGAGCCUGUUCUCAGAGAUGAAUCAUCAUGUAAUUGGCGAAAGGAAGAAAUAUAUUUUACAGAGCACUUGCUCUGUUUUUCCUUCAUAUUUUUGUUUUCUCAUUAUUUUUCUUUCUAGCCAAUCAAACUUUGAGGAUGUUUUCUCAGAGGAUGAGAGGCUAGGCUCUUCGUCUCUUGGAGUGAAGAAAGCCGGGUAAGUUUCCUCAUGCAUAAAUUGGAAGUUUUGUUGUUUUAGUUUUUAAUGAAGAGAAAGUGUGACCCGUUAAUGGUUUUUAUCUUUUUAGUUAACUUAAAAUGCCUUUAAAUCACCUGGGCCAACACUUGGUAAGGCAAGUGAUCUCCGUCCAUUGAGAUGCACUAGUUUACCUAUUGCGAGCCUUUGGGAGGUGGUUUAAAGGUAGGAUUUUCUAGAAUAGCCAACACUUGGUAAGCUUUUGGACUCCAAGGAGACAUCCAUUAGUUAUCUCUUGCGAGCUUUUGACGGGUAAUCCAAGGUUAAGGAUCACCUUGAAUGGCAAAUGCUAGGUGAGAGGCACGAGCCAUUGCAAGAUGCAUCAGUGAGAGAGAUUUAGUGUUUGAACCCAUUAAUGGGAAGCAUCUGUACCACACCGGUUAGAGAAUUAACUAUAUGUUAAUUCUCUAAUGCGAGAAAAAGAAACAAGUGACCGGAACUCCCUUUUUGUACAAGGAACCUGAGCCUAGUGAUUUGAAACUCCAAGAAACACUUUUCUUUGUAAGUAAAAUCAGUUGCUAUUUUUGGUUAGUUUAAAACCAAACCUUUUUCAUUCAAACAUCUUUAUGUUUUAUUUUAAAGCUAACCUUGAAAUGAAAAGACACCAAUUCAUCUUUGAAUUAAUAUCAAUUGUGGAGUGAAAAACCAUCCCAGUGAAUGACCCUAGAGCCACUAUGCUAUGCUAGCUAAGGCUAUCCUAGUACAUGGUGUAAUAGGUUAUAAAUUUUGUUGAUUACUCCUGAGGACCAAAAUCAAGGGACACCAGCUGGACACGAAUCAAAUGGCACCACUGUCAGGGACCAUUGAGAGGACAUGAAUCAACUGAGACACCAAUUGGGAACGCAUCACAUCUCCAAGCUUCUUCCUUAGCAUCAAUACAUGAAAAACAAGGUGCAAGCGCACAUUGUCGGGUAGCUUCAGUUUUUAUGCGACAGCUCCCACUCUCUCCUCGAUUAGAUAUGAUCUACAGUAUUUGCUUGCAAGGUUCUGAUGAGCGCGUUGAAAACGAAUUGUUGGCGAUAAGGCUGUAGUUUGAGGAAAACAAGAUUGCCUUCUUGAAAUGUAGCAUCCCAUCAGUCACGAUAUGCUAUUUGCUUCAUUCGAUUCCUUGUAAUUGCCAAGUUUUCCUUGAGAUGUUUCAAUAAUGCAUCUUGAGUUGCAAGGCUAUGAUCAACUUCAUCAACGGGCGAAGACCCCAUCGAAUACAAUGGAAUAACAGGGGAAAGUCACCCAUAAAGAGCCUGGAAUGGGGUCAUGCCUAUAGAAGAGUGAUAAGCAAUAUUAUACCAUAACUCAGCCCAAGGAAGAAAUGUACUCCAUUGGCGUGGUUGUUGAUAGAUGAAGCAAUGCAGAUAUUGUUCCACACAGCGGUUGACAACUUCAGACUGGGCAUCUGUUUGAGGAUGGUAGGUAAAACUCAUCUUGAGUUAUGUACCCAACAUUGUAAAAAAUUCCUACCAGAACUUACUGAUGAAAAUGGGGUCCCUAUCACUAACAAUAGACCGCGACAUUCCAUGUAGUUUCACAAUGCCCUCAACAAAUUUUUUUGCCACCACAUUUGCUGUAAAUGGAUGAGAUAAGGGCAGAAAAUGUGUGUAUUUGCUGAGACGAUCAACAAUCACCAGAAUGGUCUUUUGAUCAUGGGAGAAUGGUGUUUUGAGCAAAACUAAAUCUCAACCAUAACGUAUCUAGUUUGAUUUAAUGUGAUUUAGUGUAAGAAAUUUGAUGUGAUUUGGUGGACCAUCAUGUUUAUGAUAGCUAAAAACUAGUAGGCAAUGAAAAUAAAAUAAUUCAUUCUUGCAGAGAGAAAGGGCAAGAGACAAUAAAAUAAUAAUUAUAGCACUAGACUUCUUCCUUACUAUCUAGUUUUCCCAUCUUCUUUUGUUUGUGAUUCCACUUGGGCUUACCAUUCUAUUUUAUAGAAAUAUGAGGAAAUUAUUCUUAUAAUUAACGUAGAAAAGUGAGGCAUGUUGAUGUUGGAUAAUUGGAAGUAACAUGUCUCCCUGAUGUCGUCGCCCAAUCAACUGAGAGUGAGGCUUCCUUCUCCUCUCCUGCAAAAGACACACCCUCCGAAGCUCUAGUUAGAUUGACAAUUAGAGAGAAUACCCCAUAUUGGGAACUCAAGAAGUGGAUUUUCUUUGCCCUCCCCCUCCCCCUCUUUCUUUUUGAGCCAUGUGAAGACUUUUAUUGUGUUUGGAGCCUUGUCACAUCUAUGCUGGGAAGGUGCUUUGACUUUCACAAUCAUGAUGGCUGCACAGAGGGUGGCAAAGCAAUCAUUAUCCUUUAGGCGGUUGAUAGGGGUCGUCGAUGGGGUGACCUGGCGUCUUGCUUGUCACCUCAUUCUACAAGCGGUGCAGUGCAGAGCGCAGCAGGUUGCCUGAAAGGACAUGGGGAUGUCCCAUCGAGCGUGCUUUUGGUGAGGAGAAGAAUGAUUGCCCGCGAAAACCGGUCAGGGAUCCUGUUUGGAACGCAUCAUGCAUUCUUGGAGAAGCACGAGGCAGCCAACCAUUGACUAUUGGGGCCGAAUUAGGUGUUCCUAGCUAAUGGCACAUGUCUAGACAAAGAUGAAGGGAUGCCAUGUGUCCAACAAAAGGGUGUCUUGCGAGGUCAAGGCAAUCUGCCACAUGUCCGCCCAAAUGAGGUCCUUACAAUGCCCCCUUUUAACCCAAUUGUUUUGUCCGGACAGAAGAGGCGAGUUAGUGGAGGGAGAUCCAAUGUCCACAGAGAAGGCUGCACACAACGUCAUUUUCUUUAGCAAUGAGCAGUUCAACGCGGGGCCCCGUUUCCUCUUCCAUCCAUUUUCAUGUAGUUCUUGCACUAUACCCAGAUCCCUCCAGCCGUUUCCAUCCUAAUAUCGUUUGGGUGUUAAUGGGGUGAAGCAUCCUGAACAUGCUCUUCUAUCUGGACCUCUUCCUAUCAUAGGUCAUCUUCGUCUACACCAUCAAAAAGGGCAAAAAUGACAUCUUUAGCAUGUUCGCCCAUAUCCCGUCUCUCUAGUUGGUGAUGAGUCUUCUUGAAUUGAACAAAUGAGGGGCCAAGAGACAUGUGCUGGUCCGGGGACCAUGGGUCAGCUUGAUAGAGCAUCCAGAAAGGGAUUUCCACCCUAACUGUUCAUUAAAGAUUCCGAGUAAGAAUGGUUCUAAGUGCCUCUCCCCUUACUAUUUUCUGUUGAGUUAAUGUCACUUGGUCGCUAAUAUUUUAUGUUUUGGCUGGUGUAAGUAAGGAUAAGAGGGGUCGUCUGGUUGAGUGGGUGGAGAAGGCUUCAUUCGUUCGAAAUCAUUGCCAGCGAAAGGAACUACCAGACGCUUCUUUCUGCCCGAAACCUACUUGCAGUUAUCCGGGAGCCCCAACCGUACGUCCUCCUCAUCAUUCCUAGGCGGUUGCCUAAGGUUGUGGUGCCCCGGGAACACUUUGUCUUGAAGAAUCUUUCAUUUUACGAAGAGACGUGUGAGGCAGAUGCCAAGGCUCGUUAGGAGCGUCUUGAGUAGGGGGAUGAGAAAAUGUAGGAGGGGAAAUUAAGGAGAGCGUCGGGUGAGAAGGGUCAGGCCUUGUUGUCUGUGGCCUAUCCUCCAACUAAAAAGAAGAAGAAGAACAAGAAGAAGAAGAAGAAAAGACCCAACGUAAAAGUGACCAAGGCUUCGACUCUAGUUCCUGAAUCUCCGUCUACCUCUACUCUUUCCUCUUCCAAUUCGGCGGACAGCUCCAUCCAAGCUUCCAAGGGUGACUCCGAUUCCUUGAGGCUCGAUCUAAGCGAUCCGGGGACUUGUCAUUCUGAGCCUGAGUCAGUGCCUAUAGCCCUUAGAGUUAUAGACGAACCAGAAGCAGAGGAAGACAUGUCAACUGAUUUGAGAGUCGGUUUUAAGGAGAGGCACCGUAAACGUCUGCAUGAGGCUAUCCAUAUGGUCCCUCCUCCAACCAAAAGGGCUUGCCCGGAAGGGGCUCGGGAGGAGCCUAGGAGACAGGUCCUUCCAAUGCCAAUGCCCCCGUUGGAUACCGUGGGGCCUAGCAGCACGCUUGUUGUUGAGAAAGAGGUCGACCCGACUCUAGGUGGGGUCUCUGGUGGUGUUGCUCUUGUUGAGGAGGUUUUGGACCAAAAAGACACUCCUGCGUCCGCUCCUCCUCCAAGCUGGGAUGAAAUGAUGGAGAUGCUAAAGCACAUGUCAUGCUUCACUGAUGCUGAGCCACCUUUCACCAAGAUGUCAGAUUUAUUUCCUUUUACCAAGCGGAUAUCGAUGAAUUUAGGCGGUGACCCUCCCAUCUUCGUCUCAACCCGACUUCCUUUUGGCACGCCCGAGUCUACCACCUCCCGUAUUCAACAACUGCGGGAUUGCAUGGUGCAAGAGACUGCAAAAGUGGUAACUUCUUCUAUGUUGCCCCCUUUCCGGAUAAUGCACACCUCCCUAAUGGCGCUAACCCUAUUUCUAUUAUUUCUUUUAGUUGGUGGUUGGCAUCCGCAACAUGGUGCGUCAACGCACACUACUUUCAAAUCUGAAUUUUUCUUACUUGCUCUAUUGUUGCCCAAAUUUCUUAAUCAUUUUUCAUUCUCUAGUUAUUCUACCCAAGAAUUUGAAUAGAACCUCCAAAUAAUCAACCAAAAUUUCAACUCUUGACAAGCAACCACACUUGGACACUCAUAGUUCCACUCUCCUUACAGUAUAAGAUUCUAAACUUAAGGAAUUUUGAUUUCUUGUUCAGUUUUACUGUCUACUUUGCAUGUUCUUGGUAAGAUAAUGGUAGCUCCACACAAGCAGAAUGACAUGAGUAAGGUACAUGGUGCUACAAGGAUGAGAUGGAGACCAAAAAAAUUCUGUCAUGAUUUGAAUUGUUGCCCAAAUGAGGUUUUCUCAUUGCCAGGGUAUAACUCUCAAAUUAAGCUUAUUUGUAAUGUAUGGGAAAAUUAUAUGCUAAUAAUGUCCAAAAGCUUAUGGCUAGUGAGGUUUGUGUCUAUAUGAAUGUGCUUUUGAGCAUUGAACCUUAAUUUACAAUCUAGAGAUUUAAUAUGGAAUCUUGUUUUUUCUACAAAUGUUGGAGAUAUUACAACAUUAGAACUGUUGAUUUUCUAUGAUGUGUUGAUUGAUUACUACUCAAAAAGUGCUAUUUGAUAGCCUUUAAUUAAUCCUUUUAAACACUUUUGAGUAGUAGUUUAGGCCUUUUAACUCAAUUGGCAUGUUAAGGAUCCUUUAAAGCAAUUUUGAUCACUUUGUGUAAGUUUUGGUGUUUUUGUUAGUAUUUUGAUCACCAAAGCAAGUCAAGAAUGAGGAGAGCUAUGAGGAAUCUUGGGCAAAGCUUAGAAUUCAAUUGCCAAGAGUGAAUCCGGAUUGCAAGGAGAAAAAGCAAAGAGAAUCUGCCAUGAAGCCUAUUCUUGAUGACAGUCGUAGCAGCCACUUUUGGAGCACUUUCUGAAGUCCUAAUGAUGCAUGCUAUAUACCAUUUCAAAGAUUAGGAAGUCAACAAUCCAAUGCUUCAAACGGUGCGCGAUUCGGAGUUGAAACAAAGAAGUUGCAGCCAUUACAAGUCAAUCACUCUAAAGUGUUGCGGAAUCAGCCAUUUGUUGCGAGAAUUUCGCAGCACUUUUGUACAGUAAGGUGUUUCUCCUUCUGACGAUGCACGAACCAUGCCGCGAGAAGGGAGCUGGAAACCUCAAGGUGGAAGCCAACUUUGCAGCCUGGUGAAGAUAGCUUGGUGUUGCGAAAAUAUUUCGCAGCCCUCUCAGGUGUCUGCGAAAUUUCGCAGACACCACUUUUCUCCUGCGAAAUGGCUCCUGAAGCCUCCCGAAGCUUGCUACCGACAUUGGGAGAUAUUUUCCAUUAGAUUUUUGUUGUCUAAAUCCCAAAAUACUCCUUGUAAACCACCAAUUACAUGAUUCCUUAGUUUUUAAGUUAGUAAAAAGACCAAAUAUCUUUGUAAUAAUUAGUUUUAUAUUGUUUUGAUAUAAAUACCUCUCGGGAGCCUGUUCUCAGAGAGGAGUUCCUUCUGUAAACGUUUGGUAAGCUAGUAAAGUCUAUUUUCUUUCUACUGCCUUACCUUCUCACUUUGUAUUUUCAUUUUAUUUCUAAGUUAUGAAUUCUCUGAGGAGUUUUCCCCAGAGAAUGAGUAACUAAACCUCCAAUUCCUUGGAGCUAAGGUUGCCGGGGAAGGUUCCAAGUGCAAGAAUGCAAAGCUUUGUGGUUUUAGCUAUUAAUGAAGAGGAAGUGAAAUCCUUUAGUGAUUUCUAUGUUUUUAGUUAACUUAAAACACCUUGGAGUCACCUGGGCCAACACUUGGUAAGGCAAGUGAUUUCCAACCAUGGAAAUGCACUAGUUUACCCCUUGCGAGCCUCUGGUAGGUGACUUCAAGGUAGGAUUUUCUGGAAUUACCAACACUUGGUAAGCUUUUGGACUCCUAGGAGACAUCCAUUAGUUAUCUCUUGCGAGUUUGUGAAGGGGAAUCCAAGGUUAAAGAUCACCUUGAAUGGGUAAGUGCUCGUGAGAGGCAUGAACCAUUGCAAGUUGCAUCAGUGAGAGAAUUAAAGUGAAAUCUAAUUGAAGGAGUCUCUGUACAUCACCGGUUAGAGAAUUGACUCUAAGUUGAAUCUCUAAUGCGAGGAAAUGAACCAUCUGACCGGAGCUAUGUCUUUUGCAUGAGGAACCACCCCAGUGAACCUAAAUCUCCAAGGAAUGCUUUUCUUCCUAAAUUAUUCCAAACUUCUGUUAAGUUAGUUAGUUUAAGUCUAAACCUUUAUCAAUCAAAGUUUGUGUUUUACUUCUUAAGCUAACCGUGAAAUGAAACAAGACCAAUUCACUUGGAAUUGGUAUCAUUGAUUGCUUGCAAAUCAUUCCCAGUGAACGAUCCUAGAGCCACUAUACUAUAGUAGCUUUGUAUUUGCUACCCUAGUGUAUGGUGUUAUAGGUAUAAAUUUUGUUGAUCACUUCCUCAAUCAAGGAGCGCCAGCUGAACACAAAUCAGCUGAGACACCAAUUGGGCAUGAGUCAAAUGGCGCCGUUGCCGGGGAAUGAGUGUCAAGUUCAUUGUGAUACCAUUGUUGAGCACUUGUGAUUUUCAUCACAAGUUGGUAAAGUUUCUUUCAGUUUACUAAUUUUCAUUCUUUCUUUGUUAAUUCAUAAUCUAAGUUUAUCUUUUUAAAUUUUAGUCUAGUUUAAUUUUGUUGUUGUAGCCCUGUUUUUCUUUGUGUCUUCUGUUUUUAUUUAAGUUGCAGCUGAAUACUAGUUGUGUAUGCCCAACUGGAUACGAGACAUUGGAGGUAGGCUUGUUAAGUGUGAUACACCUCAGAAAGGAGAAUUUGAAGUAAUCUUGAACAUCAUGGAGGCUGCACCUGAAGAUCAGCAUAGUCACCAAGGUCGUCAAGACAAUCUCAAUGAAUUCAGAUCAAUGAGGGACCGUAUGCAUCCACCUCGUAUGAGUGCACCAUCAUGUAUAGUGCCCCCUACAGAGCAGCUAGUGAUCAGACCAUAUCUUGUUCCACUUCUACCAACUUUCCAUGGGAUGGAAAGUGAGAAUCCGUAUGCACACAUCAAGGAAUUUGAAGAUGUUUGUAAUACAUUCCAAGAGGGAGGAGCUUCAAUUGAUUUGAUGAGGCUUAAGUUAUUUCCUUUCACUUUAAAGGAUAAGGCCAAAAUUUGGCUUAAUUCUUUAAGGCCAAGGAGUAUCCGCUCUUGGACUGAUUUACAAGCUGAGUUCCUUAAGAAAUUUUUUCCUACUCAUAGAACAAAUGGCUUGAAAAGGCAAAUUUCAAAUUUCUCAGCUAAAGAGAAUGAGAAAUUCUAUGAGUGUUGGGAAAGAUACAUGGAAGCUAUAAAUGCUUGUCCUCACCAUGGCUUUGAUACUUGGCUAUUGGUGAGCUAUUUUUAUGAUGGUAUGUCAUCCUCAAUGAAGUAACUCCUCGAGACAAUGUGUGGAGGAGAUUUCAUGAGCAAAAAUCCAAAGGAAGCUAUGGAUUUCUUGAGCUAUGUAGUUGAUGUUUCAAGGGGAUGGGAUGAACCAACCAAAGGAGAAGUAGGAAAGAUGAAGUCUCAGUUGAAUGCUUACAAUGCAAAGGCUGGGAUGUAUAAUUUAAAAGAAGAUGAUGACAUGAAAGCAAAGUUGGCAGCUAUGACAAGAAGAUUGGAGGAGCUGGAGCUGAAAAAAAUACAUGAAGUGCAAUCUGUUGCUGAAGCACCAGUGCAAGUGAAGCUGUGUCCCAAUUGUCAAUCAUUUGAACAUUUGGUGGAGGAGUGCCCUGCAAUUUCAGUUGAAAGGGAAAUGUAUAGAGAUCAAGCAAAUGUUGUUGGACAAUUUAGGCCCAAUAACAAUGCUCCUUAUGGAAAUACCUACAAUUCAAGUUGGAGGAAUCAUCCAAAUUUCUCAUGGAAGGCCAGAGCAACUCAAUACCAACAGCCGGAUCCACCAUCUCAACAAUCUUCAAGUAUUGAACAAAUAAUAGCCAAUCUCAGCAAGGUAGUGGGAGAUUUUGUGGGAAAGCAAGAAGCCACCAAUGCUCGAGUUGAUCAAAGAAUGGACAGAAUGGAGAGUGUGUUGAACAAAAGAAUGGAUGGAAUGCAAAAUGACAUGAAUCAAAAGUUUGAUAACAUCCAAUAUUCAAUUUCAAGGCUUACAAAUUUGAAUACACUGCAAGAAAAAGGAAGAUUUCCUUCUCAACCUAACCAAAAUCCCAAAGGUGUCCAUGAAGUGGAAAGCCAUGAGGGAGAAUCAUCACAGGUGAAAGAUGUGAAAGCUUUGAUCACUCUAAGGAGUGGUAAGAAAAUUGAGCAGCCAACACCCAAGCCACAUGUUGAAAAAGAAGAAGAGAUAAAGAAAGGGAAGGAAAUGGAAGAUAAAGAGAAUGAGAUCAGUGAAGAGAAGAAGGACUCUGAUUCAACAAUGAAAGCAAUUCCAGAGAAGGAGCUUCUGAAGGAAGAAAUGCUAAAGAAAUCAACUUUUCCACCUUUUCCUCAAGCAUUACAGGGGAAAAAGGGGGUUAGAAAUGCAGCUGAAAUCCUUGAAGUCUUGAGACAAGUGAAAGUUAAUAUUCCACUGUUGGAUAUGAUCAAACAAGUUCCAACGUAUGUAAAAUUCUUAAAGGACUUGUGUACUAUCAAAAGAGGGUUGACUGUAAACAAGAAAGCCUUCUUGACUGAGCAAGUAAGUGCAAUCUUACAAUGCAAGUCUCCUUUGAAGUACAAAGACCCUGGAAGUCCUACCAUUUCAGUCAUGAUUGGAGGAAAGGUAGUGGAGAAAGCCUUGCUAGAUUUAGGAGCAAGUGUGAAUUUGCUUCCAUACUCUGUCUACAAGCAACUAGGGCUUGGAGAGUUGAAGCCAACAACAAUCACCUUAUCUCUGGCAGAUAGAUCAGUGAAAAUUCCAAGAGGAGUAAUUGAGGAUGUAUUGGUUCAAGUAGAUAAUUUCUACUAUCCUGUAGAUUUUGUUGUUCUUGAUACUGAUCCAACUGUAAAGGAAGCUAAUUUAGUUCCUAUCAUCCUUGGAAGGCCAUUUCUUGCAACUUCAAAUGCAAUCAUCAACUGUAGAAAUGGGCUUAUGCAACUCACUUUUGGUAACAUGACACUGGAUCUAAAUAUUUUCUAUAUGUCUAAAAAGCAAAUCACUCCGGAAGAAGAAGAAGGUCCAGAAGAGCUAUGUAUAAUUGAUACUUUGGUGGAGGAGCACUGCAAUCAACAUAUGCAAGAAAAGUUGAAUGAAAGUCUUGAGGAUAUUGAGGAAGGUUUUUCUGAAUCUCCUAUUGGGCUUGCUACUCUACAAAGUUGGAAAAAGAUAGAAGGAAUUCUACCUUUGUUCAAUGAAGAAGAGGAGGCAUCUAUUGAAAAAGAAAUUCCAAAACUCAAUCUGAAGCCUUUACCUGUGGAGCUGAAAUAUACAUAUCUUGAAGCAAAUAAUCAAUGUCCUGUUGUGAUAUCCUCAUCUCUGACCAGUCAUCAAGAGAAUUGUUUAAUGGAAGUUCUUAGGAGGUGUAGGAAGGCAAUAGGAUGGCAAAUAUCUGAUUUGAAAGGCAUUAGUCCUUUAGUUUGUGCUCAUCAUAUAUAUAUGGAGGAGAAAGCAAAGCCAAUUCGUCAAUUUCAAAGAAGGUUGAAUCCUCAUCUACAAGAGGUGGUGCGAGCUAAGGUGCUGAAGCUACUUCAAGCAGGAAUCAUUUACCCUAUAUCUGAUAGCCCUUGGGUGAGUCCUACUCAAGUGGUACCAAAGAAGUCAGGGAUCACAGUGAUUCAAAAUGAAAAAGGGGAAGAAAUUACUACACGCCUCACUUCAGGUUGGAGGGUGUGUAUUGAUUAUAGAAAGCUGAAUGCUGUCACCAGGAAGGAUCAUUUUCCAUUGCCAUUUAUUGACCAAGUGCUGGAGAGAGUCUCUGGACAUCCAUUCUAUUGUUUCUUGGAUGGGUAUUCAGGGUAUUUUCAGAUUGAAAUUGAUUUGGCAGAUCAGGAAAAGACCACUUUUACAUGUCCAUUUGGAACAUUUGCUUAUAGAAGAAUGUCUUUUGGUUUAUGCAAUGCACCUGCUACAUUUCAAAGAUGUAUGUUGAGUAUUUUCAGUGAUAUGGUGGAGAGAAUUAUGGAGGUUUUCAUGGAUGACAUCACUGUAUAUGGAGGUACAUUUGAGGAAUGCUUGGUUAAUUUGGAAGCAGUUCUUCAUAGAUGCAUUGAAAAAGAUCUGGUGCUGAAUUGGGAAAAAUGCCAUUUUAUGGUACGUCAAGGAAUUGUCCUUGGCCAUAUCAUCUCUGAAAAAGGCAUUGAAGUUGAUAAAGCAAAGGUGGAGCUUAUUGCCAAAUUACCAUCUCCAACAACUGUGAAAGGAGUAAGGCAGUUCCUUGGCCAUGCAGGGUUCUAUAGGAGGUUUAUAAAAGGUUUUUCAAGUCUUUCAAAACCUCUUUGUGAACUGUUAGCUAAGGAUGCUAAGUUUAUAUGGGAUGAAAGGUGUCAGCAUAGCUUUGAUCAACUGAAGAAAUUUUUAACAACAACUCCAAUAGUGAGAGCCCCUAACUGGCAGUUACCUUUUGAACUGAUGUGUGAUGCCAGUGACUUUGCUAUAGGAGCUGUGCUUGGCCAAAGAGAAGAUGGGAAGCCCCAUGUGAUUUACUAUGCAAGUAAAACACUAAAUGAAGCUCAAAGGAACUACACAACUACAGAGAAAGAAUUGUUAGCUGUGGUAUUUGCUUUGGACAAAUUUCGAGCUUAUUUAGUGGGGUCUUUCAUCAUUGUCUUUACUGACCAUUCAACCUUGAAGUAUUUAUUGACAAAGCAAGAUGCAAAAGCAAGGUUGAUUAGAUGGAUUCUAUUGUUACAAGAGUUCGAUCUUCAAAUCAAAGAUAAGAAAGGAGUGGAGAAUGUAGUAGCUGACCACUUGUCAAGGUUAGUUAUAGCACAUAAUUCCCAUCCCUUACCUAUCAAUGAUGAUUUUCCUGAAGAAUCACUCAUAUUCCUAGUAAAAACUCCUUGGUAUGCUCAUAUUGCUAAUUAUUUAGUAACUGGUGAAAUUCCAAGUGAGUGGAAUGCACAGGACAAGAAGCACUUCUUUGCCAAAAUUCAUUCUUAUUAUUGGGAAGAGCCCUUUCUCUUUAAGUAUUGUGCAGAUCAGAUUAUAAGGAAGUGUGUCCCUGAAGAUGAGCAGCAAGGGAUUCUAUCUCAUUAUCAUGAGAAUGCAUGUGGAGGCCACUUUGCCUCUCAGAAAACAGCUAUGAAGGUAUUGCAGUCAGGGUUUACUUGGCCAUCUCUUUUCAAAGAUGCCCACAUCAUGUGUAGGAGUUGUGAUAGAUGCCAAAGGCUUGGAAAGCUAACAAAAAGAAAUCAAAUGCCUAUGAACCCCAUUCUAAUAGUUGAGUUAUUUGAUGUAUGGGGCAUUGACUUCAUGGGACCUUUCCCAAUGUCUUUUGGUAAUUCUUACAUUUUGGUAGGGGUAGAUUAUGUUUCUAAAUGGGUUGAGGCAAUCCCCUGUAAACAAAAUGAUCAUAGGGUGGUUCUCAAGUUUCUUAAAGAGAACAUAUUCUCAAGAUUUGGGGUGCCCAAGGCCAUAAUCAGUGAUGGAGGUGCUCAUUUUUGCAACAAACCUUUUGAAGCUCUGUUAUCCAAGUAUGGAGUGAAGCAUAAGGUGGCCACACCUUAUCAUCCUCAGACUUCCGGGCAAGUUGAGCUAGCUAACAGGGAAAUAAAGAACAUCUUGAUGAAAGUGGUGAAUUCCAACAGAAAAGAUUGGUCUAUUAGGCUUCAUGAUUCAUUGUGGGCAUAUAGAACAGCUUAUAAGACUAUUCUAGGGAUGUCUCCCUAUCGUCUUGUCUAUGGCAAAGCAUGCCAUCUCCCUGUGGAAGUUGAAUACAAAGCUUGGUGGGCAAUAAAGAAGCUGAAUAUGGACUUGAUCAAGGCCGGAGAAAAGAGAUUUCUAGACCUUAAUGAGAUGGAGGAAUUAAGAAAUAAUACUUAUAUCAAUUCCAAAGUUGCAAAACAGAGGAUGAAGAAGUGGCAUGAUCAACUCAUCUCCAACAAGGAAUUUCAGGAAGGGCAAAAAGUUUUGAUGUAUGACACAAGACUCCAUAUCUUUCCUGGGAAGCUCAAAUCAAGGUGGAUUGGUCCAUUUGUUAUUCACCGAGUAUAUUCCAAUGGAGUGGUGGACUUAUUGAAUUCCAAUGGCAAUGACAGCUUUAGAGUCAAUGGAUAUCGUCUUAAGCCGUUCAUGGAGUCAUUCAAAUCAGAAAAGGAGGCAAUCAACCUCCUUGAACCUCAAAAAGCCUAAGUGAAAAGGGUUUGUUGGACGUGGUUUUACCACAGUCCAAAAUUUUUGUAAAUUUUGUAAAUUUUCAAGUUGUUUUUAUGCUUUUGAUCUUAGUUAUUGAUCUUAAAUCAUGUUUUUAGGUGUGUUUUAAUCGUUUUAUAUGAUCCCAGGUGGAAGAAAUUUCAAGGGGAGUGAAAAGAAAAAAAUCGGGUCGAAAUUGGAGCUGAAACAGAGCAAAAACAGGGGAAAAACAAAGCUCUGCGAAAUUUCGCAGGGUGAAGGAAACCUCUGCGAACUGGGCAUUUUGUUGCCAAACCAUUCCGCAGCACUGUAGAAGUCUCUGCGAGUGUAUUUCGCAAUUGCGAAAGUGGUUUUGGCACACGAGUGCCACUUCGUAGUACAGUAGCACCCAUUUCGCAGCUGCGAAACUCAUUGCGAAAUGGAAAAGCGUGAUUUCGCACCAAAAGUCCCAUUCCGCAGGGCAUUUCGCAAUUGCGAAAGUGGUUUUGGCACACGAGUGCCACUUCGCAGCACAGUGACAUCAAUUUCGCAGUUGCGAAACUCACUGCGAAGUUGCUGCGAAAAUGGCAAGUUGCUGCGAAAUUGGCGUUUUGUUGCGAAACUUAAACUGACCCCUGAGCUUCCGUUUUUCCUAUUUAUACCGGUCAAAAGUUCUGCGAAAAGGGUUUCAAAAAUCAGAGCACCAUUCUCGCAGCCCCUUCGUCUUCUUCGCCAAGCCACGCCGUCCGUUUCUCCGGUCGUCUUCUCCGUUUAGCAGCGCCGGCCAAAGAUCGAUAUUCCAAAAUGGCACGAACGCGAGGGGCAAAGUCUUCAUCCCCUUCGAACCGCAAAAGGAGUCUGCGAAAGGAGCCAAGUUCAGGUUCUGUUCCAGAACCUGCUCCAAAGCCUUCGCCGUCGAGACCAAAUCCUCCUUCAGUGAAGCCGGCACCACCAAAGCCGCCGGCAAGGCGAUAUUUAACAAGGUCAGGCGGUCAGCCAUUGAAGAAGAAAACCAGGGUUGAGAGCUCUGAACCAAUUGAUUUGACUGAGCAAUCCCCUGAGAAAUCCCCAAAGCUAACACCGGUUCAAUCUCCGGUAUCUUCACCAAAUCCUUCACCGGUACAAAUUCCAGUGCCGUCACCGGUUCCCUCGCCAAUUCCCUCACCAGAAGCAACUCCAAUUCCAUCGCCGGUACCAUCUCCGGCACCCCAAGAAAAAGCUUAGGAGCCUCAAGCGCCAAUUCCAGAGCCCCAAAUUGCAGCUGAAGCACCUCUGGAAGAAGUGAUUAGGAGGCCAAUGCUGCCUCAGCCCCCAAUCAAAGGAAACUUGGAUUGUCGAACUCGGGCAUUCCAUUCUGAGCUUUGCUUCGAUUUAACAGCAUUCAGAGUGAGGCCAGAGCUUGCCCAAUCCUUCCAGCUACUAAGGAGAUAUCAUAUGGAGCAUCUGCUCGCUCCAAGGGAUUUUUUCUAUCCCCGGGUAGUCACGGACUUCUACUAGACCAUGACAACCAAAGAAGUAAGAAAUCCAACUCUGAUCCAUUUCACAAUUGAUGGAAGACAUGGAAUUUUGGGAGCAAGACAUAUUGCUGAAGCCCUGCAAAUUCCUUUUGAGCCAACCCAAUUCGACAAUUUUAAAGCUUGGGCAAAUCCUACUGAGUUAGAGAUGGUUCACAUCCUAACCAGAGGAGCUGCAAAUCGAUCGCAUUUGCUGAGGGGGGAGCUACCUCCAGUUAUGUUUUUGAUUGAUGCCUUUUUGAGGCAUAAUAUCUAUCCCCUGCAGCAUUGGACCCAAAGAAGGGGAAUUCUCCUAGAAGCCCUGUAUAAGAUGUCAGAAGGAUUCUUCUUUGGGCCUCAUCAUCUUAUCAUGGCAGCCCUUCUAUACUUUGAGGAGAAGGUUCACAAGAAGAAGGUUCACAAGAAGAAGCUUCAAAGAGCAGAUUGCAUUCCACUCCUCUUCCCACGGCUGCUAUGCCAAGUUUUGGAGCAUCUCGGAUACCCCUCUGAGCCUCAGCAGGAAAGAAAGAGAAUAUGCCGUGAGCCAUUUACCCUUGAUAAAUGGAAUAAUAUGACGGCCUACAAAGUUGAUCAGCCAGGGCAACCUCAGCCAGCUGCAAGGAGAGCCUCCCCAAGACGUAUACCUGAAGGUAUAACACUUGCUACUCCUGCCAUCCCUCGAGCUCCACCAACUACCCCAGCUGCAUCACAGCCAUCCACAUCAGCUGAGCCGAGGAUGGCCAUCCCUAUAUCCGAAUAUUGAGAGCUGUGCCGAGCAUUGGAGACUCUUACAGCUUCCCAGACCAAUCUUGCUCAGGAGUUGGCAGCCAUCAAAGCAUGCCAGGAGCAGAUGUUAGCCUCUCAGGCUCAACAAGCUGCCAUCCUAAGGCAGCUUCAAGUCCAUUUCGAUCUGCCACAAGCUGUAGAGCCCUCCACUGAGACUCCACCAGAGCCACACUCUCAGCCUUCAGAGUCUCAUCCUCCAGAGCCCGAAGCCCCAGUUGAUCCUCCUACUGAGGAGGCAGAUCCUUCUGCCUAGCACCAUCACCCCACUCAUCAGACAUUAUAUAUAUUUGCUAUUUAUGUUUUUAUGCUUGUUUUGUUUUAGUUGAAAUGAAAUCCCAGUAUUUUGGUACUAUAUAUGGGAUUCCUUGUGUUACUUGUCUUUAGCAUUGUAAUCAAAUGAACUCAAAGUAAUACAAGUUGAAUUUUUUUUUUCUUGUUAAAAGUUAGCAUUAAGUUCUCCUUAUUUCCUUUUCUCACAUAUUCUAUUUUUUUUGAAACAUGUGGUUUUCCCCAAUCAAUAUUCGAAUUUGAUAUCAGCAUGGAGGUACCACUUCCUCCCUUUUAUUACAGUCACUCAAAUCACAUUGAGGACAAUGCUCAGUUCGGUUGGGGGGUAUGAGGAAGGAAGUAUGCUAAAUCUUUUUGGUAUUGCAAUUAUAUUGGUUAAUUAGUUGUAGAUUUUACGUUUUACUAGUGUUACUCUAUUCUCCAUGAAUUUUGAGGAAAAUUUUCAAAUUAAACCAAGAGAAAUUGAACUGUUGUUUUUCACUUGACUUAGAGUAUGGAUUAUGCUUACUAAAGUGGUUCAAUUGUUGAAACUUCUACUGUAAUUGAAUUGAGUUCUUCCACUUUAAGCUAUCCACACAUUGUGCACAUUAGUUUCCGAUUAUAAGAUGAAAAGCUAUUACCCUCUUGACUUAGGAUAAUUUUGAGACUUGGUAUAUUUGACCUCAUUUGAUAAAAAUUGAAACACCCUGCAAAAGGCCAAUGAGCCUUUGAAAUAAAGAAAGUUGUUUGCUUGCCUUGAAACCCGAGCAAGGUCUGAGGGGCAUAUGGUGAAAGCCUUUAAAGCCUGGUGCCCUAAACCUUAAUUGGUUGGGAGUCACUGACCUCAAUGCUCGUUACAAGGGUGAAUAGGUAGAGUUAGCAUAUGGUAGAUGUUUGGGUAUUAGAAAUUCAUUCUUAAAAGUCCGGGGAAAAAUCCGAGGAGUUAGUGGUUGAAAGAUCCUUAAAACUUGGUGCCCUAAACCUUAAUUGGUUGGGAGUCAUCGAUGGACCCCCAUUACAUGGACAAGUCAGAAAGAGUACCCCAUAAAGCUACCUUGAAAAAAAAAAAAAAAAAAAAAAGAUGAAAGUGUGUUAUUUUCUUAUUGAUUUUGGUCAGUUUGCUAAAGUGUUGAAAAGAGAUAGGUUGGGGGUGAGAUUAGUUUAGCAUAUUAUUCUCGGAAUCUAAGGAACUAAUACACAUAGAUUUUUGUGGAAGAUUGAAAUUUAGUUCUUAGAAAGUGAAAUGAUUUUAAAACUUCGGUUUGCAUAAUGCACUCCCUUGAUUGACAGUGCUUAGCAUAGUUUGUUAUGACUCUUGUUGAGAUUUGGGUUUGUAUUUCUUUAAUGAUUCAUGUGAGAAUUAGAUCAUCAUGCCACUUAAGAAUUAUUUUCUUUUAGCAUGAUGUUGUAAAUUUUAGAUUAGUUGCUAUUUAUUUUCAUUUUUCUCUCCUAUAUUGCUAAGGGACUAGCAAUAUGUCGGUUGGGGGGAGUGAUUACUACUCAAAAAGUGCUAUUUGAUAGCCUUUAAUUAAUCCUUUUAAACACUUUUGAGUAGUAGUUUAGGCCUUUUAACUCAAUUGGCAUGUUAAGGAUCCUUUAAAGCAAUUUUGAUCACUUUGUGUAAGUUUUGGUGUUUUUGUUAGUAUUUUGAUCACCAAAGCAAGUCAAGAAUGAGGAGAGCUAUGAGGAAUCUUGGGCAAAGCUUAGAAUUCAAUUGCCAAGAGUGAAUCCGGAUUGCAAGGAGAAAAAGCAAAGAGAAUCUGCCAUGAAGCCUAUUCUUGAUGACAGUCGUAGCAGCCACUUUUGGAGCACUUUCUGAAGUCCUAAUGAUGCAUUCUAUAUACCAUUUCAAAGCUUAGGAAGUCAACAAUCCAACGCUUCAAACGGUGCGCGAUUCGGAGUUGAAACAAAGAAGUUGCAGCCAUUACAAGUCAAUCACUCUAAAGUGUUGCGGAAUCAGCCAUUUGUUGCGAGAAUUUCGCAGCACUUUUUUACAGUAAGGUGUUUCUCCUUCUGACGAUGCACGAACCAUGCCGCGAGAAGGGAGCUGGAAACCUCAAGGUGGAAGCCAACUUUGCAGCCUGGUGAAGAUAGCUUGGUGUUGCGAAAAUAUUUCGCAGCCCUCUCAGGUGUCUACGAAAUUUCGCAGACACCACUUUUCUCCUGCGAAAUGGCUCCUGAAGCCUCCCGAAGCUUGCUACCGACAUUGGGAGAUAUUUUCCAUUAGAUUUUUGUUGUCUAAAUCCCAAAAUACUCCUUGUAAACCACCAAUUACAUGAUUCCUUAGUUUUUAAGUUAGUAAAAAGACCAAAUAUCUUUGUAAUAAUUAGUUUUAUAUUGUUUUGAUAUAAAUACCUCUCGGGAGCCUGUUCUCAGAGAGGAGUUCCUUCUGUAAACGUUUGGUAAGCUAGUAAAGUCUAUUUUCUUUCUACUGCCUUACCUCCUCACUUUGUAUUUUCAUUUUAUUUCUAAGUUAUGAAUUCUCUGAGGAGUUUUCCCCAGAGAAUGAGUAACUAAACCUCCAAUUCCUUGGAGCUAAGGUUGCCGGGGAAGGUUCCAAGUGCAAGAAUGCAAAGCUCUGUGGUUUUAGCUAUUAAUGAAGAGGAAGUGAAAUCCUUUAGUGAUUUCUAUGUUUUUAGUUAACUUAAAACACCUUGGAGUCACCUGGGCCAACACUUGGUAAGGCAAGUGAUUUCCAACCAUGGAAAUGCACUAGUUUACCCCUUGCGAGCCUCUGGUAGGUGACUUCAAGGUAGGAUUUUCUGGAAUUACCAACACUUGGUAAGCUUUUGGACUCCUAGGAGACAUCCAUUAGUUAUCUCUUGCGAGUUUGUGAAGGGGAAUCCAAGGUUAAAGAUCACCUUGAAUGGGUAAGUGCUCGUGAGAGGCAUGAACCAUUGCAAGUUGCAUCAGUGAGAGAAUUAAAGUGAAAUCUAAUUGAAGGAGUCUCUGUACAUCACCGGUUAGAGAAUUGACUCUAAGUUGAAUCUCUAAUGCGAGGAAAUGAACCAUCUGACCGGAGCUAUGUCUUUUGCAUGAGGAACCACCCCAGUGAACCUAAAUCUCCAAGGAAUGCUUUUCUUCCUAAAUUAUUCCAAACUUCUGUUAAGUUAGUUAGUUUAAGUCUAAACCUUUACCAAUCAAAGUUUGUGUUUUACUUCUUAAGCUAACCGUGAAAUGAAACAAGACCAAUUCACUUGGAAUUGGUAUCAUUGAUUGCUUGCAAAUCAUUCCCAGUGAACGAUCCUAGAGCCACUAUACUAUAGUAGCUUUGUAUUUGCUACCCUAGUGUAUGGUGUUAUAGGUAUAAAUUUUGUUGAUCACUUCCUCAAUCAAGGAGCACCAGCUGAACACAAAUCAGCUGAGACACCAAUUGGGCAUGAGUCAUUGAUGUCUUUUGAUAAACUUAGAAUGAAUUGUGGACUUGGGAAGGAAGUAUUUCAUCAAUAAGCAUGUAAAAAACACCAUAAGCACAUGUCAAUAUGAAAAUGACUAAAUUGGGGCAUAAAUACCAAAAAAUGAAAACCUUGUACCUAUAGUAAAAUAAUGGAAGUUCAAACUUUGGAAAUCAUGUAUUUUUCCUUUUUAAACUGAUCCAUGCAAUGAAAACAUGAAAAAGAUUGUUGAGGUUGUGGCCAUUAACAAUAUAUCCCUAGAAGGAUAAUACAAAUCAUAAAGAGAAAAUUUGUAAAAAGGACACCGUUGGGCUAACCUAGAACUACAAGCUAGGACAAGAAUUGGUCACAACCAUGUACCUACAAAAUCUACUUAUAAUUUCUAGGGAACUUCGAAGUGCAUAUGCAUGUGUGUGUGUGUACAUGUUUGGAUGUAUAUAUAUGUUUACAAGAUAAAAACAAAUCCUUGUACUAGAUGUAGGCAAAGGUAUUCACUAGAUAUAAAAAUUUCCUUGUGUCACUUGUUGAGACAAGAGAAAUACCUAUUUGGAUGUGGUGAUUAGAUUUCAACAUAGCCUUCUGGAUGGUUUUUGAAUUAUGAGGCGGUGGUGUUUGUUGUACCCUUAAAUUUUACUCCGUAUAAAGUAAUUACUAAUUUAUAGAGGCAAAAAUUCCUUGUAUCAUGAAAGGAAUAGCAGUUUCUUGUUCAUACUAUUUUGUUUGGAAGUUGGGUUCCUAUAUUGUUCAAAAUGCUAUUUUGAUUGCUUGAUUGUUGCAACUCACAUUUCGUUUGUUGUUUGUAUUUUGUGUGCAGGGUAAUAUGAUACUAUCAGAUAUUGGACUUGCUGAGAAGCGAAUAAAUCAUGCUACUCUCAAUGGUAAUAAUAGUCUACCUAGUGUUUUGCAUCAGAAACACAAUUAAUAAUAUCAUGGCCUUGCCUCUAGUCCCAAUUGGUUUCUUUAGUUUUUGUCCAUGAAUGACACUUUAUUCAAAUAAGCAUUGGUGUGUUGUUACUGGUAUAAUAUUUUUUCUUAUUCAUAGAAAAGUAACUAUUUAAAUAUGUUGUUCUAUGUCCUCAUGGAUUUCUGUUGACAAAACAUCAAAUCUCAGAGUUUCUUGGCCUUACUUUUUGAGUGUCAAGUCAUUUUCUCAAUAUGUUGAUCUAAAAAAUCUCUUUUGUGUUCCAGGUUUGUUUUGUCGAUGCUAAUUGGGACUCACCAUCUGUAUGUAUCCAUUGUAUGAUUCUAUUAUUAUUAUUAUUAUUUUAUUUUUUUGCUGAAAAAAAGGUUUAUAAUAGAUAUCAUGUUCAAGAGAAGCAUUUUUGUUGACUUAUGAGUUUUGUAUUUCUCCAAAUUUUGGAAUAUUACCAUGAAGCUUUGGUGCCAAUCUUGAAAGGGUUAGCCCUUUUCUUUUUUUGUUUACCCAAUCUACACUUGCUAUCGGCGUUGAAAAGGAUCCAGAACAAAUUGCCAUUCAGUUAUGAAGUGGUUGGGAUAAAGCCAAGCUGUUAUUGCAGCAUGAAAUUGAAUGUAAUAUCAUAAUAUCUAGAUUCAAAUUCUCAGAAGAAAAAUGUUUCUGAUUCACUCCAUUUUUAUGGUGUUUUGAAGGAUUAAAUGGGGAACCUCACAAAUGAGCCUCACAAAAAUUUAAUAAUAAUAACCUAUAACUGCGGCUAACUCCAAAAGGCAACUAUAUGUCAUUUAGUGGGGUCAAAAACAAGAUGCAGCUAUAGGAACCAUUUGUUGACCUUUACUAUGGCUGCUACUAUUGCUCUGACUUUUGCUGCACUUUACAUGUGGUUGACCUAUAGUUGGGGCCAACUCUAAAAUGCAACUAUAUGCCAUUUAGUGGGGGUAAAAAACAAGAUGCACCUAUAAGAACCAUUUUCUGACCUUUACUAUGGCUGCUACUAUUGCUUUGACUUUUGUUGCACUGUACAUGUGGUUGACCUAUAGCUGGGGCCGACUCUAAAAUGCAACUAUAUGCCAUUUAGUGGGGCUAAAAAACAAGAUGCAGCUGUAGGAACCAUUUGCUACACUUUACUAUGGCUACUACUAUUGCUUUGACUUUUGUAGCACUUUACCUAUGGUUGACCUAUAGCUUGGGCCAACUCCAAAAUGCAACUAUGUGUCAUUUAGUGGGGGUAAAAAACAAGAUGCAGUUGUAGGAGAGUUUGCAGCCAAAGUAGUGUUUACUUAAAAAAAAAAAAAAAAAACCAAACUAAUACAUCUUUCAAACUAUUUGUCAAACUAGUCUUUUGAAUCCACAUCAACAAUCCACAUCAGCAGACUUUUACUCUAAAGACCCUUUUUUUCAUCUGAAAUCAUUCAACAAAGAAACCCUAACUAUUAUUUUCUCUUCUCUACGGCUCCCACCAACAGCUUUACUAGCAACGUCUUGUAGUGGCUAGGUAAGUUUUUGAAGCAUUUUAACAAAGUGGUUCAUGAGUUUUUUUUUCCCUCAUUUUCCUUAGCUUUCUUACUAACCAAACAGAGGAAAACAAAAAAUUAAAAACAACUUUUGAAAAUUUUAAGAAUCUCAAGUUGUUUUUUGUGGUUUCUACUUGUGAACGGAAGAAAAAAAAACACAAAAAAAUCAUGGAGAAGAAAAAAAGAAAGAUUAACAGAGAGAGAUAAGAGCACUAAAGGAAAUUGGUUUCUGCACUUUGGGGGUUUGGGUAGAUUUCGAAUUUGGGCGAUGGUGGGUUAGGGUUCAAAGUGGACUAAUCCAAUUGGAUGAUUUGAUGGAGUAGUUCGGGUUCAAAGUGGAUUGAUCCAAUUGGAUGAUUUGAUAGAGCAAUGAAAGAAGAAGAGAGGAGUGUGGAACGAGAGGGAGAGAUUGUGAGAAGAGAGACGAAUGAAAGAUUUGAAGAGGAAGAAGAAGUGCAGGUUAAUGUGCAAAAAUAAUAAAAAUUUUACCCAAAUGCAAAUUCUUUGAUUUUGCCUAGUUUUCUUAGCAACCAAACGCAGGGUCUCAAGAAAAUUAUGAGUUCUGAUGAUAGAGAGAGGACAAGAAGGGGGGUAGAUACCGAAGGGCUGCCGAAAAGGAUGGUCGUAUGUGGAGAGCGCAAAAACCCUACCUGUGUUUAGCUCCUAAUAGAGUAGAUGCCUUUCUCAAGCAAAAACUCUAUUUGGGAAUUGAGAAUCCCAAAGAAGGACAAUUUUAGAAUUUCACAAGUCGGGCUUCAGCUUCAACUUUGAGGGAUAUUUGAUAAUCAUUUUUCAAUUAAUCUUUAUAAUUUUAAAAUUUUGAAAAUUGUAUGCAUUUUUUAAUAUAAAAAUUAUUUGUUUAAUCAUUUUUUAUUUUCCUUUUUUAAUAAAAAAUUAAAAAUUAAUCAUAAUCCACUUAUUUAAAAAUUAUCGUUAAUCCUUAUUUAGUAUGAUAUUUACUUGUUUAUUAUUUAAAUAUUUUGUCUUCUUAGUUAUUAUAAUUAAUAUAUAUAUAUAUAUGACCAAAAUUUAAAAUAAAAUAAAAACUAAAAAAUAUAAUUUUAUUUCCCAUUCAAAUCCAUCACCCUUUAUUAUUAUAUUUUGUUGAAUUUUUUUUAUUUAUAUCUUUUUUCUAUAAAGAGAGUAGAGUUAUGAAGAAAACAUUUAAUUUAAUUUCUUUUUUUAUAAAAAAAAAACCAACUUCUAAACAUGUUUUUUUUUUGUUUUAAUCAUUAUAAAAAAAACAUUUUUUAUUAACUCAACAAAACAUGUUUUAAAAAUGACCUUAUUGGGUAUAUUUUAAUUUAUUUUUUCAAGUAUUUUAAAUUUAUUAAAUUGGUAAUAAGUCUUAAAAAUGGACUUUGGAAUUAAAUUGUAUGAAAAUGUUAAAUAUUUGCAAAAAAAAAAUCUAAAAAACCACUUAGUCCUCCCUUUUAAGCAAAUCAAAAUUAUAUUUUAAAAAUGUUAUUAUUAAUAUUACAUUUUAUAAAACUUUCAUUAAUGACAUGUAAAACCAUUACCAAAAUGUUAAGAACUUUAUAAAAUUGGACCAAAUAAUCUUCCAAAUAUAACCAAAUUACUUCUCAAAUCCAACAAAAUCAUUCCAAAUAUGACAAUGUUAACCAUAAUACCUCCCAAUUCUUACCUCUCAAUAGUAAUAGCACAGUUGCAUUGAAAAUCAAAUUCUUCAAUGCUUGCUCUAUCAUCAUAUGAUUUGUUUUGAAGCUUUUAAUAAUGAACCGUGAACCCAUUGGAUUGUACUAGAGAGGACCCGCAUGAUAAAGGUUUAAAUUUGGGCAACACCCUUAUAACAUUAUUAUUAAUAAGUUGUGAGCCAUAAUGGGGCCAAGUCAUUACUCUUUGUUGGGAAAAUCUUCCAAAGGCAGGCUUAGGCUUUUUGUGGUUCUUGCACAAAAAGCCUUCCUUGGAUUUUGAGCAUUGUUUCUUGUACCAAAAGUCAACUAGAUUUACCGAGAAACCAUCAUUACAAAUGCUUAAGUUUUUCAAAUUAUUUUUAAACUUGUUUUCAUAAUUUAUUAACUUUAUAAAAUUGGAAGUGAUUAUUAAAUUUAUUUUUCUUUCUUUUUCUCCUCUAAAAAAAUAUAUACUUUUUAUUAUAUAUAUUAAAAAAAUUUAUUAGGAUCAAGGAGAUCUGAGUGUGUCAUUUUUCAAUCAUCAUUUUUCUAAAGCUAAUAUUAUUGCACAUAUAACAAUCCCUUCCCCAAUACAGGGCUCCUAGAACUCGAAUCAUGACCAAACUCUAGGGCUCCUAGAACUUAAAUCAUUUAAUGGCAUGUGGAACAUUUAAUAGCACCUCUAGAAAUGCUAAGAACUUUAUAAAAUUGUAAAAAGACAUGUAGAACCUAGGCUGGAUCUCCAAACCAUGAAAAUUGCUUGUAAUUAUUGGUUAGCUUGUGGAAUAAAAAAUCUAUAAGAUGGAGAUAGACUCCUAAAGAUUAUAAGAUAUUUUAAGAACUCAAUAGUUAUAAAAAAGAAAAAAGAAAUAACACUAAAAACAAAUUUAAUAUAUAGAAAAUAUUAGUUUUUACUUAAAAUUUAACUUAUUAAAUUAUAAAUUGUAAAAAUUUAAUUAAAUUAAAAAAAUUAAAUUUAACCAGAUAUAAGCAAAAGUGCAUUAAUAUGUCUAUUCCGCUUUCUCUUUUUUAAUUAUUUUAAUGGAAAAUAUUAAAAUAUUUAUAGUCGUAACUAUUAAAUAUGUUGAAUAUGUACACAUUACAUCCAUUUUUGAAACUUAUAUAAAAUCAAAUUUUGAACAAAUUUAAAAUUUUUUUUCACUUAAUUUGGGUAGAUUAAACAACGACAUUUUAAUUGUUAAUGGAAAAAUAACAACCUUUUAUUCAAUUUUAACGGUAAUAAAUAAUAAGAAAAUAUUAUUAAUAAAAAACAUUGAAUUAUUUGGAUAUUGAGGUGUUAUUUGUUAUUUGAUUAUUGUUAAUAACAUACCCUAUUAUUGUUAUUUGUUAUUUCAUUACAAAUUGAUGUUAUUACUAAUGUUUUCUAUUGUGUAAUUUUGUGGUUAAAAAUGAGAUUGAUUUGAUUUUUUUGGCUUCUUCUAUAGGUAAACUAUGUCUAAUUUAUCGGUGGCAAUAGUUUGUUUUUGUAAUGGGAAAAUGGUGAGAACACAAACCGAUGUUGAUUAUGUUGGAGAUAGAGUUGUGGUUGAACCUAUUGAUGUGCCUCUUGGGACAACAUAUGAACAACUGUUGGAAAUGAUAUACUCGGUCACUGACAUCAAUAAAGAACAUUUUUGAUUAAUUCUUAGUUGUAAGUAUCCUAUGAAAAAAGGGAAUAAAUUCCAACCUUGCCUUGUAAAGAAUGAUAGUGGUGUAGCUCGAAUGUUAGAAAUGCAUAACAGAUUUGGGAUGGAUGAAGUUGAAUUAUUUGUUGAACAAGUACCUAUUGACUUACAAAUGAAUUCACCAAUUGGUAAUUGCAUACCUUUGUUACUUGGUGAAAAUGAUGGUACUAGUAAUGUUCAAAAUCUAUUUACUUUUGAGCAUAGAUUAGAAGAGGAUGAGGAAGACGAAGAAGGAAGACGAAGAAGGAAGAUAAUGUGAUGAUGACAAUGUAGGAGCCGAGGAUGUUCAUAAUGAUGAUAAUCAAGAUAGGGAAGGUAGCUCGCCUUUUUUAGCUGUUUGUGAGGCAAUUGAAAGAGAACAAAUGAGAUAUGUGGCUGUGGAUGGGGAAUGAUGUAACUUGUCAAAUAAUCCAGAUACAGAGGAUUUAGAUGAACCAAUUGAAUUAUCUUCAAUGCAAUAUCAUUUGGCACCAUCACCAUAGUUUGAAAAUGUUGAAAACAUUGGUCAUGUUGUGUCAAGUGAAUGGACCCCAUGGGGAAACACUCUUAUGGGACAUCCAAUUGGAGAGUUCAUACUUUAUAAAUAAUAAUGAUAUUGUUAAAAUGAAUACAACUUUGAAAAUCGUAGUAAUUACCUUCUUAUUGUGCACCAAGAAUCAUGUUCUUGAAGUGGUGAGAGUCUGCUUUAUUGGGUGCAACACUCUCAUAUAUGAACAACUUACUGAUCAAACAUCCCAUGGUUUCCUUGAUGGGACCACAUUUGAAAAGAUGUUUCACAUAUUUUUGUCUUGCUGCUGAAGAUUUGUGAAAUGAGGAUGCAUUAGGCGGUGAUGGAUUCAAAUAUUGAACACUUUGCAAUCUUUGCAUAUGCCUUGUUAGAUUAGUUGGAUGUGAAAACUUACCUAUUAUAAUUAUUAAAAUUAAAAAUAUAUGUUAAUUUAAUAUUAUUGAUAAAGUUGAUAAGAAACAGUAAUAAUUCAAAUUGAUAAGUCAGUCUUCCAUUUUGCAUAUACCUGUUUUUCUUUUAUCUUUUACAAAAUGUUCUUCUUGUUGUCGAUUUCAUUCAAUAGCUUUUGAUGCUUGAACUACCGCUUUAUAAGCAUGUUGCUCAUCAAGGUGCAUGUCAGCCAUACAUAUACACAUCAUCAUCAUCAUCAUCAUCAUCAUCAUCAAGGUUUUUGUAGACCCCCAUAUGGGGCUCAUUUUUUUCUCCCACAUUUCUACAGGUUACAUUCUUUUUCUUACCAGGUGUUACUACCCCAGCGAGGCACGUGUCGCUUCCUUGGUGGCCAUAGGGGAAUCAACCUUGCUUUUUGAAGCUGCAGUGGGAAUAUGACACGUAGGGGGAAUAUUCUAGAGGGUCUGUAGGCCGUUAUGGAGGAGCGGAUGAGAGAGAGGAUAUCCUGCAGAGGGUGGUGUGGCUUUUGGUGGUUUUCUGGAGAUAUAAGAGGGGCAAAUCAGGUAGAGCAAAAGGCAAGGAGGAGGAUUCGGUAGGGGGGGGGGUUGCUUUUUGGGGAGGUUGGCCGUGAUAUUUUCAGCAAGAGUUUUCUUUAUUGAGAGAGAGGGGAGGGGGAAGUUUGAGCAACUGAAAAAAAAAAACAGAGGAGGAGGAGGAAGCUGCCGAGGAGGGUGACUUGGAGACUGGAGAGUGAGAUUUCUUUUUGGAGGGUAUUCUGGCUUGAGGAGCAAGUGAGAGAGGAUAUUCAUUCUGGAGAUCGACAGAGAAGGGAGAAAAGGGAGAAACAGAGGAAAAGAGCGUCUGUAGGUGAGUUUGAGGUGAGUUUCUCGCUUACUUUGAUUCAAAUAUUUUCUCAUCUCUUUCCCAUUUUGGUUUGCUCUUCAUUGCUCAUCAAUUUGGGGUUGAACAAUAUGGAUUAUGUGCCGAAUCUUGUUGAUUACUGAAUCAUUUUUAUACUCUGUUGCUGUUGAUUUUACCGUUGUUCUUGUGAUUUGGUUUGGAGCUAGUGGAACUUUGUUUCUCAUAUAUUGUGUAAACCUGGCUCAAGGUUCUCCCUCAUCCCUCCUGUUUUGAGCCCAUGAUCAUCACUUGAUAUGGGAUCAUGUACAUUCAUGAACUGCAUGCUCACCUGUUUGUUCUACCCUUAGUUUUCACUCUAGUUCAUGCCUUAGUGUUUAUUCCUCUGAUUUUGCCGGGGUUGGGGUGUUAAAUAUCUCGUCUGGGACUGGCUAUCGUGAUUGGGGAUGUUUUUGAGACCUGAAAAGCUAUGUGGACCUCACUGAGACGUCCGGAGAAAAGAACUUGAGCUAAAUCAUCGUGAGAAUGUGGGUACUGUGAACGUUUUGGUUGAUGUCUCUACCUUGCUCACAAACGCACCCUAUCUGCUGAAUCUGGAACGUACUCACCAUACCCAUGACAGCAAGGCCCUUGAAGAUAUCGUGUUACACAAUGGACUAGACAAGGAUAGAUAGCCCUCGCUGCAUGGUUCAAAAGGUUCAAACCAAAAUUGCAUGCGGAAAAACCUGUUCCUCAUGCCGACAUCUGUUCUGAGUGUGGCUCACCAUUAUUUCAUGGCUCAUGGAGUGGGCUCCUUCUACUGGGCCUAUGGACUCAAAUAUACCAAGCUUGUAACCUGGUUGCAAUGGAGGUUUAUUGGUGUUAGUUUGAAAAAGAAGCUUCUUAGGGACUUGCCCUCAUUGCUCCCUUGUGUGAAAAUCUAUUUGUUACUAUGUCUGGGCGCUUGCGAUGAAUCCAAAGGUAGAUAAUGCCCGACAAUAUUUGAGGAUUUCUCUUAGCUGUGCGUCCUGGAAUGACAUGAUGGAGGCUUGUGAUGCUCGGGAUCUUGAUAUUCUGCAAAAAGAGUUCCCUAUUUUAAACAAUUAUAUUCAUUUUGGAGAUGCAGAGAUGGCGCAGAAAUUGUAUCGUAUUAUCCGAGCUUGCAUGGGUGGCUAGAGGCAACUAAGCAAUGCUGCGGCGACUGUUCUGUAUAAUCACUCUGGCGGCGAGACUCUGCACAAUGCAAGUCCUGCGAGCGACGCUGGGGAUGCAGUCAUGGCGUGAUGGCUCCAGUCCGCCGGAUUGCAGCAUCUGACCUUUCCAUUGGCUUCCACCAGAGUUGAUCAUCACCUCCUCCCCGAUCUUCUAAUGCAGGGUUAUGGAGCGCAAUCUGCUGUGGGAAGGCUUUACCUGGAGGUCCAAGGGCUUGGGCAGACAUUCUUUUCAUAACUUACUAGGUUACUUUUCUCAUUGCUGAGAUAUGCCUGUUAGCGGGUUCAGUGAGGAAUGCCUACCCUAUCAAGUACGAGACAAUUUUCAGUGAGGAUCCCCCGUCAUGUGAGACCUUGAGAAAGGGUGUGUUUGGCACUAGGGCCGCUUUCCCAUUCUUCACUGCCAUACCCUCUGAACCUUACUAUGUUUGCUAUUCGUAAGUUAGAGGAAGUUCUCUAGCUUAUGGUGAUUGAAAAACUGGUUUUUGAGAUGGGAACCUACAGCUGGGCUUAGUUAAGAUGAUCAUAAUUGUUUUAAUUCUGAGAAGCAACCUCUACAUACCCAUCAAGCCACCCCACUAAACCCUUUCCCUCUCUCUAAGCCUAUUCAUACCCAUUUCUUACUCCCUAUAGUUUGCCACCCUCACUUUUCCACCUUGUACAUCAUGAAGCUCAUUCAUCAAGCCUACCUAUUUAACCCCCCCUCUUGAUACCUAUUCCAGCACAUGCAUGGCUGUCCCAAAGCUCCUUCCAAAACCCUUGUUAAUAUCCUAGAUUUAUCCACCCACGUGCAUGGGAACCAUGCUAACCUGGUUAUUCUUCAUAUGCCCAUUUCUCAUUUUCCAUACAUGCCACUUUCACCUUCCAUGCUCAUACCCAUCAUCUAUCAUCCAUUCCUUACCCCUACACUCAGAAAUUAUGCAUCCAUAAUCAUCUUCAUACCCACCAUGCUCAUUCAUACCCAUCUUUCUCUCUCUACCUCUUCAUACCUCCGCAUGCCUAUCUCUUCGCAUCAUGCACACCAAACCCAUACCUGUGGCCAUCUUUCUAUGUUCAUUAACCCCAUAUUACAAGUGUUCUUGUUAUUGAUGACAAUCCGAUGUGGGCAAUUACUGGUAAAGCCUGAAGAAGAACAUGAUGGUCCAGUAAAUGAAGAGAAGGCCCAAAUUGGUUAAGACACCUAUAUUAAGUGAAUGAAGAACUGGGGCAACUUAGAUCCAAACGUCCUCAUUAUACCUUUUCUGAGGAUGAGAGUGGCGGAGAGUUCAGUAUGACACGCCUUCACCAGAAUCUGAGUCCGGGCCUUCAUAUUCCUGCAGAGAAGGUUUUUGACUUGUUAUCAUCUCGGCCGCGACCAAGAUGUCACCAUACUCCAUCACCAGAAUUAGGAAAUAAACUAUCAGUUUCCGGUGACCUUGAUCCUUACUUUUCCUUCUCGUUGGCCUCGUCAGCAGACGUCAGCAAAUGUUAGAAAUGAGGAGCCCUGAUGAAGAAAAUGGCCACAGCCGCAGCCCUAGUCCCAUUCCUAGGAACGAUGCAAGUCUUGCUGAUGAGUAUGGUAUCAAGUUCUUUGAAACUAGUGCAAAAACACUAUAUUGAAGACAAUAGGAAUGCCAAAUGGUGUCCCGCUCCAGGCUGUGAUUAUGCAGUUGAUUUUUUAUUGUUAAUAGUGGAAGUUGUGACGUUUCCUGCCAGUGCUCAUAUAACUUUUAAUGGAAUUGUACAGAGGGAGCUCACCUUCCUGUUGAUUGCAGCACUGUGGCCAAUUGGAUUCUGAAAGAAUAGUGCAAGUGAGUGUGAAAAGCCCUCUCUGUCUUAGUCAUCAAGUAAGCCUUCAAUCUGGCAGAAAGUGAAGAGGUGACUCCCAUUUCCUAGGAUCCCACUACAUGAUUUGCCAGAAAGUCUAACAGAUAGAUUUCAGCAGUGCCCAGGCCAGCAGCUUUCCUUGUCGAGCAGCCAGAGUGGUGAACUCAUUAGCAGCCGCAUCAAGGCCGCAUGGUAUUGGCGAUUCAUACGUGGCCUCCCUGUAAGGCAUGAAAGCGUUUGGUGCACUCUUUGGAUCGAUGCUUCUUAGAGAUUCUGUAGCUAUGCAAUCAUGCCAGGGUGAAAACUACAUGUUGUUUCCCCUAGUACCAGUGAGAUUGAUGCAAACAAGCAUGAUGGUGAUAUGGAAAGAUAAAAUAAUCUAGGAUAAUUCUCCUGAAGUUGGUGAGAAUUCUGCAGAGAGUUGUGAAAUCUCUGGACCUGAUUCUGAAGUUGUGGUGGAUAAAGAAACAGAACUGGUAACCAAGGCUCAAAAUCAGAGGUCAAAGUUCCAAGUGGCAAUAGAUGACAAGUAUUGGAAUGACAGCCUCAGCGCGGUCCAUUCUGAUGAGAGGAAUCUAAAACAGACACUGAAUGGUCAGAUGUUAAUGGCUCAGCCAGAGACGAUGCAUCCUGGAUCUCAUGGUUUUACCAUAUGUGGGGAUAUUAUUCCUUCUGUGAAUUUGACGAUGAUUGCAUGCAAGAUGAUUUUGAUGACCUCUAUGGUUUGAGCAAUCAAGUCGCCCAUUAUGAUCAUGCGUUUGACUUGAUUUUGGAUGUUGAAUUCUCGCAUGGUGAUUCUCCCACAGAGAAGCAAAACGAGAUAGUGGAAUCUGUAGCAAAGGCUUUAUGGUCUGUUUCAUUUCUGUUACUUAUUGACUUAGCAAAGACUGACUGCCAUGCUAAGCGAGCACGUAGACUCUGACUUUGGUCGAUAUCCAAGAAUUUGUUGCUGCGGACAAACCUGCUUUCUAGUGACUUUGAUGGGGCCUGUAAUGCCUAUCUAGAAGGGUGAUAAGUGCCUAGCCUUGAGGUGCUUAAACUGACAAAGGAGUGUCUCAUGGAGAAGCUUGCUGCUGGUGUCCCCCAAUUUGUCCCGUCUUUCAUUGGUCAUCUCAUACCCAACUUUGGUGGUUGUACUCCGGGCCCUCAUGCACAAUCCUAAAAAUUGUAUGGCCAUCCUCUUGUGCCUUUUUUUCAAAAUCCAUGUUUCUUCAUUCAUUUUCAUGUCUGUCUUUAAAGAAAUAGGUUUUCAAUUAACUUCAAACUCUUCCAUAUUUCAUCCUUAGAGUUUUUAGGUUUCACAAGUCCUAUUUUCAAUAAAAUUGGUUGCCAUUUUCUCUUCGGCAAGCCAUCUUCCCAUCUUCCAUGUUUUUUUUAAAAUGUUUUAAAAUAAGUGUGAAUUUAUUUUCGUAAUUCCAAGUGAUGGAAUUUACAAAAUUGAUUCACUCACAAAUAAAUCGGGCUUUGGUGGGGGCCCAACAUUAUUGGAUGUUUCCUUUGAAAAUCCAUUUGAUUGAAUUGUGACAUGUGAUGAUUUAUUGCUCGGUUUAGCGACAUGGGUGCCACAUUUUAUGCUCAUCAAUUGUGCAUUAACCCCAUUUUGUGAUAGCGCGUUGCUGUUUAUGGAUCAAGUACGCAUCUUUUCUCACUCUGGCUAUCAUCCAUAUAUGUUUUGGCUUUCAGUAUGUGAUCAUGACGGUAUUCAUUGAUUUCCUUAUCGAUUGCUACAUUAGCUUCAUUUUAUUAGUAGAGACCUGACUUUAAGGACUUAAAGGGGUGCUACGGUCUUUACCGUACCUUCUUGAUAAGUAAACUGACCCCUGAGCCCGAUCCAGUUCUUCACAAACCACCUUUUCCAAAUAAAGAGUCACACUUAGAGUUUUCUUUCUUAUUUUGUUUACCCUUUAAAAAUAAAACAAAAAUAAGUGGCAACUCCAAGUCAUUUUCUAAUAAAUAAAAUAAAAUAAAAUCAUUUUUUUGAAAUAAAGAAUCGAGCACCCCAUCGAGUGGAAGCGCAUUGAGCCGAAAUGCGGGGUCCACAGUUUUCCUCAUCCUCCUCAUCAAUUACAUGUCUAUGUCUUCCUCCCAUUGUGUCUUGCAAUUCAGCUCGAAUCUCUUCUAUAUUUGUGGCUUUCUUCACUUUUGCCUUAUUUUUUUUCCUUUAGAAGUCGACUUAUUUCUUGUUUCACUUCUGGAGGCACAUUAGGACACUUUUUUGUAUUUGAAUGAGGGUUUGUAUGCGACAGGUGAAAUUUAAAAUGAGUAAUCUUACCACUCUUUAUUUUCAACCUAUAGUAAUUGCAUAUUGUUCCAUUUUUGUUCCCUUCCAUAAGUGUACAAUAUUUCCAACUAGGAUCUCAACCCAUGAUACCGCUUCCACUUCCACUAACCAUUUUCUAAACAUGUAUUUUAAAUUCUCAUACGAAACUAAUAUAUGUGAUGUGAUAUCAAAAGGAUUUGCAUUAUAAUUAAAUUUCUAUAUGAGUUAAGUACUAAGUUAUUAAAGAUAAAUAUCUAAGUUAAUUUAAUAUUAAUAUUAUUAAUGAAAUUAAUAAGAAUCAUUACUAAUAAAAUUGAAAUUAAAAUUGAAUUAUGCAUAUAUAUUAUGUGAUAUGAAAUAGAUAAAUAUUACAAUUAAAUUUCCAUAUGAAUUAAAUUUAAAUUUAAAUUUAUUAAAAAAUAAAACCAAAUAUGCAUAUAUGUCAAAUCAAUUUCCAUAUGAAAUUUAAUGUUAAUGGGACAAAUUUUAAAAUUAGAUAAUAUCAAUUAAACUAUAUAUAACAAAUAAAAUUGAAUUAUGCAUAAUAAAAAUAAAUUUUAUGAAAGGUAAAACAUACCUUAAUUAGCCUUGACUUUGAGUUGAUCCCCUUCACCACCAAAUUUUCAAGAUUUAAUUUUAUUUAUAGAAAUAAAAAAAAAUAAAAAUUUGGAGCAAUAGAACAAGAUCAAAAAUUUAUGUAUGAAAUGGAAUGAAUUGUGGGUAUUUAUAGGAUUUUUUUUGGCCAAACUAGCCAUUGGAUGGUCAAAUAGCAGUUAUAAAUUAAUUUUAACCAUUGGAUCAAAAUUUGGCCAUUAGAUCUUCAUAUAACCGUUGGAAACAUUUCUUAGCCAUUGGAUCAAGUCAUGAUUGAUUUUCCACUAUUGGAUCACAAAUAUGAUUGUUGGAUGCCUUUAUAAAAAACACGGGUGAAAUCUAGGCCAUCGGAUUGUCAAAAAUUCAAAUAUGACUGUUGGAUGCAGUAGGAGGAAAUUUCAAAAAAUUGCCCAAAAAAUCGUUGAUUUAUCGUCGAUAUUUUGAAAAAAAUUGGUGAUUUUUUUACAGUCUUCCUCCAUUGCUCCGUGCAUCUCUCCAUGGUUGAUUUUUUCAUUUCCAAACCGACAUAUUGCUAAUAUUCGACGAUAUUACCAAAAUUUUGCCAAAAUUCCCACCAAUCAAUAAUCGGUACCCAAUAUCGUGUCGGGAACCACCAAUAUUUGAUAUAUUGACAUAUUUCAUCGAAAAAACCAAAAAUCCUUAAUAGAAAAUAAUGCCUUAUUAACACACUUUUAUUCAAAGUGUUUGUCCUUAUUCUCGACAAAGAAAGCAUUUUAUUCAAAGUAGAACACUCCUAAAACUAUGACAUCAAUACAUAUUAUCCCCUUUCCAUUUCUGACAAUAUGGAAGAAGCUGGCAUUAGCUUUCAUUUGUUCAUACUGGCAUAGGGUCAAUGAGCAAGGAUGCAAUAUUAUCUUUCAUCACUUUCCCAACAUGAGUGUAUUCAUUGUUUUCCUUAUAAAUGAUGUCUACCACUCGUGUAAGAUUGAGAACUUUGAUAAGGAUUGGGAUCGACAUGGAAGUAGGUAUGAGGAAAACUUGGUUAAUUUCCUUCCAUGCAUUCACAAUUUGCUUGUUAAACUCGUCAUAAGCCUGUUGCUUAAGACACUAUAUUGCUUGAUAUAGCAUUCAAUGGCUAAGGCAACAUGCCCUCUCUCUUGUUCAAACUGCACACAUAUAUAUAGUAAUGCAAAAGAUGAGGAAAAACCUACCAUAAAAUCAUCACGAAUGAACUUAUAUGCAAUAUAUUCUACACAUAUUCCUUAUGUGUCAUCAUAUCGUUCAUGGGCCUGGCAAUUAAACAUGAAGCUAUUGUAAAAGGGUCAUUGUAAACCCAAUCAAAGGCCUCUUUUGUUAUCAUUUAUCCUAUUCCAAUGAAAGAGAGGGUUGUGGCUAAGGGAAGAGCUGAGCCUACUCGUGCAACUUGCAUGUAUUCCUCUAUGGAACCAUUGUACUUUGUCAAAGAGCCAACCUGAAUUUUCAACCAACAAACAUUUGUCAAUGUUACAUACUUGUACAUAUGCUUUAAUUUUUAAUUUGAUAUGAUUCGCCUAUUUAACUCGAGCCCAACACAUUUUGUCAAAAUAAUCUUAAAAUAAUCUCUCUCUCUCCUUCUCUGUGAUUGUUAAAUUUAAUGAAUAAGUAUAUUAUUCUAUCAUAUUGGUAUAUGUACAAAAUUAGCUCUCUCUGUCUCUCCCUCCUCUCUCAUUGUUAAAUUUAAUGAAUAAGUAUAUUAUUCUGUCAUAUUGGUAAUAAACAUUACCACCGUAUAUGUACAAAAUUAGCUAAGCUAAAUAAGAUAAAAUAGCAAGACUAAGUAAGAUAAAUUGUAAUUACAAGGAGAGAUUGACAUUCUACCGGAGGUAAUCUUGGUUGACACCUAAGAUUACCUUUAAUACUGAUCACCAAUUGCCAUGAAUUCAUGCACCUGACUAUGUACAAUGUAUUCACUUGGGCUGUCUCCUAUCAUCCCAGAUCAAGUAUAGGAUACUGAACAAACAUUUAAAUACAUGAAACGAUGUUCACAACAUCAAUGGAAUUAAUGUUUUUUGCAGAAAAAUGUGUGGAUGCAUGCAUGUAUACAAGAAUACUUAGAAUUUGGCUGUGCUGUUUGUUGUCACCUCGCGUAUCCGGUGGUCCACGUUCCUGCUAGAUGGAUGGACACGCGAUUCUCAACACACAAAGGGUUCUUGAUUCAGCGGUCGUACCUGCAAAAGGCAUCCGGACAGGGUGUCUGGACGCACCCUCCGAUGGUUUUGUUAGCCAUGGUAAGAGAGGAAGAUAUAUGAGGCAGUUGGCUUUUUACUAGGUAUCAGGAGGUUACCCAGAGAGAGAGCCCCAAUUCUUCUUCGCGUGAAGACUUAUAUAUAUAGCUUUAAGGGUACUGUUCCUCUCAUUAAUGGUGAGGAGAUGUUUUAUGUUGUCAUGAUGACAUUAAGUAGCAGUAGAGACAUCAUCACCCUACGAGCGGCUGUCAAGAACCAUGGUAGGUGACGCGAUUGUCAGAGAUCGUGAUAGGUGAUCAUGUAGAAUGAUCGUGGGAAGUGACUUGCUAUCACUUCAUCUUGUCUUCUCACUCUGCAGGUGACAAGAUGUGGGCCAUGGCUGCUUGUUGUGAUUGCGUGUAAGACUCGCUUUACUUUAAUUGACCAUCCAGACGAUUUAUAUCCGGAUGGCUCAUGCUGAUUAUCCGGAUGUGUUGUGGAGACUAUCCGGAUGUCUACGCUCUGCCAGCGUCGUUUGCUCUUCCUUGGAUAGGAGAAGCUGAAACGUCGUUUGCCUUUCCUUGAGGCGGUCUGGAUAGGAUAACUGCACCAUGCAUAUCCUUAGGAGAAUCCGGAUGAUGAUGGUCCGGCUAAUAACACGUGCCACGCGUCAUCAUGAGCUGCGUGCCACGUGUUUCCCAAUGGGAGGGGUCCCUACAUUGCCCCCCUUUUUAACUUGCCUAUUUUGCCCAAAAAAUGGGCGGGUUAAAAAUAACUGGCUUUUGAAAAUUGAAGAGGUCCCUUCGUCUGACUGGGCCACGUGGCGAGUGGGGGUGCGGAAGCUAAAAAAGGCAUUUAUGACGAGCCACCGACCCUGUGUAUCCCUAGGCAAUAUGUCGUUUCAAUGAUAACAUGGUUGUCCUGCUAUAAAUAGGGCACUGUACCUCUUUUUGCAUUUUUUCCUACUGCAUUCUCUUGAGAGCCUUUCUUCUUCUUGCUUUUUUCUACGCCCUUUGCUUCUCUGAGAAAAAACUUCGAAAGCUCUUUUGUACCAGUGUUUUUGUAUUGCGACUUCGUUUGUUUGCUGCUGGUGAUUUUGUACCGAGUCAGUAACCGUUCUUCUUCUUCAGAGCUUUAUUUGGUACGUACCUCUUUGCUACUGUCAUUCCUUUGGUUGCGUUUGCUGGUUCUUUAAACUUGGUUUCUGGCUUGCUUGGGCAUUGUUUUGGACAAGUCGCUUGCAAUUGUUGUUGAAUGUUGGUACUUUGUUGGUGUUGGGGGGGUGUUUUUUAGGGGUUUUUCUGACUGCUUUGGGUUAGGGUUUGUGUAUUUUCUGACUGCUUGGUUUGAACCGUUGUAUUGCUUUUGUAUGUAGAUUUUGGUUUGGCUUUGUGGUAAGAAAUGGCUCCAAAAAAGACUGUUUCAUCUGCCCGGGUUAGCGAGGCUGGCGAAAAGGCGAUAGACAAAUUAGAUGUGAAGGAAUUCCGGGAGCGGUUCUGCAUCCCAAAUGGCGUAUCUAUAGACUUGGUGAACGAGGAGGCAGCUAUGCCUACUGAGAAAGGUGAAGAAAACGUUAUCCUCUUCACAAAGGAACAAUUCAACGCGGGGCUCCGGUUCCCUCUGCCGGCGUUGUUCAAGGAAUUCCUCCACUUCUCUCAGAUUCCAUCCAUCUUCAUUCAUCCCAACCUUGUCCGGGUGUUGAUGGGAUGCAGCAUCAUCAACAUGCUGUACAACCUCGACCUUACGCUACUGGAAGUGCUCUUUUUCUAUUCCCUGAAGAAGGCAAAAAAUGAUAUCUUCAGUGUGUCCACGCACCUGCCCUCCCUUCAAAUGGUGACAGAGAUGCCAGAUUCGAUAAAGGGAGGGGCGAAGGGGCUGGUGGCGGUCCGGGGUGGAUGGGCGGGGCUAUCGGAGCAUGCGUCGAGGCCCUUUUCUCCAAAUUAUACCUUAAAAAUUUCGGGUAUUCUUGUUUUGCGAUUCUUUGUCCGGAUUUUACUUUGCUGAUUUUUUGCUGAUUUUUCCGGACGGAAUUCUCACCUUUUGUUGCUGUUAAUGCAGGUCUGGAAUUGAGGGGCCACCUUGUGGAUUGGGUGGAAAAGGCGUCCUUCGCCUGUGUCUGCAAAUUAUUUGAGAUAAAUCCCAAGAAGAGGGCCUGCAAGACAUUGCUUUCCGCGCGGAAUUUGAUGGCGGUCGUCCGGGAGUCCCAGGAAUAUGUUAUCAAUAUUCUCCCCAGGAAACUGCCAAAGGAUGAGGUAGUGCCUGGGGAGCAUUAUACUGUGAAGGAGCUCCCCCUCUAUCAGGAAGCUAAAGAGGCUGAUGCUGAAAGACGGCGAAAGCUCCUGGAGGAUCGAGAUCAGAGAAAAAAUGAAGGCACUAUCCGGAAGGCUCCCGGACAGAAGCGGGGUCCGGACUCUCCUCCAAAGAAAACUCCAGCAAAAAGGAGGAAGCUGGUGAAGAAGAAUGGGAAGGAUGUGAAGGAACCCACUCCUCCCAAGGAGUUUCCUCCUCCGCAAAUUACCUAUGAGGGGGAAGUAAUGAUAGAGGAGCCAGUAAACGCUGCUCCGCACUCUAUCUCAAGCAGCCCCGGACGCAUCUCGGGGUUGAACCAUUCUGGCACUUCCUUAGCCGCGGUUGCGCGUCUGGCUAACGUGGCUGAGGAAGCUGCAUCUAUCAACCGUCCGGGCAACCUUAAUCCGGAUGCUGAUGCAGCUGAAACGACCCCGUUGGAGGAAGCGGUGGUAGAAAGCCAAAGUUAGCCUUCCGACGACCCGGAUCGCUUGGCCAUAAUCCCGGUGAAAGGGCCUCCUUCAAAGAAGCCGCGUUCGACGCGCAAUCUAUGGUCCGGACUCCUUGGGCGGCUUCAAGAGCGGCAGCAAGAGAUUGAAGUUAGCUGCGCUUCUGCCCAUGACGCUCAUCCGGAUGGAGGCGAGGUGGAGAUGGCAACUGAGACUUCAGCCGCCCCGGCAAUAAUUCCGGCUGAAGAUGCAUCCGGACAGAUGCGUCCGGACGAAGAUGUGGGGGUCCCGAAUCCGGGACAAGAGUCACCUUCUGUUUCCUCAUCUGAGGAGGAACCUGCUGACGAUGCAGCUCCUGCUAGCCUUUUCAGCUACGCGGAGUUGGAAGCUAAGCUAAAACAGGUUACACCCGGCUGGACUGCCAUCAAGCCCUCUACUAAGAUGUUUGAUAUGAUAGAAACGGUAUACCGUUGUCUUGUGCUUUUGCUUUUUGAUUCUUUGUUGCGCUGAUGUGUUUGUUGUAGUAUGAUUUAUGUCUUUGCUUUUCUUGUUUGCGUGUCAGCUGGUGAGGAGCCUCCGCGACAUGGCUCAACAACACGAUCUUUUUACUCACCUGCUGCAGACUGCAGACUAUAUGAAGACCUUCUCCUCUCGACGCCGAGAGAUUGAAAAUCAGCUGCGUCUGAGAAUGGAGGAGGCUGAGGCUAGUCUAUCCACCAUGCGAGAGGAAAAUGAAGCCCUCCGAGUGGAGUUGGCUGAGGCGAAGAGUCGAGAAGAAUCGACUGUGGGCCGCCUACAUGAGGCGGAAGGUGAGGCAGCCCGGCUGAGGGAUGAAGUGAGUCAACUCCGGACAGAAGUUUCGAAUGAAAAGAAACAAAAGGAAGACUUGCAGCUGCGCCUGGAUGUGCAAAAAGAAGACCUUGAACAGGAGUUUGCUGUGGAAAGAGAGGAACUUGCAGCGGAUUACCAGCAACAAGUGGAUGAUAUGUUUAUCUUUGGGUAUCGCUGCUGCAUGAAGAAGAACGACAUCAAGCGAGAUACCCCUUCAAUUCCUCCGGGUGAAGAAAAGAAGCUCCAUGAGAAGCCCGCUCCCUGAUAGUUUAUCUUUUUUUGCAAUUUUUCUGCUGUAAUUUUUCCUUCUGUAUUUUUGUGGUCCGGAGAUCUCUUUGUAAUUACACUUAUUCAUAUCAAUAAAAACAUACUUCUUUCUCAUUUGCACUUGUGUAUACUUUUUAUUGAUAGUACUGCUUUAAAUUGGACACAUUCCAUGGUCUGAGUAACGGACUGCCAUCUAGCUUUUGUAAAUGAUAGGCUCCAUUUUCGUUUGCCUUAGACACUAUGUAGGGUCCUUCCCAAUUGGCUUGGAACUUUCCUGCGCCUACUUCAGCAGUAUUUUCAAAAACUUUUCUAAGUACUAGCGUACCAUUUUUGAAGUUUCUGGGCCUGACUUUUCGAUUGUAAUGCGCUGAUGCCAUUUGUUGAUAAUCUGCCAUCCGGAUGGCCGCGCUUUCUCUGACUUCGUCUGCCCAGUCUAAAUUUCUUCCUAGUUCCGUGUUGGCAUCUUCUUGUUUUGUUGCAUCGGUCCGGAUAGUAGGAAGACCUAUUUCAAUGGGAAUGACUGCAUCCAUUCCAUAUGUGAGGGCGAAAGGAGUGUUUCCUGUUGGUCGUCCGGGUGUGGUUCGAUAGGCCCACAGGACGCCGGGUAGCUCCUCCACCCACUUCCCUUUGGCUUGCUCAAGCCUUUUCUUUAAGGCAUUGAUUAGAGUUUUGUUUGUGGCUUCCGCUUGCCCAUUGCUUUGAGGAUAACGCGGCGUGGAGUAUGAAUUCCGGAUAUUCAGUUCCGAACAGAAAUUCCUGAAUGCAAUGCUGUCAAAUUGUGGACCAUUGUCAGCUAUGAUGAUUUGGGGAAUUCCAAAGCGGCAAACAAUGUUCUUCCAUACGAAUUUGGUGACAUCUUUAUCUUUGAUGCUUGCAUAUGCUUCAGCUUCUACCCAUUUACUGAAGUAAUCAGUGGCGACAAGGAGGAAUUUCUUCUGGGCAGGUGCUGCUGGGAGGGGUCCCACUAUGUCCAUGCCCCACUGCGCGAAAGGCCAUGGGCCUGAGACCGAUUUCAAUGUUGCCGAUGGCAUAUGUGGAAUGGGAGCGUAUCUUUGACAUUUAUCACAUUUUUGGACAUAUGCUACCGCGUCUUUCUUCAUUGUGAGCCAAUAGUAUCCUUGUGAAUGAGCUGUAUGUGCCAGGGAUCGUCCUCCCGUAUGAUUUCCGCAUAUUCCUUCAUGUAAUUCAGCUAGCACAUAUUGGGCCUCUGAAUGCCCAAGACAGCGAAGAUAAGGCCCUGUGAAGGAUCGCUUGUACAGGUGCCCCCCAAUCAGGGUGAAACGGGCAGCUUGCACCCGGAUUUUGUGCGCUUGUUUAGGAUCUUCGGGUAAAGUGCCUGUCCGGAGAUAUUCUGCAAUAUCAUGCGUCCAUUCUUGAUCAUCCGCUUGGUUUGCCUCAAUGGUGUUGCAAGUGGAACUUUCUGCGACAGAGGGAUUGACUUGUACAUGGAUAGGCAAUAGAAUGGCUUCUCUGAUGGGGAGGGAAGCAGCUAUACCGGCCAAGGCGUCAGCGUGCCCGUUGUCAACUCGCUUAAUUUUUUCGAUUGUCCACUCGGUGAAUUGCUGUAAGGUGCUUCUUACAUUGGCCAAGUAUCGCGCCAUGCAUGCAUCCUUAGCCUCAUAUUCUUUCUGGACAUGCCUUACCACUAGUUGCGAGUCGUUGUAGAUCCGGAGUUUGGAGACGGAUAGAGCAAGGGCGAGGUCCAAUCCGGACAGGAUGGCCUCGUAUUCUGCUUCAUUGUUAGACGCGGAGAAUCCCAGCCAGAUGGCUUGCUCCAGAUGUUCCCCAGUUGGGGACUGUAGUAAGAGCCCAACUCCAGAGCCUGAUGAGCGUGAGGCUCCGUCAACUCGUAGAGUCCACCACUCCUGUUCACUUGAUUCGUGGUGCUGGUUGGGUCUUCGUGAAUAUUUGAGCACAAAGUCGGCCAUUACUUGGCCUUUUUUGGAUAAUCUGGGUUGGAAUUCGAUUCCAAAUUCGCUCAAUUCGAUGGCCCAUUGUAGCAUUCGCCCAGUUAAUUCUGGUUUGUGCAGAAUGCUACGAAGGGGUUGGUCGGUCAGUACAAUCACUGGGUGGGCUUGAAAAUAGGGGCGGAGCUUUUGAGCAGCACUUCGAAGAGCUAAGGCUGUUAGCUCCAUUUUUGAAUACCUGGUUUCUACAUCUGCCAAUGCCCUGCUGACAUAGUAGACAAGUUUCUGCUCCUUUGGUGAAGGACAGCGGAAUAGAACGGCGCUGAUUGCCCAUUCUGAGACAGCCAGAUACAUGUAUAACUUCUCCUUUGGGAUGGGGCUGCUUAGGAUGGGUGGCUGCAUAAGACAAUGCUUAAUUUUUUCGAAAGCACUUUGACAACUGUCUGUCCAUCCUUGUGCUCCAGCUUCUCGUAUUGCCAAGAAGAAGGGUCGCAAUUCUUCAGUGAAGCGGGCUAUAAAGCGCCCUAAUGCGACGAGCUUGCCUGUGAGUCAUUGUAGCUCCUUCUUGUUCCUGGGAGGGGGUGUUUCCAUGACUGCCUUGACUUGAUCCGGACUGACUUCUAUGCCUCUCUGGCUGACCAUAAAUCCUAGGAACUUGCCAGCACUUACUCCAAAGGCGCAUUUAGAAGGGUUUAGCUUCAUGUCAUACCUUUGCAAGAGGUGAAAAACUUCUUGUAAGUGAAGAUCAUGCUGCUCUCGGGUUUUGCUUUUAACCACAAUGUCAUCAAUAUACACUUCUACCGUGUGGCCUAUUAGAGGUUUGAAGAUUUUAGUCAUUAAUCUCUGAUAAGUGGCGCCAGCAUUUUUGAGUCCGAAUGGCAUGACUUUAUAGCAGUAGAGGCCAUGUGGUGUUAUGAAUGCUGUCUUUUCUUCGUCAUCUGGAGACAUGGGAACCUGGUGAUAUCCGAAGAAGGCAUCCAAGAAAAAGAGCAUCCCUUGCCCGGAAGUGGAAUCUACAAUUUGACCUAUUCGUGGUAAGGGAAAACUGUCUUUUGGACAUGCGUUAUUGAGAUUGGUGUAAUCAACACAGACUCACCAUUUGCCCUCUUUCUUUGGUACCACCACUACAUUUGCCAACCAAUCCGGAUAAGAUACUUCUCUGAUGAAUCCGGCUUCCAGCAAUUUGUCAAUUUCAUUUCGGAUAACUUUUUGUCUAUCCGGAUGAAAGCGUCUAAUCUUCUGUCGAACGGGUCUGGCUGCUGGAAAGACGUUAAGCUUGUGAGAGGCAAUAGAGGGAUGAACUCCCUUCAUAUCCGAAUGUGUCCAUGCGAAGAUGUCAUGGUUGCUUCGAAGGAUAUUUUGUAUGCUCUGAGUUUCUUCUUGUGUCAUGAGGGAACUGAUGUUCAUGAGGUGAUCAUUCUCUUCUGAGAUUUGGAUUGUUUGUAAGGGAUCUGCUGCCAGGGGAUCCUUGUCCGCCGGACCCAAUAAUUGCUAUUGGUCAUGCGUAUGGCUGGGUUCAGGGGGAGAUGCAUCCUCCUGGCUAGUUCCCGCUUCUCGUGCUAUUUGAUAGCACUGUCGAGCGGCCAACUGGCUGCCAUACAAGUCAGUUUGCCCUUCGUUGGUGAGGAAACUCACCAUUUGAUGAUAUGUGGAAGGGAUGGCUUUCAUGUAGUGAAGCCAUGUGCAUCCCAAGAUGACAUUGAAGGGUGAUAACUCUUGUACCACCGAGAAUUGCACGUUGAGAGUGACUGGGCCAGCUUGGACCGGCAGUAUAAUGUCUCCUAAGGAUGUGGUUGAUGACCCGUUGAAUCCGGAUAAGAUUCGUCCGGGGUUUUCGAGACCCGCGAGACUAUGUCCCAUAUGGCCAACGACUGAUGUUUGCACUAGAUCGGCUGAACUGCCUGGGUCGACCAAGAUACGUCUUACAUCGAAAUCUCCUAUUUCUAGGGAGAGGAUGAGGGCGUCGCGAUGUGGCUGUAGCGUCCGGGUGGGAUCUACUGGAGGGAAAAUGAUUGUCCCAUCUAUGGGGCGAGGGCCCUCUCCAGUGAGACCCGACCGGAUGGAAUUAAUGUGUUCGCGUAUUGACGCGGCUCGCAGCAAUUUCUGCCUUUUCCGCCUGGAAUCGUAUUCCUCGUCAGAUGGGCCCCCGUUGAUAUAGUUUAUGACAGCCUUGGGGGCGACUGGGGCCCUCGGGGCCCCAGAGUUAUGAUGUUGAGAUGCGUCCCUUCCUCUAAUAUCUGAGCGGAGGUACUGUUUUAAAUGUCCUGCUUUGAUGAGCCUUUCAACUAGAUACUGGAGGGACCGACAUGUCUCUGUUGUAUGACCAUGGUCUUUGUGGAAGGCGCAUUUCUUGUUGCGGUCUCUCAUGGAUGGGUUCGUUUCGAGGGGUCUAGGCCACCUGAAGUCGGACAACCCUUGGAUCAUUGGGAGAAGUUUUUCGUAUGACACGGAUAGGGGUGUGAUGGGCGGCCUAUCCAGACGACUCGGCCCGUCCUGCCUCCGGUCAACUGGUUUUGGCCGGUUCGGAGGUUUGGCAUGUCUGUCCGCGUCAUCUCUAGAAGUUUGUCCGGCAACCAAAACUUGCUGAGUGGCUGCACGUACGUCAUCUUCGAGCAUUGAAUAUUUGUUAGCACGUCUGAACAAAUCGUCCAUCGUUGUAGGAGGCUUUUUGGCCAGCGAUUCGAAAAAUGGAGUGCCUGGACAGAUGCUUCUCUUGAAGAUCUGUAGGACAGCAUCCAUGCUGCAAGCCUCUAUUUGAAGUACGGCUUGGCCAAAUCGUUUCACAAAUUCCCUCAAGGAUUCGUUGUCUCUCAUUUUUAUGUUCUGGAGGGUGCUGAUAUUCUGCUUGUGUCGAGCAGAGCACAAGUACUGUCCCACGAAAGCUUCAGAGAGGUCCCUGAAAUUGUCAACAGAGUUAGGAGGUAGGCGAUGAAACCAUGAGAGGGCCUGCCCUUGAAGGCUGGCGGGGAAUACUUUGCAUAGCAAUGCAUCGUUGCCAAUAUCGAGCGUCAUAAGCUGUCGAUAGUGCAUGAUGUGAUCGAAGGGAUCGUUGGUCCCAUCGUAUGUGGAAAACUUUGGUACGAAGAAUCCCCUUGGGGGCUCGUAAUAGGUGAUAUGAGAGCAAAAGGGCGUGGAGAGCAUGUCAUCCAGCCUUUUACUGAUGGAGCCAAUGGGUGGCUCGUUUGGGAGGUUUCUCCCAUCUGGUCGUUCCGCUAGGUGUGAGUGAACGUUCCGCAUCGCUGGGGUGACCAUGGGGUCACGAUGCGGAGGUACGUUCUGCACCAUGGGAGCGAUCAUAGGAUCGGGGCGUGGUGCCCGGGUUGUGGCUACUGGUGGCCUUGAUCUCCCAGGCUCUUGUGGGCCUAGUCUUGCGCUCAUAGAACUUGACAACUGUGAUUUUCUAUCACGUUGUCUUUUUACUGAAAAAUGAGUGGAAUCUGAGCUUUCCUCACGGGGAGCUCGAGGCAUAGGUGUACGUGGCUCAUGGGGCCUUGCGUUGUAUGCUCCUGGGACAGCUCCUGUUGACCCAGGAUAUAUUGAUUCUGGCUCUGGCCUUAAGUUUGCCACCUGGCCUCUUGAACGCUGACGACGACGAGGACCUGACGUUGAGGCUUGAAUGCGUAACACAUCGUUUUCUUCCCUUAACCUCUCCGUCUCCUAGAGGAGAGCUCUUAGUUGUUUUUCGCUCGCCAACUGUCUUUUUUCGAUGGCCUGACGCCAUUCGAGAUUAUCUUCCUCCCCUCUACCAGAUGAUCGACUUUGGGAAGGUGUGGCCAUCUUUGCUAGUGACUGAAUCAAAAUAAAAAGUAAAGUUUCCCACAGACGGCGCCAAUGUUGUCACCUCGCGUAUCCGGUGGUCCACGUUGCUGCUAGAUGGAUGGACACGCGAUUCUCAACACACAAAGGGUUCUUGAUUCAGCGGUCGUACCUGCAAAAGGCAUCCGGACAGGGUGUCCGGACGCACCCUCCGAUGGUUUUGUUAGCCAUGGUAAGAGAGGAAGAUAUAUGAGGCAGUUGGCUUUUUACUAGGUAUCAGGAGGUUACCCAGAGAGAGAGCCCCAGUUCUUCUUCGCGUGAAGACUUAUAUAUAUAGCUUUAAGGGUACUGUUCCUCUCAUUAAUGGUGAGGAGAUGUUUUAUGUUGUCAUGAUGACAUUAAGUAGCAGCAGAGACAUCAUCACCCUACGAGCGGCUGUCAGGAACCAUGGUAGGUGACGCGACUGUCAGAGAUCGUGAUAGGUGAUCAUGUAGAAUGAUCGUGGGAAGUGACUUGCUAUCACUUCAUCUUGUCUUCUCACUCUGCAGGUGACAAGAUGUGGGCCAUGGCUGCUUGUUGUGAUUGCGUGUAAGACUCACUUUACUUUAAUUGACCAUCCAGACGAUUUAUAUCCGGAUGGCUCAUGCUGAUUAUCCGGAUGUGUUGUGGAGACUAUCCGGAUGUCUACGCUCUGCCAGCGUCAUUUGCUCUUCCUUGGAUAGGAGAAGCUGAAACGUCGUUUGCCUUUCCUUGAGGCUGUCCGGAUAGGAUAACUGCACCAUGCAUAUCCUUAGGGGAAUCCGGAUGAUGAUGGUCCGGCUGAUAACACGUGCCACGCGUCAUCAUGAGUUGCGUGCCACGUGUUUCCCAAGGGGAGGGGUCCCUACACAGUUGUGACUCAGCAACCACCGCUGAUAGUGACUAAACCUUGCAUGGACUCGAGCCCACGUAGCAUUUAGGCAUAAAACACAAUAACACGUCCCGAUCAUGCGCCGCAAGGCUUCGUUUACUAAAGAAAAAAGGAUACUUUUUCUCCAUAUAUUGCCUAAUUGGGAUGCAAUUUUAUAAUAAGAAUGGAGGAGAAAAAGAGAACAAGCCCCAGACAAGUGACCCAACAAUGACUUCCCACUUCGGAAACACUGUUCCAUUGCCCAUGUUUUUUACGACACCAGAGUGAAAUGGUGGUGAGAGGUCAUGAUCAGUAAGUAUAAUAUUAUUUAUAAGUUGUUUAACACAUAGAAUGUUUUGUUGUAUAGCUAGUCAAAAUCCGCCUAUAAAGUAGCACAAAGCUAAAGUGCAGAGCACACAAAUUUCUUCUUCGAUUGGCAACCUUUUGAAAUGCGAUGCCAGUACUGCUAAUUCAUGCGUACCAAACUGUAUAUAAUAAUAAACUCCAUACUGGGGAAAUCAUUAAUGGAACUUGGAAUAUUAUUCUGGCCCUUGGGCUGUCCACAAGAUUAAAGAUGUGAGACAAGACUCACUAAGUUCUAAGGUUGUGCAGUGUCUUCACACUUGGGGGCAUUCAACUCGAAUGGAAUGUCAAAACCCAGUUCUUGUUUGGUACUAGUUUCAGCACAUGGAGUAGUGCCACUUGUGAGAUGCCAGCAUUCAACCAUUUGACCAUUGGGCCAGACCACCGUCCACAUACAACUGAGUUCCAAAAUGCAAGAAACGUGGCCCCCGCAUAUCACGUGUCUACCCGCCCCAUUGUGAAAUAACUUCUACAAAAACGGCCGGCUAGUUCAUUUACGUUACGUGGGCACGUGAUCUUACAAAUAAACGCCCCUCAUGCACGUUCCAUUCACUAACACAUUUUGGGUUGGCUGUUUCGGGCCAAAUGCCAAGUAAUUUCAAUGCUUGAAGUUGUAGUUCAGUUUUUGGUUGACAGAUACGUGUACCUUACUAUUGUAUACCCUAAAAAAUCCAUGAACAUUUUGAAUAAUGUUGAACAUGUAGUAGGCACAAAAAUAGACACAUUUCAAUAGAUUUGGGUUAGACAUACUCAUGUUUGUGUUAUAAUCAUGUUAAGUUAUAUAUAUAACAUGUUUAAUAACUAGGUCAUAUUUAGUCUAUAUGACUUCUCGACCCAUUAAAGCUAUUUAAUUUGUUCACUUCAUGAAUUUUCCAUUGCACCCAGCUAAUUUCUACAUGAAUUUUUAAAAUAAUGUAGUUUAGGUGGUUGAAAGAAUUAGACUUUGGGAAGGUUAAUUCUGGAUGGUUGGGAUGCACUUCGAGUCUCAUACAUACAUGGAUAUAACUUGGAUGAAUGUUCUUCAGUUGUAUAAGUCAAGCUUACCUAUAAAUAUUAUGUAUAUUUUUUAUAAUGAAUUAGGACGAUAUUAAGUUGGUUUACUAAACAUCCAUAUAAUGUUAAAUAUAAAUAUUGAAGGAUAUGAAAUCCACAUAUCAAUAUAUCAAACUUUUACCAAACCCACCUCAUGACAACCUUCUUAUGGUUCUCACACGGAUUUCUAUUGUUAUCAAACAAAAAGUCUAUAAUAAAAUAUUUUUUAUUAUAAUUCAUAGAUACUCUGACAAUUAAAUAAAAGGAUAAACUUAUUUGUGGAAUAUAAUUAAAAAGAAAAAAGAAAAAAAGAGACGGGUUAGAGUUUUAAAUUAUUAUUAUUUUAUAUACUUUAAAUAAAAUAGUAAUAAUAUAAUUAAAAACAAUGUCCUCUUUCAACUUUCAUACCUUCAACCUAUACGAGCUGUGAUAUUUUCAAGUUGGUAUUCUUUAACACAAGUCCAUUCCUAACUUAUUCAACUUUUACGACUUCAACGUAAACCUCGUGAUGGUACAAAUUAGACUAUUCUGCCCUACCUAAGUUAAAGUCCUAAAAAUUUCAUAAGAAUUAUGGACUCACCUUAUUAUGAAUCUAGACAUUAUUUAUUCUGAUUUAUCUAUUCUUUAAUAUAUAUAUAUAUAUAUAUAUAUAUUGGUUUUAAUAGGCAGAAAUGUCCUUAAUGACCUUGUACAUAGAGUACAUAUAUGAGUGAUAAUAAUACGUGUUUAAGAAUAUGUUUGACAAUAAUUUAAAAAAAUAUUUUUAAUAUUUUUAACAUUUAAAUUAUACAAAUUUUAAAGUGUUAAAAAGUUUGAAAACACUUACUAAAAUCAUUGUCAAUUAAUAUUAUUAUAAGCUAAUUAUUAUUAUUAUUAUUAUUAUUAUUAUUAUUAUUAUAUCAAACAUGUUAAAAUUUUAUUAUAUACCUUAUAAAAAUAAAAGUUAUGCUCUUAUAUUAGGUUGCAAUUUGAAGUUCAAGUUCAUUAAACUAUGCAGAGUUAAGCUUUAUGUUAAAAAUAAUAAAUAAAAAAUUAUAGAGAAUCAAUUCAAUCAAUUCAUUAUUUUCCAAGCAAGGAUUAAGAUAUUGAAGUAUUGAUGGUUAUAUUUUACAAAACAUUGAAACAAAAUAAUAAUACAUUAAUAAUAUAUAUAAUGAUAAUAAUUCAUAAAUCUUGAAAAUAAAUUUAAUAUUAAAAUAUCAUUCCAAGUAAUUCUGAAGUAUUCAAAGAUGUAAAUUAAAGAAAUAAUAAUAUAGGUAUAAUUAUUUUUUAUUUAAAAGUAUUAAUAAUUUCAUUUACAACUUUAUGUUGUCAAAAAUAGACGUAUCAAAAGAAUUAUCAUAAGAAAGCUUUAUAUUUUUAAUAAUAAAUUAAAUUAAGGUGGUGUUUAUUUUUUUAUAUUUAAAUCUGAAUGAAAAUUAAUUUAACUUAAUAGAAUUAAAUAUUAAAUUAUUUGUUUCUUAUCAUUUUAUUUUUGUUAAGUAUUAAAUAUUAAUAGGGUGAAAGCCUUGUUGAGCUUGUGCAAAAAAAUUAUUUUUAAUAUUCAAUAAAAAGUUAAAUAUUUUGGUUUUUGCUAUUCAUAAAAAAUUCUUAAGAAUUAAUUUUUUAUUUUUAUUCAAAAUAGUCGUGUUUGGUCAAACACUUUAAAAUGCAUUAGCAUAUUUGUACUCAAACGUUUUUAUGAAAAUAAUUUUACACUAAAUCUCCUAUUUGUAAGCAUGAUUAAAAUUAUUUGAUCCAUGAAACUGUUUUAAUGAUCCUUAUUGGGCUUCGAGUUCAUGCCCAUUUGUUGAUAAUUUUUCAAGUAUUCUUAGUCCGAGCGAGGAGUGAUGGCUAGGCUAGGGAAUUUUUUCUUUGUUAGGAUUUUGAUUUAAACUUUAUUAUGGACAUUGUUUAGAAGUUAAAAUUUUAUUCAUGUUUGAAUUAUUUGAUUUUGGAGUUAUUUGGAUAAUAACACUUUGGUUGAUGUGUUAAUUUUUUUUAUUUUUUUUUAAGUUGAGAAUUGGGGAUUAUAAAAUUUAUUUAUUUUACUACUCUGAAUAUGAAUUUGGUAAUUGAUAAUUUCUAAUUACAAGAUAAAUGUUUGUAUUGUUUCCACUUUAAGCCUUCGGGCUUAAGGUGUGAAAUGAUCGUCAUGCCCAUGGAGUAGGUUUUGGGGCAUGACAUAAUUAGUACAUUUUCAUUAUAUAGUUAGUAUAACACCCUUGUACAAUGAUGCAAAUUUCAUCCACAUGCAUACAUUAUGUGUCCAUAUAGGAUGUGUGAAUCAUAUUUCCAAUGAUUUUGUUUAGAAAAUGGUGUAAGACAUAAAAACAAAUUUUUUUCCCCAAACAUCAUUAUUGGGAUAAGUAUUUGAAUUAUCAUAUGUAAGUUAAAUAAAGUGCAUGAAAUGAAGGAAUUUGAAAUAGAAGAGUGUGAAGUUAUUGGAUGAUAGGAAAAAAAAAAUAGUUGUUCAAAAUUGACUAAAAUCCUCCACAAAUGGCAACCUUGUAUAGUUAGUGUUUUUACCUUAUACAAUUAGUGUAACACUUUUUUAUAAUGGUAUAAAUUUCAUACAUAUGUAUAAAUUAUGUCCACGCGAGUGUAUAAACUAUGUUUCUAAUGGUUUAACAUUUAAAAUGACUAAAACAAAUAAAAUAUUAUUUUAUUUUAUUUUCAAUGGAAAAUGUUAUUAAAAAUAAGACAAAGAAAUGAUUUAAAAACUAUUAUUUAACUUAAAUUUAUUUAUUUAAUUCGUUCCCAUUCCUUAUUUUCAUAUGCCAAACAUGUUCUUAUUCCAAUCUCAUUACAAUGACAUUAAUACAUAUUAUUCCCUUUCUAUUGCAGACAAUAUGGAAGAAGUUGGAAUUAACUUUCAUUUAUUUACUUAUACCGGCACAGAGUCGAUGAAUACGGAUGCAAUAUUAUCCUUCAUCACUUUCCCAACACGAGUGUAUUCAUCCUUUUCCUUCUAAUUGAUGUCUACCACUUGUGUAAGAUUGAGAACUCCGGUAAGGAUUGGGACCGACAUGGAAGUAGGUAUAAGAAACCCUUGGUUAAUAUCCUUCCAUGGAUUCGCAAUUUGCUUGUUAAACUCAUCAUCAUAAGCCUGUUGUUCUAAGACACUAUAUUACUUCACAUAGCAUUCAAUGGAUGAGGCAACAUGCCCUCUCUCUUCUUUAGAAUUCCUAGCAUACCUUUCCUAUCUUCCCAAGGCCGCACAUAUUUUUUUUUCUCACUUAAAUUUGGAGCACCUUCCUUUCUUCUCACAUAAGCAGUGCACUUUAUUUUUUUUUUUCUUCAAUUGGUGCAUUUUUAUUUAAUUCUCAAGGUGGCCUAUCUUUCUUCACUUAAUGACGUACUUUCUAAAACUUCAUUGCUUCCUAUCUUCUUUUCUUCUUGUUAAAGUGGUGCACCUUUGUUACUUGACACAUCUUUUUACCUUAGGGACUUGGUGCACCCUUGGCUUGUGGGACCAUGAUUAAAUAAAGACUUUUAAUUUUUAUUUGGGAUUUUUUUUCUUCGAUUUGAGAAGUACACAAAAAUUAAAAAGGAAAUUUAGGAUUAGAAUUAGGGUGUAGAUUUUUUUUUCUCCUAUUUAAGGUUUGCAUGAUUUAGAAGGAGCAUAAAGAUUUAAAAUUAGAUUUUCUUUUUGUCCAUUUAAGGUUUCAUUUGGGCACUGCAUAAAGAUUUUGAAAGAAAUGUUAGUAUUUAGAAUUUUUUCCAUUUAGGAUUUGAUUUGGAAAUUUAGGUUUUAAUUUGGGAAAUAGAUUAAGAAGAUUAAAAAAAGAAGAAGAUGAUAUUUUAAUUUUUAUUUAAUAUCUUAAUUUUAAUUAUCUAAAAUUAUUUAAUUAUUCUAAUUAAUGAUAUUUUGAGGUUAAUUGCGAUUAGUAUAUUAAUUAAAAUUAAUUAUAUAUAAAAAUCUUAAAUUAGGAUCAAUGGUAUUUUAGAAAUUUUUAUUAAAUUUAGUUGGUAAUAAUUUGUAGAUUAUUUUGUAGAAAGCUUAAUUAGAAUUAAUUAAAUCUUUAUAUUAAAAAAAAAACUUAAGAAUAAUUAGAUAAUGAGAUAAUAUAUACUAAGAUAAAUAAAAGAUACUUUAGGCAUUUUCUUCGAUUCUUUAACAAUGAUAUCAUUAAUCAACUAACAAUCAAUCCUUAAGGAUAGUCAAUGCUUGAUUGAUGGUCAAGUUAUGUAAUGGUUGAUCAAGGGAGUGUUGGUAUAAUUUCAGAAUCCUGAAGAAUUAAAAUGUAGUUAUCAGAUACCCUUCUUUAAUUGAGAUAAGUUGCUUCAAUGAGUGAUUGUCGAUUGAAAUUUUACUCCUAAAAUAUGUUUGUGGCUUUAGCUUGUCAAAGAAUAUGCUGGGAAUCAGUUAUGCUUGGGUUACGAGUUCCAUAAGCUUACGGCAUUAGAUUUUCAAGAUUGUCUUUCUUUGGAUGAGACCGUUAUAGAGAAGAGGGCCUUGCCAAUCCACUUUCAUUCAAACUGUUUGUCCUUAUUCUCAAUGAAUGAAGCAUUUUAUUUAAAGCAGAACACUCUAAAACUGUGAGAAACUAGCCGCCAAAGCAUUUAUUCCAAUCUUAUUACAAUGCCAUCAAUGCAUAUUAUUCCCUUAAUUUCCAUUGCUGACAUAUGGAAGAAGCUGGAAUUAACUUUCAUUUGCUCAUACUGGCACAGGGUCAAUGAGCAAGGAUGCAAUAUUAUCUUUCAUCACUUUCCCAACAUGAGUGUAUUCAUCAUUUUCCUUGUAAAUGAUGUCUACCACUCGUGUAAGAUUGAGAACUCCGGUAAGGAUUGGGACUGGCAUGGAAGUAGGUCUGAGGAACCCUUGGUUAAUAUCCUUCCAUGCAUUUGCAAUUUGCUUGUUAAACUCGUCAUAAGCCUGUUGCUUUGAGACACUAUAUUGCUUCACGUAGCAUUCAAUUGCUGAGGCAACAUGCCCCCUCUCUUGUUCAAACUGCAUACACAUAUAGUAACGCAAAAGAUGAGGAAAAAAACUACCAUACAAAUUGUCACAAAUGAACUUAUAUGUAAUAUAUUCUACAUGCAUACCUUAUGUGAAGUCAUGUCAUUCAUGAGUCUAGCAAUUAAACAUGAAGCUAUUGUAAAAAGGGUCAUUGUAAACCCAUUCGAAGGCCUCUUUUGUUAUGAUCUCGUCCAUGCCAAUGAAAAAGAUGACUGUGGUCAGGGGGAACGAUGAGCUUACUCUUGCAACUUGCAUGUAUUUGUCUAUGGUAGGUACAUUUCCUUCAUGGAACCAUUGUGCUUCAUCAAAGUAAGCGACAAUCUGAAUUUUCAUCUGACAAAACAUUCCUCCAUAUUACAUACUUCUACUUAUACUUUAAUUUUUAGUAUAAACUUGUGGGAAGGUAAAACUUAAUAUGAUACCUAAACAGAAAUUGAACCCAACACAUUUAAUUUUCUUGGGUUUGGGUUGAGUACAAGCAAGUUUAGGUUAAGUUCAUAUCAAUCUAGCUAUAUAACCCAUUUAAUAAAUAAAUUAUUUUUUUAUCAAUUUGAAUGAUACUAAUCUGAUUUAAAUUGACCUAAUUUAAUAAUUCUAGCUUAUUUAAUCAAUAUUCGAUUCCUAUAAAGCUUGAUUUUGGAUAUACUUUAAUUAAAAUUCAGUCACAAGCCUGUUAGGUUGGGAGAUUAAUAAUAUAAACCAUAUAAAAUCUAAUUCAAUUUUAUUAUUAAAUAACACGUAAUUAUUAAAUAGGUUAUACGUUACAUGUUUAAUAAUUAGGUGAUAUUUUUGAGAAUAUUUUUAACUCAAUUGUUAUCAGUAUUAUAUUUGAGUUGACCUAUUUAUUCGAUCUAUGAUAUGACACAAAAAUUUCAUAUAAACUAAAAGCCCUACAGAAAUUUCAUGAUAAAUCAAAUGAGAGUGAAGAGAGGGUUGUGAAUUGCACUUGGGAUUUCUGCUGAUGAGAGGGAUUUGAUAGAAAAACAGAGCGAAUCGCACCUUGGUAUUGUGCUGGCAGACAGACUCGUUGUAAGCGUGUUGGAGGUUGAAGAUGUAUUGGAGGAAAAAUCACUGGGAAAACAUGGAGAGAUGUUUUUAUAUAUUUAUUUAUUUUUGUUCUCUGAAUAGUAGGAAAAACAAGGGAAACAACUUUUUAUUGUUAUCCGAAAAUGGAGAUUUGAAGGAACCAAGAGAACACCCACUUCCCAAAUGUGUUUUUUGUAUUUUUUUGUUCUCAAAAACAAAAAACAGUUAUCAGAAACACCAACCAAGUAGGCCUUUAUUUUAUUUUAUAUAUGUUUUGAAUAGAUUAACAUUGGUGAAUAAAAUCAAUUGAAAAUAAGAGAUAAGAAAAAAUAAUCUUUUACAUAUUAAAAUUAAUAUAGAAAUUAGGGUGUAAUUAAAAGAAGUUAAUUUGAGAUUAGGUUAUGAUUAUAAAAAGUAGGAAAAAACACUAUUAAACUAAGAUUUUAUUAAUCUCAAUUGUGAUGAUUAUAAAAUAGGGUUUGGAAUUAAUUGUUUUAUUUUAAGUACAAGAUUUUGAGAGGGAUAAUCAAGAAGAUAUAUCAAGGUUGUAAGGAAUCCUAGAUUUCUCUGUUCUUAAAUCCUAAAUCAUAUAGGUGCAUGAAGAUCUACCCUAAGCUUCUCUAAAAACUAUUCUAACGGAAACAACAAUAAUAAAAACCAUUUAGAAUAAUAAACUAAAGAAGAUAGUAGUCAUACUUGGAUCUGGAUGUUCGAAGAUCAGUUUUCUAUCAUGAAGGGGAAGCCUAAAGAGUCUGAAUGUCAUGUCCACCUAAGAUCUUCCGCUGGAUGACUCAAACCACAAUUUUAGCACUCAAAAGUGUGGGCUUUGGAAGGGUGACUACCUUGACUCUCUCUAUCUCUUUAGAAGUGGAAGAUGAUUAUCAAAAGUCUUGGAAAUCCUAACCUUUAAAGGGGUAUUUUUAAGAUUCUCCUAUUGGGUUUAAGUGACUUCAGCUCAUCAAGGCUUAGAUCACUUAGUCUAAUAUAAAUUGAGUUUUAAUUGAUUAAUUAACUACAAAAGGUAAUCUAAUUAAUCAAUUAGUCAAUUCUAAAAACCUUGUUCACUAUCCCUUUUGCAAUCUUGCGUGAUUACCAAGACGCAUUUAAGCACAAUAGUGAACUUAGAGUCAAUCCAAUUCUCAUAAAAUCAUGUUAUCAUGGAAUAUGAGUUUAAAGCAGGGACUACUUGAACCCGGAGGAUUAUUGGCUUCCUUAGAAUCUAAUUUUAAAAUUGAUUUAACACUACGUUAAAGAGAAUCAAUUGCACUCCAAUACCUUAUGUAAAUAACAAUGAGACGAAACUCAGGUUCAUGACCUACUAUCUAUUACAUGUAGACUUCCCAUGAAUUGUUGUCCAUAAUCUGACAAGAUACUACUACCUAUCAAGAUUACAUCUCCAAUCAUUGAGUUACAAAUCUUACUUAGUAUGUGAUCAAUUAACAUAUUCUAGCUCCAAGAAGCAGAUGUUAAAUUCUCACAAAAGGAAAUGCUAUGACCAUAGUUUUCUAGAUCACAUGUUCUUUGGAUCACCUAAGGGGACACACUAUCUCAAUUCUAUAAGAUAUCAAGUAUCUCUAUUGAGAAUCCCUAUUGUCACUAGCCUCCAUCAACAAUGACUUAAUCAAUAGGAAUAUAUGACCACCAUAGGAUCUCACCCAUAGGUCAAAGCCUGUUGUUGACUUUAAAACAAACUCAAUAUUAUUUCAAAGUUGAGAGUCCAUACAGUAUAGUAACUUGGUAAAUCAUGAUAAUUGAUAAACUUACAUCAUAAUUCACUAUAGGUCUUGUCUCGCGUACAUAACAUAUACUAGUGCACUCACCAACUUCCUCACAAUGCAGAGCUUGUGAGAGCUCGAAAAAACUGAGAGCUCAAGAAUUCAAGAGUGUUCCAAAAAAUCCUCUCUCCUACUUUUGUAAUUUUCUCUUUAAAAAAUGUAGUCCUUUGUAUUCAUCACUUUGAGUCAUCCCUCUGCUGUCAACAAGCUUGUAUCAACAACUCUCUGUAAUCAAGGUAUAUUUUCAAUAAAAAAUAUUUUUCAGAUUCAAAUAUCUGUGUUUUUAUGAUUAAAUUUCUACAAUAAAUUAGAAAGAAUUAGAAAGUAAUUAUUUCUGUUUUUAUGCUUGGAGUUCUUUAGAAAAAAUUAAUUAUUGCGUGUAUGAAAUUUCUAGCCCAUUUAUCUAACUUUUUUUAUUUUAAUAUUUUUUUAUUUAAGAUAAAACUAUUAAUUUUUACUUUUAAAUUUUAAUUUAUUUAAUACUAUUUUAAACACAACUUUCUUUCUUUCUUUUUCUUUAAACAGGACUGAACAUCAUACUAAUUUGGUCAAAGAAAUUAAAUAAAGAGUCAAACGUUUACCAUGCAUCAGUAUCCCUCAUCCAAAUGCAUUGCUCAUUGUAGAAUCAGAUGCAUCUAAUUUAGGUUAUGGAGGCAUAUUAAAACAAGAAUAUAACAAUCAAGUGCAUAUAGUUAGAUAUCAUUUAGGGAUCUGGUUGGAUGCUCAAAUAAAUUAUUCAAUUGUCAAAAAAGAAGUUUUAUCUAUAGUUUUGUGUAUUUCAAAAUUUCAAAGUGAUUUGAUAAAUAAAAAAUUUGUUUUGAAAAUUGAUUGUAAAGUUGCAAAAGAUAUUUUAGAAAAAGAUGUUAAAAAUUUAGUUUCAAAACAAAUUUUUGCAAGAUGACAAGCUUUACUUUCAAAUUUUGAUUUUGAAAUUGAAUUUAUCAAAGGAGAGUUGAAUUCCCUUCAUGACUUCCUUACUCGGGAGUUUUUGCAGGGUAAGGAUUCUCCUCCAUCCUAAUAGGUGCUCCCUUUAGGCCUCAACUUCCUUCAUCAUCCAAGAAAACCAAAGCUUCUUAUGCAAUGAUUUCAAAAUUUUCAUAUAUUCAUCCUACUUUUCCAUUACAAACAUCAAAUUCCUUUCAAGUUCUAGGUCCAGAUUUUCCUCAUCUUCAACCUUCAAAAAGUUGUAUUCAAGCUUCUAAAUCAACCCCUAAAAUUUUUUCUAUUUAGAGUCAAUCCAGCCCUAACACUAUUUCAUUAUUACCUUUUCCUUUAUUUUUAUUUUUUUCAUAUAGUCAAUAUGUCAAAAAGCCCAAAACCUUAGAAAUUGCUUUUAUUGAGCCAGAGUUCAAUUAUGAGAAGAUUCCUAAAAUUCUUCCUUAUAUAUUUCCUCAAUGAGUCACCUUGAAUUCCAAUGAUCCUUUGAAAACUAGGCAAUUUUAUGAGUUCAUCCUGGUGGACACGGAUUUAGUUGAAAUUACUCAUAACACUGAUAAAAAUAAUCCUCAGAGGAUUGCUUUUUCCAAAUGUCAAAUUUUCAGAGUCAUGACCAUUGCUAAUUGGAAUCAAAAGCCCUUCACUUGCAAGGCGUUUAGUCAACAUUUCCAUCCCAUGAGCGACAAUUACAUAAAUUAUAUGGAUGCUUGGUACAAUAUGUUUUAUUUGCAAAGCUACCAACAUUCCUGAUUCAUCAAAUUCUCAAGAAAUUGUAAUACCAAAUUUCUUACUUGGUUUCAAAAAUGGUGGACUUUCUUUGGUCUACUAGACUCCAUAUUUCCUUCUGAAAUUCAAGAAAAAUUCAACUUCUACAAGAGCAAGACUUCAUCUCUAUCUAUCACUCAACCAAGACUCUUGAUGUUCUGUUUGAGAUUAAGAAUUCCAUGGAUUCUCUCAUGGAAUAUUAUCAAGAAGCAAGAACAACCUCAUCCUUUUCCAUUAUCUCUCUCUAGAGAAUUCAACAUCAAAUGGUGGGAAAAAUUCAAUCAUGAUUUUGUAUGUCAAUAGAAGACUUUGCAAAUAAUUUUAACAAGGUCAGGAUCAUCAAAUUCAAAAUAUUCAAUAUUGAAGAAGGUAUCAUGAAUGUCGGGCCCCCACCAAAGCCCUAAUUAAUUUCUCAUGAGUUGAUUCCAUAAAUUCCAUGACUUGGAAUUAUGGAGUUUGUUCAUGCUUGAGAAAAUUGAGAAAAAUCAAGAAAAUCGAUUGAAAAUCAAAUAAAAUAGUGAAAAUGCAUGCCGGAAGGAAAAUGACAGCAAGAGUAUGUUAGAAUAUGGAUUUUAUACCUAGAAAGGAUCUAAGAUGAAUUUUUCAAAGCUAGGAAUGUUUAGUUGAACAAUGGUUCAAAAAUUCAAUUUAAAACAAUAAGUUCCCAAUCAAAGAAGCAAAUAGAGGAGAAGGUGUGUAUAGCAAGGUUGCCAUGAAGUGAAGCCGAGAAAUUCUGGAUAGAAGGGACCAAUUCACUGCAAGAGUGUUCAACUGUCAAAUGCUUCAACUUAAAAGACAUCUUGAUUCGUAAGCUCAAUUGGAUUCCCCUCAACAAAAAGUCAAAUACUGGAUUGAAGGUUCAGAAUUUCCAAUUUUCUGCAUUGUUGUAUUUCCUGCAUUUUGAGUUAUUUCCCACCACCGAGACUUGGUUCAGCAGUAUUGUCGGAGUUUGCUUUUUGAUUGUGGGUGGAAAUGGAUCUGGCGAAUCGUGAGUAUCUGACGAGCCAAGCUAUCCGGGUGGAGUGUGAAUCGUUGGCCACAGAUGCUAUCCGGAUAAGCGUUAUCGAAGGAUCCGGACAUGUCUGCCCGGGAAAGUUGAAUCGUCCUCCUCUCUCAUUUGGCGGCGGGCGCUGGGUGUGAAAUAUCCGGAGAAUGUGGAACGUCGGCCGGAUAGAAUUGUGGCUGUGAGAUAUCUGAAGAAAAGUGGCGUCAGCCGGACAGAAUUGCGGCUGUGAGACAUCCGGAGAAAGUGGGAUGUCGGCCGGAUAGAAUUGCUGCUGUGAGACAUCCGGAUAAGGUAAACGUUGGCCGGAUAGAAUUGCUACCCGGAUGGAAUUAGCGAUGAUCCCGUUCGGGUGGAAUGAGCGAUGAUUCCGUCCGGGUGGAAUGAGCUGUGAUUCCCAUCCGGGUGGAAUGAGGGUGGAAUGAGCUGGGAUUCCCGUUCGGGUGGAAUGAGCUGUGAUUCCCAUCCGGGUGGAAUGAGGGUGGAAUGAACUGUGAUUCCCGUUCGGGUGGAAUGAGGGUGGAAUGAGCUGUGAUUCCCAUCCGGGUGGAAUGAGCUAUGCCACACGUCGAAAGGGGGGCGGUCUGCGCGGCCAAGAGAGAGGGAGCCACGUGGCAAUUUUUGGGGAGGAUCCCACAUGUUUAACCCCAAGAAAACCCGUUUUACACAGCCUUAUCAGGUUCCCACCUUUCUCAGAAUGCUCAUGGUCUCCAUAUCUGAGAAUACCAAGGUAAAGAAAGGGAAGAAACGUAGAUACAGAAACACAUAAAAAGACCAAGAAAGAAAAGAAAAGAAAACAGGGGAAAAGAAGAUAGUCGGUGGGUAUUUUGAAGCCAGAUUGGGAUAUAAAUGGGGGCAAGACCCAUAACAUCAAAUUCAAAGGUAAACCUAUAUUCAGAUUGCUUUCACAUGGAACCAAAGACAUUAAAAGGAAUAUUAAAAUAGCAUAAACAUGCAAGCAAACCAGUCUCAACUAAUCAAAUUGUGGCCCUUGCAUCCACACCAAACGACAAGAAUGAAUCUUCAGAAAACUAAGAAGUCAAGAAAGAUUGAAACUAAAUGGUGAUAUAGCAAAAAUCUGGAAACAUACUUGCACGUUCUUCCCUCCAAUUGCUUGGUUCCAGGCUGCUGCACCUUUUCCCGACGGAGAAAUCUGCUCCCCAAUCCUUUUUCUGUCCACCAAUCUUCUCCCUCUCUAUACGUGUUCCAAGUCCCUAUUUUCUAUGCCUCUCUUCCAGACGAUCCUCUCAUGCGUGCUUUUUCUCAUUCUUUUUCUUUUCUCACAUAUAUAUAUAUAUAUAUAUUAGCCUCUCAAACUCAAUUUGAUCAAGAGAAACCACUUUCCUUUCUUCUAUUUCCCUUCCUUUUUUCAAAAAUCAGAAUGUUCCUCUCUUCUCAUGCAGGAUCUUCUCUUUCCAUAUGUAUGCAGCCACAUUAAUUCCUUUUUCCUCACAAAAUAUUUCUCUUACCUUUUUGAGUGCACAUACCUUAGUGAGAGUUGAAUAGCAGCCCCUAUUCUCUUAUCAAACAAUAAAAAAAAUGAAAAUAGAGAGAAUAAAAAAUAAAAAGAGUUAGCAAUCUUGCAACCUAUCAAAGAUUAAAAUAAAAUAAAAAUAAAUAAAGUAAAACAAAAUAAUUGAAUAAAAUAGUCAAUCCUAUGCGGGCCAUGCAAGUUGAUUACUACUCAAAAAGUGCUAUUUCAUAGCUUGUAAUUAACUCUUUUAAACACUUUUGAGUAGUAGUUAUUGCCUUUUAACCCAAUUAACAUGUUAAGGACCCUUGCAAUCAAUUCUAAUCAAAUUGUGUAAGUUUUGGUGUUUUUGUUAGUAAUUUGAUCACCAAAACAAUCCAAGAUUGAGGAGAGUUAUUUAGAAACCAUGGCAAAGCUAUGAAGAGCUCAAAUUCAUGAAGAACCAAGCUUUGGAGCUCCAUAGCCCUUUGCCAAAGUCGUUCAAAGUAUGCAAGGAAAGAGCACUGGAGAGAGGAAAAACAGAGUGAAGAAAACAGAGGAAAGCCAGCUGCAGUCUUAUUUUGCAAUUUUGGAGCACUUUCUGAAGUCCAUUUUCUACAUUCUAUAUACCAUUUCAAAGCUCAGGAAGUCAAGAAUCCAAUGCUUCAAACGGUGCGCGAUUCGGAGUUGAAACGAAGAAGUUACAGCCACUGCAAGUCAAUCACUCUAAAGUGUUGCGGAAUCAGCCUUUUGUUGCGAGAAUUUCGCAGCCUUUUUGUACAGUGUUGUGGAUUUCCUCCUGAAGUUGCCCGAUAUAUGCCGCAAGCUGGAAGCUGAGAACUUCAAGGUGGAAGCCAACUUCGCAGCCCUGUGAGAAUAGCUUUUUGUUGCGAAGUAAUUUGGCAGCCCUUCAUAAGUGUCUGCGAAAUCUCGCAGACACCAUUUUCUCCUGCGAAAUGGUCCUUAGUGCUUCCCGAUAUUUGCCACCGACUCUUUUGGAUAUUUUUCUUCAGAUAUUUUUGUCUAAAUUUCCAUUUUCUCCUUGUAUUCAGCCACUCAUGUAAUUCCUUAGCUAGGAAGUAUCCAAGGAAGGGUAAAUUACCUUCCUAUAUAAACUCUCUUGUAAACACUCUCAGGAGACGCUCGGGGAAGUAUGUAAAAUAUAGAUAUAUCAUAUAUAGAAUCAAGGAACAGAGCACUUGCUCUGUUUUUCAUAUAUAUUCUUGUCUUCUCUUUCAUUUUCAUUUUCUAGCCAACCAAUCUCUGAGGAUUUUUCCUUAGAAGAUGAGAGGCUAGGCUCUUUGUCUCUUGGAGUGAGGAAAGCCGGGUAAGUUUCCACAUGCAUAAAUUGGAAGUUUUGUUGUUUUAGUUUUUAAUGAAGAGAAAGUGUAACCCGUUAGUGAUUUCUAUGUUUUUAGUUAACUUAAAAUGCCUUUAAAUCACCUGGGCCAACACUUGGUAAGGCAAGUGAUCUCCGUCCAUGGAGAUGCACUAGUUUACCCCUUGCGAGCCUUUGGGAGGUGACUUGAAGGUAGGAUUUUCUAGAAUAGCCAACACUUGGUAAGCUUUUGGACUCCAAGGAGACAUCCAUUAGUUAUCUUUUGUGAGCUUUUGAUGGGUAAUCCAAGGUUAAAGAUCACCUUGAAUGGCAAGUGCUAGGUGAGAGGUAUGAGUCAUUGCAAGGUGCAUCAGUGAGAGGGAUUUAGUGUUUGAACCCAUUAAUGGGAAGCAUCUGUACAACACCGGUUGGAGAAGGAACUAUAUGUUAAUUCUCUAAUGCGAGGAAAAGAAACAAGUGACCGGAACUCCCAUUUUGUAUGAGGAACGAGCCUAGUGAUCUGAACUCCAAGAAACACUUUUCUUUGUAAGUAAAAUCAGUUACUAUUUUUGGUUAGUUUAAAUCUAAACCUUUUUCAUUCAAACAUCUUUAUGUUUUCUUUUAAAGCUAACCUUGAAAUGAAAAGACACCAAUUCAGCUUUGAAUUAAUAUCAUUUGCAAAGUGAAAACCCAUCCCAGUGAACGAUCCUAGAGCCACUAUGCUAUAGUAGCUUUGUCUUUGCUACCCUAGUAUAUGGUGUAAUAGGUUAUAAAUUUUGUUGAUUACUCCCUCAAUCAAAGAGCACCAGCUGGACACGAAUCAGCUCAGACACCAAUUGAGCACGAAUCAAAUGGCGCCGUUGCCGGGGAUCGAACCCCGAAUCAAAUGGUGUCAUUGCCACUGCCGCUGCUAGGGACGAAUCACAAGUCAUACAAAAAGUGAGUCUAAAAGUGCUUACUGGGCCAAGUGUGUCUAAAUGGGCCUAGAGCGGUGCCUAAUGGGCUAAGUGUACCUAAAAGCUAUCCUAAAAAUGAACGAAAAAGGCUAAGUAUAAAUUAGGGCUACCAAGAGUCACAAUAAGUGGUCAGAUAAUCCCUCAACCAAAAUCUCCGAGGUGUCUCAGAAAAAGGUAAGUUGUACGAGUAGUAAUAGGCCACCAAGGAACUACUGUGGAGCGCUGAAAAUGAACUUAAAGACAUGUGCUAAAGGGACAAAAUUGAGGGUCUACAUCGAUAUUUUGAAAGAAUUGGUGAUUUUUUUUUUACAAUCUUCCUCCAUUGCUUCGCGCAUCUCUCCACAACGAUAUAUGGAAGAAGUUGGAAUUAGCUUUCGUUUUCUCAUACAAGCACAAGGUCAAUGAGUAAGGAUGCAAUAUUAUCUUUCAUCACUUUCCCAACAUGAGUGUAUUCAUCAUUUUCCUUAUAAAUGAUGUCUACCACUCGUGUAAGAUUGAGAACUCUGAUAAGGAUCAGGAUCGGCAUGGAAGUAGGUACGAGGAACCCUUGGUUAAUUUCAUUCCAUGCAUUCACAAUUUGCUUGUUAAACUCAUCAUAAGCCUGUUGCUUUGAGACACUAUAUUGCUUGACAUAGCAUUCAAUGGUUGAGGCAACAUGCCCUCUCUCUUGUUCAAACUGCACACAUAUAUAUAGUAAUGCAAAAGAUGAAGAAAAAACUACCAUACGAAUUAUCACGAAUGAACUUAUAUGUAAUAUAUUCUACACAUAUACCUUAUGUGUAGUCAUAUCGUUCAUGAGCCUGGCAAUUAAACAUGAUGCUGCCGUAAAAGGGUCUUUGUAAACCCAAUCAAAGGCCUCUUUUGUUAUCAUUUCUCCUAUUUCAAUGAAAGAGAGGGUUGUGGCUAAGGGAAGAGCUGAGCUUACUCGUGCAACUUGUAUGUAAUUCCUCUAUGGAACCAUUGUACUUUGUCAAAGAGCCAACCUGAAUUUUCAACCGACAAACAUUUGUCAAUGUUACAUACUUGUAGAUAUGCUUUAAUUUUUAAUUUUAUGUGAUUCGCCUAUGUAACUCGAGCCCAACACAUUUUGUCAAGAGAUUGGGUUGAGUAUAAGCCUGUUUGAGUUAAAUUUGUAUUGACCAAUGUAAUAUAUUGAAUAAAUAUGUUGUUUUUUUUUAUCAAUUUGCAUGAAUUUGACCUUAAUUGAAGUUUUUAAUAAUUAUGUUGAUUUGUCUUAUUAUCACUUUAAUCUAUUUAACCUAUAUUUGACUUAUUUCAAUUUUGAUUUUGAUAAAUAAGUUAAAUUGAGUUAAGCAUAUUAGGUUGAGAGAUUAACACUUGAUUAUUAGAUGAGUUAAACAAGUCAUAUGAUGUAUUGCAUGUUUAAUACUUAGGUUAUGCUUGGGCUUAUGUUUGAGUUGACCUAUUUAGUCGAAUGUCUGACCCACUACAGAACACCAUCAAAUAAAAAAGGCUCUUACCACUUCUUUUACAUAGUAGAAGCAAUAUGUUUUUCCUUCUUUAUCCAUCUCUUCCCCAAUUUCUUUGUAGACAUCUGAGAGUGCCUGAUAGGUCACUUCCAUGUAUUCUGGCAGUUGAUUGAUGCUUUUGAUAUCCCACCUGAAAAUAAAAGAACAUCCACCUGAGAAUUUUGAUAUCUCCUCGUUCAUUCCUUCCAUGAGCUCUUUGACUAAGGAAGGCUUGAUUACGGUGUGGUUCAAUUUUCUCUUCUUCCUUUGCAGUAGCAAUCAUUUGUUCAUGGUUUUGUAAGGAUGAUAUAAAUUGGUUUAAAGUUGGGUAUGGAAGCUUGGAAAGCAUAGUAGUUUUUCAAAUUAUAAUAUCUAGGUGUAAGGGCUUUAGUUAGUUGGAAGAGUUUAUCAAUUUCAAGAACAAACUAAUUUAUAACAAAUGUUAUCACAAAUAAACUUGAACUUGUGAAUGUAUUCGUCAUGUUUUAACAACAAACCUUUUCUUAAUUGAUAGUGACUAUCCUUUAGAGAACCCCUUCUUUCUCUUUUGUUUCAGGCCGAAGCUGUUCUUCAACUGAGUGCCUGUCCCAUCGUGUAGUGUGUCCUUUGACUGUCAUGCCGAGUACCUCCUUAAUCAUCUUUUGUAUGAGCCAAGACAUCAACAAGCCAUCAUUUUUUAUCCAACUUGUAUAUUUGGGACUGAUAGUUUACCUACCAUCUUCUUCUUCGAUUUGUUGAUUUGGCUUCUCUGCAUCUCCUACGUGGUGUUCUAUACCUAGACUCGUUAUUAGAGAUAGAAUCUGUGAUUUCCAAAGGAUGUAAUUAAAGUUUGACACCUUGAUACAAACAAGGCUUGGAUAUUGAUGGAAAGCUUGGAUUGAUAUUUUUGGCUUCAUAUCUUUCUGCUUUGAUACCAUGAAAAAAUUUGUAGAAAAAUGUAAUUGAAGAAUGAUUCACGAAUAAUAGAAAAACUCGAAAGGAUUCCUUGGUUGAUUUAUUUCAGUUAUGGUAAUAUAUACAAGUAUAUCAAAUAGCCCUUGGAGUUGGUCAACAUCAAUUGGUUGUCUAAGGAAGGCUGCUUAAGAAGGAAUUCUACAUAUUACAUUGAUCGAACAACUAGGGAAGAUUGGUCAAUAAAAAAGAAAAGAAUUCUAGCAAUGCUGACAAUGAUCUUGCUGGCGGUGAUUAAAAGAAACGAAAUUCAAGCAAUUCAACAGUGGUUUUCCAUGAAGUAAUCAGAGGGAAUAAUUUUGGCUUGUUGAAAAUAAUCAACGGAAGCAAUUUUGUCAAUAAUUUUGGCAGUGAUGGCAAUAUUCAACUUUCUACUUGUCAUAAACUUUCAAUGCCACUACAAAACACCAUCAAUGCACUUGAGAAUAGAACACUGCAAAAGCCAAUACAAUCCUAAACUUGUUCAGCAUUAUUAAGGGGUGUUUUGUAUUAAUACAUCCCAUUUGUAAUUACCUUACAACAAACUAAAAAAUCUUACAAUUUUAGAAAUAAUAUUUGCAUCGAUCGGUACCACAAUCUGACCUCAACUUUAUUCCAUUGCACCCAACUAAUUUCUACAUGAAUUUGUUAUGACAAGUAUAUGAUUGAUAAGAAUAGGUGUUUAAGAGAAUGUUUGACAGUGAUUUUAGAAAACAUUUUUAACCUUUCUAACACUUAAACUAUACAAAUUUUAAAGUGUUAAAAAGUUUAAAAACACUUUUUAAAAUCAUUAUCAAACGGAUUUUAAUAUUAUUAUAAGCUAAUUAUUAUUAUUAUUAUUAUUAUUAUUAUUAUUAUUAUUAUUAUAUCAAACAUGUUAAAAUUUUAUUAUAUACCUUAUAAAAAUAAAAGUUAUGAUCUUAUAUAAGGUUGCAAUUUGAAGUUCAAGUUCAUUAUACUAUGCAGACUUAAGUUUUAAGUUAAAAAUAAAAAAUUGUAGAGAAUCAAUUCAAUCAAUUCAUUAUUUUCCAAGCAAGGAUUAAGAUAUUGAAGUAUUGAGAUGGUUAUAUUUUAGAAACAAAAUAAUAAUGCAUUAAUAAUAUAUAUCUAUAUAUAUAUAUAUAAUGAUAUUUGAUAAUAAUUCAUAAAUCUUGAAAGUACAUUUAAUAUUAAAAUAUCAUUCCAAGUAAUUCGGAAGUAUUCAAAGAUGUAAAUUAAAGAAAUAAUAAUAUAGGUAGAAUUAUUUUUUAUUUAAAAGUAUUAAUAAUUUCAUUUACAACUUUAUGUUGUCUAUCAAAAGAAUUAUAAUAAGAAAGCUUUAUAUUUUUAAUAAUAAAUUAAAUUAAGGUGGUGUUUAUUUUUUUAUUUAAAUCUAAAUGAAAAUUAAUUUAACUUAAUAGAAUUAAAUAUUAAAUUAUUUGUUUUUUGUCAUUUUAUUUUUGUUAAGUAUUAAAUAUUAAUAGGGUGAAAGCCUUGUUGAGGUUGUGCAAAAAAAUUAUUUUUAAUAUUAAAAAAAAGUUAAAUAUUUUGGUUUUUGCUAUUCAUAAAUAAUUUUUUAUUUGUAUUCAAAAUAGUUGAUGGAGUUUGAGUUGGAUUCUAAUGAUUACUUGAAAUAAUAAAAUUAAUUUUUAUUAAAAAAAAUAAGAUAUAUAGAUAAUUAUUUUAAUUUAAAUGAAAAAUAUUUUAAAAAAAAGGAAAACAAAAUAAGAAAAAAAGAAGAGAAAAACCUUAUAUAACUCCUUAUUUGAAAAAAAAAGAAGAAAAAAGACAAGUUCAUAAACCAAGAUUGAGUUAAAAGUCAAAUUACCUAUUGAGAAAAUACGGCGAUAAGUCAUACAAAACAACUUUCUAAGCUUAUGUACCUAUAGUCUUUACUAAGCAAAUGAAAUGAAUUAUGACGAUUAAAUAAUUGAUUAUGGAUACUCAAGAAAAGAAAAACACAAUUAUAAAACAAGUCAUGGUGUUUGUUAUGUUACAAAAAUGUAAAAAACAAAUGAUAAGAGAAUUUGCAUAAGUUGAUUUAUGAAACUAAUUAAAAACAUGGGUUUAAUUAUUUCUAAAUUCAAAGGAUUAAAAAAGUUAUUCCAAUUUGAUGAUUUCAAUCGAUUUUAAGUACAAAAGAAAGUUUUGAUUUCAUUUUUUUUUAAGAAAAAAAUGCUUCAAAUUAUUCUAUUUAUAAAGAAAUGGUUUUUAUUUACUUUUUCUUUAAAAAAAUAUAAUUUACACAAAUUCUAUUUACCUUAACAUUCCUUUUUUAUUUUUAUGCAGAAGAGAAUACUUUUAUAAUUUUUGCUACAACAUGAUUUUUAUAAUUUUAUUUUAAAAGAAAGUGUCCAAAUCUAAUCUUAUGUGCAAGAGAAUCUUUUUACAAAUUAUUUAAGAAAAGGAUUUUUAAAAAUUUAUUUACAAUUUUAUUUAAAAAAUAUUUACAAAUUACUUUAAAAAAGAUUUGUACAAAUUUAUUACAAAAAAGAAAUAUAUUCAGAUCCAAUUUUAUUUACAGAAAAAAAAUGAUUUUUUUUUUUUAGUUUUUAUUCAAAAUAAGACUUUUACAAUUUUAUUUAAUUAGUAUGAAAGUCCAAUGUCAUUUUAUUAAUACUAGAAAAAAUUUAUUAUUAUUUUUUAUUAAGACAUGAUUUUUAAAAUGUCAUUUAUAAAAUAAAAUAAAAAGUUUACAAUUUUAUUUACAGAAAAAAAGUUUACAAUUUUAUUUUAAAAAAUAUUUUGCAAUUUUUUUUUAUAAAAAUAAAAAAUGGUUUCAAUGUUUUAUUUAAAACAAAUUGCUUUUUAGAUUUUAUUUUAAAAAAUGCUUUUCACAAGUUAAAAAAAAUUAUAGUUUUAUUUUUUUACAAAAAAUAAUGAAUUUCCAAUUGUAUUUAAAAUUUAUUUAAAAAUGGAUUUUAUAGUUUUAUUUAGAAAAACACUUUAUAAAAAAAAAAGAAGUUCAAAUCUCUCUCUCUCUCUCUCUCUCUCUCUCUCUCUCUCUCUCUCUCUCUCUCUCUCUCCAUACGCUCAUUAAUUUUGAUGUUAAGGUAUCAGCCCAAUUGACAUGAUUUAUAUUGACCUAGUCUUUUGGUCUAAUAGGUAACUUGAUGUAAUAUAGGAGGUCAUGAAGGUGAACUGUGAACCUUACUGAUAUUACGCAAACCCUACCAUUUAUUUAUAAUAUUGUCGUCAUAAUAUUGAAAUAUGGGAAAUUUUAAUAGACCAGACAGACAUCAAUAGACCAAAGCCACCAAGCAGGAAUUGAAGAAACCAGAAAGCGUUUGUUCCAAACAUAGUAUACUGUAGAACAUGAAACAGAAGCUAGAGUAUACUAUCUUUAUUUGUGUCACAUAUAUCUCCACUCUCAUAUUGGCACAGGGUCUAUGAGCAGCAUUGAAAUAUUAUUUUUCGUCACUUCUCCAGGAUGUGUGAAUAUAUCUUUGUGGCUCUUGUACAUCACAUCUCCUGAUCGAGCAAAAUUGAGAAGACGACUAAGGAGAAGCAUUGGAACUGCAGUAGGUCUGAGGCACUCUUCAUUUAUAUCCUUCCAUGCAUUCUCGAUUUGCUUGUGAAACUCAUCAUAUGCUUGCUGCUCCGACACACCAUGUUGCUUCAUGUAAUAUUCGAUGUUUGAUGCAAUAUGCUCUCUCUCUUGCUCAAACUGCAGAAAUAGUAAUAUAAGGUGUUAAAAAGAAAUUGAUAUAUAAUAGAUUUUCUUUAUCUUUAUGGGAUUGAUAUCCAAGUAUCAGUAGGAAGUGUUGUUUCAUUGUACCUUGUGGGAAGCCAUGUCAUCCAUGAGCCUAAUGAUUAUGUAGGUAGCUCUAACAAUCUUAGGGUUUUGUAGCAGCCAAUCAAAGACUUCCUUGGUUGCAGUCUCUCUCAUGCCAAUAAAAGACAGGAUUGUUAACACGGGGCCAGCAAUAGUUACCAUUGCGAUACCAUUUGGCUUGGACCAAUUUAGCUUAGACCAAGCUUUUAAUUUAGGAUAAAAAUUCAGCCAAGUAAAUAUAUCAUGCAAGUGUUAUAUAUAGCAUUUUAUUUACAGUACAAUAUAGGAUAUCAUAAACACAAUAGAGUUCAGCGAAUCCUACUGCAUCUUUUGUAUGGUGGACACAGUAUGAUCUUUCUGUGUUUUCCAUCUCCUCAAUUUCUUUGUAGACAUCUAGGACUGCCUGAUAGCAUGGCUUCAUGUAUUCAGGAAGCUGAUGUAUGCUGUUAAUAUCCCACCUGAAAAUCAAGUACCAAGUUUCCUUUUAAAGUACAAAUAUGAAAUCAAUUCAUUGGUUGUGGGUAAUUUGAAUCUAGCAUAUAUCAAACCUCCCGAUUGCCUCUGUAAAGAGCUCCAGUUCUUCAAAUGUUCCAUAUGCAUCAAUUAUAUCACCCAUAGUUGUUACCAGAGCAACUACUUUGGUCUAUAUUCUUCUAGCAUAUGAAUUCUGGGGCUUAGAACAUGUUGAUGUCCAAAAGUAUGUUUCCACCACUCUUAUCUCUGGAAAAAGGUAGCUUUGAAGAGAAAUCUAGGUCUUUCCACCACCUGAGAAAAUACAUUAAUCCACAUAAAAGGCCUGGUAAACUGUUAAUUUAAAUUUAAGUGCAAGAAUGAUCUGAGAACUAACCUCGAGAUAUUGCUCAGCUCUCUCUUAUGCAGUGACUGCAGUAGGUUGAAGUGUAACUUUGCAAGCUUCAGUCAAGCUUUACUAUGUGAAGCUUCAUCCUGGUAGAUAGACAUGAAAGGCCUUGCCUCUAGUCUCUCCAAACCUUUCCUAAUGGGCCGGUAUAGGGCAUGAGUUACUUGUGCUGCAAGAGAGUAUUCUAAAUGUUCUACCAUAGACUUGAGGUAAGUGGUGGUGAAAGCAAGUGCUUCAUCUAGUAUAUCUUCUUCCCACACCCUGAGAUGUGCAGCUUCAUACAAGCCUAGUAGGCCAUAUGCAUCAUUGAUCAAAGACUCCUUGAACCUUCCCUUUUCAUCUGUGUACCUGUUGAAUAUAUCUGUAAUCAUCACCAAAACAUAGAAUUUUAUAUGUGAGCUUUGCUAGAUGAUAUUCAAGCACCUUAUAAUACAUGAUAUUCAUGAGGCUUACCACAUGAAACAUUGAAGCCUUGUUGUCUUAGUAGUCGAAAUCGAAGUGCAACAUCAUAGAGAUCAUCAUUUAUGUCAUCAAUGCAAUGAUAGUUAUCAUAGGUAUUUUGUAAUGCUUCUUCUAUCUCCUUUUCAAAGUGGUAUGCCACCCCAAGCCGUUGAACUGCAUCAUAGAGAUCAUCAUUUAUGUCAGCUGUUUUGAAGGGUUACUAGCUGCAGCCAUCAGCUCUCUUCUAACUUCCCCUUUUAGAUCUUCCAACUGCUGCUCUUUAUGGGCCAGAGUUAUCUGUAUCAAUAAAUUGCAAGAACAAAAAGUGAGAAAAUCUUUAGGUCUUGUUAUGCAAACUACAUACAUGAUCAGAAAAUCACCUCAUCCUCAGGAGUGUGGCUCACGAUGAAGGUAUUGCCCCAAAUGCUAGGCUGAUAAUUUGCAGUUCGGCGAUUAGUCUCUGGAUUAGCAACUGGGGCUGGAGAAGACCCGUUGCUGGUAGCGAGAAUUAAGGCCAUGUGUAACUCACUCGAGCACUCAAUAUAUGAAUCAGAUGGCUUGCAAUCUUCGGUAUUUAUAGGACGGGAAAUGGUUCAUUACAAUUAUUGAAUAUCAAUCCCAGAUUCCCAGAAGCAUGGAUACUAUUAAUUCAAGGUCACCUAUCAUAUUUAAACCAAGAUUCUUAAAAAUUAAAUAUUUAAAAUAUGGUUUUUGUUCUCUUAGAAAUACGAAGUGUAUCUUAUUCCCUUAAUAAUUCUCAAUAUUCAACCAGCCGCCAAACAGUGAUUAAGACUUUCUCACGCGAAGAUCAAACUUAUGAUUGAUCUUUUAUUGUCCAAUAAUAUCCUAAUAAUAAAAUAAUUUUGAUAUGACUAGGAAACUAAGUUCUUUUAUAUAAAAACCAAAAAUUAUUUUGGUACGAAGCCAUGAGAAACUAGCAGCCAAAUUAAAGCAAUUAGGCCAUGUUUGGUAUGAAGCCAAAGCAAUUAGGCCAUGUUUGGCACGAAGCCAAAACAUGACUAUAUUUGGUACGCAAAAAUGAAGAGUGAGAAUAGAUAUUUUAUCCAUUUUCUUAUUCAUUUUCAUAUUUGAAUGAUUUAAGUGUAGUAAGAAUAAAAUCAAGAAUAAUUUCAUAAAAAAUAAAAUCCCAAUUAUAAGUGGGAUUAUGAUUUAAAAGUUAAAAAUCAAAAACUUAUUUUGGAUAAGUUGUUUUAAAAAUAAUUUUUUAUUUUGAUUUUGUAAAAAAGAAAUUAUAAAUUCAAUUUAUAUAAUAUAAAAUAAAUUUAAUUCAAGUCUUAUAAAAAAAUAAAAAUAAUUUUGUUAAUUAUAAAUAAAUUUUAAAAAUAAAUAAUUUUUAAUAAAACAUGAAUAGGAUUUUAGGGAAAAAAAAAGUUAUCAAUUUCACUUUCAUAUUCAUGCAAUUCCAAAGUUUCGACAUUGAACUAGAAAUUUCUCUAUUCUUACAUGUAAAAAGGCAAAAAAGAAAAACCCUUAAUUAGUAAAAUGAUAAGUUAGUUGAAUUAUUUAAUUAUCCUAUAAAUGCAUCUAAUUUUUUACACAAUUAGUGGACCUAAGUAAAUUGUGUCAUACUUAAACGAACUUGAACUUCCAAUUUCAACCUAAUAAAAGAUCAUAACUUAUAAUUUUAUGAAGUAUAUAAUAAACAAGAAAGAAAAGAUGAAAAGGAAAAAACUAAAAUUAAUAGCUAAUAAUAAUAAUUAAAUAGUAAUAAUAAUAAUAAUUUUCAUAAUAAUGAAUUAAAUAAUAAUAACGCUAGCAACAACAAUAACAUUAAUAAUUCUCUAUAGAGUUAAAUAUUUAAUUAACUUUAAACACACUAGUUAGUGUCCAUUAUAAAGUGAAAAGAAAAUAUUUGGUGAGUAUUGUAGUACUCCAAAACACCAUUACACAUUAACAAGGAGAUCCAGAUUUGUUGUAGGCAUAUAUUCUACAUAUGUAUUUUAAGACUCAGUAUCAAUACUCCUCAUAUUGAAUGACAAUAAUAAAUAUGUAUUAAAGAAUAUAAUAUAAUAAAGUUUAUUAUAUAUAUAUAUAUAUAUAGAUAUAUAUUAGGUGAUUUAAGUAAUACAUAUUCUUAUUUAAAUAUUCAGGUAAUAUUCCAAAGUAAAACACUAUGAACCCAGAGAAACUAGGUGCUUCAUAUAAUGUGUCCCCUUGCCGUAUUACAAUGAUUUAUUUCAUAUUUCUACUCCUUCACCUUAUUAUAGUGAUUUAUUAGAUAUUACUGCUUCCACAAGGCAAUACACGGGAUGGUAAUCAACUACUACAUUUGGUUAUAUUACAGCGUUGAUGAAGACAGACGCAAUGUUAUCCCUCAUCACUUUCCCAACAUGUGUGUACGAAUCUUGCUCUUUGUAAAUGACAUCCAUGGUUCGUGUAAGAUUGAGAAGACGAGCAAGGAGAGGCAUUGAAACAGCAGUAGGUUUGAGGCAUUCCUGGUUAAUAUCCAGCCAUGCAUUCUCAAUUUGCUUUCGAAAUUCACUGUAUACUUGUUCCUCAGAGACACCAUAUUGCUUCAUGUAACAUUCAACAGCUGAGGCCACAUGCCCUCUCUUUUGCUCAAACUGCAUGUAUAAUACAAAAGUUGAGAAAAAACCAGUGUGUUAUAUUCUCCCCAUUUGAAUCAUAUAUUCUUCAUACCUUAUGUGAUUUGAUGUCAUCCAUGAGCCUCGUAAUGAAAUUUGAAGAUGACAUAAUCUUAGGAUCGCUGGUCACCCAAUCAAAGGCCUCCUUUGUUGCUAUUUCUCCCAUUCCCACAAAGGACGUGGUUGCAAGCAGGCAGUAUCCAGAGCUUGCUAGUGCAACACGCAUGUACUCUUCAAAUGCUGGUACGUGUUCUUCAUGUAACCAUUUGGCCUCGGCAAAGUAAGCUCGAACUUGAUUCUUCAUCUAAAGAACAUUCAUCCAAGUUAUAUCUAUGUAUAUAUGAGACCAUAUAAAAUAUCAUCAAUGAAAAAGGUGGGGAUCCAGAGUAAAAGAUGUCCUACUACUUCUUUGGCAUAGUGAACCCGAUAUUGGUUUCCUUCUUUCUCCAUCUCUUCCUCGAUUUCUUUGUACACAUCUAAGAGUGCCACAUAGCAGAGUUUCAUGUAUUCUGGAAGCUGAUUUAUGCUGUUAAUAUCCCAUCUGAAAAUAAAAUAAUGACCCUUGAUUUACGUAUAUAUAAAUACAUCUAUUAUACACAAUCAAGGUUGGUAAUGUGCAAGGAGCAAACCUCUCAAUGGCUUCUAUGAAGAGCUUGAGUUCUUCAGGUGUGCCAUAUGCAUCAUGGAUAUCAUCUAGAAUGGAUGUCAUGGCAAUUACUUUGGUUAGAAUUCGUCUACCCCGUAAGUAUUGGGGCUCAAAAUACACCCCAUGCAUCCAAAAGUAGCCUUCAACCAAUCUGUCUCGUGCAAAAGGUAACUUUGUAGCAAAGUCUAAUUCUUUCCACCACCUAAAAGACAUUAAUAUGAUCAGCAUACAGGAAAGUGAUAAGAAUGGCCAAGUACAUGUGGGGUGAUCUAAACACCAACCUUGCAAGAUUGCUUAGCUCUUCCUUGUGCAGUGACUGCACUAGAUUGAAAUCUAAUUUUCCUAGCUCUAGUAAAGUUUUAUCAUGGAAAGCUUCAUCUUGGUAGACAGAUAUAUACCAUCUUGCCUCUAGCCUCUCCAAACCUUUUCUAAUGGGCCGGUUCAGGGCAUGAGCAACUUGUUCUGCAAGAUGAUAUCCUAAACUUUCUACCAUGGCCUUGAGAUGAGUGGUGGUGAAAGCAAGUGCUUUUGCAAGUAUGUCCUCUCCAUGAACCCUCAGAUGUGCAGCUUCAUACAAGCCUAGCAUGCCUCUUACAUCGCUGAUCAAAGCUUCCUUGAAUCUACCUCGUUCAUCCGUAAACUUGUUGAAUAUAUCUACACAAACAUCACCACUUGAAAAUAAGACUUAAAUGAUAAGCGAUGAACCUGUGUACCUGUGGAAUAUAUCUGUAAUCAUCACCAAAACAAUGUUAUAUGUGAGCUUUGCUAGAUGAUAUUCAAGCACCUUAUAAUUCAUGAGGCUUACCACAUGAAAUAUUGAAGCCUUGUUGUCUUAGUCGAAAUCGAAGUGCAACAUCAUAGAGAUCAUCAUUUAUGUCAUCAAUGCAAUGAUAGUUAUCAUAGGUAUUUUGUAAUGCUUCUUCUAUCUCCUUUUCAAAGUGGUAUGCCACCCCAAGCCGUUGAACUGCAUCGAUAAACUUCAGCUGUUCUAAAGGGUGACUAGCUGCAGCUAUCAGCUCUCUUAUAACUACCUCCUUUAGAUCUUCCAACUGCUGCUCUUUAUGGGCCAGAGUUAUCUGUAUCAAUAAAUUGCAAGAACAAAAAGUGAGAAAAUCUUUAGGUCUUGUUAUGCAAACUACAUACAUGAUCAGAAAAUUACCUCAUCCUCAGGUGUGUUGCUCACGAUGAAGCUAUUGCCCCAAAUGCUAGGCUGAUAAUUUGCAGUUCGGCGAUUAGUCCCUGGAUUAGCAACUGGGGCUGAAGAAGACCCAUUGCUGGUAGCGAGAAUUAAGACCAUGUGUAACUCACUCGAGCACUCAAUAUAUGAAUCAGAUAGCUUGCAAUGUUCGGUAUUUAUAGGAUGGGAAAUGGUUCAUUACAAUUAUUGAAUAUCAAUCCCAGAUUCCCAGUAGCAUGGAUACAAUUAAUUCAAGAUCACCUAUCAUAUUUAAACCACGUUUAUUAAAAAUUAAAUAUUUAAAAUAUGUUUUUUGUUCUCUUAGAAAUACGAAAAGUGUAUCUUAUUCCCUCAAUAAUUCUCAAUAUUCAACCAGCCACCAAACAGUGAUUAAGACUUUUUCACGUGAAGAUAAAACUUAUGAUUGAUAUUAUUUUUAUAAAAACACUAAAAAACUAUUUUUUGCUUUUUAACUUUUUGGCAAAUAAAUGAAGAAGAAUACAAAAAAAAAUUGAAAAAAAAGUAAAUAAAUAAAGAAGAUGAUAUUUUAAUUUUUAUUUAAUAUCUUAAUUUUUAUUAUCUAAAAUUAUUUAAUUAUUAUAAUUAAUGAUAUUUUGAGUUUAAUUAUGAUUAAAUAUAUAAUUAAAUUAACUAUAUAUAAAAGUCUUAAAUUGAGAUAAGUUGAUAAAUGAUUGAUUGUGGAUUGAAAUUUUACUCCUAAAAUAUGCAUGUGGCUUUCGGUUGUCAAGGCAUAUGUUGGGAAGCAGUUAUGCUUGGUUACGAGUUAUAUAAGCUUACGGCUUUAGAUUUGCAUGAUUAUCUUUCUUUGAAUGAGACAGUUACGAAGAAGGGGGCUUGCCAUUCCACUUUUAUUCAAACUGUUUGUCCUUAUUCUCAACAAAGGAAGCAUUUUAUUCAAAACAGAACACUCUAAAAGUUUGAAAAUCUAGCAGCCAAAUUAAAGCAAUUAGGCCAUGUUUGGUACGAAGCCAAAGUAAUUAGGCCAUGUUUGGCAUGAAGCCAAAUCACGACCAUGUUUGGUACAUAGAAAUGAAGAGUGGAAAUAGAUAUUUUAUUCAUUUUCUCAUUCAUUUUUAUAUUUGGAUGAUUUAAGUAUGAUAAGAAUAAAAUCAAAAAUAAUUUCAAAAGAAAUGAAAUCCUACUUAUAAGUGGGAUUAUAAUUCAUCUCUAGAAGGAGUUAUUUUACUUCAUUAUUACAAGUUAAAAUUAUAAAUAAAUUAUAAAAAUAAAUAUUUUUUAAUAAAAUAUGAAUAGGAAUAUCAUAAUAUAAUCAUAAAUUUUAUUUUUAAUAAAUAUUAUAAAAAUAUGGAUAUUAACAUCUUAUAAAAGCAUAAUUGAUUUAUUUUGUUAAAAAUAAAUAAUAAUAAUUUAAAAUUUAUAAUUACUUAUACUAUUUUUUUAAAUUAUUAUACUUACUACUUUGUUUUAAAAAAUUAUUUCGAGAACAAUAACUGGCAGUGGUAUUAAUUUUUAAAAACAAUUUUAUUUUUAAAAGAAAAGCCUAAAUAGGUUUUUAUUAUUUAGCAAAAAAAAAAAACCUCUCAAAUAUUUUCUUUUUUAAAUGAAAAUAAAAAAAUUAAUUUAAAUGAUGUAUUCUGUAAGAGUUUUUUUUUUUUUUUUUUGAAAUAAAAAUAAAAGAUUAAAGACACUAUAAAUUAUGAUUAAAAUAAUGAAAAUUAAUAAAAAGAUAUUGGCUUUUUUCUUAAAUACGAAAUAUUAAAAAAAAAAAGAUAAAUAAAUAAUAUAACUAUGUAUUUUUUUUUUUCUUACAAGAAUUUUCAUAGCUUUAAAAAUAGUAACCUUUUAAUUUUUUUGCUCUUAUUUAUUAUUAACCGAGUUGUAUAAAUUGCAUUAUAAUAGUUUCCUUUAAAACCAAAAUAAAAAUCAAAACAUGUGCUUCAUGACACUAUUGGAUGAAAAAGAAUCACUUAAUUUUCAUCUACUAGAUCCCAGCUGCCACCUAAUAUUAAUGACUUGUUUGGAUAUGUUGAGUUAAUUUAACCAAAGAGACUCUAGAAGGCUAAUAUUUUUCUUGCCAUCAGUCUCUUCCGUGCACAACCCUUUCAAAUCAUGGGCCCCAAAACUAAACCAAAUUCCACAUACUUUUCAACUAAAUACAACCAAUGAAUGCCAGUGCUGCCCUAUAAAUAAUAUGGAGCUUGCCAAGCUAUUUCUCUCAUACUUACCAAUUCAUCAUUCAAGGUAUAAUACUGUUCUAUCAUUGUUCCAAGGAAUUAACAUGUCUACUCAAGUCUCAGCAUCUUCUCUAAAAACAAAUGUUGUGUGCUACAUUUCUACACUGACUUUUAUGUUUUAUGAUAGCGCUUGAAGAGCAGUUCAGGUACGCACCCUAACUCUCCUUUAUUGCAAUUUGAUCGUGUUUGGCAUGCCACUUUUUAAAAUCAUCUAGCCUAUUUAGGUAUCUAUAAUUAGCUGAUUAAUUGCCACACUUCCCUUAACUUUGUCAGUAGAGACCUUUAUAGGGCUUAGAGGGGUGCUACCUUUUAAAGGUACCUUCCCAAUAGGUAACCUGAUCCUCGGAUUUAGACUCGGGUUUUUCAAAGAUACGCUUUUCUAAAAUUUAUGGAGUCAUUUCUUAGGGUUUUAUUUCUUGUUUUAUUUUCCCUUUAAAAUAAAAAUAAAAUAAGUGGUGACUCCAACUUUUUUUCCAAAAAUCAAUUUUUCACCAAUAAAAAGCAAGUCUCACCGAUCGAGUGGGGGCGCACAUGAAAAAUGCGGGUCCACAAUCGACAAUAAAUCGACGAUUUUUUGGGCAAUUUUUUGAAAUUUCUUCCUACUGCAUCCAACGGUCAGAUUUGAAUUUUUGACGAUUCGAUGGCCCAGAUUUCACCUGUGUUUUUUAUAAAGGCAUCCAAUAGUCAGAAAUUGGUUUUCAACAAGAGUUUUAAAUUGGAAAAAAGUGGAGUAAACCUGAUCCUUAGUGAGGAGCAAAUAGAACCAUACAAACCUAGAGUAAUCAUCCAUGAGCAACAGAAAAUACCGGGCACCUGUGGAAGAAGGAACAGGUGCUGGUCCCCACAAGUCUGCAUGGAUGAGUUCAAGAGGAGAGGAGGCCCGGGAAAUGGACAAAGAAAAAGGAACUUUGUGACUUUUGGCACAACAACAAGCAUUGUAAACAUCAACUGUUUUAUUUGAGUUAUGUGAAAUAUUACAUGUAUGAAAAAUUUUCUGAAGAAUUACAGCAGAAGGGUGGCCAAAUUGUUGAUGCCACAGCAUAGUAGUGGGUUGAGUUUUUGUGAGAAAUACUUGAUGUUUAAGACUGGCAGUAGGUGAACUGAUAGAUGAGGUAGGAAACUUGUAGAGUCCACGUUCAAGUUGGCCUUGGAGGAGAGUCACUUUGGUGUCCUUAUCCUUGACAAAAAAUGAAGAAGGAUGAAAUUCCAUAAUGGUAUUAUUGUCAGUACAAAAUUUUGACACACUGAUGAGAUUUGAAGUGAGUUGUGGAACAUAGAGCACAUUGUGUAAGACAAAGGGUUUGGCAGAAGUGUGGAGAAAGGAAUGACCAACUUGGGUUAUGGGUAGAGACUUACCAUUGUCAACCAUCACAGAGUCAGUACCAUUGUAGGGAGUACCAUUGUGGAUAUUAGCAGCCGUGUGGGAGAGAUGGUGGGUGGCGCUUGAAUCCAAAAACCAAGAGUCCAUUAAUGUUGGGGAAGGUGCUGCCAUCAUAGCUUGAGCAAGAGGAAUGGGACCAAUUUGAGAGGUUGAUGAGGCUGGUGCACGUGGCCCUUGAUAAUUCACAUCAAAUCUGUGAUAACAAGAGAGGACCAUGUGCCCAAACUUGCCACAUAACUGACACUGCGGUCGGUUAUUUGUCCGGGAUCGAUUAUUGUUGAAUCGGUUAGGGCGAUAUCCUUGAGGAUAUUGCUGCCGUGAAUCCAGAAGAGUGUCAGGUCGUAUGGUUGGCAUGAACGACUGAGGUGGUUUCCCUUGAGAGGGUUUUUUGGACUGUGACCUUCGUGGUCUAUUAUGAGUUGCAAAGUUGGCAAUGAGGAGGUCUUCUUCAGUAGGCGUGGUUUGAAGAGGCAGCCUCUGUUCAUGAGUCAAAAGGAUGCUAUGUACUGCAUGAAGCUGAAUGUCAUCAUCUCUAGUAGUGAGAGAAGCUAUGAUGGGGUUGUAUUCAGCCCCUAAUCCACUCAGUAAUUGAAGGAUUUGAUCCUUUUCUGGCACUGGUUCUCCAAUAGCUGCCAGACUAUCAGAGAUGUGUUUGAGUUUUUGGAUGUAUUCCAUCAUGGUGAGAGAGCCUUUUUUGUUUGUUUGAAAAGCAAGUCUCAACUGCAUUGUUCUUGCUUUGGUGGAAGCAGAAAAGCUUCGUUGGAGGGCUGUCCAUGCUUCAUGGGAUGUUUGUAGCCCAACAAUUUGACCCAUAACAUCUGGGGUGAGAGAGGAGUAGAUCCAACUCAGGAUCAUACGGUCAUAUCUCCUCCAAACCAGAAAAUCUGGGUUCACUUCACCGGUGGAUAUUGUUUUUGGAGGACAUGGUCUCAGACCUUCAAUAUGGUCCUCAAAUCCAUUGGCAUAUAUCACAUUUUCCAUUUGUGUAUGCCAAAGGAUAUGAUUAUCUCUAUCUAGUUUGAUAGGAAGAGGAUGAUUCAGCAUGCUCAUGUUCAGGGUAGGGAUUACCUGAGAAGAGACAAUCUCCAGCGUGGUCUGUGUUGAUGAAGCCAUCGGAGUAGGUACAGUAUGUUCUUGAAGUGAGUAAGCAAAGAUCAAAAGAAAGUUGCAGCAGAAAAUGUUGCUGGAGAUUUCUUAAUUGUCUUGCUGGGAGAGAAAUCAGAAAAAAAAAUUCAGGAGCCUAUGGCUCUGAUACCAUGAAAGUGCUCAGGCACGGAUUUAGCAAGAAUAAGGAGUUUAUUCUAUUCACAACAUGAUUGUACAGUAUAUCAAUAGCUAUAUAUAUAUAUAUAUAUUACAGCAUCUAACUAAUCUAACCAUCUAACUAAUCUAACCACUUUCUAACUCGGCAUAACAGCAUCUGUUAGAGAAGACUCAGCAUAACAGCAUCUGUUAGGGAGGAGAAGAAUUAGCUACUAACAUGGGUGUUUGUCUAUCAAUACUUGAAAAAGCACUUGCUUUCACCACCACUCAUCUCGAGGCCAUGGUAGAAAGUUUAGGAUAUCAUCUUGCAGAACAAGUUGCUCAUGCCCUGAACCAACCCAUUAGAAAAGGUUUGGAGAGGCUAGAGGCAAGAUGGUAUAUAUCUGUCUACCAAGAUGAAGCUUUCCAUGAUAAAACUUUACUGGAGCUAGCAAAAUUAGAUUUCAAUCUAGUGCAGCCACUGCACAAGGAAGAGCUAAGCAAUCUUGCAAGGUUGGUUUUUAGAUCAUAUUAAUGUCUUUUAGGUGGUGGAAAGAAUUAGACUUUGCUACAAAGUUACCUUUUGCAUGAGACAGAUUGGUUGAAUGCUACUUUUGGAUACUUGGGGUGUAUUGUGAGCCUCAAUACUUACGGGGUAGAUGAAUUCUAACCAAAGUAAUUGCCAUGACAUCCAUUCUAGAUGAUAUCCAUGAUGCAUAUGGAACACCUGAAGAACUCAAGCUCUUCAUAGAAGCCAUUGAGAGGUUUGCUCCUUGCACAUUACCAACCUUGAUUGUGUAUAAUAGAUGUAUUUAUAUAUACGUAAAUCAAGGGUCAUUAUUUUAUUUUCAAGUGGGAUAUUAACAACAUAGAUCAGCUUCCAGAAUACAUGAAACUCUGCUAUGCGGCACUCUUAGAUGUGUACAAAGAAAUCGAGGAAGAGAUGGAGAAAGAAGGAAACCAAUAUGGGGUUCACCAUGCCAAAGAAGUAGUAGGACAUCUUAACUCUGGAUCCCCACCUUUUUCAUUGGUGAUAUUUUAUAUGGUCUCAUAUAUACAUAGAUAUAACUUGGAUGAAUGUUCUUUAGAUGAAGAAUCAAGUUCGAGCUUAUUUUGCUGAUGCCAAAUACACAAGUACUUGGAUAUGGAGUACAAAGAUAUGGAAGCUUAUGUUAAUAUUCAAAGAGAAAAGUGGAAGACUUAUGGAUGCACAAUUAUGUGUGAUGGAUGGACUAGGCCCACAAAAUUAAGCAUAAUUAAUUUCAUGGUAUAUUCGAAAGGUAGGACAAUCUUUCUCAAAUUUGUCGAUGCAUCAAAUUAUAUAAAAGACAACAAAUACAUAUAUGGUUUGUUGAAGGAUGUGAUCAAGGAAGUUGGCAAACAAAAUGUGGUACAAAUAGUUACGAAUAAUGGUUCGGCAUUUGUGAAAGUAGGAAGCUGUUAAUGAAGAAAUAUAAUUUAUAUUGGACUCCAUGUGCAGCAUAUUGCAUUGACUUAAUGUUUGAAGACAUCAAUAAAAGGUCGAGUAUUGCAAAUGUGAUUACAAAGGCUCAAAAGAUAACCAACUUCAUCUAUAACCAUAGUUGGUUGUUUGCGUAGAUGUAGAAGGUGUGAUGGAGACAUGGUUCGCCCUAGAACAAUAAGAUUUUCAACCAAUUAUAUUGCCCUUGAGAGUCUUUUGAAAAAAAAUGUGGACUUGAAGAACGUGUUUAUCAAUGAUGAAAGAGCACAACACAAGUUAAGUCGACAAAGAGGUUGAAAAACUUAUGUUUGACCUUGCAUACUGGGAGAGAAUGGGAAAGCUAGUGUCAAUUUAUAAAGCACUAUACACGAUUCUUCACAUUGUCGAUUUAGAAGUUGUUCCUACAAUGCCAUUUAUGUAUAAAUUGAUUCGAUUUAUGAAAGAAAACCUCAUUCGGUUUAAUGUUAGAGAAUGGGUGUUAGAAAUAAUUGCAGAUUGUUGGGAUAGAACUCUUAAACAUCCUCUUCAUGCAAUAGGUAACUAAGUAUUAUCCAUCUUUAAAAGUUAUCGGUAUUUAAUAUGUUUCUUUCGUAACAUUCUAAUUCUACAUUUUUACUUUACUAUUGUAGCAUUAUUUCUUAAUCCAAGGUUUCAAUAUAAACGUGGAGUUGGUACUAAUCUUCAUCUACUUCAAAUUGUUCAUGAAAUCUUUGUGAAAUUAGAUCCUACAGUAGAAGGUCUUAGUCAAUUUGGAAAUGAGAUAAAUUAUUAGAGUUAUAAUAUAAAUUAAAUAAUUGAAUUUCAUUUACUCAAUUUUUUACUUUCAAUUAUUUAAUAUGUAGCUUAUACUAUUUCGAGAUCCAAAGAGAGGAUUCGGUGAUCGAGCAGCGAUUCCUUCGAGGUCAGAAAUGGUUUUCAAUGAGUAUUAUUUGUGAAUUAAAAUACAUUUCAUUAGCAUAUUAUUGUAGAUUUCCAAUAUAAAUAUUGAUAUCAUUUAUUUGGUUGUAGUUGAAUAAUGGUUCAUGUAUGGAAACUAGACUCCUACAUUAAGAAGGUUGGCCAUCAAGGUUUUAUCACAAACUGUGUCAUUUUCAGCUUAUGAGAGAAGUUGAAGCAUGUUUGCUUUAAUUCAUACAAAGCAAAGAAAUUGGCUUUCUUACCCAAGGCUCUAACAAUUAGUUUUAUGUUAUUAUAACAUGAAACUAAAGAUCCGUGAUAUGGAGGUAGAGAAUGACAAAGUUGUGGAGAAAGAUUACAUCGAUUUACUUGACAUUUCAACCGAGGUAGGUCAAGAAAAAGAUAACCAAUUAUUUCAAUGAGUUAGACCUCUUCGUUUAGAUGAUGAAGAUGGAAAUCCAGACUCACGAAUUGUCACACAUGUUCGAGAAACAGGUGUUGAUGUUGAAUGAGUGUUAUCUAAAGAAGUUCAUACUAAUAGUUUCAACCAAGACACGAGAGAUUCAUUUCAACAAGGAACUUCUUAGCUGACAAUCACUUAUUGACCUUCUUUUGACUCCACGAGUGUUGAACAUAGUAGCAGACCUAAUGUUGUUGGUACUUUUGCUUUCAGUUAUGAUGGUUCAAGAUGAGAGGGGACCAAUGAUGGUAGCGACCUUGGAAAUGAUGGAGGGGAUGUUAGACAACAACAACAAAGUGGACAACCAUUGACAUUUACUUGUGAAGAUGAUUUCACACAUUAUACUCAAGAUGAAGACCACAACUCUAGAAGAGUUGGUCCGGGUGUUGGAGCCAUUGGAAAGCCAUAUAGAGGAAGAUAACGAAGGAUGACACCAUACAAUGAGGACUCAUUGUCGGCCAAUUUUAAGUUAAUGAGUAUAGAGACUCAAUUCAGUGACUCGUCAAAUGAAGCCAACAUUUAUGCCCUUUUUGUAAUGAGUUAUGGUCAGCCUCUUCCAAAUCUUUCAAGUUCCAUUAAUAAAGAGUACGAAAGGUAUAACUAUCCUAUUUCCACACAAAUGUCGUACUACUUUCCAUAUCAGAUGCAACAAUAAGGAUUUCAAACGAACACAUGGGAAAACCCUAGAUUUCCCAUCCAUAGAGAGGUUGUGGGUAGGACUCAAGAAAUUUAUGCAUGGCAUGUUCGUACUUACAAUCAAUACUAUCAAAACUCCAUGUCCUAGUAUGAAUAUUGUCUUCAACAAGAUAGGCACCCUUCAUCUAACAAUAUGAUGGAACCACAUUGAUAUUCAUUUUGGUAUUAAGGAUUAUUGCAAUGUCAUAUGUAUUAUGUUUAUGUAUAAAUUGUUUUCAUUUAAUAAAAUCACAUAUUUCUUAACUCAAUUCUAACUUUCUAAGUGUACAAUUCCAAAAUUCAUAUUUUCUAUUCUUAAUAUCCAAGUAUCGAAUCUACUGAUAUAUCUCUGUUUAUCGAUAUUUUUCUCCUUAACCAUAUUCAUGCCAAUUACACUUACAAAAUAACUUUAACAUGUGUAUUCUUGCUUAUUUUACAUUUUUUGGAGUUUUCCAAACAUUCCCAUCAAUUUUGAAUAAUUUUCGUCUUACUGAUAUUUGUGUAAAAAUAUUCACUGAUAUUUCUCUAGUAUUUCUUAUAUAUCUAUAAAAUCUAUCCUGGUACAUCUUCCUCAUUAUCUAAUUAUUUUUAACUAAUUUUUUCUUAAUGUAAAGAUUUAAUUAAUUCUAAUUAAACUUUCUACAAAAUAUCUACUACUAAUUAUCAUCAAACUAAUUAAUUUUAGUUAAUUUUAAUUAAUAUACUAAUCACAAUUAACCUCAAAAUAUCAUUAAUUAGAAUAAUUAAAUCAUUUUAGAUAAUUAAAAUCAAGAUAUUAAAUAAAAAAUAAAAUAUCAUCUUCUUCUUUUUUUAAUCUUCUUCAUCUAUUUCCCAAAUUAAAACCUAAAUUUCCAAAUCAAAUCCUAAAUGGAAAAAAUUCUAAAUACUAAAAUUUCUUUCAAAUCUUUAUGCAGUUCCCAAAUGAAACCUUAAAUGGACAAAAAGAAAAUCUAAUUUUAAAUCUCUAUGCUCCUCCUAAAUCAUGCAAACCUUAAAUAGGAGAAAAAAAAAAUCUACACCCUAAUUCUAAUCCUAAAUUUCCUUUUUAAUUUUUGUGUACUUCUCAAAUCAAAGAAAAAUAUUAUGAAGCCUAAAUAAAUAAAGUGCACUGCUUAUGUGAGAAGAAAGCAAGGUGCUCCAAAUUUAAGUGAGAAAAAAAAACAAGUACGGCCUUGGGAAGAUAGGAAAGGUAUGCUAAGAAUUCUAAAGAAGAUAGAGGGCAUGUUGCCUCAUCCAUUGAAUGCUAUGUGAAGUAAUAUAGUGUCUUAGAACAACAGGCUUAUGAUGAGUUUAACAAGCAAAUUGCGAAUCCAUGGAAGGAUAUUGCAUCCUUAUUCAUUGACUAUGUGCCGGUAUGAGCAAAUAAAUGAAAGUUAAUUCCAGCUUCUUCCAUAUUGUCCCCAAUAGAAAGGGAAUAAUAUGUAUUAACGUCAUUGUAAUAAGAUUGGAAUAAGAACAUGUUUGGCAUUUGAAAAUAAGGAAUGGGAAUGAAAUUUUUUUUUCCAUUCCUAUUUCUUCUUAAAUAAGAAUAAAUUUGAUAAUUUCAAUUAUUGUAUUUGGAUACAGAAAGCAAUGUAAGGUUUGUAAAGUUUGAAUUAUUAUUUGUUUUUAUUUCAAUGUUAAAGUAAAAACGGGAAUGAUAACAAAAUAAAUAAAUAAAUAAAUUGGCAAUAAUAUUCAUACAUAUAAUUUAAAAUAAUCUUUUAUUUUUAAUUCAAAAAAAAAAAAUCUCUUACACAAUACAUCAUUUUUAUAGUUUUUUUUAUUUUCAUUUAAAAAAGGAAAAUGUUAAAUUUUUCAAAAGUUUCAUGGAAUUUAAGGCCGAUGGAUAUGAAUUUAUUAUCCUUGUCUAUGAUAAGAAAAAUUAUAAUUGAUGUAGAGAGUAAUCUUGGAGCAUAUAGAUUUUUCCUGAAAGGUUCACAAUGUGCUAAUCAUAUUAAUGUAUUUUUGGUGGUUGAAAGAAUUGGACUUGGGAAGGUUAAUUGUGGAUGGUUGGGAUGCACUUUGAGUCUCAUACAUACAUGGAUCUAACUUGGAUGAAUGUUCUUCACUUGAACUUUUCAGAAAUCUGAUGUUCAAAGCUUGCCCAAUCAUCCCAAGCUUCCUAUACUUUUCAAAAAAAAGGUAGAAUAAUUUUUUUCUUCUUUUACUUAGCUUAGUUUGAAUUUAAUUUUUCAAUUAUGAAUAAUUAGAAAUAUAUGCACACAUCUUUGGACAUGUCAUAUGACACUUGAGAGAAUUACCCAAACUCUCAUGAACUUAGGUUGGAAGAAUGACUACUUAAUAGUGAGAACCUUCAAUUUUCCAAGGAUUUUUUAUAAAUGUAUGGAAUUUUUAAAAAUUAUUUUCUAAAAUACUAUAAAUCAGAAAAUAAUUCCAAUUUUACGAUACUUUAGACACAUAGGAGAAAUGUGGAAAAAAUAUAUAUUAUAUUUUAACUUUUUUGACUCAACCUAUUUUUAUAUAUCUUGAAUUUGAUUUUAUGUUAAAGGUGUUUCUUCAAGAAAUAUUUUUCACAAAUUUUAAAUUUGCGAUAUAUACUUAAAAAAUUGAAUUUAAACUAAAAAUGUUUUUUCAAAAGACAUUCUCUAUAAUUUUAGAAAAUUGGAUUUAUAGUAAAAGGUGUCUUUUGAAAACACUAUUUACACAAUUUCACAAAAUCUAAUAUAUACUAAAGGUGUCUCUUGAAAAGACAAUUUUCACAAUUUUAAAAAAAUCAAUACAUACUAACGGUGUCUCUUGAAGAGACACCUUCCACAAUUUCAGAAAUUUUAAUUUAUACUACAAGUGUCUCUUGAAUUUGAUUUUAUAUAGAAGACAUCUUUCACAAUUCCAAAAAAAAAAAAAAUCCAAUAUAUACUAAAGGUGUCUCUACACCUUUCACAAUUUUACAAAUUUUAAUUUAUAUUACAAGUGUCCCUUAAUUUUGAUUUUAUAUUGAAGGCAAACACUUUCUAAAAUUCAAAAAAAAAAAAAAAAUUGGAUUUAUAUUAAAGAUGUCUCUUAAAGAGGCACCUUCUACGAUUUCACAAAAUCCAAUAUAUAUUAAAGGUAUUUCUUCAAAAUGCAUCUUUUAUAUAAAAUUAAAUUUAUUAAAUUUAAGAAACGCUUAUAGUAUAAAUUAAAAUUUUUGAAAUUGUUGAAGGUAAAAAUUAAAAAUAAAAAUAAAAUUCAAGACACCUUUAGUAUAUAUUGGAAUUUGUAGAAUUGUGGAAAAUGUUUUUUUUAAGAGAUACAUUUAGUAUAAAUCCAAUUUUUUUUUAGAAUUAUAGAAAGUGUCUUUUUUAAUAUAAAAUCAAAUCCAAGAAACACUUGUAAUAUAGAUUAAAACUUGUUGUGAAAAGUGUUUCUUGAAGAGAUACCUUUAGUAUAAAUCUAUUUUUUUUUCAAUAUAAAAUAAAAUUCAAGAGACAUUUGUAAUAUAAAUUAAAAUUUGUUAACUUGUGGAAGGUAUCUCUUGAAGGGACACCUUUAGCAUAUAUCAGAUUUUGUAAAAUUAUGAAAAAGUCUUUUCAAGAGAUACUUUCAUUAUAAAUCCAAUUUUUUUGUAAAAUUGUGAAAAAGUCUUUUCAAGAGAUACUUUCAUUAUAAAUCCAAUUUUUUUGAAUUGUAGGUGUCUCUUAAAGAAACACUUUUAAUUUAAAUUCAAUUCUUCUAAGUGAAUAUAAAAUAUUUGAAAAUUAUAGAAAGUCUCUUCAAAAAAACUUUUUACAUACUACGUAAAUCUAUCAAUAUUUUUUCAACUAUCAUUUUUAAAGAAUUAUUUUUUAAAUUUACAGGAUGAGUUAAAAAAACCCCAAUUUUCCAAACAAUAACUUCAUCCCUGCGGUAACCUCAACCAAGUUUCUACGAGCCUAUAACUAAUAUUGAAUUUGGGGGGACUAUUAAUACCUUCAUGGAAUAGCAAGUCUUCGUCAAUGAUCACAUUAUACACGCAUUAGCUAGAAGAAAUAAUGUAUUUCGUACGUGAGCUUUUAAUUUCUUUUCAUCAUCAAAGGUCCUUUCCUUUGAAAGUAUUCAUGGUCCAUAUCAUUAUCUUUCAUGCCAGUGUUAGGCCAAUUUAUGAAUUUGGACCCCUUAUUUCACCAUAUAUAGCUAUUGUGAACAUGAUGGACCAUCUAACUUCAAUAAUUUAGCUUCAAUCAAAUUUUUAGAAUAAUCACCUCAAAUCAAGUUAGACAUGUUAUUACUAAGAUUUGGUAUAUCCUCUAAUUCUCUUAAAUAUUAAAGUCAUUAAAUCAGUAAAUAAGUGAGUUUCUUUCUAUUAUAAGUUUGACUUAAAAGAUAUUUAAUAAAUCUAUAUAAUGAUUUAAUAUAACUUAAUUACUUAUUUUAAAUAAUACGAGCAAUUUACAAUAAUAAAUGAAAAUAAAUAAUUUUUCUAAACCAUAAAUAUCAUUUGAUUUAGUUACUUAUGUUUUUUCUCUUCUUCUCUUUCAACAUUUUAUUUGCUGAUAUUAUUUAAAGUAAAAUAAGUCGAACAAUUUAAGGGUAGAAAUUUUAUUGGGGUUCGAUGUUCUAGGAACCAUAUACUUGAAAAGUCUAAAAUACACUUCGAUGCAUGGAUAUAACUUGGAUGAAUGUUCUUCACUUGAAGAAUCAAGUCAAGCUUACUUUGCUGAGGCAAAAUGAUUUCAUGGAUUAUUCUUAUUAUUAUUACUAGUACUACUCCUUUGUGUUAGACAUCCUUAAUGUUAUAUCACCGAGGGUAUGAAUAUUUUUUUUUUUUUUUCCCUCUUCUUUCUUAGUGCUGUUUUAUUAUAUGCUUCAGAAAAUUUCAGGUUCGAUGUCGAAACUUUGUCUAAAAACAUUGUUGAAAUCAACUAUGGUCUAUGACAAAUAGUGAAUAUAACAUACAACAAAGUACGUACUUUAGAAUUGCAGGAACAUACAAUAACCUACAAUAUCACUGUAUUAGACUGAUAUACUUCUUGAUUUUUUUUUCUAAAAAACUACGUUUGAUUUUUUGCAAUAAAUUUGUUUGACAGCUCCAUUCAGUUGUCAUGUGAUAUAUGAGGGACCAACUAAAGUAAUCCGUGAACCGACAAGAGUUGUGGAAACGUCAGCUCAAUAGGAUGAGAUGAUGCGGAUGAGUCAACACACAACAGUGGAUUAAUUCUGAGAAGUUAAAUAAUCAGCUAGCUUGGAAAUUGGCUUUAAGAGAAAAGCCAUGGAUGGAAUCUUAGAAGAUCUCAAGGAAUAUUAGGGGAUGCCUUCGUCUACAAUAUCAGAGAAUGAAGAGGAAUAUGGCUUUUCAGAAAUCUGAUGUUCAAAGCUUCCCCGAUCAUCCCAAGCUUCCAAUACUUAUCCAAAAAAGGUAGAAUAAUUUUUUUCUUCUUUUACUUAGCUUAGUUUGAAUUUAAUUUUUCAAUUAUGAAUAAUUAGAAAUAUAUGCACACAUCUUUGGACAUGUCAUAUGACACUUGAGAGGCUUACCCAAACUCUCAUGAACUUAGGUGGGAAGAAUGACUACUCAAUAGCAAGAACCUUCAAUUUUCCAAGGAUUUUCUAUAAAUGUAUGGAAUUUUUAAAAAUUAUUUUCUAAAAUACUGUAAAUCAGAAAAUAAUUCCAAUUUUAUGACACUUUUGGACACAUAGGAUAAAGGUGGAAAAAAAAAUUAUAUUUUAACUUUUUUGACUCAACCUAUUUCUAUACCUCUUGAAUUUGAUUUUAUAUUGAAGAUGUUUUUUCGAGAGACAUCUUAAAUCUUAGGUAUACAUGUAAAAGAAUUGAAUUUAAAAUAAAAGUGUCUUGAAAUUUGAAUUUAUAGUAAAAGGUGUUUUUUAAAAAGACAAUUUUCACGAUUUCACAAAAUCCAAUAUAUACUAAAAGUGUCUCUUAAAAAUACAAUUUCACAAAAUUCAAUACAUACUAAAGGUGUGUCUCUUCAAUAAAUUUUAUACUACAAGUGUCUUCUGGAUUUGAUUUUAUAUAGAAAAUAUCUUUCACAAUUCUAAAAAAAAAAUCCAAUAUAUACUAAAGGUGUCUUUACACCUUCCACAGUUUCACAAAUUUUAAUUUAUACUACAAGUAUCUCUUAAUUUUGAUUUUAUAUUGAAGGUAAACACUUUCUACAAUUCGAAAAAAAAAAAAAAGGAUUUUUAUUAAAGGUGUCUCUUAAAGAGGCACCUUCUACAAUUUCGCAAAAUUCAAUAUAUACUAAAGGUAUUUCUUCAAAAAAUGUCUUCUAUAUAAAAUCAAAUUUAAGAAACACUUGUAGUAUAAAUUAAAAUUUGUGAAAUUGUUGAAGGAGAAAAUUAAAAAUAAAAUUAAAAUUCAAGACACCUUUAAUAUAUAUUAAAAUUUGUGGAAGUGUGGAAAAUGUUUUUUUAAAGGAUACCUUUAUUAUAAAUCCAUUUAAAAAAAAAUUGUAGAAUGUGUCUCUUUUAAUAUAAAAUCAAAUCCAAGAGACAUUUGUACUAUAAAUUAAAACUUGUGAAAUUGUGAAAAGUGUUUUUUGAAGAAACACCUUUAAUAUAUAUUGAAUUUUAUCACCUUUAGUAUAAAUCCAAAAAAAAAAUUAAUAUAAAAUCAAAUUCAAGAGACAUUUAUGAUAUAAAUUAAAAUUUGUGAAAUUGUGUAAGGUAUGUCUUGAAGGGACACCUUUAGCAUAUAUUGGAUUUUGUUGAAUUAUGGAAAGCGUAUUUUCAAGAGAUAUUUUCAGUAUAAAUCCAAUUUUUUGGAAUUAUAGAAGGUGUUUCUUAAAGAAACACCUUUAAUUUAAAUUCAAUUCUUCUAAGUGAAUAUCAAAUAUUUGAAAAUUGUAAAAAGUGUCUCUUCAAAAACACCCCGAAGACAUGGUAAUUCAAUGAAAAUAUGUUUAUAUACUUAUUUGGAAGUUAUUUUUCUUAAUUUGUUGGUCUAGGUUACAAGUGCCUACAAAGAGGAGCAGAUUGAGGAUCUGAAAAAUGAAUUGAAAAUGGAAUUAUACAUAGUGUUGACUAUAAGAAUUUUAGUGGAUUCAAAUGUCUUAGUCAACUAAACUAUUCUAAUUUUAGUAAAUGGUAUGCACAAAAUGACAAUUCAUUUUGAUGAUUCCAAUCUAUUUUAAAUACCAAAGAAAGUUUUGAUUUUUUUUUAUUUACAAAAAAUGCUUCAAAGUACUUUUCAUAAAAUAAAAAAAAAAGAAUUAUUUUCACAAAUUUUAUUUACCAACAUUCCAAUUUGAUUUUCAUGCAGAAAGAAACUAUUUUUAUAAUUUUUAUUAAAAUAUGAUUUUUUUUUUCAAUUUUUUUUUUAAAGUAUCUAAAUCUAAUCUUAUGUCCAAGAGAAUACUUUUACAAAUUCUUUAAGAAAAGGAUUUUUAAAAUUUUAUUUUUUUCUAAAAAAAAUUACAAAUUUAUUUAGAAAAGAAUAAAUAUUGGGAUCCAAUUUUAAUUACACAAAAAAUUAUUUUUUUUUAUUGAAAAUAAGAUUUUUACAUUUUUAUUUACAUAAGUAUGAAAAUCCAUUUCCAUUUUAUUUACUAAAAUGCAUUAUUUUUUUUUUACUAUUUUUAAUAAGACAUGAUUUUUACAAUUUUUUUUAAAGUUUACGAUUUUAUUAAAAAAAAGGUUUUGCAAUUUUUUUUUAACAAAUUUUUUAAUGUUUUAUUAAAACAAAAUGAUUUCUAGAUUUUAUUUUUAAAAAAUGAUUUUCAAAAGUUAUAAAUAAAUAAAUAAAUAAAUAUCGAUUUUCCAACUGUAUUUACAAUUGAUUUAAAAACGGAUUUUACAGUUUUUUUAAAAAACACAUUUUAUUGUUUUAGCUCAUUAAUUUUAAUGUUAAGGUAUCAGCCCAAUUGACUUGAUUUAUAUUAACUUAAAACUUUUGUUCUAAUAGGUACCUUGAUACAACGGCAAAGCCUCGAUUUAUACAGGAGGUCUUGAAGGUGAACUGUGAACCUUACUUAUGUGUACUCAAUUCUGGAAGGUUGUCAACGUUGCCGAUUUUGAACUUCAAUAUUCAGCUCAACAUAGUUUUAGGAUGUCACAUUAGGCAGUCUGGAAGUUUCAUUCAUCUAGUUCAGAUGUGUAAGUUCUGACAUUCAGCUUGGCAAAUUUUGGAAUGAUAAUUGGAUCUAGGAUGGCAUGGCACUCUGUUUGAGCAGGAAGAGUUUUGGAGUUUGGGGUUGGUGGACAAGAUGUGUCCCUGAAAAGAGAUUGAUGCCUACCAUUGAGCUUCUCAAUCACUUGGUUUAGAAAUUAUAGUUUUAGGUCACAGGAAAAUGAAAAAAAAUGUGCAAUGCACCACAAAAACAAUUACAUCAUUACCUAGCUCUCAUAUUCCCAAUGAAUUGACCUAGCCAUAGUCGUGGUCCCCCAAUCCAACUGCCCUUAUCAUAACCUGUCAAACCAUAAUAUUUAAAUAUGGGACAUUUUAUGCAUUCAUCAUGUGAAGAUCAAAUAAAACAACAGAGAUCGAUACAACAAAUUCACGUUACAUAAUAAAAAGCAAUAUCAAACGAGGCAAACAAACCUUAAUAGACCAAAGCCACCAAGCAGCAAUUGAAAAAACCACGAAGGGUUUAUCCCCAUACAUAUACUUUGGAAAAUGAAACAGAAGCUAGAAUAUACCAUCUUUAUUUGUGUAACAUAUCUCCACUCUCAUAUUGGCACAGGGUCUAUGAGCAGCAUUGAAAUAUUAUUUUUCAUCACUUCUCCAAGAUGUGUAAAUUCAUCUUUCUGCCCCUUGUACAUCACAUCUGCUGCUCGAGCAAAAUUGAGAAGACGACUAAGGAGAAGCAUUGGAACUGCAGUAGGUUUGAGGCACUCUUCAUUUAUAUCCUUCCAUGCAUUCUCGAGUUGCUUGUGAAACUCCUCAUAUGCUUGUUGCUCGGAGACACCAUGUUGCUUCAUGUAACAUUCGAUACUUGAUGCAAUAUGCCCUCUCUCUUGCUCAAACUGCAUACAUAGUAAUAUAAGAUGUUAAAAAGAAAUUGGUAUAUAUAUAUAAUAGAUUUUCUUUAAGAUCCCUUUCUCUUUAUGUGAUUGAUAUUCAAGUAUCAGUAGGAAGUGUUGUUUCAUUGUACCUUGUGCGUAGCCAUGUCAUCCAUGAGCCUAAUGACUUUGGAGGAAGCUCUAACAAUCUUAGGGUUUUGUUGCAGCCAAUCAAAGACUUCCUUGGUUGCAAUCUCUCCCAUGCCAAUAAAAGAGAUGAAUGUUAACACGGGGGCACCAAUACUAACCAAUGCAACACGCAUGUACUCUUCUAUUGUUGGUAUGUAUUUUCCAUGGAACCAUUUGGCUUCAACCAAGUAAGCUUGGACCAAGUUUUUCAUCUAGGAUAAAAAUUCAGCCAAGUAAAUAUAUCAUGCAAGUGUUAUAUAUGGCAUUUUAUUUACAAUACUAUAUAGGAUAUCAUAAACACAAUGGAGUUCAGAGAAUCCUACUGCAUCUUUUGCUUGGUGCACAGAGUGUGAUCUUUCUGUGUUUUCCAUGUCCUCGAUUUCUUUGUAGGCAUCUAAGACUGCCUGAUAGCAUGGCUUCAUGUAUUCAGGAAGCUGAUGUGUGCUGUCAAUAUCCCACCUAAAAAUCAAGUACCAAGUUCCCUUUUAAAGUUCAAGUAUGAAAUCAAUGAAUUAGUUGUGGGUAAUUUUAAUCUUGCAUAGAUCAAACCUCCCAAUUGCCUCCGUAAAGAACUCCAGUUCUUCAAGUGUUCCAUAUGCAUCAAAUAUGUCAUCCGUAGUUGUCAUCAGAGCAUGUAAUUUGGUCUGUAUUCUUCUAGCAUAUGAAUACUGGGGCUCAAAACAAGCUAUUGCUAUCCAAAAGUACCCUUCCACCAAUCUAUCUCUUACAAAAGGUAGCUUUGAAGAAAAAUCUAGGUCUUUCCACCACCUGAGAAAAUACAUUAAUUCACAUACCGUAAACAGCUUUAACAUAAGUUCAUACAUGAUUUGAAAACUAACCCCAGGAUAUUGCUUAGCUCUUUUUUAUACAGUGACUGCAGUUGGUUGAAGUCUAACUUUGCAAGCUUCAGUAAAGCUUUACUAUGUGACGCUUCAUCCUGGUAGAUAGACAUGAAAGGCCUUGCCUCUAGCCUCUCCAAGCCUUUCCUCAAGGGCCUGUAUAGGGCAUGAGUUACUUGUGCUGCAAGAGGGUAUUCUAAAUGUUCUACCAUAGACUUGAGGUGAGUGGUGGUGAAAGCAAGUGCUUCAUCUAGUAUGUCUUCUUCCCACACCCUGAGAUGUGCAGCUUCAUACAAGCCUAGUAGGCCAUAUGCAUCAUUGAUCAAAGACUCCUUGAACCUUCCCUUUUCAUCUGUGUACCUGUUGAAUAUAUCUGUAAUCAUCACCAAAACAUAGAAUGUUAUAUGUGAGCUUUGCUAGAUGAUAUUCAAGCACCUUAUAAUACAUGAUAUUCCUGAGGCUUACCACAUGAAAUAUUGAAGCCUUGUUGUCUUAGUAGUCGAAAUCGAAGCACAACAUCAUAGAGAUCAUCAUUUAUGUCAUCAAUGCAAUGAUAGUUAUCAUAGGUAUUUUGUAAUGCUUCUUCUAUCUCCUUUUCAAAGUGGUAUGCCACCCCAAGCCGUUGAACUGCAUCGAUAAACUUCAGCUGUUUUGAAGGGUUACUAGCUGAAGCCAUCAGCUCUCUUCUAACUUCCUCCUUUAGAUCUUCCAACUGCUGCUCUUUAUGGGCCAGAGUUAUCUGUAUCAAUAAAUUGCAAGAACAAAAAGUGAGAAAAUCUUUAGGUCUUGUUAUGAAAACUACAUACAUGAUCAGAAAAUCACCUCAUCCUCAGGAGUGUGGCUCACGAUGAAGGUAUUGCCCCAAAUGCUAGGCUGAUAAUUUGCAGUUCGGCGAUUAGUCUCUGGAUUAGCAACUGGGGCUGGAGAAGACCUGUUGCUGGUAGCGAGAAUUAAGGCCAUGUGUAACUCACUCGAGCACUCAAUAUAUGAAUCAGAUGGCUUGCAACCUUAGGUAUUUGUAGGAUGGAAAAUGGUUCAUUACAAUGAUUGAAUAUCAAUCCGAGAUUCCCAGUAGCAUGGAUACAAUUAAUUCAAGAUCACCUAUCAUAUUUAAACCAAGUUUAUUAAAAAUUAAAUAUUUAAAAUAUGUUUUCUGUUCUCUUAGAAAUACGAAAAGUGUAUCUUAUUCCCUUAAUAAUUCUCAACAUUCGACCAGCCGCCAAACAUUGAUUAAGACUUUUUCACGGGAAGAUAAAACUUACGAUUGAUCUUUUAUUGUCCAAUAAUAUCCUAAUAAUAGAAGAAUUUUGAUAUGACUAGGAAACUAAGUUCUUUUAUAUAAAAACCAAAAAUUAUUUUAAAAAAUUAAUUAAACAAUUAUUAUGUCUUCAAAAAUACUAAUGGCAUUUGUUCCCGGAGAAAUUUCUUUUGAUGACAAAUAUCUAAUUUCUCCCAAUAAGGAAAAAGAAAUGGUGGGAGAAGUUUAAGGACUUAUUGGUUUAAGUGUCCCCAUCAUAGUUUUGAAACAUGGAGACUGAUUUCUUUUUAUGAGGCUACUUUCAAUUUGAGUACAUUUCUGGGAAAUUUUUAAGAACAAAGAAUCUGAGAAAGCAUUUGAGCUUUUGGAAAUGGUGGCUAAGAAUUAAAGGUCAUGGGACAUGCCAGCACCAUAGCUGAGCGCUGGCCAACUACCACAUCGAAGGCAUUCAUUGGCAACACUGUCAUUCAGUGGGUCAAUGGUUGUAUGUUGUUGAAAAUUAAGCAAGUGAAACUUGGUUUAAUUUGGGGCCCAUGGUAAGAAACAUUUGUGGUUAGAAGAGACUGAAGACAAGAAAAACACUGGUCUUCAAUAGUCUCUGGCUAAGUUCCCUCAAAAAAUCCGGACAAGUCAUUAUUAUUAGGUAUGCCUCGAAUCAAAUUAUUGUCCUAGCUGUCGAAAAUUCAACUCCUAACAAUUUUAGUUGAUAAAAUUAUAAGUAUAAAGUUAUAAUUUCUCAGUUUUAAAUUGCUUUGUUUAAAAUAAUAAUAGUAAUAAUGAUUUUGAUCUAUAUUUGCAAAAAAGCAAAUAUAAUCUCCAAUUUUAUCAAUUAUACCUAUUGAAUAGGUAUUUUUUCAAUUCAUGUCAUGUUUCUAAUUGUAAAAUACCUUUCUCUAAACUCAAUAGCUAUUUUUUGAAUAAAUAAUAUUAUAUGAAGAGCUUGAUUUUAUUAUUUAUUUAUUGUUUUUUGAAUUUUGAGUUGAUUGGCUAGCUGGUGAGUUUGUGAUGUUAUCAUUGUCUAGCUAGUAGGAUUCAAUUGCACAAUGCUCAUCAUAUUUACUAAAAAAACAAAUUUAAUGAAUUUAUUUUGAGUUUUCUUAUAUAGUAUUGAAUUCAUGAGAACAAGAGAGAGAAAAAAAAAAGCAUAUCCUUACGAGAAAAUGAGCUUUGAAAUGAUAAAGGAUCCCGUAAAAAAGAAGGUAUUUAAAGAAGAAAAAAAAUGCCGAUGUUAUUGAAAAGAUAGGAUAGUUACAAAAGUUGAAUGAAUGAAUGAAUAUUAUUAAAAAAUAAUUAUUUGAAAAAUAAAUAUAAUAAUACCAUGUUUAUAUCUAUUAUCUUAUUUUUAUAUUAAAUUUGUCUAUUCAAAAGAUCAAUUCACUUUUUCAUAUUAAAUUUAUUUAAAAAAAAUAAAUAAAUAUUAGGUUGUUUGAAUCACUUGCUACCUAGAGGAAAAUCGAUACAAAGAUAUGUUUUGACUUCCGGUAGAAGAUAUUUGAAAUCCUAAUUUAUGGUAGAAUUAUUCUCAAUAGAACAAAUUUUUUAAAAUUACUCUACCAUGCAAAAAGUCAUUCAAUGGUUGUAUAUUGUUUGAAAAGCAAUUUGGAUCCGUUUGGGGGCUAAUAAUGGUAAGAAUGGAAGUGAUAAAAAUUAAAUUUGUAACAAACUUAAAAUAUAAAAUUAUAAAUAAAGGGUUACAAUUUCUCACUUUUUUUCUAAGUAAUAUAUGAUAUUUCCCAAGAAAAUAAAAAUACCCUUUUUCCAUUCUCAAUAGCUCUUUCUCAAUAAAUAAUAUAUGAAGCAUUUGAUUUUAUUUAUUUAUUUAUUGAAUUUUGAGGUGAUUGACUGGCUAGCUUGCAGAUAAGUUUUUUUAUGCGGUCAUUGAUCAAUAUCUAGGCCAAUAGAUAAGUUUUUUAUGUGAUCAUCAAUCAAUGUCUAAGCCAAUAGAUAAGGUUUUUUUUUUUAAUUUAUUUAUGUGGUCAUUAAUCAAUAUCUAGCUAGAAGGUUUCAUUUUCCACUAUGCAGCAUCAUACUCACAAAAGGGAAAAGGAAAAAAAAAAUGAUUUUUAACAUUCAUUUGAAAAAAAGUACAAAAUCGAAAUCCAAGUUUAUAAAAUACAAAUUUCAAGUAAUUAUUUAAAAAUAAUUAAUAUGUCAUACACUUUUUGAUUAAAAGUAGUCUUUGAUUAUUUAGAUACUACAUUUUUAUGAUAUAUGUAUUAUUUAAUUAGGUACUUAUUUUUUAUGAUAUAUGUAUAAUAUUUCAUCAUCUUAGAUAAUAUAUUUGAUUAUUAAGUAUAUAAAAUUUGAAUUAUUUUUAGAGAGUUAAUAUUUUAUAAUUAUUUUUACAUAAGUACAUGCAAGCUCACUAUUUCCAAAAAAAAGAAGUCGAUUUAAUGAAUUUGUUUAGUAUAAAGGGUUACAAUUUCUCACUUUUUUUCUAAGUAAUAUAUGACAUUUCCCAAGAAAAUAAAAAUACCAUUUUUCCAUUCUCAAUAGCUCUUUCUCAAUAAAUAAUAUAUUGAAUUUUGAGGUGAUUGACUGGCUAGCUUGCAAAUAAGUUUUUUUAUGCGGUCAUUAAUCAAUAUCUAGGCCAAUAGAUAAGUUUUUUUAUGUGAUCAUUAAUCAAUGUCUAAGCCAAUAGAUAAGGUUUUUUUUUAAUUUAUUUAUGUGGUCAUUAAUCAAUAUCUAGCUAGAAGGUUUCAUUUUCCACUAUGCAGCAUCGUAGUUACAAAAGGAAAAAGGAAAAAAAAUAUAUGAUUUUUAACAUUCAUUUGAAAAAAAGCACAAAAUCGAAAUCCAAGUUUAUAAAAUACAAAUUUUAAGUAAUUAUUUAAAAAUAAUUAGUAUGUCAUACACUUUUUGAUUAAAAGUAGUCUUUGAUUAUUUAGAUACUACAUUUUUAUGAUAUAUGUAUUAUUUAAUUAGGUACUUAUUUUUUAUGAUAUAUGUAUAAUAUUUCAUCAUCUUAGAUAAUAUCUUUGAUUGUUAAGUAUAUAAAAUUUGAAUUAUUUUUAGAGAGUUAAUAUUUUAUAAUUAUUUUUACAUAAGUGCAUGCAAGCUCACUAUUUCCAAAAAAAAAAGAAGUCGAUUUAAUGAAUUUGUUUAGUAGAAAGGGUUACAAUUUCUCACUUUUUUUCUAAGUAGCAUAUGAUAUUUCCCAAGAAAAUAAAAAUACCCUUUUUCCAUUCUCAAUAGCUCUUUCUCAAUAAAUAAUAUAUUGAAUUUUGAGGUGAUUGACUGGCUAGCUUGCAAAUAAGUUUUUUUAUGCGGUCAUUAAUCAAUAUCUAGGCCAAUAGAUAAGUUUUUUUAUGUGAUCAUUAAUCAAUGUCUAAGCCAAUAGAUAAGGUUUUUUUUUAAUUUAUUUAUGUGGUCAUUAAUCAAUAUCUAGCUAGAAGGUUUCAUUUUCCACUAUGCAGCAUCAUACCGACAAAAGGGAAAAGGAAAAAAAAAAUGAUUUUUAACAUUCAUUUGAAAAAAAGUACAAAAUCGAAAUCCAAGUUUAUAAAAUACAAAUUUCAAGUAAUUAUUUAAAAAUAAUUAGUAUAUCAUACACUUUUUGAUUAAAAGUAAUCUUUGAUUAUUUAGAUACUACAUCUUUAUGAUAUAUAUAUUAUUUAAUUAGAUACUUAUUUUUAUGAUAUAUGUAUAAUAUUUGAUCAUCUUAGAUAAUAUCUUUGAUUGUUAAGUAUAUAAAAUUUGAAUUAUUUUUAGAAAGUUAGUAUUUUAUAAUUAUUUUUACAUAAGUACAUGCAAGCUCACUAUUUUCAAAACAAAGAAGUCGAUUUAAUGAAUUUGUUUUGAAUUUGUUUAGUAUCGAAUUAUACUGAGAAAUAACAAAAAAGGGAAAAAAAAAAAAGUGACAAAUAUGGUCAUAAAAGGCAGUGCAAUAAUAACCCUUUUAGGCAUCGGAGGGAGCAACCCGGAAGCUACUCCGGGUAGUCCUUGUUUGUUUUGUAGGUCCCGAGGGCUCGCUGGAAGACAGAAGUUUCCAAGUUACCAACACCAAUACGAGAAAAUGGGCUUUGAAAUGACAAUGGGUUAUCAAUAUCAAUCCUUAAGUAUUUAACAGAAAGACCCUGCUGGCGUGAUUGAGCUUCUCAGCUUCCUUGCCAAUGCAAUUCACAUGUAUGAAGAGACACAUGUCAAGUCGAACUUUCCCACAUACGAAUUUUUUAAAAUUUGGACAACUUUUCUACAAAAUUUGUCUAAUUCCUAUAAGUUAAAGCCUAUCAAUACCAAAUUGUAUUUAAUUUUUUUAAUCUUAUCUAAACUUCAAAGUGCUACCAUGAGAUUGCAAUAGUGUAGUAGUUCCAAGUAAAACAAAUUUCUGCAAUUUCUUUACAUUGAAAAGAAAAAAAAAUGUUAUUAUGAAAAUGUGAGAAUAUGUGAACUACUCUUUACAUCAUAUUUUUGUGAAAUUUUAUGAGUUAGGUAGGUGGCCAUGUUAUGUUUAAUUUCAAAAUUAUUUGAGUCAAAGUUAUGUAUGAGGGUGAAAAGGGUUAAGCCGUUAUUUUAAUAUAUGAUUUGAUGCCUAAAUAAUAUGAUUACUGAUCUUCUUUCAUCAAUAUAUUUUAUAAAAUUGCUAAAUAACUUUUAAGCUUUCUAUGGUACACCUGGAUUGAGUUAAGGAAUCAAAAAGGGGGAUUACAGAUAUAAUGUAAUGACCUACUUUGAACCAUGUAAAUAUUGUCCAUCUAUACUUAAAGAGUUCUCAUAACUUUAAAACAUGUCUAUAAGAUUAAGAUGAUCUCAUACAAAUAUAAUAUCAGAAUAUUUUUAUUCUCUCUGAUUUGAGAUGUCGCACAAAAUAACCAAUUAUGUGUCAAUUUUUUAUUUAAUUAAACAUAUUUUAGCUUAUAGCCACAGAACUUGAUAUAAAGGGCAACAAUUAAGAUGUUCCUCUAUCUUAAUAAUAGAGGAGCAUUCAAGGAAGUGUGAUGCAAGAUGGCUAUCAGUCUAAUAACCAGCCAUUUAGGACAUAUAAGAGACUAUUUUUUCAAUCACCAAGUGUGAGUCCCCUUUCAUAGAUUGUCUUCCGUUACAAUGCUCAGCUAGCAAACUUAAAACAAUUCAUUUUGUUGUCAUACUUUAUAGGGUUUAUGAUCAUUAGAUUGAACUUGAGGAGGUUUUCUCCACUUUCUGAGAGCCUAAUGUUAACUUGGAGAAUUUAAAGAAGAGAUUAUUUUCUUUUUCUUUAAAAGAAAUGGGUAAAGAAUGGGUAUAUAGCUUGACAACAAGGAGCACUGACUCUUAGGAGAAAUUACUUUUGAUGACAAAUAUAUCUAAUUUCUCCUAAUAAGGAAAAAAAAAUGGUGGGAGAGGUUUAAGGACUUAUUGGUUAAGUGUCCCCAUCAUAGUUUUGAAACAUGGAGAUUGAUUUCUUCUUUUUAUGAGGCUACUUUCAACUACCACAUCGAAGGCAUUCAAUGGCAACACUGUCAUUCAAUGGGUUAGUGGUUGUAUGUUGUUGAAAAUUAAGCAUGUGAAACUUGGUUUAAUUUGGGGCCCAUGGUAAGAAACAUUUGUGGCUAGAAGAGACUGAAGACAAGAAAAAUACUGGUCUUCAAUAGUCUUUGGCUAAGUUCCCUAAAAAAAUCCGAACAAGUCAUUAUUAUUAGGUAUGCCUCAAAUCAAAUUAUUGUUCUAGCUGUUGAAGUCGCGACCCACCGGGAUAUCUGUGUCUCCUUGACGUUGGUGCUCAAUCAACUGAGAAUGAUGCUUCCUUCCUUGUUACUGUAAAAGAUGUCUGGAUAGGUUGUCCAAACACACUCUCCAAAGCUCUUGUUAGUUUGACAAUUCUCUUUGAUCUUUCCUUUUGGGAGUCAAUCUGAAGUUUGUCUUACCUCCUCUCUUCAUUGAGUUCCCUCAAGGGUUUUAUAUUGUCUGGAGUUUUUGUUGUCACAUCUAAGCUAGUGGGGUCCAUUUACUUCCACAGUCAUCAUGGCUACUCAUAGGGUGGCAACGCAAUCAUUACUCUUUUGGGUGAUGGAUGGUGAUUGCUAAUGGGGCGAUCGAGCGGCGCAUCUGUCACUUCAUUCCGCAGACGGCACAGUGCAAAAUGUGUCAAGUGGCCUGAAAAGACAUGAAGAUGUCCCAGCUAGCACGCCUUUAAUGGAAGGCGAAUGAUGGAAUGUGGAGUAUGGUUAGAGACGUUGUUUGAAGCAUGUCCUGUGGCUUCAUAAAAGCAUGGGCAUCUGGCCAUUGAUCAUUGGAUCCGGAUAGAAUGGAUCCAACAUGUAUGUUACUGGCCAAUGGAUCCUGUCCGGAUAAAGGCGAAGGUUGCCAUAUGUCUACAGAAGGUUUGCUAGUGAGGGUAAGGCAGGCCGCCAUGUGUCAGCUCAGGAGGAGGGUCCUACAAUACCUUUUUUUAACCCGUUUGAUCUGUCUGAUCAGAAAAUGUGUGUUAAAAUGAUUCAUUCAAAAAAUUUUUGGGGAUUGUGCGACAUGUGGCGCCUGAGCGGGAUAUUUAUGAUGAGACACCGACCUUGAAAUUACCACCAGGCGGCAUGUCGUUUCAAAAGUAGUGCAGUUGGGUGCCUUAUCGUUUGGGGUUCUUAGGGAUUCUAUCCUAUAAAUAAGAAUCCAAUCCCCAUUGACGGUACUUUUUCUUCAUUUCGCCUUUUGCUUCUCCCUAAAUCAUUCCGACCAUCCAGAAACAGCAGUUUUGGCAUUCAAUUGGCAACGCCUUCCCCAAAGAUUCCUUAACUUGUUAACUCAGGCGAUUGUAGCUCGGUUCAUCCCCAUCUUGUAAGCAUUCACCAGGUUCGCUUCUUCUUUCUCUUCCACGUCUUCUACUUCUUAUUUUCCAUUGAUUGAGAUGUUUGUCUAUGGUUGGGGGUUUGUGGCGACGCUUAAGAGAUUCGGUGAGUCAGGGGAUGACUUUUCUAGAUUUUGCAGAGAAGGGCAUAGGGUGAUUCUGGGGUAAUAUAUCCCGCCAAGGUCGCGUCCUAAUGGGCCUUAUUAGGGUAUAUUUUAGUUUUCGCGUUUUGAGGCUCUACCAAGUCUACUAGAUGUGCGUUUUCCUUUGGUGUGCUUGUAAGUCGUAGAGGGUCAAUCCCUUGCUAGGGUUAGGAACUGGCCAAUGGAACUGGAGUUCCUGAUUUGGGAUGUCGCUAAGUCGGGCGUAUUACCCAAUAAGAUUUCUUGGGGGUGUUGUUCUUGAGGCAGUAGGGUCGGGUGACUACUUCUUAACUGUCGGCAUUGUGCCAUGCACGUUUGACUCGGCCCGACGCUUCAAGAUGCUUGCAAAGAGGGGUACUACCUCGUCCAACGCAGCUGGGCAAAGUGGGAAAAGUGGCUGGACAGCCCCGAGUUCUGUACUCCCUUAUCUGGAGAAGCCCACUAAGCUUCUCAAUGAGCGGGAGUUUCGCGACCACUUCUGUUUUACGAAUCGUAUCUCCAUUCAACUGGUAGAGGGGGAUCCAAUGCAUAUGGAAAAAACCGGACACAACGCUAUGUACUCCACCAAGGAGCAAUUCAACGCGGAGCUUCGCUUUCCCCAUCUGUCCCUUUUCAAGCAAUUCCUUCACUACACCCAAAUCCCCCCAACCUUUAUUGAUCCCAAUAUUGUUCGGGUGCUGAUGGGGUGCAGUAUCCUGAAUAUGCUCUUCCACCUAGACCUUUCCCUAUUGGAGGUCCUUUUCAUCUGUACCAUCAAGAAGGGCAAGAAGGACAUCUUCAACAUGCUUGCCCAUAUCCCAUCCUUCAAGCUAGUGAUAGGCCUCCCUAAUUCGAACAAAGGGGAAGCCAAGGGGCAUGCGCUAGUCAGGGGAGCAUGGGCAGGUUUGAUAGAGCACCUACAAAGGGACUUUUAUCCUAACCAUUUGUUGAAGAUUCCGGGUAGGGAUGACUCUGAACACCUCCUCCCUGUUAAUAUUUUAGCACUGGGUUAGUUCCACUAGGUUGCUAACACUCUUCGUUUUGGUUGGUGUAGGUACAAAUAAGAUGUGUCAUUUGGUUGAGUGGGUAGAGAAAGCUUCGUUCGUCCGUUUGAACAAGCUGUUCAAGAUCACUACAAGCGAAAUGAAUUAUCAGACGCUCAUUUCUGCCCGGAAUCUUCUAGCGGUUGUCCGGGAAACUCGACCAUACGUCCUUAAUAUCCUCCCUAGACAGUUGCCUAAGGUUGUGGUGCCCAGGGAGCAUUUUGUUUUGUGAGACCUCCCCCUUUACGAAGAGGCAUGCAAGGCGGACGCAAAGGCUCAUCAAGAGCAUCUCGAGCAACGAGAAGAGAGAAGGCAAGAGGGGACCCUACGGAGGGCGCCUGGUGAGAAGGGUCGCGUGCAAUCAUCUACGGCUCGUCCUUUAGCAGAAAAGAAAAAGAAGAUGACCCUUGUAAAAGUGACCAAAGCCCCCCACUCCGGCUCUUACCUCUCCAUCUACUUCUUCUCCUUCUGCGUCGGACAACUCUGCCCACGCCUCUGAAGGUGUCUUUAGCUCCUUGAGGCUUGAUCCUAGCAAUCCAGGAACCUGCCCUUCCGAGCUUGAGCCAGAGCCUAUAGCACUUGGAGUAAUAAAUGAGCCAGAAGAAGAAGAAGUAGACAUGUCAGCUGACUUGAGAGCUGGCUUCAAAGAGAGGCAUCACAAACACCUCUAUGAAGCCAUUGACAUGGUUCCUCCUCCUACUAAGAAGGCUUGUCCAGAAAAAGUUCGGGAGGAAACCGAGAGAGAGGCUCCUACAACACCAGUGCCCCAACUGGAUGUUAUGGGGCCAAGCAGUGUGCCCGCUGCUGAGGAAGAGGUUGGCCCGGCCCCAGGGGCCCUCUGAUGGCACUGCUCCUGAUGAAGAAGUCUUGGAUUAGAAGGACUCUCUUGCACCCGCUUCUCUUCAUAGUUGGGAUGAAAUGAUGGAGAUGUUAAAGCAUAUCCCAUGCUUUACAGAUGCUGAGUCGCCCUCUACUAAGAUGUCCGACUUCUUCCCUCUCACCAAGCGGAUAUUUGUGAACCUUGGUGGUGACCCCCCUUCCUUUGUCUCAGCCAAACUUUCCUUCAGCACGCUUAAGUCCACAAUCGCCCAUAUUUAGCAACUUCAGGAUUGUACUAUGUCGAAAAUUGCAUAAGUGGUACUUUCUCAUACUUUGCUUCCUUUUCCGGAUUGAUGCACACUCCACUUAAUUAAUGCUAAUUUUGUUUCUGUUGCAGUUGGUGGCUAGUAUCCGCAACAUGGUGCGACAGCGCACCCUCCUUUUUGUGCGACUAAAGGUUGUUAAAGCCAUGCAGUCUUUCAUUUCCUACCGCCUGGGUGGCAGCGAGGAUUUCGCUCAAGGCUGGAGCGAUCAGAGACCGAUCUCGCUGCUACUCAGAAAGCUGCUACGGAAGGAGUCGAGGCUUUGAAAAAGGCUGGGGAAAAGAAGGAGGUGUUCCAGGUUGAGGCAAACAAGCUGAAGAAUGAGGGAGAGGUCGCGAAGGCCAAGCUUAAGAAGGCGGAGCAGGAGACUUCUCAUCGAAGAAGGAUACAGAAUAGCUUCGAGAUAGGCUCGCGACUAAAAAAAAAAGACAUAGAGGAAUUACAAGCAGGUUUCGUCGCUCAGAAAAUGGAACUAGAAGCCAGAUUUGUGCUCAAAAGAAGGAACUGGAAGUGAAGUACCAAAAGCAGGUGGACAAAAUGUAUUUCUUCGGCUAUCGCUGUUGUAUGAAGGAAAAUGGUAUCAUGCAUGAUAUUCCCUCUCUUUCUUCUAAUGACGAGGAUGAGAUACUCGCGCGGUCCUCCUCAAUGAGAUAGUGCCCUCUUUAUGUAAUUUUUCUUCUUGAUGUAAUUUUUGUCGUGAAGUGGUUCGACUGAGUAUUUGUAAAGACAAUUUUUAAUAUGUUUAAGCUAUGAAUAUAACGUUGCUUUACUUUUCCUUUUUGCUUUCAUUGAUAAUAUUGCUUUAAGUGAACUACAUUCCAUGGGUGGAGUAAAGGGGUUUCGUCUAGUUUCUGCAGAUGGUAGGCUCCAUUCUCACUUGCCUUUGACACAAUGUAAGGACCUUCCCAAUUUUCUCAGAGUUUCCAGCUCAUUUUUCAGCCGUGUUUUCAAAGACUUUCCUGAGGACAAGUGUCUCAACUUUGAAGGUGCGGGGUCGUACCUUUCGGUUGUAGUAUGCAACUACCCUUUGCUGAUAAGCAAUCAUUUGGAUAGAUGGGACUAGUGCUUUGCAAGUUCCAUAUCUUCAUUUAUCUACCCCUGUACGGUGGUCCGGGCCGUGGGCAUGCCUACUUCUGUGGGGAUGACUACGUCCAUUUCGUAUGCAAGAGCGAAAAGGGUGCUUCCUGUUAGUCGCCCAGGUGUUGUCCGAUAGGCCCACAAGACGUCGGGCAAUUCUUCCACCCAUCUUCCCUUGGCUUGUUCCAGCCUUUUCUUCAAUGCGGAUAGCAGAGUUUUGUUGGUUGCUUCUGUUUGUCUGUUGCUUUGGGGGUACCGAGGUGUGGAGUAUAAAUUCUUGAUUUUAAGCUCCGAACUGAUAGUUCUGAAGGCAACACUGUCAAACUGAUGGUCGUUGUCAGCUAUGAUCAUUUGGGGGAUUCCAAAUCGGCACACGAUGUUCUUUCAAACGAACUUUGUGACGUCUUUAUUCUUGAUGUUAGCAUAAGCUUCGGCCUUUACCCAUUUGUUGAAGUAAUCAGUGGCAACAAGUAGGAAUUUCUUUUGUGCAGCUGCAGUAGGUAAGGGUCCCACAAUAUCCAUCCCCCACUGUACGAACGGCUAGGGGCUUAUUACCGAGUUGAGUGUUUCAAAGGGCAUAUGCGGUAUAGGCUCAUACCUUUGGCACUUGUCACACUUCUUGACAUACGCUUCUGCAUCUUGCUUCAUAGUUGGUCAAUAAUAUCCUUGUGAGUGUGCGUGAUGCACUAGAUAUCAGCCUUCCGAGUAGUUGCCACAAACACCUUUGUGCAGUUUUGUCAGCACAUAUUGGGCUUCCGACUGGUCUAAGCACCUGAGGUAUGGGUCUCCGAAAGACCGUCUAUAGAGGUAAUCUCUAAUCAAAGUGAAAUGAGCAACUUGCACCCGGGUCUUAUGUGCAUGCUUGGAGUCUUCAGGCAGAGCACUUGUCCGGAGAUAUGUUUUUAUGGAGUUUGUCCAUUCCUAGUUUUCCUUGAUAGUGCGGCAGACGGGCGACUCUAUGAUGGAUGGAGCGGUAUGGAUACAUAUUGGCAACAAUAUAGAUUCACUUAUGGGAAGUGAGGCGGCUAUGCCUGCUAAGGCGUCGGCUUGCAUGUUACCUGCUUGGGGAAUCUUCUUGACAGUCCACUCGUCCAACUGCUGAUUACUACUCACAAAGUACUAUUUCAUAACUUGUAAUUAACUCUUUUAAACACUUUUGAGUAGUAGUUAUCACCUUUUAACCCAAUUAACAUAUUAAGGACCCUUGCAAUCGAUUCUAAUCAAAUUGUGUUAAGUUUUGGUGUUUUGAUAGCUUAUUGAUCACCAAAACAAUCUGAGAUUAAGAAAAGUUCUUUGGAAUCCUUAAGCAAAUCCAGAAUACAAGGAGUAUGGGAUCCUGCACAUUCCAUCCGACUGCCGCGCCAUUCCAUCCGGCUACCGCCACUUUACACCCGGAUGUAUCACAUCCGGAAAUCUGCUACUGUCAUCAUUCCAUCCGGAUGUCUUACAUCCAGAAUUCAAGAGCCGGAUGGGAGAGGAGGGCGUUUCAACUUCUCCGGACAAACAUAUCAGGAUCCGCCGAUAGCAUUCACCCGGAGGAUUUCGCAGCAAUUUUGCACAGUGCCGCAGUGUUCUCCUGAAGCUUCCCGAUAUGUGCGACCGACAUCUUUAGAUAUUUUUCUUUAGAUAUUUAUCUUUAAAUAUUUGAUGUCUAAAUCCCCAAACUCUCCUUAUAACCCACCAAUUAUAGGAUUCCUUAGUUAUUAAGUUUGGAAAAAUGAUGAAUAACCUUGUAGAUAUUAUUAUUGUAAUUUUCAUAUAAAUAUUUCUCGGAAGCCUGUUCUCGAGACGACGCAACUUUUGUAUAAUUUUCAAAGGAAGAAAAAUACAGAGCUUUGCUCUGCUUUUACCUUCUCAUUUUGAUUGUAUUUUCUUACUAGCCAAACAAGCUCUGAGGAUGUUUCCUCAGAGAAUGAGUGGCUAGAAUUUUAGUUCCUUGGAGUUAAGGUUGCCGGGAAAGGUUCCAAGUGCAAGAAUUAGUAGCUUUGUGGUUUCAACCAUUAAUGAAGAGAAAGUGUGACCAGUUAAUGGUUUUAUCUUUUUAGUUAACUUAAAACGCCUUUAAAUCACCUAGGCCAACACUUGAUAAGGCAAGUGAUCUCCAUCCAUAGAGAUGCACUAGUUUAUCUUUUGCGAGCCUUUGGGAGGUGGUUUGAAGGUAGGGUUUUCUAGAAUAGCCAACACUUGGUAAGCUUUUGGACUCCACGGAGACAUCCAUUAUUUAUCUCUUGCAAGCUUUUGAUUACUACUCAAAAAGAGCAUAUUUUAGAUAAUAAUUCUCACGAGUUUCACAUCUUUUGAGUAGUAAUUAUGCCUAAAACACUCAAUUAGCAUGUUGUUGCCCUUGCAAGAGUUAUUAAGAAGUUUUAUGAAGUUUUGGAGUCAUUUCAAGGUAUAAUUUUGAUAAAUUGGUGACAAAAGAGAUUAAUCAAAUUGAAGAAAACAAAUAAAGUUGAUGAUGAUCCAAAUGCAUAAUGAAAGAAGCAAUGCAAUCAGUUUGGAUUGGGAUUUGGAGCUUAAUUGAAGGUGAUGGAAAUGGAUUAAACAUGAAGAAAUGAGAGAAAUUACAAAGAGGAGUCGGAAAAGCAUAUUUCUCGAUUUCGCAUGACCAUGCGAAAUGAAACAGCAUGGCUAUUGGCUGCAGCACAUAAGGGAAUUCUGAAAAGCAAUUUCUUUCGCACAGUCAUGCGAAAAGCUCCAGAAGAACUAAAAUGAAGCUGAUGGACUCUCCACUUUGCACCAUCAUGCGAGAUUGCUAGGGGCUCAUGCGAAAAUGCAUUUUCUCCAGAUUCCUUGAUGAAGAAGCAUCUGGAAGACCUCUAAAAUGUUGCCAAGUGUCCUUUUAACCUUAGCCUAUAAAUAGAAACGAGAUUUGACUCAUUUAAGAACUUUUGAUACAUUUUCUAAUCGUAGAACUUUUCAUACUUCUUCUCUCUAUAUAAUUCUCUACUUUCCUUCAGUUUCUCUUAUUUUCUCGGUAGCUAAACAUGUCUUGUGAGAUCAAAUCUCCAAGCAUGAGUGGCUAAAUCUCAUUUUUCUCGGAGGAGGGAGGAUCUAGAGGCAAGAUCUAUGGUGAAUUAGAGAAUUGAGCUUGAAUUGCAAAGGUAAUUUGAUCUAAUUGAUUGAUUAAUUGAAAUUUGGGGAUUUUUCUUUUCAAAUUGUCUUGGAUGAUUACUACAAUGCAAGCUAGGUAGAUUCAUCAAAUUCUUAAUGCUAGAUUUGAUAAGAUUGAAUAGUUGCAUUGUGUGAAUCAUCGGAAGAUAAUUUAAGAUGAAUUGAAUAUAUGAUUCAAAUUGAUCUCUUGGAUUAGAUUACCUGAUUUGAAGAGCAAUUAGAUCUAGAUCUAAAGCUAAAUCAAAAAUUAGUUUAGAUGAAAAUUUAGGUUUUCAAUCUAACUUGAUGAAAAUUAGAUCUCAACACCUAUUCACCAUGGAAAUUGCUCUCUAGAAAAUCCUAACUCCGAGAAUCUCACCUCUUAUUAAUUUUCUUCUCUUUUACACUUCAUUUUCCUCUCAAUUUGAAUACAUUGCUAUUUUGGAAUUUUAUCAUGCAUUUUCAAAUCAAUUUCAUUUUAUCACAAUCAUUUCUUAUCAUCUCAUUCAAGCCUUAAUUACCAAGAAUAAUCCAUCCUUGUGGACGAUACCUAACAACCACUAUACUACAGUAGUUUGUACUAAAACCACUUUUUGAUCGGGUACAAAUUGCUAUAGAAUAGUGAGUUAGGUUAUAAAUUUUGUUUUGAUCCAAUAAACGACAAAAUCUAAGCGGUAAUCCAAGGUUAAAGAUCACCUUGAAUGGCAAGUGCUAGGUGAGAGGUAUGAGCCAUUGCAAGGUGCAUCAAUGAGAGAGAAUUAUUAUUUGAAUCCAUUAAGGGGAAGCAACUGUACAAAACCAGUUAGAAAAUUGACUAUAUGUUAAUUCUCUAAUGCGAGGAAAUGAACCAAAUGACUGGAGCUCUGUUUUUGCAUAAGAAACCUCCCUUGUGAACUUAAACCUCCAAGGAAUGUUUUUUUUUAUAAGUAAUUUCCAUUACUUCCUUUGCCGUUAGUUUAAACCUAAACAUUUUUCAAUCAAAGUUUGUGUUUUAUUUCUCAAGCUAACCUUGAAAUGAAAAGACACCAAUUCAUCUUUGAAUUGGUAUCAUUUAUGAAUUGAAAACCCUUCCCAAUGAACGAUCCUAGAGCCACUAUGCUAUAAUAGCUUUGUCUUUGCUACCCUAGUCAUGGUGUAAUAGGUUAUAAAUUUUGUUGAUUUCUCCCUCAAUCAAGGAGCGCCAGCUGGACAUGAACCAGCUGAUACACCAAUUGGGCACAAAUCAAAUGGCGCCUUUGUCGGGGAAGGUGCCAACUUCAUAGUGAUAUUAUUUCAGAGUACUUGUGAUUUUCAUCACAAGUUUGGUAACUUUUCUUUCAUUUUACUAAUUCUUAUUUUUUUAUUUAUUGUAUCUUUACUUGUUCAUAAUCUAAUAUAUCUUUUAAAUCCAAUUUAGUUCAUUUUAGUUUGGUAGCCCUGCUUUCUUUUGUUUUCUUUUAUUUUUAUUUUAGUUAUAGUUGAUACUAGUUGUGUAUGCCAAAGUGGAUACAAGAUAGUGGAGGAAGGCUUGUCAAACGUGAUAUACCUCAUAACAAGGAAUUGGAAUUGAGCUUAAAUAUCAUGGAAGCUACACCUGAAGAUCAGCAUAGUCACCAUGGUCAUCAGGACAAUCCCAAUGAAUUCAUAUCAAUGAGGGACCGCAUGCAUCCACCUCGUAUGAGUGCACCAUGAUGUAUAGUGCCCCCUACAGAGCAGCUAGUGAUCAGACCCCAUAUUGUGCCACUUCUACCAACUUUCCAUGGAAUGGAAAGUGAGAAUCCCUACGCACAUAUCAAGGAAUUUGAAGAUGUUUGUAAUACAUUCCGAGAGGGAGGAGCUUCUAUCGACCUGAUGAGGCUUAAACUAUUUCCUUUUACUUCAAAGGAUAAGGGCCAAGAUUUGGCUUAAUUCUUUAAGGCUAAGGAGUAUCCGUACUUGGACUGAUUUACAAGUUGAAUUCCUCAAGAAAUUUUUUUCCCACUCACAGAACAAAUGGCUUGAAAAGGCAAAUUUCAAACUUCUCAGCUAAAGAGAAUGAGAAAUUCUAUGAGUGUUGGGAAAGAUACAUGGAAGCUAUUAAUGAUUGUCCUCACCAUGGCUUUGAUACAUGGCUAUUGGUGAGUUAUUUCUAUGAUGGGAUGUCUUCCUCAAUGAAGCAACUCCUCGAGACAAUGUGUGGAGGAGAUUUCAUGAGCAAGAAUCCUGAGGAAGCUAUGGAUUUCUUGAGUUAUGUAGCUGAAGUCUCAAGGGAAUGGGAUGAACCGCACAGAGGAGAAGUGGGAAAGUUGAAGUCUCAACCGAGUGCUUUCAAUGCUAAGGCUGGGAUGUAUACCUUGAAUGAAGAUGACGAUAUGAAAGCAAAGUUUGCAGCUAUGACAAGAAGAUUGGAGGAGCUAGAACUGAAAAAGAUGCAUGAAGUGCAAGCUGUUGCUGAAACACCAGUGCAAGUAAAGCUGUGUCCUAUUUGUCAAUCUUAUGAACACUUGAUGGAGGAGUGCCCUACACUUCUAGCUGUAAAGGAAAUGUUUGGAGAUCAAGCAAAUGUCAUUGGACAAUUCAAGCCCAAUAACAAUGCACCAUAUGGAAAUACUUACAACUCAAGUUGGAGGAAUCAUCUAAAUUUCUCAUGGAAGGCAAGAGCACCUCAGUACCAACAGCCGGCUCAACCAUCUCAACAAUCUUCAAGUCUUGAACAAGCAAUAGUGAAUCUCAGCAAGGAUGUGAGAGAUUUUUUUGGAGACCAAAAAGCAUUCAAUGCUCAAUUGGAAGACUUUGUUGGAGCCCAAAAAGCCAUCAAUGCUCAACUCAGUCAAAGGAUUGACAGUAUAGAGAGUACUUUGAAUAAAAGGAUGGAUGGAAUGCAAAAUGAUCUAUCUCAAAAGAUAGAUAAUCUCCAAUACUCAAUCUCAAGGCUCACUAACUUGAACACAGUGCAAGAGAAGGGUAGAUUUCAUUUUCAACCUCACCAAAACCCCAAGGGUAUCCACGAAGUGGAAACUCAUGAGGGAGAAUCUUCACAGGUGAGAGAUGUUAAAGCCUUGAUCACUCUGAGGAGUGGUAAAAAGGUUGAGUCACCAACACUCAAGCCAUAUGUUGAAGAGAAGAAAGACGAAGAAACAAAGAAGAGGGAGGAAAUGAAAGGAAAGAAGAAAGAUGUCAGUGAAAUGAAAGAGGACCAUGAUUCAAUAGUGAAUACAAAUCCGGAGAAAGAGCUUCUUAAGGAAGAAAUGCUAAAGAAAUCAACUUCUCCACCUUUUUCUCAAACGUUGCAUGGGAAAAAGGGGAUAAAAAAUGCAUCAGAAAUCCUUGAAGUAUUGAGACAAGUGAAAGUCAAUAUCCCAUUGCUGGACAUGAUUAAGCAAGUUCCAACAUAUGCAAAGUUCCUAAAGGACUUGUGUACUAUCAAAAGAGGGUUGAAUGUGAAUAAGAAAGCCUUCUUGACUGAGCAAGUAAGCGCAAUCAUACAAUGCAAGUCUCCUUUGAAGUACAAAGAUCCGGGAUGUCCUACCAUUUCAGUCAUGAUUGGAGGAAAGGUAGUGGAGAAAGCUUUGUUAGACUUGGGAGCAAGUGUGAAUUUGCUACCAUACUCUGUCUACAAACAAUUGGGACUUGGUGAGUUGAAGCCAACAUCAAUCACCCUAUCUCUAGCAGAUAGAUCAGUAAAAAUUCCAAGGGGGGUAAUUGAGGAUGUCUUAGUUCAAGUUGAUAAUUUCUACUAUCCGGUAGAUUUUGUUGUUUUUGAUAUGGAUUCUACUGUAAAGGAAGCUAAUUCAGUUCCUAUCAUCCUUGGAAGGCCAUUCUUUGCUACCUCAAAUGCAAUCAUCAAUUGUAGGAAUGGACUCAUGCAACUCACUUUUGGCAACAUGACACUUGAGCUCACCAUUUUUUAUAUGUCAAAAAAGCAAAUCACUCUGGAAGAAGAAGAAGGUCCAGAAGAGGUAUGCAUUAUCGACACUUUAGUGGAGGAGCACUGUAAUCAGAAUAUGCAAGAUAAGCUGAAUGAAGGUCUUGGGGAUCUUGAAGAAGGGUUGUCUGAACCCCCUGAUGUGCUUGCUACUCUACAAAGUUGGAAGAGAAGAGAAGAGAUUCUACCUUUGUUCCAUAAAGAGGAAGGAGAAGCUGCUGAAGAAGAGACCCCAAAGCUCAAAUUGAAGCCUCUGCCCGUGGAGCUGAAAUAUACAUACCUUGAAGAAAAUAAUCAAUGUCCUGUUGUUAUAUCUUCAUCUCUUACCGGUCAUCAGGAGAUUUCUCUACUUGAAGUUAUCAAAAGGUGCAAGAAAGCAAUAGGAUGGAAAAUAUCUGACUUGAAAGGAAUCAGUCCUUUGGUUUGUACACAUCACAUAUAUAUGGAGAAAGAAGCUAAACCAAUUCGUCAACCUCAAAGAAGAUUGAAUCCUCAUUUACAAGAAGUGGUGCGGACUGAGGUGCUGAAGCUACUCCAAGUAGGUAUUAUUUAUCCCAUAUCUGACAGCCCUUGGGUGAGCCCUACUCAAGUGGUACUAAAGAAGUCAGGGAUUACUAUGGUUCAGAAUGAGAAAGGAGAAGAAAUUGCUACACGCCUCACUUCAGGUUGGAAGGUGUGUAUUGAUUAUAGAAAGUUGAAUGCUGUGACAAGGAAAGAUCAUUUUCCAUUGCCGUUUAUUGAUCAGGUGCUGGAGAGAGUCUCUGGCUAUCCUUUUUAUUGUUUCUUGGACGGGUACUCAGGGUAUUUCCAAAUUGAAAUUGAUGUUGAAGAUCAGGAGAAAACCACUUUCACAUGUCCGUUUGGAACAUAUGCCUACAGAAGAAUGCCUUUUGGUUUAUGCAAUGCACCUGCAACAUUCCAAAGAUGUAUGCUUAGUAUCUUUAGUGAUAUGGUGGAGCGAAUUAUGGAGGUUUUCAUGGAUGACGUCACCGUAUAUGGGGGUACAUUUGAGGAAUGCUUAGUCAAUUUGGAAACAGUUCUUAAUAGAUGCAUUGAGAAGGACUUGGUGCUCAACUGGGAGAAAUGCCAUUUUAUGGUACGUCAAGGAAUUGUCCUUAGCCAUAUCAUCUCCGAGAAAGGCAUUGAAGUUGAUAAAGCAAAUGUGGAGCUUAUUGUCAAAUUACCGUCCUCAACAACUGUGAAAGGAGUAAGGCAAUUUCUUGGCCAUGCAGGGUUCUAUAGGAGAUUUAUACAAGACUUCUCUAAGCUUUCAAAACCUCUUUGUGAGCUUUUGGCUAAGGAUGCUAAGUUUAUAUGGGAUGAAAGAUGUCAAAAUAGCUUUGAUCAACUGAAGCAAUUCUUGACAACUGCUCCGAUAGUAAGGGCUCCUAACUGGCAACUACCCUUUGAAGUGAUGUGUGAUGCCAGUGACUUUGCUGUAGGAGCUGUACUUGGCCAAAGAGAAGAUGGGAAGCCCUACGUGAUCUACUAUGCAAGCAAAACAUUGAACGAAGCUCAAAGGAACUACAUAACUACAGAGAAAGAUUUGUUAGCUAUGGUGUUUGCCUUAGACAAGUUUCGUGCUUAUCUAGUAGGGUCUUUCAUCAUUGUUUUCACUGACCAUUCAGCCUUGAAGUAUUUAUUGACAAAGCAAGAUGCUAAAGCAAGGUUGAUUAGAUGGAUUCUUUUGUUACAAGAGUUCGAUCUCCGAAUCCGAGACAAGAAAGGGGUGGAGAAUGUGGUAGCUGACCACCUUUCAAGGUUGGCUAUAGCACAUAAUUCCCAUGUAUUACCUAUUAAUGAUGACUUUCCUGAGGAAUCACUUAUGUUGCUAGAGAAAGCUCCUUGGUAUGCUCAUAUUGCUAACUAUUUAGUUACUGGUGAAGUUCCAAGUGAGUGGAAUGCACAAGACAGGAAGCACUUCUUUGCAAAAAUUCAUGCUUAUUAUUGGGAUGAGCCUUUCCUUUUCAAGUAUUGUGCAGAUCAAAUAAUACGGAAGUGUGCCCCUGAAGAAGAGCAACAAGGAAUCCUCAGCCAUUGCCAUCAAAAUGCAUGCAGAGGCCACUUUGUCUCUCAGAAAACAACCAUGAAGGUCUUGCAAUCAGGGUUUACUUGGCCAUCACUUUUCAAAGAUUCCCACAUCAUGUGUAGGAGUUGUGAUAGAUGCCAAAGACUCGGGAAGCUUACAAAAAGAAACCAAAUGCCCAUGAACCUCAUCCUUAUAGUUGAUCUUUUUGAUGUUUGGGGUAUUGACUUCAUGGGACCUUUCCCAAUGUCUUUUGGUAACUCUUAUAUAUUGGUGGGGGUUGACUAUGUUUCCAAAUGGGUUGAGGCAAUCCCCUGUAAACAUAAUGAUCACAGGGUGGUUCUCAAAUUUCUUAAGGAGAACAUCUUCUCAAGAUUUGGGGUGCCCAAGGCCAUAAUCAGUGAUGGAGGUACUCAUUUUUGCAACAAACCUUUUGAAACCGUAUUAGCCAAGUAUGGAGUGAAGCAUAAGGUAGCUACACCUUAUCAUCCUCAAACUUCCGGGCAAGUGGAGCUAGCAAAUAGGAAAAUAAAAAACAUGCUGAUGAAAGUGGUGAUUGCAAGCAGAAAAGAUUGGUCUAUUAAGCUACAUGAUUCAUUAUGGGCAUAUAGAACAGCUUAUAAGACUAUUCUUGGCAUGUCCCCCUAUCGUCUCGUCUAUGACAAAGCAUGCCACCUCCCUGUGGAAGUUGAAUAUAAGGCGUGGUGGGCAAUCAAGAGGUUGAACAUGGACUUGAUCAGAGCUGGAGAAAAGAGGUGCUUAGACCUUAAUGAGAUGGAGGAAUUAAGAAAUGAUGCUUACAUCAAUUCCAAAAUUGCAAAACAGAGGAUGACGAAGUGGCAUGAUCAACUAAUCUCCAACAAAGAAUUCCAUAAAGGACAAAAAGUUUUGCUUUAUGAUUCAAGACUCCAUGCCUUUCCAGGGAAGCUCAAGUCAAGGUGGAUAGGCCCUUUCAUUAUUCACCAAGUGCAUCCUAAUGGAGUGGUGGAAUUACUGAAUUCCAAAACCACCGACAUUUUCAAGGUCAAUGGUCAUCGUCUCAAGCCAUUCAUUGAGCCAUUCAAACCAGAAAAGGAGGAAAUCAACCUCCUUGAGCCACAGAAAGCCUGAUCAGAGAAGGGAUAGAUGGACUUGGUUUCACCAAAGUCCAUGAUUUUGUUAAAUAUGUUAAUUUUUAAGUCUUAUAAAUUAUUUGAUCGUAAAUUUGAUCUUAAAUUUUGUUAAUUGUAAGAUCAAGAGCUCAGGCCCAGCACACUACCAUCCUGGGGCAGAUCCAGCAUCAUCUCGGCAUUACAUUAGCUCCUAAGCAUGCCAUUUCCCAGCUCAUCAGAGCCAUCACAGGCCCCUCCUUUUGUUGAUUAGCCUAUGCCUCAUUAAGAGCCUCCUAUAGGAGAGGCAGCUGAGUAUCACUCCACGUCAUUCAGGAGGUACCACUUCCUCCCUAUGUUUCAAUCACUUUUAUCACAUUGAGGACAAUGUUCAGCUUGGUUGGGAGGAGAGUUGAGGAAUUAAGUUUUUGUUAUUAAUGCGAAGUUAUUUUGGUAAUUUAGUUGCUUUUUGCUUAAUUUUAAAAUUUUAAAAGUUUUUAUUCUACUCUCCAUGCUUAUUAAGGAAAAAAAUUUCAAAUUGAAAUAGGAGAAAUUGAAUUUUUGUCUUUUCACUUGACUUAGAGUUUGUAUUAUGCUUAUUAAAAUUGAUGAAUUGUUGAAACUUCUAUUGAAUUCGAGCUUAUGUCUUCCACUUUAAGCUAUUCACACACUGUGCACAAUAGGUUCCGAGUAUAAGAUGAAAAACUAUUUCCCUUUUGACUUAGGAAAAUUUUAGACUUGGUACCUUUGACCUUAUUUAAUAGUGUUGGAACACCUUAUAAAAUGCCAAUGAGCCUUUGAAAAAAAAGAAGAAAGAAAAAAUGUUUGCUUGCCUUGAAACCCGAGUAAGGUCCGAGGGGUAUAUGGUGAAAAUCUUUAAAACCUGGUGCCCUAAGCCUUCAUUGGUUGGGAGUCACCGACCUCAAUGCUCAUUACAAGGGUGAAUAAGUGGAGUUUAACAUACUGUAGGUGCUUGGGUAUUAAAAUUUUAUUCUCAAAAGUCCGGGGUAAAAUCCAAGGAGUUAGUGGUUGAAAUAUCCUUAAAGCUUGAUGCCCUAAACCUUAAUUGGUUGGGAGUCAUCGAUGGACCCUCGUUACAUGGACAAUUUAGAAAAGAAUACCCUUAAGCCUUGUACCCCUGCAAUGAAAAAAAAAAAAAAAGGGUGCGUUCUUAGCCUAUUGAAGUUGGUCAGUUUGCUAAGUGUUGAAAAAAGCUAGGUUGGGGGGAGAGAUUAGUUUAGCAUACUAUAUUCGGAAGCUAUCAAGUAACACUUAGAUUUUUGUGGAAGAGUAAGGAUUGGUCCUUUGGAAGUGGAAAUGAAUUUAAAGCUUAAAUUUGCAUAAUGCCUUCUCUUUAAGAAUUGUGAUUAGAUAAGUUAUUUGAUAACUCUUGAUGAAGUUUAAGUUUUAUUUCUUUAAUGUUCCAUGUGAGAGUUAGAUCAUCAUGCCACUUGGAAAUUGUUUUUGGAUCAGCAUGAUGUUGUAAAUUAUAGUACUGUUUAUUUUUAUUUUUCUCUCCUUCAUUGCUAAGGGACUAGCAAUAUGUCGGUUGGGGGGAGUGAUUACUACUCACAAAGUACUAUUUCAUAGAUUGUAAUUAACUCUUUUAAACACUUUUGAGUAGUAGUUAUCACCUUUUAACCCAAUUAACAUAUUAAGGACCCUUGCAAUCAAUUCUAAUCAAAUUAUGUUAAGUUUUGGUGUUUUGAUAGCUUUUUGAUCACCAAAACAAUCCGAGAUUGAGGAAAGUUCUUUGGAAUCCUUAAGCAAAUCCAUAAUACAAGGAGUAUGGGAUCCUGCACAUUCCAUCCGGCUGUCGCCACUUUACACCCGGAUGUAUCACAUCCGGAAAUCUGCUGCCGCCAUCAUUCCAUCCGAAUGUCUUACAUCCGGAAUUCAGGAGCCGGAUAGGAGAGAAGGGCGUUUCAACUUCUCCGGAUAGACAUAUCUGGAUCCGCCGAUAGCGCUCACCCGGAGGAUUUCGCAGCAAUUUUGUACAGUGCCGCGGUGUUCUCCUGAAGCUUCUCUAUAUGUGCGACCGACAUCUUUAGAUAUUUUUCUUUAGAUAUUUGAUGUCUAAAUCCCCAAACUCUCCUUGUAACCCACCAAUUAUAGGAUUCCUUAGUUAUUAAGUUUGGAAAAAUGAUGAAUAACCUUGUAGAUAUUAUUAUUGUAAUUUUCAUAUAAAUAUCUCUCGGGAGCUUGUUCUCGGGACGACGCAACUUUUGUAUAAUUUUCAAAGGAAGAAAAAUACAGAGCUUUGCUCUGCUUUUAUCUUCUCAUUUUGAUUGUAUUUUCUUACUAGCCAAACAAGUUCUGAGAAUGUUUCAUCAGAGAAUGAGUGGCUAGACUUUUAGUUCCUUGGAGUUAAGGUUGCCGGGAAAGGUUCCAAGUGUAAGAAUUAGUAGCUUUGUGGUUUCAGCCAUUAAUGAAGAGAAAGUGUGACCAGUUAAUGGUUUUAUCUUUUUAGUUAACUUAAAACGCCUUUAAAUCACUUGGGCCAACACUUGAUAAGGCAAGUAAUCUCCAUCCAUAGAGAUGCACUAGUUUAUCUCUUGCGAGCCUUUGAGAGGUGGUUUGAAGGUAGGAUUUUCUAGAAUAGCCAACACUUGGUAAGCUUUUGGACUCCACGGAGACAUCCAUUAGUUAUCUCUUACGAGCUUUUGACGGGUAAUCCAAGGUUAAAGAUCACCUUGAAUGGCAAGUGCUAGGUGAGAGGUAUGAGCCAUUGCAAGGUGCAUCAGUGAGAGAGAAUUAUUAUUUGAAUCCAUUAAGGGGAAGCAUCUGUACAAAACCGGUUAGAGAAUUGACUAUAUGUUAAUUCUCUAAUGCGAGGAAAUGAACCAAAUGACUGGAGCUCUGUUUUUGCAUAAGAAACCUCCCUUGUGAACUUAAACCUCCAAGGAAUGUUUUUUUUUAUAAGUAAUUUCCAUUACUUCCUUUGCCGUUAGUUUAAACCUAAACCUUUUUCAAUCAAAGUUUGUGUUUUAUUUCUCAAGCUAACCUUGAAAUGAAAAGACACCAAUUCAUCUUUGAAUUGGUAUCAUUUAUGAAUUGAAAACCCUUCCCAGUGAACGAUCCUAGAGCCAUUAUGCUAUAGUAGCUUUGUCUUUGCUACCCUAAUCAUGGUGUAAUAGGUUAUAAAUUUUGUUGAUUUCUCCCUCAAUCAAGGAGCGCCAGCUGGACAUGACCAGCUGAUACACCAAUUGGGCACGAAUCAACUGUUGCAAGGAGUCUUGGACUUUCAAUAGGUAUUAGGACAUGCGUUCGUCUUUAGCUUCAUAUUCUUUUUGUAUAUGCCCCACGAUGAGCUGAGAAUCACUAUAGAUCCUCAGUUUAGAAGCAGAGAGUGCGAAGGCUAGGUUUAGUUCAGACAAAACUGCUUCAUAUUCAACUUCAUUAUUUGAUGUAGGGAAUCCUAGCCGGAUAGCCUGCUCUAGUUGUUUGCCUGUCGGAGAUCUUAGAAGGAGGCCCACUCUUGAUCUGGACGACCGGGAGGCUCCAUCAACCUACAAAAUCCACCACCCUUCCUCGCCAAUCUCCGUGCUUUAGGUAUGCUGUCGGGGAACCUCGGCUAUGAAAUCAGCCAUGACCUACCCCUUCAUAGACAACCUAGGUUGAUAUUCAAUUCCAUACUCACUCAACUCUAUGGCCCACUGGAGCAUUCUUCUUUAUAUGUCUGGCUUAUGCAAGAUACUUCGAAUUGGUUGGUUAGUGAGCACGACUAUUGGAUGAGCUUGGAAAUAUGAGUGAAUUCUCUAAGCGGCAUUUCGCAAAGCUAAGGCGGUCUACUCCAUUUUUUAGUACCUAGUCUUUACGUUGGCCAUCGCUCUGCUGAUGAAAUAGACAGGUCUUUGUUCUUUAUGCAACAGGGAAUGAAACAAUACAAUGCUAAUCGCCCAAUCAGAUACUGCAAGGUACAUGUACAAUUGCUCUUUAGGUUGAGGGUUGCUCAAAAUGGGGGGUUGUGUAAGGUAAUGUUUGAUUUCAUCGAAUGAAUUCUGGCAGCCGUCCAUCCACUCUGUUGCAUUGGCUUCUCUGAGCACUAGAAAGAAGAGUUGCAACUUGUCUGUGAAUCAAGCUAUGAAUUGUCCGAGCGCAACAAGCAUGUCUAUGAGGCGUUGCAGCUUUUUUUUGCUCCUAGGCUCAGGUGUAUUCAUGAUUGCCUUGAUUUGGUCUGGUUUGACUUCUAUUCCCCUCUAGGAGAUCAUGAAUCAUAGGAAUUUGCCUAAGCUUACACCAAGGUGCAUUUAGACGAGUUGAGCUUCAUACUCUAUCUUCUCAACAGAUUGAAAACUUCUUGCAAAUGCUGGGCAUGCUUUUCUCGGGUUUUUCUUUUGACCACUAUAUCGUCAAUGUAUACCUCUACCAUGCGACUGAUCAGAAGUUUGAAGAUUUUAGUCAUCAACCUUUGGUAAGUGGCUCCAGCAUUUUUGAGCUAGAACGACAUGACCUUGUAAUAGUAGAGUCCGUGCAGCAUUAUGAAGGUGGUUUUUUCUUUGUCCGUUAGAGCCAUAGGGAUCUGAUGAUAUCCAGAGAAGGCAUCUAGGAAAGAGAGCAUCCCAUGUCCAAAGGUGGAGUUCACUAUCUGGUUUAUCCAUGGCAGUGGAAAACUAUCUUUGGGGCAUGCGUCGUUGAAGUUAGUGUAGUCACGCAUACUCGCCACUUCCUUUUUUUCUUGGGAACCACCACUACAUUAGCCAGUCAUUCUAGAUAAUCAACUUCCCUAAUGAAUUUAGUUGCCAACAACUUUUCUACCUCACUUUGAAUGAUCUUUUGUCUAUCCGGAUGAAAUCGUUGGGCCUUUUGCCGUAUAGGUCUUGAUGAUGCUAGGAUGUUGAGUCAAUAAGAGGCGACCGAUGGAUGGAUUCCAGGCAUAUUGGACUGUGUCCAUGCCAAAACAUCUCUGUUUUGCUGGAGUGUGUUUUGAAGGUGUUGCGUCUCGUUUGGCUGUAAGAGGGAACUGAUGUGCAUAAAGUGAUCUUCUCUCUUCUAGACCUGAACGAUUUGCAAGGGAUCUACUACCGGGGAAUCCUUAUCCGCUGGAUAUUGCAAUUUCUAUUGGUCAGGCUAGUCUGCUUGCUUAGAGGGAGACUCACGAUCCUUGCUGGAUCUAGUCUCCCAUACAACUUGGUAACAUUGAUGGGCAACCAACUGUCUACCGUAGAGAUCGAUCUAUCCAUCAUGUGUGAUGAAAUUCACCAUCUGGUGAUGUGUGGAAGGGAUGGCCUUCAUGCUGUGCAACCAGGUACGCCCCAGGAUAGCAUUGAAGGGUGAUAAAUCUUCUACCACUGAUAAUUGUACAUUAAGGGUGAUUGGACCUGCUUGGAUUGGUAGUACGAUAUCCCCAAGGGAUGUUGUUGAGGCCCCAUUGAACCUUGACAGUAUCCGUCCCGGGUUCUCCAAGCUGGAGGGCAUAAAUCCCAUUUGUUUAACUACAAACACUUGUAAGAAAUCUGUCGAGCUACCCGGGUCAACCGGAAUCCUCCUCACAUCGAAGUCACCAAUUCCUAAUGUCAAGAUGAGGGUGUCUCGGUGCUGUUGCAACACCUGGGCAAGGUCCACUAGAGGAAAGAGGAUUACUUCAUCUAUUGGGUGAGCGUUUCCGCUAGCUAGAUCAAGCCGGAUGGAGCUAAUAUGCUCUCGGACCGUGACGGCUCGUAGCAACCUCUGCCUCUUCCUCUUGGAGUUGUACUUUUCAUCCAAGGGUCCAUCAUGGAUGUAGUUAAUUAUGGCUCUGGGAAUAACGGGAGCUAAGGGAGCCCUGGGGGCUUGAUUGUGACUCUUUACUCCUGAGUGGACAUACUAUUUUAGAUGUCCUACUUUUAUGAGUUUUUCCACCAGAUAAUGGAGACUUCUGCAUUGCUCCGUGGUAUGUCCAUGCUCUUUGUGAUAAGCACAUUUUUUUUAGUGAUCUCUUUUGGUUGGAUCCGUUUUCAGUGGUUCUGGCCACCUGAAAUUAGACAGCUCACGAAUCAAAGAGAGUAGCUUCUCAUACGUCACGAUGAGAGGUGUAAGCGGGGAUUGUUCCUGUUGGCGUUGCUCACCUUGCCUCAUUUCGGGAGGCCUUCUUUGACUUGAAGGCUUGAGGUUCCUUGCCGCGUCGUUUCUGACCGAUUGGCCGGUGACUAAGAUCUAUUGUGUGGCUACACGGACAUCAUCUUCCAACAUAGAAUAUUUUUUUGCGAGCCGAAACAGAUCAUCUAUAGUCGUGGGAGGUUUUUUGGCAAGAGAUUCAAAAAAUAGCGCACCCAGACAUAUGCUACGCUUGAAAAUUUGGAGGACAACAUCCAAGUUGUAGGAUUCCACUUGCAAUACAGCUUGUCCAAAGCCCUUCACGAACUCUCUUAGGGACUCAUUCUCCUGCAUUUUUAUGUUUUGCAAGGUGUCGAUAUUUUGCUUAUACCGAGCUAUGCAUAGGUAUUGUCCCACGAAGGUUUCUAACAGAUCCCUGAAAUUAUCAACCAAAUUCAUGGGGAGCCGAUGAAACUAUGAGAGAGCUUGGCCUUGGAGGCUAGCGGAUAAGACUUUGCAUAAUAGCAUGUCAUUCCCUAUGUCCAAAGUCAUGAGCUGCCGAUAGUUCAUGAUAUGGUCAAACGGAUCGUUGGAUCCAUCAUACGCAAAAAAUUUUGAGACGAGGAACCCUCUUGGGGGUUCGUAGUUGAUAAUAUGAGGAUUGAAAGGCAUGGAGAGCAUGUCGUCCAAUCAUCUGCUAAUGGAGAUUGAGGGGGCUUCAUUUGCUGGAUCUCCCCCGACUUGUUGUAGUGGUUGGUGCGGGGUAUAACCCUAUGAGAUGGGCGCGGCUGAGGGCCCGGGGUAUGUCCCCUAUGUCAUGGCUAUGUGCGACCUAUCUUUGCCGGGAGCUUAAGGUCCUAACCUUGCAUGCAUCGCGUCAGAUAAUUGGGGUCUCUUAUCACGUUGCCUCUUUGAUGAGACACGAGUAGAGUCAGAGUUUUCGUCUUGCGGUGCGCGAUACGCAGGUAAAGGUCCUUUGUUAGGCCAUACACCACGUACAUUAGGGGGAGGUCCCGCUCUUCCAAGAUAUGUGGCCUCCUGGUUAUGCCUAGAGUUUGUUCCUUGGUCUCUUGGUCGGUGGUCACGAGGAGGUUCUGAGGAUGAAACUUGGAUUCUCAACACCUUGUUUUCCUCCUUGAGUUUCCUCGUUUCUUAGAGCAAGGCUUGUACCUGCCAUUUGCUUUCUUGCUGUCGUCUUUCCAUGCUCUUAUGCUAGUCAAAAUAACCUUCAUUACUCAUAGUUGAUGAACGACUUCUUGAGGGUGUGGACAUCUUCGUAAAGGAGAAAGUCGAGUUCCCACAGACGGCGCCAAUGUUGAAGUCGCGACCCACAGGGAUAUUUGUGUCUCCCUGACGUUGGUGCUUGAUCAACUAAGAGUGAUGCUUCCUUCCUUGUUCCUACAAAAGAUGUCCGGACAGGUUGUCUGGACACACCCUCCGAAGCUCUUAUUACUUUGACAAUUCUCUUUACUCUUUCCUUUUAGGAAUCAAUCUGAAGUUUGUCUUACCUCCUCUCUUCGUUGAGUUCCCUCAAGGGUUUUAUAUAGUCUGGAGUUUUUGUUCUCACAUCUAGGCUAGUGGGGUUCAUUUACUUCCACAGUCAUCAUGGUUGCUCAUAGGCUGGCAGCACAAUCAUUACUUUUUUGGGUGAUGGAUGGUGAUUGCUAGUGGGGCGAUCGGGCUGCACAUCUAUCACUUCAUUCCAUAGGCGGCAGAGUGUAAAAUGUGUCAGGUGGCCUGAAAAGACAUGAAGAUGUCCCAACUAGCACGCCUUUAAUGGAAGGCGAAUGAUGGAUUGUGGAGUAUGGUCAGAGACGUUGUUUGGAGCAUGUCCUACGGCCUCGUAAGAGCAUGGGCAUCUGGCCGUUGAUUGCUGGAUCCGGAUAAGAUGGAUCCAACAUGUAUGUUACUGGCCAGUGGAUCCCGUCUGGAUAGAGGCAAAGGCUGCCACGUGUCUACAGAAGGUUUGCCAGUGAGGGUAAGGCAAGCAACCACGUGUCAGCUCAGGAGAAAGGUCCUACACUAGCAGUCGAAAAUUCAACUCCUAACAAUUUUAGUUAAUAAAAUUAUAAGUAUAAAUUUAUAAUUUCUCAAUUUUAAAUUGCUUUGUUUUAAAAAAAAAACAUAAUGUUAUUGAUUUAUAUUUGCAAAAAAGCAAAAAUAAUCUCCAAUUUUAUCAAUUAUACCCAUUCACAUAUGUAAAAAUCCAUUCAAAUUUAUAUCAUGUUUCUAAUUGUAAAAUACCUUUUUCUAAACUCAAUAGCUAUUUUUUGAAUAAAUAAUAUUAUAUGAAGAGCUUGAUUUUAUUAUUUAUUUAUUUAUUUAUUGUUUUUUGAAUUUUGAGUUGAUUGCUUAGCUAGUGAGUUUGUGAUGUUGUCAUUAUCUAGCUUGUAGGAUUCAACUACACAAUGCUCAUCAUAUAUACUAAAAAAAUAAAUUUAAUGAAUUUAUUUUGAGUUUUCUUAUAUAGUAUUGAAUUCAUGAGAACAAGAGAUAAAAAAAAUAAUAAAUAAUAAUAAAUAAAUUAAAAUUUACCCAUACGAGAAAAUGAGCUUUGAAUGAUAAUGGAUCCCGUCAACAAGAAAGGUAUUUAAAGCAAAAAAAAAAAAAGUCGAUGUGAUUGAAAAGAUAGGAUAGUUACAAAAGUUGAAUGAAUGUAUGAUUGUAAAAAAUUCCAUGAAUGUGAAGUUGAACUUUAAGAUUGUUCUCAAGAAACCAAUUAAAUACUAUUCAUUUGUAUUUUGUAAUCUUAUGUAAGUUAGAAUAGAGUCAUUGAAACUUUUACAGAUCCGACAAGCGAAAAUCCUUUCUUUUCUUGAAUGAUUACUUGAGUUCAACAUAUUUAGACUAGUUCUGAGUCCUAAUUUUCAAUCCUUGGAUGAACUUAUGGGUCUAAUUAGUACAAUGGACCUUGAAAGAAUAUUGAAUAUGUUAGUUGAUUACAUAAUAGAAAGAUCUAAAACUUAAGGAUUAAAAAGGUAAAAUUUUGAGAGGUUGAUAGCAUAUACUUCAACGGAUUCUAGACAUCAAUUCAUGAGGAGUCUUCAUGUAGUGAAUAAUAGGGUAUAAACCCAAGUUUAUAUUUUCUUCUAAUAUUGUAGGGUACUACAGUGAAGUUGACUCUUUAUAGUGGGAUGCCAAGUCAACUUCAAAAUUUAAUUUUGUGGGAGCUAGUAUUUGUUGGGAUAGAGCCCUAUAAAGCAAGUCAUUUUGUGACAGAUUUUAGAUUAAUUAAUCAACUUAUUUAUUUAUGGUUCUGGUUCUAUUUAUUAUCUCUUCUUGCAUUAAUUUUUUAUCAAAGCAUCACAUUUUGUAUCAUUUAUGUUAUAUAUAACUUGAGUGCAUUAGGAGUUAUAUAGAAGAUAUAAGUCAUAAAUUUUUGAGAAGGUGAUAAGUGAUUUACAGUCAAUUUAUAGAUUUUGACAAUUCAUAAAAAACUGUAGUGCACUAUCUCCUAAUUAAAGAGAUAAUUUGUCUUAAAUCAUCAUGAUAGUUUGAUUUGAAAUUAUUUUUAUUAAUUAAUAAUUCUUUGUAUUAAGUAUAGUUUGAUUUGAAAUUUAUUUAUUUAAUGAAAAAUUUUGGAGAGAUUAAAGAAAAUUUUUAAAACAAGUGUAAUUCAAAAGACGAUCAUACUUGAAGAUUUUCAAUUCAUAUCAAUAUUGGAUCGUGGAAAUAGAAGAGGAAAGAUAUCAUGUUAAAUUUUCAUUGCUUUUUUAUGGGUUUUUUUUAAAAAAAAACAAAAUUUUGUUAAUGUUUUUGUUUUGUUCUUAAAAAUUGAUGAAAACAAUUUCAACUUCUUUUCUGAAAACCAUUCUCUAUUUCAUCAUGUUUUUAAAACCUGGAAACAUAAGACAACAAUCAAAUAAUGAUACAAAUUUUUUAAAAUUGGUUUUCUAUUAUUAAAAAUAGAAAUAUAUAUAUAUAUAUAUAUAUAUAUAUAUAUAUAUAUAUAUAUAUAUAUAUAUAUAUAUAAUCACACUACAAAAUAGGUUAUUAGUUUUUAUAUGAAAAUAUAUCCAUUUAUGAUAAUCCCUAGUUUAAUAAAAAAAAUAUUUAUAAAUUUAUUUUAAGAUAAUAUUUAUUUUGCAUAGAUCUGAUAUCAUAUUUUUUUAUAUUCAUAUUUUUAUAUUUAUGAUAGUCAUCUUCUUAUUAUGUUACGGGUUGCACAAAGCCCUUUAUGUGAUUUUUCUUCAAUUCUUUAUUUUAAAAUUUUUAAAGAACAAUUGAAGAUGAUCAUUUGCUAUUUUCACUCUUUCUAUUUUCUUAACAUAGUUUUCCAAGAAAUGAAAAUGCAAAAAGACCAUCCAAACAUGGUUUGAAGCAUGAUUUUUAUUUUCUUUGAACCUUUUUUCCCCUGCCACCAUGUUUCCCAACAAUGCGGAAAAGCUCCUGGGCUUGUGUUUUUGUCUCUUAUUCUCUUCUACUAAAGGAUAUUCCUAGGAUGCCUCCUGUGAUUCUUUCAUGUGUCUUGAAGUUUAGGGAAACAUUUGGAAAACAAUAAAAGGUCUUCUUUGUAGCUAUAAAAUAGUUCUUUCUCCAUCCGCUUGGGGAAGGCCCUAUGCAUUCAUUUUCUUCAUGUUUUAAGUAAGAUUAGUGUAACUUCUUUUUUAAAAGCAGAAAAGGUAUGAAUUUGUAAGCUUGUGAGUGUAGUCUCUUCUAUGAUUCUUUUAGCUUUUCUUAAGCCUUAACCCUGGUUUGGACCUUGAUGUGUCUUAAAUUACAGCUCGAACCUCUGCGUUUCUUAAGCUAGCCUUGGACUUUGGCAUAUCUUGAUCACCUGAACUUGGACAUUAACAUGUUUUGGGUCGGGCUCAGAUCCUAGUAUUGUCUUAUGUUAGGUUUGGACCUUGACAUAUCUUGACUUGAGCUUAGACGUUGCCAUGUCUUGGGUUGGGCUUGGAUGUUGGUUUAUCUUUAACUAUGACAUGGACUUGGAUUUCGGCUUGUUUGAGGCCAGGGUAUGGACUUAUACCUUGACUUGUUGAUGCCUAAAAUUUAAGCUGACGACUUUAGAUUUGCAUUAUUAUCUUUCUCUGGAUGAGACAAUUAUAGAAAAGGGGGUCUUGCCAAUCCACUUUUAUUCGAACUGUUUGUUCUUAUUCUCAACCAAGGAAGCAUUUUAUUUAAAGCAGAACACUCUAAAACUGCAGGGAUCUAGCGGCCAAAGCACAUAUUCCAAUCUUAUUACAAUGACAUCAAUAUACAUUAUUCCCUUAAUUUCCAUUGCUGACAUAUGGAAGAAGCUGGAAUUAGCUUUCAUUUGGUCAUACUGGCACAGGGUCAAUGAGCAAGGAUGCAAUAUUAUCAUUCAUCACUUUCCCAACAUGAGUGCAUUCAUUGUUUUCCUUAUAAGUGAUGUCUACCACUUGUGUAAGAUUCAGAACUCCGGUAAGAAUUAGGACCAACAUGGAAGUAGGUCUAAGGAACCCUUGGUUAAUUCCUUCCAUGCAUUCACAAUUUGCUUGUUAAACUCGUCAUAAGCUUAUUGCUCUAAGACACUAUAUUGCUUGACAUAGCAUUCAAUGGCUAAGGCAACAUGCCCUCUCUCUUGUUCAAACUUCACACAAAUAUAUAGUAAUGCAAAAUAUGAGGAAAAAACCACUAUACAAAUUGUUAUGAAUGAACCUAGAUGUAAUAUAUUCUACACGCAUACCUAAUGUGCAAUCAUGUCGUUCAUGGCUCAUGAGCCUAGUAAUUAAACAUACAGCUACUGUAAAAAAGUCAUUGUAAACCCCAUCAAAGGCUUCUUUUGUUAUCAUUUCUCCUAUUCCAAUGAAAAAAAAUGGUUGUGGCCAAGGGGAAGGCCGAGCUUACUCAUGCAACUUGCAUGUAUUACUGUAUGGUAGGUACAUGUUCUUAUUCCAAUCUUAUUACAAUGACAUUAAUACAUGUUAUUCCCUUUCCAUUGCAGACAAUAUGGAAGAAGCUAGAAUUAACUUUCAUUUAUUUACUCAUACCGACACAGGGUCAAUGAAUAAGGAUGCAAUAUUAUCCUUCAUCACUUUCCUAACACGAGUGUAUUCAUCGUUUUCCUUAUAAUUGAUGUCUACCACUCGUGUAAGAUUGAGAACUCCUGUGAGGAUAGGGACCGACAUGGAAGUAGGUCUCAGGAACCCUUGGGUAAUAUCCUUCCAUGGAUUCGCAAUUUGCUUGUUAAACUUGUCAUAAGUCUAUUGUUUUGAGACACAAUAUUACUUCACAUAGCAUUCAAUGGUUGAGUCAACGUACAUGCCCUCUAUUUUCUUCAGCAUUCCUAGCAUACCUUUCUUUCCUUCCCAAGGCCGCACAUGUUUUUUCACUUAAAAUUGGAGAACCUUCCUUUCUUCUCACCGAAGCAGUGCACUUUACUUAUAUUUUUCUUCAAUUGGUGCACUUUUAUCUAAAACUUGACUGCUUCCUAUCUUCUUUUCUUCUUCUUAAAGUGGUGCACCUUUGUUACUUGACACAUCUUUUUACCUUAGGGACUUGGUGCACCCUUGGAUUGUGCGACCAUGAUAUAAUAAAGACUUCGUGAUUUUUUUUUUUUUGAUGACGUUAUUGUGUCAGGAUAGAGAAAGUUGUGAGAGAGGUCAAGGAAUCAAAAUGAGAGAAGUUGGGGUUUAGAGUGGGAACGAAGAAUGGUAUUUGAUGAAGAUCUCGGUUUAAAAUUGAAAAUUUAGUCUUCAUAAUAUUUUUCUUUGAUUUGAGAUUUGAUUUCAGAAGUAUACGAAAAUUAAAAAGGAAAUUUAGGAUUAGAGUUAGGGUGUAAUUUUUUUUUUCUCCUAUUUAAGGUUUGAUUUAGGAAGAGCAUAAAGAUUUGAAAUUAGAUUUUCUUUGUCCAUUUAAGGUUUCAUUUGGGACGUGCAUAAAGAUUUUUUUUUAAAAAAUUAAUAUUUUUUUUCCACUUAGGAUUUGAUUUGGAAAUUUAAGUUUUCAUUUGGGCAAUAGAUGAAGAAGAUUAAAAAAGGAAGAAAAAGAUGAUAUUUUAAUUUUUAUUUAAUAUCUUAAUUUUAAUUAUCUAAAAUUAUUUAAUUAUUCUAAUUAAUGAUACUUUGAGGUUAAUUGUGAUUAUUAUAUUUAAUUAAAAUUAACUAAAAUUAAUUAUAUAUAAAAAUCUUAAAUUAGGAUCAAUGGUAUUUUAGAAAUUUUUAUUAAGUUUAGUUGGUAGUAAUUUGACUAGAAUUAGGAGUAGAUUAUUUUGUAGAAAGUUUAAUUAGAAUGAAUUAAAUCUUUAUAUUAAAAAAUUACUUAAGAAUAAUUAGAUAAUGAGAUAAGAUAUACUAAGAUAAAUAAAAGAUACUUUAGGCAUUUUCUUUCUAUUCUUUAACAGUGACAUCAUUAAUCAACUAACAAUCAAUCCUUAAGGUUAGUCAAUGAUUGAUUGAUGGUCAAGUUAUAUAAUGGUUGAUCAAGGGAGUGUUGAUAUAAUUUCAGAAUCCUGAAGAAUUAAAGAUAAGUUGCUUCAAUGAUUGAUUGUCGAUUGAAAUUUUACUCCUAAAAUAUGCUUGUGGCUUUAGCUUGUCAAAGAAUAUGCUGGGAAUCAGUUAUGCUUGGGUUACGAGUUCCAUAAGCUUACGGCUUUAGAUUUUCAAGAUUGUCUUUCUUUGGAUGAGACCGUUAUAGAGAAGAGGGCCUUGCCAAUCCGCUUUCAUUCAAACUGUUUGUCCUUUUUCUCAAUGAAACUCUAAAACUGUGAGAAACUAGCCGCCAAAGCACUUAUUCCAAUCUUAUUACAAUGCCAUCAAUGCAUAUUAUUCCCUUAAUUUCCAUUGCUGACAUAUGGAAGAAGCUGGAAUUAACUUUCAUUUGCUCAUACUGGCACAGGGUCAAUGAGCAAGGAUGCAAUAUUAUCUUUCAUCACUUUCCCAACAUGAGUGUAUUCAUCAUUUUCCUUGUAAAUGAUGUCUACCACUCAUGUAAGAUUGAGAACUCCGGUAAGGAUUGGGACUGGCAUGGAAGUAGGUCUGAGGAACCCUUGGUUAAUAUCCUUCCAUGCAUUUGCAAUUUGCUUGUUAAACUCGUCAUAAGCCUGUUGCUUUGAGACACUAUAUUGCUUCACGUAGCAUUCAAUUGCUGAGGCAACAUGCCCCCUCUCUUGUUCAAACUGCAUACACAUAUAGUAACGCAAAAGAUGAGGAAAAAAACUACUAUACAAAUUGUCACGAAUGAACUUAUAUGUAAUAUAUUCUACAUGCAUACCUUAUGUGAAGUCAUGUCAUUCAUGAGCCUAGCAAUUAAACAUGAAGCUAUUGUAAAAGGGUCAUUGUAAACCCAUUCAAAGGCCUCUUUUGUUAUGAUCUCGUCCAUGCCAAUGAAAAAGAUGACUGUGGUAAGGGGUAACGAUGAGCUUACUCUUGCAACUUGCAUGUAUUUGUCUAUGGUAGGUACAUUUCCUUCAUGGAACCAUUGUGCUUCAUCAAAGUAAGCGCCAAUCUGAAUUUUCAUCUGACAAAACAUUCCUCCACAUUACAUACUUCUACUUAUGCUUUAAUUUUUAGUAUAAACUUCUCGGAAGGUAAACUUAAUAUGAUUCCUAAACAUAACUUGAACCCAACACAUUUAUUUUUCUUGGAUUUGGGUUGAGUGCAAGUGAGUUUAGGUUAAGUUCAUAUCAAUCUGUAUAACCAUUUAAUAAAUAAAUUAUUUUUUUAUCAACUUGAAUGAUACUAAUUUGAUUUAAAUUGACCUAAUCUAAUAAUCAUAUUGAUUAACUUGAUUAUAAUUCUAGCUUAUUUAAUCAAUAUUCGAUUCAUAUAAAGCUUGAUUUUGGAUAUACUUUAAUUAAAAUUCAGUCACAAGCAUGUUAGGUUGGGAGAUCAAUAAUAUAAACCAUAUAAAAUCUAAUUCAAUUUUAUUAUUAAAUAACAUGUAAUUAUUAAAUAGGUUAUAUUUUACAUGUUUAAUAAUUAGGUGAUAUUUGAGUUGACCUAUUUAUUCGAUCUAUGAUAUGACACAAAUAGGAUCCAGACGAUUUGCCAACCCUAGGUUUCUAUGCCACUAUAAACCAACAUCAAAUCAAAUAGUAGGGCAGCUACAAUUAGAAAUCUCGUACCGCUUCUUUUGCAUGGUGGAAGCUGUAUGCUUUUCCUUCUUUAUCCAUCUCUUCUUCAAUUUCUUUGUAGACAUCUAAGAGUGCCUGAUAUAUUACUUUCAUGUGUUCUGGAAGUUGAUCGAUGCUAUUGAUAUCCCACCUGAGAAUCAAACAACACCAAGGUGGUGUUUGUUUUUUUGGCUUUUUGCUGAAAAUCAUUUAGUUUUAGAAUUUAGGUUGUUUGUUUUUUUACUUUUUCAUGACUUAUUAUAAACUUUUUACUAAAUAGAAAAAGCCAAAAUAUGUGGCUUUUUCUAAAUAGAAAAAAUAACACAAUGGUUUUUUUUUACUUUUUAAUACUUAAUAGAAAUAAAAUACUACAAAAACAAACAACCUAAUAUUUAAUACUAUUAAGUAUUAAGAUUCUAUUUAGAAUUAAGUAAAAAAACAAACACCAUCCAAGUCUUGAUUAAGUUUAAACACGAGUAUUUCAAAAUUGUGGACAAAAUCAAGGUGAAUUAUUUGCAUAUUAGAAAACCUUUCAAUCAUUUCUGCAAAAAGCUUAUGUUCUUCAAGCGAACCAUAUGCAUCAUACAUAUCAUCUAUAGUGGAUAUUAUGUAAAGUACUUUGGUCAGAAUUCUUCUAGCUCGUGAGUAUUGGGGCUCAAAAUACAUUGCAAGUACAAAGAAGUAGACCUCCACGACUCUAUCUCGUGCAAAUGAUAUCUUCACGGUAAAGCCUAGUUCUGUAUGCCACCUAAAAUAAAUUAAUAUGGUUAGCAGUAAGGGAACUGAUCAUAAAAUCACUAAGUAUAUGCGUGGGUGAUUUAAAAAUUGACCUAGAAAGAUUGCUCAGCUCUUCCUUGUGCAGUGACUGCAUCAGGUUGAAGUCUAACUUUGCCAGCUUCAGCAAAGCUUUAUCAUGCGAAGCUUCGUGUUUGUGGUAGAUAUAUACCACCUCGCCUCUAGUCUGUUCAAACCUUUCCUAACGGGCUGCUUCAGGGCAUGAGUAACCUGUUCUGCAAGAGGAUAUAUUCUAAAUGUUCUACUGCCGACUCGAGGUGAGUGGUGGUGAAGACAAGGGCUUCAUCAAGUAUUCCUUCUUCACGCACCCGGAUAUGUGUGGCUUCAUACAACCCUAGCAUGCCUCUCACAUCAUUGAUCAAAGAUUCCUGGAAGCCACCUUUUUGAUCCUUGAACUUAUUGAAUACAUCUACAUUUAUUCACAAAAAUAUGAUAUAAAAGCAUUCCGGAAUAAGAUUGUGAUGAUAUUAUGAAGAUUUCAUUUUAUCUAAUAGAUGAUAGUUCAUGCCUUACCACAUGACAGAUUGAAUCCUUGUUGUCUUAGGAGUCGAAAUUGAAGAGAAACAUUGUAUAAAUCAUCAUCUUUAUGCUCAACAUCAUAAUAGUUAUCAUACAUAUGUUUUAAUGCUUCUUCUAUCUCUCUUUCAAAGUGGUAUGCCACCCCAAGCCGUUGAAUUGCAUCUAUGUAGUUCAGCUGUUGUGAGGGAUUACCAGCGGCAGUUAUUAGCCUUCUUCUCACUUUCUCUUUCAGAUCUUCAACCUGCUUCUCUUUAUGGGCACGGGCUAUCUGUACCGGCAAAUUGCAUAGACAAACUAUUGCUGAGAUAGAUGGUUAAUAUACAUAUAUAGAUAGAUAGAUAGAUAGAUAUUAGAUAUCGUGAAUUACUUCAUCAGCUGGAGUGUAGCUAAUGAACCUCUCACCCCAUAUGCUAGGUGAAAAAUCUGCAGUUGGACGAUUAACCACUGGUUUAGCAUUUUGGGCAGGAGAACAUGCUGAUACUCUAAGGGGCAUGUUGGUUGGAACAAGAACUGGGGCACAGGUAAUGACCUGGUUACCCCAAGUUCUAAGGUGAAAGUUUGACAUUGGAGGGUGAAAGUUCAGUUUAGGAUUUUGGGCUGGAGAACAUUUUGAGAAGCUUAUAGACAUGUUUGUUGGAUUAACCAGUGUAUUUUUGUAUUCAUAAAUACACCGUCACUUUAACAAAGUACACGUCAGUCAUAACCUCAUAUUUUUGUAUUCAUAAAUACACCGUCACUUUAACAAAGUACACGUCAGUCAUAACCUCCAUUGGCAGCCAAAUGCCCAUGUAGUGCAUAUUGUAUUUAGUUUUUUCAAUCAUUCAACUCAAAUUAUGUUUGAAAGCAAAAAGGAUAAGCUGUUACUGUAGGAUAUAUAAUUUUAUUCAAUAGAUAAAAUAACAUUCAAAUGACCUUAAAUUUUUAUCAUAAUAUUAUUGAUAUGUUUAUAUUCCUCGCUUAUAAUCUCUUGGUAGUUGCAGAGAAAUCGAUCUUUUUGUAGAUGGUUAGAGUUUGUAGUAUUAAUUUACUUUUUAGGAGAAUUUUGGGCUUAUUUAGAGUUUUUGAAAUCUGUUUUGAAAAACUGUUUUUAAGACCAAUUUUUUUAUGUUUUUAGAAAAACAUAAUUGUGUUUAGAAUUGAAUUCUGAAAAAUAGCUUUUAUUCUAAAAAAAAACAUAUUUAAUUGAGUUAAUAAAAAAAAAAUAUAACAAAUAAGACAAAAAAAUAUAUCUGGAAGUUGUUGUUGUUUUUAAUUGAGAUUUUUUUUAACUAACUUGAUAUUGUAAUCAUAUACAUAAUUUUUAGAUUUACAUUUUAAUUAAAUUAAAAAACUAUUAUAUUAUGAAAUUUAUUUGCAUGAGUUAUAAUUUUUUCAACAAAGGAUUACUUUACCAGUAUAUUAUACAGAAUGGAAGUCUACAAAUUUGUCCACCAUUACUUCUUCACCUCAUCCUUGGACUACUAGUUCUUCAUUGCUUGUAGUCAUUUCCUUUGCAUACUCCUUUAGUUUAUACUCACUUUAAAAGUAGCCAUUACAUGAAAACCACCAUGUCAAAGUACACACUACAUGAGAAGAAUGUUUCAUUGUAAUGUAAUUGAUGAAGGGUAAUAAAGGGACUCAGAAAUGAAUACAACACCUUCUCUCCUUGUCAGCCCACCUCUGAACAAUUGAGCCGAACCUAACUCAAUGGUGUAGUUAAUACUUAGAUCAGGCCUACUUCCCCUGGAAGUUGUAAAAAUAGUCUAGGAAGAAUUUGUAGUGAACCACUCCAAUGCUAUGAGCACCUGCAAAUCAAAACAAUGGAACAGACAAAAACCAUUUUUUGUGACACUACAAGAACUAGAACAAGAGUAGAACCCGUAAAAUCAUAGUAAUCAAACACCAAAGGUCCCAAACCAGUGAUCCAUUUGCAAGAAAAGAGAAAUCAAAUUAAUGAAACACAAAUCACAAUCAUUUUAAAUAGAGCAGAGAUCAUUCAAAACCGAUGAAACUCUAGACGAUGUGUUAAUGAACCAGGAAAUAUUCUAAGAAAUCACACGAAGUGAUCUAUAUUAGCCUAGUGUUAAUAUAAAAGAUUCAUAAUUCCAAGAACAUAUGAUUCUCCAUUUUUGGAAACCACAACGCAAGAUAAGGGCUUCAAAGUAUCUAUCCUUUUUCAUAGUCUUAGUUUUUUAUCAACCAAAAUAGAGAAAAAAAAAAUACACAGCCUAUAAUCAAACCAAUUAAGUAAAAGACCACAAAUAUAUAUAUAUAUAUAUCAAAUUAAAGAUAUACUCCAAUCCAAAUCUCAAAACCAUAAAUUACUUUCAUGGAGAAGACAAAGAAAGGAAGAAAAAGACAAUACCUAAGAAACUGACAGUCUCCUUCUCAAUGAAUCCCCUUGAUGCAAAAGAUGCUAAGGUUAUUCUUAGCCUAACUGUUAGGCGAAAAGAAUCCAUAUGUUGCGACAUCUGCAAAAGCCUAACUGUUUUCUCUCCUGCCAAUAUCCAGAGGGUAGAAUAGGCCACCAGCCUAAAAUUCAAAGCUUCAUAACACCAUCAAAUAGCGUACAUACAAGAACAUGAACACAUAGAGAGACUUUUUACCCGAACAACACCUUCUCUGGCAGCUAAUAAAAGAAUAUCAGCACAUGAAACAAUUCCAGGGUAGGUUGCUUCCAGCUCUUCCUUGAUGGAGUCAAUUAUAUCAAAGCCUUUUAGAGUUUCAUUAGAAAGCGAAUCUUUCUUUGAAUGGAUUCCAUUAACCGCAUCCAACAGUACUGAUGCAUCACAUCCCUUGAUCAAUUUCAAUUAGCAAGUGGUGCAAACCAAUGACAAAUAAUCUUAAAAAUUUCCUCAUGAAUAUAGAAACAAUUUCAAGAAAUGAAAUGAAAUGAAAUGAAUUCACCUCAAAAUCUGAAAAAAAGAAAAAGAAAAAAAAAAAAAGACAAUCCAGACUAAAAUCAAUAAUGAAUAGGAAAAUUUUCUUCAAAACCAAGUUUGAAAUCAGAUUGAUUCUAGAAGAUCACUAGAAAAUUAAUGAAUCUUAGAUUAAAUAGUGAAAAAAAUAAUGACAAAUACAAGUGAACAUCAAGGAAAAUGAAUAAGAAAAAUCGCUUCAAGACCAAACUUGGAACCCAACUCAUGUCGAAUUCAGAAAAAAUACAAGAAACCCAUAUCAAAAUCAGUAAGAAAGAGGAAGAAAAACACCAAUGCAAAAUAUCAUAAACUUCUUCCCCCUUUUUGGUUUUUUUUCCAUUUCUGGUGCUUUGUUUUUGGACCCAAAACUACUAAGAACUUGCAAAUCACUGUCCUUAUGAAGAAAAGAAAAAAAAAAAAACCCUAAAUCUAGAUUUUCUCAACAACUAAGCAGAGUAACCAAGAAGAAGCAUGCAUGAAAACUAAAAGCCCUAUAGAAAUUUCAUGAUAAAUCAAAUGAGAGUGAAGAGAGGGUUGUGAAUUGCACUUGGGAUUUCUGCUGUAGGAUCUAAUUUCGCAAAGACUUCAUGAACAACUUGAAGUAGAUCAGGAUCAGUACCAGCUCCACGUUUAUAUUGAAACAUUGGAUUAAGAAAGAAUGCUACAAUAGUAAAGUAGAAAUGUAGAAUUAGAAUGUUAUGAAAAAAAUAUAUUAAAUAGAAAUAACUUUUGAAGAUGGAUAAUACUUAGUUACCUGCUGCAUAAAGAGGAUGUUUAAGAGUUCUAUCCCAACAAUCUGUGAUUAUUUCUAACACCCAUUCUCUAGCAUUAAGCCGAAUGAGGUUCUCUUUCAUAACUCAAAUCAAUUUGUACACAAAUGGCAUUGUAGGAACAACUUCUGAAUGGACAAUGCGAAGAAUCAUGUAUAGCGCCUCAUAGAUUGACACUAGUUUUCCCAUUCUCUCCCAAUACGCAUGGUCAAACAUAAGUUUUUUUAACUUUUUUGUUGAUUAAUGUGCGACUUAACUUGUGUUGUGCCCAUUCAUCACUGAUAAACACUUUAUUCAAGUUCGCCUUCUUUUUUAAAAGACUUUCAAGGGAAAUAUAAUUGGUUGCAAAUCUUGUUGUUCCAGGGCGAACCAUGUCUCCACCACACACCUUCCACAUCUGCGCAAGCAACCAACUAUGGUUAUAGAUGAAGUUGGUUAUCUUUCGAGCCUUUGUAAUCACAUGUGCAACACUCGACCUUUUACCGAUGUCUUCGAACAUUAAGUCAAUGCAAUGUGCUACACACAGAGUCCAAUAUAAAUUGUAUUUCUUCAUUAACAACUUCCUCGCCUUCACAAAUGUCGACCCAUUAUCCAUAACUAUUUGUACCACAUUUUGUUUGCCAACUUCCUUGAUCACAUCCUUUACCAAACCAUAUAUGUAUUUGUUGUCUUUUAUAUAAUUUGAUGCAUCAACAGAUUUGAGGAAGAUUGUGCUACCUUUUGAAUAUACCAUAAAAUUAAUUAUCCUUAAUUUCAUAGGCCUAGUCCAUCCGUCACACAUAAUCGUGCAUCCAUAAGUCUUUUAUUUUCUCUUUGAAUAUUAACAUAAGCUUCCAUGUCUUUGUACUCCAUAUCCAAGUACUUGUGUUUGAUUUCAUAAGGAGACGGUGGUUCUAUACCCAUACCUACCUUCCAUAUAUAAUUAAAGCAUAUAAGAACAUUUUUGGCAAUCGUACUUUAUAAAUAAUAAUGAUAUUGUUAAAAUGAAUACAAUUUUGAAAAUUAUAGUAAUUACCUACUUGUUGUGCAUCAACAAUCAUGUUCUUGAAGUGGUGAGAGUCUGCUUUAUUAGGCGCAACACUUUAAAAAAUGAAGAACUUACUGACAAACGUCUCAUGGUUUCCUUGAUGGCACCACCUUUGAAAAUAUUUUUCAUAUUUUUCUGUCUUGCUGCUAAAGAUUUGUACAAUGAGGGUGCACUAGGCGGUGAUGGAUCCGAAUAUCAAACACUUUGCAAUCUUCGCAUAUGCCUUAUUGGAUUAGUUAAAUGUGAAGACUCACCUAUUAAAAUUAUUAAAAUUAAACAUAUAUGUUAAUUUAAUAUUAUUGAUAAAGUUGAUAAGAAAUAGUAAUAAUUCAAAUUGAUAAGUUAGUCUUCCAUUUUGCAUAUACCUGUCUCACUUUUGUCUCUUACAAAAUGUUCUUUUUCUUGUUGAUUCCAUUCAAUAGCUUUUGAUGCUCGAACCGCCGCUCUAUAAGCAUGCUGCUCAUCAAGGUGCAUGUCAGCCGGAUACAUAAACACAUCAUCAUCAUCAAGGUUUUCCUCAUCCUCCUCAUCAAUUACAUGUCUAUGUAUUCCUCCCAUUGUGUCUCGCAAGUAAGCUUGGAUCUCUUCUAUAUCUAUAGUCUUUUUCGCUUUUGCCUUUUUUUUUUUUUCCUUUAGAAGUCAUCUUAUUUCUUGUUUCACUUUUAAAGGCACGUUAGGACAAUUUUUUGUAUUUGAAUGAGGUUUGUAUGCGAUAGGUGAAAUUUAAAACGAGUAAUCCUACCACUCUUUAUUGUCAACCUAUAAUAAUUGCAUGUUGUUCCAUUUUUGUUCCCUUCCAUAGGUGUACAAUAUUUCCAACAAGGAUCUCGACCCAUGAUACCGCUUCCACUUCCACUAGCUAUUUUCUAAACAUGUAUUUUAAAUUCUCAUACGAAACUAAUAUCAAAUUUAUAAUUAUUAAAGAUAAAACAUCUAAGAAAUUUAAUAUUAAUAUUAUUUAUGAAAUUGAUAAGAAACAUUAUUAAUAAAAAUUGAAAUUACAAUUGACUUAUGCAUAUAUGAAAUUGAUAAUUAAAAAGACAAACAUUAUCAUAUAUGUGAUGUGAUAUUGUAGACCCUCCAUUUUGUCCUACUAACAUAUGCCCUAUUGCCUGUUCGUUUAGUACUUUACAACAAUUCCCUCGUGGCCCAUUACUACUUGUGUAGCCUAUCUUUUCUAAGCCACUUUGGGGACUUUGGUUGAGGGAUUUAUCUAACCCCAUUGUGACUCUUGGCAGCCUUAAUUUAGACUUAGGCUCACUUAGGUACCUUAUGCCCACUUGGGCACCCUAGGCCCAUUUAGGCACACUCGGCCCAUUAGCCACCACCCUAGGCCCACUUAGGCACCUUAGGCCCACUUAGGUACACUUGGUCCAUUUAGGCACCCUAGGCCCAUUUAGGCACUUUAGGCCCAUUUAGGCACCCUAGGUCCAUUUAGGCACACUAGGUCCACUUGGCAAUUGCAUGGAUGCAUGGUUUGCAUGGCUUACAUGGUUGCAUAGCUCGUAUGGCUUGCAUGUACAUGAUUUUGUUUUUGUUUUUAUUUUUAUCUUUCUCUACACACCCUAGGCCCACUUAGGCCCACUAGGCCUACUUAGGCAACCUAGGCCCAUUUAGGAAUCCUCACAUUCUUCGUACCCUCCCAAUUCUCCACUUAUUUGGACUUUUUAAAAUUUUUUGGGACUUCAUAUGGGUUGGAUGUUGUUUAAAUAGAUUCAUUACACUUAGAAGGUGGUGAAAUGAUUUCCGGAAAAAUCCAAAUCCAAAAAUAUUAAAAAAUUAACAAGGGUACGAAGAAUGUGAGGAUGUUUAAAAUUUGUUGGGACUUCAUAUGGGUUGGAUGUUGUUGAAAUAGGUUCAUUACACUUAGGAGGUGGUCAAAUGAUAUCCGAAAAAAUCCAAAUCCAAAAGUACUAAAAAAUUAACAAGGGUACGAAGAAUGUAAGAAUCCUCACAUUCUUCGCCCCCUCCUAAUUCUCCACUUAUUUGGACUUUUUAAAAUUUGUUGGGACUUCAUAUGCGUUGGAUGUUUUUUAAAUAGGUUCAUUACACUUAGGAGGUGGUCAAAUGAUUUCCGAAAAAAUACAAAUCCAAAAAUACUAAAAAAAUUAACAAGGGUACGAAGAAUGUGAGGAAUCCUCACAUUCUUCGUACUCUCCCAAUUCUCCAUUUCGUUGGACUUUUUAAAAUUUGUUGGGACUUCAUAUGGGUUGGAUGUUGUUAAAAUAGGUUCAUUACACUUAGUAGGUGGUUAAAUGAUUUCCGGAAAAAUCCAAAUCCAAAAAUACUAAAAAAUUAACAAGGGUACGAAGAAUGUGAGGAAUCCUCACAUUCUUCGUAUCCUCCCAAUUCUCCAUUUCUUUAGACUUUUUAAAAUUUGUUGGGACUUCAUAUGGGUUGGAUGUUGUUUAAAUAGGUUCAUUACACUUAGUAGGUGGUUAAAUGAUUUCCGGAAAAAUCCAAAUCCAAAAAUACUAAAAAAUUAACAAGUACACACAUGUAGUUGAUUAUCGUCCCCUAUGUAUUGCCUUGUGGAAGAAGUAAUAUCUAAUAAAUCAUUAUAAUAAGGUGAGGGAACAAUACGUAAUAAAUCAUUGUAAUAUGGAAAGGGCGACACAUCAUAUGUAGCACCUAGUUUCUCUGGGUUCAUAGUGUUUUACUUUUGAAUAUUCCCUGAAUAUUUAAAUAAGAAUAUGUAUUACUUAAAUCACCUAAAUAUAUUAUUUAUUAUAUUAUAUUCUUUAAUACAUAUGUAUUAUUGUGAUUCAACUUGAGGAGUAUUGAUACUGAGUCUUAAAAUACAUAUGUAUGUAGAAUAUAUGUCUACAACAAAUCUGGAUCUCCUUGUUAAUGUGUAAUGGUGUUUUGGAGUACUACAAUACUCACCAAAUUAAUUAAAGAUUUCACUCUAUAGCAAAUUAUUAUUAUUAUUGUUGUUGUUAUUGUUGUUGCUAGCGUUAUUAUUAUUUAAUUCAUUAUUAUGAAAAUUAUUAUUAUUAUUACCAUUUAAUUAUUAUUAUUAUUAUUAGCUAUUAAUUUUAGUUUUUUCUUUUUCAUCUUUUCUUUUUUGUUGUUUGUUAUAUACUUCAUAAAAUUAUAAGUUAUGGUAUUUUAUUAGGUUGAAAUCGGAAGUUCAAGUUCAUUAAAGUAUGACAUAGUUAACUUAGGUUCACUAAUUUUGUAAAAAAUUUAAUGCAUUUAUAAGAUAAUUAAAUAAUACAACAAACUUAUCAUUUUACUAAUUAAGGUAUUUUAUUUUAUUUUAUUUUAUUUUUAACUUUUUUACAUGUAAGAAUACAAAAAUUAUGGUUCAAUGUGAAACUUUGGAAUUGCAUGCAUAUGAAAGUGAAAUUUGUUGGUGUCGUUCCCAACUAGAGUUAGGUUCAUCCAACUUCACUAGAGUCAGGUGGACUGCUUCCUUUCUCCAAGUCGUGAACUUAGCCGAUACUAAGUGAUUACUACUCAAAAAGUGCUAUUUGAUAGCCUUUAAUUAAUCCUUUUUAUCACUUUUGAGUAGUAGUUUAGGCCUUUUAACUCAAUUGGCAUGUUAAGGAUCCUUUAAAGCAAUUUUGAUCACUUUGUGCAAGUUUUGGUGUUUUUGUUAGUAUUGUGAUCACCAAAGCAAGUCAAGAAUGAGGAGAGCUAUGAGGAAUCUUGGGCAAAGCUUAGAAUUCAAUUGCCAAGAGUGAAUCCGGAUUGCAAGGAGAAAAAGCAAAGAGAAUCUGCCAUGGAGCAUAUUCUUGAUGACAGUCGUAGCAGCCACUUUUGGAGCACUUUCUGAAGUCUAAAUGAUGCAAGCUAUAUACCAUUUCAAAGCUCAGAAAGUCAACAAUCCAAUGCUUCAAACGGUGCGCGAUUUGGAGUUGAAACGAAGAAGUUGCAGCCAUUACAAGCCAGUCACUCUGAAGUGCUGCGGAAUCAACCUUUUGUUGCGAGAAUUUCGCAACACUUUUGUACAGUAAGGUGUUUCUUCUUCUGACGAUGCACGAACCAUGCCGCGAGAAGGGAGCUGGAAACUUCAAGAUGGAAGCCAACUUUGCAGCCUGGUGAAGAUAGCUUGGUCUUGCGAAAUAAUUUCGCAGCCCUCUUGGGUGUCUGCGAAAUUUCGCAGGCACCACUUUUCUCCUGCGAAAUGGCUCCUGAAGCCUCCCGAAGCUUGCUACCGACAUUGGGAGAUAUUUUCCAUUAGAUUUUUGUUGUCUAAAUCCCAAAAUACUCCUUGUAAACCACCAAUUACAUGAUUCCUUAGUUUUUAAGUUAGUAAAAAGACCAAAUAUCAGUGUAAGAAUUAGUUUUAUAUUGCUUUAAUAUAAAUACCUCUCGGGAGCCUGUUCUCAGAGAAGAGUUUUCUUCUGAAAACAUUUGGUAAGGAAGUAAAGGUCUUUUCUUUCUACUGCCUUACCUUCUCACUUUGUAUUUUCAUUUUAUUUCUAAGUUAUGAAUUCUCUGAGGAGUUUUCCCCAGAGAAUGAGUAACUAAACCUCCAAUUCCUUGGAGCUAAGGUUGCCGGGGAAGGUUCCAAGUGCAAGAAUGCAAAGCUCUGUGGUUUUAGCUAGUAAUGAAGAGGAAGUGAAAUCCUUUAGUGAUUUCAAUGUUUUUAGUUAACUUAAAACACCUUGGAGUCACCUGGGCCAACACUUGGUAAGGCAAGUGAUUUCCAACCAUGGAAAUGCACUAGUUUACCCCUUGCGAGCCUCUGGUAGGUGACUUCAAGGUAGGAUUUUCCGGAAUUACCAACACUUGGUAAGCUUUUGGACUCCUAGGAGACAUCCAUUAGUUAUCUCUUGCGAGUUUGUGAAAGGGAAGUCCAAGGUUAAAGAUCACCUUGAAUGGUAAGUGCUCGUGAGAGGCAUGAACCAUUGCAAGUUGCAUCAGUGAGAGAAUUAAAGUGAAAUCUAAUUGAAGGAGUCUCUGUACAUCACCGGUUAGAGAAUUGACUAUAAGUUGAAUCUCUAAUGCGAGGAAAUGAACCAUCUGACCGGAGCUAUGUCUAUUGCAUGAGGAACCACCCCAGUGAACCUAAAUCUCCAAGGAAUGCUUUUCUUCCUAAAUUAUUCCAAACUUCUGUUAAGUUAGUUAGUUUAAAUCUCAACCCUUACCAAUCAAAGUUUGUGUUUUAUUCCUUAAGCUAACCGUGAAAUGAAACAAGACCAAUUCACUUGGAAUUGGUAUCCUUGAUUGCUUGCAAAUCAUUCCCAGCGAACGAUCCUUAGAGCCACUAUACUAUAGUAGCUUUGUAUUUGCUACCCUAGUGUAUGGUGUUAUAGGUAUAAAUUUUGUUGAUCACUUCCUCAAUCAAGGAGCACCAGCUGAACACAAAUCAGCUGAGACACCAAUUGGGCAUGAAUCACUAAGUUAUGUGAUAGCACCCAAUUUUUCCGUUCGUGCUUCUUGAGAGUCCGUCCAGUUGUACUGGAAUCAGACAGACUUCUUCCCUGCACAAAAGGAUGUCCAGACAGGUGAUUUGAGCACAUCCCUCCCAAACUUAAGUCAGUUAAGGAUAGCUCUAACUUAUUUUUGUGGCAAAAAAUGAGUGUAUGGGCAUGCCUACCUUGUUCGUGCUUUUUGAGGGGUUUAUAUAGAACUGAUGAUACUGUCCCUAUAGUGUUGACUAUACACUCUAGUCUUUCUUGUAAUGAUGAUUGCCCUUAGGGCGGUUGAUUGGUGCCAUCUAUUGAUGUGCCAAAAUCUCAAACCAUGCAACUAAUUGUCCAUUUAGCUUGCCAAUGUCUGGGAUUGUGUGUAACAAUUAAUUGACAUUGACUUUUGGGUAUAAAUGGAGUCCCGUCCGCUGCUUAGAUGUCAGGCGUCUAAUCCGCCGCUCAAAUGUCAUGUGUAUGGGCCAACGCUCAGACAUCAAGCAUAGUUGAUCAUGCAUGCCAGAAAUCCUAAGGACUUGAUUAGACUGAUUUUUUCGUCUGAGAGUCCAACGAGCCCAGCCUAUCGAUUCCCUCCGACCUUGUGGAAGAAGAGAAACCUCUCACUUCUUGUGUCAGACAUAACUUAUCUUGGUCCAAACGGAUUGAUCCCAGACGGGUUACAAGUUUGUCCUGGUCGACCAAGGGGUCUUAAGCUUGAAAAUGACACAUGAAGGGAAACCCCCCACAAUGCCCCUUUAAUCCGUUUACUUCUAUUCAAAUGAAGAGGAGAUGUUUUUGGAGCGUCCAGUUAGUCUCCUAUCUGAACAGGAAUUUCGGGAUCAUUUCCAUAUUCCAGACAAUAUCCCUAUCCUUCUAAUAGACGACGAGGCGUUAUCCUCCGUUGACCUGCCCAACAACAUGAUGUAUUUUUCUAAGGAACAAUUCAUUGCAGGGCUCCGUCUACCUAUCCCCUCUCUCUUCAAGCAGUUCCUUCAUUUUAUGUAAAUCCCUUCAGCUUUUCUUCAUCCGAACGUUGUCCGGGUAUUGAUGGGAUGUAGUGUUCUAGACAUGCUCUUUUAGUUGAAUCUCUCAUUGUUGGAAGUUUUGUUUGUUUAAAAUGUCAAAAUGAGCUGGAAGGAAAGGUUCAGCUUUUCUUCCCAUAUUCCUUACUUGCAGCCGGUGACUGGUUUUCCUGAUUCAUGCAAAGGCUAGGUAAAGGGGCAUGUCCUAGUCUCCGGUCCUUGGAGUGGUUCGUCUAAGGAACCAAAUGGAGUCUUUUCUCCACAACAUUCAUUGGAGAUUUCGAGUAGGAUACACUUCCAUCACUUUCUCUAUAUUUUGCAAUUAUUUCUUCCUCGUUGUCAAUUUAUUGUUGAUCUUUUUGUUUGUGUGAUAUAGGCAAGGAGAGGCGGGGACGCCUUGUAGAGUGGGUAGACAAGGCUUCUUUCACCUACUCAACAAGUUGUUCGAAAUAAACGCAUUCGAAUGGGCCCCUAAAGUUCUUCUGUAAGAUAAUAAGUUGCUAACGCUAAUCGAUAAUCCAAAGUCGUUCAUCAUCCCCGUAUUUCCUCAUCUGGCUCCCCCGUCUUUGGUACCUGGUGAACAUUUCGUGCUAAAGGAUUUUCCAUUCUAUGAGGUUGCUCGUCUGGCAGAUUAUAAGGCACGUUAGGCACAUUUAGAGGAGUGGGAGAAAAAACAUCAGGAAAGGACAUUGAGGCAAGCUCUGACUACUAGUCUUCUAUCUUCCAAUUUUGUUGUCCAUCCUCUCACUGAAAAGAGGAAGAAACCUACUACUUUGCCUAUCUGGAGGGUAAGGACUCCACCUCCUUCAUCUUUAUCUUCUCCAUCAGCUUCAUCAUCUUCGUCAUCUCCAUCUUCUUCAUCUUCCAAUGGCAAGCCAAAAGCAUGGGUUGUCCAGGUAGUGUCCCUUAUUAUUUGUGAUGAGGAAAAAGAAGAGGAUAUGGCUUCAAACUUAAGGGUCGGAUUUCGUGAGAGGCAACACAAGGGCUUGUCCAAAUCCAUUAUUGUCAACCCUACCCCCUCUAAGAAAGCUUGUUCAAAACCUACUUCAGCUUCUGCGCUCGUGUCGGUUCCUCUGACUACUGCUAUAGUCUUCACCCCUAAGCUAGAUGAGAAACUUCCUUCUGUUGAUGAACAUGCUUAUCAUAAGACGAGGAGACCCUUCAUCAGCCCGAACAACUUCAACAAGGAAUCGUUCGAAUACAUGACUUUUUUUUCUCUUUGUUCGAAGUCAACCUAUGUCCCCAAUCGGGAGGAGGUAUUCAAGCUUUUGAAGUGAAUCCCUGUCUUCACCGAAAGAGAGUCCUUGGUACAAAACAUGGGGUACUCUUUCCAGCUACUCAACAAAUCCCAAUCGAGAUAGACAACGAUCCCAGUCGAUCUUUCAUGACCUGGCUUCUGUACGACACUCCGAACAUUGCCAUUUCUCGCAUUAUUCCCAUGCAAGACUAUAAGGCUUUUGAAACGACAAAUAUGGUAAGUCACCUACCCUUUUCUUCUCAUUUUUCCUUAGCCUCUUGUUUCACAACGAUUUCUUUAUUGCAUCUUCAGGUGAUAGUCGAAGUCUGAAACCUCAUGCGGUAGCACGCUCCUCUUUUCUAUCGAUUGGAAACAAUCGAGACCAUGAGGCCAUACUUUGCCCAUAAUAUGGAUGGGAAUGAGAAUCUUCUUGCCAGCUUGGAGACGACAAAGAGUGAAGCCAUUGUUGCCCAAAAGCUUGUUAAAGAAGAAAUCGGUCUGUUGAGGAAAACCGAGGAAGAGAAUGAGACAGUUCAAACUGAAGCUCGCCAGCUGGUUGAAAAGAAGGAAACCAUGGUGGUUGACAAAAAAAAAAAAAGGCUGAAGAAGAGGCUGCCUAGUUGAGGCAGGAGCUACAAGAUCUCCGAGCAGGGUUUGCCUCUCAAAAAGAAGACUUGGAGGUUCACUACCAAAAGCAAGUGGAUGACAUGUUCUUGUACGACUAUCGUUGUUGUAUGAAGAAACAUGGCUUCAUCCAUGAUGCUCCCAGUUUUCCUUUGGAUGACGAGGAUGAGUUUUUAGGCGACCUUGCCGAGGGAGGAGGAGAUGUUUUCAAAGGCGGUCCUUAUGGCGAGUAGGCUUGAUCUCUUUGUUUGUAUUUAUUUAUUAUGGAUGGACGUGGCCUAGACUACUACAUCUAUAAAGACAAUGAAUGCUUUAUUUUUUCAAAUAUAUUUACUUUAUCCGUUUGUCUCUCAUACAUUGUUUUCAUAAGCAAACUUUAUUGAAAGUAAUGCUUUAAAUUGGAUACAUUCCAAGAGCAGAGCAGGGGUACGUUGUCUAGUGUUUGAAGAUGGUAUACCCUUAAGUCUCUAGCCUUAGUUACAACAUAUGGCCCUUUCCAGUUAGCUUGAAGCUUUUCGGCUCCUAUUUCAGCUGUGUUCUCAAAUAUUCUUCUGAGGACUAAAGUUCCUAGCCAAAAAAACUAUGGUCGUGUUUUUUUGUUGUAAUGAGUGAUCGUCUUUUGAUGGUAAGAAACCAUUCAGAUAGUUUUGUCUCCUAGCAUUUCAUCUGCCCAAUCCAGUUGUCUUAUGAGUUUUUCAUCAUUGUUCCUCUUAUCUUAUACAACUGUUUUAGCGGUAGGCAUGUCAAUUUCAGUUGGAAUAAUGACCUUCAUCCCAUAAGCAAGGGCAAAAGGAGUAGCUCCUGUUGGCCAUCUGGAUGUCGUUCUAUAAGCCCAUAAGACUCCGAGCAGUUCAUCCACCCAUUUUCCUUUAGCUCCUUCCAGAAUUUUUUUAAUGCAUUCAGUAGGGUUUUGUUUGUCGCCUCAGCUUGCCCAUUACUCUACGGAUAGCAAAGUGUUGAAUACAGAUUCUUGAUGUUUAACUUCGAACAGAAAGUUCGGAAGACGGUACUGUAUGAUUGCUCACAAAACUCCAAAUCGACAUACGAUGUUUUUCUAGACGAACUUGAAGACAUCCUUAUCUUUGAUGCUAGCAUAGGCUUCUGUUCCACCCACUUGCUGAAAUAGUCAGUUGCAACGAGUAAAAACUUCUUUUACGCUAUUGCAACAAGCAAGGGAUAGAUUAUGUCGAUCCCCCACUGCGCAAACAACCAAGGGCUUGUAACCAGGAUGAGAGCUUCAUAAUGUACACGGGGAAUGGGAGCGUGUCUUUGACACCAGUCACAUCUCUUAACAUAGUUUUCAGCGUUUUGUUUCAUGGUGGGCCAAUAGUACCCUUGCAUGUAAGCACGAUGUGCCAAGGUUCGUUCGCCUGUAUGAUUUCUAUAUACGCUUUCAUAGAGUUCGGCUAGGACAUACUUGGCUUCUGGCUUGCUCAAACACCUUAGGUAUGGUUCUCUAAAUGAUCAUCUAUAAAGCAGGUCAUUGAUCAAAGUGAAGCGGGAUGUUUGCACGCAGAGUCUGUGCACUUGCUUCUAGUCUUCUAGUAAUUCCCUCGUCUAGAGGUAUUUUACGAUGUCAUGCAUCCAGCCAAGGUUUGCUUCAUUGGUACUGCACACUAGUUCAGGUGUGAUUAAUGGUGUGGCUUGGAGGUAGAUAGACAACAUCAUUGCCUCUUUUAUAAGGAGAGUGGCAACUAUUCUGGCCAAUGCAUCCGCCUUCAUGUUCUCCUUUCGGGGUACCAGUCUAACAAUCCACUCAUCUAGAUUUUUCAAGCGAUCUUCCACCAUGGUGAGGUAGCGAGCCAUGCGUUCGUCCAUUACUUCAUACUCUCGUUGAAUUUGCCCGACAAUUAGUUAAAAGUCGCUUCUGAUUUUCAACUUUGUUGCAGCCAGUGUUAGGGCAAGAUCUAGCCCAACUAGGACAAAUUCAUAUUCUACUUUCGUACAAUCUCUCACAAAAUUCGUACACUCUCUCACAAAGUUCGUAUCCUCUCUCACAAAGUACGUAUCCUCUCUCACAAAGUUCGUACUAUCUCUCACAAAGCCCAUACCAUCUCUCACAAAGUUCGUACCAUCUAUCACAAAGUUCGUACCCCUUCUAACAAAGUUUGUACCCCCUCUCACAGAAUUUGUACUCUCUCACAAAGGUCAUACCCUCUCUCACAAUGUUUGUACCCCCUCUCACAUUGUUCAUAUCAUCUAUCACAAUUUUCGUACCCCCUCUCAUAUUGUUCGUACCCUUUCUCACAUUGUUUUCCUUCUUCAAGAUAUAUAAAACUUCAUCUUCAAAUUUAAUCUACAAAUAAACAAAAUAAUAAUAUAAAAAUAUUGAUGACAAUUUCAUAAAAAAUGACUAAAUUGUCUCAAUUUGAUUAAUAAUAACUCAUAAAAAAUUCAAAAAUCUAAAUGUUAUAAAGCAUUACAUAUUUAAAUGUCAUUUAACAUGACAUUUAUACCUACAACAAUUAUAUUUAAAUGAAAAAAAAAAAAUAUCAAAUGUUACCUUUUAACACUUGUAAUCACUUGACAUCCUUCAUAUAAUGUCUUCUUCAAGACAUAUAAAACUUCAUCUUCAAAUUUAAUCUAUGAACUUACAAAAAAAAAUGAUAUAAAAAUAUUAAUAACAAUUUGAUAACAAAAUUUAAUAAUAGACUCAUAAAAAAUUCUAAAAUUUAAAUUUUAUAAAUCAUUACAUAUUCGUUAUUUAACAUCACAUUUUUACCUACGAAAUUUAUAUUUAAAUAAAAAAUAUCAAAUAUUACCUUUGACACUUGUAAUCACUUGAAAUCUUUCAUCUUUUUCGUAUAAUAGAAAUUUUAAAUUUUCUCCCUCAAAAAGUUUCAAACUUGAUCUUCAAAUUUGAUUUAUCAAAACACAUCUCACAUAUUUUAUAAUAUGGUAGUUGAAACUAUUUAAUUUUCAUAUUAAAUUAGUAUCCCUUUUUGUAUAUAUGAAUAAUGAGAGUAUAAGGGUAGUUGGUAGAAUUUUCUUUUUUUGAUAGAGUUAAGUAGCAUUAAAUAACAAAUUAUAUUUGAUAUUUAAUAAUAAAUUAUAAAAAAAUUAUAAUAUUUAGAUAUGUAUGAAUUGCAUGUGAUUAUUUCUCACAAACAAGUAAGUUUUUAAUUUUUUUUUUUAAGUGGGUAGGUACCUAAAAUAAAGAGUGGGUACCAAAGAACGAUAUAUAUUUUGUCUAUAUUCUGUAAGUGGCUGAAUGAUAAGAUGCCUGUUGGUGAAAGAGAUGCCUGUACGUCGUCUUAAAAGAUGUUUAUAUCAAACAAUAUAUAUUUGUCUAUAUUCUGUAAGGGGCUGAAUGAUAAGAUGCCUGUUGGUCAAAGAGAUGCCUGUACGUUUGUCUCAAAGAUGCUUGUUUAUAUCUAAGAAACAAAAGAUUCACAAAAAAAAAAAAAAAAUGAUGCUUAGAUUAUAAUAUUGAUCCUUGUUCUAUUUGGUUUAAGAGAAUAGUUUGACAUACAUGCAUAAGGUAAUUAUACAAUUGUAUCAAACAAAUUCCUGGUCAAGUGUCACGUUCAAACAAGAAGAUUAAUUAAUAAAAAAGGUCAUUUCUAGGAGUAAAAAAAUUAUGAAAAAUAUAUCAGUUUUAACCACUAAUAUUAAUUAUUAGCAAAAGUCACUUUGAACCAUAAAAAUAAAAAGAAUAAAAAAAAUUGAUAACAAAAUAUCACGUUGAACCACAAAUAUUAACUCACAGCAAAAGGUCACCCUACGCCAUACCUACUAACAGAAACAUGUUCUGUAGUUAACAUGUACACCAAACCAUCACUUUAACAAAGUAACGUCGGUCAUAACCUCCAUCUUACAUAUUUUAUAAUAUGAUAAUUGAAAUUAUUUAAUUUUCGUAUUAAAUUAAUAUAUUUUUUUUAUAUAUGAAUAAUGAGAGUAUAAGGGUAGUUGAUGAUAAGAUUUUCUUUUUUUAGAUAGAAUUAGGUAGCAUUAAAUAAUAAAUUAUAUUUUUGAAUUAAAUCUACCGCAUUCAUUGAACUGACUUAGUCCCAUUUUCCCAAUCAACUUAGCACGUUGUUUGAAUUAAAUACCUACGGAUUGAUAUUGUUUGAAACUCAAGCAGACCAAUAUUUUAUAGUCUAUUCUGAGCACGACUGUUUCACACCGUGGGCCCCAAAACUAAACCAAAUCCCACGUACCAUUCAACUUAAUACAACCGCUGCACGCUACUGACCAAUUCUUUCUAAUUUUAGUAAAUAGUACAUAAAAAAAGGACAAGAGACUCUAAAAAAAGGAAAAAAGAAUAGAAAAAAAGGUCCAAUUCAUACCUUAGCCGCCCCUAACGGUUUGGGCUUUUGCGUGAAUUUAGGCAAGGGGUUUCUCUUUCAUGUCAUCAAUCUCUUUCAUACAUUAUAUUCAACAACAUACAGCUUCAGGAGGCCAUUGCUCCCCUAUAAAUGCAAUGGAGCUUCCCAAGCUUUUGCACUCAUACUUUGCAAGUCAGUUUUCAAAGAAGUGUUCUACUACCAUUCCAAAAAAUUAACAUGUCGGGUCAAGUCUUAGCAAGCCCUCUAGGCCAAUUUCCUGAUCUGGAAAAUCGUCCAGUGGUCAAGUAUCACCCUAACAUUUGGGGUGACCAGUUCUUAUCCCACACUCCCGAAGACGAGGUAAUUGAAUGAAAAUCUGUGUUAAAUACCUGUAUAUUCGAAGGUUGUUUUUCUUGAUGUGUUGUUUAGUAAAAUUACUUGGUUGCCAUAGGUAACACGUGCCUGCAAAGAGAAGCAGCUUGAAGAUCUGAAAGAGGAAAUUCGAAGGAAGCUAAUGAAUACAGCUGGUAACACUUCCCAACAACUAAAAUUUAUCGAUGCUGUGCAACGUCUUGGGCUGGCAUACCACUUUGAAAGAGAGAUAGAAGAAGUGUUACAACAUAUUUAUGAUAGCUAUCCUAAUGGUGAUGAUAUGGAAGGUGAUAUCUAUAAUGUUGCUCUUCAAUUUCGGUUACUAAGACAAGCUGGGUUCAAUAUUUCAUGUGGUAAGAGCCCAAAGAAUUGUCAUGUAUAAGCUAAAAUGUAUCCUUCUCAUAAUUCCAAUCUUAUGUAUGUUUAAAUUACGGUAUUGUGUAGGCUUGUUCAAUGAGUUCAAGGAUGAAAAGGGUAACUUCAAGAAAGCUUUGAUCAGUGAUGUAAGAGGCAUGCUAGGCUUGUAUGAGGCUGCACAUCUCAGAGUUCGUGGAGAAGACAUACUGGAUGAAGCACUUGCUUUCACCACCACCCAUCUUAGGUCCAUGGUAGAACAUUUAGAAUAUCCUUUUGCAGAACAAGUUGUUCAUGCCUUGAAGCAGCCCAUUAGAAGAGGUUUAGAGAGGCUAGAGGCAAGGUGGUAUAUAUCUAUCUACCAGGAUGAAACUUCGCAUGACAGAACUCUACUAAAGCUGGCCAAGUUAGAUUUCAAUCUAGUGCAGUCCCUACACAAGGAGGAGCUAAGCAAUAUUUCUAGGUUUGCUUUCAAAUCACUAGCAGAUAUACGUAGUUACCUUCUCAUUUUAACCUGAGCUAAUUGUUUCAAUGAAUUUUAGGUGGUGGAAAAAAUUAGACUUUGCUACAAAGCUACCUUUUGCGCGAGAUAGAUUGGUGGAAUGCUACUUCUGGAUACUUGGGUUUUACUUUGAGCCUCAAUAUGUCUGGGCUAGACGAAUUCUAACCAAAACAAUUGCCUUGACAUCCACUAUGGAUGAUAUAUAUGACGCAUAUGGCACAUUUGAAGAACUCAAGCUCUUCACCGCGGCCAUUGAGAGGUUUGAUACAUGCAAAUUACCAACCUUCAUCAUUUAUACCGUAUGUGAUACUUAAAUCAGGCCUGGUUUUAUUUUCAGGUGGGAUAUUAACAGCAUAGAUCACCUUCCAGAAUACAUGAAACACUUUUAUGUGGCACUCUUAGAUGUGUACAAAGAAAUUGAGGAAGAGAUGGAGAAAGAAGGAAACCAAUAUCGGGUUCAAUAUGCCAUAGAAGCAGUAGGACAUUCUGCAUUGACUUUGUUUUGUAUACUAACAUAUCGUUGGGAUAUAGAUGUGACUUGAUUGAAUGUUUGACAGAUGAAAAACCAAGCUAGAGCUUAUUUUCAUGAGGCUAAAUGGCUCCAUGAAGGACGCAUACCAACAGUGGAAGAGUAUAUGAGUGUAGCACAGGUAAGCUCAGGUGACUCCAUGCUUACAAUCACGUCUUUCAUUGGUAUGGGAAAAAUCGUAACAAAGGAGGCCUUUGAUUGGGUGAUCACUAACCCCAAGAUUGUCACUGCAUCAUCUGUAAUUUCUAGGCUUAUGGAUGACAUCACUUCACAUAAGGUAUUGUGAAUAUAGUAUUUCUUGUUAAGCUAUAAUUUGACCUUAACCUUAAAGCUCAAUCAAACAUAUUUACUGCACUGUUCUUCUAAACCAUAUAUGCAGUUUGAGCAAAAGAGAGGACAUGUUGCCUCAGGCGUUGAAUGUUACAUGAAGCAAUACGGUGCCUCUGAGGAAGAGGUAUACGAUAAGUUUCAGAAGCAAGUUGAGGAUGCAUGCAAGGAUAUUAAUGAGGAGUUCCUACGACCUACGGCUGUUCCGAUGCCUCUCCUUAUGCGUGUGCUUAAUCUUUCUCGAGUGAUGUAUGUGAUCUACACGGGGGGAGAUGGGUACACUCAUGUUGGAAAAGUGAUGAAGAAUAAUGUUGCAUCACUGCUCAUUCACCCUAUCGCAUGACCAAAUGGAUCAAGUUGAUGAGCAUCUACAUAUUUUGCCAUACCUAAGGAGUAAGAUGAAUAAAAAUGAUUGUAAUAAUAUGGGAUAUUGUUACAAUGUUUGAUACUAGUUUCUCUCUCGGUUUGGUCGCAUCCAUUUUAAUAUAUGUUUAAAACACAUGGAUCAAGUUUGAUACUUUUCUGUCAUUUAAAGUUCACGUGAGGGAGAAAAUUCUCCAUAGAAAAUCACUUGGCGGAGAAAAUUCAAACAACACGUGUAUUCACUAUGGAAGUUACCAGGAAAAAGAUGUUUUGGUCAGACCGCUUAUAUGACCUUAUUAGCAGAAGAGGGUUCAGAGCAAACAAAGACAUAAAACACUAAAAAAUUCAUCCUAACGGGUAAAAUAUGAUUAUUAUUAUUAUUAUUAUUAUUAUUAUUAUUAUAAUAUUAGACAUGAUAAAAGUUUUAUUAUAUAAGUUAUGAUAUUACAUAAGAUUGGAAUUCAAAGUUCAAGCACAUUAAACUAUGCAGAGUUUAAAUUUUUGCCAAAAAAAAAAAAAAAAAUUGGAGAAUCAAUUCAAUCAACUCAUCAUUUUCCAAGCAAGGAUUACAAUAUUGAAAAUUAUAGAAGGAUCGAUGAUUAUAUUUUAAAAAAAAAUCUUGGAAUGAAACAAUAAUACAUGUAUAGAAGUUUUUUAAAUAAUAUAUAUAUAAUAACAUUUGUGAUAUUGAAUAAUAAUCCAUAGAGCUUGAAAAUGCAUUUAAUUAUAAAAUAUAUAUGAUUCCAUGUAAUUUGAUAAUAAGUAUUUAUAAUUUCAUUUACAACAUUAUUUCUUCCUCAUUAUUUAAUUGAUAUAGACAAGGUAUAAAAAAAAAGACUUACAAAAAGAAUUAUCAUAAGGUUUUAUUUUUUUAACAAUAAGUUAAAAUAAAUUUGAAAAAAAAAGAUAAUUAAAAUUAAUACAUUUUUAAACAUUUUAUUUAAUAUUUUAUCUUGUGCAUAAAUAUGUCAUAAGAAUAGGAUAAAUAUAGUACAUGUGAUUGUAAACAAUAAGGCCAAGUAGCCUAGGUGGCGAAGUAGCCACCUCCCUUCCUAAUGUAGUUGAAAUUACCAUAAAUUGCCAAAAUUAGUGAUUAAUUGAAAAAAUAACAAAAGAACAUGAUUAAUCAAGAUAGAUUAUCAAAAUUUCAACAAAAAUUCAUUGAGUGAAAUUCUCCCAUAAUUUCCUAUAUUGGUGAUAUUUUAAUUAAGAUUAUGUUCUAAUGGUGAUAAAAACAAAUUAAGACAGCCUUCAAAUCAAAUGUACUUUGCAAUGAAACAAAUUAUGCUUAGUAGACAUAUGUAUGUUUUUGAAAAGGAUGGAUGUUAAUUUCAGAUUUUGCUUUGAAAUUAAGCCAUCUGACACAGUUGUCUUUUAAAGACGACUUUAGUGAAUGCAACUUCAAAUGACCAAUAAUGCACGGUAGCAGUAAGCGAAGACUCAUUAUUUUGACUUCAAGGCAUUAAUUCAUAUUUUAACCAUUACACAACAGAAUAUAUAUAAUAUUUAUAAGUAACAACUUUCUUCUUAAGCAAAGCAGACAAGAAAGACUACAAAAUCUAUACCAAACAGAAUAUCUACUAGGAAUUUAAUUGAUUGGCUCGAACCCAAACUACCUAUGGACAAAUUUGGAUAAUUAUUUCUAACACAAUGAAUUUUUCACAUGUUCCUACUCAAUGAGGAUACUCAUUUAUUAUGAAAAAUGAUUAUUUGAAAACCCUUUUUAGGUUUUUUAGAGUGAUCAUUUAUUUUAUUUAUUUUUAAAAAAGGAAAACAAAAUGAGAAAAAAAAAAAAAAAGACAAGUUCAUAAACCAAGAUUGAGUUAGAAGUCAAAUUACCUAUUGGGAAAAUACAAAGAUAAGUCAUACAAAACAACCAUCUAAGCUUAUAUACCUAUAGUCUUUACUAAGCAAAUGAAAUAAAUUAUGACAAUUAAAUAAUUGAUUAUGGAUGCUCAAGAAAAGAAAAACACAAAUAUAAAACAAGUCAUGGUGUUUAUCAUGUCAGAAAAAUAUUAUUAAAAAAAAACAAAUGAUAAGAGAAUUUGUAUAAAUUGAUUUAUGAAACUAAUUAAAAACAUGGGUUUAAUUAUUUCUAAAUUCAAAGGAUUAAAAAAAUUAUUCCAAUUUGAUGGUUUCAAUCUAUUUUAAGUAUAAACUAAAUUUUUGAUUUCGUUUUUUUUUUUAGAAAAAAAUGCUUCACUUUAUUCAAUUUAUAAAAAAAUGUUUUUUAUUUACUUUUUCUGCAUAAAAAUAUAAAAAAAAUGGUUUUUAUUUACUUUUUCUUCAAAAAAACAAAUGUAGUUGUCCUAUCUGGUUUUUGUCAUAGUUGGCACCCGAUCCAAUUGGUCAUGACAGUUUAGUAUCGUUUUCAACGUAAGGUGCACCUGCACGAUCAGUCAUGUUGUUGUCCUAUUUGGUUUUCGUCACAGAUGGCACUUGAUCUUAUUGGUCACAACAACUCAGUAUCAUUUUUGGUAUAGACCCUACCUAUACGAUCGAUCACGUGAAGGGAAAAACCCAGAUCUCUCUAUUUCCCAAGUUCGGAUAGGUUAGGAACAUGCAUAACUAUCCUAGGCUUUUUCUAAAUCAUAUACACAAUAAAUAAAUAAAACAUUUUAUACUUUCAAAGGAAUCCAAAAGUGAUAAUGAAAACCAUACCUCAUACAUAAAUGUUCUUGAAUCAAAUCCGCAUAGGGAAAAUAAAGAAGGAAAUCAUAGAAGUCUUGUAAACCCGAAGUCUUCUGCCCAAUGAUUGGAACCUUGAUCUUGGCAGACUUCCGAUGGGGAUGGAAGGGAGGGUGGAAGCUAUGACUCUUUCUCUCUCUCUCUCUGGAGGUGGAAAAUGACUCUCUAGAAAAACUAUGGGAACCCUAACCCCUAAGGGGGUAUUUAUAGGGUUUCCUAUUAGGAUUAGGUGACUUGAGCCCACUAAGGGCUUAGGUUACUUAAUGUAACCUAAAACGAGGACCUAAUUGAUUAAUUAAACCAAUAGGGCCUACUAAUUAAUCAAUUAGCCCAAUCUAGAUACCUUAUUCACUUACCUUGCAUAAUUACCAAAACAUCUUUAUGAAUAAUAGUGAACCUAGAGCAAAUCCAAUCCUCAUAACCAAUUCUAACAAGGUAUAUGAGCACAAAACGAGGACGAUUGGGACCCAUAGGAAUAUUGGCUUCCUUAUAAUCCAAUUCUAAAGUUGAUUCAACAUUCCACUAUAGAGAAUCAAUUGAACUCUAGUAUCCUAUGUAAAUAACAACGAGACACCAAGUGCUUAGGUUUGUGACAUGUUAUCCAUUGUGUUUAAUCUCCCCAUGAACUAGUGUCCUUAGUUAACAAGGUGAAAACUAUCAGCCUUUCAAGACUACCUCUACCAUAUUUGAGUUAUAGAUCCUCCUAUUGUGUGUUCAAUUGACAUAUUUUAACUCUCAAAGAGCCUAUGUCAAGUUCCACUUAAGGAACUACUAUGGCCAUAGUUACCAUGAACACAUCUCCUUAGGAUCACCCAAGGGGACACACUAUCUUAAUCCUAAGAGAUAUCAUGUUGCCUCUAUAUACCUAUUGAGAAUACCUAUUGCUAUUGGCUUUCAUCAACAAUGACCCAAUCCAUAGGGAAUAUAUGAUCAACUUACAAUCUCACCCGUAGGUCAAAGCCACUACUAACUUCAGCAUAAGCUUAUUACUCUCUCAAGGUUGAGAGAUAAACACAAUGAAACAUCUUAGUGGAGUCAUGACUACUUGAUAGCCUUAAGUCAUAACUCACCAUAGGUCCUGUCUAAUGUGCAACCUACACACUAGUGCACUCACCAUGGGAAACUCAUCCCAAUAGCCAAGACCAGUUAUCCCUCCAAUUAGGAGGUGGUUCACUAUAGUCUCUAAUGGAUUGCCUAGGCCCAUGAACCGAUUGUGAACAAGUCAUCAAUUUGUAAGGAACCCAUGACUUAGAUCGUAUGUGCAACUCCUAAUGCACCUAAGUCACGUACAAUGCAAAAUACGUAGGUAAGAAUGCUCAUAAAGUAUAAUACAUGUAAUAAGGAUAGGUAAGAGUGAAACUAAAACAUCAUUAAAUAACUAAUAAAUUCCAAACUUAUUACAUCAUGUCAUGCUUUUAAGGGCUCUAUCCUAACAUCACGUCGUUGUGCUACUUGGUUUUCAUCACAAAUGGCACCCAGUCUGAUUGGUCUGAUUGGUCAUGAUAAUUUUCCUGGCCAAAAAGUGAUACAUAUACUAAACAUUCCUUUUUUAUUUUUAUGCAGAAGUGAAUACUUUUAUAAUUUUUGUUACAACAUGAUUUUUACAAUUUUAUUUUAAAAGAAAGUAUCCAAAUCUCAUCUUAUGUGCAAGAGAAUCUUUUUACAAAUUUAUUUUUAAAAAAAUAUUUAGAAAUUACUUUAAAAAAGAUUUGUACAAAUUUAUUAAUAAAAAAUAAAUAUUCAGAUCCAAUUUUAUUCACAAAAAAAAAAUGAAUUUUCUUUUUUAGUUUUUAUUGAAAAUAAGACUUUUACAAUUUUAUUUAAUUAGUAUGAAAAUCCAAUUCCAUUUUAUUAAUACUAGAACUGAAUUUGAACCAAUAAUAAUUAUUUAAAUGAGCAAGUCUAUUUUAUAAAGAGACAAUAAAGUUUGGAAGGAAGUACACCCGUGUUGGACGUUGGUUUGGAGUGGGGGACCAUCACCAUUGAAUAACGACCUUCAGUGUUCUUCUAUAUAUAGAAAGGGAUGUGAGGUGAUGUUGUGGGUUUUGGAUGUUAAUAUGAAAAAAAGGGUCAAGUGUUUUGCAAAUGGCCCCACUUGGUAUUACUGAGUGUGGAUAUGUUGGAGUUGUUUUGGGGCUUAAAGUUUUAGUUUGACUUGUUUAAAUUUCCCUUUUUUUCACGUACAUUGUAUUGACUCUUCUCAUCGUUGUUGUCGCAUUCCUAGGUCCUUAUUUUAAUAAUUUAUUAUAUAUAUAUAUAUAUAUAUAUAUAUAUAUAUAUAUAUAUAUAUAUAUAUAUAUAUAUAUAUAUAUAUAUAUAUAUUUUAUAUGAAAUGCAAAAUAUUUGAGUGGUUGCUUAUAAUAAUUUAAAAAAGGUUGAGUAUAUAAUAUUUGGUCAAAUAUGUUUCUACUAUCAUUUAUUAAAAGUGGUAAAUAUUUGCUAUACCAUUUGUAAAGAAAUUAAGAUUUGUUCUACUAUCAAUUGUUAAAGUCGUAAAUAUUUGUUAUACCAUUUGUAAAGAAAUUAAGAUUUGGCAACUAUAUUUCUUCUAUCAUUUGUUAAGGUGAGUAAAUAUUUGACUAUAAUAUUUCUAAAGAAGUUAAGAUUUGGUUAUGUGGACCCCUACAUUUUGGAUCAAUGAGUUCCAUUCGAUGGCGAACUCGUUUUUUAUUUGAAAAUAAUUUUUAUUUAUUAAGAACAUGACUUGGAGUCGCCAUUUAUUUUUGUUUUAUUUUUAAAAAGGGUAAACAAAAUAAGAAAUAAAACCCUAAGUAUGACUUCUUAUUUUAGAAAAGAUGGUCCAUGAAAAACCGGAUCGGGAUUAAGGGUCAGAUUACUUAUCGGAAAGGUACAGAAAAGAUCACAGCACCCUCUAAGUCCCUAAAAUCGGAUUUAUAAAAUGAAACUGAUGUGACAAUCAAUAAGAAAAUCAAUUGAUACUCAAAUCAAUCAUGCACAUAUCGAAAUCAGAACGUGCAUAGAGAAUGACCAGAAUGGGAGUGGAUGCGUACUUGGGCUACAAUGCGCUAUCAAGAAAUAGGGUUAAUGCAUAAUAAAUAAAUAUAAAAUAUAAUACACAUGCAUCACUAAAUAGGGUAAAAAUAGUCAUUAGAUAGCACUCCACACUUCACUCAAAUUUAUUUUUAAAACUUGGAUGUUGGGCCUCCACCAAAACCCAAUUUAUCACAAAUUUCAUUAUUUCAAAAUUAUGAAAAAUUUGUUCUAACUUAUGCAAAAUAAAGAGAAACAUAAAGUUAUUUGAAAACCAUAAUAAAAUUAAGACUGAUCGAGAGAAAACUAGAUUUUUGAAAUUUAUUUGAAAAUUGGAGUUUCGAAAAUUAUUUGAAAAUUGGAGUCUUGGAAAUUAAAUUUAAGAAUUGGAAUUUUGAAAAAAAAUGUUUAAAAAUGGAAUUUUAAAAUAAAUAAAUAAAUAAAUAGAAUAAUAAUAAUAGCAAAAAAUAAUAAUGAUUAAAUAAAUGAAUGUCAAUAUUGAAAAUUUUUAAAUUGGAAAAAAAUUAUUUAAAGAUGAAAUUUUAAAAUAAAUAAAUAAAUAAAAUAAUAAUAAUAAUAAUAAUAAUAAUAAUAAUAAUAAUAAUAAUAAUAAUGAGAAUAAUGAUUAAGUAAAUAAACGUGAAUAUUGGAAUUUUUGAAAUUAGAAAUUAAAUUUGGAAUUUUGAAAAAUUGUUAUUGUUUAAAGAUGAAAUUUUAAAAUAAAUAAAUAAAUGGGAUGAUAAUAAUAAUAAUGAAAAUAAUAAUUAAAUAAAUGAACGUGAAUAGUGGAAUUUUUAAAAUCAUAAAUUAAAUUCGGGAGUUGGAAUUUUGAAGAAUAGUUAAAAGAUGGAAUUUUAAAAUAAAUAAAUAAAUAGGAUGAUAAUAAUAAUAAUAAAAAUAAUAAUUAAAUAAGUGAACGUGAAUAGUAGAAUUUUUUAAAUCAUAAAUUAAAUUUGGAAGCCGAAAAAAAAUAAAAAUAAUAAAUAAUAAAUGAAUAAAGACAUAGACACCACCUAUAAUCUAUUUCUAUUUCCAUAUGUUUGGUUUCUAAAAUUUUGAAGACUAGCGGGGUUUUACUGCAAAUUCGGGUCGAUUUGAUAAAAAGGGUUUUUACGGAUACUGCAACUGGGGUUUGGGGAUGCUGCUUGAGAUGGACAGGUAAGAGUGAGGUAGAUUUGAGUUUGCUGGUUUGGAUUGUCUGAACAUUUCCCUUUUUUAUUUUGGGGGUUUAAUCUUUGAGUUACUCUACUCUGGUGUUUGGCUGAGCCCAUUUGGGGAUGUGAUUUGAAGGCAGAGCAAAAUAAUUGGGUUUUUGGAAAAUAAACAAAUGAAUAAAAAGAAUAAUAAUAAAAACAAAAUGAUAAUUAAAUAAAUGAAUAUGAAUAUUGGGGUUUUUUUUUUUAAAUGAGAAACUAAAUUUGAAAACCGAAAUUUUAAAAAAUUGUUUAAAAGUGGAAUUUUGAAAUAAAUAGAAUAGUAAUAAUAACGAAAAUAAUAAUUAUUAAAUAAAUAAAUAUGAAUAUUGAGAAAUGGAAUUUAGGACCUAAAAAUUUUAAAGAUGAAAGAUUAGAGAGUUAAAUUAUUUGGAAACUAGAUUUUUGAAAAUCAAUUUUUAAGGAUUGUGGGCUUUGGAAAUGGGCCAAGAAAGGUGGCCAUGCAAACUGGAAUCAUGCACGUGGACCCAAUCAUAGUUGGGCUCAACCUCUUUCAAAGAGCCCAAAAUAUCAGGAAUGAAAUACUUGUGGUUUCUCAGUAAACAACAUCUCCAAUUGGAUUCCGGUUGAAGUAGCCAAACAAAACAUGUCUUGUGAUCACUACUAGGCCUUCGCUCCUAGCCUUCAAUGAUACCAUCAUGCGCACGUACUCCUCAAGCUUUUGGACUAGGAAAUAACAAUCUCCAUGACUUCAACCCCAAGCUGAACUUCACCAGUAUGACCAUGUUCAUGGAAAUAACAAACUCUACCUAAAUCAGUUUCUAUCCAAUUAAUACUAUAUCGAGAUAUUUUCAUUGUAUAACUAGGUCCAAUUUAAACAUGAAAUAAGAGGUGACUAGUUAAAGAUAUGAUACCAGUAAUAAAUAUAAUAAUUCCAUGCAUUAAUAAAAGGAACUGAGCAUUCAAGGCAAGUUGGUAAUUAAUUUAGCAAAAAUGUAGUGCUUUGAAACUACAUGUCCUUUUGCAAGGUGUCCUAAUAUCAUAAGAAUCAACCCUACUUUAGGCAGGUCAUGACUCUUAUUACUAAGAUAGAGACCCUAUUUAUUUGAUAAACUUGCCUUAAACUUUAAAAGUUAACCUAAGGCAUUGAUCAACAUACCUUUCUUGUUUAGCCCUUAACCCAUGCAAUUGGUACUACUUGAAGUGAUUCUACCUCUUCAUGUCCAAGUUAAGUGUGUAACAAAGAUCCUUGACAUAAAUGUUAACAAGUGAAGAGUUUCAUCUUUAGGAUUGGCCGCUCUCACCACAAACAUAUAUAGUCUCAUCCAUAAAGGAUAGUCCAUAUCCCUUAAUUCCUUGGGUCAUCCCCUCUUUAGGAUGGUGAUGUACCCAAAAUCAAGAUGGGCUCGAUCUUGGAAGCUAUGGGCUUGCCUAUAGCCCUCUUCCACUUAAUCUUUUGAAAUUAGAGCUUUUAAAACAUUAGUAAUUGCCUAUCCUCUUUAAAAUUUCAAUGAGAGUAUUUUAUCCACAAAUGAAUUUUGAUAAAAUGUCCAUUCUCAAAUUUUAAAAUCUAUUUUUCAUAAAAAAAAAAAAAAAAAAAUCUCCUUCUUUACACAAUUACAAUUAAUAAAUAUUUUGUCUAUGAAAUUGUGGACCCCGCAUUUCGGCUCAAUGCGUUUCCCACUCGAUGGCAAGCUCGAUUUUUAUUUUGAAAAAUAAUGAUUUAAUCGGCUAAAAAAAAAGCGGAUUUGGAGUCACCACUUAUUUUUGUUUUAUUUUUAAGGGUAAACAAAAUAAGAAAUAAAAACCCUAAGUGUGACUCCUUGUUUUGGAAAAGGUCGGUCUACGAAAAAACAGAUCGGGUUCGGGGGUCAGGUUACUUAUCAGGAAGGUACGGUAUGAACCGUAGCACCCCUCUAAGCCCCUAAAAUGAGUCUCUACUAAUAAAAUGAAGUAGUCAUGGCAAUUAAUUAGGAAAUCAAUGAAUACUCGGAACUAUCAUGCACAUAUGAGAAUCAGAGUAUGUAUAGUGAAUAAUCAGAAUGAGUGAAUGCGUACCUGGGCAACAAACAACAACGCGCUAUCAUAGAAUGAGGUUAGUGAAUAAACACAAAAUGGUGAUAUGCAUAUCAUGGAACAUAGCAAAUCAAUCAAUCAAUCAAUUAGUCAUGAAUUCACAUAUGUAGGGCCCCCACCAAAGCCCAUUUUAUCUUACCUGAAUCAAUUCCGAUAACUCCAUCGUUCGGAAUUACGGAAUUUGAUUCCUUGCUUAUUUCAAAACAUUUUAAAAACAGAGGAGGUAUGUAAAUUACUUGCCAGAAAUAAAAGCGGCGGCAAAGUGUUAUUGAAAAUGUGAUUUUGGAACCUAAAGAAACUCUAAGGAUGAAGUAUGAGACAAUUGGGAUUAUUUGAGUACCAGGAUUUAAAAGAAUUUACAAAAUGGGAUUCCGGAUGAGAUAUCCGGGGAAAGCGGAACGUCGGCAGGCAGAAUUCCGGGUGCGAGAUGUCCGGGUGGAAUGUUGGGGGGGAGGAAUUCCGGAUGCGAUGCGUCCGGAUGGAAUGGCGGCGGGAGGAAUCUCCGGAUGCGGGGGGCGUCCGGGUGGAAUGGCGGAGGGAGGAAUUCCAGAUGUUGGGGCGUCUAGGUGGAAUGUUAGCGGAGGAGCGGGAGGCAUUCCGGGUGCGAUGUGUCCGGAUGGAAUGGCGGCGGGGGAAUUCUGGAUGCGAUAUGCGUCCGGGUGGAGUGUUAGCGGAGGAGAAAUUCCGGAUGCGAUGGGCGUCCGGGUGGAAUGGCGGCGGGAGGAAUUCCGGAUGCGAUGCGUCCGGAUGGAAUUAACAUGGUUGUGAGUAGCAUGAAGAAUGGGUAUGGACUGUAUGGACAUGGGGGCUUGGGUGAGUGGUUUUAAUGGGUAUGCAAAGGAGUGAAGGAUGGCAUGCACCCGUGAGACUCCAUGUAAGCGGGGGAGUGGGAUGGAGAAUGAAUGAGAGGCGGAUAGGUGUGGUGGAGGAUGCUUGACUCCUGCAAGCUCGAGUGAGGAAAAUGGAUAUGACGACCUAGAGAGAGAGAUAGAUAGAUGAACGAUGGGUAUGUAGGCAUAUUGGAUAAAACGAUGAAUAACAAAUGAAAAUGGGUAUGGAGAGGCUGAUGAGGUGAGCUUUGCCGCCAUGACAACUACCCCAGGUUUUUUAGGAUCUCUUUCGAGCGGGGAUGAGAAAUUGGACGCGUACCAUAACGGACAUCAAGAAACAGGGGAAGUAGAGAAACAGAACGUAAAAGAAGAUGAAUAAAUAAAGGAAAAUAUCAGAAAAUCCACUUCAUGAAUCAUGCAUAAAUCUUCUGAGCAGGUGGGUAAACCAUAUCGGAUGCAGCCACCCUCAUGACUCUCAAGCAUUUCAUAACCACAACAGGAACAUAUCAAAUUAAAAUGGACAAUGGCAAACACGUUUGCAAGGUCAUACUUCAACAAGCAGACUGGUGGCCUUCAUUAUCCACCCUAAACAACAUUAUGUUAUGGAAAAUCAGUGAAUAAUGAGAGACGAGGAGAAAACUGUGUACGUACCUGGUUCCUCAAGCAAAAAGAAAUCAAGUCUCAGCUCUCUCAAUGGAUUUUCUCUCUGCCGUCAAGAACUCUCCCCUGGCCAUGGAAGACCUUGCCGAGCAAAUCUCCUUUCUCUCGAAAAUCCCUCAUCUAGCCAACUCUUCCCUCACAAAACUUUCUUCCUUCUUUCCUUUCUUUUCUCUGCCUUUCUUUCUGGAUUUACCUUCUCGACCAUCUCUGCCGCAGCCACCUUUUCUCUGCCCUUAUCCCCCUUCUGCGGCCACCUUUUCUCUGCUCCACUCCUUCUACAGCCACAUUUUUCUAAUUCACUCAUUCUAUAGCCACCUUUUUGUCCCACUCCUUUUGCAGCUUCAAAAAGCGAAGUUGAUUCCUUAUGGCCACUAAGGAUGUGACACGUGGCCCGUUGGGAUAGUGACACCUGGGUAAAAAUGUGAUCUGCAAAAACAAAUAGAGAAGAAGUGACCCAUACCUAAAUGGGGGUCUACAAAUAUGCCCCUCUUCGGUAGAACUCACGAGUGCAAGGAAUAUGAACACUGAAGUGAAAGGGAAGUGUGAAUAGUGAGUGGAAUGAAGUGAACUCUACCGAAGAACCAAGGAGACCCCCAUAGGGACACUAGCAAACACUACAAGGAAAAUGUAAAAAGAUGACGUUUUUUAAGCAUCAAGAUAGAUAUAAGAUGACGCUUUCCAAAAGCGUCAUCUCUUAGACUGACAUCUUAUGAAUUUCCAAUUGUUGAUGCUUUUCAAAAGCGCCAUCUUCUUUGGCGGUUAACCAUGACGCUCAUAGAAAGCGUCAUUAUUCUAAACCUUGGCACUCUAUAAGUGUCAUUGUAAGUCUGCAAUUUCAUUCAUCUCAAUAUUGACACUCAAUAAAGCAUCAUUGUAUAGGUAGGAGCAACAUCGACACUCAUGAUAAGUGUCAUCUUAUAGCAUUUUUCAACCUUGACGCUCAAAAAAAGCAUCAUGUUCUUAAAUCUUCAACCUUGAUGCUUAUGAUAAGUGUCAUCUUAUAGCAAUUUUCAACCUUGACGCUCAAGAAAAGCAUCAUGUUCUUAAAUCCUCAACCUUGAUGCUUAUGAAAAGCGUCAUUGUAUAUUUUAAAGUGACGUUGACACUCAUAAUAAGUGUCAUCUUCUGCCUUUAUUAUCCUAUGAGAACAAAGCAUGACGCUUUAAAAAAGUGUCAUCUUAUCUCAUUCGAAAUUUUAAUAACCCAUAAAAGUCCUAAUUAUGCCCUGUUUUAUAAUUUUUCACAAACAAUGAAUGAGUAAUAAAAAGUUAAUUUAAGAAAGUCCUAGGAGAAAAAGUACUAAUUGUGGUGUUUCUCUUUCACUAUUAAAAUUUACUAAUAAACAGACAUAAUUAAAUAUGAAUUUUCUUAGCAUUAAAUUUAGUUGAAAUUGUUCAAAAAACUAAAAAAUUUACAACUUCUUUUUCAACUUUGAGUUGUUCAUAGUCUUUUGCUGCAUCUAGUUCUACAUCAUCUUUCUUCAAAAUGUAUAAGGAUGGUUACAAGUCACAUUCUAGAUGCUCAACCUGCAAAAAUAAUUGAGAGGUUACAUAUAACUAAUAUUGACAAAUAGUAAAAUAAAAAAACAACUCUAUAAAUGAAAUGUGUAUAUACCAAUUUUUUAAAUUUCCAAGAUAUAUUUCUUCUACUGCAAUAAAUUUUAACAUGUUGGAAGAACUAAACAAACCCCAAUAAUUUUGUUACACCAAAUUUCUAAAUAUUCCUUGAACUCUUGUUAUGUGUUUAAGAAAGCAAUCAAUAAACCACUUUCUAGUGUUUUCCCAAAUGCAAUAUUUGAUUUUGUCUAACUUGGGUUGAAUGCAAUAAUUAAAUUUGUCCAACUCAUAUUAUCAUUCAUAUUGUAAUCAUGAGUGAAUGAUGACUUGCAUCCAUGGUUAUCAAAAUAUGUUAUAAGUAUAUCUAACUUGGGUUGAAUGUAAUAAUUAAUUUUUUUCAACUCAUGUUAUCAUUCAUGUUGUAACCAUGAAUGGAUGAUGACUUCCACCUAUGGUUAUCAAAAUACGCUAUCAACAUAUUGGGUCUUGUCUUAAAUUUAAAGCAUGUAUACACUUAAUCAUUUUCUUAGACUAACUUAUUAUGGAUAGAAUUAAACCAAUUAAAUAACUAGGUUAGGUGGUUUCCCUUCAUCAAUGAAGAUUGUAUAUCCAUGUGGUUGCCUUCCUCCCUAAUUAGGCAUUACUAUGAAUUACAAUUAGCUAAAUGACCCAUUGUUCAUCAACUAUCUCCAUUAUAUGAUGGUCUUUUAGCCCUUCCACCCAAUUGGCCUUUACAAGUCAUCAAUUAUAUGUAUAAACAAAUGUCUCUAACUCUUAAAAAACUCAAAAAAAGAAAAGUCUUGAUCUUAGUGACUAUUUUGGUAUGAUUUAUAUCUUAUACAUGAAACUUCAACCAUUAACAUCUUUUCAUCCUUCUUAUAGGUCCUACAAGACACUGGAUGUUUUGCAAAGAAAGCAAGUAAGGAAUUAAAAGGAAAAAACUAUAAGUUUGAAAAAUUCUGAAAUUAUAAGUUAAAAUAUCUAUGUUCUUCCUACUGUUAAUAUCUAUUAUAGAUGAAAUUUACAAUUCAUUGGUUUUAUCUAUUUAACCAAUUAAUGUAGUUGGUAUGAAGUAUAAUGUCAAGAGAAGAGCUAGCUUGCAUGGGUACAUUAACAUCUAAUCAUGUGAGGAUAUCUAUUAUCCUAAGUAAACAUCCUAAAUAUGAAACUUACAUGAAAUGAUUUUGUAAACAUGGAAUUUAUUCAUAAAACUAACAAUAACCUAAGCAUCUUACCUCAACAUUCUUUUAUGAAAAUUUUCAACUAUUGCAGGGAGUCCUUCAUGUCAUUGAACAUGUUUAGGUCUGAAUAAGCAAGAGUAGUAGUGACGUACUUAAGAGAAUGACCUAUGUCUUUCAGUACAACCUGAAGAAUAUACAAUAAACAAUUUAGCAACAAAAUUAGAUUCUUAAAAGUUUUAACACAUUAAAUUCAAUAAGCUCAUUAAUUUCAAAGAAGGUUGGUAGCCAAAGGUAGUAGAAUAAUUGAGAUAAAGAAACUAGGAAUAAAGAAAAAUUAAUUUUAGGUAAAACAUUAUAAUUAAAUUGAUAUUUUAACUUGACAUGUUAUGAAUCCAUGAAAAAUAAUACAUUGGCAAUACUUAAUUGAUUAAAAGAGUAAAAUAACACCAAAUAUAGCAAAAAACUACAUGAUAUGGACAAAUGGUUUAUUUUUGUAACAGUCAUUAGCAAACUAAAAUUAAAAGGGCCUUGGUGGAGGAAAAAACUAUUAUAUCAAAAUGACUAGUUUCUUUCCUUAGAAUUGCAUUUAGAUUGAGGAGCUAUUAUUCAAGUUGAUACCCUAUUUUAGACAACGAGGCUUUGGAGGCCUAUUUAGAGAGAAUGAGAUGUUUUUUUUUUUUUUUUCCUUAGGCUUAUUUGUAAGAAGUCUUAAUCUAAUUUCCUAUUUUUUUAAUGUCAAAGAAAAUAUAAGUAUAAGAUAUUUUAAACUUUAAGCCCAUUAGUUUAGGAGGAGGCCUCUACAAAUUUAAAUUGAAAAAAGUUAUACAGCAAGUGAUCUUAAGGAUCUAAAAUGUUUUUUUUUUUAGGAUAGACAUAUUCUUAAUGCAUGCACAUGUAAUGAGACUAAAGACUUUCCUAAAAAUAGUUUGAAAAUGCAUGAAUUUUCGUACCAUUACAACACUAGGAUUUCAACAAAUCCAACUAAUAAGGAUGUAUACAGGAAAUACACAAAGGGUGUGACACCUACCAUGUCUACUAGGCUUCACCUCUCAAUUUGCCAAUUACACAUCCAUCAAAAUAGAGCAACCAUUGGAUGAUCCAUAUUGAAAACACUGCCAACUAGGAGUACCAAGAUAUAUAUUAACAAAUCAUGACUAAGAAUAAAUUAUAAAAUUAACAUUAACAAAAUAUUCACUAGAUCUUUAGAAUAAUAUGAAGUUAUAUUAGACUAUAGGUCAUACAAGGUACCUUCAAACAUGAGUAAUGAUUAAUUGAGUCAUUAACAUAACCCAAUCUGAGCGAACUUCAUUAAUUUCCAUUUCACUAUAUGUUUUUCUCCCAUUAAACUGAAAUGGAAUAACAUACAUCUUCACUAAGUUGAAAUGGAAAAUCAAGUGCUAUAGAAAAAUGACCAACCAUAUGAAUUGCAUUGCAUACAAACCUUUGAUGUUAGUUGGUUUGGAUUAGCAAUGAUUUCUUUCAUGUAUCUCAUCACGUAAUACCCACAUUCCACACUACCUGGUUGUCUUGGACACUAUGGCAAAAGUAUCAACAAUUACAACAAACAUAGCAUGAUGUUCUUACUUCUUUAGUAUCUAACUGAUCAUCAUAUUAAUCAUCGCCCAUUUCCUAAUUUUGUGUAGUGAAUUAAGUGGUCAAACAAUAUAUUUUAAUCUAAAGGAAUAAGUACUUACAACCACUUUCACCCAAGUCGGCUCUCUCUUUGAUGUUUUCUGUUUUUCUGGUGGGUUGAUUCUAAUUGCCCUAUAAAAAAGAAAUGAUGUUCUAUAGAUAAUAUGCAUUGUACUAAAAUAUGAGAAGUACACACUUACAUGUUAACUAUCUCCCUAAGAUCAUCACAUGGUUGACAAGCCAUUGGAUCAAGGUAAUAUGCAAUCAUUCUCUUCAUCUCCAGUGACACUAAGACCCAGUGGAAACUAAAGAAAAAAGAAAAAAAAUUGUAAUAUAAUAUCCACAAAUUAAUACAUCACAAACUAACUUAUAUACAAUAUAUCGAGAUUUGGGAUAAAAGGUUACUCUGGAUUGUAUGGAAUAAGCAUAUAUUCAGCAUGUUUUGCAUUCCUUAGUCGAUCCGCAAUGACCCUUGACCUGUUUUCUUUACUUCCCUCUCCCAUUCCAGCUUUUGAAACCAAUGCUGGAUUGACAAAAACAUAUUGUUCAACCUGCUUUCCAUCAAUCAACUUUCUAUGCAGGUGCCUAAUUAAAUCCCACAUAAUAAGUUAUCAACAAUCAUUAUAGGUCAUUAGCAAAUAACCUUUUACCUAAAAAAAGUGUGAAGAGUAAUUAAAAAAAUUAUAAAAUCCCUCACCAGAUGUAGUAUAAGAUACAAUUGGAUGACACUUCUUUUGAUGAUAUAAUCAUGUCCAUAUCUUCUUUCAUUAGGAAGGUCUUGAAACUCUCACCAAAAACAUCAUCUGGGAAGUCAACAGGAUGUACUCUUGAGGUACUCAGCAUGAGGCCAACCAAUGCCUCAAAAUUCUUGAUAUCUUGUGCUUUCUCACCCUUAGAUUUGACUUCAACUUCAUUUUCUUUUUGUUUCUUUCCUUUCUUGGAUGUCUAUACAAUUAAGAACCAUGAUACAAAUCAAAUCAACUAGUUGAAUAUACAAAAAAAAUGAAAAAUAAAAUAAAAUUUAAGGUUAUCAUAAAGCUUGGUAAAUAAAUUUACUCACCGAGAUAAGAGUAUGAAUGAUGACUAAAUGAGCUGGCCACAAAACUUGGUAACCAAUUGCAGCCCUAACAGUAGUAGUUUGUCCAGGAAUAGGAAUGGGAAGGGGUGCACUUGAAUCAUAAGAAGCAUCAACAACUACUAGAUAGUUGGGACCACAUUCAAGUAUAAUUGUGCCACCGGCCACUAUAUUUUCCUUGGUCUCCACAGCCAACUCACAUUUUCUAACCUACAAAAUGAAGUUAUAUUAUUAGAUAUGAGCCAAUAUUCUAUAUUUCAUUCUUUCAAGUCUACAUCUUCAAAAUAACAUUGGUUAAUAUUGAAAGCCAUCUAUAAGGUACAAGCAAAAAUGUGAGAUAUGAAGUAAUUUUAGAUCACAUUGGAAAGAUUAAAUGAAGGCAUGCAAAUUAUUAUGUGUUUAUAUAAAGAAUAGCUAUUCUUAAAAUAAAAGAGGUUAGUAAUGCAUAAUCAAUCAAAAUAAUUAUUGAACAUUAAAAAGUUUCAUAAUAUAUGAAAUAAAAAUCUCAUAUGAUCUAAUUAUGUAGACAACAAAAUUAUAUUAUCUAUUUUGUAAAUGCCCAAAAUGCUAAAAAAAAAUUUGACAACUUUUUGAUUUUCUUAUAUUGCACCACAUAAAAGAAAACCAUAUAUGUUCCACCAACAAUUAAAUUAAAUUCAAACAAAAAAAUUUACCUAAAUUAUAUCUCCUAUUACAACAAAAAUUAUCAUCAAAUUAACUAGAUAAAUACCUUGUUCUUUGGUUCUAUUGGCACUAGUGGACUUGCAUCUUCACCUCUACGGAUUGGCUUCUCCACUACUUCUAGUAGGAGAAGCUGUUUUUGUUUCAUGUUCGAACUGCUAACAUCAGAUUGGGGAGUGACUACUCCCACUUGAGACAGUUUUGCUAGCACUUCUGCUUGAAAGUUUCUUUGCUCUUCUUUAGAUGCUGCUAUAAAAUCCCUAACAGCACGAUCUACAGCACUAUUAAAAUAUUGACGAGGUAUGUGGUGCUUCCCUUUGGCUCUAACUCGACCACUAUACUCAGGAGUACCCAAUGCUUCUACAAGUAUAUCAUUACUCCCAUUGACACUCCUACCAUUCUCUUGAGACUCUUUCAACAACUUAUCCUUAAAAAAAAUGUUAAUUAUGAAGUUCAAUUAUAAAUUUGUUAUCAUAAAUUAGCUAUUAUAAAUAAAUGAAAUUAAGGUUGAAAAUAUCCACUUACUAUUUUUUCAAUCACUGGUAUGGCCACUUCAUCAAAGGUGCCAUCUUUUUUUUCUCUUGCUUUCUUCCAUAAUAUGCUUCGAUCAAUACUUUCAGUUGACCCACUUGCAACCAUCUUUUAAAAGGAGACAAUGUAUAAUGUAAUAAGCAUAUAACACUAUUAUGUAUUAUGUAUAAAAUAAAUAAAUAAACUAUAAAUUAGUAUAAACUUACCAUCUCUUCCUCAAGACCAGCAUUUCCUUUCCUACUUAGAUGGUGAUUAUAAAUGUGUUUCUUUCUUCUUUCUUUUUGAACUUCUCGAUAUUCCUAUAAAUUAAAAAUGCAUAAUUAAUGAAUGUGAAUACAAGAUAUGUAAAGAGUUGUAAUUAUACCUUAAAUCUAUCAGACAAUCGAUCUUUAACAAACAUUUUCCAAUCUUCAUCCUCAAUAAAAAUAUAUUGAAUUGGCGGUUUUUUGAGGAGCUCCGGUUGGUCUUUGAAAGGAAGAAUGUACUUCACUGUUAGCAUGUUCUUAAAUGAUCGAAAACAUUUUCCAAUGGUUAGCAUACAAUUCCUCCUACUUUUGGGAUUCAAUGAAAAAGCACCCUACACAUUAAUAGUAUACAUGUUAGUAACUUAAUAUGGUUAGGAAUGAUUGAUGUUUUGCAUAAAGAUGAUGUAGGUAAGAAUGUGUUACCUCAAUGCUAUCCCAUAACUUAUCCUUCAACUGUUUAGGUACAACAUGCCACGUUUGAUAUCUUAUUGGCACCAUAGUGUGUGCUAAUACGCCUAAAUAGCUUGUUAGAUGAACUGCUGAUUCUCCUAUGAAAAUGCCAUCAAGAUUGUACUUAACCUGCAACUUGAUCCCUUUGCUUCUGUUCUUGGUAAUCAUGGACUUUCGUGUCAUUCCUCUGUACUUCCUUUUUGUGGUUUUUUCUCCUUUCUCUGGAUCCAUUCUGGUAACAAAAAACAAAAAAACAAAACAAAACAAAACUAAUAAAGAUUAGUUAACAUUAUAUUAGAUAUAACCGUGUUAGAGAAGAGUUGUAAAAAGAAAAUUUUAGACAAAACAAUCCCUCAUCAUUGCAUAAUGAAAUGCCACCAAUGAAAUGGCCUUAUCUAUUCUCAGUUUCUUAUUCACUUGUGCCAUAAAAGUGAGACAACGAUAGUCUUUAAUUAAGUUCAUUUAGUUGUGUGCUUCAAUUAUUUGGACCUUUUGUUGUUUCAAAUACUUUUUUUUAGUGAAUUGUAUGUAUUUAGAUCAUACAUUUCAUGGACCUUUUUUUUGGAAUGGUUCAUCACAUAACGAAGUUGACAUUUCAGUUUAGCUAUUUUUUCUCCCUCUUUCUUGCUCAUUUGAUUUAUUUUAAUUUAAAUUUGUUUUAUUUUAUGAACUUUUAUAUUCUAGUAUGUGUUUCUCUUAUUAUUUUUUUCUAAUCCAUUGUCAUUUUCUUUUGAAUUUUCCUAUGAGAGCCUUUUAGAAUUGCAUAUUUAACUUACUGAAUUGUUAACUAGUUCAUAUCAAAACUAAAAUUUACAUAUAAGAAUUUUACAAGAAUCAUACUUGAUAUUUGCUUUAGUAUAUCAAAUUUUAAUAACAAGAAAUGUCAAAUGUAGAAGCAAAAUAAUAAUAAGAAUAAUAAUAAUAAAUAAUAGUAAUAAUAAUGUCAAAAUGGCAUCAACUUAGGCAAUCAACUUGAUGUUCUUUGGAAACAAAAAGAAUUAAAAUUACCUGUUUUGUGGGAUCUGCAACCCACUCGGCAUCCUUUAUUUCUACAUCAUUAUUAUAAGUUUACAAUUCAGCUACAUAGAGGAUUUGUUCUCAAUCCAAAUCCCCUCACAAUCACCUCUUAUACAUAUUGCAUCUGAGUCAUCCAUUGCAUCAAACGCUUCAACUUCUGGCAAUGUCCCUAUAAAGGGAUGGUGUUCAAUAGAAUUGUCCACAAGGUCAUCACUUUCUUCCUUAUCCAAGAAAUCUUUUUAAGGAGUUGACAAAACAACUGAAUAUCUUGGAUCAAGUUGGUCUUGCACAUAAAAUACUUGCUUGGCUUGAGAUGCCAAAAUGAAAGGAUCUGAUUUAUGAGCAAUUUUAUUAAAGUCAACUAAUGUAAAGCCAAGAUCGUCAACUUUUAUGCCAUUCUUAUUAUCAAUCCAAUCACACUUGAAAACUGGUAUCCUAAACAUGGUAUAAUCAAGGUCCUAGAUCUCGUUAAUAAUCCCGUAGAAACAAAGCUCACCAAACACUGGCUUUUGAUCCUUGGCACUUGCAAUUUGCAUUGUUGAAGCUAUAAUACUAACUCCGCUAUUUUGGGUAGCUCGUAAGUCAUCACGCUCCUUACUAUGGUAUCGACAUCCAUUAAUGACAUAUCCAUGAUAUUUCGAGACAUAGUGGCUAGGACCAUGAGCUAUCCACUUAAGGGUCUCAGAUAUAGGUUCAUUGUUACCAAUUGCAACUUCAAUCUGCAAUUAUAAAUAAUAGUUACUAUGUAUGUUCAACAUUAGUAAAAAGAAUAGUUCAAAUUUGAGCACCAAUUUGAUACCUUUUUUCGAAACCAAUAAGUAAAUGUUCGCAUGUGUUCAUUCUGGAGCCACUUUUGUCUUUUAGAUUGACGAGGAUUUUUCAAUUUCAACCAUUCCAUGUGCUCUCUAUGCAAUUAUUUAUAAAAAUUUCAAAGUUUUUGUCCUGUAGUUAAUUUAAGUAUAACAAAUAAAUAUUAAGUGUUAGUAGUUCUUACUCGAUAUAAGGUUGGACAAUAGUUGUAUUCUCUAAAACAUAAUGAUGUGCAUGCAACCACAAAUUAGAAUCAACGAUCACAACUUGACCUCCAGGUAUCGGUGCCCCAAUUUUUUGGUUAAUGUUUACACUAAUAGGAAUCCCAAUUGCAUCUACAUUUGAUAAGUACUCUGUACAAAAUUCAAUAGCUUCCUCCACAAUAUAGCAUUCGACGAUGCAACCUUCGGGUCGGUUACGAUUUCGCACAUACCCUUUCAAAACUUUCAUGAAUCUUUCAAAAGGGUACAUCCACCUUAGGUAAACCGGUCCACAAAGUCUGACCUCUCUUACAAGAUGCACAGUAAGAUGGAGCAUGAUAUCGAAGAAGAAAGGUGGGAAGUACUUCUCAAGUAAGCAUAAUGUCACCACUACAUCAUUUUGUAACUUAUCCAAUGCAGGCACAUCAACCACUUUGCUACAAAGAGCAUUGAAAAAAAAACUCAAUCUACAAAUAGCAUGUCUUACAUGCUUUGGUAAAACUGAUCGUAAUGACACUAGCAAUAACUGUUGCAUUAAUGCAUGAUAGUCAUGGGAUUUAAAACCAUAAAGCUUCAAGUCUUCCAUUGACACAAGGUUUCUCAUGUUAGAGCAAUAACCUUUAGGAACCUUUAAUUGUGAUAAAGUUUGGCAAAAAAGCUUCUUCUCCACUUUAGAUAGUGUGUAACAUGUAAGUGAGAGGUAAGUUCGAUUUGAUUCAAACCUUGGCCCUAAUUCACACCUUAAGCCCAUCUCCAGAAGGUCUAAACGAGAAUUAAGUCCAUCCUUUGUCUUACCUGGAAUGUUAAGUAAGGUACUGAUGAUGCUUUCACAAACAUUUUUCUCUAUAUGCAUUACAUCCAAGUUAUGACGAACAUGUAGGUAUUUCCAAUACUCAAGAUCAAAGAAUAUAGACUUUUUCUUCCAACAAUUUCUAGUUUUGACAUUCAACUUACCUUGAGUCAUCUUAUUUUUUCCCCAUGAAUUACAAAUGACAUCAAUUUUCCUUAGAAUUUCCUCUCCACUCAAUGGUUGCAAAGGUGACCGAAACUCUUGUUCCCCAUUAAAUGCUUUUUUUGUUUCCUAAAAGGAUGAUUGCAAGGAAGAAAUCGUCUAUGACCUGUAUAUGAGUUCUUUUUCCCAUGCUUCAAUCUAUGAGAGUAGGUAUCUUCCCCACAUAUGGGGCAUGCAAAAUAUCAUUUAACUGUGCAACCAGAUAAGUUUCUGAUAACCCGACUCUUGGUAGCUUGGCAUGUAAGGGUAUCAACAAAAUUUAUACCUAAGGUCCUUACACUAAAGUAGCAAAGCUACUGUAGCAUAGUGGCUCUAGGAUCGAACACUGGGAAGGGUUUUUACUUUAACUAGUGAAGUUCGGAGGAUGGAGUGAACUUUUCUUAAUAAAAAUUAGGUUAAGAUGAAAACAUAAAAAGAUGAAGGUGUUGUAAACUAAACCAACAUGAAAAUAGGUUAAAAGAUGGAAAAAGAAGUUUCUCAAAGCUUUGGAUAGCCAUGCUUAACUCACUGUGUAAAAAUGGAGAUUUUGGGACUCUUCACCUCGAGUUGGGGAAGCAACUAAGGUGAUGCUUACUUCCCGAACCGGUAUGAGUUUAACAACUGAGUUUUAGUCCUUGAAAACUUACAAAAAGGGUAGUUGAACCUCAUAAAUGCUCUUUUAAUGAUAUAGGUCAUCUCCUCGACUUGCAAUACAAUGGCUCGUAGGAGAUAACUAAUGAACAUCAGUGGAUCUAACAAUAAGAAUCCACUGAGACCAAAAGGUUAUCAAGUAUUGGCCAUUCAAAGCAAGUCAGAGGGAUUAAAAGCUUUACUUUGAAUGAAAACAUUUAUGACGCUCAGCUACUUACAUUCAUGGCUUGGAAAUCUCCAUCCUGACACGGGAGCUUCACAUGGCAUCCAUUACUUCAAGAAACUAAAAGGUUUUAGCCUCUCAUCCUUGGGGAUUUCAUCCUCCAAGGGUGUUUGGCUACUAAGAAAAUGAGAAAGAAAAGAGAAAAGAAGCUUCUGAACAAAAGUGCUCUUAUAACUUAUAAAGUUACAGGUUACAAGAUUUUAUAUCCUUGUCUGAGGCUCUUCACCUUUAUUUAAAGACAAUAACAAGCUAAAUUACAAGAGCUAUUACAAAAGCAACCUAUUCAUUGGUUGAUUACAAGGGUAAAAUAGGUAUUUACAAAGCUAAAAAUCAAGCAAAAUAUCUUGGAGAACCGGUAGUGGAAUAACAUCAACAACGUCUCAAAACAGGGGAUUCAAAGGAAUUUCGCAAUGUGCCUAAAUCCUCCUUGCGAAAUUUUCGCAAUGUGAAAUUCACAUUGCGAAAUGGCAAAAUUUCGCACCAUGAAGAAAAUCCCCUUGCGAAAUGGCAAAAUUUCGCACCAUGAAGAAAAUCUCCUUGCGAAAUUGGUCAUUUGACAUGAUGCAGUUGCCUUCCAAAAGUCAUAUCUUCCUCAUUUCAGCUCCAAAUCAUACACGGUUUGAAGCGUUGGAUUCUUGACUUCCUAAGCUUUCAAAUGGUAUAUAGCAUGCAAAAAAUGGACUUCGGGAAGUGCUCCAAAAGUUCAAAGGAAGACUGCAGCUGUUUUCUUCACUCUGUUUUCCUCUUCUCCAUUGCUUGUGCUCGUGUUUCCACUUGAAAUUCAAGCCUAUAAACGUACAAAAUCCUUGCUUAACUCGCCCAAGUAGCUCCUCCAUCAAUUGGCAUGCUUGAAUCGAUUCAUAAGCUGAUAAAAACAUGUAAACUUGCCACAAAAUGGUUAAAACCAAUUACUAAGGACCUUAAUGAAUUAAUUGGGUUAAAUGAAUAUGAUUACUACUCAAAGGUGCUUAAAACCAUUAUUAUUAGGUCUACAAAAUAGCACUUUUUGGUAGUAAUCACACCCCCCAACCGACUCAUUGCUAGUCCCUUAGCAAUGGAGGAGAUAAAAACUAAGUAAACUAUAAUAAUAUACAUAAAAGGGAUCAUGCAAAUCACUCCAAAAAAUGAUAUGAGUGGCAUGAUGGACAUCCAUGGAUCAAUAAAGAUGUGAAACUCAACCUAUAAUAAGAGUUGUCAAAGCAUUCACUUGAUCAUAGAGUACAAAGAAUGGAUAUUAUGCAAGUUUAAGCAUCAAAAGAAUUUCCACUCUCAAAAGAUCCAAAUCAAAUUCUUCCACUACAAGCUAAGUGUUAAUGUGAUUAGCUUCCGAGUAUAGUAUGGAUAACUAUCAUCUCCCCCCAACCUAAGUCUUUCUUUAAGCUUAGCAAAAUUAACCAUCUCUUGAUAGGCUAGGAACGCACCUCUUAUUCACAAUUCUUUUCACUUACUAAACUUAACCAAUUCACCCAUGUAACAAGCAGAGGAUCGGUGACUCCCAACCAAUAAAGGCUUAGGGCACCAGGCUUUAAAGGCUUUCGCCACCCCUUCGGACCAUGCUCAGGUUUCAAGGCAAGAAAAGAAGUUUAUUCUUUUUUUUUUUUUCUUUUUCUUUUUCUUUUUCUAUUUUUUCAAAGACUCAUUGGUCUUUAUGAGGUGUCCCAACACUAUUAAAGAGAGGUUAAAGGUGACAAAUUAUGAUUUCUCAAGCUUAGAGGGUGAGAUAGUUUCACAUCUUAUAAUCGGAAUCUAAUGUAUGUGUGUGCGAAUAGCUUAAGGUGGAAGAGAUAAGUUUGCAUGCAAUGGGAGCUUCAACCAUUCAUCAACUUUUAGAAGAGCAUAAUACAAACUCUAAGACUCAUGUAAUCAAGUUGAAACUCGACUUCUCUCAUUUAAUUUUGAGAGUUAAUCCUUAAUAUCCAUGGAGUUUAAAGCAAAAAUUUUAAAAAUUUAAAAAAGUAGCUAAUUUAACUAAGUAUGAUAAAAAUUUAAACUAAUACUUACUUCCUCAUCUCUCCCCCCAACCGAGAUGAACAUUGUCCUCAAUGUUUGAAUCGAAAAUAAGGAGGAAGGAAGUGGUACCUCAUGUGAUGUGGACUUGGAGUUGAGAAGGUUGAACACCUGUUUCAAAAUUCAAAAAUUGAAUGAGAGAGGAAUUUAUACUAAAUAUUUACAAAAAUGAUGAGUGGGCCCCACUUUGAGCAGCUGAGGACAAGACUCAAAGGGUCCAUGCCAUGAUGGUAUAUUCAUAUAAGUUGCAAUGACAUUUGAAUGUAGCUUGCAGGGGUGUUAAAAUUGGAGAUUUUUGGCUAAAACAGGGGAAAACAAAGGAGGAGUGAACAGUGAGUGCCAAAAUUGGCACAGUCACUGUUCACCUCCUUUGAAGCCCGACUGUGUGUUUUCCAAGUUUUGGGAAAAAAUUCAAAAAUGGUUUUUUAAAAGGUAUGGUUAGGCUCUAAACAAGAUUCCUGAGGUGUUUGGGUAGUUUUUAAAUGAUGAAAAACAAAAUUAAAUGAUGGAAAAUGAAAAUCAAAGUGGACGGCCAUGCAUGGAAUGGUUUUGAAAAUUGAUUUUUAAAAAGUUUUGGAUGGAUGGGAUUUCUAAAAUUGGGUUUGGAUUUGAAAACAAAAGGUUUGGAAAUGCAUUCAUGAAUUUUUAAACUUGGAAAAACAUGGAAUUCAAGAAAAAGGCCUUUCCGAGAGCUUUGUUUUUAGAAAUUAGCUUGAAAAUCAUUUCGCACCAAGAUAAACAAGGUGCGAAAGUUUUCGCACUGGUAAUUGAGGUGCAAAGAUAGCAUCCCGGGAGGCUUGGCUUUCCAAAAUGUAUAGAAAUUCCUUUUCGCACCAUGCACUGUCACUGUGCGAAAAAUUCGCACUGAGUGUGUUCAUGGUGCGAAAUUCCACUGAGAGCUUUGCUUAUGCAUUUUGGCUCCCCUGUUUCCUUUGUUUCACCUCCAUUUCGAUUUUUGCAAGCAUCGUACCUGCAUGAACACUUCAAAACUCAUCUUAAAACCAUAUUAAAACUAAAUUAAAGCUAAGAAUUCAAACUAAAACAUGCAUAAAUUUAAAGAAAGCAUAGAAUUUAAAUGAAGCUGAUAGCAUGUACCCCAAAAAGAAGAUGAACUAUUUAGCUCAUCCUCACUCACACACCCACUUCAUGCUGAAUUCCCCCUGGAUCCCAAACAAAAUUGGCAUCCCUCACUUGAGACUUGCUUUGUAUGAUCUUGCCAUACAAAGCUUGGGGGAAAAAUGGAUGCAUCUGUUUCUUCAUUAUUUCUUCUUUGAUGACUAUCUUCUGAGGUUCUUCGUCUAUAUAGUCAUCUUUCUCUAUGCUUUUCCCCUUUUUCUUUCCUUUGAUUUCCUCCCUCUUUUCUUUCUCUAUUUCAUUCUCUACCUCAUGCUCUAGUUUGCAUGUGGGCAGAUCAACCUCUUUAUCUCCCUCCUUAGCCUCCAUUUCAUGGAUACCCUUUUGAUUUUGAUGAGGUUGAGAAGGAGAGUUUUCUUUCUCUUGCAUUGUGUUGAGGUUGGAAAACCUUAAGAUUGAAUCUUGGAUAUUAUCUAUCUUUUGAGAUAGAUCAUGUUGCACUCCAUCCAUCUUUUUAUUCAAUGAACUCUCUACUCUGUCAGGGAGUGAUAUUUUUUGACUGAGCUGAGCAUUGAUGGAUUUCUGAGGUUCAACAAAAUCUUCCAUGACUUUGUUAAGAUUCAUCAUAGCUUGUUCAAGGUUUAAGGCUUGCUGUGGUGCUUGAGCAGGUUGCUGGUACUGAGGUGGCUGUGGUUUCCAAGAGAACUUUGGAUGUUUCCUCCAAUUGGAAUUGUAGGUGUUGCAAUCACCAAACAUUUUCCUUACCACUGGAAUGGUAGGACACUCCUCCACUAAGUGCUCAAAAGACUGACAAAUGGCACAAAGCAUAGCUUGCAAUGGUGUCUGAGAGAUGGCUUGCACUUCUUGCAUCUGGUUCUUUUCUAGCUCUUCCAAUCUCCUCUCCAUAGCUGCAAUCUUUGCCUUCAUGUCCAUGCCAUCAUUCAAAAUAUACAUCUCACCCUUAGCUUUAGGUUGAGACGUCAUUCUUCCCAUAUCUCUAGCAUUUGGUUCACCCCAUUCUCUUGAAAAUUCAGCCACAUAACUGAAGUUCAUGGCUUCCUCUGCUAUCUCAUAUUCAAUAUGGCAUGCACAACUAGCAAUUUGUGAAUUAAAAACAGAGAAAACAAAAGAAAAUAAAAGAAAAUAAAAUUCUAAAGAAAAAAAAUUAUUAAGAUUAACUAAAAACUAAAUAAAAGAUAUACUAACACAUGAACAAAGAAAAAUAAAAUAAAAUAAAAAGUUAGUAAAAGGAAAAUAAGAUAGAAUUCACCUCACUCAUGAGAAGUCUCACAAGUUACCUCCGGCUGAUAUAUUCAUAGUGAAGUAGCACCUUCCCCGGCAACGGCGCCAUUUGAUAACCCGACUCUUGGUAGCUUGGCAUGUAAGGGUAUCAACAAAAUUUAUACCUAACGUCCUUACACUAAAGUAGCAAAGCUACUAUAGCAUAGUGGCUCUAGGAUCGAACACUGGGAAGGGUUUUUACUUUAACUGGUGAAGUUCGGAGGAUGGAGUGAACUUUUCUUAAUAAAAAUUAAGUUAAGAUGAAAACAUAUAAAGAUGAAGGUGUGUAAACUAAACUAACAUGAAAAUAGGUUAAAAGAUGGAAAAAGAAGUUUCUCAAAGCUUUGGAUAGCCAUGCUUAACUCACUGUGUAAAAAUGGAGAUUUUGGGACUUUUCACCUCGAGUUGGGGAAGCAACUAAGGUGAUGCUUACUUCCCGAACCGGUAUGAGUUUAACAACUGAGUUUUAGUCCUUGAAAACUUACAAAAAGGGUAGCUGAACCUCAUAAAUGCCCUUUUAAUGAUAUAGGUCAUCUCCUCGACUUGCAAUACAAUGGCUCGUAGGAGAUAACUAAUGAACAUCAGUGGAUCUAACAAUAAGAAUCCACUGAGACCAAAAGGUUAUCAAGUAUUGGCCAUUCAAAGCAAGUCAGAGGGAUUAAAAGCUUUACUUUGAAUGAAAACAUUUAUGACGCUCAGCUACUUACAUUCAUGGCUUGGAAAUCUCCAUCCUGACACGGGAGCUUCACAUGGCAUCCAUUACUUCAAGAAACUAAAAGGUUUUAGCCUCUCAUCCUUGGGGAUUUCAUCCUCCAAGGGUGUUUGGCUACUAAGAAAAUGAGAAAGAAAAGAGAAAAGAAGCUUCUGAACAAAAGUGCACUUAUAACUUAUAAAGUUACAGGUUACAAGAUUUUAUAUCCUUGUCUGAGGCUCUUCACCUCUAUUUAAAGACAAUAACAAGCUAAAUUACAAGAGCUAUUACAAAAACAACCUAUUCAUUGGUUGAUUACAAGGGUAAAAUAGGUAUUUACAAAGCUAAAAAUCAAGCAAAAUAUCUUGGAGAACCGGUAGUGGAAUAACAUCAACAACGUCUCAAAACAGGGGAUUCAAAGGAAUUUCGCAAUGUGCCUAAAUCCUCCUUGCGAAAUUUUCGCAAUGUGAAAUUCACAUUGCGAAAUGGCAAAAUUUCGCACCAUGAAGAAAAUCCCCUUGCGAAAUGGCAAAAUUUCGCACCAUGAAGAAAAUCUCCUUGCGAAAUUGGUCAUUUGACAUGAUGCAGUUGCCUUCCAAAAGCCAUAUCUUCCUCAUUUCAGCUCCAAAUCAUACACGGUUUGAAGCGUUGGAUUUUUGACUUCCUAAGCUUUCAAAUGAUAUAUAGCAUGCAAAAAAUGGACUUCGAGAAGUGCUCCAAAAGUUCAAAGGAAGACUGCAGCUGUUUUCUUCACUCUGUUUUCUUCACUCUGUUUUCCUCUUCUCCAUUGCUUGUGCUCGUGUUUCCACUUGAAAUUCAAGCCUAUAAACGUACAAAAUCCUUGCUUAACUCGCCCAAGUAGCUCCUCCAUCAAUUGGCAUGCUUGAAUCGAUUCAUAAGCUGAUAAAAACAUGUAAACUUGCCACAAAAUGGUUAAAACCAAUUACUAAGGACCUUAAUGAAUUAAUUGGGUUAAAUGAAUAUGAUUACUACUCAAAGGUGCUUAAAACCAUUAUUAUUAGGUCUACAAAAUAGCACUUUUUGGUAGUAAUCAGUUUCCAUACGCAGGAAAAUCAUUGAUUGUCCACAGUAGAACAGCUCUUAAUGUAAACAACUCUUGUUGAUGUGCAUCAUAAGAUUCAACCCCCACCUCCCACAACAAUUUUAGGUCAUCCAAAAAUGGUGCUAAAUAAACAUCAAUGUCAUUUCCAGGUUGUCGUGGACCCGAUAUUAACAAAGACAACAUCAUAAACUUCCUUUUCAUGCAUAACCAGGGAGGAAGGUUAUAAAUUACCAUUAUAAUAGGCCAACAACUGUGUCUACUACUCAUUGAACUGUGAGGAUUUAUACCAUCUGCUGAAAUAGCAAGUCUAAGGUUUCUAGGUUUUGAAGCAAAAUCAGGCCAUCUGUGAUUGACUAGUUUCCAUGAUGGGGAGUCAGAUGGAUGACGUAAUUUUCCAUCAAAUUCUCUUUCUUGGGCAUGCCAUAUGAGGUAUUUUGCAACUGUUGGGGACCGAAACAAUCUUCUAAAUCUUGGAAUAGGAGGAAAAUACCACAUUACUUUUGCAGGGACUCCCUUCCUCUUUUUAGUUUUUGUUCUAUCUAACUUCCAUCGUGAAGUUCCACAAGUUGGACAUGAAGAUGCAUCCUUCAAAUCAUUCCUAUACAAUAUGCAAUCAUUCGGACAAACAUGUAUUUUCUCAUAUUCCAUUCCCAAUGCAUUCAAUGUCUUUUUUGCUUCAUACAUAGACAAGGGUAACUCAUUGUUUAGAGGUAACAUAUCUCAAACAAUUCCUAAAAGCUCUGAAAAACUUUUAUCAGACCAUCCAUACCGUGCUUUCAGGUUGUAUAAUUUCACCAAUGCAGACAACUUUGUAAAGUUUCUACAACCAGGAUAUAAAGGUUUUUGGGCAUCUUCAAGCAAUGUUUCAUAAAAUUCUGGGUCAUUCUUACAAUCAUCAUGUGCAGCUGAACCAUUUCUACUGUACUAUCCACAUCAGUAAAUUGAACCGUAUGAUGACAUUCUGCCCGACUAGUUGGUGGUCCACUUGGAGCGGCAUCUCCAUGCCAAUACCAUGUAUGAUAACUCUGAUCAAUUCCAUAGAAAAAUAAAUGCUCUCUAAUUUUUUGAGAAGUAUGGAAUAUCAUAUUACCACAUUGAAGGCAUGGGCAUUUAAUGGAGUUUUUAUAUGCAGAAUGUUUUAAUGCGAAUGCGAGAAAGCUUUCUACCCCAUCCGCAUAAUCCUUUGAUCUCCUAUCCUUUGUCAUCCAAGAGCGAUCCAUUUGAUGUACAACAGAGAAACAAAGCUCCUAGAUACCACCAACCACUAAAGUUAUUAAUAACUAUCCUAUUAAUAACCUCAAAAUAUAUGAUCCACCAAUUUCAAAUUUCAAACAUUGUCACAAAUACUUUUACCAAUCCAAAAAACAAUAAUGUGUAAGUCAUCUAACUAUAAGCAAUAUGACAACAAAUAUAAUUAGUAUAUUAGGUUAUUAAAAAAUUAGAAUAAAAAAUGGAUCUGAAUUCCAUCAUUAUGUUUGGUUUGUGCAUGAAUAGGAAUCAAAAGUUAGAUGUAACUCUCAAUCUUGUGUUCUAUUCUCAAGUACACCAAGUUUGAAAUUUUAAAAAGUUUGAAAAAUACUAAAUCACAUAAUUUCUGUAAUGCCACAAGAUGAGCAAGACACAUGGAUGGAAAUAUCUUUUUAAUUAUGGGUUGAAAAUCAUUUCUUUUAAAUCUAAGUAUCUUCUUAACAUCAUCUUGAUUGUUGAAUAGUAUCAAACAUAGACAUAUGAAAGAGUAAUAAUUGAGAUAAUACCAACUAAUACAUAAAUAUCACUAUGGAAAACAACAAAAGUUUCCAAAUGUUUCAAUUAAUAGGAAAAAAUGGGUUUACUCCAUCAAAAUUUGAUAGAGUACUUAAAAUGAGACUUAAAAGUUCACUUGUUAGAUGAAGCACAAAAUAAGAAAGGUAAGUAGAAGGAUGAUACUCAAUGAUAAAGCUUUCAUCAAUUUCAUUGAAUUUGCUCCUAGAGGAGACAAUGAUAACAUGAACUAAAAAAGUGAACUAAUAUGGCUAAGCUUUCGAUGAGUACAAGCAAGUGAUUUAUGCAUGAUUUAUGCAUUCUAACAUCUCCAACAUCCUUAAUUAGGUAGUGGUUCCUAUCCCAUAUAGGAAUACAUAAUCCCUAUGUAUCAAUUGCCUUGUACUCAAUUUAAUUUUAAAGAAAUUUCGGCAGCAUUUUCCUAUAGUUCUCCAAGUACACAAAAUGGACAAGGCACAAUAUGUAACCUUGUCCAAAUAUGCACCCAGAGAACAAGAGGAAAGACUACCAAACUUUCUAAAAAUUGAAUUAAGAACAAAGAAUUAACUUCAUAGAUAUUAUGUUUUCCUAUACUGUCCUAUUGGACAAUUCAAGCAUCAUUUGUAGAGAAAAGAACUUUAUCACAAGCUAGACAAAUUUAAAAGUUGUCAACUUGAAAAUGGCCUAGAUAGACAAUUUUCACCAUUUGACAACUUAAAUGUCUUUAUUAUGUAAUAAGAGAACCUUUUGUCUUCCAAUGAUACUUGAAUGGGAGCUCUAAGGUUUCAUGCAUGCAUGUUUGAUUAAAAUUAAAACAUCAUAAUGAUUUAUUGAAUUAUUAUAACAUAGCAACAUAACUCUCAUUCUAUCAUGUUUAUCUCAAAUAUAUAACAUUUAAGAUGGAGCCAUAAGAACCUUUUCACAACUUAGACCAACAUCUUCUACAAAAAGGGUUCAUAGUAAAUAUAAUCAAAUUAAUAUGAUUUGACAAUUUUAAAUGCACAAUAAGUAAUUAUCUUACAAAACAAAUAAUAAGAGAACUAAAAGAAAACCAUGGUGACAUGAUCAUGCAAAUGAAUUGCACCUAGAAAACUAGUAAUAUGAAUGUCACUACUUAUAAUAGAAUAUAAGGUUCAGGAGGAGGUGGAUAAGCAUGCAAAGGAAAAGUCAUGACUGAUAACCCAUUUGUUGGUUUUAGUAGCCCAUUUGGACACUCUUAGACCCUUUUAGGCACAUUUGACCCAUCUAGGCUCAAUUAGUUUAAUCUAGGCACACUUUGGAUCACCUAGACCCACCGUAAGCAUACUUAGGUCACCAUUUAGGCAUUCUUUACGUAACUUGCAUGGUUGCAUGACUUGCAUGACCCUCAAUUUAUUUAUUUAUUUUUAUUUUUAUUAUAAAAAUAAAUGGAGAGAUUAAGUUUUAAAUAAAAAAAAUCAGGAUACUUUUUAAACGGAGGAGUUGACACUUAAAUGUUUUUUUUUUAAAAUAAAAUAUUAAGUUUUUAGAUUUGAAAAUCAGAUUUUUAUUUUUUUUUAAUAAAAUUAAUUUUGUAAUAAAAUAUUGAAAAAUUGAUGCCAUAAUAUUUUAUGUUUUUAAUAAAAAAAAGAGAAUUAACUUUAUUGUUAUUAUUAUUAUUAUUAUUAUUAUUAUUAUUUAUUUAUUGCAAAAUCAUUUUUUUUAUUGGAGAGAUUAAGUUUUAAAUUGAAAAAUCAGGAUAUUUUUAAAAUGGAGGAGUUGACACUUGAAUGUUUUUUUAAAAAAAAUAAAAGAUUAAGUUUUUAGAUUGGAAAAUCAGAAUUUUUUUUUAAUAAAAAAGAAGAUUUUUUUUAAUAAAAAAGAAGAUUUUUUUUAGUUUUUUUAAUAAAAGAUUGAAAAAUUGAUACCGGAAUAUUUUAUUUUUUAAAAAAAAAAAUAGAAUUAGCUUUAUUGUUAUUAUUAUUAUUAUUAUUAUUAUUUAUUUAUUUUUUUAUUGAAAAAUUAUUUUUUUUAUUGGAGAGAUUAAGUUUUAAAUCGAAAAAUCAGGAUUUUUUUAAACGGAGGAGUUGACACUUGAAUGUUUUUUUUUUUUUUGGAAAAUAAAAAAUUUAAGUUUUUAAAUUGGAAAAUCAGAAUUUUUUUUAAUAAAAAAUGAGAUUUUUAUUUUUUUAAUAAAAUCAAUUUUUUAAUAAAAGAUUGAAAAAUUGAUGCCAGAAUGUUUUAUUUUUUUAAUAAAAAAAAGGGAGAAUUAGCUUCAUUGUUAUUAUUAUUAUUAUUAUUAUUUAUUGAAAAAUCAUUUUUUUAUUAGAGAGAUAAAGUUUUAAAUCAAAAAAUUAGGAUAUUUUUUAAACGUAGGAGUUCACGCUUGAAUGUUUUUUUUUGAAAAUAAAAUAUUAAGUGUUUAGAUUGGAAAAUAAGAUAAUUUUUUGAAAAAAAAGAGAUUUUUAUUUUUAUUUUAAUAAAAUCAAUUUUUUAAUAAAAGAUUGAAAAUUUGAUGCCGGAAUAUUUUAUUUUUUAAUAAAAGAAAAAGAUAAUUAGCUUUAUUGUUAUCAUUAUUAUUAUUAUUUAAUUUAUUUAUUUAUUUAUUUAGUGGAAAAUUAUUAUUUUUUUAAAUGGAGAUAUUAAAUUUUAAAGAUCAAGUCAUCAAAUGAUUAGCCAUAAGGUUUUAAGAUGAGAUUCACUGUACAUGUACAUGUAUAAAAGGGAAACAAAUAUGGAAGUUGGUUGUUGUUUACAGUAAAUCAAAAUAAGAAUGAGAGAUAUAACAAGGAAAAAGGCAAAGAAUAUCAAUUGUAGCUCUUAACUCCUCCUAAGUGCUGAAUAACAUAUUAGUAUCAACCUCAUUUCAUGGUUAAGGUUUCUAUCAUGGCAUAUUCACAGUUUCUGUCAUGGCAUAUUCAUAGUGAUCCAAUGUGGAUAUAAUGGAUACACCACCAUUAUGCUUUUCAUGGCUCAUUUAGGACAAAGCAAUGCAUGGGUCUCUUUGAGUGUCAUAGGAGGGACUAUGAGGAAUCAAGGCAUGGAGAUACAAUGGUGCUUGUGCUUCUUGGCAGCUACCUAGUAGUUGGUGUAUUUGUAUCAAGAAAUAUUUAGUGAUGAAUGCAUAGGAAAACCUUUUGAUUUGCCAAAUCAUGAGAAACAAUUUAACCAUCACUUGAUUUUCAAAGUGGAAUUUCAAACUAGCCUUGAGUUAUUUCAUCUUACACACAAUUACUUUUUGCAUAUUAUAAACCAAGGUUUGGGUAAUAGAAUGGAUAAUCUGUCUUGAAAAACUAACCUGUAAACAAAAGUCAAAUGUGUCUGUAUGCCCUCAGAUUCCAGCAACCUUGAGGCCUCUAUUCCCUGAAUUGAAAACCAACUAUUAAGGGACCAUAGUGGGAUGAAAGUUAUUAGCUUCUAUAUACCAAGCACUAAAUUCAGAUACUCACUUGCCAAGUUGAAGGAAUUUUAAAUAACAAACACUUUGGAGGGACAUCAAUUUCAUUGUAUAGGGUCAAAAGGUCAUGCACCUACAGAUUAUGAUAAACUAAAUGCAUCAGACUACAUAAAAAUGUAAUUACUGAAUAAAGAAAAAGGUCAGCGUAUCAUAGUUUGAACCAUCCAUCUAAAUUCCCAAUAUUGUCUAUGUAUCACCCAAAAGAGAUCUUAGUGGAACAUGCUCUCUUUCUCUCGCAUACACGGGCACAAAAGCAAAUGCUUAGAAAUAUGCAGUAUUUUUGUUUGAAAGAAAAUUCCCAAGAAAGAGAAUUGCUACAUUGAGCUGCACAUUUUCAACUUGGAUCAGCCUUCAGUAACCAAAAGGGCCUCAUACAUUGGUUUUUUUAAAAAGAGCACCAUAAGAAGGAAAGGAAAAGUGAGACCAGUCAUCACCAAACGCACAAGCAAAAAUCUCCAGCAGCCAUUAUGAGUCAUUUUUCCUUGAAAUUGCUUCCAAAUGCAACCAGCAAUACUAUACAUAAAUUCAAAAUAUACUUCCUAAAAGCAUAAACUAAAUAGGUGUCACAUAGAUGGACAUUUGACCCUUUAUCCUCUAUAUGAUCCACCAACCCACUCCAUCCUUUCAUAGAAACGUGUUUGAUUGCUAUUUAAAAAAUUUCUUAGUACUUAAAUAUCUCUGUUGCAGCUGGCAUGGAUUCAUCAUACUCCUUGGCCCCACUGGCUACUGUCAGGUCAAGAUGUGUUUCAUUACCAAAGCAUGCCUUCUUACAAGAACUAUAGUGGAAACUAGACCCUCACAUAGAUUCUCUGUCCAUAACCAUCCAAUAUAAACAUUAAACUAAGUAAAUGAGAAUGACUAGCUUGUAACUUGACAAAGAAUAAAUCAAAAGGUAAUUUAAAAGGACAUGACAGAAUAUCAAUUAGCAUAUAAAAGGUGGAGGGUGUAGAAGAAUUAUCAGAAAAAUAAAGACAUGUCUUCAUUUUAAGGCAAUAAUAGAUAUGGCUUACAUUGAUAAACCUAGAUUACCAUUCCAUGUGAAUGGUUGAUAACAAAUAGGACAAGCUAAAAUGCUCUUGCUGAUGCUAACCUCCUUUUCAACUGAAAUAGAAUCCUGAACAUAAGAAAUAAGAUACAAUAUAUUGUGUCAUGACAGGAAAAAUUAAUUAUUUCGUAAUUCCUCAUGUGAACUGACUGUAAUUGAAAAAAUAAAAAGACAUCAUCUCAUUAGCACCGUAUGAUAAUUUUCCUCACAUUUUCCCUCAAAAUUUCCUAAAACCAAUUAUAGGGAAAAAGAAAAAGAAAUUAAAGCAUAAAAGAUGAAUUUGGUUGUAUAGAAUUUGCAGCCUUGGAAUUGAUAAUUUUCCCCUUUUGUGGUGGAUGCCCCAGUGUCAAGUCCACCGUUUGGUUGUUUUCUAUACCAACUGGAUUUCUAGUUGAAUUUAAAAGCCAUAAACCCAAAUUCCUCAAGAACAAGUAAGCAACUCCAAGAUAAAAGUUGGUUCUCCAGUUCCGUAAAAAUUGAACUUUGAACCAAAUCCAAUUCUACCCAACCAAAUGCAGCCUAAUUCUUCAAGAACCAUAAAAGAAUAAUGAAUGAAUCAAGAAUGGACAAAUACAUUGAAAAAAAAAAUCGGGAGCAGUACAAAUUCUCAAAAAAACUAAUCAUAAAGAAUCACAUAUGAAUUAAAACAAUUCCUAUGAAUUUUUUUUAUGCUCGAUUGACCAAAAAAAUAUAACAGUAGAACUUGUUUUGUCUCUCACGUACAUUCAUUGCACAUGCACACACAGUUACCAAUUGACACAGCCACCAAUUGCAAUGGAAAAUGGGGGCUGGUGGUUUUGGAGAGUGGAGGAAUUUAUUUUAAAAGGGACAUUCAACAUGCACAGAAGGAGAUGGGAAUAAAAAAAAAAAAAAAUUGGAAAGAUAAGGGGUGAGAAGACACAACCGAGAAGGAGGAUGUCUUUGAGGGUGGAGAAAACACACAGCUGGAACUCUCCACUACCAGCCACAAGAAAAGUAAAAAAAUGUGACCAGAUCAGGGCACAAAUGGGUAAAUCAAAAUGAACAAAACCCAUAUUUCAUGCCUAAUCAACAAAUCAAGAACAGAGUAGAACAGAGCAUGUACCACGAACCGUGUUUCUUCUCCACUACAGCCCAUAAAAUUAGGGCACGAUUUGAAACUCGACCAACAUCAGAACACUUGCAAUAAAUGAUGAAUAUGGAGUUGAAAGAGUGGAGAAUCACCUGAUUUGUCGCUCGUUGGUGGAAUUUGUAAGAGAAGAAUGGAGUUUCAGUGCUUAUUCUCUGUUAUGAGAGUCACAAAAUGGAGAUUCAAAAAUGAUCUCCAAUUUUUAAUACUUAAGAUCUCACACUAAGGCUUGGAAACACACCGUCUAGCUAGAUCUCCAAUGUCAAGAGCCUCAUCUGGAGUCAUUGAUCGACGUUGAUUACGGUUAACUGGGCUUCUAGGGUUUGUCGGGGUUUUGCGAAAAUGGAGGGAAUGUUUGGCACUAUGAGGUCGUGGGUAAGAAUGGGAAAUUUUUGAGCCAUAUAUAAAGGUGUUAUUUUAAUGUCACUUUUAUAGAGCGCCAAGGUAAAAAUUGAUAAAUGAAAACGCUUAUAUAAAACAUCGUGCUAUAAGAAGCACCAUCAUCCUUCAGCAUAAAGCGCCAUGGUCUAAAAUUUUCCUUUUAAGCGCCAACUUCGACCACUUAUUUACUCAACUGCCACUCUAAAAGCCAAGUAAUGACGCUUAUUUGAAAGCGCCAAAGAAUCAAGCGCCAUAAAUUGUGUUUUUUGUAGUAGUGAAAACACGAAUUCGCUCAGGCUGACAGACUAACACAAAGGCUCUGAUCCUAAAACAAAAUGAUGUCUCAAAAUGCCUCUACGGCCACACUAAGGAUCCAAGCUCCCUCUAAGAUGUCUCCAAAAGUGACCCGAAGAUCGAUGUCGAAGAUGAGUAACGGUUGAACCACCCUAGAGUACGAACAAGAACGUGUCCAAAGGAGACUGCCCUAUGUGGACUACGAGAUGAAUAUGAGAUAAGCACAGGGUAAUGACGUGAGGAGAGUGAGAAUAAGUGCAAAACCAUGAGGGUAAGAUGUGCAAUGCCAAUGAAUAUGAAUGCUGGGAGCUGUGACUCUGAAUGACGGGACUGACUCUAAACGCUAAACUGAGAAAAACAACGGCUCUGGAAGCCAAACCAAAAAGCUAACUCUAAACGCUAAACUAGAAAAUAACAGCUCUGGAAGCCAAACAAAAAAAAAAACUAACUCUAAAAGCUAAACUAGAAGGCCCAUAGGUAAAGACCUACGAUGGUGAUACAAUAAAAAUGCCCAUAGAUGAAAAUCUACGGUGGUGAUAGCUGAAAGAAUGGGGAUUCCCUCAACAAACUAACGGUAGGGGGAUGCCCUAAACAAACCAACAAUAAUGGCUCUGGAAGCCGAAUCAAAAAGCUAACUCUAAACACUAAACUGGAAAAAUAAUGGCUCUGGAAGCCAAACAAAAAAAAAACUAACUCUAAAUGCUAGACUGAGAAAACAAUAGCUCUGGAAGCCAAAUCAAAAAACAAAACUCUAAACGCUAAACUAGAAAAUAACAGCUCUGGAAGCCAACCAAAAAGCUAACUCUAAAAGCUAAACUGGAAGAAUAAAGGUUCUGGAAGCCAACCCAAAAAAACUAACUCUAAAUGCUAGACUGAGAAAAUAAUAGCUCUGGAAGCCAAAUAAAAAAAAACUAACUCUAAAUGCUAAACUGAGAAAAUAAUAGCUCUGUAAGCCUAAACAAGAAGCUAACUCUAAACACUAAACUAAGAAAAUAAUAGCUCUGGAAGCCUAAACAAGAAACUAACUCUAAACACUAAACUGAGAAAAAAAAAAAAAGCUCUGGAAGCCUAAACAAGAAACUAACUCUAAACACUAAACUGAGAAAAUAAUAGCUCUGGAAGCCUAAACCAAAAAAACUAACUCUAAACACUAGACUAGAAGAAUAAUGGCUUUGGAAGCCAAACCAAAAAACUAACUCUAAAUGCUCAACUGAGAAAAUAAUAGCUCUGGAAGCCAAAUUAAAAAGCUAAACUCUAAACGCUAAACUAGAAAAUAACAGCUCUGGAAGCCAACCCAAAAAGCUAACUCUAAAAGCUAAACUGGAAGAAUAAAGGCUCUGGAAGCCAACCUAAAAAAACUAACUCUAAAAGCUAAACUGGAAUAAUAAAGGCUCUGGAAGCCAACCCAAAAAAACUAACUCUAAAAGCUAAACUGGAAGAAUAAAGGCUCUGGAAGCCUAAACAAGAUGACAGUAGGGGGAUGCCCUAAACAAGAUGACAGUAAUGGCUCUGGAAGCCUAAACAAGAUGACAGUAAUGGCUCUGGAAGCCUAAACAAGAUGACAGUAGGGGGAUGCCUUAGGUGAUAGCUCAUAAAGAUCGGCAAAUGGGUCUAACAAUCAUGGAAUCUGCACGAGGCAUGGCAAACCCAAAGAGAGGGUGUAUGACCCAGUAGGAAAUGUGAUAAAGGGGGUAUGCCCCGGUAUGAUGACUCACAAAGAUCAAGAAAUAGAUCGAGCAGUGAGGCAGUACACAAAAGGCCUGAUAAACUCAAGGACGGGGGUAUGCCCCAGUGCGGCAUGCCGUUGCAAAUCUCAAUCCGCUGGAAAUGGCUGAAAGGGGCUCUACGAGUCUCGAACGACGCUCCACUAAUAGCUCAUAUCGAUGAAGAGCUCAAGAAUAAUGGUCAGUGAGGCGAAUACAAUAUAUCCCGGCCGAGUGAUGGAAACUGUGGCGGACAUGUGAGAGAACGAUCGCCUCCAUGGCUAAAUGAGGGAAAUAUGCCCCAGUGUGGCAUCAGAUGUACCCGAUAUGCCCUGAUGACCCGAGAACAACAUCAUGGGGAUGCGUAAAAGGCCUUACGCGUACCCCACUAAAAUGAUGACGUGGGAAUCCAAGCACUCGACAUGACUUCGUCCAAGAACCACGACUAUAUCAGAGAGUAAUAAUCUGGCUGAACGACUCAAGAGAGGCUCCUCGGAGUAUCAGCACAAAAUAAAAUCGAAUCAUCAACCUAGCAUGUAUCUCAUAUCCGUGGAUGAUCAUGUAAACCAGUGGGGGAUCUCUACAUCUCAACCGAAAUGAGGAAUAUGCCCCAGUGUGGCACCAAGAAUGCAACAUGUCACAAAAUCAGAUGAGCUUAAAUCAUCUAUGCCUGCAACUGAAUCAAACCCACAUAUCAAAGAGGCGUCCCUCGGAAGGAAGCAUGACAACAUCUAAGCAUCUAAAAGCGCGGGCCUGGCUCCACUAAGGAAUCAUCGUGAGGAUAGCGAAUAUAUCAUCAUCUCUACAUACAUCUCGCAAAUAAGGAUAAGCACGCAACUCCCUCAUGAUCUGUAAAUCUCAUCUGGACGGAAAUAUGCCCCUGUAUGGCAUCUGAUUCGUGCCCAAUUGGUGUCUCAGCUGAUUCGUGUCCAGCUGGUGCUCCUUGAUUGAGGGAGUAAUCAACAAAAUUUAUAACCUAUAACACCAUACACUAGGGUAGCAAAGAAAAAGCUACUAUAGUAUAGCGGCUCUAGAAUCGUUCACUGGGAAGGAUUAACAAGCUAUCAAUGAUACCAAUUCAAAGUGAAUUGGUCUUGUUUCAUUUCAAGGUUAGCUUAAGAAAUAAAACACAAACUUUGAUUGGCAAAGGUUUAGACUUAAACUAACUAACACAACAAGUAAUAGGAAUAACUUAGGAAGAAAAACAUUCCUUGGAGAGUUAGGUUCACUAGGGUGGUUCCUCAUGCAAAAGACAUAGCUCCGGUCAGAUGGUUCAUUUCCUCGCGUUAGAGAUUCAACAUAUAGUCAAUUCUCUAACCGGUGUUGUACAGAUACAUCCUUCAAUUAGAUUUCACUUUAAUUCUCUCACUGAUGCAACUUGCAAUGGCUUAAGCCUCUCACUAAGCCUUAACCAUUCAAGGUGAUCUUUAACCUUGGAUUACUCGUCAAAAGCUCGCAAGAAAUAACUAAUGGAUGUCUCCUUGGAGUCCAAAAGCUUACCAAGUGUUGGCUAUUCUAGAAAAUCCUACCCUAAAGUCACCUCCCAGAGGCUCGCAAGGGGUAAACUAGAGCAUUUCCAUGGUUGGAAAUCACUUGCCUUACCAAGUGUUGGCCCAGGUGACUCUAAGGUGUUUUAAGUUAACUAAAAACAUAGAAAUCACUAAAGGAUUUCACUUCCUCUUCAUUACUGACUAAAACCACAAAGCUUUUCAUUCUUGCACUUGGAACCUUCCUCGACAACCUUAGCUCCAAGGAAUUAGAGGUUUAGUUACUCAUUCUCUGGGGAAAACUCCUCAGAGAGUUCAUAACUUCGUAAUAAAUAAUAAAUACGAAGUGAGAAGGUAAGGCAAUACAAAGAACUAAACUUUACUUGCUUACCCAAAACUUUACAAAAGGAUCUCUUCUCCAAGAACAUGCUCCCGAGAGGUAUAUAUAUGAACAUAAUAUAAAACUAAUUAUUACAUAGAUAUUUUCUCUUUUUUACUAACUUAAAAGCUAAGGAAUCUUGUAAUUGGUGGCUUGCAAGGAGUAUUUUGGGAUUUAAACAACAAAAAUCUGAUGUAAAAUAUCUCCCAAUGUCGGUAGCAAAUAUCGGGAGGCUCCAAGAACCAUUUCGCAUGAGAAAAUGGUGUCUACGAGAUUUCGCAGACACUCAAGAAGGGCUGCGAAAUCAUUUCGCAACAACAAGCUAUUCUCGCAGGGCUACGAAGUUGGCUUCCACCUUGAGGUUCCCAGCUUCCCUCUCGCGGCAUAUGUCGGGUAUCUUCAGGAGGAAAUACACCACACUGUACAAAAAGGCUGCGGAAUCACUUCGCAACAAAAGGGUGAUUUCGCAACACUUUGGAAAAUGCUUCCUUCAACUGGGAGUGAUUGGCUUGCAAUGGCUGCAACUUCUUCGUUUCAACUCCAAAUUGUGCACCAUUUGAAGCAUUGGAUUGUUGACUUCCUAAGCUUUGAAAUGGUGUAUAGCAUGCAUCAAUUGGACUUCAUAAACUCUCCAAAAGUGGCUGCUACGACUGUCAUCAAGAAUAUGCUUCAUGGCAGAUUCUCUUUACUUUUUCUCCUUGCAUUCCGGAUUUACUCUUGGCAAAUGACUUCUAAGCUUUACCCAAGAUUCCUCAUAACUCUCCUCAAUCUUGACUUGCUUUGGUGAUCAAAUUACUAACAAAAACACCAAAACUUACACAAAGUGAUUAAAAUUGCUUUCAAGGGUCCUUAACAUGCCAAUUGAGUUAAAAGGUCAAAACUACUACUCAAAAGUGUUUAAAAUGAUUAAUUAUAAGCUAUCAAAUAACACUUUUUGAGUAGUAAUCAACAUCGAAUGUGUGAUAAACCAGAAAAGGCCAAGUGUCAUCAAAUCAUCCUCCGUCAAAUGCACGAUCCCGAUAAUCCAAACACAACUGAAACGAAUCUAACCAUCAGAAAGACGUCUCCCAGAAGAAGAAGCAUGACAAUAUCUAAAAAGCAACCAGAUCUCAAACACCUGUCCAAGCAGAGGCUGUCGAAGACGACAUCUGAUCCCAUGGCCUCAGGGUGGUCUUAAGACACGGGACGUAACGUAGGCUAGGGUGAUAGGGUGAUAGAAAUGAAGGGAAACUAGUCCCAAAUACCCAAUGGUGCCUAAUGUGAACAUAGUGUAAAUGAGGAGACAAAUGAAGCAAAUCAAACUGAUAGUGAGAUGUGUGAUGAUGAUGUGAAGGAAGUAUCAAACCCAAGAUGGGUCACUGUAGGAAAAGAAUGAGAGGUGAAGUGAGAAUAAUGAAUCAGAAACGAAAACGAGGAUGAUGAUAAUGAAGCAAAUAACACCAAAAGGAGUAAUGAUCGACUCGGAUCAAACAUGGAGUGAAGUCACGUCAACUACGAACACGAUGAUGGAAUGGACAAUGAGCCAAAGCUCCUAAGAGAAGGUCACUCAUCCCGUUCACAAGAUAUACGACAAAAUGAAUACAAAGCCUGAGGGAUCCCGGGAAGCUCACAUACGAACUCCCAUCAACAAACAUGCUCGAUCAAGUGACCCUCGAAUAUCAAUACAUACUCAGUGAUAGAUAACAAUACACACAUGCUUUUAUUUCUUUUUCCUUUUUUUUUUUACAACAUAUAAAUGAACUGUACAUGCUCUCUGAACGCAUACAAAGAAGACUCAAAAACGGGAUUAAAAAUGAAUAAACAUGCUCUCAAAUAUCAAUAUAUCACAAACUCUCCCUGAUGAGGUGACCUUCUCAAACUGAGGAUCCUUGGAUCAGUGUCCAUAGGAUAGAUAGUGGAAAUGACAUGACUACCCUCCAUGUAAUGAACUGAGGAUGAUCAUCCUUCAGGAUGAAAGAAGAUGAUGUGAAACGAACAGUAGAUAGGAUAGGAUGAUGAGAUGAAUAACACAAACAGUGAGAUGAGAUGAAAUGCAAUGAUGUAGUGAUGAGAACAGAUAGUGAGAAGAAAUGCGCCCCUAUGUCUAAGGCUCAUGGAACUCUCAAACAAUGCAUGCACACACUAAAGGGCCCCGAUCCCGAUAUGAAAGUGCGAGCAAUUCAAUGAGAAAGAAAAGCUAUAAUGCGUGUGUGAGGCUCAAGUGGGGUAGCAAACGGACUGUAUAUAUCAGAAGGGGGAUAAAGGGAUAUAGCUAACCGAAAUGAUGGCCACCCAUCCUGCGACCAUGGACUCAAACAUAGUACCUCUUUAGCUGAUCCACGUUGGUCGACUCUGAGAAUUGGUUUCCAUCUAAAUCCAUCAACCAUGCAGCGCCCUCUGGAGACAACUCUCUGAUGAAGUAAGGUCCGCUCCAAUUGGGUCUGAACUUCCCUCUAGGAUCUCUGAUCAAUCCUCUGAUGGCUCUCAAAACUAAGUCACCUACAUGUAGUGGUUUGGGCUUGACCCGCUUUUUGAAAGCACGGGCCAUCUUCCUCUGAUAUGCACGGACGUGAUCUGCCCCCCUCAAUCUCUUCUCAUUUAGGAUAUUGAGCUGAUCAAAUCGAGCCUGAGCCCAAUCCAUCUCGGGAAUCUGCUGCUCUAGUGCUACUCUCAAUGAUCCCAUCUCAAUCUCAACAGGUAGCACUGCCUCCAUGUCGUACACUAAGGAAUAAGGUGUGGCUCCUUUAGAGGUACGAAAAGAGGUCCUGUAAGCCCAUAGUGUGAAAGGAAGCUUCUCGGACCAACCCCGAGAAGUCUCAACCAUCCUUCGCAAAAUCCUCUUGAUAUUCCUAUUCGCGGCCUCUACUGCCCCAUUCAUCUGCGGCCUGUAUGCAGACGACCUAUGAUGCCGGAUGCCAUAUCGCCGUACUAAGGCAUCAACCUCUGCUCUGAAAUGUACACCUCUAUCUGAAAUAAGCUCGUGAGGGACUCCAUAGCGACAAAUGAUAUGUGAUAUGAUGAAUCUGGCAACUCCAGCUGAUGUCAAUCUCGCAUAUGAGGCGGCCUCCACCCACUUGGUAAAGUAAUCAAUACCGACAAGGAUAAACUCAUGACCACUGGAAGAUUUCGGUGAAAUAUUCCCGAUGAUAUCGAUACCCCACACUGAAAACGGCCAUGGUGAAGUCAAUGCAUGCAACUCCGAGGGCGGCACGUGAAUGAGAUCUCCAUGUAUCUGACACUCGGGACAUCUCUGAACAAACUGGCAGCAAUCCGUCUCCAUGGUCAACCAGAAGUAACCAUUCAUCAUGAUCUUACGAGCCAACAUAUGUCCUUCUAUAUGUGGUCCGCAGACUCCCGCAUGAACCUCUCUCAUCACUCGAUCGGCAGAGGCGCGGUCCAAACACAAUAAUAGCAUCCCGUCAGGAGAUCGCCUGUACAGUGUCUCGCCACAGAUCACGAAUUGAGCAGCCAAUUGUCUCAAUGCUCUCUUAUCCUUGACCGUGGUUGCCUCAGGAUAUAUGCUAAGUCUCAAAAAGUGAUAUAUGUCGUGAUACCAUGGCAAACCAUCAUAUGGCUCUACAUCAUCAAUCAAGCAACAGUAAGCAGGAGCAGAUCUCGACUCGAUCAGCAAAGGUCGAACAGUGGCGUCAACAGGAAUAUCAAUCAUGGAAGCUAGAGUAGUUAAGGCAUCAGCAAACUGGUUCUGCGCUCUAGGCAGAUGUGUGUAUCUCAAAUCCUUGAAUUUCGCGACCAGUAACUCCAAAUAUGCGUGAUAAGGCCUAAGCUUCGCAUCUCUAGUCUUCCACUCGCCCUGAAUUUGUCUAAAUACCAAAUUGGAGUCACCAAACACCUCCAUCUGUCCAAUCCCGAGCUCAAGGGCCGUCUUCAAUCCUAGAAUACAAGCCUCAUACUCAACGAUAUUGUUCGUGGCCGGAUGUCGAUCCGAGAAUGUCAAACGAAUAGAUCUGGGAAUGUGAUCACCAUGAGGGGAUAUCAAUAAGACACUUAUCCCGUACCCAGAAUGGUUGGUUGUACCAUCAAAGUACAUGCGCCAACCUGACAGACUAGUCACAACUGCAACAUCCUCGUUUGGAAAAUCAUCGUCACUGGCAUCAGAAACUGGUAAUGAGGCUAGGUAAUCUGCGACAAUGCUCCCUCUAAUGGAUUUCUGAUUGACAUAAUGGAUGUCAAACUCAGUCAGAAGCACCAGCCAUCUCAUAAGGCGACCAACUAGAGCGGGUCUAUCAAACAAAUAUCUCAAAGGAUCUAGUUGGGAUAUCAAAUGCACUGAAUACUUUGUCAUGUAAUGUCUCAAUCGGCGAGUAGCCCAAACCAAUGCCAAGCAGUAACGCUCAAUCAUGACAUAUCUCGUCUCGUAGUCUAGCAUCCUCUUACUCAGAUAAUAAAUGGCCCGGUCUUUACCCGAAUCAUCGAGCUAAGCUAACAUACAUCCCAAAGCCACGUCUGAGAUUGAUAAGUAUAGGAAUAGAGGGCGGCUCGGUGUAGGAGGCGCUAAGACUGGAGGUGACAACAAGUACUCCCUGAUCCUCUCGAAUGCAUGCUGACACUGAUCACCCCAAACAGUAGGUUGACUCUUCCUCAAGAGUCGAAAAAUGGGCUCACAGAUGUCUGUCAAUCUGGCGAUGAAUCUUCUGCUGUACUGAAGUCUGCCCAAGAAGCCUUUGACCUCUCUCUCUGUCCUCGGUGCAGGUAUGUCAAGGAUGGCUCUAAUCUUGUCCAGAUCUACCUCUAUGCCUCUCUCACUGACCAUAUACCCCAAGAGUUUCCCAGAAGUCACUUCGAAAGUGCACUUCUUGGGGUUCAGUCUCAAUUUGAACUGCCGGAUCCUAUUAAAGAACCUCUCUAGAGCUGCUAGGUGAUCUGAUCUACCUCGGGAUUUCACUAUCAUGUCAUCUACAUAAACCUCGACAUCCCGAUGCAUCAUGUCAUGGAAGAAGGUGGUCGCUGCCCUCUAAUAGGUGGCUCCUGCGUUUUUCAAUCCGAAUGGCAUGACUCUAUAGCAAUAAGUGCCCCACUCGGUAAUGAAGGACGUCUUUUCCAUGUCAUUUGGAGCCAUCAAGAUCUGACUGUACCCGGAAAAUCCGUCCAUAAAGGACAACAUUGAAUGACCUGUCGUACUAUCAACUAGCAUGUCGAUGUGUGGAAGAGGAAAAUCAUCCUUAGGACUAGCCUUGUUGAGAUCUUUGAAAUCAACGCAAACUCUCACCUUGCCGCCCUUUUUGGGAACAGGGACGACAUUGGCCAGCCACUCCGGGUACUCAACCACUGAUAAGAAUCCUACACUAAGCUGCUUCUGGAUUUCCUUUUUAACCUCCAGGCUCCAACGAGGAUGCAAUUGCCUCAACUUCUGCUUAACCGGUUUGGCAUGGGGCAGAAGCAGCAAACGAUGCUGGACGAUAGACGGAUCAAGGCCCGGCAUGUCCUCAUAGGACCAUGCAAAGACAUCCAAGUAUGCUCUGAGCAACUGGAUGAGGCUGUCCCUCUCAUCUAUAGAUAAAUCUGAUCCGAUCCGCAACUCUCUAGGUUGAUCUGCUGUGCCAAAAUCAAUAAUCUUCGUGUCCCCUACAGCGGGUGAAACUCUCCUAUCAACGAGAUCCGAAUCGGAAGCAGAAGACGAGUCAUCGUCAGAAUCGUGCUGUGCAAUCUCAUCAUCAAUGUCAAAAAUCUGUGAUGUGGGUGAAGAUGGUGUAGAUAGAUCAAUAACAUUAGAGAUAGGCAAAUACUCAAAGAUGCUCAAAUCCAUAGAUGAAACAUCGGAAACAAUGUCAGAACGGGAGACGAACCCCGAUAGAACGUCAAAUAAAAGAGGUGGGUCCACAAAGUCGGACGCUCCCUCGAUAAUGCCAACAUGGCUAUCAAACAAAUCAUAAAAAACUAUGAUGUCCUCAGCAGACUCUAAAGCAGAAGCAGUCAGGAUCUCCUCGGAAAGCUCGAUAGUGGACACCCCAAAAGGGUCAAAUAAUGAAGCAAGCCCUGGUUGAACAGUCUCCUCAAUCUGGCUCAAGCUUAGUGCGAGCAUCUCGUCAAUAUACUCGUCAUGUGGUGCGGCUCUGUCUACCAUGUCACUGAUCUCGACAAAUGUCCCGUGAUCAUCGAUCUCAUCUGGGAAGCAAAGCGUCAUAAGGCUCGUGCGAUCCGAAGAGGAAGGAGCAAUCAACACAGAAGUCGAAGGACCAGGGGCUCCGUCUCUCAAUCGUAGCUGCUGGAUAAGGCGCUGAAGCUCGGCCUUCUGGGUGGUGCUAAGUCCUCUGAUGAUCCCAUCAGAUGGUGUGUGCGGCUCCGAUGCCCUCAAGAAGUAAUCUGCUAGGCUCCUAGUGUACAGACGCAUGGGAUAAUAGAAAGGAGUAUGAGUCAGUCGAGUCCUCACUCUCUCCUUGCGCAAGCGCACCAUAUAUCGGUAGUCAGCCUCGGUGGGGAUGAACCCGAGCCCAAAUGGUACGUCAUGAUCAGGAAUGGCGAUGAACUCGCUCGGUCCAUGCUGACGUCGACCCAAUCCCAUGCCGGGAAGAUAAGACAUGCUCCGCAUAAUAUCGAGCACCACUAUGCUGCCGUGCUGGUCAAAUGACAUAGCUACAAAGUCUCGGCAAAAGUCCUCCAUCUCAAGGGUCUGCACCUCGUCAAAAGUGAACCCGAUCAGCAAUAAGUCAUCGUCACUAUGGCUGAUCUGGAGCACGGGCUCAACAGAAAUGAACAUGUGCCCUGUCGACUAUACGGUGACUACCUGGCCCUCAUGGAUGAAUUGCACUUUCUGAUGAAGUGAAAAAGGGAUGGCCCCGGCUCGGUGAAUCCAUGGUCGGCCCAAAAGUAGGUUAAAGGAUGUAGGAAUCCUCAAAACCUGAAAUACAGUGACAAAUGUGGUCGGACCUAUCAGGAGCUCAAUCUCCAAGGUACCCAUGACCUCUCUACGGGUACUGUCAUAAGCGCGAACGGUCUGAGUGGAGGGACCGAAAUCGUAUGGCGCAUAUCCAAGGGCAAUGGCAGUGGCAAGAGGGCAUACGUUCAAGGUCGAGCCAUUGUCCAAAAGGACAGAUGGGACUCGGUGGCCUGAACAGCCAACAGAUAUGUAGAAGGGACGAGUGUGGUCCGAGCCCUCCGAUGGCAAAUCGUCGCCCGAGAAUACGAUACAUGUGGCUCGGCCAGCUGUCAUCAUGUGAAUCAAACCCUUAGGAGUGGUGGUGGUCUCAACUCUGAUCUGGCUCAAGGCUCGAAUCAAUGCAUCUUGGUGAGUGCUCGAAGAUGCCAACAAACUCCAGAUAAAGAUACAAGCCUGAGUGCUUUGUAGCUGCCUCAAAAUCUCAUCAUCCUCUACUCGGACCUCCUCAGAAACAGAUGUACCCUCAACUGGCCUAGCUGCCGCGGGAGGUGGCUGUCGCAUCACUCUACCCCCUCGGAGAAUAUACUGGAUGUCCGGAGUCUGAGAAAUAUCAACAUGUGGAGCCCGAACCUCUUCAACAUCCGGGGCUAAAACGAACGGCGUCUGAACGCUAUAACGCAUGAAGGUCGGAGGCUCGACAAUGGACACAUGUACUGGGGCUGUCUCAGGAAAUAAUCUAAAAUGAGUGGGCACCUGAGGCUCCAAAGACAUGCUGCUCAUCUCAUAAAUAUCCCCCAACUCUAUGGGCUUCGGAUCCAUGUCAUCCCAGCUCAUCAUGCGGACAUGGUCAUCAGAAUCAACAAAGUCCAGGAAAUGAAUACCUCCGUCUGGUGGAGGAACUGCAUGCGUGGUAUGGGCUGGUAGUGGGUUUUAGGUUACACUUGGCUGACCCAAGUGAACCAAACCCUGAUCAAUCAAGUCCUGGAUGACAUGUCUCAGUGCGGUGCAUCGAUCAGUCUCAUGUCCUAGCCCCUAAUGAUAGGCACAACGCAGAUCCAUCCUGAAGUGAGGAGGUAGAGGCUGAAGGGGCGGUCUCGGAGUGAGUGCAGUCAGCAGAUCGGCCUCUGUGAGCUUCCGAAGAGCCUGGCUCAACGGCAUGCCUAUCUGUGAAAACUGUCUCUGCGUCCUCAAAGCAAAGGGUGUAGAGGUCUGCUGAGAUCGAGGCCUGGGGUAUGAAGGUGCGGGCCUCGGAGUGAACUGUUCAGUGUAGCACGGCUGUCCAGUGGCCGUGUAUGAAACAGGAGGCCUCUCAAUGCCCUGAGUGGCAUAGUAAGGUAGAGCCAAUGGUUGAGCCUGAUAUGUCUGAUCAAAAGUCGGGCAAGGUGCCUGUGGCCUGAACUGUUAAGGUGUGUAAGACGAAUGAGUCUCGAGGAGCUGUGGGAUCGGCUGAUGACGCCUAGGAGGCCUCUGACUGGAUGAACUGAUAACACUAACAUCUAUCGUCCUCCGUCCUACGAAUGGUUUCUUCCCCUUAACAUCACUAGGGGAAGAAUCUACCCAUAAACCUCUCGAGAUGACGUCCUCGACAUCAUACAAAGUCAUAACCAGAUACCCAAAAUCUGUGAACGAGACCCCGACCACAUGUCUGGCAAUCACCGGCUGUAGACUCCUCAAAGCCAUCUGAAUCUGGUCUCUCUCUGAUGGUCUAUCCACUAUCUCAGCUAUCUUCCCGCGCUAGCGGGAAAUGAAAGAAGAAACAGACUCCUCUGCCCUCUGUCUCAGAGCCUUGAGUUCUUUCCUCGAUACAUCUACGACAGUGUUAAGCGAAAACUGUCAUAGGAACUCCUGGGCCAAGUCAUCCCAUGUGCGGCGUCUUGAGGACUCCAGAGACGCAAACCAACGCUGAGCCGCCCCACUCAGAGAUAGGGGGAAAAAAGUGAUCAUUUGAGGCUCGUCUAGUCCAUGAGCCCUCAUCACGGUGCUGUACAGUCAGAGAUGGAUGCGUGGACAACCAAUGCCUAUAUACCUCUCAAUAUCCGGCAUCCUGAACUUAGCUGGCAAGCUGGCUACCGGCACUCCAUCAAAACCCUCCCAAGUAAUGGCUCUGUUUGAAGUCCUCAACUGCCUCAAACCCUACUCAAGCCUAUCCAGGCGAGCAUGUGGAUCCUCUGAGGUCGGGGUAGACAUGGUGAUGGGAGGCGGGGCAACCUCGGUCUGACUAUGCAGAGUGAACGGCAUGGCCUGUCGCGCUGACUGACUGGGUGGAGGGGGUGGUGGCACUGUAGGGUCAUACUGGGCGCCAUCUUGAGACGGGACCUGCUGGGCCUGCUGCCCAUCUAUCCUCUGGCCGAGGCUAGCCAAAGCCUCCUGGAUAGAAGCCAUGGCGGCCGUGAACUAAUCGACAGUGACGACCUGCUGAUCCAUAUCUGGUGUGUCUGAAACCCGAACUAAUCUGCCCUCAACUCUGACCCAAGAAGGUGUGUCCAGACUGCGAAUGAAAUCUGAUCCUGGCAAGGUGAGAAGCGGAAUGAGGAUACGGUAUAGGAAAAGUAUGAAAUGAAUGAUAGUCUGAACUGAAACGGGCAAAUGCAUCCAAGACGAAGACGAACUGUCCGACCAUACUCAAACUCAUAUCGAUCCCCAAGCACUCUCAACUGGAGACUAAAGAGAGGGAAAAUCGGAUCCGAACUGUAACUAAAGAGGCUCUGAAGGCCCUCAGAUACACCCACGUGUAGGGAGGGAGUCCUAAUCGGAGGAUCUAUGGCUCAACCUACAAGGUCAAGGUGACUCUAAAUGGAUAUGGGUGGACUUUAAAAGAUCCCUAGCAGAAGCGAUCUUACCCUCCGGCAGUACGCAACCCUCUGCACGCCUCCGAAGAGACGGGGCACUUCCAUGCAAGGUGGUCAUCACCUCCACACAUGCACUACCUCGCAUCCCAGGGGGCUUCCUAUGGUGAAACCUCUCACACUCUCAACACUCAAUAGUCAACUAAAGUGCACAGUGAACGGUGUGGGUACAUCCGAAAACCUUAAGAAGCUAAAACAUAAAAUGAAACACACUGGCCACACAAAUAUCCAUGAAACCUAGCUCCGGGCUAUACAGGUCUUCAAUGAUCGGACUCCAAUCGACAUCAAAGUGUCGCUCUCCUCCAGAAUGCUCCCGUGCAUCGGUAUAGCCCGUCGCUAGACCCUACUCCUAAUCUCUGGCUCGGUCAGAGAGCAAGCAAAUAGAAGGCCUCACACUUGCAAUAGUGAGAACCGGGAUGAAAGGAAUGACCGAAACUAAGAGAGUUGGAAGUAAGGGGAUAUAUGUGCGACCCACAUGGACAAGCAACAUGCAAUCAUGCAGAGGGAGGGCAAUCAUGCAUCAUACAGUCAAGCAGAGUACAAGAUAUAUCACUCAUGUCCACACAAAAAGCUACAACUAUCAGGAUGAAUAGCGAUAUGAACAUCAUGCUCAAAAGACGAUCAAGAUAAUAUGCAAGCCAGAGAAAAUAGCACAGCAAGUCAAAUGCUAUACACCAGUGAAUCCAUGCAUGUGAGGUGAACAGAACAAUCAUGGCAAAAUCAGAAUGACUACGCUAAGCAAUGCAAGAUGAUCAAUCAAUAUAAUCAGCAUGUCAAUGUACUCAACAAACAUGACAAUGAAGCACAGAAAAAUCAAAAUCCUCAAUGUGCAAUCAAGAUAUGAGCGUCCACUGAUCGUCCAAUUGAAUACCACGUUUGCUUCAUUCUAAGUUCAAGUUUGACCCUCUAAACAUCCCCAGCGGAGUCGCCAUUUUGUGGACCCCGCAUUUCGGCUCAAUGCGUUUCCCACUCGAUAGUGAGCUCGAUUUUUAUUUUGAAAAAGGAUGAUUUAAUCGGUUAAAAAAAAACUGACUUAGAGUCGCCACUUAUUUUUGUUUUAUUUUUAAGGGUAAACAAAAUAAGAAAGAAAAACCCUAAGUGUGACUCCUUGUUUUGGAAAAUGUCAGUCUACGAAAAAACAGAUCGGGUUCGGGGGUCAGGUUACUUAUCAGGAAGGUACGAUAUGAACCGUAGCACCCCUCUAAGCCCCUAAAAUGGGUCUCUACUAAUAAAAUGAAGCAGUCAUGACAAUUAAUUAGGAAAUCAAUGAAUACCCGGAACUAUCAUGCACAUAUGAGAAUCAGAGUAUGUAUAGUGAAUUAUCAGAAUGAGUGAAUGCGUACCUGGGCAACAAACAGCAACGCGCUAUCAUAAAAUGAGGUUAGUGAAUAAACACAAAAUGGUUAUAUGCAUAUCAUGGAACAUAGCAAAUCAAUCAAUCAAUCAAUUAGUCAUGAAUUCACAUAUGUAGGGCCCCCAUCAAAGCCCAUUUUAUCUUGCCUGAAUCAAUUCCGAUGGAAUUAUGGAAUUUGAUUCCUUGCUUAUUUCAAAACAUUUUAAAAACAGAGGAGGUAUGAAAAUUACUUGCCAGAAAUAAAAGCGGCGGCGAAGUGUUAUUGAAAAUGUGAUUUUGGAACCUAAAGAAACUCUAAGGAUGAAGUAUGAGACAAUUGGGAUUAUUUGAGUACCAAGAUUUAAAAGAAUUUACAAUAUGGGAUUCGGAUGAGAUAUCCGGGGAAGGCGGAACGUAGGCCAGAUGGAAUUCCGGAUGUGAGGUAUCCAGAGAAGGUGGAAUGUCGGCAGACAGAAUUCCGGGUGCGAGAUGUCCGGGUGGAAUGUUGGGGGGGGGGGGGGGGGGGAGGAAUUCCGGAUGCGAUGCGUUCGGAUGGAAUGGCGGUAGGAGGAAUCUCCGGAUGCGGGGGACGUCCAGGUGGAAUGGCAGCAGGAAGAAUUCCGGAUGCUGGGGCGUCCGGGUGGAAUGUUGGCGGAGGAGAAUUUCUGGAUGCGUAGGGCGUCCGGAUGGAAUGGCAGGAGGCAUGCUGAGUGCGAUGUGUCAGGAUGGAAUGGCAACGGGGGAAUUCCGAAUGCGAUAUGCGUCCAGGUGGAGUGUUGGCGGAGGAGAAAUUCCGGAUGCGAUGGGCGUCUGGGUGGAAUGGCGGCGGGAGGAAUCCUAGAUGCGAUGCGUCCGGAUGGAAUGAACAUGGUUGUGAGUAGCAUGAAGGAUGGGUAUGAACUGUAUGGACAUGGGGGCUUGGGUGAGUGGUUUUAAUGGGUAUGCGAAGGAGUGAAGGAUGGCAUGCACCCGUGAGACUCCAUGUAAGCGGGGGAGUGGGAUGGAGAAUGAAUGAGAGGCGGAUGGGUGUGGUGGAGGUGUAAACCCUCAAUUUUGUCCCUCGACACUGGCAUUUAUCCUUCGGGUGUCACAUCCACCCAUUGUUCGCAUAUGGCACCACUAGGGCCCCUUUUGGGCUUAGUCGAUGUCCGAGCCUUGUGUGGGUUUGUCUGUGGUCCAUUGUGGUGCAUAUGUGGUUCAUUUUGGAGGGUCACCCUGGCCAUUUUCCUAGUCGUUCACAUCACGCUAUAGGAAGGAAGUGGGGUCAUCCUGAUGUCUUAGCUUAGUUGGAGUUUAUAGGGGCAUGUUGAGGUUCGGAGCACUCGGGCUUGUUUUGAUCGUAUCUCCCUCAUCCAAACUCAGAAUCAAAAACCGUUUCUUUUUAUGGAUUCCUUAUUCUUCCAGGAACAUUCUGUAAAAUUUUCAAAAUUUUUUGCAACCGGUCGGCUGGUUGGCAGCCGGUUCAUCGAGUCAACCGGUGUAGAACACUGAUUUUUGGUAAUUGUUUUGAUCAUAUCUCCCUCUUUCGAACUUGGAAUCACAUACCGUUUUUUUUAAUGGAUUCCUUGCUCUACUAGGAACAUUUUGUCAAAUUUUCAGAAUUUUUUUCCAUCGGUUCGACCAGUUGGCAUCCGGUUCGGCCGGUUCAGCCGGUUCAUUGAGUUAGCUGAGGUAAAACACUAAUUCUAGUAAUUUUGAGGCCCAAAUCCUACAUGGCUCAGGCCCAUAAGCUCCAGAUCAGUUUUGGGCAAUGUUGUGGGUCCAUUUUAGGCCUUGGUUUGGGUUCCUUGCAGCCCACCAUGAAUCCAUAUGGAUUCUUGGUGGUGAAGCAAGCUGAAAAAACUGAAGGGAGUGAGCUGGCCUUGUAAGUCUAAGAGAAGUAAUGAGGGGUGUGGUUCCCAUGCUGAUGAAGGGAAUUUCGGUGCUGAAGGGGAAGGAACCCAGGAGGCUCAAAUGCUAAGAGGGGUAUGAGUAUAAAAGGUGAGAGGAUAGGAGAGCAAAUGACCUUUGACAUUUUGGAGAGGGGAAAUUCUGCUGGUGAGAAAAACAAAAGGUCAGUAGCAUCUUCUGAGUUGAGAGUGUGGGGGAAGCUUCAGCACUGUGGUUUUUUUGAAAAGGAGAGUGACAGCCUCUCAGUUUAGGAAGUCAUCAUCGGCAUGCACGAAUCAUAUUUGGUGGAGAUUCUGAGGUAACCACGAUGAAUUUUCUUUACUUACAGUUUAUCUUCCUUGUCUUCAUAUGCUUUUUCUCCUUCCUCAUCAUCUUUUCUUCCCUUUGAUAUGAAGAUUGUAUUGAUUGGGUGUGGAUAAUAAAGGCCACACAUGAUUGUUAUUGUUUUCUUCCUUGAUCACUUAGGAACUUUCUGACCGAAUUAGGGAUUUUCUACCAACCGGCUGAACCGGUUUGGAACGGGUUGAACCGGUUUAGCACCAUAGCUGGCUGCCUCUGUCAGCCAUGAGGAACACCUGCCUUUCUUUGUCCGAUUCUCACUCAUCCGAGCUUGGAAUUGAGAACCGUUUCUUUGUUCGCUUCCUUAAUCACUUAGGAACUUCCUGACCGAAUUUGGGAUUUUCUACCAACCGGCUGAACUGGUUUGGAACCAGUUCAACCGGUUCAGCACCAUAGCUGGCUGCCUCUGUCAGCCAUGAGGAACACUUGCCUUUCUUUGUCUGGUUCUCACUCAUCCGAGCUUCGAAUUGAGAAUCGUUUCUUUUGUUUGCUUCCUUAAUCACUUAGGAACUUCCUGACCGAAUUUGGGAUUUUUUAUCAACCGGAUGGACCGGUUGAGAACCGGUUCAACUGGUUCAGCACCAUAGCUAGCAGCCUCUGUCAGUCAUGAGGAACACUUGCCUUUCUUUGUCUGGUUCUCACUCAUCCGGGCUCGGAAUUGAGAACCGUUUCUUUUGUUUGCUUCCUUAAUCACUUAGAAACUUACUGACCGAAUUUGGUAUUUUUUUAUCAACCGGAUGAACUGGUUGGGAACCGGUUCAAUCGGUUCAGCACCAUAGCUGGUUGCCUCUUUCAGCCAUAAGGAACACCUGCCUUUCUUUGUUUGGUUCUCACUCAUCCGGGCUCGGGAUUGAGUGUCGUUUCUUUUGUUUGAAUCCUCACUCAUUUAUGAGUUUUCUAGAAAAAAUUGGGAAUUCUUCUCAAUAGGUUGUACCAGUUGAGAACUAGUUAAACCUGUUCUGCUGGAGAACUUUAGGUAGCCCUCGAUUUUGGCAUUUUUCGAGCCCUUAUCCAUGGGGGCUCAAACCCAUUUGCUAUAGGGCACUUGUGAGCCAUCUUGAAGGUUUAAGUCAGUGUUUGAUUUCAGUUAGUAUGGGCAAUUUUGAAGUUAUGGGUGGUGUGGUCUAGAUGAGUCUAGUUCGAUUUGUAUGACAUUUGGGGAGUCCCUUACCUCAUUUCAACCAGCUAUCUUCCUUUUUGGCACAAGCUUUGAUGCUUGAUUUUGAAUACAUGUUGCGUGACUGACUCACCCUCUACUGCAGCGCUUGGCUAGGGACCACAGGAAUGCAUCGUUGGCUUUGGUUGUUGAAUUCAUAUGCAUGCAUGGUGCUUAAUCUUGAAUGUUUGUUAUGUGUUUACCUGUGUUUGGUUGACCUUUUAUGCAGCACUUGGCUAAGGACCACAGGUACGCACCCAUUGUUUUGUUUGGUUGAAUUCAUAUGCAUGCCAAAUACCAAUUAGGAUUGUGUGAUCCAUGACAUCUAUUUAGCCUAGGGUUUCAUUUGACCUUUGACCCAUAUGCUCCCACAUACCCAAUUCAUUAGUAGAGACCGAGUUUCAGGCCUAGAGGGGUGCUACCUCGCAUGAGGUACCUUUCCAACGGGUAACCUGAUCCCCGGACCCAGAAUCUAGUUUUCGUAGACUGCUUUUUCCAUACUGGGGUCAUUAGGGGUUUUUGUUCUUACUUAAUUUUCCCCAUUUUAAAAACAAAAAUAAAAAGUAAGUGGCGACUCCAAACAACACCGUUCCUCACCAGGGGCGGGUUUUUUUUCAAAACUGGAAAACACCAACUUUUUCAUUUCUUUCUUUUCUUUUAAAAGCGAGUCGCGUCGGUCCGGUGGAUCGGGUGAGGGUCCACAGGAGGAUGCUUGACUCCUGCAAGCUCGAGUGAGGAAAAUGGAUAUGACGACCUAGAGAGAGAGAGAGUGAUAGAUGAACGAUGGGUAUGUAGGCAUAUUGGAUAAAACGAUGAAUAACAAACGAAAAUAGGUAUGGAGAGGCUGAUGAGGUGAGCUUUGCCGCCAUGACAACUACCCCAGGUUUUCUAGGAUUUCUUUCGAGCAGGGAUGAGAAAUUGGACGCGUACCAUAAUGGACAUCAAGAAACAGGGGAAGUAGAGUAACAGAACGUAAAAGAAGAUGAAUAAAUAAAGGAAAAUCUCGAAAAAUCCACUUCAUGAAUCAUCCAUGAAUCUUCUGAGCAGGUGGGUAAACCAUAUCGGAUGCAGCCACCCUCAUGACUCUCAAGCAUUUCAUAACCACAACAGGAACAUAUCAAAUUAAAAUGAACAAUGGCAAACACGUUUGCAGGGUCAUACUUCAACAAGCAGACUGGUGGCCUUCAUUAUUCACCCUAAACAGCAUUAUGUUAUGGAAAAUCAGUGAAUAAUGAGAGACGAGGAGAAAACUGUGUACGUACCUGGUUCCUCAAGCAAAAAGAAAUCAAGUCUCAACUCUCUCAAUGGAGUUUCUCUCUACCGUCAAGAACUCUCCCCUGGCCAUGGAAGACCUUGCCGAGCAAAUCUCCUUUCUCUCGAAAAUCCCCCCUCUAGCCAACUCUUCCCUCACAAAACUUUCUUCCUUCUUUCCUUUCUUUUCUCUGCCUUUCUUUCUGGAUUUGCCUUCCCGACCAUCUCUGCCGCAGCCACCUUUUCUCUGCCCUUAUCCCCCUUCUACGACCACCUUUUCUCUGCUCCACUCCUUCUGCAGCCACCUUUUUAUGUUUUACUCCUUCUGCAGCCACCUUUUUGUCCCACUCCUUUUGCAGCUUCAAAAAGCGAGGUUGAUUCCUUAUAGCCACUAAGGAUGUGACACGUGGCCCGUUGGGAUAGUGACACCUGGGUAAAAAUGUGAUCUAAAAAAACAAAUAGAGAAGAAGUGACCCAUGCCUAAAUGGGGGUCUACAGAAAUAUUUUCGAAGAAAUUUAUUUCCCUCAAAUUACUAAAUAUCCUUUUGGUAAUAACCUUUAAUGACAAAUUGAGACCACCUUAUCCAAUUAUGAAACAUUUAAUUCUUCAAGGAUUCUCAAAAAUAAAUUUAAGAAAAAUAUUUCAAAUUCUUAAGAAUAAAAUUAAAAAGGAACUUUAGCUCUCAUAUUCAAAAUUCCUUAUAAAUUUAAUUUCCUUAUCCCUACCCCUUUCCAAUUUAAUAAAUAUUCUUAAAUAUGAAAACUAAUUUUCAUAAUAAUUUAUUUCAUUAAAAUUACCAAAAACUAAACUUUUAGUAAUUCCUUUAAUGAUAAAGUAUUCAUCUUGAAAUUUUCCAAAAACAAUUAUUUAUUGUCCAAAUUAAGGAUUAGUGUAAUAAAAAAGUUUCCAAAAACUUGAAAAAUAAAAACUAAAGAGCACUUCAUCCAAAAGGGAACUGUGAGGAUUCUUAUCAAAAUAAUUUUAAAGAAAAUAAUUUAGAAUCCUUUGGAAUAAUUUAGAAAAUGAAACUUUGCUCUCUAAUUUAUUUUCACAAGUUUUAUUUUCUUAAUCUAUACUAUUUCAAAAUUAAGUAAAUAACAUGCUAUGGAAUAUAAUUUUCAAGAAAAUUUAUAUCCAUUAAAAUUACUAAGAGUUUCAUACAAUUUUCGUAAAAAAACUUUCAAUAAUUUUGGUGACCUUCUUAAAAUAAAUAAGAGAAUCUCCGCUUAAUUUAGAAACUUACAUCCUGAAAAUAAAAAUAAAAAUAAAAAUAAAAAUAAAAGAUCUUUUAAGGAUUUUCAGAAAAGGAAACUAGAUUGUCUCACAAUUUUUAAUUUUUUUUUUACAAAAAAUCAUUCCAUGUAAAAAUUCCUUAAUAGUAGCACCCUUCUAAUUUUGAAUAAAACUUGAUUUAGAAAUAACUUGCUCAUGAAAAUUUAUUUUCCAUAAGAAAAUCCAAAAUUAGUAACUUUGGAAGCACUUGCAAUAUUUUUCACAUGCAAUAUAACGAUAUGCAUCAAAAAGGAAAUAUUCCAAAGGAGAUCUCAUGGCCAAGGGAUAUUUUUCACAACUUACCAAUUGUGAAUCAAACUUAAUUGUCUUCAACUUAACAUUAAUACUUGGAUUCAAAACUUAACAAAAGAAGCUCUUGUAUAGCUUCCAUAAUUCAGCAACUUUCAAGCCCAACAAGUGGCCCUAAAGAUGAGCCUAAAAAAGCAAAAAAGAAUUGGACCCGUAUGCAAUCCCAUUACAACAUACCCUCUAUGCAGCUUUCCUUCAAACAACCAUAUCUCCGUCAUUUCAACUCCGAAUCGUGAACCGGUUAUGGCAUUCGAUUCCUGACUUCCUAAGCUUUUCUCAUUGCGCUUUUCUGUCAUUGAUGCGUCCAUGGCUUCCUAACUGAUGGUACCGAAUCAAGAGAAGGAGAACUUUGUUAUCUGACAACAUGCUUCAGCUUUAGGGCAUAUACUUAUGCAGGAGUUCAUAACCGGACCUAGGUUUCUUUCCAUAUGACCCCUAGAUUUGAAUGAGAGCCAAGGGUAAAGGAAAACCACAACAAAGGAACAUCCCAAAAACACGGCAUCACACAAACCCAAGAAUCACAAAAAUAGGUCUCAUCCCAUAUUGACAUCAAUGAGUUCAUGAGUAAAUAAGGAACUUAGGUGGGCACAAGACCAAAAACAUUAAUCUGAGCAUAUCACUAGACAGCUAAAAUAAAGUUAAGCCACACUUAAACAAGACCACAGAAAGAGCAACAUGCUUCAUCUAGGCAGAGCACAACAAUCUAGAGAGACAAUAGAAAUGGACAUAUAACCAAUAAUACCCAUGUUUAAGCAACGGGUGUGAGCCAGAAACAAUAAGAAAUGCAAAUAAAGUUAAAAAGUAAGGAAGAAGAAAAAUGAAAAAUACAGAGUGUUCAUACCUGGGAGGUUCUCUUCUCAAACAAAACUUCUCUCUAGCCUUCUCUCCGUGAACUUCUCUUUUUACUCUCUACUCUCCUUCCUCACAGCUCCAUUCAUUCAUUCUGAGGCUCCUCCCCUGGUUCACUCUCAAGUCCUCUUCGGGAAAAAAAAAACCCUCCCCCUCAAAGCUCUUUGCCACCUCCAAAAAAAAUUGUCUCCUUCCCCUGUUUUUUUUUUUUCUUCUCCCGCAAGCCAUUGUCUGCUCCACUGUUCCCAGCUCAGCAAGCCUCCAUCCAUCAUCUCUUGGUCCAACCACCACCAUGGAGAUGGUUACCCACUCCACCACAUGUCCCAUGCAGCUUAUUCAUCUCCAAGACCGUCCCAGCUCUUUCCCCACCCAAAAGAAAGCCUCUCCCCCCUAUUUUUAAAGGGGUCUACAGGUUCAUUUUUUCAAAAAUUAAAAUAUUUUUUUGGAGAAAUAAAAAUGAGAACAUGUUUUUGUGUUUAUUGUUUCAAAAAUAAAUUUUUGAAAAUAAAAAGAAUGAUUGAAAAUGAAGUAGUAUACUAAUUAUGAUUGUGACUCCUUUUUUAUUUAUUAUGUCUAUAAAUUCAUUGUUUUAGUUAGAGUUCAAUAAAAACUUAACUAAAAGUUUGAACAAAUAAUAAAAUUGUAGUUUAGAUUAUUUAUUUAUUUAUUUUUGAGAAUUUUGUUAACUCAUAACUCUUGGCGUCCCUAAUUGGAAUCAACAAGGACUUUUUUAAUACUAUUUUUUUUUUCUUUUGAGAAUUUGGGAUGCAAAUUUACUCCAUUAAUUUGGUUUAGGAUUUUGUAUUUUGUAUUUUAUUUUAUUUUUAUUUUUUUUGUGAUUUACACUCAUUUUCAACAUUCAAGUUUUUUGCAUAAUUAACUUGAGAUUCAACAAAUAAGUAUAACCAAAUUGAUUGAUAAAAAUGACCCAAAAGGCAUAAGUUUUCACAUGGAAAUUGAAAAUAAAAAUUUGAAAAUGAAUUUAAAUUUAGAAUUUAAAAAAGGAAAAUCUUUCAAAUCUCUUUUAAUUUUAAAAAAUAUUUUUAAAGUUUAAAAAAGAAAAUCUUUCAUUUCUAACAUUUUUUUUUCUUUUUUAUUUUUUAUUUUUGGGUAAAAUAUCAUUUAUAAAUUGAGCCAAGCCCACUAGGAUUUCUCUAAUAUAAAUAUCUCUUAGUUCUUAGAGAGUUUUCAAAGAUCACCCCCUAAACUUAAGCCAUUAUUCUUUGUGUUCAAUAAAAAACUUUCAAAGCAUUUUAAAUUUGUUUGUUGAGUUUGUGCUUUUGCAUCAGGAACAUGUUUGGGAUAUAAGUCUAUGAGAAUAAUAAUUGCUAGAUAACACUAUGUACUUAUUCUUCAAAUUUAGGGAAUUUUAAAUUUAUGGUCUUUGACCUUGUGGCUUUUAUAUCAUAGUCUCAAGAGGUUUUAUGAGUGAUUUUCCAUGUAAUCUCAUGUAUUUCCAAAUGAUUCUUUGUUUUAAUUUAUUCUUUAUAUCCUAAUCAAAGAACAUAUACAAACUAAAAAUUGGCAUACAUUGGCUUGAAGUCAAGAAGACUAUCUAUUCACUCCCUUCGAGGUGAUUGUGUGACACAAAAUAUGAAUAAAAUUGAUUGAGAACUAAGGGACUUAUAUUUAAAAAUUUUAUCCAUUCACUCUUAAAAAUUAUGUAUGUUCUUGAAGUGUCAACACUUAACCUAUGCUUCAUUCUUGAAAAACUUACGGAGAAAUACAACGAAAAGAAAAGAAAAUAAUAAGGAAAAAUAAAACAAAAGAAAAAGUAAAAAAAAUGUAUAUAUAUAUAAAGAUAAUGAAUUAUUUUUGUCACUUUAGAUCUAUUUUACCUAUUUUAACUCUUUUAUAUAAUGACUAAAUAAUUUGAAAAUAUAUAGUUUUCUCAUAAAUUUUAAUUAUAAUUCAUUUUCUUUCAUACUUUAAUUUUCAUUGAGAAUAUUUUCCUUUUUCUUUUUUAAGCACUUCCCUGAGAUCAAACAUUGCAUAAAAAAAAUCUCUUAGAGGUUUUUAUGGCCUUUGGAAAUGGAUAUUCAAUCGGCAAGAGUUGAAUAUAGCAUUCUGAAAUCCAUGAAGGUUUUCAUUUGGUUCUUUUAAUAUAUAUGUACAACAAUAUCAUUAUUUUUCACACAUGUUUUAGGGAAACUUAUGAAUACGGCCCCUUGAUUCCUUUAUAUAUAGUUAACAAUAUCGAUAUAUGUAUUUAGUGUUUAAGUUUAUUUUUUUUAGUUUUAAUUAUAUUUUUCAUAUUUUUAUUUUGUUGUUGGCCAUAAUUAAUAAAAAUUUAAUAAGUUUUAAUGAAAUUCAAAGUAAUCUCAAUAAUGUUCCACAUCUGCUUUCCCUUCCAGCCAUUCAGUCUGCUUUCCCACGUCUUGGAUUUCAAUAAUUCUAAUGAACCAUCCCAUCAAUACUGAAGAUUCCAAGCUAUCUUAUUCAUAUAUACUUACCAAUCAAGUGCUUGAGUGAGGUACAGUUCUUGUUACCAGCUACAUGUCUACUGAUCACUCGGCCCCAAAUGCUAAUCCAGAGACAAAUCGCCCGACUCCAAAUUAUCACCCUAGCAUUUGGGGCAAUCGUUUCAUCAUGACCAACACACCUGAUGAUGAAGGUGAUUUUGUGAUAUCUGUAGUUUGCAUAACAAGAUCUUAACCAUCUAAAGAUUUUCUUAAUUUUUUUUUCUUGCAAUUUAUUGGUACAGAUAACUCUGGCCCAUGAAGAGCAGCAGUUGGAAGAUCUGAAGCAGGAAGUGAGAAGAGAGCUAAUAGCUGCAGCUAGUAACCUUUCCCAACAGCUCAAGUUCAUUGAUGCAGUUCAACGGCUGGGGUUGGCAUACCACUUUGAAAAGGAGAUAGAAGAAGCAUUACAACAUACUUAUGAUAACUAUCAUGAGAUUGAUGAUAUAAAUGAUGAUCUCUAUAACGUUGCACUUUGAUUUGGACUACUAAGACAACAAGGCUUCAAUAUUUCCUGUGGUAAGCCUCAUGAAUAUCAUGUGUUAUAUAGCAAAGCUCACAUAUAACAUUCUAUGUUUGGGUGAUGAUUUCAGAUGUAUUCAACAAGAGAAGGGAAGGUUCAAAGAAUCUGUGAUGAUCAAUGAUGCUUGUGGCCAACUAGGCUUGUAUGAAACUGUGCACAUCUCAGGUUUGGGAAGAAGAUACACUAAAUGAGGCACUUGCUUUCACCACCACUCACCUCAAGUCUAUGGUAGAACAUUUAGGAUACCCUCUUGCAGCACAAGAAACUCAUGCCCUAGACCAGCCCAUUAGGAAAGGCUUGGAGAGGCUAGAGGCAAGGCCUUUCAUGCAUGUCUAUCUACCAAGAUGAAGCUUCACAUAGUAAAGCUUUACUAACGUUUGCAAAGUUAGAUUUCAACCUACUGCAGUCACUGUAUAAGAAAGAGCUGAGUAAUAUAUCGAGGUUAGUUCUCAAAUCAUUCUUGGACUUAAAUUCAAAUUAAAAAUUUACUAGGUCUUUUAUGUGGAUUAAUGUAUUUUAUCAGGUGGUGGAAAGACCGAGAUUUCUCUUCAAGGCUACCUUUUCCCAAGGGUUGUCUCUAUCAGUAUUAUUUUAUAAUAACAAAAUUCACAUUAUUUUAUCAUUACAUAAUAUGUUAAAGACUUGAUGAACAGUAACAUGCCUUACCAUAAAUUAAAGAAGAGUAGUACAUUCUUCUACCAAGGAUUGUAUGGAUUGAUGCAAUUCUAGUAUGUAAUUAGUUUUUAAUAAAAUAAAUAAAUAAAUAAAUACAAUUUUUUUUUUGUAGAAAAUAUAUUUUAUUUUUUAUUUUAUAUAAUAAAUAAUUAAAAAUUUUAACAAAUCAAAAUGUUAAAAACCACAAUCAAUUUUUUAUAUUUUUUUAAUUAAAAUAUUAAACAUUUUAAUAAAAAAAAAACCACAAUCAAGUUAGAUACAAAUAAGUAAAAAACUAAAUUUGUUCAUUAUGUAUUUAUUUUUAUAUUAAUUUUUUUUAUUAGUUAUUUAUGACAUAUUAUUAUUAUUUUUUGUUUAAAAUGUUUAUAAAUAAUUAAAAUCAAAGGUGAAAAAGUGAAAAAAAUGAAAUUAAAAAACAAAAGCUAAAAUAAUAUGACAUGUUGGUUCGCCGAAACUUAAAAACAUGGGUGAAAGAAAAAAUCCAUUAUGAACUUUUUGACUAGUCAUGUAAAAUAUUUUUUAAAAGAGAAAAGUACGGUAAUUGACUGCAGGCUAUAGGGCAAGAAAAGUUGAAAGGGCAAUUUUGAAAUUUUGACUUCCAUGGAAGUUACCAGGAAAAAGAUAUUCUGGCCGGACGACUUCCAUGGUUUAAAGAAUUCAUCCUAACGGGUAAAAUAUUAUUAUUAUUAUUAUUAUUAUUAUAAUAUUAGACAUGCUAAAAGUUUUAUUAUAUACCAUGUAAAAAAUAAAAGUUAUGAUAUUAUAUAAGGUUGGAAUUCGAAGUUCAAGCUUAUUAAACUAUACAGAUUUUAAAAUUUUGUCAAAAAAGAAAAAAAAAUGGAGAAUUAAUUAAAUGGACUCAUCAUUUUCCAUGCAAAAAUUAAAAUAUUGAAAAUUACAUAAAGAUCGAGGAUUAUAUUUUACAAAAACAUUGGAAUGAAUCAAUAAUACAUAUAUUGAAUUCUUUUAAAUAUAUAUAUAAUAACAUUUGUGAUAUUGAAUAAUAAUCCAUAGAGCUUGAAAAUGCAUUUCAUUUUGAUUCUAUGUAAUUUGAAAAUAAAUAUUUAUAUUCUAAUGGUGAUGAAAACAAAUUAAGCCGAGGCUUCAAAUCAGAUUUUCUUUGCAAUGAAACAAACUAUCACUACAAGAAAAUGUACUUUUCGUGACAAAAAUUUAGGGGCGAAUUCUAAUUUUGUCGCUAAAAGUAACUUUUACUGAUGAAAUUUUAGAUGUUGUCAAUAAUGUCAAUUUUCUAUAAACUUUUCCUAAUGAAUUUGAAAUUUUUGUCGCUAAAAGAUGUGGCGGGAAAAUUUAGCGCUUUUUUUUUGGCGCAAACACUUUUGUGACAAAAAUAAACUAUUUCCCUACGAAAAUAUUUAUCACUAAUUAUAAUUUUUGGUGAUGAAAAUAAUUUUCUUACUAAAAGUUACAACCUUUUAUCUAUUUUUGCUUACAAAAUGGUUUCGUCGGUAUUUAUAUUAUUUCCUGACAAAUUGAGUAAUUUUGUCACCAAAUAAUGUUAUUAAAUUGUGAUAUUAAUAAAGAAUAUUAAUAAAUAAGUAGAUUAUUUAUACUAUGAAAUAAUACAAUAUAUAUUUGUUGACACUUAAUAUUUAUACUAUAAUAUUUUAUUUAUAUAAAUAAUAAUAAAAAUUAAGGAUCCACAAAAUUAAAUACUAGAAUGUAGAUUUAUUUAAAUUUAAAUGUUCUAUUAUGUAAUAAUAGUAUUGUUAUGAAAUAACAAAAAUGUAAAUUAUUUAAGCAAUUAAUAUUUAUAGUGUAAUAUGUUAUUUAUAUUUAUAUAUAUAUAUAUAUAUAUAUAUAUAUAAAUAAUAACAAUAGAUAAUCCAAGAUAUGUAAGAUUACAUCCUAUGAUAUAAAUUUAUUUAAAUUUCAAUAUUAUUAUAUGGUNNNNNNNNNNNNNNNNNNNNNNNNNNNNNNNNNNNNNNNNNNNNNNNNNNNNNNNNNNNNNNNNNNNNNNNNNNNNNNNNNNNNNNNNNNNNNNNNNNNNAAUGUAGUAUUAAAUUUAUGUUAGCUAUGAAUAAGUAAAUUUAUUCAAAAUCAUACCUUAUCCACUCAAGAAGUAAAUUUAUACUAACAUUUAGUUACCUAGUUUAAAUUAAUAGAUUUUUUUUUAAAUUAUUACUUGGUUUUUAAAUAAUUGGUCAGAAUUAACUUUCUCAAAUAAAUUGUCUAGUAUCUAUAAAAACAUUCUACCUACAUAAAAUUCCAAAUAUUAUUUAUGUGUACGAAGAUAUCAUAUAUUAUUAAUAAAUAAAUAAGUAUAAGUUAAAUAUUAUAUGAUAUAAUAUAUUGUAAGUACUAUAUGCUUAGCUCUAUUUUCAUAUUUACAAAAUAAAAAAUGUCUUAUAUAUAUAGCACAUAUGAAAUUCUAUAUAAAUAUAAAGUUUUUUUAAAAGUUUUCAACCACAUCUUUAUUAAUAAUUGGUUAUUUUAUUUUUUAUUGAUCAAUUAUAUAUUUAUUAUUUUUAAUUAUUAAUUACUAAUUUAUCAAAAUUGAUAUUAAGAAUAAAAUCUUAAAUUAUACCGCAAAAUAGUAACUUCUAUGACUACUAACUUGUAAAGGAGUUUUUAUACUUGUAUGCAUUUUUAAUCAAAUAUUUAAAACAAAUGUAGUUAAAAAUAAUUGAAAUAUAUCAUAAAUUAUUAUAUGAUUUAUAUUUAUAGUGUUUCAUUAUGUUUGAUAUUUUUGUUUGGAAUAGAUGAGAAAGGGAGAGAAAAAAAAAUGAUGUAGAAUCCUAAUUUCAUUUUGAUCAUUAUUUUAUUAAUGUCAAUAUGAGUAUUACACUUUGGCAUUCUCCUAACAUUGUCUUUCAAUUAUACUUUUAUUUUAUAUUUCAAAUUUAUCACUUUAAUCCAUAAGUCUGGAAUUGAAUUUAUUAUAGAUAUUAAUAAACUAUAGUCCUCUAAUUUGUUCUCAUUCAACAUUAGGUUUGUUUAGAGGUGACAAAAUUUGAUAUGACUUAUCAAUAUGACUUGAAUCUAACACCCUUUCAUGAUUUUGGGUUGAGUAUAAUUGAGUUCAAGUCAAAUUCAUGUCGACUAUGGAGAGUGACCUUAAAUAAUAUAAGGUCCCAAUUUUGAUCACCAAUUGGUUUUCAGAACAAAUGGGGGCCUUGUCAUAAAAUACUCUGUGGUUAAGCGUGUUACAGUCAAAGAAAUCUUAGGAUGAGUGACCCACUGGGAAGUACGGAGCACCUCGAUCUACAAGUGAUAUCAAAGCUUGGUCAUAUGUUUGACGGGUGAGCUAGCACUGUGGGUGAAUGGCGAAGGCCUAGAGCGUGGCCAAGACAACUAACAAAGAUGGUAUACUAUCACCGACAUCACCGACGAAAUUAAUUUGUUACCAAAAAUAUUUGGCAAUAAAAAUAAAAUUCGUCGGCAUUAAAUAUUGACGACUUUUGGGACAAAUUUUAUUUUUUUCGUGACAAAAAUUCUUACUUUUGUUGAUGAAAUAUUUCGUUGGAAAACACCUUCAGUGACAAAAUUUUAUUUCAUCAAGGAAAACUUUGGGCGACAAAAUAAGAUUUUUGUCACGAAACUUUUAGCAACGGGUCUAGGGCGACGAAUAAGGCACGAAAGAAUUUUCGUUGGGGAAUGUUUUUGUAGACGAAAUUUAGACUUUCAGUGACAAAAUAUUUUGUCGCUAAAAGUCAAUUUUCUUGUAGUAUAUGCUUGGUAGACAUAUUUAUGUUUUUGAAAAUGAUGGAUGUUAAUUUCAGAUUUUGCUUUGAAAUUAAGCCACCUAACACAGUUGUCUUUAGCGAACGCAACUUCAAAUGGGCAAUAAUGCAUGGCAGCUUUUGACUUCAAAGCAUUAUAUAUAUAUAUAUAUAUAUAUAUAUGUAACAACUUUCCUCUUAAGCAAAGCACCCAAGUAUUCUUCAACUCUAACUCUAUUUUAGUUGGGCUCUUACCAAGGUAGUGACAUCUUGAAUCUAACAAAAACUUGAUAAAAUAUUUAUAUAAUAAUUAUAAUUUAUAUUAUUAUGGACUCAUGCACAUUUUUCACGUGUUCCUACUCGAUGAAAUUGAACUAUGAACCUUACUGAUGUGUACCCAAAUCGUACCAUUUAUUUAUAGUAUUGUCAUUAUAAUAUUGAAAUAUGGGAAAUUUUAAUAGACCAAACAGACCUCAAUAGACCAAAGCCACCAAAUAGCAACUGAAGAAACCGGAAAGCGUUUAUUCCAAACAUGGUAUACUCUGGAACAUGAAACAGAAGCUAGAGUAUACUAUCUUUAUUUGUGUCACAUAUAUCUCCACUCUCAUAUUGGCACAGGGUCUAUGAGCAGCAUUGAAAUAUCAUUUUUCAUCACUUCUUCAGGAUGUGAGAACAUAUCUUUGUGGCCCUUGUACAUCACAUCUCCUGAUCGAGCAAAAUUGAGAAGACGACUAAGGAGAAGCAUUGGAACUGCAGUAGGUCUGAGGCUCUCUUCAUUUAUAUCCUUCCAUGCAUUCUCGAUUUGCUUGUGAAGCUCAUCAUAUGCUUGUUGCUCCGACACACCAUGUUGCUUCAUGUAACAUUCGAUGCUUGAUGCAUUAUGCCCUCUCUCUUGCUCAAACUGCAGAAAUAGUAAUAUAAGGUGUAAAAAAGAAAUUGAUAUACAAUAGAUUUUCUUUAUCUUUAUGGGAUUGAUAUCCAAGUAUCAGUAGGAAGUGUUGUUUCAUUGUACCUUGUGGGAAGCCAUGUCAUCCAUGAGCCUCAUGACUGUGGAGGCAGCUCUAACAAUCUUAGGGUUUUGUUGCACCCAAUCAAAGACUUCCUUGGUUGCAGUCUCUCUCAUGCCAAUAAAAGACAUGAUUGUUAACGGGGGGACACCAACAGUUACCAUUGCGAUACCCAUGUACUCUUCUAUUGUUGGUAUGUAUUUUCCACGGAACCAUUUGGCUUGGACCAAGUUAGCUUGGAACAAGCUUUUAAUCUAGGAUAAAAAUUCAGCCAAGUAAAUAUAUCAUGCAAGUAUUAUAUAUAGCAUUUUAUUUACAGUACAAUAUAGGAUAUCAUAAACACAAUAGAGUUCAAAGAAUCCUACUGCAUCUUUCGUAUGGUGGACACAGUAUGAUCUUUCUGUGUUUUCCAUCUCCUCAAUUUCUUUGUAGACAUCUAGGACUGCCUGAUAGCACGGCUUCAAGUAUUCAGGAAACUGAUCUAUGCUGUUAAUAUCCCACCUGAAAAUCAAGUACCAAGUUCCCUUUUAAAGUUCAAAUAUGAAAUCAAUUCAUUGGUCGUAGGUAAUUUGAAUCUCGCAUGUAUCAAACCUCUCAAUUGCCUCUGUAAAGAGCUCCAGUUCUUCAAAUGUUCCAUAUGCAUCAAAUAUAUCAUCCACAGUUGUUAUCAGAGCAACUACUUUGGUCUGUAUUCUUCUAGCAUAUGAAUACUGGGGCUCAGAACAACUUAUUGCUAUCCAAAAGUACCCUUCUACCAAUCGAUCUCUGGCAAAAGGUAGCUUUGAAGAGAAAUCUAGGUCUUUCCACCACCUAAGAAAAUACAUUAAUCCACAUAAAAGACCUGGUAAACUGUUGAUUUGAAUUUAAGUGCAAGAAUGAUUUGAGAACUAACCUCGAUAUAUUACUCAGCUCUUUCUUAUACAGUGACUGCAGUAGGUUGAAAUCUAACUUUGCAAACUUUAGUAAAGCUUUACUAUGUGAAGCUUCAUCUUGGUAGAUAGACAUGAAAGGCCUUGCCUCUAGCCUCUCCAAGCCUUUCCUAAUGGGCCGGUCUAGGGCAUGCGUUACUUGUGCUGCAAGAGGGUAUGCUAAAUGUUCUACCAUAGACUUGAGGUGAGCGGUGGUGAAAGCAAGUGCUUCAUCUAGUAUAUCUUCUUCCCGCACCCUGAGAUGUGCAGCUUCAUACAAGCCUAGUAGGCCACAUGGAUCAUUGAUCAAAGACUCCUUGAACCUUCCCUUUUCAUCUUUGUACCUCUUGAAUAUAUCUGCAAUCAUCACCAAAACAUAGAAUGUUAUAUGUGAGCUUUGCUAGAUGAUAUUCAAGCACCUUAUACAUGAUAUUCAUGAGGCUUACCACAUGAAAUAUUGAAGCCUUGUUGUCUUAGUAGUCGAAAUCGAAGUGCAACAUCAUAGAGAUCAUCAUUUAUGUCAUCAAUGCAAUGAUAGUUAUCAUAGGUAUUUUGUAAUGCUUCUUCUAUAUCCUUUUCAAAGUGGUAUGCCACCCCAAGCCGUUGAACUGCAUCGAUAAACUUCAGCUGUUUUGAAGGGUUACUAGCUGCAGCCAUCAGCUCUCUUCUAACUUCCUCCUUUAGAUCUUCCAACUGCUGCUCUUUAUGGGCCAGAGUUAUCUGCAUCAAUAAAUUGCAAGAACAAAAAGUGAGAAAAUCUUUAGGUCUUGUUAUGCAAACUACAUACAUGAUCAGAAAAUUACCUCAUCCUCAGGAGUGUUGCUCACGAUGAAGCUAUUGCCCCAAAUGCUAGGCUGAUAAUUUGCAGUUCGGCGAUUAGUCUCUGGAUUAGCAACUGGGGCUGGAGAAGACAUGUCGCUGGUAGCCAGAAUUAAGGCCAUGUGUAACUCACUCAAGAACUCAAUAUAUGAAUAAGAUGGCUUGCAAUCUUCGGUAUUUAUAGGAUGGGAAAUGGUUCAUUACAAUUAUUGAAUAUCAAUCCCAGAUUCCCAGUAGCAUGGAUACAAUUAAUUCAAGAUCACCUAUCAUAUUUAAACCAUGUUUUUUAAAAAUUAAAUAUUUAAAAUAUGUUUUUAUUUCUCUUAGAAUAGGAAAAAUGUAGCUUAUUCCCUUAAUAAUUCUCAGUAUCCAAUCAGCCACCCAACAGUUUUCACGUUAAGAUCUUUGGGAAAAGUGGGUCCUGCUUCACUAAUUUAAAAAUAUAUAAAUAAAAACAACCCAAAUUUUAUUAAUCAAUUUUAUCUUCAUUAAUUCAAAAAUAUUUUAAAAUACAUGUAAUUUUUCAAAAAUCAAAUAAUUAUUUCUUGAAAUGACCUUUUACUUCACAAUAUUAAAUAAAAUUAUGAGAAAAAAAUUAAUUUAUCACUUUAAGUUAAUAAAAGCAUCUUACAAAUAAAUAUAUUAAAUUUUUUUAUAAUAUAAUAUGGGGUACAAAUCAUUGUGAAAAAAUUUCUACAUGAUUUUGAAGUGAUAAAUAAAAUUAUUUCUAAUCUUGUAAUUAAUAAUGAUUUUAUAUUAUAUAUUAUAUAAAUCAUUUCAUCUUCCUAUCUUUUUAAAUAAAAUUGAAUAAAAUUUUUGUUGGUUGACAUCAAUAAUAAAAUAAUUUAAAAAAAUAAAAUAAAAGUUAAAAAUAUAAAAAUAAAAUAUUGACUUUUACUUCACUCAUAAUACAUUAGUUAAAAACAUAGAUAUGAGAAAUAUAAUAGGAGUUAAUGUUUUAUUUAAUUUUUAUUUAUUUAUUUUUUGAAUGUAUUUAAUUUUUAAAAUUUAUUAUUUUAUUAUUGUUCAAUAUUCUUAACCAUGUUUGUUUAUAAAGAGAAUAAAAAAAAUCGUAAAUCCAAUCUCACAGUUGAAAGGACACCAUAACUAAAAGUGAGAUUGGUUAUUUACAAUUAAGUAUCUAUAUGCUUAUUUGUCCAUUGAUAUUAUUAACAUAAUAAAUAAAAGGGUUAUUUCAGGAAAUAAUUAUUUAAUUUAUGAAAAAUGCAUAUGUUUUAACAUAUAUUUAAAUGGAUGAAAAUAAAAUUAAUUUGUAAAACUUUUAAUUUUAUAUAUAUAUAUAUAUAUAUAUAUAUAUAUAUAUAUUUUCAAAUUAGUGAGUCAUAACCUAGUUUUCCCUUAACCUUUCAUUGUACAAUAAAAUUAAUAUCAUGGUAAUAAAAGAAUUUGGUUAUAACUGGGAACUAAGUUAUUUUAUUUACAACCCAAACCCAAAAAUUAUUGUCUAGAUUAAAAGAAAAUUGAAAAUAAUUUGUUUUUCAAUCACACCUAUGGUAAGAAUCAUAUUAUUAAUUAUUUUGAUUCUUAAUUAAAAAUAAAUAAUAAUAAUAGAAAUAUAAUUUUUUUUUUAAUUGAAAUGUGAUUUGAGUUAGGAUAACUCUUAAAUUUUUGACAAAUUUUCAAUCCCAAUAUUUCAUUUACGUAAACCACAUAAUAUUUAAUAACUAAUUCUGCUAUAUAUAGGUCGUGCAUCAAUGAAAUGAUGCUUGAUAUGUCAAAUGUCCUUUCACACAUGCUUCUCAAUUUCUUCAUUUUGAAUGUUUAUAAUGACAAAGAAAAAAAGUUACCUGAUGUGAUUCAAAUUAAACCACCAAGUCCCUAAAGGAGACAUAUGUAACCAGCCAAUCACUUCUUCACAUGAAAUCAUAUUAUUAAUUAUUUUGAUUAUUAAUUAAAAAUAAAUAAUAAUAAUAGAAAUAUAAUUUUUUUUAAUUGAAAUGUGAUUUGAGUUAGGAUAACUCUUAAAUUUUUGACAAAUUUUCAAUCCCAAUAUUUCAUUUACGUAAACCACCAAUUCUGCUAUAUAAUUGGUUCAAAUGUCCUUUCACACAUGCUUCUCAAUUUCUUCAUUUUGAAUGUUUAUAAUGACAAAGAAAAAAAGUUACCUGAUGUGAUUCAAAUUAAACCACCAAGUCCCUAAAGGAGACGUAUGUAACCAGCCAAUCACUUCUUCACAUGAAAUCAUUCCUCCACCUUAUCGUAAUAAUUGAUUCUUCACCCACCAAUAAUUUUAAACUCCCCUAAUAUGGUAAUUACAUCUCCUCCUUCUAUCAAUUUCUAAACCCCAACCUUAUAUUAAUCUCUAAAAAUUCCAUCCCUUAAAUCGGAGUGGUGUGACUUAAGAGUUCUAAACAAUCAAUGAAUCCAAAAUAAUCAUUUAAGUUAUAUUAAAUCAUUAUAUUUAUUUAUUAAACAUCUUUUAAGUAAGACUUAUUAUAAAACAAGACUUACUUAUUUCGUAAUUUAACUAUUUUAAUGUUUAAGAAAAUUGGAGGAUGCUUUGAAUCCAGAAAAACUAAAUCUCAAUCAUAGCAUGUCUAGUUUGAUUUGAUGUGAUUUAGUGUAAGAAAUUUGAUGUGAUUUCAUGGACCCUUAUGUUUAUGAAAGCUAAAAAUUGGUAGGCAAUGAAAAUAAAAUAAUUUAUAGGGCAAAAGCAUGAAUUUCAAUUAUAGGAUAAAAAGUUGUAAUAUAACAAAAAUAAUCAUAUGUAUAUAACAAAAGGACUACCAAUACUUUACCAAGGACCUUUGAAGACGAAAAGAAAAUAAAGGAAUUUGAUAAAAAGUUGCUAUUGAAACUUAGCAAGACAUCGUUUUUCUAUUCUAUAUAUAGUCAUUUACAAUAUUUCAUACAACAUACAAUAUUGUCCACAGUAAAAUUCUAGGAGAAAAUUAUAAUCUACAAUAUUCUCCAUAACAAAAUUUUGGGAAAGAAUUAUAGAUGUCAAGGGAGAGUUUCGGGAAAGAAUUACAAUACUUAUCAAAGCACAUAUUUUAGGGGACUUAUGAUAAUAAUUAUACAGUAGAUUAUGGGAGAAGAAUCUAAGAGAAUUCAACUUUGGUUUGGAUUGAUAACUACAUACCUAAAUAGGUUGAGGUUGACCACUAUUUUGCUUAACACCUCCCUUGCAAGCAAAACAAGAUUUCAUAUAUUGUGAGCUUGGAUCAUAGAUGAUGAAGUCGCAAUGAGGAUAGACCUUUUGUAAAAAUAUCAACCAUUUGAUCUUUUAUGGGCACAUUAUGAAUCUCAAGGUCAUAUUGCAUCUCUUCCUCUCUAAAAAAGUCAUUGUCAAUUUCUAUAUACAUUGUGCAAGCAUGAAAGACAUCAGAGAAUGACAAUAGAUAAAACUAAAGUUCUAAUGAAUUUGAAUCAAGAUAGUUUGGUAAUUGAUUUAUAAUAGCAAAGAAACAAGUAUAAAAUGAAAAACACCCGGAUGGAUUUUUUUUUUUUUAAUCCUUAUUUUCUAAGGAAAUAAUGGGGAAAAUAUAUUUUAUUUUUGGAUCUUUAUAAAAUUAAAUAAACAAAUCUUAAUCUAGAUGGAGACCUUCCAAAGAUUUUUUUUUUAAUUGUUUAAAACCAAUUAAUGAACAUAAAAUAGUAAUCUAAGGGUUAGAAAAUUACCUGAAAAAAACUGAUCUUUGAAUCCGAAGGUCUUAAACCUUCAACCCUAUGUUCGGUGAUUUCUUUUACCUCUAUGUAAAAAUGGUUUUUGUACAAUGAAGUAAGGGAAUCUAAUUUAUACAUUCUAAUUGCAUUGUAUGUAAGAAAUUUUGACAUGUUGCCAAUAAGUGCUUCAAAGAACUCUUUGAAAAUGUCGAACUUAUGUAAAUAGGCUAGUGAGUGAGUUUAAGUACAUUAGAAAUCAUAUUUGAAUAUCAAGAGCGGUUGUAGGUUUCAUACUAGGGCCAUGAAAGGAAGCAAUCCUACUAACACUCUCCCUAAAACUACACAAAUUUGGGAUAAGAAAGAAGACCUAAUUAUACCUAAAGGUUCAUUCAUUCAUUAAGAAAUCUUUUGGAGUUUCCUCUUCUAAUUAGCCUAUUUUGUUUCAUAGCUUAGAGUCUAGUAUUAGUGUUUCAUUCUUUAUCCUUAGUAUUAUAUCUUUUUUGGAGUCUCUUACUCUUUGUUUUAUCUUUUAUUUUUUUAUUUAGGACUUCCUUGUUAAAUACUCUUUGUUUAGUCUAGGUCUAGGAUCUAGGGGGGAGUGUCUUACUCUUUAAUGUAUGAUUUAUAUCUUGUAUCAAAGUUGUAUCUCUUUUAAAUUUUAGGGUAUGAUAUUUGGGGGAUGGGAUAUUGGUUUGGGGCCUAAGGUUUAAAAUCAUACCCUUUGAAAGUUCAAUACUUUUUUUGAAUUAUUAUUUUUUAUUUGUUUUUCAGAAUUUCAUGGAAUUAGGGUAUAUGAACAUGAUUAGAAAUAUUAGAAUUGAUUGAGACAAUAAUCUUUGAGAGUGAGGAUUUAUUUAAAUACUUCAUUAUGUGAUUUAAAUGUUUUCUAAAUUCUAAAGUUAUGAGAAUAUAUUUCUUGUCACUUUUAAAAGGAAUUUGAAUCUAAUUAUUUCUUCUUCUUCUUUAUUUUUGUGUAAAACAGUCAUGCAUUCGAUGAAACGGUUUUUUGAGAGGAAGUCUCCAGAACGGCCAGGGAGAUUUCUAGAGAGAUCGGGAAGGUUGUGAGAAGAGAGAGAGUUCUAGAGAGAUCAGGAAGGUUGAGAGAAGAGAGACAGAGAUCAUACCAGAGAGAAUAACGAGGGCCAUCUGAGAAGCUUCGGAAGGUGAGAGAGGAGAGUUUUCCACGGAUACAGAGAAAUUUUCUGGAUUUCUUCUCCCUGUGGAGAGCUUGCUGGUGCAUCUUCGAAGUUCGUUACUGCCAGAAUAGCUCGCCACUGUGGAGAGCUUGCUGAUCGUCGAUCAUACACCUCCAUUGGCAAACUUGAAUCAGACUAGCUAAGUAUCACUGGUCAUUUUGGGACUUCUCCAGAAUUUUCAUCAUCACCCUCUUCAUCUCAAGAUCGAUUUUAUGCGCGUCAGAUUUUCUCCAUGUCCAUAAUCAACGUACAAGUUAGUUAUGCUUGAUUCUUUUAGUUUGAAAUCAAUAUGCGAAUGUCUUGUGCCAUGUAAUCAGAGAUUUGCCAUAAAGUUCUUUAAAGAUUCAAGUUCCAAAUGAAAGAAUUAAAAAUCAGUGUAGUUGAUCAUGCAAUGUGCUUAGCUAGCUUUGAAGAAUCAUUAUCGAUGGUCUUUGAUUUGGAGUUUUUAAGAUAUAUAUGGAUUAAAUCAAUAUAGCCAGUUGUGAUCUGAUAAUUGUUUGUGUUCUCUUGUUUAUUUAAAGUAGAAAGAAAUAUAAUGAAAGCCAAGAUGCAGUAGCUGUUCAUUUCAUUUUUAUCAUCAUUCUAAUUUAUGGAAAAUGCAUGUUAGAAAUCAACAUAAAUGAAAUAUAUUGGUUGGAUUUUUAUAAGAAAAUGCAUGUUAGAAUGUAAAAGAAAUGAGGUGUAGAGAUUGAUUUUUAUGGAAAUAGAUGUUGGAUGUCAAAUUAAAAAAUGAGAUACCAUGACUUUAUAUAUAUAUAUUGAAAAUCAAUAGAAAAUAGAAUAGAGAAAUUGAAUUUCUUUAAUACAAAUGCAUGCUAAUGCUAAUGAAGCAUGAUCCAUUGAGUGAAAACUAGAAAUUCCAAUUAUCUUAUUGUUAAUGCUUACAUGAAAUUUGAAUUAAUAAUAUGAAGAUUAUUAAGAAAAAUAGUGUUUUAUUCAUAUAAUGGUGGAACAAAUAUUUUAUUUUUGGUUUGAACUUCAAUAUGAUGUAAAUAAAUUAAUUUUAUCACUAUUUUUAUUUAGGCCUUUAUUCAUUUCAUGAUUUUUGAAUACUUGUCCGUUUAAGUUGGGUGUGGACCAAUUGGGCCACACAUGAGUGUUGUUAAAAUCUGAAAUUUAGGAAGUUAAUGAUUAAAUAUGGAUUGUUUGAUGAAUUAUGACUGAGAUAUAGUUAAUUUUUUUUCUCCAAAAUUUCUUUUCAUCUAAGUAAGCCAUUGGAUAAUCACGUGACAAUUGGCUUUGAAUAGAUUCUCUUUAUUUUGAUUCAUGUAAAUUUGGGUUAUCUUAAUUUCCUAAAAUAAUCCACACAUGUACACUUACAAUUUUUUUUGGUAAUCCAAAUUCAUAAAUUUUAAAAUAUACAUAAACCGAUUUUUUAUUUUUUUUAAAAAAAAUUGAUUUUAUACCUCGUUCAUAACAAAACCAAUCUUAGUCUAUUUUAUAAUGAAUUAUUUUUAUAUUCAAAGCCCAUCUUAGUCUCUUUUAAGCAUAAAAUUUCCCUUUUUUUUUUCGGUAUACAACUUGGAAAGGUUUUAAAAAUGAAUUUUGGUCUUAAAUACACGCGAAUUAAAAUUCAUAGUUCCAACUAAUAGAUUCUUUAUGAAUAGAUUCACGUAGAUUAAAUGGGAUUCAAUAAAUAACUACAUAAAAAAAUUCAAAAAUAAAAAUUUCUAUUGAGACUAUUGACAGCCCACGGCAUAUUUGAACUCGUUAAUUAUAAUCCGGAAUUUAUAAACUCUUUAAAAAUUUUAUAAUUAUUCCAUGAUAUUCUAGACUCUUUAUACUUAAUUUUAGAAUUUUAUUUUUUCAAAAAUGAUUUCUCGAUUAAAAGAUAUAAAUCGUUCUUUUAGAAGGUUCAGAUUUCACUCUGUUUUUUAUACUCACUUUUGCUUUGCAAAAUUAAAUUAUUAAAUGAUCUCACUAAAAUCAUUGAAAUUUUUUAUCCUAAUUUAGACUUCCCAAACUCAGCGUUUGACAAUAAAAUAUUAAUAAAUAAUUACUGAAAAGAGAGAUAUGAGUUUUUAUUCUCACGCCCACUGCACAAGCAUUUUAUGGAGCUGAAAGGUGUUUACUUGUUUUUAAAUAUGUUAUAAAUAUAAUAUUGCCUUGUGAUUAUUUUUCAGUAAAAAUAGACAUAUUAAGCUAGUUUUAAUAAUUUUUGCAUGAUUUUAGAACAUCUCCAACUUAAUUAAAAAAAUUAGAUGUGAAAUACUUUAGCAAGAUGUCCUAUUUCGAACCUAUUGAUAUCAUUAUGAAAUCUGGUAUUAAAUGAAAGCUAGUUGAUUAAUUUCAUCACUUGGAUGAUAAACUAGACACAUAUAAUAUAUUCUCUGAAAAUUUUCGUAAUGAAAUUCAACUUCUAGAUAUUUGUUUUAGAUUUAUUAUAUAGGAUCUCCUGUUUUAACCGUUUGCUAAUUUUUUAUUUUUUAUUUUAUUUUUGUAAAGAAACCCACUAGUGAAUAAAUUUUACAUUGAUUAUACAUAAGUUUAGUUUGUAAUUCCUUUUUAAAUUCAUUACUAUUAUUUAUGAAUUAAUUCCAUCUCUAUAAAAAAUCUUUAAGAUGCUGAACCAAGUACGCAAACCUUUUCUUUACAAUUUAUUCAGAUUAGAGCUUGUGAUUGGAUGUUAUCUAUUAGUGUUUGUUGAUUAUGUUGAGAUUGUGUGACAUUAGACAUGAUUUGUUAUGGAGUAUGUGAUUGCUUAGAGUGUAAUGUGAUGUUAUUGUUUGCUAUUUUAACUUUUGUGUUUUCUGAAAGCGCUUGGAAUGCAAACCAAGUACACCUUUCUCUAUCAAAUUAAUGAAUUAUGUUCAUUUAGUUCAUAGUGUCUGUGAAUCAACCAAUUGAUCUUCACAAUUAUUUCAACUUACUCAAUAGAGACCUAACUUCUAGUGCUUAGAAGGGUGCUAAGUUCUUCACUGUACCUUCCGAAUAAAUAACUUGAUCCCCUGGAUUUAGGCUCAGGUUUUCAAAUACAAGCCUUUUUCAAGAAAUAGGAGUAAUUUUUAUAGGGUUUCUCUUUCUUAUUUUAUUUUCCUUUUAAAAAAAUAAAAUGAAAAUAAGUGGUGAAUCCAUUAUUUAUAAAAUUGUUUUUUCACAAACAAGAAGCGAGUCUCGUCAUCAAAUGAGAAUGCAUGUGAAAAUGUGGGAUCACAUCUCCAAUGAAGAGUAUGAUACAAACUAGAAAAGUCCGCAUGUCAAAAUAAAUGAAAUGAAAUUGCCAAUCAUAAGCUAUAUAAAAUGAGGCCACCCCCUGAAUGAAGGAGUAGUGGGGGUCUCUUCUCCCAUAUGCACCUUUAUUUAGAUUCAAAUUUUCCUUCUUUUUUUUUAAACAAAAUGAGGAAUCUUUUAAAAAAAUUCUAUCUCACAAAACACAAUUCAUCAAUUUUAAUCCAAUGUGCACCUUUCCAUUUUUCAAACACCUUUGUUGCACCCAUUUAGCAUGAGGGGCAUCGAUCAAAACUAAAAUUCGAGGAAGGGAUCAAAUCAAAAAGAAAGAAGAGAAAAAGACAUUUUGUCUUUCUUUCAAUACAAAUAAGAGAACAAAGAAGCCACUCCAAAAUAAAAGUUGGAUAAAGAAGUUCUAAUAAGAACUAGUACUAGACUUCUUCCUCCCUUUCUAGUUUUCCAAUCUCCUUUUAUUUUUGUUUUCACCUGGGCUUUCCAUUCUAUUUUAUAAGGAUUCAAGGAUAUUACUCUAAUAAUUAAUGUAGAAAGGUGAGGCACUUUCCCUAGCAUACGGGAAAGAAAAUCCAUUCCAAAAUAACUAAUAUACCAACAAACUAGUAUCAUUUUUGCCAAAAUGGAAAGAAAUUAUAUUUUUCGAAUUCGCUACCCUUUCUUUCUUGAUUAGCUAUUUAUGAUCAAACUGAUAAAAUAAACUGAGCAAAAGUAAAACCAGAAUAGAGAAACAAUUCCACUCUUUAUUUGUACUAAGACAACCAAUAAAUAGGCAAUACAACCAACUGGCUUGACAAAGCCAUAACAACAAAGGCAUAAAAAUAGGACCAUGAAACCAUGUUUCAAUAAAUCUGCUGCCACCAUCACCAAAAAUCAGGAGAUAAUAAAGAGACUCAAUAAACAAUUUCCUAUAGACCAGGACAACAUAACAGAUAUAAGACUCAACAUAAAACAAUUUAUUAAAGACUUGGUCAAAUGACCCAUUGCACAAAGAUAUUUUAUCACCCUCCCUUAAACUGAUAUCUGCAGAAAUCAGUUUAGGAAUCAAUUUGCAAAGCCUUUCCUGAAGCAGCCACAACCUCCUUUGAAGAACAAACUCCAAGCAUACUUCGAAGUUUCAUAAAAACAGCAGGCUUGAGGGGCUUAGUCAAGAUAUCUGCAAUUUGAUCUUCACUUUUGCAAAACACCAAAUCAAUAACUCCAUCUUUACAUAAAUCACGCAAGAAGUGGUACCUCACAUCAAUGUGUUUGCUUCUCCCAUGUAAGACUAGAUUCUUUGAGAGUUUUAUUGCAGAGAGGUUAUCAUAGUAAAUCAUUGUUGGACCUUGCUACUGGUUGUACAAAACUUCAAGUAACCUUCUUAGCCAAAUAGCUUGACAUGAGCUUGAUGCUGCAGCAAUGAACCCAGCUUCCGUAGUUGACAAAGUCACAAUCUGUUGCUUCUUUGAUGACCAAGUAAUAUCUCCAGAAUUCAACAUAAACACUGCUCCAGAAGUGCUCUUUCUAUUAUCAAGAUCUCCAGCAUAAUCACUAUUUGAAAAACCAAUCGAACUUGAUCUUUCACCCCUUUUGUAUAGAAUCCCAAAGUCUACAAUACCUUUCAAAUAGCGAAAAAUUCUUUUUGCAGCCAAAAGAUGAACUUCAGUUGGAUUCUCCAUGUAUCUACUGAUUAAAUUGACUGCGUGCAUAAUGUUUGGUCUUGUAGAUGUCAGAUACAUAAGACUUCCAAUGAUCUGCUUGUAAAGAGUACUAUCCACCCUCUUUCCUGCUCCACUCUUUGAGAGUUUCAGACCAACUUCACUUGGGGUGAUGACUGAAUUACAAUCCUUCAACAUAAACUUGUCCAAAAUCUCUAGAGCAUAUUUCUUUUGAGAAAUGAAAACACCAGCAGAUGAUUGCACUACCUCAAUGCCAAGAAAAUAGUGCAUUAAUCUCAUAUUAGUCAUAUCAAAUUCUUUCAUCAUAGACUUCUUAAAAUCAGCAAGCAUGGUUUUAUUAUUACUAGUAUAAAUGAGAUCAUCAACAUAUAAACACACAAUUAAAAUCUUCUUAUCAACACCAUAUUUAGUGUAAAGAGUGUGCUCAUAUGGACAUUUAAUAAAACCUUCCUCAGUAAAAUAAGCAUCUAUACGACUGUACCAAGCUCUUGGUGCUUGUUUCAGUCCGUAUAAUGCUUUCUUUAACUUAUAUACCUGAUUCUCAUAACCUUGCUUCACAUACCCAGGGGGUUGAUCAAUAUAGACUUCUUCUUCCAACUCUCCAUGCAAAAAUGCUAACUUCACAUCUAACUGAUGGAUAGACCAUGAGUUUUGGGCAGCCAUGGAUAACACCAAGCGAAUAGUGUCAAGCUUUGCUACUGGAGCAAACACCUCUUUGUAAUCCACUCUGAAUUCUUGCUUGUACCCCUUUGCAACAAGCCAAGCUUUGUACUUAUCAACUCCACCAUCUUUGUUCAACUUCAUUUUAUUAACCCAUUUAACACCAAUGGAUUUCUACCCUUUUGGAAGUUCAACUAGUUCCCAACUAUUAUUUUUCUCUAUAGACCCGAUCUCCUCAUUCAUAGCCUUAUGCCACUUUAAAUCCUUGAUAGCUUCUUGGAAUGUAAUGGGAUCACAAUCUGAUAACAAAGCAUAAUGGGCAAUUGUAUCAUAGUUAUCAGAUUGAACUCCAGUUACCUCAAAAUCUUGCAUCCAUGCGGGCCUUUUUCGAACACGGCGAAGUCAUGAUUCAGCAACUACAUUACUCUCUGCUGCUGUUGAUGAAGUUUCAGCGGUUGUUGGAGCAUCAUUUGGUGGACUUUCAGGUAUAGAAACCGUAGGAAUUUGUUGUUGUAGAAGCUGCUGCCUUUCUUCUUCAACAUCAUUGUCAAAAAUGACUUGAGUAGGCUGCUGCCCAUUCCAAUUCCAGGUGCUCUCCUCAUCAAAAAUAACAUCUCUACUGGUCACAAUCUUCUUCGUGAGUGGAUUGAACAAUUUAUAUGCUUUGGAUGCUUCACUUACGCCAAGAAAAACACAUUUUUCACCUUUAUCAUCAAGUUUAUUCCUUUUCUCGUCUGUGAUAUGUGCAUAGGCGAUGCAACAGAAAAUUUUGAAGUGAUCUACAGCUGGUUUCCAUCCACUCCAAGCCUUCUCCGGUGUCAUGUUUUGAACAGAAAAUGUAGGACUUCUGUUCAACACAUGGAUACUCCAAUUCACUACCUCCGGCCAAAAACUCUUUGGAAUUUUGCCCCUUGCAAGCAAGCUCCUCACCAUGUUGAGGAUGGUUCUAUUUUUUUUCUCCGAUACACCAUUCUGUUGCGGUGUAUAAGCAGCUGUGAGUUCUCUUCGUAUGCCUUGAUCAUCACAAAAAUGUUCAACUUCAUUUGAACAAUAUUCUCCACCACGAUCAGUACGGAGAAUUUUGAUGGAUCUCCCUGUUUCUUUUUCAACGCGUGCCUUGAAGCUUUUAAAUGCACUAAAAGCUUCUGAUUUUUCCUGCAAAAAAGAAACCCACGUUUUUCGACUAUAAUCAUCAAUAAAGAUAAUUAGAUAUUUUUUACCCCCAUUAGAAGUUGGAUUAAUUGGACCGCAAAUGUCAGAGUGAACCAGUUCCAAGACAUUCUUUGCUCUUCGCGACUUUCCUUGAGGGAAUUGAGAACGAUGUUGUUUUCCAACAACACAUUCUUCACAAACUUGAGAAGGAAUGGAAAUUUGAGGAAGACCUGUCACCAUAUGUUUCUGUUGGAGAGUUUUUAAUCCACCAAAAUUCAAAUGGCCAUAGCGUAAAUGCCAAAGCCAUGAAAGAUCUUUCACUUCAGCCAUUAAGAAAGACUGGACACUAUCAAUCUUCAAUGGAAACAACUUGUUUGAAGCCAUUUGAACAACAACAAUAGCACCUCUCGAAGGAUCAUAUAUCUCACAAGCACCUUUCUGAAUUGUUAUUAUGUAACCCUUUUCUUGCAAUUGACCAACACUUAACAAAUUACUUUUCAAGUCUGGUACAUAAAAAACAUUGGAAAUUGUUUCUACAAAACCAUUCUUGGUUCUAAUAUUAAUAUCACCCUUUCCCAUUACAUUCACAGUAGAACAAUCACCAAAGCUCACUGUAGAACGAAAACCUUCAUUUAGAAAACAAAAAGAAGACUUACUACCACACAUGUGGUUGCUGCAGCUUGUGUCCACAUACCACACUUCUGCUUGAGGUUGUUCAUUGACUUGAGCAGCCAUCAACAAGGUUUCAACUUCUUUCUUUUCUGCAUAAUUAGAUUUCUCUCAUUUUUCUUUGUCGUUAGGUAAUUUAGUAUAACAUUCAGAACGGUAAUGGCCAAAUUUAUGACAUCUAAAACACUCUACCUUGGAUUUGUCAAAUUGUUGAUUUCGGCCUCUGCCUCUAUUUUGGAAAUCUUGUUGAUCUUCAUCAACUCUAAAAUUGCCUCAUCCACCUCUUCCUUUACCUCCAUCUCUAACUCCUCGAACUCCUCUUCCUUUGCCUCUACCUCGAUCUGUUGAUCUAUUCAUUGUCAAAGCAUUGUUGUUAGUUGAAGCCUUUAAAGCUUGCUCCUCCUUGUCCUCCUGGAUGAUUUUCUGUUCAUGAACUAACAAAGAUCCUUGCAACUCGUCAAUUGAUAGUUCAUCAAGGUCUUUCCAUUCCUCAAUAGAACAAACAACAUAGUUAAAUUUUGGCGUCAUUGACCGAAGAAUUUUCUCAAUAACAGUCACGUCCUCCAUCUUCUCGCCAUGAAUUCGCAUUUUGUUGAUGAUUGCCAUUGUUCUUGAGAAGUAAUCAGAAACUGACUCCCCCGGCUUCAUUCGAAGCGUUUCGAACUUAGAUCGAAGUGCUUGAAGCUGCUGCCUCUUGGUCCUCGUUGAUCCCUGGUACUUCUUCUUCAUGGAGUCCCAAAUCUGUUGGGAGGUGUCCUUGCACAAAAUAGUUUCCAAGAUUGAGCGAUCAAUAGCUUGGAACAAAUAAUUCUUUGCCUUUAGAUCUUUUAAUAUCUGUCCUUCAAUCUCUGUUUUCUGCGCAUCCGUCAUUGGUGAGUUCGUUGCUGGUUCUGCUAUCCCUCCAGAGACUACUUGCCAGUACUCUUUAGAUCGUAAGAAAUUCUCCAUCAACAUGCUCUAAUAUUCAUAGUGACCAUCAAAACGUGGAAUUGCAGGUUGCACAAAAUUUUCAGAGGCCAUUGUUUUUUUUUCUACUGCUGAAAGAAAAUAAACAAAGCUGCUGCUAUAUGACUCUCUGUCUCACAAACUCUCUCUCUCUGUUUUGGCACUCUCAAUUCUCACUUUCUGGUUUUAACCCACUUUUCUAACGUUAACCGGGCUCUGAUACCACUGAUAAAAUAAACUGAGCAAAAGUAAAACCAGAAUAGAGAAACAAUUCCACUCUUUAUUUGUACUGAGACAACCAAUAAAUAGGCAAUACAAUCAACUGGCUUGACAAAGCCAUAACAACAAAGGCAUAAAAAUAGGACCAUGAAACCAUGUUUCAAUAAAUCUGCUGCCACCAUCACCAAAAAUCAGGAGAUAAUAAAGAGACUCAAUAAACAAUUUCCUAUAGACCAGGACAACAUAACAGAUAUAAGACUCAACAUAAAACAAUUUAUUAAAGACUUGGUCAAAUGACCCAUUGCACGAAGAUAUUUUAUCACAAACGAAUCUAAGUUCUGGAAUUUGAAGAAUUUAAAUUUUCCUCACAGAGAAUUGUCAAAGAACUGAAUUUGAACCAAUAAUAAUUAUUUAAAUGAGAAUCUCUAGAAAAUCCAAGUGGGCACCAUCACCAUUGAAUAACGGGCCUUUAGUGUUCUUCUAUAGAAAGGGAUGUGGGUUUUGGAUCUUAAUAUGAAAAGAAGGGUCAAGUGUUUUGUAUAUUGCCCUACUUGGUAUGAGUGUGGCUAUGUUGGGCUUGUUUUGGAGCUUGAAGUUUUAGUUUGACUUUUAUUAAAUCUCCCUUUUUAAAAAUAGAUUGUAUUGGCUUUUCUCAUUGCUGUUGUCACAUUCCUCGGUCCUUAUUUUAAUAUUUUUUAUAUGAAAUGCAAAAUAUUUGAGUACUUUUUGGGUGGUUGCUUAUAAUAAUUUAAAAGAGGUUGAGUAUAUAACAUUUGGGGAAAUAUGUUUCUACUAUCAUUUAUUAAAGUCGGUAGCGUAUACCAUUUGUAAAGAAAUUAAGAUUUGGUAACUAUAUUUCUUCUAUCAUUUGUUAAGGUGUGGGUAAAUAUUUGUCGAUAAUAUUUCUAAAGAAGUUGAGAUUUGGUUCAUUUUUUUUCAAAAAUUAACUUGAGAAAAUAUAUAUAUAUGAGAACAUGUUUUUGUGUUUAUUCUUUCAAAAAUAGAUUUUUGAAAAUUAUUUGGAAAAUAGGGUAUUUUUGAUAAAAAGUUUCAAUUGUUGUUAUUUGUUUUCAUUUGUUUUCUGUGCUCGUUUAAAAAAUAAUAUAUAAAUAAAAAGAAUGAUUGAAAAUAAAGUAGUAUAUAUAAAAAAAAUUGCUUUUUUUAUUGUAGAGAAUUUGACAAACAUGCUUUUAAUGUUAGAAAAUUAUUUUUUACACUAUUACAAAACAUAGUUGUCAAACAAGGAAUUCUAUGUCACUUUCCUUUCAUCUCUAGAUUUUGUCAAGGUAAUCAAAUUACUAAUUAUGAUUACAAACUCCUUUUCUAUUUAUUAGAUCUAUAAAUUCAUUGUUUUAGUUAGAAUUCAAUAAAAGCUUAACUAAAAAUUUGAACAAAUAAUAAAAUUGUUGUUUAGAUUAUUUAUUUAUUUAUUUUUGAGAAUUUUGUUAACUCAUCACUGUUACUUAAUUGGAAUCAACAAGAAGGAUUUUUUUAAUACUAUUUUUUUUGUUCUUUUGAGAAUUUGGUUCAAUAAAGGGUUUCAUUUAAAAAAAAAAAUUCAAUGUGUUGCAUGCAUUGAAUACUAGUCAUUAGGAUAUUUAAUUGAGAAAUGAGUGAUAUUGAUUGAUUUGUAAACCCUAAGAUUUAUAUAAUCAUUAUUUUUUUUUUAUAAAAUUAUCAAAGGAAAGAUUAUUAGGGUAUUAAUGCAUUACUCCAUUAAUUUGGUUUAGGACUUUGUAUAUUUUUUGUGAUUUACACUCCUUUCAACAUUCAAGUUUUCUACAUGAUUAACUUGGGAUUAAACAAAUAAGUAUAACCGAAUUGAUUGAUAAAAAUGACACAAAAGACAUAAGUAUUUAUAUGGAAAUUGAAAAUGAAUUUAAAUUUAAAAUUUAAAAUGGAAAAUCUUUCAAAUCUCUUUUAAUUUAAAAAAAAAUAUUUUUAAAGUUUAAAAAUGAAAAUCUUUCUUUCCUAGCCUUUUUUUUUUUGGUAAAAUAUCAUUUGUAAAUUGAACCAAGCCCACUAGGAUUUCUAUAAUAUAAAUCUCUUAGGAGAAUUUUCAAAGAUCAUCCCCUAAGCUUAAAGUCAUUAUUCUUUGUGUUUAAUAAAAAACUUUCAAAGCAUUUUAAGCUUGUUAAGUGAGUUUGUGAUAGAAGAUCGCAUCCUCUCAAGGUGUUGAAGAAUCCUCCAAGGAGAAUGGUACUUUUGCACCAUAGACGUGAGAUGAGGCGGAAGUUUGGGAUAUAAAUUUUUGGGAAUAAUAAUUGUUAAAUAACAGUAUGUACUUAUCCUUGAAAUUUAGGGGAUAAAGUUAGUGAAUUAUUUUUAUGUCACUUUAGAUUCAUUUUACCUAUUUCAACUUUUUUAUAUAAUGAUUAAAUAAUUUGAAAAUAUAUAAAUUUUUAAUAAAUUUUAAUUAUAAUUCAUUUUCUUUCAUACUUUAAUUUUCAUUGAGAAUAUUUUCCUUUUUCUUUUUUUAGCACCUUCCUGAUAUCAAACUUUGCAUAAAAAAAUCUCUUAGCUAGACAAGGUUUUUAUAGCCUUUGGAAAUGGAUAUCCAUUCGACAAGAGUUGAAUAUAGCAUUCUGAAAUCUUUAGUAAGGUUUUCAUGUGGUUCUUUUAAUAUAUAUAUAUAUAUGUACAACAAUCUCAUUAUUUUUCACACAUGUUUUAGGGCAAUUUAUGAAUACAGCCCCUUGAUUCCUUUAUAUAUGGUUAACAUGACGUUGCUCUACAACAUUGCUCUUCGUUUUCAACUAUCAUGACAUUGAUGAUAUAAAUGAUGAUCUCUAUAACGUUGCUCUUUGUUUUCAACUACUGAGAUAACAAGGGUACAAUAUUUCAUGCAUAAGCCUCAUGAAUAUCAAGUAUCAUUUAGCAAAGCUCACAUAUAACACUCUAUGUUUGUGUGAUAAUUGCAGAUGUAUUCAACAUAGCGUCACUGUCUCCAUUAACACCAUAGAGGAUACCAAUUGGUGAUGUAUUUGGAAGUGACACCAAAGUAGAUAAAUGGUGAUGCAUUCGGAAGUGACACCACAUAUUUCUAGUGAUGAUAGGGUGUCGUAUUAAAUGCAUCAUCUUUGAGUUAUGAUGUCACAUUAAAUGCAUCACCUUUGAGUUAUGGUGUCACAUCAUUGUAAAUUAUUUGUGGAAGAUAUGAUUGCUUUUAGUUGUAGAUUUUUGUAAUGCUUAUGAAUUAAUAAGUAAGAUUAACAUGUGUAUAUUUUGUCUAUAAAUAUAACAAUCAUAUUACAUAAAAAACAACACUAAACAAAACAAAACAAAAAGAAAAAGAAAGGGAAUUUUGUUGAAGAAAUUGGUAUGAAUUCAAGUCAUUUUGAUAUGAGAAAUUUUAAAUAUUAACCUGUGUAUAUGAAUUAAUAAGGAACUGUCUUCUAAGGCUAAUAUAAUAGAAGAAAAACCUAAACCCAAAAACAAUAGGUUCAGAAAACAAAACUCUAGGACCAAGCCCAAUGCAUCAAACAAGGUCCAGAACCCAACUACUAAAAAAUGGGGUAAUUGCUUUGUCUAUGGCAAGUUUGGACACCAUACAACUCAAUGUCCCCAUAGAAAGAGAACUAAGAAGUCCAAUUCAAAGGCAAAUUUGGCAGAGACAGAGGUGAUCACAAUAGUAAUCUCCUUUAAGGUGAGCAUGGUCACCGAUAUGAAGGAUUGGGUGGUAGACUCUAGGGCUACCAGGCACAUCUAUGGGAAUAAAAGUGGAUUUACUUCCUAUAUCAAUGUAAAGAAAGGAGAGGAACAAGUGUCCAUGGGUAAUUCUAGGUCUACUCCAAUGAUUGGCAAAUGGAAAAUUCUCCUCACGGUAACCUCUGGAAAAGUGCUCGCCUUUAGUAAUGUUCUUCAUGUGCUAGAUAUCCACUAGAACUUGGUGUCAAUAUCUCUUCUUGGGAAAACAGGAGUGAGGAUCUUGUUUAACUUUGAUAAAAUAGUUGUAACCAAGAAUGAUGCAUUCGUGGGGAAGGGCUAUUGUAAUCAGGGUUUAUUGAAGAAAAUGGUUGAAUUGAGUUUAAUCUUUAAGCUAUCCUUAGAAAACCAUGGAAAAUGUGAAUCAUGUGUAGAAUAAAAAACCACAAAGAAAUCCUACAAGUUAGUAGAAAGAGAAUCAGAUCUACUAAGUUUAAUACAUAGUGACUUAGGAUACCUAAAAAAUACAAUGAUUAGAGGUGGUAAAUGAUUCUACAUAACUUUCAUAGAUGACUACUCAAGGUAUACAAGGGUAUAUCUUUUGAGAAGCAAAGAUGAAGCAAGAGGUGCAUUCAUCAAGUACAACAAUGAAGCGAAAAAAUAACUAAGUAAGAAAAUUAAAAGGAUUAGAACUGAUAGGGGAGGAGAGUAUGAAUCCAACCCCUUAAAUUCUUUUUGUGAAGAUCAUGGGAUCAUUCAUGAAACUACUCCUUAUUCCCCUAAGUCUAAUGGAGCAGUAGAAAGGAAAAAUAGGACCUUAAAAGAAAUGAUGAAUGCAAUGUUGGUAAGUUCAGGAGCAUCCUUGAACUUGUGGGGGGAAACUAUCCUCUUCGUUUGUCAUAUUCAAAAUAGAACACCUUACAAGAGAACUGGUAAAACCCCUUAUGAGUUAUGGAAGGGUUAUGCACCUAAUAUAGCAUAUUUGAAAGUAUGGGGGUGUUUAGCUAAAGUUCUUUUCCUUGAACCUAAAAAAUGAAAACUAGGUCCUAAAACCUUUCAUGCAAUGUUCAUUGGCUAUGCUGAGAAUAGUGCGGCAUAUAGGUUUCUUGUUACUAAGUCAAAAAAUAGUUUUGUAGAUGUCAAUACCAUAAUAGAAACCAAGAAUGUGAAUUUCUUUGAAAACAUCUUUCUUAUGAAACUAAAUGGUGAACAACAAGUUCAUAAAAGGUUCGAUCCUGCUUCGUUUGUGGGCCGAUCAACCUGAAAUUUUGAGGAGAGGUUCGUGAUUCAUUGAUCUUCAAUCUGAAUGGUGGAGAUUGGAUUUGGAGAUCCAGACAGUCGUCUUUUCGUCCGAGAAUAGAGCCUCUAUUUUGAUGCAUUUUCUAUCCGGACAAUUUUGAUCAUGACCUCUGAUCAAGAUUAAUCCGUGGUUCGAUUGAGCCGAUUUUUGGAGAGUAGGUUCAGAGCUCAUUGAUAUUCAUUUUGAACAGUGGAGAUUGGAUUUGGAGUUCAGAAUAGUUGUAUCUCAAUCCUAGAACAAUGAUGUGUUUGGUGAGAUCUCUCCAUUAUUUUUAUGCAAAGUUGUUGAAAUUGUCAAGAUUAAUUUGUCUUGAGAUAUGGUUGAUGUAUGCCUCUAGUUUUAUCUAGAAAGAAUUGUGUAACCCAUUGAUUAUAUUAGUGGAGUUUUUAAGUGGCCUAAGGGUCCCGUGGUUUUUACUUUUCAUAUUGGAGAAGGUUUUCCACGCUAAAAAUUAUUGGUGUUCAUAUACUUGUUGAUUGGGUGAAUUCUUGUUGCUCUAUUUGAUUGAUUUCUAUUAGGUUCUCACAAAAGGGGAUAAAACCUGGUUGUGCAUUGUUUGUAUUUAUCCCAUUAGCAUGGACAGGAAAAAAUUUUCAUACAUUGGUCCCAAUCCGUGCAUAGACUGAAAUACCUUGUCAAGAUCAUCAAUGGGCCUUUUUAUUGCAACAAAACUAUCACAAAUUGAGUUGAAGGCCUUCAAGUACUCAUCCAAGGAUUGAGUUCCCUUUUUAAGGGUCAUUAACAGAAUCUUCAAAUGGGCUACCUUCUCCACUGUGACAGGAAGAAGAUGUUCAUCAAGAGAAGUUUAGGUGGUGCUUUUUUUUUUACUUAAUUCUAAAUAGAACUUUAAUACUUAAUAAUAUUAAUUAUUAGUUGUUUGUUUUUUUAAUAUUUUCUUUCUAUUAGACAUUAAAAGGUAAAGAAAAAUCAACAUGUUAUUUUUUUCAUUAAGAAAAAACCAAAUAUUUUGGUUUUUUCUAUUCAGUAAAAAUUUUAUAAUAAGUUAUAAAAAAAUAGAAAAAGAAACUCCUCUAAAAGCAAAUUGUUUUCAAUAAAAAGUUAAAAAAAAUUAAAAAAAAAACCACCACUUAGUAUUGAUUCUUUCUUAAUUAUUUACACGAGGGUGUUGAAUUUUGACUAUUUUAAUAUUUUCACAUUCUACUCCAAUAUUGCCAAAAAUUAGGGUAAUAACAUUUCCCAUGAUUUUAAAAAUCGAACCAAACUGGCCGAUCAAUGGCCUGUUCUUGGAUCAAACUAGGGUUGAAUCGUUGGAUUCUUCAAGCACUGAUCAAGCUAAAAUUGUCUAAAAUAUUUUAACAUUUUAACUGCUUUGGGUCUAUUGCUUCUUGCCCAUAAUUAUAAUAGUUUAAAUCUCAUUGGGCUGAUUAUGACCCAUGAACUUCUGUACCUAUUGUUAUAGAGUUGGAAGGGGUAUUUAUACCCAUGGAUGAAAAUAUCAAGAUAUCAUGUAUCAAAGGUUAUGGAAAUGAUAUUUGGUGAAGAAAUAUCAUUCUAGCAAAAUUUUAGAAAAAAUCGCCGAUAUUUCCUAAUAUAUCGGAUGGUCAAUGAGAGUCAAUGACGAUCAAAUGCACUAUAGUGCUUCGCUACAAUGCCUUCUAAAAAAUGCCUAUUUCACCUUACCACUAGGGCAAGUUUACCCCUUGUUAAAUAUAAUGCACUAAACAUAUAUAUAUAUAUAUAUAUAUAUAUAUAUAUAUAUAUUCAAAGUCAUCAUAUAAAGAAAAUAUUAAAAGAAUAUUUUAGAGAGGAAAAUUAAUUAUAAUUAUUUUAUGAUUAAAUGCAAAAUUUUCUUUUAAUUGAUUACCAAAAAUAUAAAAACUAUCAUGAUAAUUUUCUUCAUAGUGUUUUUAAUAUCAUUAAUAGAUUAAUUAAAUAUUAAUUUUAUAUCAUUUAAUACAAUUGAAUUAAAUGGAUCAUAAUUUUAAUAUUAAUAUAUAUUUUAAAAUUAGAAAUAUUAUAAUCAAAUAUCAUAAUAUUAUUAUGAAAUAAUAUUUGAUGUAAUUUAAUAAUAAAUGUGCACUUAUAAAAUUCAUACUUUUAUUAAUGCAUACGAUAUUAUUAUCAAAUAUGAUAAAUCAUAUUAUACAUAUGUCAAAUUCUUUAAUAAAACAACUUUAUACUUUUAAUUAUAUUUUUAUGAAGUUUUUCUUAUAUUUAUAAAAUUUUGAUCAAUUUUAGGUUUAUCGAUAAUUUUUUACAACAUAUCUGUUAAUAUAUUUGUAAAAUCGAAGUAUUGAUAUAUUCAUAAUUACUGAUAUUUUCAUCAUUGUUUAUACUCAUAUUUCCUGCCGCAUAACUAGUGAUCUUUUGAUUGGGAUUCAAAAGUAGAAAAAGUAGAUAAAAAUUUUGCUUUACUAAAGACUCAACCGUUACACCUUAGGUUACCAAAAUAAGAAGUAAACCAUUGGGGUAAAGAAGCAUUUUAAAUUAUUGUUAUUGUAAAACAUUAUAUAUUAAAGAAGUCCUUCUUUAAAAAUUUUAUUAUUUAAAACCCUUAAAUAAUUAUACUUAUUAUAUAAUAAUAUUUAUGAAAAUACUAUGAUAUUUUUAAAUAUUAUAAAAUAAUAAAAUAUACAAUUUUGGACAUAAAACUAAAUAUUAUAAUUUUUCUUUAUAAUAUUAUAUAUGUUUUAUUUAAUAAAUUUUAAAAUAUUAAUAUUUAUCCUUACCAUUUAAUUUGAUAACAUCAAAUAUAAAGAAUGCAUUAUUAUUUUUUUAUUUUAAUUUUUUAUAAAUAAUUUUAAUUUUUAUAAUAUAUAAAUUAUAUAUUUAUUAUAUCAUCGGUUCGACUGCAGUUCAACCACCAGUCCAACCACUAAACUGUGAAUCGGUAAUUUUUUUUGUUCAAGUGAGAACUAGGUCCCAUGUUCUGUUGUGAAGUAGGACAACAAACUCAUCAAACAAUGUUGGAUGCUAUGCUGAGAGUUUGAGCGCUUGAGUAACAAAUAUGGGUUUAGGAAAUUCAAGGGUGGCUUAUGCUAGGAACUCUAGAUUAUUUCGUUAUCAAGUCCUAGAUCUUGUAAGAAUGCAUGUAUCCCUAAAGUUCUCUAGAUCUAAUGCAACAUGCAAAAAGUAAUAAUUUCAAAAACCAUUUUAGAAUAAAAAUCUAGAAUUUGAAUCCAAGUCGAUGAAGAUGUCGUGAGCAUCGUAGAACUUGUCUACCUAAAAGCCUUCCACCCGAUCUCUCUUUCUAUGGAACCUAACAUGAGAGAAGAGUGAGCUUCUCUCUCUCUCUCUCUCUCUCUCUCUCUCUCUCUCUCUCUCUUUCCCCCUCCCCCAUGAGGGUGGCUAGGGUUCAUCUCUUUAGAAUAUAAAAAAUCUUACUAGAAAGAAUGAAACCUUAACCCUUUAAAGGAGUUUAUAUAAGCUUCCCCGUGGGCUUAAUUGACUUAAGUCGAAAUUGGGUUUAGGCCACUUAAUCUAACCCACUUUGGUACUAAUUAAUGCAUUAGCUCUAAGUGACUCUAAUUAAUUAAUAGCACAUUCCAGAAAGUCAAUUUAUAAGAUCUAGUUCAAGCAUACAUUUUUACCAAAACACCCUUAUGUAGACUUAUGAAUUACAAAUGCCCAAAAUACUCUCAAAGCAUUCCACCAUGAAAUAAGAGCUCAAGUAGAGACCAUUGAGACCUAUAGGAAAAUACUAACUCCUUCAAAACCUAAUGUUGAAUUUGACUUUACACUCUACUAAAGAGAGUAAACUACACCCUAAUAUCUUAUGAAAUUACAACUAGCAAAGAUCAAGUCUAUGACCUACUAUUCAUUACAUGUAAACUCUUCAUAAAUUGAUGUCUGUAAUUUAACAAAAUAGUGUUAUUACCUAUCAAGAUUAUCUUUUUAAUCCUUAAAUUAUAGAUCUCACUUCUUAUGUGAUCAACUGACCUACUUUACCUUAAAGGAGUAUUAUCUUUCGCUGUGAAAAUUUAGUGUGUGUUACUUGACUUUUUGGUAGUUCUUAAAGAAUAAUUUCCUCAAAGAACAAAAGAAGCACAUAAAAAAAAAUGCAAUAAAUAAUAAUUGUGGUGGUCUCAAAGUGACCUGGCCAAAAGUGAAAUAAUUGGAGGAUGACAACACGGAACAAGGACUUUUCAAACAGUUAUAUACAAACUUAAUAUAAUAAGGGUUUUUUUAAUGAUUAUUUUGGGAAAUUUUUUUUUAAAAAGGGGAGGAUAUAAUUAUAUAAAAAUAUGUGUAUGCAUAUCAAUACAUGUGUGUAUUUACACGUAUUUUUACAUAUUAAUUUAAUAAAGUAUAAUAAAAAUCAAUUAGUAUGACAAACAAAAUUAAAGUAAUAACAAUCCUAUAAGAAAAACAAAAAAUAAAUAAAUGAACAAAAGUAAGUUUGUGUCAAAAAAAUAUAGUAAAAAAAUAAAAAUCCUUGUGGAAAAACUAAUUGCUAAUAUUUUUUUAUUUCAAAAACAUUUCUAAUAUUAACCUAUACCGGAACCAUUUAAUGAAAAUAAACUUACUUUAAUAAAAAUAUUUUCUUUUAUGUAUCUAUAGACGAGAAAAAAAAAUUGAUAUAUGUCGAAAUUUAGUGGUUAGGGCAGGUCAAUAGAAAAUAUGAUUGGAAAUUUGGUGAUUAGAUCUAAGUGACUCUAAUUAAUUAAUAGCACAUUCCAAAAAGUCAAUUUAUAAUAUCUAGUUAAAGCAUACAUUUUUACCGAAACACCCUUAUGUAGACUUAUGAAUUACAAAUGCCCAAAAUACUCUCAAAGCAUUCCACCAUGAAAUAGGAGCUCAAGUAGAGACCAUUGAGACCUAUAGGAAAAUACUAACUCCUUCAAAAUCUAAUGUUGAAUUUGACUUUACACUCUACUAAAGAUAGUCAACUGCACCCUAAUAUCUUAUGAAAUUACAACGAGCAAAGAUCAAGUCUAUGACCUACUAUUCAUUAUAUGUAAACUCUUCAUAAAUCGAUGUCUGUAAUUUAACAAAAUAAUGUUAUUACCUAUCAAAAUUAUCUUUUUAAUCCUUAAAUUAUAGAUCUCACUUCUUAUGUGAUCAACUGACCUACUUUACCUUAGAGGAGUAUUAUCUUUUGCUGUGAAAAUUUAGUGUGUGUUAAUUGACUUUUUGGUAGUUCUUAAAGAAUAAUUUCCUCAAAGAACAAAAGAAGCACAUAAAAAAAAUGCAAUAAAUAAUAAUUGUGGUGGUCUCAAAGUGACCUGGCCAAAAGUUAAAUAAUUGGAGGAUGACAACAGGGAACAAGGACUUUUCAAACAGUUAUAUACAAACUUAAUAUAAUAAGGGUUUUUUUAAUGAUUAUUUUGGGAAAUUUUUUUUUAAAAAGGGGAGGAUAUAAUUAUAUAAAAAUAUGUGUAUGCAUAUCAAUACAUGUGUAUAUUUACACGUAUUUUUACAUAUUAAUUUAAUAAAGUAUAAUAAAAAUCAAUUAGUAUGACAAACAAAAUUAAAGUAAUAACAAUCCUAUAAGAAAAACAAAAAAUAAAUAAAUGAACAAAAGUAAGUUUGUGUCAAAAAAAUAUAGUAAAAUAAUAAAAAUCCUUGUGGAAAAGCUAAUUGCUAAUAUUUUUUAUUUUAAAAACAUUUCUAAUAUUAACCUAUACUGGAACCAUUUAAUGAAAAUAAACUUACUUUAAUAAAAAUAUUUUAUUUUAUGUAUCUAUAGACGAGAAAAAAAAAUUGAUAUAUGUCGAAAUUUAGUGGUUAGGGCAGGUCAAUAGAAAAUAUGAUUGGAAAUUUGGUGAUUAGCUCUAAGUGACUCUAAUUAAUUAAUAGCACAUUCCAAAAAGUCAAUUUAUAAUAUCUAGUUCAAGCAUACAUUUUUACCAAAACACCCUUAUGUAGACUUAUGAAUUACAAAUGCCCAAAAUACUCUCAAAGCAUUCCACCAUGAAAUAGGAGCUCAAGUAGAGACCAUUGAGACCUAUAGGAAAAUACUAACUCCUUCAAAAUCUAAUGUUGAAUUUGACUUUACACUCUACUAAAGAGAGUCAACUGCACCCUAAUAUCUUAUGAAAUUACAACGAGCAAAGAUCAAGUCUAUGACCUACUAUUCAUUACAUGUAAACUCUUCAUAAAUCGAUGUCUGUAAUUUAACAAGAUAAUGUUAUUACCUAUCAAGAUUAUCUCUUUAAUCCUUAAAUUAUAGAUCUCACUUUUUAUGUGAUCAACUAACAUACUUUACCUUAGAGGAGUAUUAUCUUUCGCUGUGAAAAUUUAGUGGGUGUAAAUUGACUUUUUGGUAGUUCUUAAAGAAUAAUUUCCUCAAAGAACAAAAGAAGCACAUAAAAAAAAUGCAAUAAAAAAUAAUUGUGGUGGUCUCAAAGUGACUUGGCCAAAAGUUAAAUAAUUGGAGGAUGACAACAGGGAACAAGGACUUUUCAAACAGUUAUAUACAAACUUAAUCUAAUAAGGGUUUUUUAAAUGAUUAUUUUGGGAAAAUUUUUUUUAAAAAGGGGAGGAUAUAAUUAUAUAAAAAUAUGUGUAUGCAUAUCAAUACAUGUGUAUAUUUAUACUUAUGUUUACAUAUUAAUUUAAUAAAGUAUAAUAAAAAUCAAUUAGUAUGACAAACAAAAUUAAAGUAAUAACAAUCCUAUAAGAAAAUAAAUAAAUAAAUAAAUGAACAAAAGUAAGUUUGUGUCAAAAAAAUAUAGUAAAUAAUAAAAAUCCUUGUGAAAACUAUUGCUAAUAUUUUUUUUUUAUUUUAAAAACAUUUCUAAUAUUAACCUAUACUGGAACCAUUUAAUGAAAAUAAACUUACUUUAAUAAAAAUAUUUUCUUUUAUGUAUCUAUAGACGAGAAAAAAAAAUUGAUAUAUGUCAAAAUUUGGUGGUUAGGGCAGGUCAAUAGAAAAUAUGAUUGGAAAUUUGGUGAUUAGCUCUAAGUGACUCUAAUUAAUUAAUAGCACAUUCCAGAAAGUCAAUUGAUAAGAUCUAGUUCAAGCAUACAUUUUUACCAAAACACCCUUAUGUAGACUUAUGAAUUACAAAUGCCCAAAAUACUCUCAAAGCAUUCCACCAAGAAAUAGGAGCUCAAGUAGAGACCAUUGAGACCUAUAGGAAAAUACUAACUCCUUCAAAAUUUAAUGUUGAAUUUGACUUUACACUCUACUAAAGAUAGUCAACUGCACCCUAAUAUCUUAUGAAAUUACAACGAGCAAAGAUCAAGUUUAUGACCUACUAUUCAUUGCAUGUAAACUCUUCAUAAAUCGAUGUUUGUAAUUUAACAAGAUAAUGUUAUUACCUAUCAAGAUUAUCUCUUUAAUCCUUAAAUUAUAGAUCUCACUUUUUAUGUGAUCAACUGACAUACUUUACCUUAGAGGAGUAUUAUCUUUCCAUGUGAAAAUUUAGUGGGUGUUAAUUGACUUUUUGGUAGUUCUUAAAGAAUAAUUUCCUCAAAGAACAAAAGAAGCACAUAAAAAAAAUGCAAUAAAUAAUAAUUGUGGUGGUCUCAAAGUGACUUGGCCAAAAGUUAAAUAAUUGGACGAUGACAACAGGGAACAAGGACUUUUCAAACAGUUAUAUACAAACUUAAUAUAAUAAGGGUUUUUUUAAUGAUUAUUUUGGGAAUUUUUUUUUUAAAAAGGGGAGGAUAUAAUUAUAUAAAAAUAUGUGUAUGCAUAUUAAUACAUGUGUAUAUUUAUACGUAUGUUUACAUAUUAAUUUAAUAAAGUAUAAUAAAAAUCAAUUACUAUGACAAACAAAAUUAAAGUAAUAACAAUCCUAUAAAAAAACAAAAAAUAAAUAAAUGAACAAAAGUAAGUUUGUGUCAAAAAAUAAUAGUAAAAUAAUAAAAAUCCUUGUGGAAAAACUAAUUGAUAAUAUUUUUUAUUUUAAAAACAUUUCUAAUAUUAACCUAUACCAGAACCAUUUAAUGAAAAUAAACUUACUUUAAUAAAAAUAUUUUCUUUUAGGUAUCUAUAGAAGAGAAAAAAAAAUUGAUAUAUGUCGAAAUUUGGUGGUUAGGGCAGGUCAAUAGAAAAUAUGAUUGGAAAUUUGGUGAUUAUCUCUAAGUGACUCUAAUUAAUUAAUAGCACAUUCCAGAAAGUCAAUUGAUAAGAUCUAGUUCAAGCAUACAUUUUUACCAAAACACCCUUAUAUAGACUUAUGAAUUACAAAUGCCCAAAAUACUCUCAAAGCAUUCCACCAUGAAAUAGGAGCUCAAGUAGAGACCAUUGAGACCUAUAGGAAAAUACUAACUCCUUCAAAAUCUAAUGUUGAAUUUGACUUUACACUCUACUAAAGAGAGUCAACUACACCCUAAUAUCUUAUGAAAUUACAACGAGCAAAGAUCAAGUCUAUGACCUACUAUUCAUUGCAUGUAAACUCUUCAUAAAUCGAUGUUUGUAAUUUAACAAGAUAAUGUUAUUACCUAUCAAGAUUAUCUCUUUAAUCCUUAAAUUAUAGAUCUCACUUUUUAUGUGAUCAACUGACAUUCUUUACCUUAGAGGAGUAUUAUCUUUCCAUGUGAAAAUUUAGUGGGUGUUAAUUGACUUUUUGGUAGUUCUUAAAGAAUAAUUUCCUCAAAGAACAAAAGAAGCACAUAAAAAAAAUGCAAUAAAUAAUAAUUGUGGUGGUCUCAAAGUGACUUGGCCAAAAGUUAAAUAAUUGGACGAUGACAACAGGGAACAAGGACUUUUCAAACAGUUAUAUACAAACUUAAUAUAAUAAGGGUUUUUUUAAUGAUUAUUUUGGGAAUUUUUUUUUUAAAAAGGGGAGGAUAUAAUUAUAUAAAAAUAUGUGUAUGCAUAUUAAUACAUGUGUAUAUUUAUACGUAUGUUUACAUAUUAAUUUAAUAAAGUAUAAUAAAAAUCAAUUACUAUGACAAAAAAAUUAAAGUAAUAACNNNNNNNNNNNNNNNNNNNNNNNNNNNNNNNNNNNNNNNNNNNNNNNNNNNNNNNNNNNNNNNNNNNNNNNNNNNNNNNNNNNNNNNNNNNNNNNNNNNNUCAAUUGAUAAGAUCUAGUUCAAGCAUACAUUUUUACCAAAACACCCUUAUAUAGACUUAUGAAUUACAAAUGCCCAAAAUACUCUCAAAGCAUUCCACCAUCAAAUAGGAGCUCAAGUAGAGACCAUUGAGACCUAUAGGAAAAUACUAACUCCUUCAAAACCUAAUGUUGAAUUUGACUUUACACUCUACUAAAGAGAGUCAACUGCACCCUAAUAUCUUAUGAAAUUACGACGAGCAAAGAUCAAGUCUAUGACCUACUAUUCAUUGCAUGUAAACUCUUCAUAAAUCGAUGUCUGUAAUUUAACAAGCUAAUGUUAUUACCUAUCAAGAUUAUCUCUUUAAUCCUUAAAUUAUAGAUCUCACUUUUUAUAUGAUCAACUGACAUACUUUACCUUAGAGGAGUAUUAUCUUUCGCUGUGAAAAUUUAGUGGGUGUUAAUUGACUUUUUGGUAGUUCUUAAAGAAUAAUUUCCUCAAAGAACAAAAGCAGUACAUAAAAAAAAUGCAAUAAAAAAUAAUUGUGGUGGUCUCAAAGUGACUUGGCCAAAAGUUAAAUAAUUGGAGGAUGACAACACGGAACAAGGACUUUUCAAACAGUUAUAUACAAACUUAAUAUAAUAAGGGUUUUUUUAAUGAUUAUUUUGGGAAUUUUUUUUUUAAAAAGGGGAGGAUAUAAUUAUAUAAAAAUAUGUGUAUGCAUAUCAAUACAUGUGUGUAUUUAUACGUAUUUUUACAUAUUAAUUUAAUAAAGUAUAAUAAAAAUCAAUUAGUAUGACAAACAAAAUUAAAGUAAUAACAAUCCUAUAAGAAAAACAAAAAAUAAAUAAAUGAACAAAAGUAAGUUUGUGUCAAAAAAAUAUAGUAAAAAAAUAAAAAUCCUUGUGGAAAAACUAAUUGCUUAUAUUUUUUAUUUUAAAAACAUUUCUAAUAUUAACCUAUACCGGAACCAUUUAAUGAAAAUAAACUUACUUUAAUAAAAAUAUUUUAUUUUAUGUAUCUAUAGACGAGAAAAAAAAAUUGAUAUAUGUCGAAAUUUGGUGGUUAGGGCACGUCAAUAGAAAAUGUGAUUGGAAAUUUGGUGAUUAGCUCUUAGUGACUCUAAUUAAUUAAUAGCACAUUCCAGAAAGUUAAUUUAUAAAAUCUAGUUCAAGCAUACAUUUUUACCAAAACACCCUUAUGUAGACUUAUGAAUUACAAAUGCCCAAAAUACUCUCAAAGCAUUCCACCAUGAAAUAGGAGCUCAAGUAGAGACCAUUGAGACCUAUAGGAAAAUACUAACUCCUUUAUAAUCUAAUGUUAAAUUUGACUUGACACUCUAUUAAAGAGAGUCAACUGCACCCUAAUAUCUUAUCAAAUUACAACGAGCAAAGAUCAAGUCUAUGACCUAUUAUUCAUUGCAUGUAGGCUCUUCAUAAAUCGAUGUCUGUAAUUUAGCAAAAUAGUGUUAUUACUUAUCAAGGUUAUCUCUUUAAUUCUUAAAUUAUAGAUCUCACUUUUUAUGUGAUCAACUUACAUACUUUACAUUAGAGGAGCAUUAUCUUUCCAUGUGAAAAAUUAGUGGGUGUUAAUUGACUUUUUGGUAGUUCUUAAAGAAUAAUUUCCUCAGAGAACAAAAGAAGCACAUAAAAAAAAUGCAAUAAAAAAUAAUUGUGGUGGUCUCAAAGUGACUUGGCAAAAAGUUAAAUAAUUGGAGGAUGACAACACGGAACAAGGACUUUUCCUUAAAAAAGUUAUAUACAAACUUAAUAUAAUAAGGGUUUUUUUAAUUAUUAUUUUGAGAAAAAAAUUUUAAAAAAGGGGAGGAUAUAAUUAUAUAAAAAUAUGUGUAUGCAUAUCAAUACAUGUGUAUAUUUAUAUGUAUUUUUACAUAUUAAUUUAAUAAAAUAUAAUAAAAAUCAAUUAGUAUGACAAACAAAAUCAAAGUAAUAACAAUCAUAUAAGAAAAACAAAAAAUAAAUAAAUGAACAAAAGUAAGUUUGUGUAAAAAGAAAAUUGUAAAAUAAUAAAAAUCCCUCUUGGAAAAACUAAUUGCUAAUAUUUUUUAUUUUAAAAACAUUUCUAAUCUUAACCUAUAUCGAAACUAUUUAAUUUUAUUACAUUUCAUGGAAAUAAACUUCCUGUAAUAAAAAUAUUUUCUUUUAGGUAUCUAUAGACGAGAAAAAAAUAUUUGAUAUAUGAUUAGAAAAAUGUUAGUGUCCGAAAAUCGAAAAAUGUCCUUGGAAGAUUGUAUUUAUUUCCCCUGAAUUUUCGGUUUAUCCGGUACGCUCCAUGCCAAACACUGCCCGUGUUUUACGCGGUUUGCAACCCAUACUCCAUGCUCCAUGUCGUAAACAAAUGAGAUUAAAGAUUAGUCUGACAGCUUCAUUGGAAAAAUUCAAAACUAAUGGAAAGAAUGAAUAAAAAAAUGAAAGAAAAUGAAUUGGUCCACAUGUGAAAAGGAGAGAGCUGGUUGUUGAAUGGGAAAUGGAGGAAAAUAGAAGAAAAAUGACAAAGGAAGGAGCCAAGAAAAGGAAGGUGAGUGCUGCCAGCUGUUGGCUCCUCUGAACCAUUCUUCCUUCUAGCCUCUGACCAAAAAAAGAUUGCUUGCCAAGAGAAGAACAGCCAUUUAGCAUUGAAAGACCCUUUCUUUUCUUUCUAAGCCUUCUUGUAACUCCUCCGGAACCAGUCCAAAAAUGGCUUCAUCUGCUACUCCCAAUCCUCAUAGUUAUGAUGUGUUCUUGAGUUUCAGAGGUGAAGACACUCGCAAGAAUUUUACUGAUCAUCUUUAUAACACUUUGGUUGCAUAUGGAAUUCACACCUUCAGAGAUGAUGAAGAACUUUUGAAAGGAGAGGACAUCAAAUCGGGUCUGUCCAGAGCUAUCGAAGGAUCGAAGAUUUUUAUUAUUAUUUUCUCAGAAAACUAUGCUGCCUCCAAGUGGUGUUUAAAUGAACUCGCAAUGAUCAUCGAGUAUACAACGCUAGAGGACAAUAAGGUUAUACCGGUCUUCUACCAUGUCAAGCCUUCAGAUGUGGGACACCAAUCGGAAAGCUUUGAAGUCGCGUUUUUCAACCAUGAGAAAGAUGCAGAUCAAGAGAAGAAGGAGCUAAUAGAGAAGUGGAGGAUUACCUUGAAGAAAGCAGCUAAGCUAUCUGGAUACCAUGUGGAUAAUCAGUAAUAAUUCUUCUCUUUACCUUUGCUUUAUUUCAUUUUUUUUUUUCUCUAAUUACAAACCUGGGUAUAUUUCCUAUGUAAAUUAUUCUUUUCUAUUUAUAUCGAAAGCUUACUUCAUGAUAUCACUAUCUAAUUUUAAACAAAAUAGAUGAAUAUGUUGAAUAAUUCUAAACUAGCCUAAGUUUAAGAUUGGAUUGUGGGCUUACCAAUCCAUUCUCGGAUUCAAUCUACUUAAUAUUGGUUUUAUUACCCAUUUGCCUUUUCUUUUAAUUUGUUUAUAUGGCUAAUUUAUUUUAGGCAAGAUGACGGGGUUUUUUUAUUCAAAAAUAAAAAAUAAAUAAACUAUGAGAUUUUGUCGAUAUAUAACAUUAAAUAUUUUGUCUAACAUGAUUUCGUAUUAACUUCAGAAGAAAUGACCUUCUGUACAUAACAGGAUGCCCGUGCCACCUAGCUAACUAUGCUUUUAUUAUUUAGGGGUACAUAUUUUAUAUAUACCCACAUCAUUAACAAAUAUCUUGUACAGUAUACUUAUAUAAAAAAUGGUUGCAUGUCAUUUUUGUCUUCUGUUCCAAUUCACUAUUAUUAUUAUUAUUAUUAUUAUUAUUAUUAUUAUUAUUAUUAUUAUUAUUAUUAUUCACUUCACUUACAUAUAUUGUACUAGCUUUUACUGCAUAAUAUUGUAGUCUAGUUUACUGAAUACCUCUAGUAAGAUAUUAUUUUGGAGAGAGGAAAUGGAAAAGGUAUCUCUAAAAUUUUAACUAUUUUUAGCAUUAGCUUAGAACUGUAGUUUACUAACUUCAUGCAUGAAGGAUUUUGUCAACUCUUUGGGAUUCCUCACACUUGUCUAUAAUCUAUGAUCUCUAUCAUAUUUAUUUUAUGACACUUUUGAUGGUCACAUCUCUUCCGAGGUUUUCCAAUCUAUCGACAUAAACCUAGUACAAUAUUGUGUAUUAUUCAUAUGUUUAACCCAUUUGUGAUUGUAUAAUGUCAAUGAAUUCCAUCAUGCUCACAUAAUACAAAGAUUCCUAUGCACCUUCCCCUAUUAUUUAGUGUCUCAAUUUUCUUAUUUUUUGUGUCAAAAUUAUUCAUAGAGUUGUUUAAUUAUUCAUAUUUAUUGCACCUUAAUGAUCAUGUUUUGAGUGUAAUGUUCUUUGUAAGCUUGUUUUGUCAUUUUUUUAUUUUAUUUUAUUUUUUAUAUAAAAAGUCUAUUCCAUUGACCUUGGGAUAAGCUAGUCCUAGGCUUAAUCCCCAAAAAGUACUCCUACUAUGCUUAUUUGGGAUUAAUCUACCAACUUUGUUCUCUUAAUGAAAACACUAACAAAUGAGUCUUCAUUUCCUUAAGUUGAUCCCCCACCCAAAAAAAUAAAAAUAAAAAUAAAAAACAAAACAAAACAAAAUUUAACUAUUUUAAUUGUCUCUUAGAAGUAUUUCAACUCUUCUUUAGUUAAAUUCAAGGUUUUUAAUCAACAAGCAAAUCCUUAAAUAAAUUCAAGGUUUUUAAUCAACAAACAAAUCCUUAAAAAAUUGGUAAGUUGAUUAAACAUGGAAACAAGCAAAUAAGAAAUUAUAAUAAACUUUUUUGCAAAAUAAAUGGUGAAAGGAAACCAUAUGAUAGCAUCAAAGAGAGUUUUUAACAAUUUUUCAAUCAAUAAAGAUGUCACUAGAUUGGGGAACUUAGAUGACAAACUAGAAGCUAUCAUAAAGCUUGGCAUAUGAGGAGUUAUCUCUACUUGGAGUCUAGUAACAUUUUAUACCAAUCAACUUCAAUUUGAACUUUUCAACUAAGCCAACAACUAAAGUUCAUAUAUUUCCACUUUUUUCUCACUUGAAUUUAUGCUAGGAAUAAUUAUAAUAUAUUUCAUUUAAUAAAUUGGCCUGAUCUUUUUUUCUAUUACAUUCUACUGUUAAAAGUUUGGUUAGUACUGUGAAUGACACCAACGUCACCAAUUUCCUUUAUAUUGAUUAUAUUUGUAACUAAUUCCAAUCUUAUGUACUUAAUGAUUGACAGACAUGAAGCAGAGGUUAUUCAAAAGAUUCGUGAAGUUAUCAUUACAAGAUUGAAUCGUAAGCCUUUAUAUGUGGGUGACAACAUAGUUGGUAUGGACUUUCAUUUGAAGCAAUUAAAGUCGUUGGUAAAAACCGAGUUGGAUGAUGUUCAUAUGGUUGGUAUAUAUGGAAUUGGUGGAAUUGGUAAAACUACCAUCGCAAUGGCUUUUUAUAAUGAUAUCUCAUCCCGAUUUGAUGGUAGUAGUUUUCUUAGAGGUGUUGGAGAGAAAUCCAAAGGUGGUUUACUUGAAUUACAAAAGAAACUUUUUAAAGAUAUCUUAAAGUGUGAAAGUACAGAUUUCGAUGAUACUAGUGAAGGAAUCAAUGGGAUAAAGAAAAGACUUUGCUCAAAAAGAGUCCUUAUUGUUCUCGAUGACGUGGAAGAAUUAGAGCAAUUGGAAAACUUAGCUGGAAAAAAUGGUUGGUAUGGGGCAAAAAGUACAAUCAUUAUAACAACUAAAGAUACAAGUUUGUUGAGCCAACAUGGAGUGAACAUACUUUAUGAGGUAAAGGAGUUGAAUCAUAAAGAAGCCAUUGAUCUUUUUAAUUGGUGGGCCUUCAAACAAAAUAUUCCCAAGCCUAAAGAAGAUUUUGAAAGCCUUUCACAUUGUGUAGUAGGAUAUGCCAAAGGUCUUCCAAUAGCACUUAAAGUUUUAGGUGGCUUUCUUUUUGGUAAGAAAAUAGAUGAAUGGAAAAGCGCAUUGCAUAAACUAGAAAAAAUACCACACAUGAAAGUCCAAAGUGUUCUUAAAGUAAGUUAUGAGAGAUUAGACGAUACAGAAAAGGAGAUAUUCUUGGAUAUUGCAUGUUUUUUCAAGGGAAAAGACAAAGAUCUUGUUUCAAGAAUAUUAGGAAGGUAUGCAGAUAUUGGAAUAAAAGUUCUUCAUGAGAGAUGUCUCAUUACAAUUUCUCAAAAUAAGUUAGAUAUGCAUGAUUUAUUGCAACAAAUGGGCCAAGAAAUUGUUCGUCAAGAAUGUCUUAAAGAGCCUGGAAAAAGGAGUAGACUUUGGGAUUCCAAUGAUGUUGAUAGUAUGUUAACAAGAAAUACGGUAAGAGCCAAAUGUCAUUUAUUGAAGAAGUUAUAUAUCUAUAUAAUUUAAUUAAUUUUUAUGUAUCUUAUUUUUGGCUUAUUCUUGACUUUUAUCUUUUUAGGGGACUGAAGCAAUUGAAGGACUAUUUGUAGAAAUUCCUACAUCAAACAAGAUGCAAUUUUCUACAAAUUCUUUCACAAAGAUGAACAGACUUAGAUUGUUCAUAGUCUAUAAUAAACGGUAUUGGAAUUGUUUUAAGGGUGACUUUGAAUUUCCUUCUUCUCAACUAAGAUACCUCAAUUUUUAUGGAUGCUCUUUAGAAUCUUUACCAACAAAUUUUAAUGGAAGGAAUCUUGUUGAACUUGAUUUAGUACGUAGCGGCAUAAAGAAACUUUGGAAAGGGGAUGAGGUACUUUUAGAAGUGUUGUUUAGUUAAUAAUUUUUAUAUUAAUUUAAAAGUUUAUCAAAAGUUAUCUACUAACACAUUUUAUUUUGUUCUAGAUUUUUAACAGCUUGAAAGUCAUCAACCUUGGUUAUUCAAAGUAUCUUGUUGAAAUCCCAGACUUUUCAAGUGUGCCAAAUUUGGAGAUCCUGAAUCUAGAAGGUUGUAUAAAUUUACUUAAAAGGUUCAUCCACUACUAUUAUUAUUAGAGUUAUUAACUAACUUUUUUAUUGAAUAUAAUAGGGUGCACAAGCCUCGAGAGUUUCCCAAAAAUCAAGGAAAAUAUGAGUAAGCUAAGAGAGAUUAAUUUAAGUGGAACAGCUAUAAUAGAAGUACCAUCAUCAAUUGAGCAUCUAAAUGGGCUUGAAUACUUCAAUUUAAGUGGAUGCUUCAACCUCGUAAGUCUUCCGAGGAGUAUUUGUAAUUUGAGUUCUCUUCAAACUCUCUAUCUGGAUAGCUGUUCAAAACUAAAGGGUUUUCCAGAAAUGAAGGACAAUAUGGGGAAUCUAGAAAGGCUUAAUUUGAGAUUUACAGCUAUAGAAGAGCUUUCAUCAUCAGUUGGACAUCUAAAGGCUCUUAAACACCUAGAUUUGUCAUUUUGUAAAAACCUUGUGAAUCUUCCAGAGAGCAUUUUCAAUAUCAGCUCUCUUGAAACUCUCAAUGGGAGUAUGUGUUUAAAAAUAAAGGACUUUCCAGAGAUCAAGAACAAUAUGGGAAAUCUAGAAAGGCUUGAUUUGAGUUUCACAGCUAUAGAAGAGCUUCCAUAUUCAAUUGGAUAUCUAAAGGCUCUUAAAGACCUAGAUUUAUCAUAUUGUCACAACCUUGUGAAUCUUCCAGAGAGCAUUUGCAAUUUGAGCUCUCUUGAAAAGCUUAGAGUCCGAAACUGUCCAAAACUCCAGAGAUUGGAGGUGAACCUAGAGGAUGGUUCACACAUCUUAAGAUCAUUAAAUACAACUUGUUGCAUAAUAAAGCAAGGUGUAAUCUGGAGCAAUGGCCGCUUCUCCUCAUUAGAAACAUUACAUCUACGGUGCAGUCAAAUGGAAGGAGAGAUCCUUAAUCAUCAUAUUUGGUCCCUGUCAUCACUGGUGGAAUUAUGUAUAAGAAACUCUGAUCUCACGGGAAGAGGAAUCCUCAGUGAUAGUUUCUACCCAUCAUCAUUGGUAGGAUUAUCUGUAGGUAACUUCAAUCUAAUGGAAGUAGGUGAUAAGGGAGAAUCAAAUGAUUCUCCCUUAUCAGUAGGAAUCCAAGGAAUCCUCAAUGAUAUUUGGAACCUAUCUUCACUUGUGAAAUUAUCUCUAAAUAACUGCAAUCUAAUGGAAGUAGGAAUCCUUAGUGAUAUUUGGAACCUAUCUUCACUGGUGAAAUUAUCACUAAAUAACUGCAAUCUAAAGGAAGGAGAGAUCCUCAAUCGUAUUUGCCACCUGCCAUCAUUGGAAGAAUUAUCUCUGGAUGGGAACCAUUUUAGUAGCAUACCUGCUGGCAUCAGACUACUUUCCAAUCUAAGAGCCCUCAACUUGAGACAUUGCAAGAAGCUUCAAGAAAUUCCAGAGCUUCCAUCAAGUUUAAGAGACCUUUACUUGAGCCACUGCAAAAAGCUUCGGGCAAUUCCAGAGCUUCCAUCAAAUUUGCUACUUUUAGAUAUGCACAGUUCAGAUGGUAUUUCAUCACUGUCAAAUCAUUCUCUGCUCAAUUGCUUGAAAUCAAAAUUAUAUCAGGUAUGAUUUUCAUGGCACAGACCUUUUACUUUUGUACCCACUUGAUUUACAUAGUGCUUUUGUGCAGGAACUCCAGAUUUCUCUUGGUGCUUCUGAAUUCCGAGACAUGGCAAUGGAAAUUGUUAUUCCUAGGAGUAGUGGAAUUCUAGAGGGAACAAGGAAUCAGAGUAUGGGAAGUCAUCAAGUAAGAAUAGAGCUCCCUCAGAAUUGGUAUGAAAACAAUGACUUGCUGGGAUUUGCUUUAUGCUGUGUUUAUGUUUGGGUACCUGAUGAAUUCAACCCUAGAUGUGAACCAUUAUCGUGCUUGGAUUGUAAAUUGGCUAUCUCGGGAAAUUGUCAAUCAAAAGAUGUGGACAAAUUCCAAAUUGAAUCUGAAUGUCAUUGCUCUGAUGAUGAUGAUGAUCAUGGUAGUGCAUCAGAUCUAGUAUGGGUUAUAUAUUAUCCCAAGGAUGCUAUUAAGAAGCAAUAUCUCUCCAAUCAAUGGACACACUUUACUGCUUCAUUUAAAAGCGUAACCCUUGAAGCGAAAGAGUGCGGGAUCCAUCCUAUAUAUGGCUGCUUCAAAUGUCGACGAGAUAAAGAAUGCCAACAGAAGCUUUGUUUAAAGGGCAGUGCUAUUAAUGAGCUUCCCUUUAUUGAGAGUCCCUUUGAACUUGGUAGUCUGUGUUUGCGGGAGUGCAAAAACCUAGAGAGUCUGCCAAGUACCAUCUGUGAGUUGAAGUCCCUUACAACUCUCUCUUGUUCUGGCUGUUCACAACUAACUAUCUUUCCAGAAAUCUUUGAGACUUUGGAAAAUUUAAGAGAGCUUCAUUUAGAAGGGACUGCCAUCGAAGAACUACCAUCAUCAAUUCAACAUCUAAGAGGGCUUCAGUAUUUGAAUCUGGCAUAUUGCAACAACCUUGUGAGCCUUCCAGAAACCAUUUAUCGUUUGAAAUCCCUCGUAUUUCUCUCUUGCACUGGUUGUUCACAACUAAAGAGCUUUCCAGAAAUCCUGGAGAAUAUCGAAAAUUUACGAGAGCUUUCUUUACAUGGAACUGCCAUAAAAGAGCUCCCAACAUCAAUUGAACGACUAGGAGGGCUUCAAGAUUUGCACCUGUCAAAUUGCAGCAACCUUGUGAAUCUUCCAGAAAGCAUUUGUAACUUGAGAUUUCUCAAAAAUCUCAAUGUUAAUCUCUGUUCAAAACUUGAGAAAUUUCCUCAGAACUUGGGGAGUUUGCAACGUUUAGAGCUUUUGGGAGCUGCAGGUUCAGAUUCCAAUCGAGUUCUAGGAGCAAUUCAGAGUGAUGAUUGCCGCAUGUCAUCAUGGAAAGCAUUAAAUCUGAGCAUCAACUAUUUUAGUAGCAUAAUUCCUAUCAGCAUCAUUCAACUUUCUAAAUUGAGAGUCCUUGACUUGAGUCAUUGCCAGAAGCUUCUACAAAUUCCAGAGCUUCCACCAAGUUUACGAAUUCUUGAUGUCCACGCCUGCCCAUGCUUGGAAACAUUAUCAAGUCCGUCAAGUCUACUUGGUUUUUCUUUGUUCAGAUGCUUCAAAUCAGCAAUUGAGGUAUGAUUUUCUGAGACAUUUAACCUUUUUUUUUUUUUUUUUUCUUUUUGAAACAUAAGAUUUACGCUACUCUUUCAUGCAGGAAUUUGAAUGCGGGUCCUAUUGGAGCAAGGAAAUCCAAAUUGUUAUUCCAGGAAAUAAUGGAAUUCCAGAGUGGAUAAGCCAACGGAAAAAAGGAUCUGAAAUAACAAUAGAGCUUCCUAUGGAUUGGUACCAUAAUAACGACUUCUUGGGAGUUGCCUUAUACUCUGUUUAUGUUCCACUUCAUAUUGAAUCCAAUGAAGAUCCUUGUAGUUUAAAAUGUCAAUUGAAUUUCCAUGUUCAUCACUUUGAAUUUCUGGAUGAUCUACCAUCUAAAUUCUGGUCUAUGAAUGGUCUUUCAUAUGAAUUUUGGCCCGUGGAUGAACUCUCGUUUAGAAGGGGUUAUUUGUGCCACCAUAAUGGUGAUGAAUUAAAUGAAGUCCGGGUGGCAUAUUAUCCGAAGGUUGCUAUUCCGAAUCAGUAUUGGUCAAAUAAAUGGAGACAUUUGAAGGCUUCAUUUCAUGGUUACUUGGGUAGUAAACAAGUGAAAGUGAAAGAGUGUGGGUUCCAUCUUAUAUCUAUGCCCAAGAUUGUCAACAGAAGCAUCCCACAAGAUAGAAGUAUAAAAGGCGUCGAGCACAAUCGUCCACCAAUAUUGAUACAGUACCCAGAUGUUCAAAGAUGCUGUGACACCAAAUCAGUACCAGAAGAUACUAAUGUUAAUGCACAGAGCUGCUGUGAUGACACACAUAGUACAGAACACAACCAUUCUCCAAUGGAUACAAUAACACAUAAUGUUGAUGAUAAUGUUGUUGAUGCCCAAGAUGAAGAAGAAGACCAUAUGCACAAGUGGUUGGACCUUCUUUGCAAAUCUGUUCAAUGGAUAUGUUGUAGAAGAUGCUAAACAUUCAUCUCAAGCUUUUGGUAAGCCACCUUUCUUUUGGUAAGCUUUUGCUAUGUUCUUUCUAAAGAUUUAUUCUUCUUCUUCUCUCUUAUUUUUACCUAGCUACUCUUUUUUGAAAGUCAAGUCCAUAGGCGUAAAAUCCAAAUUUUGUUUUAUAAAAAAAAAAAUCAUUUUUAUUAGGACUUGUUUUCGAGUAUUUUUAACAAGCUUGAUUGCACUGUUAUUUUCGAAGUAUUAAACAUUGAAUUAGAUAAGUUGGUAGAGGAAAUUACGCAUUAGCCUUGAACUUGAUCAGUUAAGCCAUGAAAGUUCUUACUAAAUAAAAUAUUUCAAGUCAAUUUUUAUUUGUUAUUAAUGUAUUGCCUAUUUGAACUCACAUUUUAUUCCAUUUUGUACUUUAUAUAUUUUUUUGGUCUCAAAAAGAGAUUAAGUCUCCAAGUAAGAAAGAUCAAUCAAAUUAGGAGGGGAAGAACAUUUCAAUUUCAAGUAUUUUCCUUUAAAAUAUUUUGAGAGGUGCAUAUGUUUUAGGCAUUCCAAAUGAGUUAACAAUUAAAUUAUGACAUUGAUUUCACUAACUAGAGUUGUUUGGAUUGAUUCUUUAGUUCAAAAGUUAUCACUUCUCUAGCUUUAACUAUUCCAUUAAACUAGUUUGAUACAAAAAAAAUUAAAUAAUAUUAUUUAAUUUUAAUAUUAUUGUGUUGUUUACUGAAUGGUACCAGAUAUAUAAACUUCAUGUUACAAAUGACACCGCUAUUGCCCAUUUUAUCUCACAACUACAACAAAGAGGUUUUCUACAUGGGGAUGAUAUGGGAGAUCGGUUUUUCAACUGCUCACAGUAAUAUCUCUCUUUUGUUUGAUGUUCUAUCUAUUAAGGAUGAAAUUUUUGUUGGUUCUAUUGGAAAAAUUAUGGUUUCAGGAACUUGCUAUGGCAUAUUGUCUCUCUUAGGAAGGAAUGAAUUCUGGAUCGUUAUCACUGCAUUCACCUCAAACAGGGUAGAACUUGUCAUUUCUUGCAAUAGAUGUGUAUGCAAAGCUUGAUAUUUUUAUUAAUACAUUAUUUAACACGUUCAUUAUCAGAACUUGUUUUAUGGUUUAUUAUUUGUUUAUCAGUUCUGUGUAAUGGAGCAUGCACCAAGUAAACUCCUCCUCUUGCCAAAGGUUUGAGAGUCUUAUAUUUGGUUUAUGUAUGUUCCUGCAUCUUUAGUAGCAAUAAUUUUAUACUAUCUUUUGGGUUUUAUAGACUUUUUUUGUAACUGUGAGAGUCAUCCAAGGCCAUAUUUCAGGUUGUUCAUUAACUGGCUUUUUGACCUUGUGUCCCCAGACCCUAUCUUGGAUGGUGCUAACUUUCAGGUAUAGGUUGUUUUCAUUUCAUGCAUUAGUAUUGUAAUAUGCAAUUUGGCAUAAACUAACUAGAUAAGGUCACUUUUCAGGUGUUGAUUGCUUUUACUAAUGCUUUCCAUGCAUUGCAGCUUCUUAAAAUCCUGGUAUUCAGGUCAGCAUGCCAUGCAUUCAAGGUUUUUCUUUCCCAAAUGUUAAAAUCUGUUGUUGCAUAUGAUUUUGUGAAGCUCUUAAGAAUGGAUUUCACUUAAAAGAGUACCCAUGUUGGAUGCUCCAAAAGGGGACAAUUUCCUUGGGUGAUUGCAGUUUUUUUUAAUUUGUUUUCAGGAAACUGAUCCAAAAGGUGGGAAAAUUCAACUGCACAUUGAGCAACACAUCAAUAUUUGUGGUAUGAUUUAAGAGCUUGUUUUUAUAUAAUGCAGAAAUCUCGUUAUCAAUCUAGAUGUUGAAUAACUGCAGCUAAGCUCUGCUAGGCCUUUUUUAGAGGAAAAAAAUACUAUUAAAAAAAUUAAUUAUAAAAUAUUUUAAAUAUAUAAUUAAAAAUUAAAUAAUAUUUAUAAUAUUAUUUAUUCAAUUUUAUAUAAAUGCAUUAAUGGUUUAAAUUUAUUAAACAAAAUAUACACAAUAUUUAAAUGUGAAAAUAUAUUCAAAAUGGUAAAAAAAAAAAAAAAAAAAUCAUAUUUUAAUACGAAAACAAAUUUUUUUUAAAAAUGUGAUUUAUAUAUAUAUAUAUAUAUAUGUAUUAUUUUUUAAAUUGCCUACUUACUUAUUUUCUUGUAAAUAUUGAUAUAAACAUGGAUGCAACACAAUAGAGUAGUUAUGUCAUUAUGACCUUGUGGUUUGUGGUUCAAACCCUCUUGUGUAGGAACAAAGUUGGUUUUUCUUUUAAAUCCCUUUACCUUGUCCCACAUCCAAAGUAAAAGGAAAAGUAAAGUGCUUUAUAAACCUCUUCUCAACCAUCCAAAGCCAAGUGGUCAAGCUAAGUGAUUGUUGGGCCUUAUGGCACAACCUUUGAAUAAGGGCCCAUUUUGCAAGCUGGGGGUGGACAUUUAAUGUUGGGCCAUGGAGGGAAUAUAGCCUAUUUUGUCAAAAAAAAAAAAAAAGGGAGGCAAUUAAUGCUGGGCGGGAGUGGUACACUUAGUAUUUUAUUACGGAAAAAUGAUUUGGUAAAAAAUAAUUGUUCACAAACUUAUAACAACAAACUUGCCACAAAUAUUUAUUUGUGAAAAAAAAAUAUUCUACCACAAAAUAUUUUCUUUUAACAAAAAAUUAAUUUAUGGCAAAAUCUCUUAUUUGUUGUAGUGAAUGUAAUGCCUUAGUUAUGGGUUUGAUUGAUAUCUAGAUGGAAUAUCUCAAGCUCAAACAAUUGAAGGCGACAAGCUCAGGCAAUUAAAUGUGAAAAGCUCAAAUGACUUGAACAUCUCAAUUGCAGAAUUUUAUCAAAGGGAAGGAGGAAUCUCAACUUAAGAACAAACUAUCAAAUUCAAGAGGAGACAAACAUCUCAAUUGUAAAAUUUUCCUUCCAAAUGUUUUAGUAGAGGAAUACAUCUUGACCCCAUACAAUGAGUUUUGGAUGAUGAUGGGUAGAGAGGAGAGACCACAUAGUACAAGUGAGAGCGAGUGUGAAAGUCCUUAUGGAGGGGAACUUGAAGCCAUCUGCUGAUAUUUGACCGAAUUGAAUCAAGAAAAGAUCCCCAUCCACCCGCAUGAUUCUACUAGCAGUAAGCUAUUGUAGUUUUCAAUUUUUGCAGUGGCUUACAAGUGAAUGAUUGUUGUUAGCUUGUCAAUGUUCAAGAGCAUUAUUGAAUCCUCAAUUUUAUUCUUGUUUUUUUUUUUUUUUUUCCAACAGAUUCAAUUCUGUUUCCUGAUGGAUCAAUUUGCACUACGGUUUGAACUCUUUCAAACCUUGGUGAGUGAGAGGAGGUAGGAUGCUUCAAAAUUUUAAGCUGUGAUGGUAUGAUCGUGUGGUAAAAAAUGUUCAGCCUGGAAAGAAAAAAAAAAUUGUCUACAACAAUAUGUAUGCCAAGACAUUCAGAGAUCUUUCAAAGAGUUAGCAGCUCUAGAUUAAUCAAUCCUGCAGGAUGAAAAUGGACGGAGAUCAAAGCCCUUUGAUUCAUAUCUGUAAUUGCAUAAACAUAUGCGCCAGUGUUGUACAAGAAUAUGAGGUUUCUGACACUACGAAAGAGGCCAAGACACGAGUGGCCAUGAGUACAAGUUGAAUUUUGGAUACAAUCCAUUACCUGGAACUAUGGAUUUUCUUGCUGUUGUUCAUCCCUUUCUGGAUUUUCUUGAAGGCCCUAUCAUUUCUUGGUUGUACUGAAUUGUUUUGAAUGUUGUAUUUCAUGCAUUAGACGAUGGAGUAGAGAUCAUUCCAAGCAUUUGUAUUUAUUUUGAAAAGCAUUUGACACCCAUAUAUUGACCGUAGAAUUUUCUUAUUUAAAAUUUAGUGUACAUAUGGAAUAUGGUAUCAUUUUUCCAAACCGAUCAAACUAUAUAGAUUUUCUAAGACUUUCAGUUUUUUAAAUAUGAAACCAAUCCACAUUGGUUUGAUCAAAAUAAUAAGUUAAAAAAAGAAAAGUAAUUUAACAUAUUUCUAUAAAAAGGUAUAAUUUAGGUUGAAAAGUAUACUUGUUUGGACAAGUUGUCAUUCUUAUACUUGUUUUAGAAAUUGGUAAGUUAAAGAAUAUAAAAAAAAAAUACUAUUUUUUAAAAAAAAGAGUGUUUGUCAAGUUAUUUUUAAAAAUAUUUUUCAAAAAAAUAAAAUAAAAAAUUAUUUGGACAAGUUGUUUUUAAAAUUUUUUAUUUUGAUUUUAAAAAUAAGUAGUUUUUAUUUUUUGUCAAAUAUGAAUAGAAAUAUUAUAAUAAAAUCAUAAAUUAUAUUUUCUUUUACAAUAUAUAUAUAUAUAUAUAUAUAUAUAUAUUAUAAAAAUAUGGAUAUUAAUAUCUUUAUAAAAAUAUGAUUGAUUUAUUUUAUUAAAAAUAGAUAACGGUAAUUUAAAAUAAUAAUUGUUAAUAAUAUUUUAUUUAAAAUGAAUUUAAAAAAUGAAGUUUUUAACAUUUGAAUGAAUUAAGUUUUUGAGUACAUACAUACAAUUAGUAGUCAAUUAUAAACAUAGUGUUAUUAAAUACUUUUAAUUUAGUCAAUAAUUAAUUAGAUCUAUUUUUUGAAUUUCAAAUUAUUCUUAAAAAAUAUAGAAGAUUAAAGUACUAAUUAUGUCUCACUUAAUUUAGAAUCUAUUUAUCUAAGGAGAAAAUUUAGAAAUUAUAAUUGUAUAUAUAUAUAUAUAUGAGAAAUAGUAAAGUCAUAACUCAUAAUAGAAAAAUUAUUGUCUAUGAUUUUCUAUAGUGAUUAGAUUUAUUUUUCGAGUUCUAAAUAAUUUUUAGAAAUUAUUCAAUACAUUAAUAAAUACAAUACUGAGUGUAGCUUGUUUUAAAGUUCAUUUUCCUAGUGAGAAAAUUUAUAAGAAUAUAGUUAUAUAUGAAAAUGCUCAAGCACAGAUUAGCAAGAAUGAAGAAUUUGUUUCUAUUUUACAGUUUUUACAGUAGACCAAUGACUAUAUAUAUAUAUAUAUAUAUAUAUAUAUUACAGUAUAACUAAUCUAACCAUCUAACCAUCUGAUAGCUUGGAACAACAGAGAGACGAGUACGAGCGGCUGAGAACUGAUAGCUUGGAACAUGUUUAGUAAAGACAUCUGCCAACUGGUCGGUAGAAAGAACAUAUUGAAUCAAAAACUCUUUGCGGAGGACCUUAUCACGAACAAAGUGAAGAUCAAUCUCUAUGUGCUUGGAGCGGGCAUGGAAGACAGAGUUAGCUGCAAGAGCAGCAGCACUGAUAUUGUCACACUAGGUCAGAGGAGUGUCCGGUUGAGGAAUGCACAACUCUUUGAGAAGAAACUGAACCCAGGAAACCUCAGCGGCGAGAAGAGCAAGUGCCCGGUACUCCGAUUCUACACUACUACGAGAGACGACACGUUGCUUGGUGGAGGACCAUGAAAUGAGAUUGGUGCCAAAAAAAAAGACAAAAGCCACUGGUGCUUCUUUUAUCAUCGGGACAUGAAGCCCAAUCCGCAUCGGUAUAGCCUUGAAGAGACCAAGAUGGUGAGGCAUGGAUAGAAAGACCAUGAGUAGCAGUACCUUUGAGAUAGCGGAGUAUGCGUUUAGCAGCUUGCAGAUGAGAAGUGGUAGGAUGAGCCAUGUAUUGACAAGCUCGAUUCACUACAAAUGAGAUUUCUGGUCUUGUGAGAGUGAUGUACUGAAGAGCACCCACAAGACUGCGGUAGUGAGUAGCAUCAAGAGCAGAUAAAGGAUCUCCAUCUGUUGCUGAUAACAAUUUUCCCAAAGCACUAGGUGUGCUAGCAGAUUUGGCCCCAAGAAGAUCAACACGCUCAAGUAGCUGAUGUAUGUAGCGUUGUUGAUUGAGAUGAAGAACAUGAGGAAGCCGGGUGACUUCAAUACCAAGGAAGUAGCUAAUAUCCCCAAGGUCUCGAAUAGCAAAAUGAGAGCUAAGCUGAGAAAUGAUAUGAUGGACCUAUGGUGGAUUACUGCCAGUAAUGAGAUUAUCAUCCCACAUAGAUUAAAAUGAUGAUAAUAUCNNNNNNNNNNNNNNNNNNNNNNNNNNNNNNNNNNNNNNNNNNNNNNNNNNNNNNNNNNNNNNNNNNNNNNNNNNNNNNNNNNNNNNNNNNNNNNNNNNNNGCCAGUAAUGAGAAUAUCAUCCACAUAGAUUAAAAUGAUGAUAAUAUCAGAUGCAGAGUGGAAAUAAAAUAAAGAUGCAUCAGCCCUUGAGCAUUGGAAUCCCAGCUAUAAGAGAAAGGAGCUGAGCUUGUGGAACCAAGUUCGAGGCGCUUGUUUAAGGCUAUAGAGAGCCUUCUGUAGACGACAAACAUGAGUGGAGCAAGAGCUAUCUUCAAAGCCUGGAGGUUGCAUCAUGAACACCUGUUCCUGAAGAUCUCCAUUUAAAAAAGCAUUGUGGACAUCUAGUUGUUUAAUAGGUCAGUUGAAAGAGACGAUAAUGGAGAGAACAAGCUUGAUAGUGCAAGGCUUCACAACUGGACUGAAUGUCUCAAAAAAAUCAAUGCCAUAGGUUUGAUGAAAACCUUGGGCAACCACCCAAGCUUUGUACCUGUCAAUGCUACCAUCAGGUUUAUGUUUGAGUUUGAAGACCCAUUUACACCCAAUAAUUUUGGCCUUAGACGGAGGUGGCACCAAAGACCAAGUUUGAUUCUUCAAUAGAGCCUAAUAUUCCUGUUCUAUAGCAAGCUUCCAGUUAGGGUCUUGAAGAGCCUGUUUGACAGUACGUGGCUCAGCUAUGAGUGAGGUAAGAUAGGUCUUCUUCUUACAGAUACCAGAUUUGGAUAUGAUAAUCAUAUGAUGGCCAGGAAUUGGAGCUGUGGAAUCCUGGAGUGGAGUAGUAGAAAUCUCAGCUGCUUCAUCCACAAAUGGCACCUGAAUGAGCGGGGGUAAAGACAAAGAGCUGGCUAGAGGUGAUGUGGGAGCAGGUUGGGAUGGGAUAACCGGAGGAAAGCUGGUUGUAGAGGGGAAGAGAACAGAAGAUGGAGGAAAAGAAAAUGCUGAAGUGACAGGAAAGUGAGAUGAUUGGUGGGAAGGAGAAUUCAAUGCCUGAAAUGGAAAUGCAGUCUCUGCAAAGACUACAUGCCUAGAGAUAUACACUCUACCAGUUGUAGGAUUAAGGCAAAAAUAACCCUUGUGAGAUGUUUCAUAACCAAGAAAGAUACAGGGUGUGGAUCGUGGCUAAAAUUUGUUGGAGUUGAGAUGUUUGAGGUGUGGUUAACAAAGACAACCAAAGACUUUGAAAUGGAAAUAAUUAGGUGGGUGUUUGUAAAGAAGAUAAAAUGGGGAGCUGUAAUUAAGCAAAUGAGAAGGCAUGCAAUUGAUAAGGGUAACUGCUGUAGUGAAAGCAUAGGACCAAAAUUUGGAUGGAAGGGCAGCUGUGUAAAGAAGAGUGAGCCUGGUUUCUACAACAUGGCGCAUCUUGCGUUCGACCCGGCCAUUUUGUUCAGGUGUAUAAGGGCAAGAAAAUCAAUGGAGUAUACCAUGAAGAGAUAGAAAUCGGGUGAGGGCAAUGAACUCUCCACCAUGGUCUGUUUGAAGGCAUUUAAUGGUGGUCUGAAACUGGUUUUCAACAAGAGUUUNNNNNNNNNNNNNNNNNNNNNNNNNNNNNNNNNNNNNNNNNNNNNNNNNNNNNNNNNNNNNNNNNNNNNNNNNNNNNNNNNNNNNNNNNNNNNNNNNGAAGCACAUUGUGUAAGACAAAGGGUUUAGCAGAAGUGUGGAGAAAGGAAUGAACAACUUGGGUUAUGGGUAGGGACUUACCAUUGCCAACCAUCACAAAGUCAGUACCAUUGUGUGGAGUACCAUUGUAGAUAUUAGCAGCCAUAUGGGAGAGAUGGUGGGUGACGCUUGAAUCUAAAAACCAGGAGUCCGUUGAUGCUGGGGAAGGUGCUGCCAUCAUGGCUUGAGUAGGAGGAGUGAGACUAGUUUGAGAGGUUGAUGAGGCUGGUGCAUGUGGCCCUUGAUAAUUCACAUCAAAUCUAUGAUAACAAGAGAGGACCAUGUGCCCAAACUUGCCACAUAACUGACACUGUGGUCGAUUAUUUCUCCGGGAUCGAUUAUUGUUGAAUCCGUUAGGGCGAUAUCCUUGAGGAUGUUGCUGUCGUGAAUCUGAAAGAGUGCUAGGUCGUGGGGUUGGCAUGAAUGACUGAGGUGGUUUCCCUUGAGAGGGUUUGCUGGACUGUGACCUUUGUGGUCUGUUAUGAGUUGCAAUAUUGGCAAUGAGGAGGUCUUCUUUAGUAGUCGUGGUUUGAAGAUGCAGCCUCUGUUCAUGAGUAAGAAGGAUGCUAUGUACCAUAUGAAGCUGAAGAUCAUCAUCUCUAGUUGUGAGAGAAGCCACAAUGGGGUUGUAUUCAGCCCCUAGUCCACUUAGUAAUUGAAGGAUUUGAUCCUUUUCUGGCACUGGUUCUCCAAUAGCUACUAGACUAUCAAAGAUAUGUUUGAGUUUUUUUUAUGUAUUCCAUCAUGGUGAGAGGGUCUUUUUUGGUUGUUUGAAAAGCAAGUCUUGGCUGCAUUGUUCUUGCUUUAGUGGAAGCAGAGAAGCUUCGUUGGAGGGUUAUCCAUGCUUCAUGGGAUAUUCGUAGCCCAACAAUUUGGCCCAUAACAUCUGGGGUGAGAGAAAAGUAGAUCCAACUCAGGAUCAUAUGAUCAUAUCUCCUCCAAAUCAAAAAAUCUAGGUUCACUUCACCGAUGGAUAUUAUUUUUAGAGGACAUGGUCUCAGACCUUCAAUAUGGUCCUCAAAUCCAUUGACAUAUAUCACAUUUUCCAUUUGUGUAUGCCAAAGGAUAUAGUUAUCUCUAUCUAGUUUGAUAAGAAGAGGAUGGUUCAGCAUGCUCAUGUUUAGGGUAAAGGUUACCUGAGAAGAGACAAUCUCCUGUGUGGUUUGUGUUGAUGAAGCCAUCGGAAACUAGGUACAGUAUGUUCUUGAAGCUUUCUUGAGGUGAGUAAGAAAAGCAGAAGGUAAUCUACAGAUGACGUAUAUCAGAAGAAAGUUGUAGCAGAAAGAGUUGUUGGAGAUUUUUUUAUCGUCUUGCCGGGAGAGAAAUAAAAAAUAAAAUAAAAAAUUCAAAAGCCUAUGGCUCUGAUACCAUUAAAAUGCUCAAGCACAAAUUAGCAAGAAUGAAGAAUCUGUUUCUAUUUUACAGUUUUUACACUAACUAAUCAUAACAGCAUUUGUUAGAGAGGAGAAGAAUCAUCUGCUGAUGCGGGUGUUUGUCUAUCAAUAUACAAUAAAGAAACUAUAAUUAUUUUAAACCAACUUUUAUUCAUAAGUUUUUUGUAUUAAUGAGGUUACUAUCCGAGGUUCAAAUUAUUUUAAAAAAUGACUAGACUUGUUAAUGAGUGAUGUAGCAAUAAGCAAGAAAGAAAAGAGGAUAGAAUACGUCUAAUCCAAGAAAAUUUGGAAUCCAUUAAAGAAACUCUCAAGAAGAGAUUUUCAUUGACUAAAAAUUCAGAACAAGACAAAGGAUCUUUUUCCACCAUUUUUUCCUCCAGUUUAUCUUAAUAACCCUUCAAUGUCUUCACAACUUCCAACAUUGAGGAAAUAAAAUCUCAAAUAUCUACUAUUAGUAAUCAAGUAUUAUAAGUCUCAAGUUUCCCAGGUAAUUUAAAUCUUAUUCUAAAACUGACUUGACUAUUUUCUUCGGAGUCCCCUCUACUUGAACAAAAUUCGAUCUUGAGUCACAAUCUUGAUAAAACUAGUUGCCUUGUUAGAUGAAUGAUACUCAUACAAAUAAAAAACAUUGAAGGUCUUAAAUUCCCAUGUCUUCUAGUAAUUUUCCUUAACACCUGAAAUGGUCCACAUUUCUUCGGCUUCAACUUUUUAUAAUUUCUAGCAGAAAACCUUUCCUUGUGUAAGCAUACCAUCACCAUAACACCUACUUGAAACACUUUUGUGUCGAUGAUGUUUAUCAACUGCUACUUUAUACUUGCCAUUUACCUCUUCUAGCCUCAUCUUUGUUUCUGCUUGCAUUGCUUGAACCUUCUCAGCUAUAUGUUCUGCUAUGGUACUCAAACAAAGAGCCCUCGAUAAUUGUAGCAAAUCUAGAGCAUGCUUUGGUGACUUCUUCAUAUCUACUACAAAGGGAGACCUUCCUAUUGUGCUAUGAACAACAUUAUUGCAUGCAAACUCUGCUUGAGCAAAUGCAAAAUCCCAGUGUUUAGGCUUGUCUCCACAAAUACUAUGAAUCAAAUUUCCCAAAGUCCUAUUUAUUACCUCAGUUUGACCAUAUGCCUGUGAGUGUGUAGUGCUACUAUAAUUCAGUGAGGUAUCAAACAUCUUUCCAAGAGUGAUCCAUAAAUGACUAAGAAACUUAGCAUCUCAAUUGGAGGAGAUAGAUUAAGGAACCCCAUACAAUCUAACAAUUUUGCAAAAGAACAACUUUGCUAUAUGUGAGACAUCAGAAGUUUUUUAGUAAGGAAUAAAAUGAACCAUUUUUGAAAACUUUUCAACAACCACAAAAACAAAGUCCGCUCCUCUUUGAGUAUAGGAAUUCCUAAGAAAAAAUCCAUUGACAAGUCUUCCCAAAUAGCAUUUGGAACUGGUAAAGGCAUGUAAAGUCCAGUAUUCUAAGCUUGACCCUUUACUACUUGGCAUGUGUAGCAUUUUUUGGACAAAAUUACUAGUAUCUCUCUUUAAUUGUGGCCAAUAAUAACGUCCUUCAAUACUGGUCACAGUUUUAUCCCUUCCCAAAUGUCCACUUAAGCCUCCACCAAGGAAGGCUCGAAUAACCUUUUCUCAUAAAGAUACUCGAGGAAUGCAUAAACAAUUUCCAUAACAUAAACAACUAUCAUGAAUAUGAAACUCGCUAGCAAGCUGCCUUUGAAUGAAUUUGUUCUAGAUUUCUUUGAAAUCAUCAUCUUUUGUGUAUUACUCUUUUAAACAUUCAAAACCAACAACUUCAUUCCUAAUUAUCACAAGUAAUACAGCCCGACAACUAAGAGCAUCAACAACUCGAUUUAGUGCUCCAGAUUUAUGUCGUGUAACAAAAGAAAAAUCUUGCAGAAAAGUUGACCAACCAACAUGAAAUUUAUCUAAAUGCUUUCAACAGUUAAUGAACCUCAAAGCUUGAUAGUGAAAAUAUAAUAUAUAAAUUCUCUCUGUAUCAAAUAAUGUUCCCAAUACUUUAAUGCUUGUACAAUUGCAUAUAGUUCCUGAUUAUAGGUACUCCAUUUUUGCCUUACUUGACUUAAUUUUUACUGAGAAAAGCCACUAAUCGUCCACAUUGAGAUAAAACAACUCCAAUUCCAAUAAUGCUUGCUUCCCACUCUACCUCAAAUAGCUUUUCAAAACUUGGUAAAACCAAUAUUAGUGUGGUGCAAAGCUUUUCUUUAAUCAAAGCAAAGUCUUUGCUUCAUCACUCCAACUAAAUCUCCCUUUCUUCAAAUGCUCUAUUAUUAGUGUCGUUAUGGUACUAAAUUUUUUUUAUAAAUCUUUGAUAAAAGGUCGCCAAACCAUGAAAGUGGUGUCACAGUUUUUGGUGUAGGCUACUCUUGUGUCUUCAAAUUGAUAAAUGGUAGUUUUUUCAUUCAUUCUUUCAUUCGUUCAUGUACAGAGUAUAUAUAUAGAGGGUAAUCACCAUUCUAAGAACGGGAAAGAAUGAUACAAGGAAAGAAUGAUAUAAGGAAAUAACAACUAAUAUCCUAGUAUCUCAACUUUCCUAAUAUCUCAAUAUUCAUAAUAUCUCACCUUUCCUAAUAUCUAAACAUUCCUAAUAUCUCAACACUAAAUAAUAUAAGGAAAGCAUUCCUAAUAUCUCAACACUCCCCCUCAAGUUGGUGCAUGGAUGUCACACAUGUCCAACUUGUCUAAAAAUUUUGAAAACACUUGACUUGAGACAGCUUUGGUGAGGAUAUCAGCCAAUUGAUCUUCUGAUCGAAUCUUAGGCAAUUCCGCAAUCUUAUCAUCCAACUUUUCCUUAAUGAAGAAUCUAUCCACCUCGACAUGCUUUGUACGAUCAUGUUGUACUAGAUUAUGAGCAAUGUCACAUGCGAAUUUAUUGUCACAAAACAAUCGGAUUGGUUGCCUAGAUAGGUAACCUAAAUCCUGUAAGAGGAGUCUUAGCCAUAAUGCCUCACAAAGUCCUAGAGUCAUACCUCUAAAUUCCGCUUCUGCACUUGAACGAGCGAUGACAUUCUGCUUCUUACUUUUCCAUGUCACAAGAUUACCACCUACAAAGGUAAAGUAACCAGAUGUAAAUCGCAUAUCAUCCACUGCACUGGCUCAAUCNNNNNNNNNNNNNNNNNNNNNNNNNNNNNNNNNNNNNNNNNNNNNNNNNNNNNNNNNNNNNNNNNNNNNNNNNNNNNNNNNNNNNNNNNNNNNNNNNNNNAGUAUAUACUUCUAUACUCUGAUGAUCAACAUUUUUAGCGAACAAAAUUCCCUUCCCAAGAGCAUUCUUCAAAUACCUCAAAAUACGCAUGACUGCAUUCAUAUGUUGCUCUCCAGGAUUAUGCAUGUAUUGACUCACUACACUCAAUGCAUAAGCAAGAUCUGGUCUUGUAUAAGCUAAGUACAUUAAUCUCCCCACAAGUCUCUGGUAUCUUCCCUUAUCGGUUGAUACUUGAUUAGGUUCAACACACAAUUUCAGACCUUCUUCUAUUGGUGUAUUAACAGGUUGACAUCCCGACAUUCCAGUCUCCUGUAAAAGAUCUAAGGCAUACUUUCUUUGAGACAGAAAAAAUCCUUCACUUGAUCGAGAAACUUCAAUCCCAAUAAAGUAUUUUAAAGGACCUAGAUCUUUCAUUUCAAAUUCUCUAGAUAGAUAAUUUUGCAGAGCUUUUUUUUCUUCAAGAUCAUUUCCUGUAACUACCAUGUCAUCCACAUAUACGAUGAGUGUCGUAAUCUUACCAUGUUGCUUUUUUAAGAACAAAGUGUGAUAUGAAUUACUUUGACGAUAGCCAAAAGCUCUCAUUGACUUUGUGAACUUUCCAAACCAUGCUCUCAGGGAUUGCUUCAACCCAUACAAUGACUUCUUCAAUUUGGAUGGGCCCUAAACAUCAGAAUGUAUAACCAUAAAAGGAAACAGACUUUUAUUCAAAAUUAACGGAAACAAAGCAUGAUGGCUUUUAGCCAAUUCACAAAUAUCACAACAGAAACUAGAAAUAUCACUCUUUGUAAACAAACUAGGAAACAAUUUUUUAAAAUAAUCAAAGGAAGUGUGUCCCAAACGUCGAUGCCACAACCAAAUUUCAUAUUUUUUUCUUCUCCUCCUCAGAUCCAUCUACCAUCAAGGCUUGUUGCAACUUAUUUGAAUCCUUUGACUACAAGUCCAAGUAAUAGUGUUUUCCCCGCUUAAUACUACAACCAAUCGUCUGUCUUGUUUGGAUGUCCUUAAUCACACAAAAUUCAGGCCAAAAAAUGACAAUACAAGAUAAGGCUACAGUGAUUUGAGAAACUGACAAAAGAUUGUAAUCUAAAGAUGGAACAACUAAAACAUAAUUCAAAUUCAAAGUAUCAGUAAGAGUUAAGGAUCCUUCCCCAAUGACUGGGGUUGUGUUACCAUUGGUUGUGGAAACAAAUUUUUGUGAGGAAGGUCUAAGGGGUGAAACCUAUCUAGAAUCAAAAGUCAUAUGAUUUGUAGCACCAGAAUCAAUUAUCCAUGCACUAUUAAUAACAGGUGUAAAAGUAUUUAGAAACUUACCACCAUGAUCUGUAGCGGCUACCAAUGCAGAGGCUUUCUCAGCAACAUUAGCCUCUGUUUUUAUUUCGGCAAUAGUUGUAGUCGAGGUUUUCUUGGAAUCCUUCUUCCGUUGAUCACGAUUAUUAUCAUUAAUAACAAAGUGUUGAUAGCCUAAACAUGAUCUAAAGGUCCAUGGUUCAAACCCUCCGUUCCUCAUUGUUUUCCUGGUCAUACCAAGAGUUGUUGCUUUGAAAUUAUGGGAUAUCCAGACUGGUGGGAUCAGUCUUAUUGCAGUGAGUGCAUUUGAAGGUUGACUUAUCAAUAUUAGGGCUUGUCUUAGGAUGGUUGAUUGUUGUUGGACUACCAUAGCGACAAAAUAUCUAGGAUUUCAGUUCCAUGGCUCUGAUACCAUCUUUAAAUUGAUAAAUGGUAGUUUUUUCAUUCAUUAUUUCAUUCGUUCAUGUACAGAGUAUAUAUAGAGGGUAAUCAUCAUUCUAUGAAUGGGAAAGAAUGAUAUAAGGAAAUAAAAACUAAUAUCCUAAUAUCUCAACUUUCUUAAUAUCUCAAUAUUCCUAAUAUCUCAAUAUUCAUAAUAUCUCAACAUUGUGGAGCUUGAACUUUAUCAUUGUCAACAUGAACUCCUUCUGAACUAAUCAUAUAUUCGAGAAAUAGCAAAUUAUUGGUCAUAAAACUGCACUUCUUCAAAUUAAUAAAUUAUUUAUUUUUUUGCAGCACUAUUAGAACUUCUCUCAAGGGUUGAAUGUGUUCUUACUCAUUCUGGCUAUAAAUCAGUAUAUUGUCAAAAUAUACAAUAACAAAUUUCCCAACAAAAGGUCUUAACACUUGAUUCAUGAGUUGCAUGAAAGUACUUGGCCUAUUUGAUAAUCCAAAAUGCAUGACCAUCCAUUCACACACAAUCUUCCUUUAAUUUUAAAGGUUGUCUUCCAUUCAUCCCCUAGUCUUAUGCAAUUCUGGUGAAUCUAGUUCCAAAACCAAUUUUGAACAUUCCAAUUGAUCCAAGACGUCAUCUAAGCACAAAAUCGAAAAUCAAUACUUUACAGUGAUCUUAUUUAAUUUAUAGAACAACUAUCUAUGCACAUAUGCCAACUACCAUCUUUGUUUGUAGUAAGCAAGGUUGGGAUUGCACAUGGGUUCAUGCUUUCGAAAAUAAAUCCUUUUCUUGCAAAAUCUCACCUUUUUUCGGGCUCAUUCUGUAAAGUGGUAAGUUAGGCAAGUUUGUUUUUGGGACUAAACCAAUAUCAUGUUGGAUGUCAUGCCUUGGAGGCAAACCAUCAAGUAAAUCACUGGCAUUGAAGUCUUUAAAUUCUUCCAACAUUGGUUGCAACUAAUUAGGCACUUCCACAAAUGCUUUCUCUUCAAAUUUAUUUUAUAACACUUACCUUAUUGGUUCUAGUUCAUUAAUGGAUAAUAUUUGUCUUUUAAUUCCUCAUCCAAAUUUUACCUAGUCUGUGAAUGUGAGUACUAAUAUCUUAACAAUAAUUCUAUAACAUUGUGGCAUAGACAUUUAGGCCACACCUCUAAAGAAAGACUAGAGAGGUUAGUUAUAGAAGAAGCUCUACCACUUUAGACUUUUGAGAUCAUGGUGUUUGCAUUAAUUGUGCUAAAAGGAAGUUAAUAAAAUCUAGAAAUAAAGGUACUACCAGGAGUCAAGAGCUUCUUGAAGUCAUUCAUUAAAAUAUAUGUGACCCAUUUCUCAUUUUACCUUAAGUGGGAAGAGAUAUUUUAUAACCUUUAUUCAUCAUAUUUCUCUUUUUGUUGUCUAUUUUAUUGGUAAAAAGAUAGAGGCGAUAGAUACUAAAAUUUUCCAAAUGAAUUAGCUUGAAAAGACAAUUGAAGUGAUACAAAUUGAUCAUGGUGGUCAAUACUACAAAAGAUACAAUCAAACAAAACAUAAUAUUCUAGAAUCAUUUUCCUUGCAUUUUCAAGAGUAUGGUAUAGUUGCUCGAUAUAACAUGUCGGGUACUCCUCAAGAAAAUGAUGUAGUUGAAAGAAGAAAUCAUACUCUUAUGGAUAUGGUAUGGUCGAUGUUGUGUAAUGCAACCUUAUUAGGAUUAUUAUGGAUUGAAGCAUUAAGAAGUGUUCAUAUAUCCUAAACCAAGUGCCUUGUAAGGCAAUCUCAAAGACUCCUUUUCAGUUAUGAACAAGUAGAAAACCAAGUCUAAAACAUCUACAUGUUUAGGGAUGUGCAACACCAAAUUAUAUAACCCACAUGAAUGAAUAUUAGAUUCUAGAAUAGUGAGUUGUUAAUUUGUAGAAUAUUUAGAAAGGUUACAGAUUUUAUGCCCAUUAUACAAUCCCAAGAUUGUUGAAACUCUAAAUGAUAGGGUCAUUAAAGAUUGUUAUGAGAUCAACACUAAGUAUUAAAGAUAAUAACAAAUUUCAGGGUUUUGGGGCUGCUGUUUAAAAGUAAAUGACGUGUAAUUCAAGAUUUUACUGGUAUUAGGAGACUGACGUGUAGUGCUUAGAGGUUCAUCCUUCACUAAAAAUAUCCACUCCUUGAGCUACUAUAUCUUCAAGGCAUUGAAGCAAUGGAUUGGGUUUGUGUUUAUGGGCUUGCAUAGAUCCAUGUUUCACUUGGGCUUCAUCUCUACGUAGGACCUUGAGUGAUUCCUUUGAGGCAUGAAUCUUGUUGGUGGGAAUUCUUUUCUUUUAAUUUGUUCUACUAAGUCAAUUCGGGAAAAGAAUAAUUUAUCACACUAAAAAACCAUUGCGAAUUUCAUAGAAAAUAAUCCACUAAAACAUUUCCAAAUUGGAAGGUGAAAUAGAUUUCCUCGAAGUCUUUAAUAUUAGCAUAUGGAUUCUCGCUCCCAUGCCUCUCAACACUGACAGCAACUGCAUUAUGUUUGGUCCGAUUAGGACAUGUUGAGUUGGGGUCACAAAUCUUUAAUUUGACCCUGGCUGGGUUUGGAUGGUCCCCCACUAAUCUUUAAUGGUAGCCUUAUGGUGCAUGAGAAAUGGAAAGGUUUGAAAGAUGAAUGAAAAUUUUUUGGGCUAACUCUUUCACUCAAUUAAUAAAUAAAUAAAUAAAAAGGUUUAUGAAUUUUCAGAAAAAAAGGAUGAGUGGUUCCAUGGACUCCCUUAUUUCCAUGAAAAGUCCAAUUAAGUUAGCACAACCGAGACUACCUAUAGGUUCUCUUAGUUGGAGAAGUUUCAAUACAAGUACAAUUUAAUUAAACCCAAUGCAUUACACUUGCAAGUUGAACCUCCAUGUGAAAUCUUUAAAGCCUCCAUUUGCUUGCCAAUUUGUGGUGUUAAGAGUUCAAUAAUGACCAUCUCAAGUGAAAAUGACUCUCACCAUUAAGCACUUGAGAUACUUUCAAUGGAACCCCUAAACUCCAAUUUCCAAGCAUCAAGGUAUGAUAUUCUAACUAAAAAUAGACAAUCUAUGAUAUCCUUGAAGCAUCCACUCCCUAUUUACUUGCCAAAUUAUAGCAUUAAUGGUCGUCUCAAGUUAAAAUGGCUCUUAUCAUUACGUUCUUGGGAUACCCUCAAAGGAACCCCUAAACUCCAAUUUUCCAACUUCAAGUUAUAGUUUUCUAAUUAAAAACGAAGAGGUCAAACUUAAAAGUUGAAUAAAUCAUUAAUUAUUCAUGGGCUAAAGGGAAGUCGUAAUGAGCCCCAUCUCCUAAAGCUUAAUCUAGUACUCGAAUGACAUGAAAAUUGAAUCAAAACAAAGAACAAAAAAAAGCAUUGAAAACAAAGAUUAAGUUUCGAAGUUAUACAACAUUAAAGAGUAAUGUAGUUAAAUGUAAAUACAGUCUAUUCACAUAGGAAAAUAACAUCCAAAUCUUAUGAAAAUUGGUGAGAAUGAACUUCUAGGAGUCUAGACUUUAAUAAAGUAUAUUUGAACUCAUUUGGAUAUCUCUAGCCACUUUAACUUUAUUAAAACUUUUAUUGGUCAAAAUAGGGUAAUACCUUUGAUUUCCCUGCAACUUUGAUCAUUUGGCUCAACUCAUAUCCACUCUUGCAUUCAGAGAGACCUGAGAGGUUCUCAAGAUUAAAAUUAUUCAUGACACUAGCAAUAAAAAACAACUAGAAAAUACGAGAAAACUGAGCAUAGACAAGGUAGUAUACAAUAAACUAGUUGCGAAGCACUUUUAAUGCUAAAAUGAAACUUACUUCUCUUUCACUCAAUAAAUUAUAAUAUAUUCCGGGAUGGAGCAAAACAAGCAAUUAUUAAACUAUUAAUAUGUAUUGUGCCUAUCUCUUAUUGAUUUCAAAUACUUAAAAGUUAUGUUUGGUUCAAAGAAAGUGUGAUGAAAAAAAAUAAAGAGAAAAAGUAAAGGAAACGAAAAGUGAAAGAUAAAUAAAUAAAUAAAUAAAUUUGAAGUCAAUCAAUAAUUUUUAUAGAUUACUUUAAACUUAUUUAACUCUAAAAGAUUAAAUAAAAUUAAAAUAUAUAAGUUUCUUACUAAUCUCAAUUAUAUUUUUCUUUCUUUUAUACUUUCUAUGAUAAAACCAAAUAUAAGAAAAUCAUUUUUACUUAACAUUUUUCUUUCCUGAAUAUAUGCUUUCUAGGAAUAAAACAAAUCCAAAGUAAUUUUUUCAUAAUGACUAAUAUUUCUAUCUUAGAAAUAACAAUAACCUCUAAUAUCUUCCUUUGUAACCAAAAAAAUCAUUAAUUUCAAUCAUAUUUCACUUUUCCAAAUACUACCUAAUUAUUAAGUAGGUAACACUCGUGUAACCCAUUUAACCUAUUUAAUAAUGAAAGUUUCUUAUUUAAUAAUUAAAUUUAGAUCUUAUAUAUAUCUAUAUGAUUAAUGUUUCUACCAAAUAUAUAUAUAAUUCAAUUGAUUUAUUUAUUUUAAAAUAAAUUUAAAAUGAGUUAAAUAGUUUAAAAAUAUAAUUAGGUAUCCCACUUACGCAACAUACAAAUGAAGUUUCCUACUUCCAGGUCUAUGUCUCCAGCAUUAUUCCCAUCUUUAUGACAAAACAAGAAAUUAUUUGCUUGAAAUUUAAAAUAUCACUAAAAAGGAAAGACAAAUAUAUAUACCACUUUGAAGCCCGCUGAUGUGUGACAUGCCAUGCAUGCUACCAUCAGUAAUACUAUUGCUUUUCCAUUGGGGAGAUAUGCAAGAUGAAAAUUUCCAGGCCCUUCAAUCUCUACGUUUGCCAUGUAUAUAUAUAAUAAAUUAAUAUAAAAUAGUGAGAAAAUGUUAUAUCAAUCCUAACAAAAAAAAAAAUUGAGAGAAUUUAUUAAAAUUUUCUCUUUUAAGUUACGUUUCAUUUAAGAAAGUACAAAGAAAAAAAUGCUUAAAAAAUAAUUUUUGAUUUUUCUAUAGAAAAUAAUGAAAGAAAAUCCAAUAUAAUUAAAAUUAGAUAAAAAUUUUAUAUUGUUAAAUUACUUAAUCUUUGCAUGAAAAAAAAAAAUUAGUGAAAUGAGUUUAAAAUAGUAUAAAAAAAUUAUUAGAAAAUAUUAUUAUAUAUGAUAAUAUAUAUUAUAAAAUAUUAAAUUAAGUAACUUGGAUUAUUUGAACUUUGCUUUGAACCUCACCCAAGUUGAGUUCAAAUUAAAAAUACCUAAUUCAAACCUAACCCAAGUAUUAAAAAUCAAGUCCACCUAAAUAUUUGGCCACCUUAAGUUGUACCAGAUUUUAAUUAUAUUUUAUUUUUUUAUGUUUUUUUAUAGUGAAAUCAAAUAUAAGAAAAGUCAUUUUCUAUAUAUUUUUUUUUUUCUUUUCUUAGUACCUUCUGAAAUCAAACAUAAUUUAAAAGAUGAUAAAUUUAAAAUUGGAAUGAAUGCUUAAGGCAUAAAAUACAUUGGACCUCUCAAUUUAUUAUUUUGCUUCAUUCUAUCCCACAUGGAAGGAAUAAUCAAAAAACAAAAUAAAAUUUAUUGAAGGGAUUCAACUUCUUCUUCGUUGGUUACUUCAUGAACUCAUGGAAUGUAAUCGGACCAUUUGAGAUCAACAAACCACAAACCACUCUUAUCAAAUAUUAUACAGCUACAUUCAAAGUACAAUACAAAUAUAUGUAAGAUCUAAAAUUGCAUAUAGUUUUUUUAAAAAAAAAAGAAAUCUUAAACAAAUGAUAGUUAAGAAUCUAUUUUUGAAAAUAUAAUAUUUUAUAUUCAUACUUAUUUAUAUUAAAUAUCUUUAGAGAAAAGUCCAACAAUCGGUUAAGAUCAGUCCAAAAAGUGUUUUUGAAAAUAAAAAUUAAGAGCAUGUUUGAUAACUAUUUUUAAAAAUAAUUUUUGAAAACUGUUUUUUAAUAUUUUUUUUUCGAAUAAAAGUUUGUUUGAAAAUUUAAAAUCUUUUUAACAUUUUAAAUAUGUUUUCAAAUUAUUUUUAUACUUCAUGUUUUAUUUUUAAUCAUUCUAUAUAUUUGUAGGGGCGGAAACAGUAAGGUUGAUUCAACGUUGAUUCAACGAAACCUUCUUGUUCUCUCUUAUUGAUUUCAUAGCCAAGAAGCACUAAAAAAAUGGAGACCCUUCUUGUUUUUAAAGACCAUAUGGAUUUCAUAGCAAUCAGUGAGUAAGCUUCAGACACGAUAGUUUCUUUUGGGGGUUAACAAGCGAAUAAAUUUCAAGAUUGAUUGAAUUCACAAGAUUUAAAACUAGCUAGAUUAACAAAGAUAAACAAAGAAACAAUUCUAUAUUUUGAUCUUCGUCCAAACGACUGGAUCAACAAUUCUAAAACCUAGAUGAGGGCUUCUCAGGUGUGGUAUACGGGAUCGAGAAGACGGUUGUUUGUUGGUAGUUCGUUGAUUUUGUUUUCUACAUGCGGACACGUGUCAUGGAUUUUCAUUCCCGCUAUUUUCCUCAGUAGCGGCACUCCUGAUCUACUGAGAUUUUAUACAAUAUUUCUUUUAAAAAAAAUACAAACUACUUAAAUUCUUUUUUUUGUUUUUUUUAAAAAAAAAAAAAGAUUUUGUACUAAAUACCCAUAUUUUUAUAACUUUUCUUUUUCUUUUAACUUAAAAAUAGUUAUUAAAAAAAUAGAAAACUAUAUAUAGUAUUUAAAUGAAUAUUAUAUUUUAAGAUUUUUUAUAUUGGUCGUAGAUUUAGAGAGAGAAUAAAAUAUUAUAUAUUUUAUUUUUAUUUGUAAAAAUUUGUGAAAAAAUUCUACUUAUUAUUUAAAAAUUAUUUUAUAUUUCACUUUAUUUUUUAAAACCAUUUCUAGAAAACAUUUUAAAAACAUCACUACCAAACCGGCUUUUAUUUUUUAUUUUUAAAAAUCAUUUAAUAUAUAAGUCAAUAAAAAUAUUACUUUCUUUCUUAUAUUUUUUAUUUAUAUAAAACAUGAAAUUUUAUAAUAUCAAAAUUUAAAAAAAAAAAAAAAAAAAAAGACUAGCCGUUGAAUUCCACUUCAACUUCUCUCCCAUUCUUUGUCUUCAAAUUUGAUAGAUUCUAAUUUUAAAAAUCAACUUGUCAUGAUAAGAACAUUUCCAUUUAUAAUGGAUAUUGAAUGUUAAAAUUCACCUAAAUGUCAUGAACCCUGGAUAAUCAUUAAAAAAAAUAUAGACUCGUUUGAUCAUGUUUUCUAAAACUUGUUUUUAAAAAUUGUUUUUUUUUAAUUAAAAAAUAAAAAAUAAUUUUUAAAACCAAAUUUAAGAAUACAUGGCCAAACCACCCUUAUUUUUUCAUGUUUUAUUUCAAACUAUUUAAUGAGAGGAGAAAAGAUAAAUUAAACUCACUUGGAUUAAUGUAUAUAAAUAAUUUAUUAAUUUUAUGCCUAAAUUAAAAAUGAAGAAAAAAAAAUCCAUUGGGAAGAUGCACCUAAAAAUAUAAUAAAGUAAAACAUAAAUGGCAGAAAAAAUAAAUAUCAAGAAAAUGAGAGACUGUAGAGAUAUCACCUGCUCUGGGUUGUACAAUUCCUACUAGGGAUGGCAACGGGGCGGGUUUUUUCGGGUACCCGCCCCGCCCCGCCCCUAAUGGGAUGGGAUAAAAAUGUAUUAAACGGGUUUGGGACGGGUAUGGGAUGUUUUUAAAANNNNNNNNNNNNNNNNNNNNNNNNNNNNNNNNNNNNNNNNNNNNNNNNNNNNNNNNNNNNNNNNNNNNNNNNNNNNNNNNNNNNNNNNNNNNNNNNNNNNGGCUUUCCUCUUGUGUUUGGUAAUGCCCAACUCCGUAUGCUCAGGCACAAAGCUUCCCCAUUUCUUUUGGUGCACAACAAGGACUCUGGAGUUUCUGGCCUUGAUUUUGGGUGUAAACUGCUUGAUGGGAUGAGGGAAAUGUCAGGUUUUGCUCACUUUGUUGUGUAACUGGAAGUUUAUUUGAAUCUUGUGGUGUACUUGAGUGAGUGUUUGUAGAUUGUUAUUUUGGAAAGAUGGUGUCAUCCGGGCCACCCACUCCCAUAGGUGGAGCCCAACCUGUUCCCCCUUCACUUUUGCGUUCGAAUUCUGGUAUGUUAGGAGCUCAGGCGGGUUCUGUGCCACCCCAAACAGGGUUCCCUUCGCUUGUGUCUCCAAGAACUCAGUACAAAUUUUUUUAAAGUAAUUUUUUUUUAAAAAAAAAAAAAAAAAAAAAAAGCUAAACGGGGCGGGGAAUUGUACUGGUUACAUAUCCAUUCAUCUAAAAAAUGGCCAAUGUGUUGGCUCCAUAGGGCAUUCAUUCAUAAUCAAUAGUCACAUGGUUAGAUAUGCAGUAAAUCCUUUGGUUUGUAGACUAGGUUAUGAGAUCUAAUUUAACCUUUAUUGGACAUAAAAUUCUUAGGAAAUGCCUUGCCUAUGAGAGCUUUUAUAGGAUGUACAAGGGAAAGUGGUGGACAUCCUCUAAAAUAAUUAUGGAGACUAUUUCCUAUUUUUAUACUAACCUNNNNNNNNNNNNNNNNNNNNNNNNNNNNNNNNNNNNNNNNNNNNNNNNNNNNNNNNNNNNNNNNNNNNNNNNNNNNNNNNNNNNNNNNNNNNNNNNNNNNAUAUAUUAAAUGAUUUUUAAAAAUAAAAAAAUAAAAGCCGGCUUGGUAGUGAUGUUUUUAAAAUGUUUUCUAGAAAUGGUUUUAAAAAAUAAAGUGAAAUAUAAAAUAAUUUUUAAAUAAUAAGUAGAAUUUUUUCACAAAUUUUUACAAAUAACAAUAAAAUAUAUAAUAUUUUAUUCUCUCUCUAAAUCUACGACCAAUAUAAAAAAUCUUAAACUAUAAUAUUCAUUUAAAUACUAUAUAUAGUUUUCUAUUUUUUUAAUAACUAUUUUUAAGUUAAAAGAAAAAGAAAAGUUAUAAAAAUAUGGGUAUUUAGUACAAAAUCUUUUUUUUUUUUUAAAAAAAACAAAAAAAAGAAUUUAAGUAGUUUGUAUUUUUUUUAAAAGAAAUAUUGUAUAAAAUCUCAGUAGAUCAGGACCCCGCCCCGUUUAAUUUUUUAAACGGGACGGGGAUGGGAAUUGAUUUUGCUAAACGGGACGGGGUUGGGAUGGGGGCGACCCGUCCCGAACCCGCCCCGUUGCCAUUCCUAAUUCCUACACGCCAAAAUUCUGACGCUUCUUCUCCUACCAUCACAUUCAUACCUUCCCUUUCCCUUUUUUCGUUCUAAUUCCGACCGCAUUACACACUCGAUACCAUCGACACAGCGUUCAGGUUUGCUAAGGAAUAAGGUCAUUUCUGAGAUAUAAAAACAAAAGGAAAAGAAUUAAAGAUGAAACUCAUAAGCUUAAACUAAAUAAUGAGGAGAAGAGAAAGAUUGAAUUUUAUAUCUUGGAAUUUCAUUUUGAAAAUAUUUUUAUUUAAAAUGAAGAUAAUUAUGAAACUUUUAAAAAUUUUGAUAUCUUCUUAUCGCAAAUAUUAUUUUCAAUAAAUCUUCAUAAAUAUUAUCCAUUCAAACAGUUGAAUUCACAUAAAUAUGGACAAAAAUUUAAUUUAAAUCCCCUUAUUUUCUCUAUUUUGAACUGUUUCAUAGUUGAAUGAGUUUAUUUAUAACUAAUAAGAGUGCAACUUGAUCGGAUUCAUAUGACAGAUGCUCAAAGGAAUAAAAGAUGAACAGUAAAAAAAUAAAAAUUAUGUUUUCACCCAAAAAAGAUUAUGACCUUUGUAUUGUACAAUAAUAUUUUUUUUUUAACUUUAUAAAAACAAAAAGAAAAAUUAUGACAAAAAAAAUAUUCCACAAAAACAAAAUUUUAAAAUCGUCAAAAAUAAAAUACCAUUGUAGACCCCAUUUGGGGCACGUUCUCAUUUUUUUCUGCAGGUCAUUUUCUUUGCCAGUGGAGGGCUCUUUCAAGAGCCACGGAGAGGCUGCCAUGGAUUCAGCUAGUGCCAUUGAAUGAGCCAAUGAGGAUGAGACGCCUGUAAAGGGGGAAUCUGCAGAAGCCGUUGUAUAGGAGCGUCUUCUGUUACCGGCAGGAGGGGUUUUUGGUAGAGAGAGGAGGUGGUUUUUGAGGUGGGUUGGCAGAGGAGGUUUACAUAGUUUAAAAAUAUAAUUAGGUUUCCUACUUACGCAACAUCCAAAAUGAAGUUUCCUACUUCCAGGUCUAUGUCUCCAACAUUAUUCCCAUCUUUAUGACAAAACAAGAAAUUAUUUGCUUGAAAUUUAAAAUAUCACUAAAAAGGAAAGACAAAUAUAUAUACCACUUUGAAGCCCGCUGAUGUGUGACAUGCCAUGCAUGCUACCAUCAAGUAAUACUAUUGCUUUUCCAUUGGGGAGAUAUGCAAGAUGAAAAUUUCCAGGCCCUUCAAUCUCUACAUUUGGCAUUUAUAUAUAUAAUAAAUUAAUAUAAAAUAGUGAGAAAAUGUUAUAUCAAUCCUAACAAAAAAAAAAUUAAGAGAAUUUAUUAAAAUUUUCUCUUUUAAGUUACGUUUCAUUUAAGAAAGUACAAAGAAAAAAAUGCUUAAAAAAUAAUUUUUGAUUUUUCUAUAGAAAAUAAUGAAAGAAAAUCCAAUAUAAUUAAAAUUAGAUAAAAACUUUAUAUUGUUAAAUUACUUAAUCUUUGCAGGGAAAAAAAAUUAAUGAAAUGAGUUUAAAAUAGUAUAAAAGAAUUAUUAUAAAAUAUUAUUAUAUAUGAUAAUAUAUAUUAUAAAAUAUUAAAUUAAGUAACUUGGAUUAUUUGAACUUUGCUUUGAACCUCACCCAAGUUGAGUUCAAAUUAAAAAUACCUAAUUCAAACUUAACCCAAGUAUUAGAAAUCAAGUCCACCUAAAUAUUUGGCCAACCUUAAGUUGUACCAGAUUUCAAUUAUAUUUUAUUUUUUUUAUGUUUUUUUAUAGUGAAAUCAAAUAUAAGAAAAAUCAUUUUCUAUAAUAUUUUUUUUUUCUUAGUACCUUCUGAAAUCAAACAUAAUCUAAAAGAUGAUAAAUGUAAAAUUGGAAUGAAUGCUUAAGGCAUAAAAUACAUUGGACAUCUCAAUUUAUUAUUUUGCUUCAUUCUAUCCCACAUGGAAGGAAUAAUCAAAAAACAAAAUAAAAUUUAUUGAAGGGAUUCAACUUCUCCUUCGCUGGUUACUUCAUGAACUCAUGAAAUGUAAUCGGAAAAUUUGAGAUCAACAAACCACAAACCACAAACCACAAACCACUCUUAUCAAAUAUAAUACAGAUACAUUCAAAGUACAAUACAAAUAUAUGUAAGAUCUAAAAUUGCAUAUAGUUUUUUUUUUAAAAAAAGAAAUCUUAAACAAAUGAUAGUUAAGAAUCUAUUUUUGAAAAUAUAAUAUUUUAUAUUCAUACUUGUUUAUAUUAAAUAUCUUUAGAGAAAAGUCCAACAAUAGGUUAAGAUCAACCCAAAAAGUGUUUUUGAAAAUAAAAAUUAAGAACAUGUUUGAUAACUAUUUUUAAAAAUAAUUUUUGAAAAUUAUUUUCUAAUAUUUUUUUCGAAUAAAAGUGUUUGAAAAUUUAAAAUAUUUUUAACAUAUUUUUAAUAUUUUCAAAUUAUUUUUAUAUUUCAUAUUUUAUUUUUAAUCAUUCUACGUAUUUGUAUAAUUAUUUUUUAAAACAAUCCAUAGAAAACAAAUGAAAACAAUUUAAAAAUAAUUUUAAAAUGUUAUUUGAAAACACUCUAUUUUUCGUUCUUAGAAUAAAAUAUAAAAAAUAAAAAGCAGUUUUUUUAUCAAACAUAUUUUUCUAAUUUUUUUUGUCCUAGAUAACAUAAAUUAUUGUCGAAAACAAUUGUCAAACAAGUCCUAAGAAUUAAGUAAAUUUUAAGAAAUAUUAAAAAAAAAUCACUCGUAAUAUUGAAAAAAAAUUUAUAGUGUUUUUUAAAUAAAUAUUUGAUAAGUGAUUCUUCUAAAAAUAUAUUUUUAAAAAAUAUUUACAUUAAAAAUAAUUUAAAUAAAAAUACAAUCGGUGAUAAAAUUUAAAAAACAACCUUUAGAAAAAAACAUUAAAAUAUUAUAUUAUAAAUACUAUAUAACUUACCCAACAUCUAAAAUGAAGUGUCCUACUUCCAGGUCCACUCUCCAAAAUCAUUAUCAUCAACACCAAGCUAAAAGGAAUUUAAAACAAAACAAGAAAUUAUUUGCUUUAAAUUUAAAAUAUCACUAAAAAGAAAAAGACAAUAUAUAUAUAUAUGCCAAUUAGAAGCCAGCUGACGCGUGACAUGCCAUGCACGCCACUGUCAAUAACACUAUUGAUUUUCCUUUGGAGAGAUAGGCAAGAUGAAAAUUUCAAGGCCCUUCAACCUCUAAGUUUGCCUUGUAUGUAUAAUAAAUUAAUCUAAAAUAGUGAGAAAAUGUUAUCACAAUUCUAACAAAAGAAAAAGAUUGAGAAAAUUUAUUAAAAUUUUCUAUUUAAAGUUAUGUUUCAUUUCAGAAAGUAAAAAAGAAAAAAAUGCUUAAGAAAAAUAAUCCAAUAUAAUUAAAAUUAGAUAAAAAUUUUAUAUUUAUAAAUUAUUUAUACUUUUUUUUAAAUUUCUAAUACUAUUUGGUUGUUGUUUUCUGAAAAUAAAUUUUAAAAACAAAGUGAAAUAAAGAGCAAUUUUUAGAUAAUAUGUAAAAGCUAUUUUUUCUAGUUUUUAAAAACAAAAGGAAAACAUAGACCCAUUUAAAUAUGUUUUUUAAAACUUGUUUUUAAAAAAUUGUUUUUAAGUUGAAGAAUAAAAAUCAAUUUUAAAAACAAAUUUUAAAAUAUAUGACUAAAUAAGCCCUUAGUUUUUUAAUUUUAUCGCUCCAAUGGAAGCUCACAAUGAAGAUAAAUUUAUCAAAUGUUAUUAAUAAUUAAUAAUCUUUUUAUAUUUUAUUUUAUAGUAAUUUAAUAACUGAAAAAACUUCGCUCCCUAUUUACUAUAAUCUUUUUUAUAUUAUAUUUUAUAUUAAAAUUGAUAAUUUUAUAUUUAAUUAAUAAUGAUAUCAAAUAAGUGAUGAGAUCAUCUAUUUGAAUUUAUUUUCACAUAUUGUGGAUUGAGAUUUUUUUAUUUUUUUAUUUUUCACUCUGUGUUUUGUCUUAAUAAUAUUUUGAUUAUCACAAAAUAAGAUUAUAUGACUAAUAAAAUUUUUAAACUUUGAUGUUGAAUUUUGAAGGAAAUUAAGUCAAUCAAGAAAUGUCAUAAUGACUCAUUUAUGUAAAAUUGGUGCACUAAAACUUUUUUUUAUUAAAGGCACCUUUCAUUUAUUAAAAAUGUUCUUAAAAUCGAUUUUAUUCAUUUGUAAUUUGGUCAAAAAUUUAUUUGAAGAAAAAACAUGAGCUUAAAGUGGCCUAAAAUAUUUUCAAAAUUAAUAGGAGUUAAUAGUGGUUUGUGCCCUUGCUUUUGAGUCAAAUAAAGAAAAAUUACAUAAAUGGUAAGAGAUAUUUUUGGCAAUAACUUUGCAUUGCUCAAACAAGUUUUUUUUUUUUUUUUUGCAAUAACCACCAGUCACCACCUAGAUCAAUUGGUUUGAGGUGCUUGGCCUCCAAUGAGUAGUUGUACUUCUUGCUACUAAUGGUUGAUAUACCAAUUGAUUAUCAAGGAACCUGUAUCUAAACGAGUAGUUUUCCAAUGCAUCUUAUAAACAAAUGCUUCAAAUUUCAUUUAAUGCUAAAAAGGCACCUUGAAUCUAUGGCUUAUCAAUCUUAAGUGUUGUACAUUAAAUCAAAUAUCAAUCUACACUCGCACACUUAUUAAUAUUAGAUAAUUGUGCUUUCAAGCCAAUUGGGUUUGAUGAUUGGCCCAAGUCCUAUCACUCGUUGUUGGAAACUUGAAUUUCUCCAUUCUUUUAUCCUAGAUCAUAUAAGUGCAAGCAAAACUUAUUUUUACAUGUGAUAACAAUGAAAAAAUUAUUACUUGAGUUUUAUCUAUCAUUCCAGUUACAAGGGAUAUUUCUUAAUAGAACAAAAAUUGUUCAAAAAAGUAUUCAACUAAGGGAUUUUUUCAGAACAUGAAUAAAACCUAAUUAAACUCAAGAACGUCAAUAUACUAAAAAUUAUUAUUUGAGUUUUAUCUAUCAUUCCUGUUACAAGGGAUAUUUCUUAAUAGAACAAAAAUUGUUCAAAAAGGUAUUCAACUAAGGGAUUUGUUCAAAACAUAAAUAAAACCUAAUUAAACUCAAGAACGUCAAUAUACUAAAAAUACCUAUGAUCUUAAAAUUUUACCUUCCAACGAGAAUAAGUUGUCUACAUCCUCUGAAGUUUGUUCUAGUGUUCCUACUACAAUCUAUAAAAAAAAAAAAAUUAAAAAAAAUAAUCAUAUUUUUAGAAAAGAUAGGUAUAAAAAAAAAAUCUCAAAUAUGAAAAGCACCAAAGUUGCUUACUACUUUGUUACCAACCCUGCUGUCACAGCGUAUUGCAUUCAAAACAAUGCAUAUGCCGCUAGACAGAUACGCUGUGGAAACGGCUCUUUCAUCCAUCCUCACGUUGGCACUGUUUUAUAAAAAAUGAUUGACAAAAUGCACAAUGAAAAAAUACAUUUAAAAAGAAAAAAAAAAACUUACGCCUCCCUAACCAGAAACGUAUUCGGGAAAGGUUCACCGUUCAUGGUACACACUGGUCCGAGACUCUGAUUGUGGGUACAGAAGGGCAUAAAUGAUAAAACAGUGUAGACACCCAAGUAUUCUCACGGGAACAGCGAUGGUUGUUUGAGUGGCAUAUAUCGGUUGAAGGUGUUCAUCCAUAAUCUGCACUACCGCAUCUGCAAUAAUUUCCGGUCUCGUAAUACGUAAUGCCAUGUUUUGAGCUGCAAAACCGAGAGUGCAAAAUUUUCUUUCCUCGUGUCACUGCACAGGAGGAAAACAAAAAGGAAUUUUUUUAUUUCUCCGUAUAUAUUCCAGAAAAUUGUAAGGAAAACUUUACUUUUUUUUUUUUUUUUUUUUGUGCUUUUUCCCUUGUUUGGUAACUCGGCAUCAUCUGUCUCAAUGGAUGAUGCCUCAGUACCCUAGAGGCGGAAACAGUAAGGUUGAUUCAACGAAACCUUCUUGUUCUCUCUUAUUGAUUUCAUAGCCAAGAAGCAGUAAAAAAAAUGGAGACCCUUCUUGUUUUUUAAGACCAUAUGGAUUUCAUAGCAAUCAGUGAGUAAGCUUCACGAUAGUUUCUUUCGGGGGUUAACAAACACCAUAUGGAUUUCAUUUCAAGAUUGAUUGAAUUCACAAGAUUUAAAACUAGCUAGAUUAACAAAGAUAAACAAAGAAACAAAGAAACAAUUCUAUAUUUUGAUCUUCUUGGUCCAAACGACUGGAUCAACAAUUCUAAAAGCUUCUCAGGUGUGGUAUACGGGAUCGAGAAGAGAUUUUGGAGGAUAAGAGAGCCUUUUAUAACCAUGACGGUUGUUUGUUGGUAGUUCGUUGAGUUUGUUUUCUACAGGCGGACACGUGUCAUAGAUUUUCAUUCCCGCUAUUUCCCUCACUCUUGAAUUCAUUUCAUGUACACAUGCCAAUUUUUUUGUUUUUUUUUUUAUUUUUAAAAAUAUUUUUCUCUAAAUACCCAUAUUUUUAUAAAAAUACCAAUAUUUUUAUAAAAAUACCAAUACUUUUCUUUUUCUUUUAACUUAAAAAUAGUUAUUAAAAAAAAAUUAGAAAACUAUAUAUAGUAUUUAAAUGAAUAUUAUAUUUUAAGAUUUUUAAUAUUGGUAGUAGAUCUUAGAGGGAAGAGAAUAAUUCAAAUUUAUCUUUUUGUUAAUAUUAUUUAUUUUAUUUUUAUUUUUAAAAAUUUGUGAAAAAAAUUCUACUUAUUAUUUAAAAAUUAUUUUCCAUUUCACUUUAUUUUUAAAAACCAUUUCUAGAAAACAUUUUAAAAACAUCACUACCAAACUAGCUUUUUAUUUUUUUUUAAAAAAAUCAUUUAAUAUAUAAGUCAAUAAAAAUAUUACUUUCUUUCUUAUAUUUUUUAUUUAUACAAAACAUGAAAUUUUAUAAUAUCAAAAUUUAUAAAUAAAUAAAUAAAUAAAUAAAUAAAUAAAACUAAACUAUUGAAUUUCACUUCAACUUCUCUCCCUUUCUUUGUCUUCAAAUUUUAUAGAUUCUAAUUUUAAAAAUCAACUUGUCAUGAUAAGAACAUUUCCAUUUAUCAUGGAUAUUGAAUGUUGAAAUUCACCUAGAUGUCAUGAACCCUGGAUAAGGUUCAUUUGAUCAUGUUUUUUUAAACUUAUUUUUAAAAUCUGUUUUUUUUUCUUUAAUUAAAAAAUAAAAAAUAAUUUUUAAAAACAAAUUUAAGAAUACACGGCCAAACCACCUUAUUUCUUAUGUUUUAUUUCAAACUAUUUAAUGAGAGGAGAAAAGAUAAAUUAAACUCACUUGGAUUAAUAUAUAUAUAAAUAAUUUAUUAAUUUUAAGCCUAAAUUAAAAAUGAAGAAAAAAAAAAAACUUACCCUUCUUUGACAUGAUGCAAGUUAGGAUAGGGUUUUCCAUUGGGAAGAUGCACCUAAAAAUAUGAUAAAGUAAAACAUAAAUGUCAGAAAAAAUAAAUAUCAAGAAAAUGAGAGACUGUAGAGAUAUCACCUGCUCUGGGGUUCUACAAUUCCUACAUGCCACAUUCAUACCUUUUUUCGUUCUAAUUCCGACCGCAUUACACACUCGAUACCAUCGAUACAGCGUUCAGGAUAUAAAAACAAAAGGAAAAGAAUUAAAGAUGAAACUCAGAAGCUUAAACUAAAUAAUGGGGAGAAGAGAAAGAUUGAAUUUUAUAUCUUGGAAUUUCAUUUUGAAAAUAUUUUUAUUUAAAAUGAGGAUAAUUAUGAAACUUUUAAAAAUUUUGAUAUCUUCUUAUCCCAAAUAUUAUUUUCAAUAAAUCUUCAUAAAUAUUAUCCAUUCAAACAGUUGAAUUCACAUAAAUAUCGGUAAAAAUUUGAAUCCCCUUAUUUUCUCUAUUUUGAACUGAGUUUAUUUAUAACUAAUAAGAGUGCAACUUGAUCGGAUUCACAUGACAGAUGGUCAAAGGAAUAAAAGAAGAACAAUAAAUAAAUAAAAAUUAUGUUUUCACCCAAAAAAGGAAAAUUUAAUAUAAUAUAUAACAUAAUAAUAAAAAUAUACUGAAAAAAUAUUAAUAAUUUUUUAUUUUUUUAUAGAUAAAAGAUUAAAAUAUAUUUUAUUUAAUAUAAGGAGAUUGAUGAUUAAAAAUACGAUUAUGACUUUGUAUUGUACAAUAAUUUUUUUUUAAAUUUUAUAAAAACAAAAAGAAAAAUUAUGACAAAAAAUAUUCCACAAAAACAAAAUUUUAAAAUUGUCAAAUACGAUUAUGACCUUUGUAUUGUACAAUAAUUUUUUUAUUUUUUUUAUUUUAUAAAAACAAAAAGAAAAAUUAUGACAAAAAAAUAUUCCACAAACAAAAUUUUAAAAUCGUCAAAAAUAAAAUACCAUUGUAGACCCCAUUUGGGGCUCGUUCUCAUUUUUUCUGCGGGUCAUUUUCUUUGCCAAGUGGAGGGCUCUUUCAAGAGCCACGUGCUGCCUCAAGAGAGGCUGCUAUGGAUUCAACUAGUGCUAUUGAAUGAGCCAAUGAGGAUGAGACGCCUGUGAAGGAGGGAAUCUGCAGAAGCCGUUGUGUAGGAGCGUAUUCUGUUAGGAGGGGUUUUUGGUAGAGAGAGGAGGUGCUUUUUGAGGUGGGUUGGCAGAGGAGGGAGGUGCGUUUUGAGACGUUUUGGGAGGAGAAAAGGUUAGCUUGAGAGGAGAGUUUUGCUGGAGGAGAGGAGUUGCAGGGAUAUUUUCGGAGAGGGAUUCUUUCUUGGAGGGCACGAGAGGGGGGAUGCAUUUUUGAAGAUCUACAGAGGAGGCUUCCUGGAGCAGAGAGAGGAAAGAGCCUGAGAUAUUUUGAGGUUACUAGGAAGAGAGAGAGUUGCAGGCAGCUUAAAGGAGAAGAAGGUAAAGGUAUGACUGCCACUAAUCCUUUGUUUUGCUUCGUUGGUAAAUAGUCUCUUUCUCUUUUCUCAAUAUUUUCUGUGGAUUGCUUGACUUGUGUUUAGCUUUUAUGGUUCAUGUUUGGUUGCUAUCUCCUUCAUUUUCUUUGGGAUGAUUCGAGAGUAGCACAGCUCUGGUUUAGUUUCACUAUGCAUCAUGUGGAAGUCUUGUUAUUUUUAUUUCAAUUCCAUGGGAUACUUGUUUGAUUUCACUCACCCUCAUCUAAGCCCAUUGAUUCAAACAUGAAAUGUGGCUUUGUAUGGGUUCGUUUUAUCCCCUCCCCUUGUGCUCUGUUUUCUCUGUUUUUCCCUGUUCCUGGUACCCAUCCAUGGUGUGCAUCAGUUUUCUCAUCGGUGUCUAAGGAAGGAGGAAGCAGUAGCAUCAUAAGUCGCCAUGGUGAAGUACUCUAGAGAGUCAGACAAUCCCACCAAGUUUUGCAAGACCAGGGACUCAGAUUUCAGAGUUCAUUUCAAGAAUACCAGGGAGACUACUGAUGCAACCAGUAGGUUGCUUUUGACCAUGGCCAGAGAGUAUUUAGAGGACGCCCCAGUCCACGAGCAAGCCAUGCCUUUCACCCGGUUUUGUAGAGGUGUUGGACGAACUGCUCAGGCAAAGAAUAGACAUUCAAAUGGGCAAGGAUGUUCGUCUGUCAAAUCUGUUAAAUACAUCCUAGUUUUGCUUAAACACGCUGAGAGUAACGCAGAUUUGAAAGGUUUGGAUGUUAAUUCACCCUACAUAUCUCACAUCCAAGUGACUCAGGCAUAGAAACAAAGGACACCAGAUAAAAUCGCAAGUGUAUGGCCCUACAGAACCAAAACGAGCAUGAGCUCUUUAGCUCUCAUCGUUUUGCACAUAAGCAGCUCACUUUGUAGAGCGCAUGAAGAAAAAGGACUGACAUAGAGCCAUGCACUGGAGGUUUUCAUUUCCGUUCUCUAUACCUAUCCCACAGUUCCUCCUCCCUCUUUCCAACCCCUGAUCAAAACCAUCGGCACUACGCUCCAUUUCCGCAGCCGGCAAUGUCGGCUACCGCAUUAUUGCAGAAGGCAGCACAAAUGGGGGCAGCCGCAUCAAACGCGUCCUUGCUUCGGGGCUUAGGAUCGGCAAUGUCACCGUCUUCGUCUGCACAGCAAGAUAGCAGCACCACCCAGUGGAGCGGGCAUGUAAAGGCAGAUAACAAUCCGGUAGGAGCUGGGCUGGGAUUGGGACUUCCCUCGGAGGGAGGCCCUGCUUUAGUCGGGCUAAUGAUGGGUCCAUCAUCGCUAUUUGUGAACAAGCCAACCACUCUUGUUCUCCUCGGGCUGGGUAUGGUUCCUGGUGGCGCUUCCACGGCUGGACUCUCUGCACUGCUUGCUUCUAUCAGCGGUGGCGGCCUUGAUAUUGCAGCUGCCGGAUCCCCUUUUGGAGGAGCAGCAACUGCUACUGCCGAGGCUGCACCUGAUAAAAAGCAUAAUGGGCCUGCUCUCCUAUAGAAGAUAAUUUCCUGUAUUUUUAUUAUGGUGGGGUUAACGCCUGUCAUGAUCCUUCCUCCAAUAGACGUAAUAGCGGGUCAAAAACGACACUACAAUAGGAAGACCCAUGCAUCACAAAGGAGAGUCCUCUAAUACAGUGCAGCCAGUCCCUAAUACUAUGAGCAAGCAUCCAUUUUCUAUGUCCAGAUGCCAACCCAAUGGCACUGAACCCGAAGCUUUCUGCCAGUCCACUCAUCGAUUGAGGAGACCAUACCCAUAUGCAUGACCGUUUUUUGACGCAUGCAUGACCUUCUUGAAAGAUAUGGAGAUGUUUGGUGCGCCUAGAGCUUGACUGGCCACAUGUGAUGGGAUUUAGAGAGGGUAUUUAGUGCCGACAUACUGAACCUUUUGACAAAGCUGUACGUGAAGGAGUAGCAUUAUCAAUCCCAUUCAGUUUCAAAGACGUCCACUUCCCUGAAACCAUCAAGUCUGGUGGCAUCCUUGUGGGUUCAUUUCAUGUUGUGGGUGUUUCGGUUGUUUGUGUGGCAGGAAACAAAGCCACAGAGCUUGCUUUUAUAUCGAUGUACCAAUGUAUUAAAGCUGGCAGAUUCGGGAUUGGCAAGUGCACUUAGUUUCUGUUAAGACAUUCAUACAUAAGGUGAUGGUUUUUGUGGUGUAGAGCACCUAAAAUACUGCUUGGACUACGUCACUAUUCCUCUCCUGCUGGUGUGUAGUCUGUGGGUUGCAUAUUUGCUGAGAUGGAGAACCAGCUAUCAUUGUUUCCCGGGUCUUCAAAGCGGGAUUCAUUUAGGCAACCCCAUGGUAUCCAAUCACAUAUGAUGCCGGAAGAGGUGGGACUGGUUCAGCCUAUUCAGGUCAGUUUUCCAGAGGAGCGGCUGGGUAAGGAAAUUCAAGUUGUAGAUGCAGAGAGCAUGGUGGAAGUGAAGGAUCUUUCGCAAAUCUGACUGGUAAUGGUACUGUUGAAGGAUGUGUUGAUAGUGUUCCAAAUGGUGAUGCUGGUGUGGAAGAGCUACAGGAGAGUGGCAAUGGCUACAUGGCAGACGCACCUCCCAAGUUCCUAAUCAUUGAUGAUGAUUAAAGGAGCCGAUCGGUAAAGAGAACAAGGAUCCCAUAUGCGAUUUCAUGAGACUGCAUGCAACUCUGAACCAGUUGGAAGCACUCCUCUCAGUUUCGCUGCCAAGUCUGCAGCACUAGAAGAAGUCAUUGAUGACCUUGCAUGGCCACUAUCCCUCCAUUCGGGACCAUUACAUGUUUGCUGAUUUGGAUUUGAGUAGAAAGAAAGGUGGGAAAGGUGAUCCUGAGUGCUCGGGUAAUCAUGAAACGACUCGUGAUUAUGGCAAGCUAAUUGAGGUCUUCAUAGUAGACAAGCCAGCCACUCUAACUGAUUGGGAAAGGUCGUUAGCUUUCAGCAAGGAAUGGAGUAAUAUCCACCCUCAUUUCUACAAGCGCUGUCAGUACCUAGCAGAUAGUGAAGGGGAUACUGGGAAUAGACACAGCCUGCUCCGUCUUGGUAGGAAGCUAAAGGAGAUUGAUGAAGAUGUAAAAAGACAUAGUGAGCUUCUGGAAGUGAUAAAGGGGAACGACACCAGUUGACAUCAGUACAGUUGUUGCCAGGCAUUGGAAGGAAUUCUACUUCUUGGGCUUUUGGUUAAAAGCAAGGCAGUACAUAAUCAAUCAAUGAAUCUGUCAGCCCUGAUUGGAAACAUUGAGAAUCAGAUCAUCACAAUGCUCGAAACACUGCCAGGUAUUUCAUGGAUCAGUUGGGCCAUAAAAUUGAAACUAGAAGGAAUAUGUUGUCCCAGAAAGAAAUGAAACACCUUGAAGUGGCCCAAAACCCAAUGCUCUGCAAGUAAAGAUCCAGUGACAGCACCCACACACCAGUAAUGCAGUCUCAAUCAUACCUAUAGGCCCCACUCCUACAUGGCCACUUCCUCUCCGCAUUUCACAUUUCCUUGUGAUUUUUCAUUCUAAAUUGGUUUUCUAAAAUCUGCUUUCCAUCAAAGCAAUCAGAAUUUUUUUUAACUUCAUCCUUAAGAGUUUUUAGAUACUUUUUGCAAGCCACUUUCGAAUUUUCUUUGAUUUUCAAAAUAUUUUAGAAUAAGGGUGAAUUUAUUUUUCAUAAUUCUUGGUGAUGAAAUUUACAAAAUCGAUUCAUUCAAAAAUAAAUUGGGUUAUGGUGGGGGCUCGACAUCAAAUAAAUUUCCUUUAAAAUAAAAAUGGAUUUGAAUGAAAUAUCAUGCAUGCUAUUGGUGGUUCUUCAUCUUGUUUGGUGAUAUGAGUGAUAUAUUUUGUAUUCAUUACUGUGCACUAACCCUCUCUCUUGAUAGCGCAUGGUGGCUCAUUACCCAAGUAUGCACCCACUUUCACUCUGGUCAUUGUCUAUACAUGUUUUGAUUCCUACAUGUGCAUGAUUGAUUUGGGUAUCCAUUGAUUUUUUUAUUGAUUGUCACAUUAACUUUAUUUUAUUAGUAGAGACUCGUCUAUAGGGACUUAGAGGGGUGCUACAAUCUUGUUCAAAUUGAUGAAUGGUAGUUUUUCAUUCAUACUUUCUUUCGUUCAUGUACAAAGUAUAUAUAGAGGGUAAUCAUCAUUCUAAGAAUGGGAAAUGAUUAUACAAGGAAAGAAUAAUAUAAGGAAAUAACAACUAAUAUACUAAUAUCUCAACUUUCCUAAUAUCUCAAUAUUCAUAAUAUCUUAACUUUCCUAAUAUCUAAACAUUCCUAAUAUCUCAACACUCUCCCUCAAGUUGGUGCAUAGAUGUCACACAUGCCCAACUUGUCUAAAAAAUUUUGAGAAUACUUGACUUGAGACAGCUUUGGUGAGGAUAUCGGCUAACCAAUCUUGCUUUCCACCUUGGAUCAACUAAGGCUUCCUACACACCGUUAGGAAUAACUACAGUAGAUAAUUGAUUUACAAAUGACUUAUUUGAUUCAGACAAAUGAUGGUUAGACACAUAGUUGCUCAUGGGAUAUUUGACUUUGGUAGACAAAUCAGGUUCAUAUGUGGGUUUAGGAAUACCUCUAUUAUGACGAUGUGGUAACGGUUUCAUGAAUGGAUCGGGUUCCAAAUUAAGAACUCCCUCAACAGACGACGAUUGGUUUGGUAUUUCAGUGAAGACAUCUUCGGACCCAAAUUGUUGACCACUCAAAUCCAACUCACCCACUUCCUGGUUCACUAGUUCAGAUUGUCCAGAUUCAUCUUCCUUAGAGAUAUGAUAAUCAUAAUCAAGAGUCUGAAUUUCCUUAUGGUAGUCCCCCUGAAGUUCAUACUCAGAUGAAAAAUAUAUCGAAUCUUCAUGAAACACCACAUCCAUUGUAAUAUACAUUUGUCGAGUUGGAGGAUGGUAACAUCGAUAUCCCUUUUUGUGCAAUGCAUAUCCAACAAACACACAUUGCAAUGCAUGGGAAGUUAACUUAGUGCAUUGGUGCUUGUGUAGAUGCACAAAUGCCACGCAACCAAAAACACGAGGAGGUAGAUUUGGGACGGUUAGGGCAACUACGACAUUAGUAAGAGCUUGGAGAGGUGUUUGAAAGUUAAUUGAGUUAGAAGGUACCCGAUUGAUCAAGUAUACGGCAGAUGUGAUUGCUUCUCCCUAAUAAGAUAUCGGUGUUUUUGCUGCUAUCAAGGAAGCACGAACAACCUCUAACAAGUGCCGAUUUUUUCGUUCAACGAUUCCAUUUUGCUGGGGUGUAUUGGAACAAGUAGUUUGAUGAAUGAUGUCAUGUCCUUCCAAAUACUUUUGAAGAUCAGAACUUUGAUAUUCUCCACCAUUAUCACUACGCAGAACCCAAACCUUUGCAUUGUACUGAGUUUCAAUCAUUUUAUGAAAUUUUUGAAAUAACAAGUUCACUUCAUCUUUGGUCUUCAUCAAGCAUAACCAUGUCAUUAUGGUACAAUCAUCAAUAAAAGUAACAAACCAACGCGAACCACUCAAAGUUGGGACUUUGGAUGGGCCCCAAACAUCAGAAUGUAUAACCAUAAAAGGAGACGGACUUUUAUUCAAAAUUAAUGGAAAGGAAGCACGAUGGCUUUUAGCCAAUUCACAUAUAUCACAACGGAAACCAGAAAUAUCACUCUUUGCAAACAAACUAGGAAAUAAUUUUUUUAAAUAACCAAAGGAAGCAUGUCUCAGACGUCGAUGCUAUAACCAAAUUUCAGACUUUUUCUUCUCCCCCUCAGAUCCAUCUGCCAUCAAGGCUUGUCGUAACUUAUUUGAAUCCUUUGACUGCAAGUCCAAAUAAUAGAGUUUUCCCCGCUUAAUACCAAAACCAAUCAUCUGUCUUGUUUGGAUGUCCUUAAAAACACAAAAUUUAGGCCAAAAAAUGACAAUACAAGAUAAGGCUGCAGUGAUUUGAGAAACUGAUAAAAGAUUGUAAUUUAAGGAUGGAGCAACUAAAAUAGAAUUCAAAUUCAAAGUAUCAGUAAGAGUUAAGGAUCCUUCCCCAAUGACUGGGGUUGUGUUACCAUUGGCUGUGGAAACAAAUUUUUGUGAGGAAUGUCUAACGGGUGAGACCUAUCUAGAAUCAAAAGUCAUAUGAUCUGUAGCACCAGAAUCAAUUAUCCAUGCAUUAUUAAUAACAGGUGUAGAAGUAUUUAAAAACUUACCACCAUAAUCUGUAGCGGCUAUCAAUGCAGAGGCUUUCUCAUCAACAUUAGCCUCUGUUUUUAUUUCGGCAAUAGCUGCAGUCGAGGUUUUCUUGGAAUCCUUCUUCCGUUGAUCACGAUUGUGAUCCCACCAGUCUGGAUAUCCCACAAUUUCAAAGCAACGACUCUUGGUAUGACCAAUCUUAUUGCAGUGAGUGCAUUUGAAGGUUAACUUAUCAAUAUUAGGGUCUGUCUUAGGAUGGUUGGUCUUGGAUUGAUCCUGCCAAUUUCGGGUUGAUUGUUGUCGAACUACCAUAGCUAAGGUGUCAGGGUUGUCAGAUUCUGCUUUCAUACUAGCAUGACGUACUGUCUCUCGUCGAAUCAGUGCAUAGCAUUCUUCCAAAUCGGGAAGAUGAUCUUUGCGUAGAAUCUCUCCUCGAACUUGCUCAAAGUCACCACCCAAUCCAGCAAGAAAGAUGUGCACCCGUUGUCGUUCAAUGGAUUUCUGGUAUGCUGCAAUGUCUUCAGGGUCUUUCAUGACUACCUUAUCCCGAUGAUCCAAUUCGCAAAAGAUUCAGUUAACUCUUCAUAAUAUUCAGAAAGAGAUCUGUCGUUUUGUUUGGCAGUGAAGGCUUUUUGAUUCAAAGUGAAAACUUGUAAUUCAUCACUUCCAUCAUAGAAGGCCUUUGAUAAUGCACUCCAAAUUUCUUGAGCGGUGGGUAAGCGUAAGUAACGCUUCAUAAUUUCUGGACUCAUGGACAUUAACAACCAUCUCUUCACCUUUUGAUUCUCAGCAUACCAUUUUUCAUAUCCAUCUUCUGACUCUUUUGGUAGAUUUGUCUUACCACGGAUGUAGAAAAGUUUUUCCCGUUCGGCAAUAUGCAUCUCUACGAGUUGUGACCAAACGUCAUAGUUUGAUUCAGUCAAAAUAAUUCAUGGAUUGAAAGUACCUUCAGAUUGAAAAACAAUAGUACUUUUUUCACUCAUUUUUUUUUAUCUCUCAAAGGAGGGGCAAUUGUUGGCCUUACGACAAAAUAUCCAGGAUUUCAGUUCCCUGGCUCUGAUACCAUGUUCAAAUUGAUGAAUGGUAGUUUUUCAUUCAUACUUUCUUUCAUUCAUGUACAGAGUAUAUAUAGAGGGUAAUCACCAUUCUAAGAAUGGGAAAUGAUGAUACAAGGAAAGAAUAAUAUAAGGAAAUAACAACUAAUAUCCUAAUAUCUCAACUUUCCUAAUAUCUCAAUAUUCAUAAUAUCUUAACUUUCCUAAUAUCUAAACAUUCCUAAUAUCUCAACAAAUCUUUGUCAUACUUUCCCGAUAAGUAACCUGACCCCCGAACCCGAUCCAGUUUUUCACAGACCACCUUUUUCAAAUAAUGAGUCACACUUAGGGUUUUCUAUCUUAUUUUGUUUACCCUUUUAAAAAUAAAACAAAAAUAAGUGACGACUCAAAGUUAUUUUCUAAUAAAUAAAAUCAAUUUUUUAAAUAAAAAUCGAGCUCGCCAUCGAGUGGAAGCGCAUGAGACGAAAUGCGAAGUCCACAACCAUAUAAGCAUAUAAAUCAUUAAUUAAUUAAACUAAAAGAUCUUACAAAAAUAAAAAAUCACAUAAUUUCAUAAAUCAAUAAAUAAUUAAACUAUAGAUAUUAUCUACACACUUUACUUUUUGCCUAGCAUGUCAAGCUUCCACAAUUUUAGAUUCAAAAAUAAAAGAACUGCUCCAAUGGAAGUUGACAAUCAAGACAAAUGUAUCAAAUGCUACUGAGAAAUUCACUACAUAUAUUGAAAAACUUCAAUCCCUAAUUAAUACUUUUUUUUAUAUUCUAGUUUAUAUUAAAUUUAAUAAUUUUAUAUUUAGUUAAUAACGAGAUCAAAUAAGUGAUGAGAUAAUUUGUCUGAGUUAUCAAUGUUUAAUAAUAACCUAGUUCUAUUGUCUACUUGAGAAUCAUUAUUAGUGCUAUAGUGUUCGGAUAUAUAGUUAAAUUCUUUCUUUAAACAAUCACUAAUAAGACUACAAAUUAAAAAAAAAAAAAACCAAUUCACUCCAAAUUCUUCUUUCCUUUUUUUGGAUCAUUGCGACCUCAACUUUAUCUCCAUAUAUGAUUGAAUUAUAAAAGAUGCCUUAUUAGCUCUAUUCUUUAUGGAAUCAUAAAAAUUCUUAAUAUUAUAUAUGUAUGAGUUCUUCUUCAUGUUUGCACUGUUUAAUAAAAAAUGAUUGACAACAUUCAUAAUGAAAAAAAAAAAAAAAAACAAGCUACGAAAGAAAAAAAAAAUUUACAUGUGGUAACAAUAAAAAAAUUAUUAUUUCCUUAUAUUUUUAGUCAUCAUUCCUGUUAUAAGGGAUAUUUCUUAACAUAACAAAAGUUGUUCAAAAAAUUUAUACUACAAAGAUUUGGUGUGAAGAUAUGACACGUGCAAAAAAAAUCAAGUCGGUUAAGGGAUUUCCUCAGACAUCCUGAAAAGCAUAAAUAAAACCCAAUCAAACUCAACAACGUCGGUAUACUAGAGAGACCUAUGAUGUUAAAUUUUACCUUCCAAUGAGAAUAAAUUGUCCCUUGCUUACAUCCAAUGAAGUUUGUUCCCAUGUUCCUACUGCAAUCUAUAAAAAAUAAAGUAAAAAAAAAAUAUUUGUAGAAAAUAUAGGUAUUAUAAAAAAAAUCUCAAAUAUUAAAAGCACAAAGUUACUUACAACUUUGUUACCAACCUUGUUGUCACAGCCUUUGGAGCGUAUUGCAUUCAGAAUAAUGCAUAUGUCGCUAGGUAGAUACGUCGUGGAAACGGCUACAUAACUUUCAUCCAUCUUCAUGUUUGCACUAUUUUAUAAAAAAUUAUUGACAACAUACAUAAUGAAAAAGUAAAAUUAAAAAAUAAAAAAUAAAUGUGGUAACAAUGAAAAAAAAUUAUUAUUUCCUUAUAUUUUUAUUCAUCAUUCCUCAUGGGAUAUUUCUUAACAAAACAAAAACUGUUCAAAAAAUUAAUACUACUUAGAUUUGGUGUGAAGAUAUUGCGCGUGCAAAAAAAAAAUCAAGUCGUUAAGGGAUUUCCUCGGACAUCCUAAAAAGCAUAAAUAAAACCUAAUCAAACUCAACAACGUUAGUAUAGUAAAGAGACCUACGAUCUUAAAUUUUACCUUACAACAAGAAUAAACUAUCCUUUACUUACAUCCUCUGAAGUUUGUUCCCGUGUUCCUACUGCAAUCUAUAAAAAAUAAAUUUAAAAUAAAAAUCAUAUAUUUAGAAAAGCUAAGUAUUAAAAAAAUAUUAAAUAUGAAAAGCACAAAAUUACUUACCACUUUGUUACCAGCCCUGCUGUCAUAACCUUUGCAGUGUAUUUACAUUCAGAAUAAUGCAUAUGUCGUUGGGCAGAUACAUUGUGGAAAAUAACUGCAUAACUUUCAUCCAUUUUCACGUUUGCUCUGUUUAAUAAAAAAUUAUUGACAACAUACAUAAUGAAAAAAUAAAUUUUAAAAAAAAUAAAAGCAAUAGAAUUUUAAGAAAAUAAAAAUUUACAUGUGGUAACAAUGAAAAUUUUUAUUAUUUCUUUAUAUUUUUAUUCAUCAUUCCUGUUAUAUGGGAUAUUUGUUAACAGAACAAAAACUGUUAAAAAAAUUUAUACUACUUAGAUUUGGUGUGAAGAUAUGGUGCGUGCAAAAAAAAUAAAGUCGGCUAAGGGAUUUCCUUGGACAUCCUGAAAAACAUAAAUAAAACCUAAUCAAACUCAGCAACGUUAGUAUACUAAAGAGACCUAUGAUCUUAAAAUUUUACCUUUUAACAAGCAUAAACUCUCCCUUGCUUACAUCAUUUGAAGUUUGUUCUUGUUCCUACUGCAAUCUAUAAAAAAUAAAUUUAAAAAAAAAUCAUAUUUUUUAAAAAGAUAAGUAUUUUAAAAAUAAAAAUAAAAUCUCAAAAGCACCAAAUUACUUACCAAUUUGUUAUCAACCCUACUAUCAUAACCUUUGCAGUGUAUUGCAUUUCGAAUAAUGCAUAUGCCGCUAGACAGAUAUGCCAUGGAAACGGUUGCUGAACUUUCAUCCAUCUUCACGUUUGCAUUGUUUUAUAAAAAAAUUAUUGACAACAUACAUAAUGAAAAAAUAAUUUUUUUUUUUUAAAAACAAAGCAACGGAUGAAAUAUAUAUAUAUAUAUAUAUAUAAAUUUUAUUAAUUCCGUAUAUUUUUAUUUAUCAUUCCUUUUACAAGGGAUAUUUCUUCAUAGAACAAAAUUGUUCAAAAAAUUUAUACUACAUAGAUUUGGCGUGAAGAUAUGGCACGUGCAAAAAAAUAAAAUCGACUAAGGGAUUUCUUUUGACAUCUUGAAAAGCAUAAAUAAAUCCUAAUCAAACUCAACAACGUCAGUAUACUAAAAACACCUAUGACUUAUAUUUUUAUUUAUCAUUUCUGUUAUAAGGGAUAUUUCUUAAUAAAACAAAAAUUGUUCAAAAAAUUUAUACUACUUAGAUUUAGUGUGAAGAUAUGGUGCGUGCAAAAAAAGUAAAAUCGGCUAAGGGAUUUCUUCGAACAAACUAAAAAGCAUAAAUAAAACCUAAUCAAACUCAACAAUGUCAGUAUACUAAAAACACAUAUGAUCUUAAAAUUUUACCUUUCGAAGAGAAUAAAUUGUCCCUAGCUUACAUCAUUUAAAGUUUGUUUUCGUGUUCCCUUGCUUACAUCCUUUAAAGUUUGUUUUCGCAUUCCUGCUGCAAUCUAUAAAAAAUAAAUUUAAAAAAAAAUCAUAUUUUUAGAAAAGAUAAGUAUUAAAAAAAUCUCAAAUAUGAAAAGCACAAGGUUACUUACAACUUUGUUACCAACCCUAUUGUCAUAGCCUUUGCACCGUAUUGCAUUCAGAAUAAUGCUUAUGUCGUUGGGCAAAUACGUCAUGGAAAUGGCUGCAUGGGAUAUUUCAUAAUUGAACAAAAAUUAUUAUUUCCUUUUAUUUUUAUUCACCAUUCCUGUUACAUGGGAUAUUUCAUAAUUGAACAAAAACUAUUCAAAAAAUUUAUACUACUUAGAUUUGGUAUGAAGAUAUGGUGUGUGCAAAAAAAAUCAAGUCAGCUAAGGGAUUUCCUUGGACAUCCUGAAAAGCAUAAAUAAAACCUAAUAACACUCAACAACGUCAGUAUACUAAUCAGGCGUAUGAUCUUAAAAUUUUACCUUCCAACGAGAAUAAACUCGCCCCCUUGCUUACAUCCUCUAAAGUUUGUUCCCAUGUUCCUACUGCACUUUAUAAAAAAUAAAUUAAAAAAAAUCAUAUUUUUAGAGAAGAUAGGUAUUAAAAAAAAAAAAAUCUCAAAUAUGAAAAGCACCAAGUUACCUACAAAUUUGUUUCCAACCCUACUAUCACAACCUUUGCAGUGUAUUGCAUUUAGAAUAAUGCAUAUGCCGCUAGGCAGAUACGCCGUGGAAACGGUUGCAGAACUUUCAUCCAUCUUCACAACCUUAUUAUCACAACCUUUUCAAUGUAUUGCAUUAAAAAAAAAAGCAACAGAAGUCUAUAUAUAUAUACACACGCAGUAACAAUGAAAAAAAUUAUUAUUUCCUUGUAUUUUUAUUUAUCAUUCUUGUUACAAGGGAUAUUUUUUCACAGAACAAAAAUUGUUCAAAAAAUUUAUACUACUUAGAUUUGGUGUGAAGAUAUGACGCAUGCAAAAAAAGUAAAGUCAGCUAAGGGAUUUCCUCAGACAUUCUGAAAAGUAUAAAUAAAACCUAACCAAACUCAAUAAUGUCAGUAUACUAAAAACACCUAUGACUUAUUUUUAUUUAUCAUUCCUGGUACAAGGGAUAUUUCUUAACAUAACAAAAACUGUUCAAAAAAUUUAUACUACUUAGAUUUGGUGUGAAGAUAUGGCGCGUGCAAAAAAAGUAAAAUCGGCUAAGGGAUUUCCUCAGAUAUCCUGAAAAGUAUAAAUAAAACGUAAUCAAACUCAACAACGCCAGUAUACUAAAAACACCUAUGAUCUUAAAAUUUUACCUUCCAAUUAGAAUAAACUGUCCUUUGUUACAUCCUUUGAAGUUUGUUCCCAUGUUCCUAUUGCAAUCUAUAAAAAAAUAAACUAAAAAUAUAUAUAUAUUUUUAGAAAAAAUAGGUAUUAAAAAAAAUCUCAAAUAUGAAAAGCACAAAGUUACUUACCACUUUGUCACCAACCCUGCUAUCAUAGCCUUUGCAACGUAUUGCAUCUAGAAUAAUGCAUAUGCCGCUAGGCAGAUAUGUCGUGGAAAUGGCUACAUAACUUUCAUCCAUCUUCACGUUCGCAUUGUUUUAUAAAAAAUGAUAAACAUACAUAAUGAAAGAAUAAAAUUAAAAAAAUAAAAAAUAAAUAAAAAAACAAGCAACGGAAGCAAAAUACAUAUAUAUACAUAUAUAUUUACAUGUGGUAACAAUGAAAAAAUUUAUUAUUUCGUUAUAUUUUGAUUCAUCAUUCCUAUUACAUGGGAUAUUUCUUAACAUAACAAAAACUGUUCAAAAACUUAUACUAUUUAGAUUUGGUGUGAAGUUAUAGCACGUGCAAAAAAAAUGAAGUCGACUAAGGGAUUUUCUCGAACAUUCUAAAAAGCAUAAAUAAAACCUAAUCAAACUCAACAAUAUCAGUAUACUUAAGAGACCUAUGAUCUUAAAAUUUUACCUUCCAACUAGAAUAAACACUCCUUGUUUUACAUCCGAAGUUUGUUCUCGUGUUAUUACUGCAGUUUAUAAAAAAUAAAUUUAAAAAAAAUCAUAUUUUUUAAAAAGAUAGUUAUUACAAAAAUAAAAAUAAAAUCUUAAAUCUGAAAAGCACAAAGGUACUUACCAAUUUGUUACCAAGCCUAUGUCAUAGUUGCAUUUAGAAUAAUGCAUAUGCCGUUGGCCGGAUACGCUGGGCAGAACUUUCAUCCAUCUUCACGUUCACAUUGUUUUCUAGAAAAUGAUUGAUAACAUACUGAAUGAAAAAAUAUUAAAAAAAAAAAAGAAAAAAGAAACAAGCAAUGAAAGCAAAUAUAUCUAUAUAUAUAUAUAUAUAUAUAUUUACAUGUGGUAACAAUGAAAAAAUUUAUUAUUUCCUUAUAUUUUUAUUUAUCAUUCCUGUUACAAGGGAUAUUUCUUAACAUGACAAAAAUUGUUCAAAAAAUUUAUACUACUUAGAUUUGGUGUGAAAAUAUGGUGCAUGCAAAAAAAAAAAUCAAAGUCAUCUAAGGGAUUUCCUUGGACAUCCUGAAAAGCAUAAAUAAAACCUAAUCAAACUCAACAACGUCAGUAUACUAAAAACACCUAUGCUCUUAAAAUUUUACCUUCCAACGAGAAUAAAUUGUCCCUUGCUUACAUCCUUUGAAGUUUGUUUCUGUGUUCCUACUGCAAUCUAUAAAACAUAAAUUAAAAAAAAAUUCAUAUUUUUAGUAAAGAUUGGUAUUAAAAAAAAUCUCAAAUAUGAAAAGCACAAAAUUACUUACCACUUUGUUGUCAUAGCCUUUGUAGCGUAUUGCCUUCAGAAUAAUGCAUAUGCCACUGGGUAGAUACACUGUGGAAAUGGUUGCAUAACGUUCAUCCAUCUUCACGUUUGCACUGUUUUAUAAAAAAUGAUUGACAACAUGCAUAAUGAAAUAAAAAAAUUAAAUAAAAAAAAAAACAAGCAACAAAAGCAAUAUAUAUUUAUUUACAUGUGAUAACAAUGAAAAAAAUUUAUUAUUUCCUUUUAUUUUUAUUCAUCAUUCCUAUUACAUAAGAUAUUUCUUAACAGAACAAAAACUGUUAAAAAAUUUUAUACUACUUAGAUUUGGUGUGAAGAUAUGGCGCGUGCAAAAAAAAAUCAAGUCGGCUAAGGGGUUUCCUCGGACAUCCUGAAAAGCAUAAAUAAAACCUAAUCAAACUCAACAACGGCAGUAUACUAAAAACACCUAUGAUCUUAAAAUUUUACCUUCCAACAAGAAUAAAUUGUCCCUUGGUUACAUCCUUUGAAGUUUGUUCUCGUGUUCCUACUGCAAUCUAUAAAAAAAUAAAUUAAAAAAAUUAUAUUUUUAGAAAAGAUAGGUAUUAAAAAAAUUUCAAAAAAAAAUCUCAAAUAUUAAAAGGAGAAAGUUACUUACCACUUUGUUACCAACCCUACUGUCACAACCUUUGUAGUGUAUUGCAUUCAAAAUAUAAUUCAUAUGUCGCUGGAUAGAUACGCUAUGGAAACGGUUACAGAACUUUCAUCCAUCUUCACAUUUGCACUGUUUUAUAAAAAAUGAUUGACAGCAUACAUAUUAAAGUUUUUUUUUUUAAAAAAAAAAAAAAACCAAGUGACGGAAGCAAAAUAUAUAUAUAUAUAUAUUUUGCAAGCAGUAACAAUGAAAAAAAUUAUUAUUUCAUUAUAUUUUUAUUCAUCAUUCCUAUUACAUGGGAUAUUUCUCAACAGAAAAAAAAACUGUUCAAAAAUUUAUACUACUUUGAUUUUGUGUGAAGAUAUGGUGCCUGCAAAAAAAAGUCAAGUUUGCUAAGGGAUAUCCUCGAACAUCCUGAAAAGAAAAUAAAACCUAAUAAAACUCAACAACGUUAGUAUACUAAAAACACUUAUGAUCUUAAAAUUUUACCUUCCAACGAGAAUAAACUGUCCCUUGCUUACAUCCUCUGAAGUUUGUUCCCGUAUUCCUACUACAAUAUAUAAAAAAUAAAUAAAUAAAAAUCAUAUUUUUUUGAAAAGAUAGGUAUUAUAAAAAAAAUCUCAAAUAUUAAAAGUACAAAGUUACUCACCACUUUGUUACCAACCCUACUGUCAUAGCCUUUACAGUGUAUUGCAUUCAGAAUAAUGCAUGUCGUUGGGCAGAUAUAUCAUGGAAACGGCUACAUAACUUUCAUCCAUCUUCAUGUUCACAUUGUUUUAUAAAAAAUGAUUAACAACAUACAUAAUGAAAUAAUAAUUUUUUUUUUUAAAAAAAAAGCAACGAAAGCAAAAAAAUAUAUAUUUUUGCAUGUGGUAACAAUGAAAAAAACUUAUUAUUUCCUUAUAUAUUUAUUCAUCAUUCCUAUUACAUGGGAUAUUUCUUAACAGAACAAAAACUGUUCGAACAAUUUAUACUACUUAGAUUUGGUGUGAAGAUAUGGCUAUUAGACUAUUAGAAUCUUUGGCAGAAAAUCCAGGAGUAUUUGCACCAAUUCUUCACUCCAUCCAUUCUUUUUCCAAUUCAAAAUAAUCUAGCUAUUAGCGUAAAUUUCUCCUACAAAUGUGUGUUUGAUUGUUGAUUGUAUUUGAUUGUUUCCUUAUUAUACGCUUGACAUUUCAAUUGUACAGUUAUAAAUAUAAUGGAAAAUUACACGACUAAGGUAUGUUAGCCAAGUCAAAGAUAUCUCGUGUUCUCAUCAAUCUGUUGAAUAGUUAAGAUCUUACAUGGUAUCAGAGCAACAUCCUAUAAGCUCACGCUUUUCAAACGAUCAUUUCUCAAGCUUCCGCAUCAUCCAAAUGGCCAACACCAAUGACACCUCCAUCCCUGAACCCUAUCUCCAUCUACCACCACUAAUUCUAUUAAGCUAGACGGCUCUCAUAAUUAUUUGGCAUGGAAAAUGCAGUUCCUUAAUCUCCUUCGAGGACAGGACUUAGUUGGCUUCAUUGAUGGUACUGACACUUGUCCUCCAAAAAAUCUUACCUUUGGUUCAUUAAAUUCUACCUAUAUUGUUUGGCAGAUGAAAGAUGUUUGUCUCUUUAGAUGGAUCUUGCAUCUCUUUUGGAAAAACUUGUUUCCACUGUUUAUGGAUUGGAAACGUCUAAGUAAGUCUGGAUUGCCCUACAAACUUGUUUUUCUUCUCAAUCUCAUUCCCACAUUUCCCAUCUUAAACCUCAACUUCAAACAUUAACUCAAAGUACCAAAUCCUGUUCCGAGCAUCUUGAAAAUGCCAAAAAUAUUGCAGAUCAAUUAGCAGCAAUUGGUAAGCCUAUUGACGAUCAAGACUUGAUCUCCUUUCUUUUUGGUGGCCUGCAAUCAUCAUACACACCGUUUGUCACAUCUUUUAAUUUUCCAUCCUAUGACACUGACUUCACAUUUGAAGACUUUCAAGCUGAAUUGCUAGGCUAUGAAAAUCUUUUGGAUGUUAAUCAAUCUAUUCCUAGCACAGAUAGUACUCAUUUUGCAUUUGCUGCCAACAAAUCUAAGGCACCUAUUUAUAUGAAAAAGAAAGAAUCUCCACUCCCUCCCACAAAAAUGAAGAAUGCAUGUUCCUCUAAUUAUCGACCACACUAGUAGACCAGAUCUACUCCUCCAUAACUCCCCAACAACUGUCCGGUUUUGUCAAAUUUGUGGUAAAUUUAGUCAUACUACUAUUGAUUGUUUUCACCAUUUUGAUUGUUCAUAUCAAGGUCGUUUCUCUCCUCAAGAUCUCACAGCAAUGGUGGUUGAGACUAAUGCCACAUUUGAUCAUCAAGUGUGGUACAUGGACAAAGGCGCCAAUCCCAUAUUACAUCAGAUGCAACUAAUCUCACUCAUCAGCAGCCCUUUCGUGAAUCAGAAACUAUAACUGUCGGAAAUGGUUCAGGUCAGCAAGUUCUAAAUACUGAUUCUACAACCUUUAACUUCGGCCAAUCCAAUUUUCAUCUAAACAAAAUUCUCCAUUGCCCACAAGUAGCUACCGAUCUUAUCUCUAUCAAUCAAUUUUGUUUAGAUAAUAAUUGUUACUUUAUAUUAACUGUUAAUGAUUUUAUCGUGAAAGAGAACCUAACAGGCUGAAUUCUACUUCAAGGUGUGGUUGAAAAUGGCCUAUAUCCAAUAGUUGGGUGCAAGACUUCUCAUAAGAGCCUCACAUGUCUUUCGGCAACAAUAGGGGUUCGAGCUAAUGCAGAUACUUGGCACUCAAGACUAGGACAUCCCUUUAGUGUCAUUUUAGAUAGUUUGUUUCAUUCAAAUAAAUUCUCUGUCAAAGGUCCUUCAAAUAAAAUAAAGUUUUGCUCAGCUUGUCAACUUGACAAAGCUAAGAAACCACCUUUUCCAGAGUCUAGUCGUCAGUCUUCUGUUCCUCUUACUUUAAUCCACUCUAAUGUAUGGGUUUCCCCUGUACAAUCAACUAGUGGUUGUUCCUACUAUGUUUUGUUUAUUGAUAAUUAUUCGAGAUAUUCCUGGCUAUAUCCUUUGCACAAAAAAUAUGAUGUGUUUGCAACUUUUAUUAAAUUUAAAAUCAUUGCAAUUUUUUUUUCUCAACAUCAAUAAAGCAAAUCCAAAUAGAUAAUGGUGGAGAGUUUACUUCCAACCAAUUUAAAAAAAAAUAAAAUUGACUACACAAUGGAUAUACCAUAGGUUGACUUGCCCACACACUUCUCAACAAAAUCGAAUUGCCAAGAGGAAACAUAAACAUAUCCAAGAAAUGGGACUAACACUUCUAACCCAAUCAAGCUUGUCCCUCCCCAAUAUUGGGUUGAUGUGUUCCUUACUUCAGUGUUCUUAAUAAACAGAUUGCCUACCAAAGUCUUAGAUAAUAUGACACCUUACUUUUCACUUCAUAAAACUGAGCCAACUUAUAUGGACUUGCGUGUUUUUGGAUGCGCUUGCUAUCCACUCCUUUGACCAUAUAACGACCAUAAGUUAGCAUUCUAAAGUAAAAAGUGUCUCUUCCUAGGCUAUUCUAAUUGUAAAAAAGGAUUUAGGUGUCUUGACUUAGCAACUAAACGGGUAUACAUCUCACGACAUGUCAUCUUUGAUGAGAAAUCUUUCCCAGCUAAGGAACUAGCCGAGAACACCACAUCUCGAAGAACAAAUCCUAUUGUAGAUAAACCAUUGACAAUUCCAAGUUCAGUUAUAUCUAGUAAUUUAUCAUCUAACAUUUCUGCAGUUGUGCCACCUCAAAAUGAUCAUUCUUCUCCUUCAGUUGAAAUGCCAAUUCUUGCAGCAUCAAACUCUACACAACAAUCUCCACCUCCUACAUCCAAUGAUUAUUCUCCUUCUCCUCCUCCCACUUUAAAUUUUGAAAAUUCCAUUGACCCAAAAAUUGUCAUUCCACAAAUAUCUCCUUCUCCACAGGUGCCACAAGAACCCGAUAAUACCUCCAACAAUCCAAUUGUCUAGCCUACCUUCACUCAAAUUCAAACACGUUCCAAAACAAGUCACUCUUGACCAAAAUCAUUUCCUAAUUACAAAUUAUUCUAUAAUACCCGACAUCCUUUGCAAGUUUUUUCUACAAUCUUGGAUACUCUUAAACCAAUCUCCUACACUCAAGCAGUUUCGGAUCCACAAUGGUGUGCUGCAAUGGGAAGCGAAUUUGAUGUAUUGAUGGAAAAUGGGACUUGGUCUCUAUGUCCUCGUCCACUUGAUAAACACAUUGUCCGAAACAAAUGGGUAUACAAAAUUAAGAGAAGACCAAAUGGCAAUAUUGAACAUUUUAAAGCCAGACUCGUGGCCAAAGGGUAUGAUCAAAAGAGUGGUGUGGACUACCAUGAAACUUUUUCACCCGUGAUAAGCCAACUACUAUUUGUUUAGUUUUGGCUAUUGCAGUUUAUUUUCACUAGCCCAUUCGACAAUUGGAUGUGUCGAAUGCAUUUCUACAUGGAUUUCUAGAUGAAGAGGUGUUUAUGGAACAACCAAAAGGUUUUGUUGAUGAGACCAAACCGAACUAUGUUUGCAAAUUACAUAAGUCUCUUUAUGGUCUUAAACAAGCCCUAAGAGCCUAGUUUCGAUGAUUAUCACAACAACUUAUUGAGCUUGGUUUUCAAGAAUCCAUCAAUGACUACUCUCUGUUUACUCUACAUACUGAAAAUGUCAGAAUUUUUGUCUUAAUAUAUGUAGAUGAUAUAAUGGUGAUAGGAUCUGACAUCUCAGAAAUUACCAAACUCAUUCGACAUCUGUAGAGUAUUUUUCAUGUCAAGGAUCUUGGUUUUCUGUCUUAUUUUUUAGGUGUGGAGGCUGAUAAGAGCUCACAAGGACUACAUUUACAUCAAACCAAGUACAUUUGUGAUCUCUUAGAUCGGACUCAAAUGGCUAGUGCCAAGCCACUUGCAUCGCCGACGGUGGCAAGUACCAAACUGUCCAGUACAGAAGGAGAACUAAUAUCUGAUCCUUCUAUUUAUCGACAAAUCAUUUGGGCACUCCAAUACUGCACAAUAACACGUCUCGAUAUUUCUUAUGUUGUUAACCAGUUAUGUCAGUAUAUGCACCAGCUAAGAACUUCAUACUAGCAAGCUAUGAAGCGAGUUCUUCGCUGCUUAAAGGGCACUGUAAACCAUGGAUUGUUCUACACACCAUCUCCUCUACAAUCAAAUACCUACUGUGACUCAGAUUGGGCAUGCAAUCCAGAUGACAGAAGGUCUACUAGCGGCUAUGGAGUUUUUUUGGUGCAAAAACCUAGUUUCUUGGAGCUCUAAGAAACAAAAUGUGGUCUCUCAUUCGAGUACCGAAGCCGAGUACCAUUUAAUGGCACUUGCUACAGCUAAAGUCUACUAGCUUAGAAUGCUUUUCAAAGAAUUGGCUAUUAGUAUAGUCCACAUACCGACUAUAUGGUGCGAUAACAUUGGGGCAAUUGCACUCGCUUCAAAUCCAGUGUUCCAUGCAAGAACGAAGCAUGUAAAGAAUGACUAUCAUUUUAUUCGUGAGAAAGUAUGCAACAAUGAUAUUAAAGUCCAACAUGUCUCAACUGUGGAUCAAGUAGCGGACGUCUUCACCAAAGGCCAAACUGAACAACGUUUUCAGUAUCUAAAGAGCCAAUUAAUGGUUUGCCAAAACCCCAUUAAUUCGAGGGGGUGUUAAACUAUCAGAAUAUUCAGCAGAAAAUUCAGGAGUAUCUGCACCAAUUUUUCACUCCAUCCAUUUUGUUACCAAUUCAAAAUAAUCCAGCUGUUAGUGUAACUUUCUCCUACAAACAUGUAUUUGAUUGUAUUUGAUUGUUGAUUGUAUUUGAUUGUUUCCUUAUUAUACGCUUGACAUUUCAAUUGUACAAAUAUAAAUAUAAUGGAAAACUACACGGUUAAGGUGAGUUAGCCAAGCCAAAGAUAUCUCAUGUGCUCAUCAAUUUGUUGAAUAGUUAAGAUUUUACAAUGGCGCUUGCCAAAAAAGUGAAGUCGGCUAAGGGAUUUCCUUGAACAUCCUGAAAAGCAUAAAUAAAGCCUAAUCAAACUCAACAACGUCAGUAUACUAAAAAGACAUAUGAUAUUAAAAUUUUACCUUCCAACAAGCAUAAACUAUCCCUUGCUUACAUCUUCUGAAGUUUGUUCCCGUGUUCCUACUGCAAUCUAUAAAAAAUAAAUUAAAAAAAAAUCAUAUUUUUAGAAAAGAUAGGUAUUAAAAAAAUUUUAAAAAAAAAUCUCAAAUAUGAAAAACACAAAGUUAUUUACCACUUUGUUACCAACUGUCACAACCUUUGUAGCGUAUUGCAUCCGCCAUGGAAACGGCUGCAUCAUCCAUCUUCACAUUCGCACUGUUUUAUAAAAAAUGAUUGACAACAUACAUAAUGAAAAAAAAAAAUUUUAAAAAAAAAACAAGCAACAAAAGAAAAAAAGAUAUCUUUACAUGUGGUAACAAUGAAAAAAUUUAUUAUUUCCUUAUAUUUUUAUUCAUCAUUCUUGUUACAUGGGAUACUUCUUAACAAAAUAAAAAUUGUUCAAAAAAUUUAUACUACUUAGAUUUGGUGUGAAGAUAUGACGUCUACAAAAAGAAUAAAGUCGGCUAAGGGAUUUCCUCGGACAUCCUGAAAAGUAUAAAUAAAACCUAAUCAAACUCAACAACGUCAAUAUACUAAAAACACCUAUGAUCUUAAAAUUUUACCUUUCAAGGAAAAUAAACUGUCUCUUUCUUACAUCCUCUGAAGUUUGUUCCUGUGUUCCUACUGCACUUUAUAAAAAAUAAAUUAAAAAAAAAUCAUAUUUUUAGUGAAGAUAUGUAUUAAAAAAAAUCUCAAAUAUGAAAAGCACAAAGUUAUUUACCACUUUGUUACCAACCCUGUUGUCACAGCCUUUACAUUGUAUUGCAUUCAGAAUAAUGCAUAUGCUGUUGGGUAGAUACGCUAUGGAAACGGUUAUAUAACUUCCAUCCAUCUUCAUGUUCACACUGUCUUAUAAAAAAUGAUUGACAACAAACAUAAUAAAAAAAUAAAAUUGAAAAAAAAAGAAACGUAUUCUGGGAAAGGUUCACUGUCCAUAUUACACACUGGUCCGAUUUUGGGUGCAGAAGGGCACAAAACAGUGUAGAGAACCAAGUAUUCUGAUAACACAAUUGUACGAUUUGAAUAAUGAUUUCAUUAAUUUAAUUUGCUGUACAGGAUCACUGUAUAUAUACAAGAGCUAUGCAAUUUGUUAGACGUAAAGAUGCCUAUAUACAAGGAAAAGAUAAAAGACUUUUGAAUUACAAAUUGGUUAUAACAGAUUAAGGGAAAGCGGUGGAGAUAAAAUAGGAACUGAAUUUGUUGAAGCUGCUGCAGCUGAAUCGUCUGAUUGGGAAAAACGGAGACUGAAGCUUGAGGAGGGCAUCUGCAGAGAUAUCUUUAACAAUGGGAACAGUGAUGGUUGUUUGAGUGAAAUGUGUUGGUUGAAGGAGUUCACCCAUCGUCGCCGCUACCGCAUCUGCAAUAAUUUGCGGUAGUAAUAUUUUAUAUUUUAUAGUUGUUUAUAUUAAAUAUCUUUAGAGAAUUAGAGAAAAGUCCAAGAAUAUGCCUAAAAGUGUUUUUUAAUAUAAAAAUUAAGGAAUUAUUGGGUAACUAUUUUCAAAAAUAAUUUUUAAAAAUGACAUGUUCUCUAAUAUUUUUUUAGAAUAGAAGUAUGUUUGAAAAUUUAAAAUAUUUUUAACUUAUUUUUAAUAUUUUAAAUAUGUUUUAAAAUAAUUUUAUAUCUCAUGUUUUAUUUUUAUACAUCCAUCGUAUUUGUAAAAUUAUUUUUUUAAAUAAUUCUUAAAAAAUAAGUGAAAAUAAUAAAAAAUAAUUUUAAAAUAUUAUUUUAAAACAUUCUAUUUUUUAUUCUUAAAAACAAAAAAUAAUAAAUAAAAGCAAUUUCUUUUUUUUGGUCAAACAUGAUGUUUUUUUUAAAAUUUUUUUAUUCUAGAGAAUAGAAAAUUAUUUUAGAAAAUAAUUAUCAAACACGUCCUAAGUAUUUAACAAAAUUUAAGAAAUAUUUUUAAAAAUAAAAAAAAUCACUUAUAAUGUUAUAAAAAAUUUAUAGUGUUUUUCAAAGAAAUAUUUGAUAAGUGAUUAUUCUAAAAAUAUAUUUUAGAAAAGAAAAAAAAAACAUUUAUAUUAAAAAUGUUUAAAAUAAAAAUAUAAUCAUACACACACAACAACUUAUAAUAAAAAUUUAAAAACUACCUUUUAAAAAAACAUUCAAAUAUUAUAUUAUAAAUAUUAUAUAACUUACCCAUCAUCCAAAAUGAUGUAUCCUAUUUCCACGUCCACGUCUCCAAAAUCAUUAUCAUCCACACCAAGCUAAAAGGAAUUUUAAAACAAAACAAAGAAACUAUUUGCUUUAAAUUUAAAAUAUCACUAAUAUAUAUAUAUAUAUAUAUAUAUAUAGAUAAUUAGAUAUAUGUCACUUGGAAGCCUGCUGACGUGUGACAUGCCAUGCAUGCCACAGUCAAUAACAUUAUUGAUUUUCCAUUGGAGAGAUAAGCAAGAUGAAAAUUUUCAGGCCCUUCAACCUCUAAGUUUGCCCUGUAUGUAUAAUAAAUUAAUAUAAAAUAGUGAGAAAAUGUUAUCUCAAUUCUAACAAAAGAAAAAGAUAGAGAAAAUUUAUUAAAAUUUUCUAUUUAAAGUUAUAUUUCAUUUUAGAAAGUAAAAAGAAAAAAAUGCUUAAGAAAAAAUAAUCCAAUAUGAUUAAAAUUAGAUAAAAAUUCUAUAUUUAUAAAUUAUUUAAAAUUUUUUUUAAAAAAAAUCUAACAUUGGUCAUUGUUCUCUAAAAAUAAUUUUUAAAAACAAAGAGAAAUAAAAGAGCAAUUUUUAUAUAAUAAGUAAGAGUUAUUAUCCCUAGUUUUUAAAAACAAAAGGAAAACAUGGAUUCAUUUGGACAUGUUUUCUAAAACUUGUUUGUAAAAAUUAUUUUUAAGUUAAAGAAUAAAAAUCAAUUUUUAAAAACAAGUUUAAAAAAAUAUGGCUAAACUAGUCCUUAGUUUUUCAAUUUUCUGGCUCCAAUGGAAGCUCACAAUCAAGACAGAUUUAUCAAAUGUUAUUAAUAUUUUUUUUAUAUUUUAUUUUAUAGUAAAUUUUAUAAUUGAAAAAACUUCUCUCUCUCUAAUUACUAUAAUUUUUUUAUAUUAAAAUUGAUAAUUUUAUAUUUAAUUAAUAAUGAUAUCAAAUAAGUGAUGCGAUCAUAUAUUUCAAUUUAUUUCCACAUAUUGUGGAUCGGGAAUUUUUUUUUUUUUUUCACUCUGGGUUUUCUCUUAAUAAUAUUUUGAUUAUCACAAAAUAAGGUUAAAGACUAAUAAAAUUUUUAAGCUUUGAUGUUGAAUUUUGAAGGAAAUUAAGUCAAUUAAGAAAUGUUAUAAAGAUCUAAGUGCUUUGAAGACCUUGAGGUAGGGAUGACAACGGGGUGGGUUCGGGAUGAGUCACCUCCAUCCCAACCUUGCCUUGUUUAUUCAAAAUAAUUUUCAUUUAAAAAAUAAAAUGGGACGGGGCGGGCCAUGUAUGAGAAAUUCUCAUACUCGCCGUCUCGCCCUAUUUAACUUUUUUCUUUCGAAUUUUUUUAAUUUUUUUUUAAAAAUUUAAUUACAUUAAAAUAAAUAUAUAUUAUAAAUAAUUAAAUUAUUAUAUUUUUUAUAACUUAUCUACAAAAUAUUUUCUUAUUAUCUAUAUAAUAAAAAUAGUAAAAUAAAAAUUAAAUGAACAUAAUUUUAAAAAUUAAUUUUAUAUAUAAUCAGCGGGUGGGGAGAGACGGGACAACGCAAUACCCAAACUCGUCCCAAACCCACCUCGGGUUUUAAAAAAAUUUUCAAACCCGUCACAACACGUUUAAUUAAAAUUAAAACACAUUCCAUUAGGAGCAGGUGCGGGUACCGAAAAAAAUCCACCCCAUUACCAUUCCAAGACUCGAGAAAUGCAUUUAUGUAAAAUUGGUACACUAUAACUAUUUUUUUUAAGGCACCUUUCUUUUAUUUUUAUGUUCUUAAAAUCAAUUUUACCCAUUUGUAAUUGGGUCAAAAAUCUAUUUGAAGAAAAACUUGAGCUUAAAGUGGCCUAAAAUAUUUUCAAAAUUAAUAGGAGUUGAUAAUGGCUUGUGCCCUUGGUUUUGAGUCAAAUAAAGAAAAAUUACAUAAAUGGUAUAAUUUAACCUCAAUCCAAUUUCUUACAUUAAAUCACGUCAAAUCAAAUUAGACAUGCUAUGAUUGGGAUUUAGUUAUGCUCAAUUCAGAGCAUCCUCUCAUUUUCUUAAAUAUUAAAAAAGAAUGUAUUUACAUGUAUAAUAUCAAGUAAAAUCUUAAAGGUAAAGAUGAAAAAAAAUAAAUAAAUCAAUAAAUGAGUUAUAAGAGAGUUAUUGACCCUUGACUGCUUCCAAAAGAAUCCUCUUAUCAUCCAAAUAAAUAAAAAAUUUAAUCUCACUAUCAUUCAUUGAUUAAAAAAAUAGUUAACAAUAAAGAACUCACUAAACCAAAUGACUUCUAUCAAACCCAUCAUACCAACACCAUGAUUGCUAAAAGACAAAGGGUGGGGUUUUAACUUUGCUGUCUUGAAGUACUGGCUCCUUCAUCACCCCCGCACAAGCCUUGUACAAGCUACAGCAUAGAGAAACGAAUUAGUAAAGAGAAAAAGCUAGACUUACCCGCAUUGGCUGGAUUAGCCUUAAUCAACCGACUCAGAUGCAACGCUGCUCACUGCCCCACCUUUUUGCAAUUGCUGGCCAGUAAAUAUUUCUCAGCUAUUUCGGCCUUUUAGAGGUCUUUGGCAGAGAAGAUACAGAUGGGAUUAUGGUUGCCACCCCAUGAGGAAAUCAGCUGCUCUAGCAUUAAUCUUCCAAUCCUGAAAAAAAAUAAAAAUAAAAAUAAAAAUAAAAAUAAAAAUAAUUGCUCUUUUUCACUAGUCUAUGCCACCAAAUUUAACCCAUGAAUGAGUUGUUAAUUGAAGGAAAAUAAAAGUAACAAAAUAACAAACACAUAUUUUUCAUGAUUGUUAGAAAAUGGCUUUAUUUUUCCUGAUUCAAAGAGAAGAAGAUUGAAUACUUGGUUUCAAUUGCACUGAUGACUGACGCAUACAAUGAAAAAUUAUGUUGACUAUCAUGUGGGAAUUCCUUGAAAAUUCUUCAAAUAGAAAUCCGUGGAAAUUUCAUGUUUCUUUCACACUUUUUAAUUCUAAAGAUUCUCAAAUUCAAACUAGUAUCGAUUUCAAAUCAUUUGUAUAAGCAUCUAUGUUCACAAAUUCCUCUUAUUAUAUUAUUUUUUCAAUAAUUAGAUAACAAAAAAGGCGGCCUUGGAAUAGAUGUCAAGUGAACUCAUUGGAAUAAAUAUUAUAAAAGGAAACAAAAAAAAUUACAAAAUAAAGAUACAUCUCAAUUAUAAAAUUUCAUUUUUCUCGAAAUCUUUUACUUUUUGGGAAUAACAUAUAACUUAAAGAAAAGAAGAUGAAAUUUUUUAAAAAUAAUUAAUUAUUACUUCGCUAUAAUUUCUAUAAGCAUCUAUGUUCAUAAAUUUCUUUAUGAUAUUAUUCUUGCAAUAAUAAAUUUAAGAACAUGUUACUAAGCUUUGAAAAAAAUUUGAAGGAAAAAAAUAUAACGUUUUACUAGUAGAAUACCCAAUGAAUAAAAUUUAAUGAGGAUACUAAAAAAUAUCCUUUUUAAUUAAAGGAUGUGGGGCUGGCUGUUUGAUCCCAUGCACAUGCACUUGAGUUUGGAAUGGUGGACCUUACAACUUGGGCAAUGCAUCCUAUGGUUUAAAUUUGAGCAAACAAUUUUUAUAUAAUAAUAAAAUGAAAUAUAAAAAUAAAAAUUUAAUAAAUUUAUUAUUUUUAAUUAGUUUUGAAUGCCCCUCAAGCUAUUUGAAUGCUAUUCCUUUUUCUCUUUGCAUUUCAAUCCUUGCCUAUGACUUUUAAUUCUUAACACAUCUUAAUUUCAUAUAUUAGACAUUCCGGGUCAUUGGCUCUACCAACACCAAAUAUAUAUAUACCUUGAAAUUCACUAACUUUGAAGUGGUCAAAAUUUGAUUUAAGAAGAAUAAGACCCAAGAAAAUAUGAUGCAUUAGAGUCAUCAAUAAGAAAUGAUAUAAAAUUAUUAAUUUCAACUAAUACAUCAAUAAUAAUAUUACCAAUGAAAAAGUUAUCCAUGGUUUUACUUGGUAUAUUUUAAAAUAUUAUAGAUGAAGUUUAGAUAUAUACAUGCCACUCGAUUUAGUGAAAGUAGAAUUAUGAAGGAAUAAGGUUAGGUAUAUUAACAAAAAUUCCUAAAUAGAAUGUUUGAUUACCAUCGUAACUUGAUUAAAGGAUCUCAACCAUCCACACUAAUGAAUUUAUCUUAAUUUAUAUAUUUGGAUGAAACCCAUCACAUGAUGAAUACAAUCUUAAGAGCCUUUAAAAUUUAUGGUUAGAUUCUAAUAAAAAAAUGGUUAUUGAACUAAUAAUUCGAUGUGAUUCAAUAACAAAACAUAGCAAUCCUUUAAAAAAUAAGAAAAAUUCCAUGUGACAUUUAAGUUACUUAUUGAUGUAAAUCAUUAUCCAAAAAAUUAAAAUUAAAAAGAUAAAUGGUGCAUGUAAAACCUCCAAAACUUUCAUCCCUCAAAUGAAAGGUCUUCCUCAGAAAACGUAUUGAAGCAAUGUCAUUGGCUCAAUUAUUUUUAGACGAUAGAAAAUAAAAUAUAUGAAUAUAUUUAGUGUAAAAUUAUUCAAUGAAAAAUAACAUUAGUGCAAAAUUAUAAAAUAUACUUCAAUAGGGAACAUGGCAUUUGAUUGUAGCUCCUGAGGAAACUACACUUUUAACCAUUAUCUACGGGAUGCAUAUGAAUUUGGUUUAGUAAAAGCUUAGAGGAAUUUUAUCAAAUUUUGUGAAAAACCUUUUUCUUUUACCAUAGUCGUGAUCAUGAUAGGAAUUUCUAUUUUUAUAUUUAUUUAUUAAUAAAAAUAAUUAUAAUUGAAGACCUUUGAUCAGAUAUUUUCCCACUUUAAUGACUUGGGUUCAACAAGUGUUGAUUUUAGAAAAAUAAAAUAAAAUAAAACUCUUAAAAGAUACUAUUCUUCUUUGGAAAAAUUGAAUGGUAACAAACAAGAACAAAAAAAUGUUGCAAAAUAAAUAAUUAAAAAAUAAAUAAAAGAUUGCAUUUACAGGUAUUAGUAAAAUCUAAAAGAGAAAUGUGAAAAAUUUUAAAUGAAUAAGAGUUAUAAGAGAAUUAUUAUUGACUCUUGACUCUACCAAACCAAUUCAUUUGGUCCCACAAAAGAGGAAGUUCAAUCCCACUAUCAUCCAAUAGUUUAAAAAUAAUUAAAAACAAAAAAUCACACAAAAAUUAAUGAUUCAUGUCAAACCCACUAUGCAAGCACCAUCUUAGAAGUGAGCCUCACAAAUGAGCCUCACAAAAAUUUAAUAAUAAUAACAUAUAGCUGUGGCUAACUCCAAAAUGCAACUAUAUUAUAUAUAUCAUUUAGUGGGGGUCAAAAACAAGAUGCAGCUGUAGGAACCAUUUGCUGACCUUUACUGUGGCUGCUACUGUUGCUUUGACUUUUGUUGCAAUUUACAUGUGGUUGAGCUAUAGCUGUGGCCAACUCUAAAAUGCAACUAUAUGCUAUUUAGGGGGGGUAAAAAACAAGAUGCAGCUGUAGGAACCAUUUGCCACACUUUACUAUGGCUGCUACUAUUGCUUUGACUUUUGUAGCACUUUGCCUAUGGUUGACCUAUACCUGGGGCAACUCCAAAAUGCAACUAUGUGCCAUUUAGUGGGGGUCAAAAACAAGAUGCAGUUGUAGGAACCAUUCGCUGCACUUUACUGUGGCUGCCACUAUUGCUUUGACUUUUGUUGCACUUUACCUGUGGUUGCUUACGGUCACCUUCACAACUGCAACUAUAAAAAAUAGUUGCACCACCUAUUGUUACACCAUGUGGCGGUCAGCUGGGUGUGCAACCAUAAUUUGCAGCCACACCAUUUCUGACCUUUAGUGAGGAUCACUAGCCGCUGCUAUAAGACAUUAUUCCUGUAGUGUUUAUAUAUAUUUGUAAUAGAACUUUCGCAUGCACAUUAUUUUCAUGAUUAGGAAUUAGAGAUAGAAGAUUUUGUAUAGAUUUGAAAAGAAUCGUGGAAGAAACUCAACUUAAUUCCCAAUUUUAAAAAGAAUUGUGGAAGAAAUUCAACUUAAUUUCUAAUUUUAAAAAAGAAUUGUGAAAUAAAAUCAAUUUAAUUUCCAAAAUUAAAAAGAAUUGCGGAAGAAAUUCAACUUAAUAUCUAAUUUUAAAAAAGAAUUGUAAAAUAAAAUCAAUUUAAAAAGAAUUGUGGAAGAAAUUCAACUCAAUUUCUAAUUUUCAAAAGAACUGUGAAAGAAAUUCAAAUUAAUUUCAAAAUUUAAAAAGAAUUGUGGAAGAAAUUCGAACAAUUAACACACCUUUUUGGCAAGGGAAUCUACCGCAUUCGUGAACAGACUUAGUCCCAUUUUCCUAAUCAACUUAGCACGUUGUUUGAAUUAAAUACCUGCGGAUUGAUAUUGGUUUGGAUAUCCUGAGUGAAUUUGACCAAAGAAACUCAAGCAGACCAAUAUUUUAUAGUCUAUUCUGAGCACGACUGUUUCACACCGUGGGCCACAUACCAUUUAACUUAACAUACAGCUUCUCUUUCAUGUCAUCAAUCUCUUUCAUACAUUAUAUUCAACAACUUACAGCUUCUGGAGGCCAUUGCUGCCCUAUAAAUGUAAUGGAGCUUCCCAAGCUUUUGCACUCAUACUUUCCAAGUCAGUUUUCAAAGAAGUGUUCUACUACCAUUCCAAAAAAUUAACAUGUCGGGUCAAGUCUUAGCAAGCCCUCUAGGCCAAUUUCCGGAACUGGAAAAUCGUCCGGUGGUCAAGUAUCACCCUAGCAUUUGGGGUGACCAGUUCAUGUCCUACACUCCUGAAGACGAGGUAAUUGAAUGAAAACCUGUGUUAAAUACCUAUAUAUUUGAAAGUUGUUUUUCUUGAUGUGUUGUUUAGUAAAAUUACUUGGUUGCCAUAGGUAACACGUGCCUGCAAAGAGAAGCAACUUGAAGAUCUGAAAGAGGAAAUUCGAAGGAAGCUAAUGAAUACAGCUGGUAACACUUCCCAAAAACUAAAAUUUAUCGAUGCUGUGCAACGUCUUGGGGUGGCAUACCACUUUGAAAGAGAGAUAGAAGAAGUGUUACAACAUAUUUAUGAUAGCUAUCCUAAUGGCGAUGAUAUGGAAGGUGGUAUCUAUAAUGUUGCUCUUCAAUUUCGGUUACUAAGACAAGCUGGGUUCAAUAUUUCAUGUGGUAAGAGCCCAAAGAAUUAUCAUGUAUAAGCUAAAACGUAUCCUUCUCAUAAGUCCAAUCUUAUGUAUGUUUAAAUUACGGUAUUUAUGUAGGCUUGUUCAAUGAGUUCAAGGAUGAAAAGGGUAACUUCAAGAAAGCUUUAGUCAGUGAUGUAAGAGGCAUGCUAGGCUUGUAUGAGGCUGCACAUCUCAGAGUUCAUGGAGAAGACAUACUGGAUGAAGCACUUGCUUUAACCACCACCCAUCUUAGGUCCAUGGUAGAACAUUUAGAAUAUCCUUUUGCAGAACAAGUUGCCCAUGCCCUGAAGCAGCCCAUUAGAAAAGGUUUAGAGAGGCUAGAGGCAAGGUGGUAUAUAUCUAUCUACCAGGAUGAAACUUCGCAUGACAGAACUCUACUAAAGCUGGCCAAGUUAGAUUUCAAUCUAGUGCAGUCCCUACACAAGGAGGAGCUAAGCAAUAUUACUAGGUUUGCUUUCAAAUCACUAGCAGAUAUGCGUAGUCACCUUCUCAUUUUAACCUGAGCUAAUAUCUUUCAAUGAAUUUUAGGUGGUGGAAACAAUUAAACUUUGCUACAAAGCUACCUUUUGCGAGAGAUAGAUUGGUGGAAGGCUACUUCUGGAUACUUGGGGUGUUCUUUGAGCCUCAAUAUGCCUGGGCUAGACGAAUUGUAACCAAAACAAUUGCCAUGACAUCCACUAUGGAUGAUAUAUAUGACGCAUAUGGCACAUUUGAAGAACUCGAGCUCUUCACCGAGGCCAUUGAGAGGUUUGAUGCAUGCAAAUUACCAACCUUCAUCAUUUGUAUUGUAUGUGAUACUUACAUUAGGCCUGGUUUUAUUUUCAGGUGGGAUAUUAACAGCAUAGAUCACCUUCCAGAAUACAUGAAACACUUUUAUGUGGCACUCUUAGAUGUGUACAAAGAAAUUGAGGAAGAGAUGGAGAAAGAAGGAAACCAAUAUAGGGUUCAAUAUGCGAUAGAAGCAGUAGGACAUUCUGCAUUGACUUUGUUUUGUAUACUAACAUAUCGUUGGGAUAUAGAUGUGACUUGAUUGAAUGUUUGACAGAUGAAAAAACAAGUUAGAGCUUAUUUUCAUGAGGCUAAAUGGCUCCAUGAAGGACGCAUACCAACAAUGGAAGAGUAUAUGAGUAUAGCACGGGUAUCCUCAGGUUACCCCAUGCUUACAGCCACGUCUUUCAUUGGUAUGGGAAAAAUCGUAACAAAGGAGGCCUUUGAUUGGGUGAUCAGUGACCCCAAGAUUGUCACAGCAUCAGCUGUAAUUGCUAGGCUCAUGGAUGACAUCACUUCACAUAAGGUAUUGUGAAUGUAGUAUUUCUUGUUAAGCUAUAAUUUGACCUUAACCUUAAAUCUCAAUCAAAUAUAUUUACUGCACUGUUCUUCUAAACCAUAUAUGCAGUUUGAGCAAAAGAGAGGACAUGUUGCCUCAGGCGUUGAAUGUUACAUGAAGCAAUACGGUGCCUCUGAGGAAGAGGUAUACGAUAAGUUUCAGAAGCAAGUUGUGGAUGCAUGGAAGGAUACUAAUGAGGAGUUCCUACGACCUACGGCUGUUCCGAUGCCUCUCCUUAUGCGUGUGCUUAAUCUUUCUCGAGUGAUGUAUGUGAUCUACACGGGGGGAGAUGGGUACACUCAUGUUGGAAAAGUGAUGAAGAAUAAUGUUGCAUCACUGCUCAUUCACCCUAUCGCAUGACCAAAUGGAUCAAGUUGAUGAGCAUCUACAUAUUCUGCCAUACCUAAGGAGUACUAAGAUGAAUAAAUAUGAUUGUCUCCAUAUAAUGUUUGAUACUAGUUUCUCUCUCGGUUUGGUCGUGCUUUGCAUCAUACUAUCACUUGGGCUAAAUGUAUUAAUGCUGUUGCAUCCAUUUUAAUAUAUAUUUAAAACACAUGGAUCAAGUUUGAUACUUUUCUGCCAUUUAAAGUUCACGUGAUCAGGGAGAAAAUUCUCCAUAGAAAAUCACUUGGAAGUUACCAGGAAAGAGAUGUUUUGGUCAGACCGCUUAUAUGGCCUUAUUAGCAGAAGAGGGUUUAGAACAUACAAAGACAUAAAAAAACUAAAAAAUUCAUCCUAACGGGUAAAAUAUUAUUAUUAUUAUUAUUAUAAUAUUAGACAUUCUAAAAGUUUUAUUAUAUACCAUGUAAAAAAUAAAAGUUAUGACUUUACAUAAGAUUGGAAUUCAAAGUUCAAGCACAUUAAAUUAUGCAGAGUUUAAAUUUUUGCCAAAAAAUAACAAGGAAAAAAAAUGGAGAAUCAAUUCAAUCAACUCAUCAUUUUCCUAACAAGAAUUACGAUAUUGAAAAUUAUAGACAAGGUAUAGAAAAAAAGACUUACAAAAAGAAUUAUCAUGAGGUUUUAUUUUUUUAACAAUAAGUCAAAAUAAAUUUGAAAACAAAAAAAGAUAAUUAAAAUUAAUAUAUUUUUUAACAUUUUAUUUAAUAUUUAAUAUUGUGCAUAGAUAUGUCAUAAGAUUAGGAUAAAUAUAGUACAUGUGAUUGUAAACAAUAAGGCCAAGUAGCCUAGGUGGCAAAGUAGCACCUCCCUUCCUACAUGCACUUUCAAGUUUUUUCAGCAUGCUAAUGUAGCUUAAAUAACCAUAAAUUGCCAAAAUUAGUGAUUAAUUGAAAAAAUAACAAAAGAACAUGAUUAAUCAAAAUAGAUUAUCAAAAUUUAGACAAAAAUUCAUUGAGUGAAAUUCUCCCAUAAUUUCCUAUAUUGGUGAUAUUUCGGGAACAUUAAUCAUGAUUUCCAAGUUCAAAAGUUUACGGUAUCUACAAAUUAACAUAUCGAAGAAGUUCGAGAAUAAUUUUUAGAGGAUUAUAAAUGUCUUUUAAUAAUUAAAUUCACUUUACAAAUAGCUACAUGUUUAAUUAAUAUUAUAUUCUAAUGGUGUUGAAAACAAAUUAAGAUGAGGCUUCAAAUCAAAUGUACUUUGCAAUAAAACAAAUUAUGCUUAGUAGACAUAUGUAUGUUUUUGAAAAGGAUGGAUGCUAAUUUCAUAUUUUGCUUUGAAAUUAAGCCACCUAGCUCAGUUGUCUUUUAAAGACUUUAGUGAAUGCAACUUCAAAUGACCAAUAAUGCACGGUAGCAGUAAGCGAAGACUCAUUAUUUUGACUUCAAGGCAUUAAUUCAUAUUUUAUCCAUUACACAACAGAAUAUAUAUAAAUAUCCUUAUAAAAAAUAUAUAUAUAUAAUAUUUAUAGGUAGCAACUUUCUUCUUAAGCAAAGCAGCCAAGUAAGACUACGAAAUCUAUACCAAACAGAAUAUCUACUAGGAAUUAAAUUGAUUGGCUCGAAUAUAAAAAUAUAUAUAUAAUAUUUAUAGGAAUUAUUUCUAACACUUAAAUUGAUUGAGCUUAGGUUAAAGUACUCUUCAAAUUGAUAAAUGGUAGUUUUUUCAUUCAUCUUUCAUUCGUUCAUAUACAGAGUAUAUAUAGAGGGUAAUCACCAUUCUAAGAAUGGGAAAGAAUGAUACAAGGAAAGAAUGAUAUAAGGAAAUAACAACUAAUAUCAUAAUAUCUCAAUAUUCCUAAUAUCUCAAUAUUCUUAAUAUCUCAACUAUCCUAAUACCCAAACAUUCCUAAUAUCUCAACACUAAAUAAUAUAAGGAAAGAAUGAUAAAAGGAAAGCAUUCCUAAUAUCUCAACACUCCCCCUCAAGUUGGUGCAUAGAUGUCACGUAUGCCUAACUUGUCUAAAAAUUUUGAGAACACUCGACUUGAGACAGCUUUGGUGAGGAUAUCGGUCAAUUGAUCUUCUGAUCGAAUCUUAGGCAAUUCCACAAUUUUAUCAUCCAACUUUUUCUUAAUGAAGAAUCUAUUCACCUCGACAUGCUUUGUACAAUCAUGUUGUACUGGAUUAUGAGCAAUGUCACAUGCGGCUUUAUUGUCACAAAACAAUCGGAUUGGUUACCUAGAUAGGUAACCUAAAUCCUGUAAGAGGAGUCUUAGCCAUAAUGCCUCACAAAGUCCUAUAGCCAUACCUUUAAAUUCCGCUUUUGCACUUGAACGAGAGCGACAACAUUCUACUUCUUGCUUUUCCAUGUCACAAGAUUACAACCUACAAAGGUAAAGUAACUAGAUGUAGAUCGCCUAUCAUCCACUGCACCGGCCCAAUCAGCAUCAGUAUAUACUUCUAUACUCUGAUGAUUAACAUUUUUAGCGAACAAAAUUCCCUUCCCCGGAGCAUUCUUCAAAUACCUCAAAAUAUGCAUGACUGCAUUCAUAUGUUGCUCUCCAGGAUUAUGCAUGUAUUGACUCACUACACUCAAUGCAUAAGCAAGAUCUGGUCUUGUAUGAGCUAAGUACAUUAAUCUCCCCACAAGUCUCUGGUAUCUUCUCUUAUCGAUUGAUACUUGAUUAGGCUCAACACACAAUUUCAGACCUUCUUCUAUUGGUGUAUUAAUAGGUUGACAUCCCGACAUUCCAGUCUCCUGUAAAAUAUCUAAGGCAUACUUUCUUUGAGACAGAAAAAUUCCUUCACUUGAUCGAGAAACUUCAAUCCUAAGAAAGUAUUUCAAAGGACCUAGAUCUUUCAUUUUGAAUUCUCUAGAUAGAUAAUUUUGCAGAGCUUUUCUUUUUUCAGGAUCAUUUCCUGUAACUACCAUGUCAUCCACAUAUACGAUGAGUGUCGUAAUCUUACCAUGUUGCUUUUUCAGGAACAAAGUGUGAUCUGAAUUACUUUGACGAUAGCCAAAAGCUCUCAUUGACUUUGUGAACCUUCCAAACCAUGCUCUUAGGGAUUGCUUCAACCCAUACAAUGACUUUUUCAAUUUGCACACCUUCUGACAUUGCUUUUCUGACACCAUGCAUCCUGGUGGAAGAUCCAUAUAUACUUCUUCAGAUAACUCGCCAUGCAGAAAGGCAUUUUUCACAUCGAACUGUUAUAAUGGCCAAUCUAGGUUUGCAGCUAAAGAUAGUAAUACUCGAACUGUGUUGAUCUUAGCUAUAGGUGCAAAUGUCUCCGUGUAGUCAAUUCCAUAAGUUUGAGUGUACCCUUUUGCUACCAGUCUUGCUUUAAAUCGUUCAAUACUACCAUCUGCCUUGUACUUCACAGUAUAGAUCUAACGACACCCAACUGGCUUCUUUCCUGGUGGACAUUCUACAAGUUCCCAUGUUUUAUUCUUCUGCAAUGAUUUCAUCUCUUCAUUCAUAGCUGCUUUUCACCUUGGAUCAGCUAAGGCUUCCUGCACACUGUUAGGAAUAGCUACAGUAGAUAAUUGAUUUACAAAUGACUUAUUUGAUUCAGACAAACGAUGGUUAGACACAUAGUUGCUCAUGAGAUAUUUGACUUUGGUAGACAAUUCAGGUUCAUAUGUGGGUUUAGGAAUACCUCUAUUAUGACGGUGUGGUAACUGUUUCAUGAAUGGAUCAGGUUCCAAAUUAAGAACACCCUCAACAAACGACGAUUGGUUUGGUAUUUCAGUGAAGACAUCUUCGGACCCAAAUUGUUGACCACUCAUAUCCAACUCACCUACUUUCUGGUUCACUAGUUCAGAUUGUCCAGAUUCAUCCUCCUCAAAGAUAUGAUAAUCAUAAUCGAGAGUCUGAAUUUCCUUAUGGUACUCCCCCUGAAGUUCAAACUCAGAUGAAAAAUACAUCGACUCUUCAUGAAGCACCACGUCCAUUGUAAUAUACAUUCGUCGAGUUGAAGAAUAGUAACAUCGAUAUCCCUUUUUAUGCAAUGCAUAUCUAACAAACACACAUUGCAAUGCAUGGGAAGUUAACUUGGUGCGUUGGUGUUUGUGUAGAUGCACAAAUGUCACGCAACCAAAAACACGAGAAGGUAGAUUUGGGACAGUUGGGGCAACUACGGCAUUAGUAAGAGCUUGGAGAGGUGUUUGGAAGUUAAUUGAGCUAGAAGGUACCCGAUUGAUCAAGUAUGCGGCAGAUGUGAUUGCUUCUCCCCAAUAAGAUAUCGGUGUUUUUGCUGCUAUCAAGGAAGAACGAACAACCUCUAACAAGUGCUGAUUUUUCUGUUCAGCGACUCCAUUUUGCUAGGGUGUAUUGGAACAAGUAGUCUGAUGAAUGAUGUCAUGUCCUUCCAAAUACUUUUGAAGAUCAGAACUUUGAUAUGCUCCACCAUUAUCACUAUGCAGAACCCGAACCUUUGCAUUGUAUUGAGUUUCAAUCAUUUUAUGAAAUUUUUUAAACAACAAGUUCACUUCAUCUUUGGUCUUCAUCAAGCACAACCAUGUCAUUCUGGUACAAUCAUCAAUAAAAGUAACAAACCAACGUGAGCCACUCAAAGUUGGGACUUUGGAUGGGCCCCAAACAUCAAAAUGUAUAAUCAUAAAAGGAAAUGGACUUUUAUUCAAAAUUAACGGAAACGAAACACGAUGGCUUUUAGCCAAUUCACAAAUAUCACAACGGAAACCAGAAAUAUCACUCUUUGCAAACAAACUAGGAAACAAUUUUUUUAAAUAACCAAAGAAAGCAUGUCCUAGACGUCGAUGCCACAACCAAAUUUCAGACUUUUUCUUCUCCCCCUCAGAUCCAUCUGCCAUCAAGGCUUGUUGCAACUUAUUUGAAUCCUUUGAUUGCAAGUCCAAGUAAUAGAGUUUUCCCUGCUUAAUACAACAAUCAAUCGUCUGUCUUGUUUGGAUGUCCUUAAUCACACAAAAUUCAGGUCAAAAAAUGACAAUACAAGAUAAGGUUGCAGUGAUUUGAGAAACUGACAAAAGAUUGUAAUUUAAAGAUGGAACAACUAAAACAGAAUCCAAAUUCAAAGUAUCAAUAAGAGUUAAGGAUCCUUCCCCAAUGACUGGGGUUGUGUUACCAUUGGCUGUGAAAACAAUUUUUUGUGAGGAAAGUCUAAGGGGUGAAACCUGUCUAGAAUCAAAAGUCAUAUAAUCUGUAGCACCAGAAUCAAUUAUCCAUGCACUAUUAAUAACAGGUGUAAAAGUAUUUAAAAACUUACCACCAUGAUCUAUAGUGGCUACCAAUGCAGAGGUUUUUUCAGCAACAUUAGCCUCUGUUUUCAUUUCGGCAACAAUUGCAAUCGAGAUUUUCUUGGAAUCAUUCUUCUGUUGUUCACGAUUAUUAUCAUUAAUAACAAAGUGUUGAUAGCCUAAACAUGAUCUAAAGGUCCACAGUUCAAACCCUCGGUUCCUCAUUUUUUUCCUAGUCAUACCAGGAGUCGUUGCUUUGAAAUUGUGGGAUAUCCAGACUGGUGGGAUCAGUCUUAUUGCAGUGAGUGCAUUUGAAGGUUGACUUAUCAAUAUUAGGGCUUGUCUUAGGAUGGUUGAUCGCUGUCAGACUACCAUAGCAAAAAAAUAUCUAGGAUUUCAGUUCCAUGGCUCUGAUACCAUCUUCAAAUUGAUAAAUGGUAGUUUUUUCAUUCGUUCAUGUACAGAGUAUUUAUAGAGGGUAAUCACCAUUCUAAGAAUGAGAAAGAAUGAUACAAGGAAAGAAUGAUAUAAGGAAAUAACAACUAAUAUCCUAAUAUCUCAAUAUUCUUAAUAUCUCAAUAUUCUUUAUAUCUCAACUUUCCUAAUAUCCAAACAUUUCUAAUAUCUCAACACUAAAUAAUAUAAGGAAAGAAUGAUAUAAGGAAAACAUUCCUAAUAUCUCAACAAGUACUACCAAGGUUGUUACAUCUCAAAUCUUACCAAAAGUUGACAUAAUAUUUAUAUAAUAAUUAUAAUUUAUAUUAUUAUGGACUCAUGCACAUUUUUCACAUGUUCCUACUCAAUGAGGAUACUCAUUUAUUAUGAAAAAUGAUUAUUUGAAAACCCUUUUUAGGUUUUUUUAGAGUGAUCAUUUAUUUUAUUUAUUUUAUAAAAAGAAAAAAAAAUAAGAAAAAAAAGAAGAAGAGAAAAACCUUAUAUAACUCCUUAUUUGAAAAAAAAAAAAAAAAGACAAGUUCAUAAACCAAUAUUGAGUUAAAAGUCAAAUUACUUAUUGAAAAAAUACGAAGAUAAGUCAUACAAAACAACCCUCUAAGCUUAUAUACCUAUAGUCUUUACUAAGCAAAUGAAAUGAAUUAUGACGAUUAAAUAAUUGAUCAUGGAUGCUCAAGAAAAGAAAAACACAAUUAUAAAACAAGUCAUGGUGUUUGUAUCUUACAAAAAUGUAAAAAACAAAUGAUAAGAGAAUUUACAUAAAUUGAUUUAUGAAACUAAUUAAAAACAUGGGUUUAAUUAUUUCUAAAUUCAAAGGAUUAAAAAGUUAUUCCAAUUUGAUGAUUUCAAUUGAUUUUAAGUACAAAAGAAAGUUUUGAUUUCAUUUUUUUUUAAGAAAAAAAUACUUUAAAUUAUUCUAUUUAUAAAGAAAUGGUUUUUAUUUACUUUUUCUUAAAAAAAUAUAAUUUACACAAAUUCUAUUUACCUUAACAUUCCUUUUUUAUUUUUAUGCAGAAGAGAAUACUUUUAUAAUUUUUGUUACAACAUGAUUUUUACAAUUUUAUUUUAAAAGAAAGUAUCCAAAUCUAAUCUUAUGUGCAUGAGAAUCUUUUUCCAAAUUAUUUAGGAAAAGGAUUUUUAAAAAUUUAUUUAAAAAAAUAUUUACAAAUUACUUUAAAAAAGAUUUGUACAAAUUUAUUAACAAAAAAUAAAUAUUCAGAUCCAAUUUUAUUUACAGAAAAAAAAAAUGAUUUUCUUAGUUUUUAUUGAAAAUAAGACUUUUACAAUUUUAUUUAAUUAGUAUGAAAAUCCAAUUCCAUUUUAUUAAUACUAGAAAAAAAUUAUUAUUAUUUUUAUUAAGACAUGAUUUUUACAAUGUCAUUUACAAAAAAAAAAAAAAAAAGUUUACAAUUUUAUUUUAAAAAAUAUUUUGAAUUUUUUUUUUUAAAAAAAUGGUUUCAAUGUUUUAUUUAAAACAAAAUGCUUUUUAGAUUUUAUUUUUAAAAAAAUGAUUUUCACAAGUAAAAAAAAAAAAUUAUAGUUUUAUUUUUUUACAAAAAAGAAAAAAAUGAAUUUCCAAUUGUAUUUACAAUUUAUUUAAAAAUGGAUUUUGCAGUUUUAUUUAGAAAAACACUUUAUUGUUUUAUUUCAAUCUUAUUGUUUUAUUUUUCUUUUAAAAAAAAAAAAAAGAAGUUCAAAUUUAUUUUUCUCCUCUCUCUCUCUCUCUCUCUCUCUCUCUCUCUCUCUCUCUCUCUCUCUCUCUCUCUCUCUCUCUCUCUCUCCACAUACGCUCAUUAGUUUUGAUGUUACGGUAUCAGCCCAAUUGACAUGAUUUAUAUUGACUUGGUCUUUGGUCUAAUAGUGACCUGUGAACCUUACUGAUAUUACGCAAACCCUACCAUUUAUUUAUAAUAUUGUCGUGAUAAUAUUGAAAUAUGGGAAAUUUUAAUAGACCAGACAGACAUCAAUAGACCAAAGCCACCAAGCAGGAAUUGAAGAAACCAGAAAGCGUUUGUUCCAAACAUAGUAUACUGUAGAACAUGAAACAGAAGCUAGAGUAUACUAUCUUUAUUUGUGUCAUAUAUAUCUCCACUCUCAUAUUGGCACAGGGUCUAUGAGCAGCAUUGAAAUAUUAUUUUUCGUCACUUCUCCAGGAUGUGUGAAUAUAUCUUUGUGGCUCUUGUACAUCACAUCUCCUGAUCGAGCAAAAUUGAGAAGACGACUAAGGAGAAGCAUUGGCACUGUAGUAGGUCUGAGGCACUCUUCAUUUAUAUCCUUCCAUGCAUUCUCGGUUUGCUUGUGAAACUCAUCAUAUGCUUGCUGCUCCGACACACCAUGUUGCUUCAUGUAACAUUCGAUGCUUGAUGCAAUAUGCUCUCUCUCUUGCUCAAACUGCAGAAAUAGUAAUAUAAGGUGUUAAAAAGAAAUUGAUAUACAAUAGAUUUUCUUUAUCUUUAUGGGAUUGAUAUCCAAGUAUCAGUAGGAAGUGUUGUUUCAUUGUACCUUGUGGGAAGCCAUGUCAUCCAUGAGCCUAAUGAUUAUGUAGGUAGCUCUAACAAUCUUAGGGUUUUGUAGCAGCCAAUCAAAGACUUCUUUGGUUGCAGUCUCUCUCAUGCCAAUAAAAGACAUGAUUGUUAACACGGGGACACCAACUGUUACCAUUGCGAUACCCAUGUACUCUUCUAUUGUCGGUAUGUAUUUUCCAUGCAACCAUUUGGCUUCAACCAAGUAAGCUUGGACCAAGCUUUUAAUCUAGGACAAAAAUUCAGCCAAGUAAAUAUAUCAUGCAAGUGUUAUAUAUAGCAUUUUAUUUACAGUACAAUAUAGGAUAUCAUAAACACAAAAGAGUUCGAAGAAUCCUACUGCAUCUUUUGUGUGGUGGACACAGUAUGAUCUUUCUGUGUUUUCCAUCUCCUCAAUUUCUUUGUAGACAUCUAAGACUGCCUGAUAGCAUGGUUUCAUGUAUUCAGGAAGCUGAUGUACGCUGUUUAUAUCCCACCUGAAAAUCAAGUACCAAGUUCCCUUUUGAAGUUCAAAUAUCAAAAUCAAUUCAUUGGUUGUGGGUAAUUUGAAUCUAGCAUAUAUCAAACCUCCCGAUUGCCUCUGUAAAGAGCUCCAGUUCUUCAAAUGUUCCAUAUGCAUCAAACAUAUCAUCCAUAGUUGUUAUCAGAGCAUGUAAUUUGGUCUGUAUUCUUCUAGCAUAUGAAUACUGGGGCUCAAAACAACAUGUUGCUAUCCAAAAGUACCCUUCUACCAAUCGAUCUCUGGCAAAAGGUAGCUUUGAAGAGAAAUCUAGGUCUUUCCACCACCUGAGAAAAUACAUUAAUCCACAUAAAAGACCUGGUAAACUGUUGAUUUGAAUUUAAGUGCAAGAAUGAUUUGAGAACUAACCUCGAGAUAUUACUCAGCUCUUUCUUAUACAGUGACUGCAGUAGGUUGAAAUCUAACUUUGCAAACUUCAGUAAAGCUUUACUAUGUGAAGCUUCAUCUUGGUAGAUAGACAUGAAAGGCCUUGCCUCUAGCCUCUCCAAGCCUUUCCUAAUGGGCCGCUCUAGGGCAUGAGUUACUUGUGCUGCAAGAGGGUAUUCUAAAUGUUCUACAAUAGACUUGAG